CUCUCUCUCUCUCAUGGGUAUUUCUCAAGUUUUUCAUUAUGAGUAUGUAAAUAUUCACUUGCCAUAUUUCUGGAUCCUUGUAAAUAUUCACUUGCCAUAUACAGAUCCUUGUAAAUAUUUACUUGCAAUUUACAGAUCCUUGUUAGUUGUAUAUAUGCAUUGUACGAUGAUGAAUGAAAGAUAUAGAAAAAAAAGUGUUCUCCAUUCUAGUCUUUUGCUAUUUUUACAUUUCAAGAAAAAAUGACAAGAAUCCUACAGAUCCUGACAACCUUUUGCCGGGUCUUACUCUUUCAACUCUUUGAUUCAGUAAUUUCUCUUUUUUUUUAUUAUUUACCAUGAUUAUUUGUUUUAUCAGAAGGAUUUGAUAAGUUCUUUGAAUUGUUCUUGUGCUAUUUGUUUGUGGGGUAUUUUAUUAAUUUUCAGUAGAAGACUAGUAGUAAAUAGUUUAGCGUCAUGUCUCUUCUAGUAGUAGUAUUAGUAUAUAUUUUUCUUUUCUACUUGUUGUAUGUUUUUUUCUUGUUGUAUCGUAUACCUCUAUUUUCUUACUUGCUACUGUUGUUAAUAUCCUCGUGUUUUUGCUUUCCUUGCCGAGGAUUUAUGGGAAACAAAUUUUUUGCUUGCCAAGGUAAGGGUUACGUAUGUUGCUGUUGAAGAAGAAGCAUGUAGAAAGAGAGAUGUUUUGCUUUGUCUCAUAAGUAUUUAGUUAGCUUGCAGUAUUUUCAUGAAUGGACAAUGAUUUGUGAGUGGCUGUUUAUGAGUGUUUUGCUUUGUCCUUUGAAAUCUCAUGGACAUUAGUUUGAUUCAUGUACAGUCUCCAUACAUAGAGAUGAUGAAGAACAACUUCUUCUUUUUUCGAUCAUCAACUAAUGAUGCAAACUAGAUCCCUUCACCACCAUUAAAGUCCAAGGAAGUUUUUUCUUGGAGGAGUGUUUCAUUGUCAUCUGGAUCCUUCUAUGACAGUGGGUCAGGAAAAAAGAAUUUCACAGAUCUGAGCAAAUAUCUCCAUGGUCACAAUAAGAAAGUUUAUCCUAAGAAAUCUGGUCGUGAUUCAAGCCAGUAUGCAUAUCAUUUUGCUAUAGCUUCCCUUUUCACACUUAAACUGAUGUUUUAAUUUGCAUUUACUUGUCCAAAGUAAUGAAAAAUGUUUCUUCACGGCAGAGGCCUUAGCGUUCCAGUGUUGAUUCGGACUAUUAGAAGAUUGACAAAGGAGAAGGUACAAAUGGCUUCUGAAGUUUCAAGCAUGCUACAGAAUCAAGUUGCUGAAAGGGCUUCUACUAAGGAAGAAUCUCAUAUAUUAUAGGCAGAACUAGAUUCAUGGACACGAAUAUUAGAGACAAAAAAAAAUGAGUUACAAUCAGUACUAGAAAAGGAGUUGGAUACAAGAUUCAGUGAUUGGUCUAUAAAACUUGAGAAAUACCAAAUUGAACAACAUAGACUCCGUGAAAGGGCGGGGCAGCUUGCAGAGCAGAAUGUCUCUCUACAAAGAGAAGUCUCUUCAUUUAAUGAGAAGGAAGUAGAUAAUAGAAUCAAGAUGUCAUUUUCGGAGAAACACCUUGAAGAUUUGUCUAAGAGAAUAGAGCAAGUGUCAGAGGAGAAAAAAAAUCUAAGGCUGCAGCUCACUCAGUUACAAACAGAAUAUUGGGUAGCUCAAGACAAUAGAGAUUAUGUUCGGGAAAACUACCAGGAAAAGGUUAAAGAUCUUAAAUUGAAGACUUUGCUGACAACUGUGCUAAGGGAGAAGCUCUAUUCUGAGGAGAUGGACAUAAAGCAACUUCAGGCUGAUCUAGCCGCAAUAGUUAGAGGUAACGAAAUUCUCAAAUUUGAAGUGCAAAAUGCGCUGGACGCUCUUUAUUAUGCCACACCCAAGUUGAAAUAUCUCGAGCUUCAGGUAAGCAGGCAAUGUUAAGAUCUCAUUACAACGGAAUAGUUUUUAUUUUCAACUUUGGAUACCUCUUCUUCAUAUAUGAUAGCCUGUUCAUAUGUUACUCUCUGCAUUAGCUUUCUACUUCUGUUUAAUUUUUGGUUCAUCUUUGUUCUAUCUGAAGUUCACGAUUUUCUUUAUGAACUUAUAUACAUGAGUUACUGGCAUAUGGUAGUCUUCUAUGAAAUGUCUGAUCGCCUUAAUGUGUAAUCAGUUGAACCAACCAAGAACAUGAUAAACUUUGUGAUAUCCUCAAACCCAUUGAUCUAAUUGUGCUCUGAUGUGGUAAAGUUAACUGAAGGGGUUUCGGUAAGUUUGCUUGUUCAUCUGACUUAUUUCUUGGACAAGCUCACGAGUUAUCUACUGUGAAUUUUAACAGUUAAAGAGGAUUCAUGAUUUGGUUGAACUUCUAGGCUAUGAGUUUAUUUUGAAUUUCUGAUGAAAUGUUAUUGGUGAUCUUUAUGUAUUUUUUGUUUUUCAUGGUUUACGGUUGAUUCUAAAAGGUGCUAAAAAGGAUGAAAAUAUCAACCAGCUCACUAAUGAUUUGCAAGAAUGUAUAAAGGAACUUGGCGUUGUGAAGGCGAUACUACCAAAAGUGUUUCAGGAAAGUGAUUAUAUGUGGGAGGAAGUUAAGAGCUACAGUGAGAUUAACAUGCUUUUAAAAUAUGAAUCAACAUGUUGAAAAGGAAGGUAGAUACCCUCGACGAAGAUUUUCUUAUGAAAGAGGGUCAAAUCACAAUCUUGAAAGACUCGAUAGGCAAACCUUUUGACCUUCUUGCAAGUCCUGAUUCUCUGUUGGAGUGAUAGAUGCUAAAUGGCCAAACUACAAUUCAUAUUUUGUUCAUUGACUAUAGUGUUCAUACUUCUCGUAUACUUACUGGUUUUACUCUUAUUCUUUCCCCCCUUUGAUACUUGUUAAAUAGAAAGUUUGUUUCUUUCUUUUGCAACCUUUUUGAAUCUCUAAUUGUAAACAUUUCUUUUACUUGCUGGUGAUCAAGACAAUGAACUUCUUUUGCUUUAUUUGGUUUUGUAAGUAUUGGAUGUUUUUUGUCUUAUGAAGUAUUUAGUGAGGAUUGAUGCUACCAUUUUCUUCUCGUCUCUGAGGUAGAGGUAUGGUUUGCAUAUAUUCUGCCUGAAUAUACAUCGGGUAUGUUGUUGCUAUUGUAUGGAGAUUUUGUGUAUAAUAACAAUCGUAUAUUUGAUGUCGGGUCAUCCACACUUUCAUUUCUUGCAGGGGAAAGCUCAUUAAGAUUAUUGAGUUAACUUCUCAUUGAUCUGAAUUGGUAUCAGAGCCAUGUUGGUAGAUUGUGUACCUAGCAUGAGCGGCUAAGUACAUAAUCUGUCUAGAGCAUGGAAAAGCUAUUUUCAUAUAAGUAAUUUAAGACUUUAAUCAUCUAAGUUUAAACUUUUGAUAAAUUAUUUCAAUAUGUCUUGUCUGAUAAUGGGUUUUUAAUCCAAGUUCGGGGUUUCUAUUUACUGUUUAAGUGUUUAACAGAACCGUUUAAUCUCCGGUGAGGACGUUGGUCAGCUUGAAAAGUAGGUCGUUAAGCUUAGAAGAAGCGUGUUAGACCUUGUUGGUGGUCCCGUCACUGAGUAAACACUUAGCUGUCUUUAGAGUAAUGCCAUUAAAACUUGUUAGGGUCCCAUAAGCCAUAGAUGUGUUGCUAUAAUUUACUUUAAGUUCUUUCUUAGAUGAUGCUUGUCUUAUAUUCUCUUAGAUGAAAUUACUUGCUUUUCCAGUCAGUCUCUAGACAGUAUUUUCUAAAUGAAUUCUAAUAUUCAUCCCAAAAAUACUAUCAACCUUUCUUCUAAAGCAACCCAGAUUGCUACUAUUGAAAACAAUCUUCAAAACUGGAGUAUUCCAGAAGAAUCCUUUAGUACGAUUUACCAAAUCGGAAAGUUUAGUUUUUUCAAAAAACAUAAUAUUAAGACCUCUGAGUCUACUGUUGCUAUCAAUAAUUCUUUAGAAAUUAUUCAACUCUUAAAUGAUUUAGAUAUAAACCGAUUUAAAAAUCAGUUUCAUUAUCUUCAUAUCGGGCUUGUUCAGGUAGCAAUCAAGCCACUCUUCCGCCAGGGCUUAGAUAUCCCUGUCUGUGCUAUACUAAGAGAUGCUCGUCUAUUAAAUUUUGACGAUUCUCUCUUAGGAGUAAUUCAAAGUAACCUAGCCGACGGCCCGGUAUACUUUAACUGCUACCCUAAUUUCUCAGUUGAUAUUAAUGAUCCUAACAUCAUGGAUGUUUUAACUCUUAAUGUUAAAACAAAAAACAUGAACAGUAAGGAUAAUACCAGAGAAAUUGCGAUAAUAUACAGAGUAUAUUACCGACUCAUGGGAACUACUCUAGCACCUCAAGCUAGAUUCCGACUGAUGGUCUCAAAGGAGUGGAAGCUGUUGGUGGUGAAUCGAAUGGUCUAGCCAUUCUUGUUUGAUCUGAUUUGGUGGCUGAGAUCUUGCCCAGCAUGGUUGGUCUCAUUAUGGCCCUGUAAAAAUUCUCUUGUUAGAAAAUCGGGGAGGGAAUUGUGUUCUCCUUUAAUAAACUCAAUUUGAAAAUCAAAGCUAGAUAGGAGAGCUUGCCAUCUAGCGAAUAUUUGUUUUGAAACAAGAUUUUUAACAUCCUUUUGCAGGAUCUCUUUAGCAGAUUUACAAUCAACUCUGAGUAAAAAUUCUUUAUUAAUAAGAUCAUCUUGAAACUUUGUGAUACAUAGCACUAUAGAUAAAAUUUCUUUUUUAACAGUGCUAUAAUUUUUCUGAGUGGAAUUCCAAAUUCCAGAGGUAAAUCUGACUAAUUGUUCAGGAGAGGUUUUUGCGAUCUUUUGUUUUAAUAUACCCCCAUACCCAAUGUCGGAGGCAUCAGUUUCGACUAUCAUGAAGGCUUCUGGGUUAGGAAUGCCUAGACAAGGAAGGUUUUGAACUAGAUUUUUGAUCUGAAUGACGGCAUUAGUUUGAUCAAGACUCCAUGGGACUGGAUUUUUCUUGAGUCUUUUAUAAAGAGGUUCACAGACCUGCCUAAUAUGCGGAAUAAAAUCUGCAACAUAAUUAAGACUUCCUAGAAAUCUUUGGAGUUGAGUUUUCUCAAUAAUUUCAUUAGGAAAUUUAGAGGAGAACUCAAUGGCUCUACAGAUAGGCUUGUAGCUACCUUGAUAAAGAUCGUGUCCUAAGAAUCGGACGGAGGUUUGAAAAAGCUUCAUUUUCUUGGCACUAACCACUAAACCAUUAAGCUUAAUGAUUUUAAAGAAAGUUUUUAAAUGUUUGAAAUGAGAAUCGAUGUUCUCGGAGAAGAUAAGCACAUCAUCAAUAUAAACAAUAGACAUAUGGGAGUAAGGAUUAAAGAUUUUGUUCAUGAUGUUUUGGAACUCUGAAGGAGCAUUUUUGAGUCCGAAUGGUAAAACGUUCCACUCAUAAUGUCCAAAUGGAACAUUGAAGGCUGUUUUAUAUUUGUCUUUUUCAGCAAUCUGAAUUUGCUAGAAUCCUGACUUCAUAUCAAAUUUACUGUAAAGGUUGGCCUUGUAGGUCCUUUUGAGAAGAUCCCUCUUGUUAGGGAUCGGAUGUCUGAUCCAUUUCAGGACAACAUUCAGAGGCUUGUAAUUUAUUACAAGUCUAGGAGUGCCACGCUCUUUUUCGGCACUGUUGUUGACAUAAAAGGUAGAGCAGCUCCAGGGAGAGUUGGAGCUCCUGAUGAUACCUUUUUCUAAAAGAUGGUUGAUUUCAUUUUUGCAGAUCUCCAUCAUUUCCUGAUUCAUUUGGAUGGGUCUGGCUUUAGUAGGGAUGGUUUGUUCAUCAAACCCUGGAAUAUAAGGUAGUUCAACCAAGUGGGUUUUUCUUUCCCAGAAGGCAUUAGGAAGAUCGGAACAGAUUUCUUCUUCAAAUUGUUUAUGGAGGUUGCUUAUUUUAGUGAGCAUCUCCGGGGUUUGUAGAGAAUGUUCAAUUUUCUUGAUCUGAACAUCUUGCUUCAGAAAAUUGACAUGGGAAGAAAGUCGGUUAAUCUUAAGGACUGUUUGUUCCUUAAUACGUGAUCCAUCUUCUUGCGAGAGUGGCCGUAAUAGAGGAAAGAACAGAGUCCGAUUUAGAAGUGUCGUCCGAAUUCCAUCGUAGUCACUCCAAUAAGGUCGAAUUUGGUUGACGAAAGGAAUUCCUAAAAUGAUAUCUUCAGUGAUAUCAUCCGUGAUGACGAAGUCAUUAACAAGGCAAAUGCCAUUGUUACAGAUAUGAGCUUUAGGGAGUUUAUAAUGGAUUUCCAUUUUUUCUCUAGUGGCCGAGUAAAGACGAGAGGUACUCUUUUGAAGGUACCUUGUAGGGAUAAGUCCUUUAACGAUACAGUUACUGUCUGCUCCUGUAUCGAAGAGCGCCACCCUGUUAAGAACAAAAUCUUUAUUGAUGACAAUUUUUACGGCGAUAUGUUCGCUAUAAGCCUUGAUGGCUGUUAUAGCUUUGCCGGACGUAGAAGGAGGAUCUGAACCAGGGAAGGAUCUGGGCUCUGGUUCUCUAAGGUGGUCAUUAGAAAUGACUGGGAAAUUUUUGGGAGAUUCUGGAGGGGAAAUGUUUUCUGGAAGGGAAACAUUUUUUAGGACUUGAUCUGUAAGAGCGUUAAGCUCGAGGUGAUCAAGACGAAUUUUAAGAUUUUUGAUUUCUCCCUUGAGGGUAGAGAUCUCUCCUUUGAGAUCAGCAAUAGAAGGUUCGGCAGGUUUGUCAAACCUCGACAUAACCUGUUUCAUGCUAAAAGGUUGAAUUACUGGUUUGGGAGGCUUUUCUUCUUGAGAAAGCAUUAAUCGUUUGAGUUCUAGAAGAUAUUUAUUUCUAGCCUCAUCGUCCUGAAUGUGUUCUAUAAUGUCGAACAGGAUCUCUUUAGGAUUUCCUGAAAUGACAUUGACAGUCUUUCGGGUGCAGGUGCAGAACAUACUAUUACAGUCACAUUCUUUACCGGACUGGGAUUGAUCAGUUUCGUAAGCGGCGUUGAUAAAUUCUUCGUCGCUAUAGUCAUCACUAGACGAGGUGUAGGAGUCUGAAGGCUCGGAAGAUUCAGGAGAUCCUUCCAUGAUAGAAAAUAAAUUUGCUCUAGCCUCGUCGGAGAGAUCUAGUUGAUUUAUUUUCUUCUUUUUGCUAGACUUGCAAUCUUUUGCUCUGUGGCUUGUUUUGCCACAAGUCCAGCAGGUAUCUUUAGCCUUAGAGGCUUUCCUUUUGGCAAACUUUCGACUUGGUUUAUAAGAUUCCCUUUUGAAGGGUUUCUUACUAGAGGAAGCUUUCUUGUGAGGUUUCGAAGACUUCUUCUUAUGUCUUUGGCUAGGGCUGGUAAAGCCAUAAUCUUAGCAGAAGGUACCCAGUCCAUAUUUGGAGGCACUAUCCUUCUUAAGCUGUUUCUUAAGCUUGAUAUCGGUGCAGAGAUCUAUUCCCACGGUGGUAAUAAAACUGAUUAAGUCACCAUAGGUUAGGAUGUCAUAAGGGAUUUUUCCCUCGAAUCUAUCCUUGAUCUUGGUUCUAACCUUUUCGGCAAAGAGAGAAGGGAGACCACUAAUGAAUCUUUCUUUCCAGAAAUCGUUGUUACAGUCAGGUCGAAUCAUAACCUUUACUAAGAAGGUAUCCUUGUACCAACGAAAGUCUGCUAGGUCUUUGCAGGUGAGGUUAUUGAGGAUUUCUAGACUCCUAUCCUGGAAUAACUUAGGUUCUCCUAUGAAAUGUCGNNNNNNNNNNNNNNNNNNNNNNNNNNNNNNNNNNNNNNNNNNNNNNNNNNNNNNNNNNNNNNNNNNNNNNNNNNNNNNNNNNNNNNNNNNNNNNNNNNNNNNNNNNNNNNNNNNNNNNNNNNNNNNNNNNNNNNNNNNNNNNNNNNNNNNNNNNNNNNNNNNNNNNNNNNNNNNNNNNNNNNNNNNNNNNNNNNNNNNNNNNNNNNNNNNNNNNNNNNNNNNNNNNNNNNNNNNNNNNNNNNNNNNNNNNNNNNNNNNNNNNNNNNNNNNNNNNNNNNNNNNNNNNNNNNNNNNNNNNNNNNNNNNNNNNNNNNNNNNNNNNNNNNNNNNNNNNNNNNNUUUUUGUAAUAGUUUUUCCUAGUAGAAAAAUGAUCACUGGUGAGUUUGGAGAGAGAAUUCUUUUGACUGUUAGACUCCCCUUUCGAGUUACUGGAUUCGGCUUUCUCCGAGAUCUUAAACUUAGAGAGUUUGUCGUUAAUGUGUUCCAAGAUUUUUCCCGAUACCUUAAAUUCAUCGCUAAGGUUAGGGAAUUUAUCCUUCUGGAAUUCAGGAAUCUUGAAGAUGGGGUUGGUUAUAGGAUUGGGAUUUGAAGCUCCUUUCUCAGGCGCAGGAGGACUAAAGGAGAGCACCGAGUUUUUAGUUCCUUCUAUCUGUUGGGAGAUAGUGUGGAGGACCUGAUUGGUAUAGUUGUUUUGUUCGACUAUUCUAUCCAGGUCUCUAUUGAUAGGGGUGGAAAGAGGUCUGUCAUGCUUCUUUUUGAAGGGAGAAGCAUUAAGGACUUCAUUAGAAUGGGGGAUUUUUAUCCCUUCAAGAGGAGGAGUAACAGAUUCAAUUAUCUUGUUACUCUGAGUGUACCAUUUAUUAAUGAUAACGUUGAGGGAUUCAUUUUGAUCUUCCAUUCGGCCAGUAAAUUCGAACCACCGGAAGAAUUCAAUGUCACAUCGGAGUCAUUUCAUAUCAGCUAUCCAUAGCCGACCAAACUCCUUUUGCUGCUCCUUUGAAUAGGUACUGGUAUACCAUUUUCUUUUAAGAGCAUCUUUGGGACGGUACCAACGGACUUCGAGAGCCUUAAGGUCUGGUGUAUACUCGUCAUCAGAUUUGAUAACGAGUAAGCUAGGAUCUGUCCUAAUUUUCUGGCGUGAUAUGGAAGGAGGGGGUUCCAUAUCUGAGGCUGUAGGACUGCCUGGGUCGUAAAGAUUAUCAGGUUCAUGGACCCUUGCGGGUUGCUGAUAAUAAACUUUUGGGACAGGGCCAGAGAAAUCUACUCCUCUUACUUUGCCCUUAUCAUUGCCAUUCUCGUUUUCAUCGCUUCCCUCCUGGGUUUUUGAGGUAGAAGCUCGGUAUGAGACGGACUGUCUAAAGGAAGAAUUUCGAGGAGUGUCGAAUCCGAGGAAUUUUAGAUCAAUCGAGCCAUCCGGAUACUGAAUAACUCGUUGUAUCUGAGAUUUUUCAGGAUAUGUACGAAUAGGUUGGGUGAUAGCAUCAAAGUGCCAUUCAUUAUUAUGGAUGACCUCGUCCCAGACCAAGGGUUUGGGGACAAAGAUAUUGGAUCUAUCUUUGUUGGCUUCCAUAAGGGUGGUAACGCCGCGAGGACUGGUGAAUCUAGCUUGAGGUGCUAGAGUAGUUCCCAUGAGUCGGUAAUAUACUCUGUAUAUUAUCGCAAUUUCUCUGGUAUUAUCCUUACUGUUCAUGUUUUUUGUUUUAACAUUAAGAGUUAAAACAUCCAUGAUGUUAGGAUCAUUAAUAUCAACUGAGAAAUUAGGGUAGCAGUUAAAGUAUACCGGGCCGUCGGCUAGGUUACUUUGGAUGACNNNNNNNNNNNNNNNNNNNNNNNNNNNNNNNNNNNNNNNNNNNNNNNNNNNNNNNNNNNNNNNNNNNNUCGGAAGAGUGGCUUUAUGGCUACCUGAACAAGCCCGAUAUGAAGAUAAUGAAACUGAUUUUUAAAUCGGUUUAUAUCUAAAUCAUUUAAGAGUUGAAUAAUUUCUAAAGAAUUAUUGAUAGCAACAGUAGACUCAGAGGUCUUAAUAUUAUGUUUUUUGAAAAAACUAAACUUUCCGAUUUGAUAAAUCGUACUGAAAGANNNNNNNNNNNNNNNNNNNNNNNNNNNNNNNNNNNNNNNNNNNNNNNNNNNNNNNNNNNNNNNNNNNNNNNNNNNNNNNNNNNNNNNNNNNNNNNNNNNNNNNNNNNNNNNNNNNNNNNNNNNNNNNNNNNNNNNNNNNNNNNNNNNNNNNNNNNNNNNNNNNNNNNNNNNNNNNNNNNNNNNNNNNNNNNNNNNNNNNNNNNNNNNNNNNNNNNNNNNNNNNNNNNNNNNNNNNNNNNNNNNNNNNNNNNNNNNNNNNNNNNNNNNNNNNNNNNNNNNNNNNNNNNNNNNNNNNNNNNNNNNNNNNNNNNNNNNNNNNNNNNNNNNNNNNNNNNNNNNNNNNNNNNNNNNNNNNNNNNNNNNNNNNNNNNNNNNNNNNNNNNNNNNNNNNNNNNNNNNNNNNNNNNNNNNNNNNNNNNNNNNNNNNNNNNNNNNNNNNNNNNNNNNNNNNNNNNNNNNNNNNNNNNNNNNNNNNNNNNNNNNNNNNNNNNNNNNNNNNNNNNNNNNNNNNNNNNNNNNNNNNNNNNNNNNNNNNNNNNNNNNNNNNNNNNNNNNNNNNNNNNNNNNNNNNNNNNNNNNNNNNNNNNNNNNNNNNNNNNNNNNNNNNNNNNNNNNNNNNNNNNNNNNNNNNNNNNNNNNNNNNNNNNNNNNNNNNNNNNNNNNNNNNNNNNNNNNNNNNNNNNNNNNNNNNNNNNNNNNNNNNNNNNNNNNNNNNNNNNNNNNNNNNNNNNNNNNNNNNNNNNNNNNNNNNNNNNNNNNNNNNNNNNNNNNNNNNNNNNNNNNNNNNNNNNNNNNNNNNNNNNNNNNNNNNNNNNNNNNNNNNNNNNNNNNNNNNNNNNNNNNNNNNNNNNNNNNNNNNNNNNNNNNNNNNNNNNNNNNNNNNNNNNNNNNNNNNNNNNNNNNNNNNNNNNNNNNNNNNNNNNNNNNNNNNNNNNNNNNNNNNNNNNNNNNNNNNNNNNNNNNNNNNNNNNNNNNNNNNNNNNNNNNNNNNNNNNNNNNNNNNNNNNNNNNNNNNNNNNNNNNNNNNNNNNNNNNNNNNNNNNNNNNNNNNNNNNNNNNNNNNNNNNNNNNNNNNNNNNNNNNNNNNNNNNNNNNNNNNNNNNNNNNNNNNNNNNNNNNNNNNNNNNNNNNNNNNNNNNNNNNNNNNNNNNNNNNNNNNNNNNNNNNNNNNNNNNNNNNNNNNNNNNNNNNNNNNNNNNNNNNNNNNNNNNNNNNNNNNNNNNNNNNNNNNNNNNNNNNNNNNNNNNNNNNNNNNNNNNNNNNNNNNNNNNNNNNNNNNNNNNNNNNNNNNNNNNNNNNNNNNNNNNNNNNNNNNNNNNNNNNNNNNNNNNNNNNNNNNNNNNNNNNNNNNNNNNNNNNNNNNNNNNNNNNNNNNNNNNNNNNNNNNNNNNNNNNNNNNNNNNNNNNNNNNNNNNNNNNNNNNNNNNNNNNNNNNNNNNNNNNNNNNNNNNNNNNNNNNNNNNNNNNNNNNNNNNNNNNNNNNNNNNNNNNNNNNNNNNNNNNNNNNNNNNNNNNNNNNNNNNNNNNNNNNNNNNNNNNNNNNNNNNNNNNNNNNNNNNNNNNNNNNNNNNNNNNNNNNNNNNNNNNNNNNNNNNNNNNNNNNNNNNNNNNNNNNNNNNNNNNNNNNNNNNNNNNNNNNNNNNNNNNNNNNNNNNNNNNNNNNNNNNNNNNNNNNNNNNNNNNNNNNNNNNNNNNNNNNNNNNNNNNNNNNNNNNNNNNNNNNNNNNNNNNNNNNNNNNNNNNNNNNNNNNNNNNNNNNNNNNNNNNNNNNNNNNNNNNNNNNNNNNNNNNNNNNNNNNNNNNNNNNNNNNNNNNNNNNNNNNNNNNNNNNNNNNNNNNNNNNNNNNNNNNNNNNNNNNNNNNNNNNNNNNNNNNNNNNNNNNNNNNNNNNNNNNNNNNNNNNNNNNNNNNNNNNNNNNNNNNNNNNNNNNNNNNNNNNNNNNNNNNNNNNNNNNNNNNNNNNNNNNNNNNNNNNNNNNNNNNNNNNNNNNNNNNNNNNNNNNNNNNNUAACAGUCAAAAGAAUUCUCUCUCCAAACUCACCAGUGAUCGUUUUUCUACUAAGAAAAACUAUUACAAAAAACCUUCACCUCCAGACGUUCAGUUUGAAGAAAAUCCCUACCUGUCUACCUCCAACCAUGAUGGUAGAGGAAUAACCGAAUGGAAUGUUGACGGUUUGGCAGAACACCAAAUCUACAACAAACUCCAUGAAAUGGGCGUUGCCAUUACCGCCUACAAGAUUAGGGGAGCCACUGAUAAAGAGGCUGCUACUAUGAUUGUAUCAGGCUUCACAGGUAUGAUAAAACAUUGGUGGGACAAUUACUUCACCGAUGAUGUCAAAAACCUAAUCUAUGGAGCUACUACCGUAGAAACCAUAGUUAAAACCGAAAAUGGCCAGGAAGUUCUUGAGCAAGUUGCUAAAGAAGAUGCCUGUGCAACUCUCCUAUAUCAUAUAGCACGACAUUUCAUAGGAGAACCUAAGUUAUUCCAGGAUAGGAGUCUAGAAAUCCUCAAUAACCUCACCGAACUCUUUCGUGAAUCUCUCAUGCACCUCAAGAUCUGCUUUGCUUACUGUUGGCUUCUGUUUCCAUAGCACUCUGUCAAAAUCCCUUAUGCUGAUUGGUGGUGGCGUAAUGUUUGAAGCUAGGCCUUUUGCAGCAAGUUCCUGCAUAUUAGUCUGAAUGGCACCUGGUUGUCUAGGUCCACAAGGCACCCACAACCCGUCACUAGUCUUAAUGAAAAACUCAGCAUCUUGAGUUUUACGUACAGGUGUAAACAGGGGUGUAUCUUCAAACACAGAAAUGUCUGAACCUGAAAAACCUUCUGUUUUCCGAGCUAGUUGCUCAAAAUCACUUUCUGUCAAGUUGUGAGGGGUGUCUCCUAAAUGUACCUUGAACAUGUGCUGCCUUGCCUUCAAAUCUGGUAGGGGGAUGUAUAUUCUUUUGUCAAAUCGCCGCCUAAUGGCCUGGUCUAAUGAGUAGGGAGUGUUUGUCGCUGCAAGAACAAGAACUUUUUUGUCAUCAUCGUGCCCUACACCCUGCAUCUGUACAAGAAGCUCAGUUUUGAUACGUCUUGAUGCUUCACUCUCACUACCCUCACCUCUUUGGCCACAUAAGGAGUCAAUUUCAUCUAUGAAUACUAUUGAAGGUGCACUUUCUCGGGCCAUCUGGAAUAGAUUAGACACAAGCUUUUCACUUUCACCCAUCCACUUUGAAACAAGGUCUGAGGAAGAAACACUGCAUAGCCGAAACAGGAUACUGUCAAAUCCAUUAUGUUCUUCAAAGAAGUCAAAGAUACUAGGUAGAAUAAACAUGGAUUUCUAGUCUAACUCUUCCUGUCGCUCUCCAGUGUCGACGCUUGCCAGUGAAAAACUGAGGAAACUUAACCGGCAGUAUAACAGCCUCCUGCAAUGCCUGCUUGGCACUCUCAAGUCCUGCUACAUCAUUCCACUUCACAUUAGGCUUUUCCCUUAUAAUAGCGGAAUUAAGUCCAGCUCUUAACUUUACAUUCUCUAAAUCAUCACCCUCUCCUCCUCCAUUCUUUGGCUUUGAUACCAAUUUACUGUAAAGGUUGGCCUUGUAGGUCCUUUUGAGAAGAUCCCUCUUGUUAGGGAUCGGAUGUCUGAUCCAUUUCAGGACAGCAUUCAGAGGCUUGUAAUUUAUUACAAGUCUAGGAGUGCCACGCUCUUUUUCGGCACUGUUGUUGACAUAAAAGGUAGAGCAGCUCCAGGGAGAGUUGGAGCUCCUGAUGAUACCUUUUUCUAAAAGAUGGUUGAUUUCAUUUUUGCAGAUCUCCAUCAUUUCCUGAUUCAUUUGGAUGGGUCUGGCUUUAGUAGGGAUGGUUUGUUCAUCAAACCCUGGAAUAUAAGGUAGUUCAACCAAGUGGGUUUUUCUUUCCCAGAAGGCAUUAGGAAGAUCGGAACAGAUUUCUUCUUCAAAUUGUUUAUGGAGGUUGCUUAUUUUAGUGAGCAUCUCCGGGGUUUGUAGAGAAUGUUCAAUUUUCUUGAUCUGAACAUCUUGCUUCAGAAAAUUGACAUGGGAAGAAAGUCGGUUAAUCUUAAGGACUGUUUGUUCCUUAAUACGUGAUCCAUCUUCUUGCGAGAGUGGCCGUAAUAGAGGAAAGAACAGAGUCCGAUUUAGAAGUGUCGUCCGAAUUCCAUCGUAGUCACUCCAAUAAGGUCGAAUUUGGUUGACGAAAGGAAUUCCUAAAAUGAUAUCUUCAGUGAUAUCAUCCGUGAUGACGAAGUCAUUAACAAGGCAAAUGCCAUUGUUACAGAUAUGAGCUUUAGGGAGUUUAUAAUGGAUUUCCAUUUUUUCUCUAGUGGCCGAGUAAAGACGAGAGGUACUCUUUUGAAGGUACCUUGUAGGGAUAAGUCCUUUAACGAUACAGUUACUGUCUGCUCCUGUAUCGAAGAGCGCCACCCUGUUAAGAACAAAAUCUUUAUUGAUGACAAUUUUUACGGCGAUAUGUUCGCUAUAAGCCUUGAUGGCUGUUAUAGCUUUGCCGGACGUAGAAGGAGGAUCUGAACCAGGGAAGGAUCUGGGCUCUGGUUCUCUAAGGUGGUCAUUAGAAAUGACUGGGAAAUUUUUGGGAGAUUCUGGAGGGGAAAUGUUUUCUGGAAGGGAAACAUUUUUUAGGACUUGAUCUGUAAGAGCGUUAAGCUCGAGGUGAUCAAGACGAAUUUUAAGAUUUUUGAUUUCUCCCUUGAGGGUAGAGAUCUCUCCUUUGAGAUCAGCAAUAGAAGGUUCGGCAGGUUUGUCAAACCUCGACAUAACCUGUUUCAUGCUAAAAGGUUGAAUUACUGGUUUGGGAGGCUUUUCUUCUUGAGAAAGCAUUAAUCGUUUGAGUUCUAGAAGAUAUUUAUUUCUAGCCUCAUCGUCCUGAAUGUGUUCUAUAAUGUCGAACAGGAUCUCUUUAGGAUUUCCUGAAAUGACAUUGACAGUCUUUCGGGUGCAGGUGCAGAACAUACUAUUACAGUCACAUUCUUUACCGGACUGGGAUUGAUCAGUUUCGUAAGCGGCGUUGAUAAAUUCUUCGUCGCUAUAGUCAUCACUAGACGAGGUGUAGGAGUCUGAAGGCUCGGAAGAUUCAGGAGAUCCUUCCAUGAUAGAAAAUAAAUUUGCUCUAGCCUCGUCGGAGAGAUCUAGUUGAUUUAUUUUCUUCUUUUUGCUAGACUUGCAAUCUUUUGCUCUGUGGCUUGUUUUGCCACAAGUCCAGCAGGUAUCUUUAGCCUUAGAGGCUUUCCUUUUGGCAAACUUUCGACUUGGUUUAUAAGAUUCCCUUUUGAAGGGUUUCUUACUAGAGGAAGCUUUCUUGUGAGGUUUCGAAGACUUCUUCUUAUGUCUUUGGCUAGGGCUGGUAAAGCCAUAAUCUUAGCAGAAGGUACCCAGUCCAUAUUUGGAGGCACUAUCCUUCUUAAGCUGUUUCUUAAGCUUGAUAUCGGUGCAGAGAUCUAUUCCCACGGUGGUAAUAAAACUGAUUAAGUCACCAUAGGUUAGGAUGUCAUAAGGGAUUUUUCCCUCGAAUCUAUCCUUGAUCUUGGUUCUAACCUUUUCGGCAAAGAGAGAAGGGAGACCACUAAUGAAUCUUUCUUUCCAGAAAUCGUUGUUACAGUCAGGUCGAAUCAUAACCUUUACUAAGAAGGUAUCCUUGUACCAACGAAAGUCUGCUAGGUCUUUGCAGGUGAGGUUAUUGAGGAUUUCUAGACUCCUAUCCUGAAAAAUCUCAGAUACAACGAGUUAUUCAGCAUCCGGAUGGCUCGAUUGAUCUAAAAUUCCUCGGAUUCGACACUCCUCGAAAUUCUUCCUUUAGACAGUUCAUGUUCAGUUUGUGUAUAUAUUAAGGAACGUCCAAAUUUUUAACCAUAUAACUUUACCUCAAAAUGGUGCAUGGACCAGAGCUGCUCUUAAAACUAGUCGGUUGGUAGACUCUUCCAUUUGAUCUGCAAUCAAAUGCCUGCUUUGUCUCAGUACAUUUAAUUCUAUUGUGCUCAUUCACACAUGGUUUAUGCCAAGUAUGUGAGACACAUACAGAAGCCUCUAGUUUCAUCUUCUUUAUAUAGUUUUAAACUUUAUUUGACUUGCUAUGAGGGAGUUCUACCCUGCCCUCUGAUUAUUCUUUCAGAUACCCUCUUUCAUUUGCCUCCACUAUGUUUUAAAUUUUCCUUCCAGUACCUAAUGCUUCACCUGCCACAUUAAAUGUUGUUUGCAUAUUUUUAAACUAUACGCUGCGUUCAAUUUCAAAAAUCAAAAAACACUAUGCACUACAUUGUAGAACACUUUGAUAAUUUUUUGGUAUGUUCUUUAUGUUUAGGCUUACAUCAAGCAGACACAGUUAUUAUGAAGGUGGAAUCUAUUUCUGUACUAUUUUCCUUUUGCGUGUAACUUCUGAAGUUAUUUGGGAUCCAUAAUUUAUAUGUCAAUGAGAGUCUUUGAUGUCUUUCCUGAUAAUAUUUAUGCUUACAUCAAGCAGACAUAGUUAUUAUGAAGGUGGAAUUGGUUUCUGUACCAUUUUCCUUUUGUGUGCAACUUUUGAAGUUAUUUGGGAUCCAUCAUUUAUAUGUCAAUGAGAGUUUUUGAUGUCUUUCCUGAUAUUAAACCUGUCGUUUUUUCUUUAACAUGUAUAAUCUCCUAUAUACCUGGCUUUCUGAUCUUUAAUGAUGCAAACAAUCUCCCUUCAAAAACUUGCACUUACCUAAUUCCUAGUAAGACAGUCUUAGAAUCUUCUACGCUGAAAGAUGCCUAUUGGUGGUUAGUUUUUUCGCCAGGAGGUUGCAUUGGAAGGUACAAGCAUACAUGAUAUUGGUUAAACCAGCAAGCACCAUAUUUUUUUGAAAAUGAUAGCAUAUAUACUAUGUGGACAGUAUUUUCUUUACAAAAAUGAGCCUCUCUGUGCUUUACAAGGCCUCCAAAGUUGCAAAAUGGAUUCAGCACCCUCUAUAAGAAACUCUUAACGUCAAAAUAAUAAGUUGUCUGAUCUUAUCUGCAACAAGAAUGACGAGCACUGUGUUCAGUUUGGAGCCUGUCCCUAAGCUUGUCUAGACUUAUCCUUAUCUUCAUUGCCUUCUAUUUGCUUGUUAUCUUUGUUCUUGCUAGAACCUGUAUUUGAGAAGCUUGUGUUGUUGUCUCAAGUUAAUAUUUAAUUUUUCUUUCCUUACUGCAGUGCAUCAAAAUUCAACUUGUGGUGUUGUUGAAAAUGUUGGAACUACUGCAAAACCUAAUGGCAUAAUGCAUGAACCUGUACGUGCUGAUAGAAUGAAUGCAUUCAGUAACAACAGCUCAUCUGUUCUCUCUUGCAUACAAACAACAGCUCAUCUGUUCUCUCUUGCAUACAAACGACAGUUGAUAUUCCUUUUCAAACAGCAGGUCCAUCCACGUUUGAGCUCCCAGACCACGCUCUUAUUGGGCCUGAGCGUGAAGGUUGUGUUAGAGUGGGUGAAAGUUCCACAUUAUUGGGGAGUGAACUGUCGAUCUUGUUAUAUAAACUUGAGCAAUCCUCCCCUCAUGUGCUAGCUUUUGGGGUUGAGUUAGGCCCAAGAUCCUUUCUUUACACAAUCAACCAUCUUUUCUUACAUUGGAAACGGACAGAGCAGCUGUAGAGAAUGUUUUCAACCUGAAGGGGAUCAGGUGGGCAGAACCUGAGAGCAUUAAAAAAGUACUAAGCAUCUGGAAUGGGGAUGUAAAUGUAAUGAAGGAGGAGAGAUGGAAAAUUGUUCAACAUGUAUAUGGUGGACAGUUUGGACAAAAAGAAACAAGGGUUGUUUUGAGGAUGUCCAUAAGAUCAACAUGAAUAGUUUAACACUUCUUUAUUUUUGGUGUAAACACGAUGGUUAGCUCUAACUGAAGACAUCAUUGAUCUGCUAGACUAUUUAUAGGCAAUAGAAAGACAGAGUAGGAUGUAAUACUUUCUGAAAGGGGACAUCAUUCUUGUUGGCUAGGGAUUUGAACAAAGAUGGGAAGAGCUCUAUAUAAAGGACAGGAAUGACUAAUAGGCCAAAAUGCUCUCAACUAACAGACUUUCAAAAUUAAGAGCCAAAGAACACUAACCAAUAGGUGUAACUCAAAUCUAUUUGAAUAAAAGGAAUACAAACUCUGAGAGAACAAAACACACUCUCUAGUAGUCCAGUAAAAACAGUAGAUCUUAAAAUCCCACUGCUAAGCAAAUUAAUUUAAAUGCUGCUUUAGAUUAGAAAGUCACCUUGUUAUAUUAUGUGUUCAGUGGGUUCUCAUUUAUACUGCUCAUCAUAUUUUCUGCACUAUCUUUUCAACAUUUUCUCUGAAGUCUAUAAUUUACUCUUCUUCACUUUAAACUUGGGCUUUGCAGGGCUCUGCAUCUUCGAAUUCUAUCUGUUGGUUCACUUGUAGUACUUCUUGUAUAUUCUAUCCUGUAUGGUCUGACAACAAAGGAAUCAAACUGGCUUGGGGCUACAACAUCAACUGCCAUGAUAAUCCUUGGUAGUUCAUUUCCUACAUAUAUCUGUCUCCUUUUCGGAAUGGUAUUGUGAAAUAAUUUCUUAUUUUUUUUGUGGUAAGUAAUGAAUUCACUAGCUUUUCAUUCAAUCAGAUUGGAACUUGGGAUCUUGCUUGUAUGGUUUUAAGCUUCUAAAAAGUUGAGUUUUCGUACUUUUUGUUGCCGGUACAUCUCGGGUGUUCCUGAUCUAUUUUGGAGUUUAUUACUGGUUUGUUGUUAACCCAUGCUAAUUCAUUUUCUUCCAUAAUCAAGUAUUCUUAUACUUGUGGCAUAUGCAUCCCUUUUAAUAUUAUUUGUUGAAUAUAAACUUCUAAUCUUUUGUUAUCAAACAAAAUCUUCUAAUCUUUUACUGCAACAAUUUUGUUUCAAGUACUUUGGACAUUGUAUCAGUUAUGUAGUUGUAGCAUCUGUGCUAUUGGAUGCUGCUAUUUCACGGUAUUUAUCAGUUACAAACCCAUUAGCAGCUAGAAGAGAUGCCUUGCAGAGCACAAUCAUCCACCUUAGAGAAGGUUUCCACAGAAAAGACCAAAAUAGCUCCGCAAGCUCUUCUAAGGGGUGUGGCUCAAGUGUUAAACCCAGUAGUAGUGCUGAUGCUGUUCAUCUUGGUAAUGCAAUUUUGCCUUGCAUUGGUGAUGGUAGUACCUAGAAUAACAUUGAGGGUAUUAAUAGUGAUAAGAGUAUAGACAGUGGAAGACCAAGUCUAGCUCUACAUAGUAGUUCCUGUCGUUCAGUUGUUCCAGAGCUUGAACUAGGAUCAUCAUAUGUUGACAGAAAUUUAGAGCAUAAUAGUUCAUUGGUUGUUUGUUCUAGCAGUGGACUUAAAAGCCAAGGCGGUGAUUCUAGUACAUCCGCUUCUGCAAACCAACAGAUAUUGAAUUUUGCACUUGCAUUUCAAGAAAAUUUGAGUGAUCCCAGGAUUACAUCUAUGUUAAAGCGAAAAAGAAGACACACUGAUCGUGAAUUAGCUAAUUCAUUGCAAGAUAAAGGGCUUGAUCCUAAUUUUGCAGUGAUGCUGAAGGAGAAUGGAUUGGACCCAAUGAUUCUAGCCUUAUUGCAGAGAAGUAGUUUGGACGUUGAUCGAGAACAUCGCGACAGUAACCCUCCUAUCACUGAUUCAAAUGAUAUUGAGGAUGUUUUACCUAAUCAUAUUUCUUUCUCGAAAGAACUUAGACUCCAAGGAUUAGGAAAGUGGCUUCAACGUUGUAGAGUAAUGUUACAUCAUGUAGCAGGAACUCCAGAGCGAGCAUGGCUUCUUUUCAGUUUAAUAUUCAUUCUUGAAACUGUCAUUGUGGCUAUCGUCUGACCAAAGACAAUAAAACUUUUGAAUGCUACACACAACCAGGUAAGAAAUGCAUUAGUACUUUUAAAGCUCAGUUUGGUGUAUUUGGAGUACGGCGCAGCCAAAAUGUACUCUAUAUGGUUGUAUUUUCCAUUUUCUAACAAAAUUUUGUAACACCCCGCAUUUCGGAUGAGAAUGAAAAUCGUCAUUUUCUUCACGUAAAGGUUUCAAAAGCCAUAAAUCCAAUGCAAGUUUAGUGUGUAAAUAAAUUAUGUAGUGUGGAAACCUAUUUGAGCAUGAAUUCAGAACAUAGAGGUCCCCACAAGUUGAAAGUUUUCCUAUCGUUCGAAUUUUACUGAGCAUUGAUAAUUAGGUCAAAUUCAAUUGACCAUUACUCUUUGUAUAUAUUUAAUUAGAGUGCCUACUAUAUAUCAAAUGAAAGGUAUUCAAAUUAUCUUUCCAACGAUAUCAAUUUCACAAAAUUCUGACACCCAAGGAGGAAGUUAUGGCUUUGCAAAGUGGAGUAUGUCGUGCAGCAUAAGGUGUGCGACACACACCCUAACUUAUGCCAUAAGGUGUGCGAUGCAUAACCUAAUGUGUGCAAUAAAGAGUGCACCGCACAACCUAUAUUAUGCGAUAAGGUUUGCGUCGCAUAUAUUAUUACUCAAGUGACUUAAACACUCCAUUUUUGGGGCAAAAUGGUCCUUUUCCCACCCUUAUUUAGCAAUAAAUAGGAAAUUCAGUUCCUAGAAUACCCCAAAAUACACCUUCAUUCAUCAAAAUUGCUCAAGAACUCUCCUUAGGGUUUCAAAAUAAAAACCCAAGCAACUCCAGAUUCAACCGUGGGUUUUUGAAACUAAUUGCAUAUUUGGAAUCCCCAGAACGUAGGCUUUAAGAAACACCUAUUAUCUUCACGUAUAGAGGUACGUGGGGUUAUCUCAAAAAUCUCAUGAGCUUAAAAAUUCAUGUUUUAAAAAUGGGAGUUUUGAAAUUAUGAAUAUAAUCCCAUUUUAAACAUUUUAUGAUAUUGAUUUGGUCUUUAGGCCUAUUCUCUAAGUGGUUUGAUAUAUGUAUAUGCAUGUAUUCCAAAAAGAUGUUAACUUGAGAGGAUGAAUUAUAUGAAAUCCCUCUUUUUAUAUGAUCUCGUUUUAAGUUCUCAUAUGAUGUGAAAUGUUUGAAAUCAUCUUGACAAGCAUGACAUGAAAUAUUUUGAAAAUGGUCAUGGUUUUGACUUGCAAUGAGAGGGUUGUUAUGUUAAAAUAUGAUGAAUAUAAUGGUUGCAUGAAAGAAUGAUGUGGUAUUGAUGGCUUGCAAGUCGGGUAUGAAGAUACCCUAAAGAAUAAGAUAUGUGAUUGAAUUAAAUGGAGUUUGAUGCAUUGAUUUUACAUGAGAUGGGUGGAUGCCUGAAAAAGCCAUUUGAAUGUAAGGGCUCAUCACUGGAAAUCGUGUUUGCCGACAUGGUGAUUUGGUACUAGGAUAAGUGAUCUUGUGUACUUGACUUUAUGUCAUUCCCAAACUGGGACUAUGGUUAGGAGCCCAGGCUAAGUGAUCUUGGGCACUACUAUACUUUAUUGGGUAGAGACACCCUGCUGUGUGAUCUUGUGUGUCUUUCCGUCACUUAUACUUUAAUCUCGACGGCAAUCGAGAUUUGACAGUUGGUGUAAAUGUUAUAUGUAGGGUAUUCUACCUAGCUCAGCUGUAUUACAUUGUUGUUGAAAACUAUUAUAUUAUGCCCAUGUGUUUUCAAAUGAUUUGAUAUGGAACUGCUUUAUAAUGGCUCUCACCUAUAUUUGGAAAAAAAUAUUAUAUUUUGUUUUUAGUUUCUCUGCAUACUAGUACUUUUUUAUUGACCCCUUCUCUCCCAGGUUUGGAGGCAUAGUUUAGGGAUCCAGAUAACCAGUAGAUCUCUUCUGAUAGAUUUGCAGAAUUAAGUGGUGAGCUUUCUAUACUUUGGAAGGCUGAUGUCUGUCAGUUCAUUUAUCAUUUAGUAGUUUUGGGUCUACUGGAGGCCUUGUCCCAGUUUUCAGACAGUAAUUUGUUUCAGUCAUGUAUUAGAGAUUUCGCAAAUGGUUGUUCAGAUGUCUAUACAUGUUGUGGGACAUUAUUUCCCCAUGUUUUUUGUAAUAUUGUGUAUCUUCCGUAUAUCUUAUUAUCGUAUGAAUUAUGUGCAUGAUUACCAGAUAGAUAGGGGUGUUUUGGGCCUUCGUGGUUUGGAAUGCUCGUCACGGCCAGGGCCCUGGCUCGGGUCGUGACAAACUUGGUAUCAAAGCACGGUUCAUGGUCCUAGGGUGUCUAUGAAAUCGCGUUGGGUAGAGUCUUGUUUAUGGGUGUGUAGCGCACAAUACUUAUAAGCAGGAAGCUACUAGGCAUUUAGGAAUGUCUGUCUUUCUUUAUGUUCUAGUUAGUGCAAUAGAGUCAGAAUGUUCCUCUUUCAUACUCUAAUUCAUGCUAUGGUGUUGCCCAUACGAAAGUAAAAAAAAAGACAUCCCAAAUUCUUUCCUUACACUAAUAUCCUUAGAUAUGUCUCAAUAUUUAUGUGAUUCAAGUUUAGAAUCUAAAUGGUAUGUACAUCACUGCCAAGAAAUCCCUCAAGUAUCCACAUCUAGUGCUUUGUACAUCAUUCUGCUUCCAUUAGCACUGGAGAUAAUAGGCCCCUUUGUUUUAGUCCUCUUUGUCAAAGUUAUCAUAUGGGAUUCCGUUCACCACUACCAAAUUCUACCUGACUGUUGAUCAGCAGAACUUGAUACACCUCUACCGGUAACUUCAUUUUGACCCCAUUUCUCUAUUAUCCUACAUAUUUUACAUGUGGCUAAAUGCUAGUAGGUAUUGCUAUUUUUAGCAUCUUUUGAUGAUCAGUAGGCCAAUUAUGGUUGCUAAUGUGGUCAUAUUUCCUAUGGCUUUAUUACUCCAACCAAUUAAUAACAUUCUUACAAUUAUUGAAUUGAUUUUUAGAUACUAUUAUAAUAGAAGGACAAGAAUCUCUACCUAGGAGAAACCUUGAGAGCUGAUGAAAGAAAUGGAGGUGAGGUCUCGUGUCAUCGAGAUUUUUAUGGGUAGUUUUAUCCAUUUUCCUGUGCUUAUCAAUGAAAAAUAAGUACAUAAUUCUUUUGCUAUGAAGCUUCGUAGAACCACUUUUUCUUUCCUAAGUAUAUGUGAUUUCUGUUGAAAGUUUGUUUAGCCAGCAGAUUUCCUCGAUCUUACUAUACUAUGUAGGCUUCAUUUGGGAUUUGCAUUGACCUUUUAUUUCCAAUAUAGUUCUAAAAGAUUUUAUAUUUAACACUAUUGUUCAAAAAAAUGUGUUUAAGCAUACACGGCAGGAUUAUAUUUGGUCUAUUUUAAACAAUUUUAUUUACUUUCUGAUUAAUGUAAUGUUAUUGUAACUCUAUGGCGAUAUGGAGAGAGGAAACUUGAUAUAAUAUUGUGGUUCACACUUCUCAUUCUGGUUUACAGAAUAAUAAUUUGGCUGAUUGCACACUUGCACCCAAAAGUGUGACCUAGUGUUCAAUGAAGUAGAUUGAGAACCAUGAGGUCUCAGGUUUAAUUUGAAACAGAGAUAAAAACACUAGGUGAUUUCUUACCGUCUAUCCAAGCCUUGAUGGACAGAGUUACCCAGUAUCUAUACUGGUGGGAGGUAGCAGUACCUGGUGUAACUAGUCAAGGUAUAAGCUGGCCCAAACACGACGGUUAUCAAAGAAAGUUUGGCUGGUUGUGAGGGACAAGUAUUAAGGGACCAACAACUGGAGCUGUAAGGAAGUUUGAACAUUUUUAUUCUUUUCUUUUUCAGAUACACUGUUUUUUUUUCGGAGAUAUUACUUUGUAUUCAUCAGCAUUAAGGUUAUGCUAGUAGUCCAAAAGUAAUGAAAAAUAUUGAAAAUAAUGCGAGGAUUCGAAGAGAUCUACUACCAGUUAUGCAUCCUGUAUACAUUGUCCCUUAAACAAAAAACAAAAAUCUACAAUGCUAUUCCAUUUAACUUUAUGAAUGGAAUUAUAUUUAUCUUCAAAAUACCUUUAACUUUUCUCGCUCCAUACAGUCCACCAAAUACAAGGAAGGAUUGUUCUCCCCCAUUUCUUCUAACUCUUGCUAAUCCCCUCUAAUCCAACAGCUCAACAGAUUGUUGUGUGUCCUUUGAUAGUCCACUUUACUUCAACUCAAUAGAUCUGGUAUGUGUUCUGGCAUGGUCCACUUUACUUCUAUUAAACUACAUGUAUCAAAUGGGCGGGGUUGGCUAGAUUUGGGCGGAUCAAAGAGGUUUGAGUUAAUAAAUGGGCGGGUUAUUAACCCUCCCUAAAGCUACUUGGGAUGAAAUGGGUUGGGUUGAAAUGCUCUAAAAUGUCGGUCAUAACCCAACCCACCCAAUUUGAACUCAGAUUUAAUUGCUUUAUUUGUUAUUUUAUAAAAUUUUAGUACUUGAAAAAUUAUUAUCCUUUUUUUUAACUUGGUAACUUUGUAUUAUAUCACACAGUACAUGGGUUGUACUGAAAUCUUUAUAUACAAGAGUACUCCUAAAUCGACUGUUCUACAUCUAAAUUUAGUCUAGAACAUCAAUUAUUGAGGUAGUAUCAUUAGAGUAUAGUUGAUUACACCAAAAACGUUAAAGCAAAAUGCAGUUGAGUUUAACCUUCUGGACACUACUCUCAACACUCUCAAAACAUCUAGAAUUCCUUUCUUUCCAUAUAGCCCACCAUAUAGCACUAGGGUUAAUUCUCCAUCUACCUCUGUCCUUCGCAUGUACACCUGCUUCUCUCAGCACAUUAAAGUGUCGGAUACUUUCCUAGGCAUUGUCAUGGAAAUGCCUUUUAGUCUUAAGACGAUUCUCCAAAGUUGUUAGGUGUACUUACAAUGUAUAAAUAUAUGGUUAACCGUCUCUAAAGUUUCUCCACAGAGGAAACAUCUGGAGCACAAGGUUUUCCCUUUCUUCAUGAUAUUAUCUUGUGUAAGAACUACUUCCUUAGUCAAUAACUAGACAAAGACAAAGCACGACACUGUGUGAGGUAUCCUACUUUUCCAUAUUUGUUUCCAUGGCCAUCUUGGAUCCAGGUGAUUUAUUUGGUUCAUCAUCUUGUAGGGUUUAUUGACACUAAACAUUUUUUUUCAUUUCCCAUCAACCAUAGUACGUCCUUCACUGUCUGCAGUCCAUUGAAUAAGUCCACGGUAUUAAAAAAUUCAACUACUCUCAUUACCUCCUGAUCAUUAAGUUGCUUUCUGAAAUUGAAGUUCCACCCAUGUGGUGUCCAUAAUUCUGCUAUAGUCCUCUAUUGAAACAAUACCAAGUUGUAGAUAUCUGGAAAAAUCACUUCCAUAUUCCCAUCCUCAUGUCAAUUAUCCUUCCAGAACCUAGUCUUGUUUCCAUCCUUCACUUUAACCUUUGAGUUCCUUUUAACUUGAUUCCACUAGUGUAUAAUAGAUCUAAUAGACCUCUAGAGGCUAACCCCGUAUGGUGUGGUUAGCUCUUUAGUCAUCCAUCUAUCUUCUUCAGGAUAUUUAGCCCUAAUCACUUUCCUCCAUAGCAGUUGGUUAUUAUUUGCAUAUUUCCACAACCAUUUCAUUACGAGAGCCUUACUUUGAAUUUUUAGGUUCUUUAUCCCCAACCCUCUAGUCUUCUUGUCAAUUGUCUACCACAGAGAGAACUACUACUUUUUCUCCAACAUAUAUUUGUUCCUUAUUCUAUCUCUCCUUGUAUGCCCACACAUCUAUCUCAACAUCCUCAUUUCUGCUACGUUUAUCUUUUUAACAUGCGAGCUCUAGACUAGCCAAACACUCUGCCCCAUGCAAGAUAGCUAGUAUAACAACCACUUUAUAAAUUUACCUUUAAGUUUAUUUUAACAAAAUUCUUAUACAUGGCAUGAUAGUUACAAACUCUUUUGCAAGAGCUAAUUGGGACAAAAAAUAGAUGUUCAGAAAUUGAUUCAUCAAAAAAAACAUAAUUGUAGUUUAUGAGUUUCAAACGUGUCCAAAUGGAGAAAAUAUUAUGGGGGGACUGUGUUGAGUAUGGAACUUAGAACCUCAGUGCAGGAUUUGAACACCCUUACUAUCACACUCAGUGUUGUUUUUUGUGGCAAUGGUGUUCAUUAAAAAAUACUCAGAAAAUAUAGAAUUUGACCUAUAUAUAUAUAUACAAAUGCGAUUAUCAGGCGAAUGUUGUUCAGUUAAUCACCCUUGGAUAGUUGUAGCUCAACUGCAGCUUGGCAAUGUUUCCACCCUGCUUGUAGUUAUAUUCUACGCAGUACAUUCCAGUCCUUUUCCAUGUGGGACAUUAUGUCAUUCAUAUUCUAACACUUCCAUCUAGUAUUGUACUGCUGGAAGUUACUAAUUUCUACUCUCAGGGUACUGUUUAUGUUCUAUUUUUGGACUUGACCAACUUUCAUGUUGUUUUCAUUAGGAUAGAGGGCAGACGCAUCAACUGACUGAAGAGAAUUUACAUGUCCUGAGGGAAAAAAGUGUGUAACUUAUAUAUUUUCUUGGCCUCUUUCCAAUUGUUCUUCUACAGUGGGUACUUUUGUGUGCUACUUGUGCAUAAUGCUGAUUGCUUUGUUUGUUUUCUGUAGGUAUUACUACAACAAGGUUAGUAGAAUGUACAAAUGGAGAAUGCCUGAUGAAGUCAAGGUGAUGUUAGAUUUAAAUCCAUUAUGGGUUUGUUUUGUACUUUAAAUAGCAUGAUAAGAAGGGAUUGUUCUGUGCUUUAAAUAACAUGAUAAGAAGGGACAAUAUUCUAUUUUCUUGGAUGCUCUAGUUCUCAUAAAAUCUUUAUGCAUUCACAGUUGCUAGCAUGAUAAUAAGGGGCAAUAUUCUGUUUUCUUGGAUACUCUAUUCUCAUAAAGUUCAAUUAUUUAUAAAUUCACAGUUGGCUCGUGAAAAGGACACCAUUUCGCACGCUUCUAAUUUUCGAUCCAUUUCUAUUGUUAAAAUAUCAUCCCGGGGGCAGAUGGUUCAUUAGUCUCGGCACACGGUGCUAAAUCAAGCCCGAUUGCUAUGUCACCAGCUGCUAACUUACCAACUAUUGUGGCUUCAAAAUCAUCAAGUUUAUCUGGUAAGGUUUCUUCUCUGAUGAUUGAAACAGUUGAAAUAACGAAUUCUUCAGAACCUGCUUCGCCAGCUGUUGCUAAUUUGGAGAAAAUUGUAAUAGCAGUAACCUUGGGAAAUUCUGUCGCACCACCGGUGUAUGUUUUCAUAUUUAUAUGUUAUAAAUUUGCCUCUGGUUUGUGUUGCUUCUUAUUUAGAAUUCAAUUUUUCUGUAGUGCUGAGACUACUACAACUCAAGAUGCAGUAGUGUAUGGUGAUGGAUUUUCUUCAGAGAAUAGAGAGGUACUUUGUCCUUCUGAAAUACUUAUGCGAUUAGUUAAUUACUACUGGUUAGUGUUUAAAACACCAAGAAAGUUUUUCGUAGCUGUUAUGCUGGAUGUUGAUCGAAUAAUUUUAUAGUGCAGUUGUUAGUCAACUGCUAACAGGUGAAAAAUAUGCUCCAAAUUCCAAUGAGGUUUGCUUUUGUCCUUUGUGCUUGAUGUUGUGCCUAAAAUGCAGAAUGUCAAGAAAGAUGCUGCAAUAACUGAAAUCGGAGGUGCUACUCCAUUAGAUGAGAAAACAGUUGAGUUGGGACCAUUAAUUUAUGAGAGAAAAACGGUAUAGUUGAUUAUUUCUUUUUGGCCCGUUUAAUGUAUGUUCUCAAAAUUUCUCUUAUUUCUAUUUUAAGUAUUUGAUUUUAUUUAGGAUCCAAAGAGUGCAUUCAAAACUCUUUUGGAAUCUGCAAAUAUUGGGUCUGAUUGCACGUGGGAUCAGGUUUAUUACUUGACUAUUUUGUGCGUACCAAACAAUUAAGGGAGAUCAUUUGACAUGAAUUGUAUUUGUCAUGCCAUGAGAGCAGUAAUUAAUGACCGAAGAUAUGGUGCUCUAAAAUCCCUUUGUGAGCGGAAGCAAGAUUUUAAUGAGGUAUCUCUCCAAGUCGGCAUUGGAAUGGGUUAAUUACUGCUUCAAUGUUUCAGCAUAGCGUAUUGCAAAAAUAUAGAUUGUGUUUGAUAUCCAAUUGUUUCAUGUUUGGUUGACUUAAAUAUUUUGAAAAAUGUUUUCCAAAUCAACUUAUUUUCCUUAAAUUUAAGGAAACUGAAUUCCCUUCAAAAAGUAGGAAAAAUAUUUUCCAAAACUCUGUUUCAAUCUCACUCUUAAAUUAAAAUAUUUAUACAACUCUCAAAUGUAUUUUUUGAAAAAUAUUUUUUUAUUCACCAAUCAAACACUAGAAAACAUUUUCUGAAAAAUGUUUUCCUUCCAUCAACCAAACAUAAGAAAACCAGUAAGAAACCAACUUUUUUUCUAGGAAAACAUUUUCCUUCAUCCCAAACACACCCAAGGUCUACAGUGAUCAUUUUGAAGUUGUGUGUCUGUUCCAGUAUCUGAGCCAAAAGAAAAAAUUGGAAGCUGAAGAGAGGCAUGUUAAACAGAAAAAAGCUCGGGAAGAUUACAGGAUAAUGUUAGAAGUAAGUGAAAUUUUCUUUUGUGGUGUCUUCCAUUUGAUAUAUCAUGAUAUUCACAUAACUAGUUUCAAAAAUAAAAAGAUAUUAUCAUAAUAUUCAUGAUGUGUUAGAGACUGGUAUUUGAUUUGUUCAAAAGAAUAAGUGGUAUUUUUCACAACAAUGUCCGUUGUUCUCAAUCUUACAGGAUUGCAAAAAGCUGUCACCAUCGUCAAGAUGGGAUUUGUCUUUCACUUGUAAUGUUAAGUUGUUGCUGCUUGUUUUCUAAUCUUGGUCAUUAUUUGUAUGUGUUUUGGUACCUUGAAGUUGAUCCAUUACUUGUGUAAAUUCCAUUGGAUCCAUUAACUAUUUGCUAUUGAUUAUUCAGUAAGGAAAUCUCCAUAUUCGAAUAUGAUGAACGUUUUAAAGCUGUUGAGCGAGCUAAAGACCGUGAGGACUUUUUUGAAGAUUAUAUGGAGGAACUUGAGAAAAAGGUGAAGCUCCUUUUGAGAACUUUCUUUUAAGCUUCUAUAUGUUAAAAACUAGGUGUGCGGACUGUAGUUUCCUUAUAUGGUCUUUGGCUCCUCACAAAUUGAGUUAGCCUUUCAUUUGAGAUAGAAACAAGGUCCAAUUUCUUGAACAUGGUAUUAGAGGCAGAUCUAUCUUGAUUUUAGACUAUUAGAUGUUAGCCAACCUAGGUUAACUGAUGCUACAAAUGUCUAGUCUUGGUGUGCGAUUAAUGUAUGAGAAUCCCACACUAGUAAGGUGCAUGUGCUGCAGUUUCCUUAUAUGAUCUUGGACAAUCUUCACCACCUGACCUAGUUUUUAAAGUUGAGUUACGCGCUGGUCCACUUGAUUAACAACAGUCAUUCCAUUCCUUUCCUUUGCAGGAUGUCUUUUAGUUUGUUUCCUUUUUUUGUUUUGCUUAAAGAUUAGAAAGAAGGAAUCUUGUAGAUAUUCAACUUAAAAUCUACUGUUCUUUGAAUACAUUUUUAAUGGCUUCUCAAGGGUACAACAUUUAAAUUUGUUCACCAUUGAAUUCCAAUUUAAACAGACUUCCAUGUAUUGUAUGUAAUUUUUCUUGAAACUUGAAACUAUGAUAUGCUUCUUCCUCUCCCCCCUCCGUCGUAAAAUAGAAAAAGUUUUUCAAUACUUUCAUGCAAGUGUAAUUAAAGUCUCUUUGUAAAUAUUUUCUUCUUUAUAGAGAAAUUUUAUUUUUUUUACUUUGUAUUGGAUUUUAUUAGGAGCAUGCGAAGGCAUUGGAGGAGCAGAAGCGCAAUAGAGUGGAGUACUUCGAAUUUUAAAAAUCCUGUGACUUUAUUAAGGUAUUUGUUCUAAUGGAAUUAGCAUCAGUUCCUAGAUUAUGUUUUUCUAUUUCUUGGAGAUAGAACUUCCAUAGUUCCAUUGUUGCUGACUUCUUUUGUUCAGGCUAGUAGCCAGUGGCAGAAAGUUCAGGAACGCUUGAAAACUGAUGAAAGAUGCUCCCGCCUUGAGAAAAUCGAUUGCUUGGAGAUUUUCCAGGUAUAACUCAUUUUUCUAAUACAUCAUAAAUAACUUUUCCAAACAUCUCAUUUGUACGCCUUAUUUUUAAAGUUAUGUUGCAACCUUUUCUGUUUUAGGAAUAAUUAUGUGAUAUAGAAAGCGAAGAGGAGGAGCAAAGGAAACUGCAGAUGGUAUAUUGCUUAUUAGACUCGGGGGUUAAAAUUAAAUUUAUGUUUGGAGACUUUGAUUUAUCUCUUUCUCACUUGCAUACACCAUUGAUUCAAAUAGGAAGAAUUGAGGAAAGCUGAACGUAAAAAUCGUGAUGAGUUUCGAAAACUAAUGGAAGAGCAUGUUGCUGCGGGAAUACUUAAUGCAAAAACUAACUGGUGUGAUUAUUGCAUCAAAGUUAGUUUUUCUUUCUUGUGUUCAGUGAGUGAUUACCUUCAUGAGUUCCCUUUUCGUCUUUUUUAAUUUUUCAUCCAAUAGUUUUCUUCUUUAUUUUGUGCUUGCAGAUUAAAGAUUUUACUGCAUAUCUAGCUGUCUUAUCAAAUACUUCAGGAUCAACAGCAAAAGACUUAUUUAUAGAUGUUAUGGAUGAGGUGGAGAAAUAGGUGAAAUAGGUUGCUAAUAGAAGUAUUGAAUUGUGUCAACUACAUUUGUUACACUAAGCCAUAUUUAUAGACUUUACACUACAAUCCCUUUUCAUUGGCUUUCACUUAAUGAAUAUCUGAAUUUGAAUGGUUGAGAUAUCAGCCCAUUAAGUGUUUUAUUUUAAGAGAUUCAACCUAUUAAUACAUCUUUAUGAAUCAGAUGUUAAACAAAUUCUUAAGGAAGUUAGUGCAUUACUAUGUGGAAAUAUACUGGGUUUGUUGUUGUUGUUGUUGUUAUGCAUUAAAGAAUAGAACAUGCUUGGUAGGAUAAAAUCAUGAGAUUGAGAUUUGAGAGUUUCCCCUCUGCUUGCUUUUUUUUUAAAUAACACAUAUUUUGUUGAGAUAAGAACAAUGAUCGGUUGUUACUAUUAAACAUCUGUGUUGUUUCUCUUUAUGCCAAUUAGAUUCCUCUUUUUUUUUACUAGAUAGUAGGUAUUUUGGCUGAUAGGAAUGGUAUUGUCGUAAAAUUUUAAGUUAGGGGUUCCAUGCUUUUAAUGUUGUAUAGAUAUAGAUGAUUCUUUCAAUCUAGCCAAGCUGUAUUAAAUGCUACUUUGCGGACAAUUGUAAUUGACUUCUCCUCCAUUGAAUGUUGUUAAUGGUUAUAUUACCUUAAUUGUUAUAGUUUCUCGAGCAGAACAACUCUGAGAAGUGAUCAUCAAACUUCUAUAUUUUCACGUAGUUUCUUUGACUUUUGAGGACUCCUUUAAAGUAUCACAUAACCACACCAUUGUGUUUCACCUAAGACUGCAUUUGUUUUUAUUAAUAUUCAAACAUUUGAAUCAUUUUGAAUGCACAUCUGAAUGGUUAAGAUAUUGUCUCUAGAUCUAAAAACUAAAUCAUUAAGUUUGGGUGUUUCUCAAUAUCUGAAUGUGCAAAAUUUAUUUUUUUCUAAAUAUAAUAUAGUUAUAUAUUAGAAAUUUUUUUUAAUUUAAUGCAAUUAAAUUAUUAUUUGAUUAAAAAAAGAAACAUUUAUGUUUGUUAGUGAUAGUGGAGAUGGUUUAUAAAGGUGGUGGUGGUUGUAAUAAAUUAAUUGAUGUCAGUGAUUAGCAAUGUAGGUGAUGAUAGUUGUGAUAGCAGAGAUAGUUUGCAUUGUAGUAACUAUCAUGAUAUUGGCGAUUGGUAAUGGUGGUGGUGGUUGUGAUGUGAAGUUGGUUAAUGUUAGUAGUUGGAGGUGUUGAUCGUGGUGAUGGAAAAUUGCAUGCAUGAUGAUUGACGAUGUGUUGGUGGUCAUUGGAGACGUUGUUAGCUGUGAUGGUGGAAUGGUUGUUAGUACAGAUACUGUAUCGAGUGUAGCAGAUGGUAGUGGUAUAGGUGGUGACGCCGGUGACAGUGGUGGUGAUGGUGUCCGAAGAAUGUGUGGAAGUUGAUGAUGUGUUAGGGGUUGUUAGCGAUGUGUGGAAGUUGAUGAUGUUUCGGUGGUUAUUAGUGGUAGUGCUAGUUCUGAUAGAUGAGUUGGUUGGUAGUAGGGAUCGAUCGGUAGCAGUUGAUGGUGGUGGCGUUGUCGAUAGGGGUGUUCAUAGGUCGAUAUGGGUUGGUUAUUUGUCAAAACCAUAACCGAACCAACUUAAUCGAUUUUUAAAGUUCAAAAACCAAACCAAACCAAACAAAAAAAUAACCAUCGGUUUGGUUCUUGUCGAUUUAGUUCGAUUUGAUUCGGAUUUUUUGGUUUAUAACUUUAGUUAAUGAUAAAAGUUGAAAAUUUUAAAAAACAAAUCCAAUCUAACAUAUGAGAUGUCAAGUGAGUGUUGUAUCUCAAUCUUGAAACUAUGAUGUCAACUGAGUGUUAUAAUUCGGCAAAGCCAUGAUAACACCAUAUGAACGCUUUUAAAAAAUAUUUAAAAACUAUAUUUAAUAGAAUGAUAUGAUAAACCCCCAAAAGCUGAACACAUAAACUUCUUGCUCAACAAGGUUCAAAAGAAAGUUUAAAUUAGUGAUUGUGUAUAGUCUAAUGAAUUUCAGUUGUAAAUUUCAAUAUAUAACAAGAUAUUAUUUUCACAAUUAGUAUCAUUUGUCAUUCAAAAUAUGAAAUUCAUUUUGAAUCUCAUAAUGUAUUGUCAACUAGAUGAAGACAUAUGACUGAAUGUGCGACGACUAAAGUUAAAUCAUGAUUAAAAUAUAAAAUGUAACAAAUAUUUAGAUUACAUUUAUGAAAAAUAUAUAAAUAAUUAUAAUAUAUAUGUAUAUCAGUUCGGUUUGGUUAUUUUGUCAGUUAUUUUAGAGUAAAACAAAACCAAACCAAACCAAAUUAGUAUCGAUUUUUUAAAAUUUAAAUCAAAACCAAACAUCACCAAAUAUAGGUUUUUUUUAAAUCGGUUUGGUUUGGAUUCGGUUUAGUUUGGUUAAAAACCAAACUGUGAACACCCCUAGUAGGCGGUGGAUAUAAUUAGAAUAAUGGAAGGGGUAGGUGUGGUAGCGGCUGGUAGUGUAGUUGGUUGUGAUGGUGGAAGUGGUUGGUGGUGGUGACAGGUGAUUGUGGAUAGAGUGGUGGUGAAUUUUAUCCUACACAAGAAUAUCUGUAAAUGAUAUUUAGACUUGGUUCCAUAUCUGAAUGAUUAAGACCUACUCAGACCUAUUAAGAGCUAAAAUCCUAAUAAAAACAAAUGCACUUAAUGGUUUGAGGUCUGAAUAGGUUCAUAAAUCCAAUAAGAGCAAACAAAUGAGACCUGAAAGUAGUUUGUCUGGUCAAGUUUCGACCAUGUUUUGUCCAUUUGUACCACAACCCAGUUUUGAUUUCACUUCGAAUGAUAUCUUGCACCUUAAAACCCAAUUCAGAAUAUAUGGUGUUGUCAACCAUAUAAAUUGGACUAAAUAAAAUUAGUGCCAGAAUUCGCCUCUGAAGAGGUAGUUGAGAUGUAAUGAAAGUAAAGGCUUAGAAAAGAUUAGCCUCGAAAAAAGUGCCUGAGAGCAUCUCUGUUUCUCUAAAUAAAGUUGCAUCUCCCUCACUAUGAUUUUUUUGGCCGUAAUACACACUUGCGACUAACUGAACGAUAUAUUGUUUCAUCCUCUGCCCUUUCUGAAAAUAAUUGAAGUUGAAUGAUCAAAUGUUAUUAGCACUUAUCUCCUUGCUUGAUGAAAGAGGGAGUUUACCUGGUAUCCUAGCAUGGUAAUGAUCCUGUUCGUACUCUUAUUCAAUGAUUGAAUUUGGUAAUGUUUUCUUGAGUUAGGCUCUUGCUAUGGGAUGGUGAGAGUUAUACAUAAACUCAGAUGCUGAAAAUCUUUUCUUUUUCCCUUGUAAGAUAAAGAUGUCAACUUCUAUCUUUAAAGUUUGUAUUACUGUUUGUGUACAUAACUGAUUCUUAUUAAGUAAAUAUAACGAAAGCAUUGUUAACAGAGAUGCUAUCCAUAUUUAUUUAUUCACUUUUUUUCUAUUAUCCAAACAGGGCUGCUUGAUUUUUCCUUCAAUUUAACCUGAUCAGUGCAAUUAAGUUUAUGUGUCAAGUGUCUUGUGAUAUUGUAUAUGACUUUGAACAAGUGGAGAAAUGUUGGUAUUCAUGAAAGAAAUUUCAUCCCCAUCACCCUGCUUGUAAUUUAUAGACUUUAUGGUAACUCAAAUGCAUGGACAAGGCUUCAUUUGGUAUCCUAUUUUUGUUACUGAUAAGCAUUCUGAAUUUGUAUUACUUGUAUGUUGCUUCAGUAGAUGACAAGUCACAAAUUAAAGAUGCAAUUAGGAUGGUCGAGGUAAUCACCACUCUUCAUUUUAACCUCUGUUGUGCUACGGUUAGUACCUAAUAUUUUGGCUGAGCCGUCUUUACUUUAGAUUAGAUUGACAUCAGCCUGGACGCUUGAUGAUUUUAAGGUUGCAAUCACCAAGUAUAUUAGCGCUCCACCAAUGUCAGAUACCAACUUAAAGGUCUAAUUAUGGCUAAGCACUGUAUACUAUUUCACAUCGACCCAUGUUGAAUUGAAUGUUGUGAUUGAAGUACCCCAUUCACUAAAUGGAUUUCUAUGUAUUUGUCCCCUUUUUUUCUUUGGGAUAGGUCCUGCAUAAGAUGAUUGGAUUGAGUGCAAAAGCAUUAGUAGUACUUCCAUGUUAUGUUUCAAUGGAAGUCGGUCAGUUUGUGAUUGCUAAAUUGGCAACUCGUAGGAGUCAACUGUGGUUAGUGGCAUUUUCCUUUAGUAUCAACCAUAACCUAUCCCAUAAUAAAUUUGGAUCUUCUUGUAAUGGAGUUAAUAGAAGAGUAGUGUGUCGGUUAGCAAGUAAGCCUAAAACCUUCAAGAAUAAAGAUGAGGACCACAUUGAUCAAAUAUUUGGUGUUAGCUUUUUCUUCCAAUUCUUCAGUUUUGGUACGAUUUUCCUUAGUUUUUAUUUCCUGGACGGCGGUGUUUAAUAUUACACCUACCGCACUUAUCUUAAGUUGCUUAAUUCAAAGUAGUUUGCCUUGUAGUUUUUUGUUUUUACAGUUAGUGGAUAAGAGUUUUACUUUAUGAAACUGGUUAAACAGCAAACUGGAUGAUAUCAACGAUCAUUUUUUAUUUUUGUAAUGAGGAUAUUCUUCAUAUAUCAUUUGGAUUUUGGCGGUUAUUUAUGGUCAUGGCAUAUAAUCUAUGUAUGUGGGAAGAGGGAAUUGCAAGGGGUAUCUUGUCGAAGAAUUAUGCUUAGACGGUUGGGACUCUUAAGGCUUUUAGUUUACUUUCAAUAGCUCAAAACUUUUGUAAAGCAUUUUAUCAAAGAUUAUAAUGUGAGGAGUUACUCUAAAAGAUGGUAAUAAUACUCUUACAUUAUAUCCCUCUUGCCUUCCAAACGAAGGAAUAAGAGGACAUACAUGGAUUAUACUGAAUCUUAUUCCAUACUUCCUUUCUAAACUUUAUGUUCUACGCGUUUGGGCUUGCCGGGUCAUUGAGUAUUAAAUGUGCAUAUUUCAUCUGCAUAGUUUGUCUUUGAGGAGUUACUAGAAAGGGCCAGGGAGAAAGAAGAAAAAGAAGCUAAAAAGCGUAAACGUCUAGCAGAUGAGUUCUAUGAACUUCUUCAUGCAACAAAGGUAUAGUAAACAGUUUACAAUCUCUCAUAUUGCAAUGGAUGGGAUCCCAUGAUAUUUCCUUUAAACCAUAAUCUAUUUGUUUGUUGUGGUUGUAGGAAAUUACUGCAUCAUCUAAAUGGGAGGACUGCAAAUCCCUCUUCGGAGAUAGGCAAGUAGCUUCUUUUUCUUUUAUUGAUCUAGAAUUAGUAACACGAUUGCAAGGACCAUUGGAGAAUGAUAAUUGAUAUUAUUUUCAAGGACCAACUUCUUCAAUAUUCUAAACUCAGUAAUUCACAUAGUUCUAGAAUGUACCUUAGAAUAAUAGCUGUGUUGAAUGAUUUGUUGUUUUAUAUUCCUCAACAUUUAGGUAGGCUAUUUAUUUAUAGGAUUAGCAUGAAUUACCAAUUUGCUAAGUGAUUUUUAAUGUUGAACUUAUCUCUCUAGAAAUUGGUUGAUGUCAAUUAUUAGUUGUUCCAACACUGGGCGUUUAAUAGCUCUAGCAGUUAGUGUUUAAAUUUCUGACAUUUGUGAUUGUUUCACGGUUCUGAUGAAGUAUGCUACUAAAUCUCUAGUUUCAAUUUGUCUAGCCUCUUUGGCUAUAAAAUGAAAUGCUUUGGAUUUUUACUUUUUUAUUCAUAAUCUCAUGAUUCUCAUUAUGUUGUAACAUUGAAUGUGAAUUUCUUUGCUGUUAUUAUUUUACAGAAUAAUGGGUGAUGAGGGCUUGCUGCUUGAAAUAUUUAACAAAUUUGUUAAUGAACUAAAAGAGAAGGAGCGCAAGCGUCAAGAAGAUAAGGUACUUGAAUUACUACAAACCCUUAUUCUUCUGCUACUUUCGGGUGGGGGUAGUAGAUGUGUGGAUGUGAUUGUGGUUGAAAAGGAAUUAAGAAACCUUUAGAGAGUUACUGCAAACGAUUCAAAAUAGAAAAAUCAUUUUAAGUUAGAGAUUCUAGAUAAGCGGUUCCUAUUAACAUUUUAGGAAGGUAUUAGGCACCUAAAAUGUCCGCUAACUUGCGGUUAUCCAGACUGUUUGAAAAUCGUCUUCUGAUUAGCUUUGAAAAAGUUUAUUUUUUGAAAAUAAAAGCAAUUUUAGGAAUAUUUUGGUGUUUAUGCAAAACCAGUUUUUUAGCGACUUGACUAAGGAUGUUACUAGGUUCACAAAACACACGUAAAACAAGUAAGCAAAUAGAAAUAAGGGAAAGGGGAGAAGUAGUGAUUUAGGCUUUUAAGCCCAAACCUUCGACUCUAUCCUAAUCUAGCUAGGUUUUUGACCCAUCUUUCACCUGUCUUAAUUUUAUGUUUUCGAGCCCUUUUCGGCUCGAGUCUCGCUCCACCUGUUUUAAAUUUACAACAUUGGCUUCGAGGCCCAAAUGAAUAAAUAAAUGUCAGUAAAUAAACAAAAAUAUAAAUAAGUAAAUAAAUAAAUAAUGGAAACAAUGGAUAAAUAAAUCAAUAAAGAAGAAAUAACGAGAUUUUCAAGUCCCCUUUGCUGCUUCAAAGAUGGAACUUUAACCCAUUCUUCUUUCGAUUCCUCGUAUCCAUACGCCAUGUGAUGGAUUCUUGGCUUUUCUUUUGGGCUUAACUCGGAAGGAUAGGCCUCAUUGGCCCAUUUAUGAAAUGCAAAGAGAGAAGGGGNNNNNNNNNNNNNNNNNNNNNNNNNNNNNNNNNNNNNNNNNNNNNNNNNNNNNNNNNNNNNNNNNNNNNNNNNNNNNNNNNNNNNNNNNNNNNNNNNNNNNNNNNNNNNNNNNNNNNNNNNNNNNNNNNNNUGUUUGAAGAAAAUGUUCAUAAUCAAUUAAAGAAAUUUCAACUACAGGAAAAAUAAAGCUUCAACAAGAAAUUCUUAUGGUCUUUAGCGAAAUAAAGAAAAUAAUUUAUCACUUUAAUGCCACAAAAGGACCCAAUUAAGCAUGUCACAAAAAAUAGUUACAACUCCUGGAUCAUACUACAUAAACGAUGGAUCACAAGCAACGUUCAAAUUCCAGAAUGCCAAACAUACAAAUUUAAAGACUCCAUCACUUUAGGCAAGGAAUACGAUAGCUGAAACUUCAAGAAAAGCAAGGCUGAAAUCUUAAUGCCUUUGUUACCACUGGGUUAACAAACAAACGAGAUUCAAACACUACAUAAACCCAAUUUUAGGUAAUUUAAUCAUGAGACAAGAUUCCACAACUUAUAUGUGAACAAGAAAAGCAAGAAAGGAAAGAAACAUUAGCUCGUUAAACUUUAAUUUGUUCUCAUGAGUCAAUUACAGCAAAUUGAAUUAGCCAUGAAGAAAACAUAAUUCAUCCCUAUGGUGCACUCUAAUAUUUUAAAAGAAACUUUAGAAUCAAAUGAGACUAUUGUACAUCGAGAGUGGCAAGUCGGAAGAAAAUAACAUUCGGGUUCUUAGUUAUAACAAUUUCCUGCGUUUGAGCGAAAAAGAUAUGCUAACAGGCUGCCUCAUAUCUAUUCUUUGAACAUUUUUUCGAAUUUUGAAAAUACGUAAAGAUUUUAUUCUCCUACUCAAUGAACUACAAAGCAACAUCGAAUAUGAGACCAGAAAAAUAGUUUCUAAAGUCGAAGCAAUAAACCUAACUAGUAACAUUCAGACAGAAUAAAAUAAGAGAGAUCAAGCAUGAACGACAGCCAAUCAAACACGGGCAAGUAUGAGUUUUUUAGUAGAACAAUAUAUCAAAAAUGAAAAUCCUAUGCCAUCUAGGACUCUACAGUAGUCAUUCCCAGCAAACAAAGUGGAACCACGAAGAAGAAAAUGAUAACCACAACAAAAUUAAAAACAAAGGUGUAUUUACCUCUUUCGCGGCAGCAAAAUGUGAUAACAGCUCACGAUAGGAUUCCCACCACCAAAAAACUCACAACUGCUUCGACAGUUCUGACGCACCUCCUAAGAAUAUAUGUUUCUUAGGCAUAAAGAGAAUAUUUUUUCCCUCUGAGAGCCCCCCUUUUUGGUGUAUUCUGAAUUUUUGAAGAUUUUCACUAACCCUAAAUUUUCAACCCAAAACUUUUGAACCCCUUUUGCCUCUAAAAUUUCGAACUCCAAAGAGAAAGAAGAGGAGAACCCAUAAAGGAAAGGAGAGGCCAGUAAAAAAAAUUCCAAAAUCCCCCAAAAAAUCCCUUUUUCUUACUCUAAAGAGAGCUACUUAUAGAAGGGGAUUAAGGGUUUAUUUUUGAAAUUCAAAAGAUCUGGACCCUAACGAACUGUACCUCUAUUUUGAUUUUAUUGAAUGGAAUUCCAAAAAGUGGCCAAUAGAAAUUGGUGGAAAGGUAAUAAUCUUCACAAGCCAAUGAAAAUACUCCACCUAUGUACGAAUUCGUAAACCUCUAUCCCAGAAUUUUGGGAUUUGAAAGUUGGAUGAGACACCUAAGUGUGUUUCUAGAAGAUUCUUGGCAUCUUCUCGUAUGGAUUCGCGUGGAACGCAUGUGAUCAUAAAGAGGAAAAAGAAAACGGAUUGCAUUUGGGUGCUGCAUCCUAUUUGAAGUUAUCCGCACCUGUGGUUUUGAUUUGAUAUUUUCAUACUCUCGGAUGCUCUCGAAAAUGCUUCAAGCAAAAAGUAUUAGUGCUAAACAUAAUUCACAAGAGAGGUAUGCAGUCUUUUACCAUAUCUCCAUGUGAGUUGUGACUUGAAAAGCAGAGUCAUCUCUUCAUGUACCUGUUUGGAAUGAAAUAACCAGCAAUACCAAACACAACAACCCUCUUGGUUGUCAUAUAAUUAUGACAUUUGUCGGUUGAAUACGUCUUCAAAGUGGGUGGCCCUUUUGGACACCGGCGAUACUUUAUGCAGAACGGUAUCUACAAUCGUGUAAUCUUGUGCUAGUGUGGAAACCCUUUAGGUACCUGUAUCAUUUGUUGCAUAUGGAAUAAUAACCUCUCCGGUUAUAGCCGAUGAUCGAUUUAUAAAUUUCCUUUAAAUUAUCAAUCUUUGGAUAAUCUUACGCAUUAUUUGAUGUUGGAUACGAGACAACUUACAGAUAUCCUUUUGAUUUCUAGCUUUUAGGUAAUCCUGCAUAUUAUCUGACUUUGAAUAAGAGAUGACUUACAGAUAUCCCUCCAAUCGCUAGCUUUCAGGUGUUCCUGCACAUCAUCCAACCUUAGAUACAAUAUGACCUAUAGAUAAUCCCUCAAAUUGUUAGUCUUUGGGUAAUCCUGCACAUAAUCGAUCUUGGAUAUGACACGGCUUAUAAAGAACCCUUGGACGUAUCAAUUUGAUAAUCUUCCAUAUUCUCUAGUAAGGAUUUAGUUGCGACUUAUGGAUAACCUUUGAACUAUCAAUUUUUGGGCGAUCUUGCACACUAUCCGGUUAGGAUGUUGUUGUGGCUUACGGAUGACCUACAGGUGAUCAACUCAUAGGUGAUCUUGCAAACUAUCCUAUUUCAAAUAAUAUGACUUAUAAAUGACCCUCAAAUUGUCAAUUUCUAGGAAAUCUUAUAUAUCAUUCAUCCUUAGAUAGUGACUUAAAGGCGUUCCUUCAAAUCGUGUGCUCUCGAUACAUUUAGAUGCUGAUUCAUAAAAUGAUAAGAUAUCCUCGAUGCCAAUGUUUAUGUCUUGCAUGUCAAUAGAUAUAAAAUAAUAAGAUAUCCUCGACGCCAAUGUUUAUGUCUUGCGUGUCAACAGAUAUAAAAUAAUGAUGAUAUUCUCGACGCCAGUAUUGUGUCUUACGUGUCAACAGAUAUAUUGAAUGAUGAUGAUAUCCUCGACGUCAGUAUUGUGCCUUGUGUGUCAACAGAUAUAUUGAAUGCUGAUGAUAUCCUCAAUGCUAGCGUUGUCUUGCGCAUCAACAGAUAUUGCAUGAUGAUGAUAUCCUCGACGCCAGCGUUGUAUCUUGCAUGUCAACAGAUAUUGCAUGAUGAUGAUAUCCUCGACACCAGCGUUGUGUCUUGCGUGCCAACAGAUAUAUAAUAAUGAUGAUAUCCUCGACGCCAGCAUUAUGUCUAGCGCAUCAACAAAUAUUGAAUGAUGAUGAUAUCCUCGACGCAAGCUUUGUGUCUUGCGUGUCAAUAGAUAUAUUGAAUGCUGAUGAUAUCCUCGAUGCCAGCAUUGUGUCUAGCAAGCCAAUAGAUAUAGAAUGAUGAUGAUAUCCUCGACGCCAGUGUCAGGGUCUUGCUUUUUGCAUGUUCUUGUACUCAAGGUAGACGAUUAGUAGACACAAAGUCGCUUUUGGUAACGACUAUUUUUUUUAGAAAAAUUCUAAAUACAUCAUUUGUAAAGAAGACAAGACACUUUUGUUUGUCCUCCAUGAUCUCAAGAAAUGAGAUGGACAAUUCAAAAGGUCAUCCAUAAAUGGGUGUUGAGCUGGUUUUGGGCGACCAAAAGUACCGUCAUUAAGCCUUAUAUUCUCUGUCAUGGCUCCCGACUUGCUUGGGGAUUUUUCAAAAGAAACGCUCAUUUUGUGUAUCGAUCCCUGCAUCCACAAAAAAUGAUUAGUUUGAAAGAAACUACUCCUUGUUGACCUCCUACGAUCCUUGAUUUUCCCUCGCCAUCUUUUAGGUAUUUCAUCAUAUUGGGACUUCCACCCUUGACUCCCCGUCUUAAUUGAUGUCUAGGCAAUCACUAAGUAAAAGAUUUCUAUAGAUUUUUUUCAAAGUACUCUUAAUUUUUUAGAAAAUAGUUUCGAGAACUCCUGCAAAACUUUGAAAAAUCUCUGCCAGUCAUGUAGUACUAUCUGAAUACCUCAUAAUUUGCUACAUACCUUCUCAUAGUAGUACUAGUUUACAACUACCAACGAAAAAAUUCAAGGGGUAAGGUCACAUAAUAGACAUGAUCAACCUUAAUCUUAUAUUAUAACCCCAUACGAUCUUAUCUACUUAUGCGGAUUUCUCACCUCAUACUUACUUACUCAAGCAUACAUUUAGACUGCCUUCAAAUCCCUCAAACAACCAUGAGUCUAUAAUCAUAACUUACUCACUAAUAUAGCCAUUUUUCACAUUCAAGAAACCAACAAAUCACCCUGACUAACAACUCCUUCUCUACCUUAUACUAAACUAACUCACAAGGACUAAUCACCUCUUUACCAACUCAAUCUCAUGCAAACAGAUUCAGACAUACAUAUAUUAAACCAGCAAAAGAACAACAAGUUGCUAGUGAAUAGAAAUAGGCCUCACACGGCUUCACUAGACUUUGGUUUUGUAUUUUAAAUAAGAAAAUGAUAUGGAUGACAAGGCAACUAUGCUAGUGAAUCGAAAGAGCCCCAUACGGCUUCACUAGACUUUAAUUUUUUUUUUAAAAACACCAUGAUAACAAGAUUACAUAUUACAAGAGAUAGGAAAUUGACGCAUAAUUUUUAAUGGUCUAAGAAUACACAUCUUACUCUGUAUAAAUAAAAAUCUGAGUAAAAUAAUUCCCCCAUGGACUACCAUACCAUCCACAUGUGCUACUAGCUACCACAUUAGUUUAUCACUAUAAAGGGGUAAAUCAUCCUCAAAUAUAGGUUAUUCAACUGAAGUAUUAAUUUACACCAAAAAUUACCCUCACUCUGACUUCUAACUUUGUGACUUCACAUCACUAACUUCUUGGUCUAAUUUCAUUACCGAUUGGUCAUGACAGCAACACUUUAACUUUUGCUACUAUUCGGGUGGAAAUACAGUUCCAACAUUCUGUUAUACACUGUCCACAUUUGUAUCAAGAUUUUUGGGAGGGACUAGAUUCACUAAAUACCUUAAGCUGGAAAGCACGAUUCCAUCAGGAUCAAUGUUUACAUCAGAAUCAACACAUAUUGAAGCACCAACAGACUCCUCUUGAGUCUUUGCAUAAUUUUUUUUCCUUAUAUGACACAAUCGAAAAAGACUAUAUCAUGUAGAUUCUAAACAUUUUGCACUUGAAUCACCCCAAUAAUGGGACAUGUCUGAGAACAUCAGAGUAAGGAAAGAAUUUGAGAUGACUUUACCUUCAUAUGGGCAACACCAUAGAAUGAAUGACAGUAUGAAAGAGGAACAUUUUGACUCUAUUGCAUGAACUGGAACAUGAAGAAAGAGAGACAUUCCUAAACGCCUAGUAGCCUCCUGCUUAUAAGUGUGGCGCGCUACACACCCAUAAAAAGACUCUACCCGACGUGAUUUUGCAGACACCCUAGGACCAUAAACCAUGCUCUGAUACAAAGUUUGUCACGACCCGAACUGGGGCCCUGGCCACGAUGAGCAUUCCAAACCAUGAAGGCCCGAAACACCCCUAUUUGUCUGAUAAUCAUGCACAUAACUCAUAUGAUAAAAGAAAUGAGAAAGAAAAACAAUAUUAUGGAAACAUGGUCAAGAAUCAUAUGAAAUAAGUAAUGGGGAAUAAUGUCCCACAAUCUCAACACAACAUCUCUAUAACGUUUGCGAAAUCUCUACUACAUGACUGAAAUAAAGAUCUAUCUGAAAACUGGGACAAGGCCCUCAGUAGAUCCAAAACUAAUAAAUGAUAAAUGAAACUGCCAGAUAUCAGGCCUUCUGAAUUAUAGAAGGCUCACCAAGUGUUUCUACAAAUCUAUCUGAGGAAUUUACUAAUUUUUUGAACCCCUAGACUGUGCCUCCAAACCUAGAAGGGAAGCGGGUCAAUACAAAAGUACUGGUAUGCAGAGAUAUCAAAACAAAACAUAAUAUUUUUACAAAAUAUAGUUGAGAGCCAUUAUAAAGCAGUUACAUAUCAAAUCAUUUGAAAACACAUGGGCAUAAUGUAAUUGCUUUCAACAACAAUGUAAUGCAGCUGAGCUAGGUGGAAUACCCUACAUAUCACAUUUACACCAACUUUCAAACCUUGAUUGCCACCGAGAUUAGAGUUUAAGUGAGGGGAAGACACAUAAGAUCACAUAGCAGGGUGUCUCGACCCAAUAGUAGUAUGCAAGAUCACAAAGCAGGGCUCCUAACCAUAGUCCCAACUUUGGAAUGACAUAAAGUCAGGUACACAAGAUCACAAAGCAGGGUACCAAAUUCCCAUGUCGGUAAACACGGUUUUCAGCGAUGAGCCCUUACACUCAAACGCCUUCUUCGGGCAUCCACCUAUCUCAUGUAAAAUCAAUGUAUUUAAAUUUCAUCUGAUUCAAUCGCAUAUCAUAUUCUGUAGGGUAUCGUCAUACCCGACUUGCAAGCCAUCAAUAUCACAUCAUUUUUCUCAUUUAACCAUUGUAUUCAACAUGUUUCAACAUAAAUAGCCCUCUCGUUUUUAAGUCAAAAUCAUAUCAAUUCUCAAAAUAUUUCAUGUCAUGCUUUUCAAGAUGUCUUCAAACAAUUUACAUCAUAUAAACAUUUAAAACAAAUUCACAUCAAGAGAGGGAUUCCAUAUAAUUCAUGCUCUCAAAUUAACACUUUUUCGAAACACAUACAUAUACAUAUAUAAUAUGUCAAAUCAUUUUGGAAAUAGGCCUAAAGACCAAAUCAAUAUUAUAUAAACGUUCAAAACAUGAUUAUAUUCGUAGUUUCAAAACCCCCAUUGUAAAACAUUAAUUUAAAGGCCCAUGAGAUUUUAGGAUAACCCCACGUACCUCUAUAUGCAAAGAUGAUAGGUGUUUCUUGAAGCCUACGUUCUGGGAAUUCCAAAUAUGCAAUUAGUUUNNNNNNNNNNNNNNNNNNNNNNNNNNNNNNNNNNNNNNNNNNNNNNNNNNNNNNNNNNNNNNGAUCUUGAGCAAUUUUGAUGAAUGAAGGUGUAUUUUGGGGUAUUUGGGGACUGAAUUUUGUGUUUAUGGCUAAAUAAGGGUGGGAAAAAGACCAUUUUGCCCCAAAAAUAGAGUUUAAGUCACUUGAGUAGAAAUGUAUGCGGCGCACACCUUAUCGCAUAAUAUAGGUUGUGCAGAGCACUCUUUAUCACACACAUUAGGUUGUGCGUCGCACACCUUAUGGCAUAAGUUAGGGUGUGCAUCGCACAUCUUAUGCUGCACGACACACUCGACUUUGCAAAGCCAUAACUUCUUCCUCAGCUGUCAGAUAUUUGUAAAAUUGGUAUCAUUGGAAAGAUAAUUCGAAGGCCUUUCAUUUGAUAUAUAGUAGGCACUCUAAUUCAAUAUAUACAAAGAUUAAUGACCGAUUGAAGUUGACCCAAGUUUUGACGCUUACUAAAACUCAAUCGAUGGAAAAGCUUUCAACUCGUCCUUGAGUUAGGGGAUCUCUAUGAUCUCAAUUCAUGCUCAAAUAGUUUUAUACACCACAUAGUUGAUUAAAACACUAUAUUCACAAUAGAUUUAUGGUUUUGGAAUGUGUACAAGUAGAAAUGACAAUUUAUGUUCAAGUCUGAAAGUAUGGGAUGUUACAAAAAAUUAUUGGGUUAUUGGUUCGGUUUGAUUUUUUCUUAUUGGGUUAUUGGGUAAACCGAUAACCCAAUAAGAGAAUAUAUAAGACUUAUUAUAUACUUAUCUUUUAUUUCUACAAAUUAACAAACCUAUUAUUUCAAUUAUAUAAACUCUUAAUUUCUCCUAACAUUUAGUUCAAACUUGAAGAUUUUUGUAAAUUUAAACACUUCAUGUAGGAUUUUUGUUGCAACUAAGAUUCAUUUUUUACAUGUUAGUUACUACUAUUUCUAAUUUCUAUUUGAUGAGUAUUUUCUUAUCGGUUAAACCGAAAACCGAAUCGUUAAGGACUAAAAACCGAAAAAAAUAUUUUAUUGGUUUGGUUAUUGGUUUAGCAUAUUUAAAAAUCGAAAAUCGAUAAAUCUAACGAUAAUAUGUAAAACCCAAUCGAACAGACCAAUGCACUCCCCUAGACACAAACGCUUUAAUUAGUUGACAAAUUGUAUGAGAUGCACACAUUUUGCAUGACAAAUUAUGAUACAAGACUCGCAUAUAUAUAUAUAUUUAUUUUAACUUUAUAUGAUAGUCUAAGUAUUUAUUUGUGCAACACUCAAAAUUAAAAUAUAUGAAUAUUUGCUGAUGAUGUCAAGUUGAAAACACAUUUAUGUAUUAUGUCAAACGUAUAAUUCUCUUCCUUUUUUGAACUAUAGCUAUAACAUGUAGCAUGAGUGAAUGUGCGCUAAUUUUAAGUUGAUGAAUUCACCUAACAUUAGUACAAUUAGUAGAGUAAUGAACAAAAUUAAAUUCAUUGCUAUUUAUUUAUAUUUUAAAAAAGCAAGGUGGAGUCAGAGAGCAAUUAUCAUAAUUAAAGAGGAGCUAAAGGUAUAAUUAAAUGAGAAGCAUGGAGUCUUUUGAUAGAGUGUAUUAAAAAAUUAAUAACAACAACAAUAAUAAAUUCAAUGUAUUUCCACAUAGUGGGGUCUGGAGAGGGUAAGAUGUACGUAGUCCAUAUCACUACCUCCGGAGAAGUAGAAAGGCUAUUUCUGAUAGACUCCUAGCUCAAGACAAGGAAUAAUAAUCAAAUCUGUGAUAAAGCAUGGAAUGUAUUACGUCAAAACUAAUGCAUCCAUUAAUUUAAUGUGUAUUAGUAGUCCCUUGUUUGAUAUAUAUCUUUUUAUCUUAUGUAUAACUAAUGCAAAAAUUAGUUACAUACUCUAUUGUGUAUUGAGGUGUGCAUUACUAAUACCUCAAAAUUUAUGACAUUAGUAAUGCAAUGGAUCUAAUGCAUGCAUUAACAUGCUUAAAGUGGGGGUAUUAUGCAAAAAAAAAAUUAUGUAAUUCGUGUUAUUUUUAAUACAUUGAAUCAAAUACUAUAUAAGAAACAACAACAGCAACAACAACACCCAGUAUAUUCCAACAUAGUGGGGUCUGGAGAGGUUAGUGUAUGCAGAUCGUAUCACUACUUAGGUGAAGUAGAGAGGAUGUUUCCGAUAGACUCCCAGCUUAGGAUCAUAAUAAUAUACCAAACAUAAAAGAUAAAUGCAUAUAAACUAAUACGAUACGCAAAAUAAAACUAAACAAUCUACCAAGAAGUGUCAGCUUUGUGUUGGGUGGUUGGUAGUCAAGAAAGUGUCAGCUUUCCCAAAAAGAAAAACCCCAAUAAAAAAAGAAGUCCCUCCACUUUCACCAUUGAUUCAAUGUUUUUUUAAUACGUAGAAUCAAAUACUGCGUAAGAAAAUAGAAGCAUAAUUAAUGUAAUUAUUAUUAAUAUGCCAUAUUUUAUAGUAUUUUUAUAAAAUAAUAUUUUAUAUUAUUUUUAUAAGAAAAUACUCUAAUUAAUUUUUUUGAAAUUAUCUAUCUAUAUAAUAAAGGAGGAUAGUCUAGCCUAAAACUAAAACAAGUGUCAUAUUGAGAACUACCUAUUUGAUUUUUUACAACAAAAAAACAUCAUUUCAUAACAAAAAGCUAUUUUGUUAAUUAUUUAAAUAUUUAAUAUUAUUUCAUAUUUCAUAUUUAAUAAAUUACAUUUCAUAUGUUUUUAAUAAUAGUAUUAUAANNNNNNNNNNNNNNNNNNNNNNNNNNNNNNNNNNNNNNNNNNNNNNNNNNNNNNNNNNNNNNNNNNNNNNNNNNNNNNNNNNNNNNNNNNNNNNNNNNNNNNNNNNNNNNNNNNNNNNNNNNNNNNNNNNNNNNNNNNNNNNNNNNNNNNNNNNNNNNNNNNNNNNNNNNNNNNNNNNNNNNNNNNNNNNNNNNNNNNNNNNNNNNNNNNNNNNNNNNNNNNNNNNNNNNNNNNNNNNNNNNNNNNNNNNNNNNNNNNNNNNNNNNNNNNNNNNNNNNNNNNNNNNNNNNNNNNNNNNUUGACUACUACUUUAGCUAUAAAUAUAUUUUAAAAUUUACAUACAACAUUAAAUUUAAGGAACUUGAGUCUAUAUAUUAUGAUCAUAAAAUUUAUUCUAAUUAAUUGAAAUUAAUUAGUUAAUUGUAUAGUUUUAUUACAACAAUUCCGUACAUCAUUUAUUUAAUAAAAAUACAUAUAAUUAAUUAAUUGAUUUUGUGCAAUCUACUAUGAUUUUAUUAAUUCAAAUGAAAUGAUUUUUAAAUGAUAGGUUUGGAUUAUAAAAAUAAAGGUGAUUAUUGUAUGACUUUAGCAUUUGUUAUGUAUUAAAAAAGAUUUAUAGACAAAAAAAUGUCAUCCCUCAAAACAAUUAAAUUUGAAUUAUUUUAGUGAAAUAAUGAAAGAUUGAAUAUAAGAAAAUCUGUAAUUAAGAAAAGAAAUAAUUGUCACCUUAUUUGAGAUUUUAGAAAAUUGUAAAUAUAAUUAAAUAAUCAAAUUGUAAAUUGAUAAGAAAUUUUUUUGAGAAUAAAUCAGUAAUUAGGAAAAGAAAUAAUGGUUACCUUUUUAAAAUUCUUCCCAAAAUUAUAAAGGUAAUUAAUAUACAUUUGAUAUAACCAAACUAUAAGAAUAUGUGAAAUUCAUGUGAUUAAAUUUUUGAAAUUAUAAAAGUAAUUAAUUUCAAUUGUUUCCAUAUUUGAGUCCUUUAUGUAAUUGUAGAUUAAUUAAGUAUUAUCAAGCUAUAAAAUUAGGAUAAAUUUAUGGUAAAUAAAUAUAUAAUAUUAAUAAUAAUUUUAUUGUUAUAAAAUUAAUUAGAUCAAAUUGAGAUAGAAAUCAGUUAAUAUUGAUAAUUAUUUUAAUAAAGAAUAUAUUCAACGUUUCAUAAUUGAUAUACAUAUAUUGGUAAAAGACAACGAACACUGACUACUAAUUUAGCCAUAAAUAUAUUUUAAACCAUACAACAUUAAAUUUAAGGAACUUGACUCUAUAUAUUAUGAUCAUAAAAUUGAUUCUAAUUAAUUGAAAUUAAUUUGUUGAUUGUUUAAUUUUAUUACAAUUAUGUCAUACAUCAUUUUUUAUAUAAAAAUACAUAUAAUUAAUUAAUUGAUUUUGUGCAAGCUACAUUCUUAUUUCUUUGUGGUAAGUAAUGAAUUCACUAGCUUUUCAUUCAAUCAGAUUGGAACUUGGGUGCUUGCUUAUAUGGUUUUAAGCUUCUGAAAAGUCGAGUCGUCAUACUUUUUGUUGCCAGUACAUCUCGGGUGUUCCUGAUCUGCUUUGGAGUUCAUUACUGGUUUGUUGUUAACCCAUGCUAAUUCAUUUUCUUCCAUAAUCAAGUCUUCUUAUACUUGUGGAAUAUGCAUAUCUUUUAAUAUUAUUUGUUGAAUAGAAACUUCUAAUCUUUUGUUAUCAAAAAAAAUCUUCUAAUCUUAUAUUGCAACAAUUUUGUUUCAGGUACUUUGGACAUUGAAUCAGUUAUGCAGUUGUAGCAUCUGUGCUGUUGGGUGCUGCUGUUUUACGUCAUUUAUCAGUUACAGACCCAUUAGCAGCUAGACGAGAUGCCUUGCAGAGCAUAGUUAUCCACCUUAGAGAAGGUUUCCACAGAAAAGACCAAAAUAGCUCCGCAAGCUCUUCUGAGGGGUGUGGCUCAAGUGUCAAAUGCAGUAGUAGUGCUGAUGCUGGUCAUCUUGGUAAUGCAACUGUGCCUUGCACUGAUGAUGGCAGUACCUGGAAUAAUAUUGAGGGGAUUAAUAGUGAUAAGAGCAUAGACAGUGGAAGACCAAGUCUAGCUCUACGUAGUAGUUCCUAUCGUUCAGUUGUUCAAGAGCCUGAAGUAGGAUCAUCAUAUGUUAACAGAAAUUUAGAGCAUAAUAGUUCAUUGGUUGUUUGUUCUAGCAGUGGUCUUUAAAGCCAAGGCGGUGAUUCUAGUACAUCCACUUCUGCAAACCAACAGAUACUGGACUUGAAUUUGGCACUUGCAUUUCAAUAAAAGUUGAGUGAUCCCAGGAUUACAUCUAUGUUAAAGCGGAAAGGAAGACACACUAAUUGUGAAUUAGCUAAUUUAUUGCAACAUAAAGGGCUUGAUCCUAAUUUUGCAGUGAUGCUGAAGGAGAAUGGAUUGGACCCAAUGAUUCUAGCCUUAUUGUAGAGAAGUUGUUUGGACGCUGAAAAAGAACAUCGCAACAGUAACCCUCCUGUCACUGAUUCAAAUGAUGUUGAAGAUGUGUUACCUAAUCAUAUUUCAUUCUCGAAAGAACUUAGACUCCAACGAUUAGUAAAGUGGCUUCAACGUUGUAGAGUAAUGUUGCAUCAUGUAGCAGGAACUCCAGAGCGAGCAUAGCUUCUUUUCAGUUUAAUCUUCAUUCUUGAAACCGUCGUUGUGGCUAUCUUCCGACCAAAGACAAUAAAACUUUUGAAUGCUACACACCAACAUGUAAGAAAUGCAUUAGUACUUUUAAAGUUUAGUUUAGUGUAUAUGGAGUAUGGUGCAGCUAAAAUGUACUCCAUAUGGUUGUAUUUUCCAUUUUCUAACAAAAUUUUGUAACACCCCGCAUUUCGGACGAGAACAAAAAUUGUCAUUUUCUUCACGUAAAGGUUCCAAAAGCCAUAAAUUCAAUGCAAGUUUGGUGUGUUAAUAAAUCAUGUAGUGUGGAAACUUAUUAGAGCUUGAAAAUAUUCGAAUUAUCUUUCAACUGAUUCCAAUUUUGCAAAAUUUCGACACCCAAUGAAGUUAUGGCUUUACAAAGUGGAGUGUGUCGUGUAGCAUAAGGUGUGCGACGUACAACCUAACUUAUCCCAUAAGGUGUGCGAUGUACACCCUAAAUUAUGCCAUAAGGUGUGCGAAGCACAACCUAAUGUGUCUGAUAAAGAGUGCUCCGCACAACCUAUAUUAUGCGAUAAGGUUUGCGCCGUAUAUAUUAUUACUCAAGUGACUUAAACCCUCCAUUUUUAGGGCAAAAUGGUCCUUGUCCCACCCUUAUUCUGUCAUAAAUACGAAAUUCAGUUCCCAAAAUACCCCAAAAUACACCUUCAUUCAUCAAAAUUGCUCAAGAACUCUCCUUAGGGUUUCAAAAUAAAACCCAAGCAACUAAAGAUUCAACCAUCGAUUUUUGGAACUAAUUGCAUAUUUGGAAUCCCCAGAAUGCAGGCUUCAAGAAGCACCUAUCAUCUUCGCAUAUAGAGGUACGUAGGGUUAUAUCAAAAAUCUCAUGGGCUUAAAAAUUCAUGUUUUAACAAUAGGGGUUUUGAAAUUUUGAAUAUAAUCCCGUUUUACACGUUUUAUGAUAUUGAUUUGGUCUUUAGGCCUAUUCCCGAAGUGGUUUGAUAUAUGAUAUAUGUAUAUGCAUGUAUUCCGAAAAGAUGUUAACUUGAGAGCAUGAAUUAUAUGAAAUUCCUCAUUUUAUAUGAUCUCAUUUUAAAUUCUUAUAUGAUGUGAAAUGUUUGAAAUCAUGUUGACAAGCAUGACAUGAAAUAUUUUGAAAAUGGUCAUGGUUUUGACUUGCAAUGAGAGGAUUUUUAUGUUGAAAUAUGAUGAAUAUAAUGGUUGCUUGAAUGAAUGAUGUGCUAUUGAUGGCGUGCAAGUUGGGUAUGACGAUACCCUACAGAAUAAGAUAUGUGAUUGAAUUAAAUGGAGUUUGAUGUAUUGAUUUUACAUGAGAUAGGUGGAUGCCCAAAGAAGGAGUUUGAGUGUAAGGGCUCAUCGCUGGAAACCGUAUUUGCCGACAUGGGAAUUUGGUACCCUGCUUUGUGAUCUUGCACACCUGACUUUAUGUCAUUCCCAAGUUGGGACUAUGGUUAGGAGCCCUGCUUUGUGAUGUUGUGCACUACCAUUGGGUCGAGACACCCUAUUGUGUGAUCUUGUGUGUCUUCCCCUCACUUACACUCUAAUCUCUGCGGCAACCAAGAUUUUAUAGUAGGUGUAAAUGUAAUAUGUAGGGUAUUCCACCUAGCUCAGCUACAUUACAUUGUUGUUGAAAACUAUUACAUUAUGUCCUUGUGUUUUCAAAUGAUUUGAUAUAGAACUUCUUUAUAAUGGGUCUCACCUAUAUUUGGCAAAAAAUAUUAUAUUUUGUUUUUGGUUUCUCUGCAUACUAGUACUUUUGUAUUGGCCCCCUUCCCUCCCAGGUUUGGAGGCAUAGUUUAGAGGUCCAGAUAACCAGUAGAUCUCUUCCAACAGAUUUGCAGAAUCAAGUGGUGAGCCUUCUAUAUUUUGAAAGGCCUGAUGUCCGUCAGUUCAUUUAUCAUUUAGUAGUUUUGGGUCUACUGGGGGCCUUGUCCCAGUUUUCAGACAGUAAUUUAUUUUAGUCAUGUAUUAGAGAUUUCACAGACGGUUGUUCAGACGUCGAUAUAUGUUGUGGGGUAUUAUUUCCCCUUUGUUGAUUUCAUUUGAUUUAUGACCAUGCUUUCCAUAAUAUUGUGUGUCUUCCGUAUAUCUUAUUAUCAUAUGAAUUAUAUGCAUGAUUACCAGAUAGAUAAGGGUGUUUUGGGUCUUCAUGGUUCGGAAUGCUCAUCACGGCCAGGGCCUCGGUUCGGGUCGUGACAAACUUGGUAUCAAAGCAUGGUUUAUGGUCCCAGGGUGUCUGUAAAAUCACAUCAAGUAGAGUCUUUUUUAUGGGUGUGUAGCGUGCCACACUUAUAAGCAGGAGGCUACUAGGCAUUUAGGAAUAUCUCUUUUUCUUUAUGUUCUAGUUCGUGCAAUAGAGUCAGAAUGUUCCUCUUUCAUACUCUAAUUUGUGCUAUCAUGUCGUACAUACGAAAGUAAAAAAAUGUUAUCCCAAAUUCUUUCCUUACUCUAAUGUCCUCAAAUAUGUCUCAUUAUUGAGGUGAUUCAAGUGCAGAAGUUUAGAAUCUAAAUGGUAUGAUCCUUUCUGAUUGAACCAUAUAAGAGUUAAAUUUUAUGCAAGGACUUGAGAAGAGUCCAUUAGUGCUUCAAUGUAUAUUGAUCCCGAUGUAAACAUUGAUCCUGAUGGAAUCGUGCUUUUCAGCUUGAGGUAUUAAUUGCAUUUAGUCCCCUUCAAAUUUAUGUUACAAAUGUCUUGCUUAGGGGGGGUUGAUGUGUAAUAGAAUGUUGGAACUAUAUUCCACCCGAAUAGUAGUAUACGUUAAAGUGUUACUGUCAUGACCUAUUGGUAGUGAAAUUAGACCAAGAAGUUGGUGAUGUGAAGUCACAAAGUUAGAAGUCAGAGCGAGGGUGACUUUUGUGUAAAUGAAUAUUUUAGUUGAAUAACCGAUGUUCGAGAAUGAUUUACCCCCUUAUGGUGAUAGACUAAUGUGGUAAAUUGUAGCAUGUGUGGAUGGUAUGGUUGUCCGUGAAGGAAGUGUUUGACUCCGAUUUUAUUUAUACAGAGUAAGAUAUGUAUUCUUAGUUCAUUGGAUAUUGCAUAUUAAAUUUCUAUCUCAUGUAAUCUUGUCAUCAAGGUGUUGUUGAAAAAAAUAAAGUCUAGUGAAGCCCUGUGGGGAUCUUUCGAUUCACUAGCAUAGUUGACUUGUCAUUAAUCUCAUUUUCUUGUUCAAAAUACAAAAUCAAAGUCUAGUGAAGUCAUGUGAGGCUUAUUUCGAUUCACUAGCAACUUGUUGUCCAACUUGUUGUUCUUGUGUUGGCUUAAUAUAUAUAUAGCUGAAUCUGUUUGCAUGAGAUUGAGUUGGUAAAGAGGUGAUUUUUCCUUGUGUUUUAGUUUAGUAGAAGGUGGAGAAGGAGUUAUUAGUUAGGGUGAUUUCUCGAUUGUUUGAAGCGUGAAAAUGGCUAUAUUAGCCAGUAAGUUGUAAGUAUAGAGUCAUGGUUGUUUGUGGAAUUUGAAGGUAGUCUAAAUGUAUGUUUGGGUAAGUAAGUAUGAGAUGAGAAAUCCAUAUAAGUAGAAUAGAUUGUUUGGAGUUAUAAUAUAAGAUUAUGGUUGAUCAUGUCUAUUAUGUAACUUUACCCCUUGACCUUCUUUUCGUUGGUAAUUGUAAACUAGUACUACUUGUGAGAAGGUAUGUAGUGAUUUUUGAGGCGCUUGUAUAGUAUGUCCCAAAUUUUAUGGACUAGCAUAGUAUGUUGCAUUUUUCAGUAGUGAUAGAUGAUUGGUACAGGACUAUAUGCUUGAAUUUAAUGUAGAAUGUGGUGGUAAAAAUAGUGGCAUGAGAUUAAUUAUUAUGUUUUGUGGGAAAAAAUUAGUAUGCUUGAUGUGUUAAAAUAGUACGUGCUAAUGAGUUAUGAUAAGGAAGACUGUAAGGUCAAGAGUAAUUAUUUGUUGUUUGGAAGUUCUAGUGUACUAGUGUUUCUUGAUGUCUAUUUCAUGGUAUCCAAGCGAGAAUCAUGUGUAAGGUUGGGUUGUAAAAUCAUGUUUAGCACUAGACAUUAAGUUUUGAACAAUUGAUGUCCAUGAAGGUGGAUAUGAUGAUUUCUUGGUUAAUGAUACUAGUUUUAUGGAAGUAAUCUAAUAGGAUUGAACGAUAUAUGCAAGAGCUUAAGUUUAUUUGAUUCGUAGUGAAGUGUGAUGUUGCAUAUAUAAUGUAGAAGUAUGCCCAAGGUGAUCUAAGGUUGCCGUAUUUUCUAAGACUAUUACACAUUUUGUGUGACGAGUGUUACCGUUGAGUUGCUAGAUGGAGAAAGACUAGUUAGAUGGUAUAUGGUGUUCUAAAUAGCCAAGUUAAGGAGUUUUGAUUGAUAGUGUUGAGCCUUUUUAUAUGAUCUUCUUGAUUCUCAUAGUAGAGAUAUGUAAGCUUAGAGUCAUGAUAUUAGUAGGCUAUGUUGGAAGUAGUAUGAUUCAUUGAAGGCUUGGUGAUAUCCAUGUUGAGUGCUAGAUUCUAAGUUUGAGUUUUUGAAGGUUGAACUACUAGAAAUAAGAGUUAAAGCACUAGAGGGUGUGCACUCCGACUAUGGGGAUACCCAUGAAGACCCGAAUUUAGUAAGUAUGCAAGUAUUAAAUGAUGACUACUGGGUUUAUAAAAUGAUAAAGUGUAUCUCAGAAGGUAUUAUUAACAGUGGGUUUUCCACUUUCAGGUGUAGUCAUUCGGGUUAAGUGCCAUGAUAUGUGUGUAUAGUAGUUUUCCAGACCCCAGAUUAUAGUGAGUGUACUUCAGUUUAGAGUCUAGUAAGGGAUCUCCCCAACUUAAUAUGAUGGAUUGAAGCUAAGGGGGAGAUGAUAGAGCGAAUAACCAAGUCAGGCUUUCAGAUUCUAGUAGUGAUGUCAGUAUGACAUAGAACAUCAAAAGGGAACAGUGAGGCUCAACCCAUUCCGAACUCAGUAUUUUUUAGCUAUCCUAAUACCUACUUAUACCUCACGUUUCAGUUCCAUGAUCAUAGUUUUGCAUUAACAGAUGUGCUUCUUUACACCCGAAGAAAAGAUACUUAGGCCAUCUGUAGUUGUUUAACCCAAUCCAUAAGGUAAAGAUGCUUAUCAUUUUGUCCAUUCUUGUCUAACGUUGUGAUAGUUCAUCUAUUUCCUAUCUCUCUUUAUUCUCGUUUCAAGCUUUCUAUUUAUUAGAUGAAGAAAAGGGUUUCAUGUUACUAUGUGGUUUGGCUUCAAAAUUCUUGCCUUGUCCUUCAAACUAAUUUAGGGAGUUGCUCAUGGAUACAAGAUUUCAACAUUGAUUAGAAAAUUAACUAAAUAUGAUUAAAAAGUAGCUAUAUUCUGAUUUCAUCUGUUCUUCCUUGCAUGGAUAUUGGUUGAGAAGCCUCCUAUACCUUCUCUGGCUGGUCCUGCUCCUGGUGCUAUUCCAUCUAUGUCACUGCAGGUAAAGUUAUGGAGGCUUGGGGGAGGAAUAAAUGAAUUUUGAAUGUAGAGACAUUAUGACAACUAUUUUCCCCACAUCUUUAGCAGUUCCAGCCUAUGCUUCCAGCCCAGCAGGCACAACCCUAUGGUUCCGGGUCGUCUCAAAAAUUUCUGCCACUUGGACAGGCAAAUGUUGAGAUGUUUCAACCUUCUCAAAUCCAAUUUCCUCAACCUAUGCAACAGGUUACUACUGGUAGACCUGUAGUAGGAAUGCAUAGUAUGCCUCAGGGACCACCUAUUCCCCAUGAUUUUCAGCGAAAUCUUCCGAUGUCAAAUAACCACAUGCCUGGUUCUAGUGGCCCAAAUUUACCUCUUUCUUCUUCAUAUAAUGUAAGGCCUUGGGAAGAUCUUUUGUGAUUAUUAUCAAUCAGUUUCCAAUGUUCCAUUCAUAUAUUGAUGAAAUACAUUUUGUUAUCGUCUUUAACAGCAGGUAAAUGCAGAUUCUUCUGGCGGGUAUCAGACACAGAUAAAUAAUCAUAGGUUUCCAUCAGGGGUACAACCCUGUAUUCCAAUAAGUAAUCAUAAUGUGAAUUCUGCAACAACUAUGCAGAAGACUGGAGAAUUAGCAGCUCCCUUGGUUAUUCCGGUAAGAAUUCAAUGUGUUUUAUUGUACCCGUUUUGCAUAAAUAUUGUCAACAGGUAACAUGCUUAAGUUAAUGGGUUAAUGGGUGUGUGUUGAGGUGUAAAACCGCGGUAUACAAGAAAAGGAGCUCUGCAAAAAUAUCAUUUUCAUUCAGAUCCAAUCUUUUUACCACUUUGUGUUCUCCAGACAGAAAAAAGAGCAUGCCGAUUUGGCUUUCCGGAAUUCUUGCUUUUGGAUUAUAUUCACAUAGGUUAGUUAUAUGAAUAGGUUAAUGUCUGCAUCAAAAACACUUAAUGUCUUGUCUAUGAACAAGUGGUGGAUAUGUUGGCCCCCAUCACUGACAAGAAAUCCCUCAAGUAUCCACAUCUAGUGCUUUGUACAUCAUUCUGCUUCCAUUAGCACUGGAGAUAAUAGGCCCCUUUGUUUAAGUCCUCUUUGUCAAAGUUAUCAUAUGGGCUGCCGUUCACCGCUACCAAUUUCUACUUGACUGUUGAUCAGCAGGACUUGAUACACUUCUACCGAUAACUUCAUUUUGACCCUAUUUCUCUAUUAUCAUACAUAUUUUACAUGUGGCUAAAUGCUAGUAGGUAUUGCUGUUUUCAGCAUCUUUUGAUGAUUAGUAGGCCAAUUAUGGUUGCUAAUGUUGUCAUAUUUCCAAUGGCUUUAUUACUCCAAACAAUUAAUAACAUUCUUACAAUUCUUGAAUUGAUUUUUAGAUACUAUUAUAAUAGAAGGACAAGAAUCUCUACCUGGGAGAAACCUCAAGAGCUGAUGACAGAAAUGGAGGUGAGGUCUCAUGUCAUCGAGAUUUUUAUCGGUAGUUUUAUCCAGUUUCCUGUGCUUAUCAAUGAAAAAAGAAGUACACAAUUCUUUUUCUAUGAAGCUUCGUAGAACCUCUUUUUCUUUCCUAAGUAUAUGUGAUUUCUAUUGAAAGUUUGUUUAGCGAGCAGAUUUCCUCGAUCUUACUAUACUAUGUAGGCUUUAUUUAGGAUUUGCAUUGACCUUUUAUUUCUAAUAUAGUUCUAAAAGAUUUUAUAUUUAACACUAUUGUUCUAAAAAAUGCGUUUAAGCAUACACAACAGGAUUAUAUUUGGUCUAAUUUAAACAAUUUUAUUUACUUUCUGAUUAAUGUAAUGUUAUUGUAACUCUAUGGCGAUAUGGAGAGAGGAAACUUGAUAUAAUAUUGGGGUUCUCACAUUUCAUUCUGGUUUACAGAAUAAUAGUUUGGCUGGUGGUACACUUGCACCCAAGAGUGUGACCUAGUGGUCAAUGAAGUAGAUUGAGAACCAUGAGGUCUCAAGUUUAAUUUCCAACAGAUAUAAAAACACUAGGUGAUUUCUUAUCGUCUGUCCAAGCCUUGAUGGACAGAUUUACCCAGUAUCUGUGCUGGUGGGAGGUAGCAGUACCUGGUGUAACAAGUCAAGGUGCAAGCUAGCCCAAACAUGACGGUUAUCAAAGAAAGUUUGGCUGGUUGUAAGGGACACGUAUUAAGGGACCAACAACUGGAGCUGUAAGGAAGUUUGAACAUUUUUAUUCUUUUCUUUUUGAGAUAAACAGUUUUUUUUUGAGAUAUUACUUUGUAUUCGUCAGCGUUAAGGUUUGCUAGCAGUCCAAAAGAUAUGAAAAAUAAUGAAAAUAAUGCGAGGAUUCAAACAGAUCUACUACCUGUUAUGCAUCCUGUACACAUUGGCCCUUAAACAAAAGCAAAAAUCUGCAAUGCUAUUUCAUUUAACUUUCUGAAUGGAAUUAUAUUUAUCUUCAAAAUACCUUCAACUUUUCUCACUCCAUACAGUCCACCAAAUAUAAGGAAGGAUUGUUCUCCCCCAUUUCUUCUAACUCUUGCUAAUCCCCUCUAAUCCAACAGCUCAACAGAUUGUUGUAUGUCCUUUGAUAGUCCACUUUACUUCAACUCAAUAGAUUUGGUAUAUGUUCUGGCAUGGUUCACUUUACUACUAUUAAACUAAAGGUGUCAAAUGGGCGGGGUUGGCUGGAUUUGGGUGGAUCAAAGAGGUCUGAGUUAAUAAAUGGGCGGGUUAUUAACCCGCCCAAAAGCUACUUGGGCUGAAAUGGGUUGGGUUAAAAUGCUCUAAAAUGCGGGUCAUAACCCAACCCACCCAAUUUGAACUCAGAUUUAAUUGCUUUAUUUGUUAUUUUAUAAACUUUUAGUACUUGAAAAAUUAUUAUCUUUUUUUUUUGAACUUGGUAACUUCGUAUUAUAUCACAUAGUACAUGGGUUGUACUGAAACCUUUAUAUACAAGAGUACUCCUAAAUCGACUGUUCUAUAUCUAAAUUUAGUCUAGAACAUCAAUUAUCGAGGCAGUAUCAUUAGAGUAUAGUUGAUUACACCAAAAACAUAAAAGCAAAAUGCAGCUGAGUUUAACCUUCUACACACUAUUCUCUAUGCUCUCAAAAUAUCUAGAAUUCCUUUUUUUUUUCAUAUAGCCCACUAUAUAGCACCAGGGAUAAUUCUCCAUCUACCUCUGUCCUUCGCAUGUACAUUUGCUUCUCUCAGCACAUUAAAGUCUCGGAUACUUUCCUAGGAAAUGUCCUGGAAAUGCCUUUUAGUCUUACGAUGAUUCUCCAAAGUUGUUGGGUGUACUUACAAUGUAGAAAUACAUGGUUAACCGUCUCUAAAGUUUCUCCACAGAGGAAACAUCUGGAGCACAAAGUUUUCCCUUUCUUCAUGACAUUAUCUUGUGUAAGAACUACUUCCUUGGUCAGUAACCAGACAAAGACAAAGCACGACACUGUGUGAGGUAUCCUACUUUUCCAUAUUUGCUUCUAUGGCCAUCUUGGAUCCGGGUGAUUUAUUUAGUUCAUCAUCUUGUAGGCUUUGUUGACACUGAACAUUCCUUUUUCAUUUCCCAUCUACUAUAGUACGUCCUUCACUGUCUGCAGUCUAUUAAAUAAGUCCACAGUAUUAAAAAAUUCAACUGCUCUCAUUACCUCCCGGUCAUUGAGUUGCCUUCUAAAAUUGAAGCUCCACCCAUGUGGUGUCCAUAAUUCUUCUAUAGUCCUCUAUUGAAACAAUACCAAGUUGUAGAUAUCUGGAAAAAUCACUUCCAUAUUCCCAUCCUUAUGUCAAUUAUCCUUCCAGAAACUAGUCUUGUUUCCAUCCAUCACUUUAACCUUUGAGUUGCUUUUAACUUCAUUCCACUAGUGUCUAAUAGAUCUAAUAGAUCUCUAGAGGCUAACCCCGUAUGGUGUGGUCACUUCUUUAGUCAUCCAUCUAUCUUCUUCAGGAUAUUUAGCCCCAAUCACUUUCCUCCAUAGCAGCUGGUUAUUGUUUGCAUAUUUCCACAACCAUUUCGUUACGAGAGCCUUACUUUGAAUUUUUAGGUUCUUUAUCCCCAACCCUCUAGUCUUCUUGUCAAUUGUGCACCACAGAGAGCACUACCACUUUUUCUCGCAUAUCUUUGUUCCUUAUUCUAUCUCUCCUAGUAUGCCCACAUACCAAUCUCAACAUCCUCAUUUCUGCUACGUUUAUCUUUUGAACAUGUGAGCUCUUGACUAGCCAAAUACUCUGCCCUAUGCAAGAUAGCUAGUAUAACAGCCACUUUAUAAAUUUACCUUUAUAUUUAUUUUAACAAAAUUCUUAUACAUGGCAUGCUAGUUACUAGCUCUUUUGUAAGAGCUAAUUGGGACUAAAAACAAAUAUUCAAAAAUUGUUUCAUCGAAAAAAAGAAUAACUGUAGUCUAUGAGUUUCAAACGUGUCCAAAUGGAAAAAAAAUAAUGGGGAGGCUGUGUUGAGAUUGGAACUUAGAACCUCAGUGCAGGAUUUGAAAACCCUUACUGUCACACUCAGUCUUGUUUUUUGUGGCAAGGGUGUUUAUUAAAAAAUACUUAGAAAUGAUAGAAUUUGACCAGGGUGUUUAUCAAAAUGCAAUUAUCAGGCGAAUGUUGUUCAAUUGAUCACCCUUGGAUAGUUGUAGCUCGGCCGCAGCUUGGCAAUGUUUCCACCCUGCUUGUAGUUAUAUUCUACAUAGUACAUUCUAGUCCUUUUCCAUGCGGGACAUUAUAUCAUUCAUAUUCUAACACUUCCAUCCAGUAUUGUACUGCUGGAAGUUACUGAUUUCUACUCUCAGGGUACUGUUUAUGUUCUGUUUUUUAACUUGACCUACUUGCAUGCUGUUUUUAUUGGGACAGAAGGAAGAUGCAUCAACUGACUGGAGAGAAUUUACAAGUCCUGAGGGAAGAAAGUAUGUAACUUAUAUAUUUUCUUGGCCUCUUUCCAAUUGUUCUUCUAUAGUGGGUACUUUUGUGUGUUACUUGUGCAUAACGUUGAUUGCUUUGUUUGUUUUCUGUAGGUAUUACUACAACAAGGUUACUAGAACGUCCAAAUGGAGAAUGCCCGAUGAAGUCAAGGUGAUGUUAGAUUUAAAUCCAAUAUGGGUUUGUUCCAUGCUUUAAAUAGCAUGAUAAGAAGGGACAAUAUUCUGUGUUCUUGGAUUCUCUAGUUCUCAUAAAAUCUUUAUGCAUUCACAGUUGCUAGCAUGAUAAGAAGGGGCAAUAUUUAUUUUCUUGGAGACUCUAUUCUCAUAAAGUUUAAUUAUUUAUAAAUUCACAGUUGGCUCAUGAAAAGGACACUAUUUCGCACGCUUCUGAUUUUGGAUCCAUUUCUGUUGUUAAAACAUCAUCCCCGGGUACAGAUGGUUCAUUAGUCUCGGCACACGGUGCUAAAUCAAGCCCAAUUGUUGUGUCACCAGCUGCUAACUUACCAACUAUUAUGGCUUCAGAAUCAUCAAGUUUAUCUGGUAAGGUUUCUUCUCCGAUGAUUGAAACAGUUGAAAUAAAGAAUUCUUCAGAACCUGCUUCGCCAGUUGUUGCUAAUUCGGAGAAAAUUGGAAUAGCAGUAACCUUUGGAAAUUCUAUCGCGCCACCGGUGUAUGUUUUCAGAUUUAUAUUUUAUAAAUUUGCCUCUGGCUUGUGUUGCUUCUUAUUUGGAAUUCAAUUUUUUUGUAGUUCUGAGACUACUACAACUCAAGACGCAGUAGUGUAUGGUGAUGGAUUUUCUUUGGAGAAUAGAGAGGUACUUUGUCUUUCUAAAAUACUUAUGCGAUUAGUUAAUUACUAUUGGUUACUGGUUAAAACACCAAGAAAGCUUUUCCUAGCUGUUAUGCUGGAUGUUGAUCCAACAAUUUUGUAGUGCAGUUGUUAGUCAACUGCUAACAGGUGAAGAAUAUGCUCCAAAUUCCGAUGAGGUUUGCUUUUGUUCUUUGUGCUUGAUGUUGUGCCUAAAAUGCAGAAUAUCAAGAAAGAUGCUGUAAUAACUGAAAUCGGAGGUGCUACUCCAUCAGAUGAGAAAACAGUCAAGCGGGGACCAUUAGUUUAUGAUAGAAAAGCGAUAUAGUUGAUUAUUGCUUUUUGUCCCGUUUAAUGUAUGUUCUCGAAAUUUCUUAUUUCUAUUUUAAGUAUCUGAUUUUAUUUAGGAGGAAAAGAGUGCAUUCAAAACUCCUUUGGAAUCUGCAAAUAUUGGGUCCAAUUGCAUAUGGGAUCAGGUUUAUUACUUGACUAUUUUCUGCGUACCAAACAAUUAAGAGAGAUCAUUUGACAUGAAUUGUAUUUGUCAGGCCAUGAGAGCAGUAAUUAAUGACCGGAGAUAUGGUGCUCUAAAAUUCCUUUGUAAGCGGAAGCAACCUUUUAAUGAGGUAUCUCUCCAAGUCAGCAUUAGAAUGGGUUAAUUGUUGCUACAAUGUUUUAGCAUACCGUAUUGCAAAAAGAUAGGUUGUGUUUGAUAUCCAAUUGUUUCAUGUUUGGUUGACUUAAAUAUUUAGGAAAAUGUUUUCCAAAUCAACUUAUUUUCCUUAAAUUUAAUCCCUUCAAAAAGUAGGAAAAACAUUUUCCAAAAUUCUCUUUCAAUCUCACUCUUAAGUUGAAAUGUUUAUACAACUCUCAAAUGUAUUUUCUGAAAAAUAUUUUUCUAUUCACCAACCAAACACUAGAAAACAUUUUCUAAAAAAUGUUUUUCUUUCAUCAACCAAACAUAAGAAAACAAGUAAGAAACCAACUUGCUUUCUAGGAAAACAUUUUCCUUCAUACCAAGCACAUCCAAGGUCUAUGGUGAUCAUUUUGAAGUUGUGUAACUGUUCCAGUAUCUUAGCCAAAAGAAAAAACUGGAAGCUGAAGAGAGGCGUGUUAAACAGAAAAAAGCUAGGGAAAAUUUCAGGAUAAUGUUAGAAGUAAGUGAAAUUUUCUUUUGUGGGUGUCUUCCAUUUGAUAUAUCAUGAUAUUCACAUUACCAAUUUCAAAAAUAAAAAGAUAUUAUCAUAAUAUUCAUGAUGUGUUAGAGACUGGUAUUUGACUUGUUCAAAAGAAUGUGGUAUUUUUCACAACAAUGUCCGUUGUUCUUAAUCUUACAGGAUUGCAAGGAGCUGUCACCUUCGUCAAGAUGGAGGUUUGUCUUUCACUUGUAAUGUUAAGUUUUCUGCUGCUUUUUUUCUAAUCUUCGUCAUUGUUUGUAUAUGUUUUGGUACCUUGAAGUUGAUCCAUUACUUGUGUAAGUUCCAUUUGAUCCACUAACUAUUUGCUAUUGAUUAUUCAGUAAGGCAAUCUCCAUAUUCGAACAUGAUGAACGUUUUAAAGCUGUUGAGCGAGCUAAAGACUGUGAGGACCUUUGUGAAGAUUAUGUAGAGGAACUUGAGAAAAAGGUGAAGCUCCUUUUGCAGAACUUUUUUGUAAGCUUCUAUAUGUUAAAAACUAAGUGUGCGGACUGUAGUUUUCUUAUAUGGUCUUUGGCUCCUCACAAAUUGAAUUAGCCUUUCAUUUGAGAUAGAAACAAGGUCCAAUUUAUUAAACAUGGUAUUAAAGGCAGAUCUAUCUUGAUGUUAGACUAUUAGAUGUUAGCCAACCUAGGUUAACUGAUGCUACAAAUGUCUAGUCUUGGUGUGCAAUUAAUGUACGCGAAUCCCACACGAGUAAGGUGUAUGUGUUGUAGUUUCCUUAUAUGAUCUUGGACAAUCUUCACCACCUGACCUAGUUUUGAAAGUUGAUUUAGGCGUUGAUGCACUUGAUUAACAACAGUCAUUCCAUUCCUUUCCUUAGCAGGAUGUCUUUUAGUCUGUUCCCUUUUUUGUUUUGCUUAAAGAGUAGAAAGAAGGAAUGUUGUAGCUAUUUAACUUCAAAUCUUGUUUUCUUUGAAUACAUUUUUAACGGCUUCUCAAGGGUACAAUAUUUAAAUUUGUUCACCAUUGAAUUCCAAUUUAAACAGACUUCCCUGUAUUGUAUGUAAUUUUUCUUGAAACUUGAAACUAUGAUAUGCUUCUUCCUCUCCCACCUCCGUUGUAAAAUAGAAAAAGUUUUUCAAUACUUUCAUGCAAGUGUAGUUAAAGUCUCUUUGUAAAUAUUGUCUUCUUUAUAGAGAAAUUUUAUUUUUUUUACUUUGUACUGGAUUUUAUUAGGAGCAUACGAAGGCAUUGGAGGAGCAGAAGUGCAAUAGAGUGGAGUACUUAGAAUUUUUAAAAUCCUAUGAAUUUAUUAAGGUAUUUGUUCUAGUGGAAUUACAUCAGUUCCUAGAUUAUAUUUUUCUAUUUCUAGGAGAUAGAACUUCCAUAGUUCCAUUAUUGCUGACUACUUUUGUUUAGGCCAGUAGCCAGUGGCGGAAAGUUCAAGACCGCUUGGAAACUGAUGAAAGAUGCUCCCGCCUUGAGAAAAUCGAUCACUUGGAGAUUUUCCAGGUACUAAUCAUUUUUCUAAUACAUCAUAAAUAACUUUUUCCAAACAUCUCAUUUAUACGCCUCAGUUUUAAAGUUAUGUUGCAACCUUUUCUGUUUUAAGAAUAUAUACAUAAUUUAGAGAGCGAAGAGGAGGAGCAAAGGAAACUGCGGAUUGUAUAUUUCUUAUUAGACUCGGGGGUUAAAAUUAAAUUUAUGUUUGGAGACUUUGAUUUAUUUCUUUCUCACUGGGUAUACACCGUUGAUUCAAAUAAGAAGAAUUGAGGAAAGCUGAACGUAAAAAUCGUGAUGAGUUCCGAAAAUUAAUGGUAGAGCAUGUUGUUGCAGGAUUACUUAAUGCAAAAACUAACUGGCGUGAUUAUUGCAUCAAAUUUAGUUUUUCUUUCUUGUGUUCAGUAAGUGAUUACCUUCAUGAGUUCCCUUUUCGUCUUUUUUGAAUUUUUCAUCCAAUAAGUUCCUUCUUUAUUUUGUGCUUGCAGAUUAAAGAUUUUGCUACAUAUCUAGCUGUCUCAUCAAAUACUUCAGAAUCAACAGCAAAAUACUUAUUUACAGAUAUUAUGGAUGGGCUGGAGAAAUAGGUGAAAUAGGUUGCUAAUAGGAGUAUUGAAUUGUGUCAACUACAUUUGUUACACUAAGCCAUAUUUAUAGACUUUACACUACAAUCCCUUUUUAUUUGCUUUCAGUUAAUGAAGGUUUGAAUCUGAAUGUUUAAGAUAUCAGCCCAUUAAGUUCUUCUUUUAAAAAAAAGAUUCAACCGGUUAAUACAUCUUAAUGAAUCAGAUGUUAAACAAAGUCUGAAAAUAAUUUAGAUCCUCACUAAAAAGUUCAAUUCAUUCGGUAAAAAGGGAAGGUAGUGCAUUACUAUGUGGGAAUAUACUGGGUUGGUUGUUGUUGUUGUUUUUGUGCAUUAAAGAAUAGAACAUACUUGGUAGGAUAAAAGGAUGAGAUUGAGAUUUCAGAGUUACCCCACUGCUUGCUUUUUUUCUUUAAAUAACACAUAUUUUGUUGAGAUAAGAACAAUGACCGGUUGUUCCUAUUAAACAUCUGUGUUGUUUCUCUUUAUGCCAAUUAGUUUCCUCUUUUUUUUACUAGAUAGUACGUAUUUAGGCUGAUAGGAAUGAUAUUGUCGUAAACUUUUAAGUUAGGGGUUCCAUGCUUUUAAUGUACUAUAGAUAUAGAUGAUUCUUUCAAUCUAUCCAAGCUAUAUUAAAUGCUACUUCAUGGACAAUUGUAAUUGACUUCUCCUCUGUUGAAUGCUGUUAGUGGUUAUAUUACCUUAAUUGUUAUAGUUUCUCGAGCAGAACAACUUUGAGAAGUGAUCAUCAAACUUCCAAGUUUUAACGUAGUUUCUUUGACUUUCGAGGACUCCUUUAAAGUAUCACUCAACCACACCAUUGUGUUUCAGCUAAGACUGCAUUUGUUUUUAUUAAUAUUCAGACAUUUGAAUCAUUUUGAAUGCACAUCUGAAUGGUUAAGAUAUUGUCUCUAGAUCUGAAAACUAAAUGAUUAAGAUUGGGUGUUUUUCAAUAUCUGAAUGUGCAAAGUUUAUUUAUUUCUAAAUAUAAUAUAAUUAUAUAUUAGAAAUUUUUUUAAAUUAAUGCAAUUAAAUUAUUAUUUGAUUAAAAAAGGAAACAUUUAUGUUUGUUAGUGAUAGUGGAGAUGGUUUGUAAUAGUGGUGGUGGUUGUAAUAAAUUAAUUGAUGUUAGUGAUUAGCAAUGUUGGUGAUGAUAGUUGUGAUAGCAGAGAUAGUUGGCAUUAUAGUAACUGUCAUGAUAUUGGCGAUUGGUAGUGGUGGUGGUGGUUGAGAUGUGAAGUUGGUUAAUGUUAGUAGUUGGAGGUGUUGGUCAUGGUGACAGAAAACUAUAUGCAUGAUGGUUGACAAUAUGUUAGUGGUUGUUGGAGACGCUGUUAGCUGUGAUGGUGGAAUAGUUGUUAGUACAGAUACUGUAGCGAGUGUAGCGGAUGGUGGUGGUAGAGGUGGUGACGCCGGUGACAGUGGAGGUGAUGGUGUCCGAAGAAUGUGUGGAAGUUGAUGAUGUGUUAGUGGUUGUUAGCGAAGUGUGGAAGUUGAUGAUGUGUUGGUGGUUAUUAGUGGUAGUGCUAGUUCUGAUAGAUAAGUUGGUUGGUAGUAGGGAUCAAUCGGUAGCAGUUGAUGGUGACGGCAUUGGAGGUAGGGGUGUUCAUGGGUCAAUAUGGGUUGGUUAUUGGUCAAAACCAUAACCAAACCAACAUAAUCGGUUUUUAAAUUUCUAAAACCAAACCAAACAAAACAAAAAAAUAACCAUCGGUUUGGUUCUUGUAGGUUUAGUUCGGUUUGAUUCGGGUUUUUUGGUUUAUAACUUUAGUUAAUGAUAAAAGUUGAAAGUUUUAAAAAACAAAUCCAAUCUAACAUAUGAGAUGUCAACCGAGUGUUGUAUCUCAAUCUUGAAACUAUGAUGUCAACUGAGUGUUAUACUUUGGCAAAGCCAUGAUAACACCAUAUGAACGCUUUUAAAAAAUAUUUAAAAACUAUAUAUAAUAGAAUGAUAUGAUAAACCCCCAAAAGCUGAACACAUAAACUUCUUGCUCAAAAAGGUUCAAAAGAAAGUUAAAAUUAGUGAUUGUGUAUAGUCUAAUGAAUUUUAGCUGUAAAUUUCAAUAAAUAACAAGAUAUUAUUUUCACAAUUAGUAUCAUUUGUCAUUCAAAAUAUGAAAUUCAUUUAGAAUCUCAUAAUGUAUUAUCAACUAGAUGAAGACAUAUGAGUGAAUGUGUUACGACUAAAGUUAAAUCAUGAUUUUAAUAUAAAAUGUAAUAAAUAUUUAGAUUACAUUUAUGAAAAACAUAUAAAUAAUUAUAAUAUAUAUGUAUAUCGGUUUGGUUUGGUUAUUUUGUCGGUUAUUUUAGAGUAAAACCAACAAAUUAGUAUCGCUUUCUUAAAAUUCAAAUCCAAACCUAACCUAACCAAAUAUUGAUUUUUUUUAACCAGUUUGGUUUGGAUCACGGUUCAGAAUUUGCCUCUGAAGAGGUAGUUGAGAUGUAAUGAAAGUAAAGGCUUAGAAAAGAUUAGCCUCAGCAAAAGUACCUGAGAGCAUCUCUGUUUCUCUAAAUAAAGUUGCAUCUCCCUCACUAUGAUUUUUUUGGCCGUAAUACACACUUGCGACUAACUAAAUGAUAUAUUGUUUCAUCCUCUGCCCUUUCUGAAAAGAAUUGAAGUUGAAUGAUCAAAUGUUAUUAGCAUUUAUCUCCUUGCUUGAUGAAAGAGAGAGUUUACCUGGUAUCCUAGCAUGGUAAUGAUCCUGUUUGUAUUCUUAUUCAAUGAUUGAAUUUGGUAAUAUUUUCUUGAGUUAGGAUCUUGCUAUGGGAUGGUGAGAGUUAUACAUCAACUCAGAUGCUGAAAAUCUUUUCUUUUUCCCUUGUAAGAUAAAGAUGUCAACUUUUAUCUUUAAAGUUUGUAUUACUUUUUGUGUGCAUAAAUGAUUCUUAUUAAGUAAAUAUAACGAAAGCGCUGUUAACAGAGAUGCUAUCCAUUUUUAUUUAUUCACUUUUUUUCUAUUAUCCAAACAGGGGUGCUUGAUUUUUCCUUCAAUUUAACCUGAUCAGUGCCAUUAAGUUUAUGUGUCAAGUGUCUUGUGAUAUUGUAGAUGACUUUGAACAAGUGGAGAAAUGUUGGUAUUCAUGAAAGAAAUUUCAUCCCCAUCACCCUGCUUGUAAUUUAUAGACUUUAUGGUAACUCAAAUGCAUGGACAAGGCUCCAUUUGGUAUCUAUUUUUUUUACUGAUAAGCAUUCUGAAUUUGUGUUACUUGUAUGUUGCUUCAGUAUCUUGAUGACAAGUCACAAAUUAAAGAUUCAGUUAGGAUGGCCGAGGUAAUCACCACUCUUCAUUUUAACCUCUGUUGUGCUUCGAUUAGUACAUAAUAUUUUGGCUGAGCUGUCUCUACUUUCAGAUUGGAUUGACAUCAGCCUGGACGCUUGAUGAUUUUAAGGUUGCAAUCACCAAGUAUAUUAGCUCUCCACCAAUGUCAGAUACCAACUUAAAGGUCUAAUUAUGGCUAAGCACUGUAUACUGUUUCACAUCGACCCAUGCUGAAUUGAAUGUUGUGAAAAUUGAAGUACCCCAUUCACUAAAUGGAUUUCUAUGUAUUUGUCCCCUUUUUGUCUUUGGGACAGGUCCUGCAUAAGAUGAUUGGAUUGAGUGAAAAAGCAUUAGUAGUACUUCCAUGUUAUGUUUCACUGGAAGUCGGUCAGUUUAUGAUUGCUAAAUUGGCAACUCGUAGGUAGUCAACUGUGGUUAGUGGCAUUUUCCUUUAGUAUCAAGCAUAACCUAUCCCACAUUAAAUUUGGAUCUUCUUAUAAUGGAUUUAAUAGAAGAGUUGUAUGUUAGUUAGCAAGUAAGCCUGAAACCUUCAAGAAUAAAGACGAGGACCACAUUGAUCAAAUAUUUGGUGUUAGCUUUUGCUUCCAAUUCUUCAGUUUUGGUACCAUUUUCCUUAGUUUUUAUUUACUGGAUGACGGUGUUUAAUAUUACACCUACCGAACAUAUCUUAAGUUGCUUAAUUCAAAGAAUUUGCUUUGUAGUUUUCUGUUUUUACGGUUAGUGGAUAAGAGUUUUACUCUACGAAACUGGUUAAACAGCAUAACUAGAUGAUAUGAACGAUCAUUUGCUAUUUUUGUAAUGAGGAUAUUCUUCAUAUAUCAUUUGGAUUUUGGAGGUUAUUUAUGGUCAUGGCGUAUAAUCUAUGUAUGUGGGAAGAGGGAAUUGCAAGGAAUAUCUUGCCGAAGAAUUAUGCUUAGACGGUUGGGUCUCUUAAGGCUUUUAGUUUACUUUCAAUGGCUCAAAACUUUUGUAAAGCAUUUUAUCAAACAUCUAGCAGAUGAGUUCUAUGAACUUCUUCAUGCAUCAAAGGUAUAGUAAACAGUUUACAAUCUCUCACAUUGCAAUGGAUGGGAUCCCAUGAUAUUUUCUUUAAACCAUAAUCUAUUUAUUUGCUGUGGUUGCAGGAAAUUACUGCAUCAUCAAAAUGGGAGGACUGCAAAUCCCUCUUGGAGAUAGGCAAGUAGCUUCUUUUGCUUUUAUUGAUCUAGAAUUAGUAACACGAUUGCAAGGACCAUUGGAGAAUGAUAAUUGAUAUUAUUUUCAAGGACCAACUCCUUCAAUAUUCUAAACUCAGUAAUUCACAUAGUUAUAGAAUGUACCUUAGAAUAAUAGAUGUGUUGAAUGAUUUGUUGUUUUAUAUUCCUCAACAUUUAGGUAGACUAUUUGUUUAUAGUAUUAGCAUGAAUUACCAUUUUGCUAAGUGAUUUUUAAUGUUGAACUUAUCCCUCUAGAAAUUGGUUGAUGUCAAUUAUUAGUUGUUCCAACACUGGGCGUUUAAUAGCUCUAGCAGUUAGUUUUAAAAUUUCUGACAUUUGUGAUUGUUUUAGUUUUUUAAUUUCUAGCAUUUGUGAUUGUUUCACGAUUCUGAUGAAGUAUGCUGCUAAAUCUCUAGUUUUAAUUUGUGUAGCCUCGUUGGCUAUAAAAUGAAAUGCUCUGGAUUUUUACUUUUUUAUUCAUAAUCUCAUGAUUCUCAUUAUGUCGUAACAUUGAAUUUGAGUUUCUUUGCUGUUAUUAUUUUACAGAAUAAUGGGUGAUGAGGGCUUGCUGUUUGAAAUAUUUAACAAAUUUGUUAAUGAACUAAAAGAGAAGGAGCGCAAGCGUCAAGAGGAUAAGGUACUUGAAUUACUACAAACCCUUAUUCUUUUGCUACUUUCGGGUAGGGGUAGUAGAUGUGUGGUUGUGAUUGUGGUUGAUAUUGUUUUGCGAAAAUUUUGACUUUUUGAGAGUCGCCACUUAAUUUUGAAAAGGAAUUAAGAAACUUUUAGAGAAUUACUGCAAACGAUUCAAAAUAGAAAAAUCAUUUUUAAGUUAGAGAUUCUAGAUAAGUGGUUCCUAUUAAUAUUUUAGGAAGGUAUUAGGCACCUAAAAUGUCCACUAACUUGCGGUUAUCCGGACUGUCUGAAAAUCGUCUUUUGAUUAACUUAGAAAAAGUUUAUUUUUUGAAAAGAAAAGCGAUUUUAGGAAUAUUUUGGUGUUUAUGCAAAACCAGUUUUUUAGCGACUUGACUAAGGAUUUUACUAGGUUCGCAAAACACACGUAAAACAAAUAAGCAAAUAGAAAAAAAGGAAAGGGGAGAAGUAGUGAUUUAGGCUUUUAAGCUCAAACCGUCGACCCUGUCCUAAUCUAGUUAGGUUUUUGACCCAUCUUUCACCUAUUUUAAUUUUAUGUUUUCGAGCCCUUUUCGGCUCGAGUCUCGCUCCACCUGUUUUAAAUUUACAACUUUGGCUUCGAGGGUCAAAUGAAUAAAUAAAUAAGUCACUAAAUAAACAAAAAUAUAAAUAAGUAAAUAAAUUAAUAAUGGAAACAAUGGAUAAAUAAAUCAAUAAAGAAGAAAUAACGAGAUUUUCAAGUCCCCUUUGCCGCUUCAAAGAUGGAACUUUAACCCAUUCUUCUUUCAAUUCCUCGUAUCCAUACGCCAUGCGAUGGAUUCUUGGAUUUUCUUUUUGGCUUAACUCGGAAGGAUAGGCCUCAUUGGCCCAUUUAUGAAAUGCAAAGAGAGAAGGGGCCCAUUUGAAUUCCAAGGGGGGUGCAUGCAAAGAAAGGAAUGAAGAAAUUAACAUACGUCCAAGAUUUUAACAAUUAAUAAGCUAUAGCAUUCCUGCUUCAUUCAAAUACACUCAUACACAGGUAAAAAUGCNNNNNNNNNNNNNNNNNNNNNNNNNNNNNNNNNNNNNNNNNNNNNAUCAAUUAAAGAAAUUUCAACUACAGGAGGAAAUAAAGCUUCAACAAGAAAUUCUUAUGGUCUUUAGCGAAAUAAAGAAAAUAAUUUAUCACUUUAAUGCCACAAAAGGACACAAUGAAGCAUGUCACAAAAAAGAGUUACAACUCCUGGAUCAUACUACAUAAACGAUGGAUCGCAAGCAACGUUCAAAUUGCAAAAUGCCAAACAUACAAAAUUAAAGACUUAAUCACUUUAGGCAAGGAAUAUGAUAGCUGGAACUUCAAGAAAAGCAAGGCUGAAAUCUUAAUGCCUUUGUUAAUCAUAAAUUAACAAACAAAUGAGAUUCAAACACUACAUAAACCCAAUUUUAGGUAAUUUAAUCAUGAGACAACAUGCCACAACUUAUAUGCGAACAAGAAAAGCAAGAAAGGAAAGAAACAUUAGCUCGUCAAACUUUAAUUUGUUCUCAUGAGUCAAUUACAGCAAAUUGAAUUAGCCAUGAAAAAAACAUAAUUCAGCCCUAUGGUCCACUCUUAUAUUUUAAAAUAAACUUUAGAAUCAAAUGAGACUAUUGUACAUCGAGAGUGGCAAGUCGGAAGAAAAUAACAUUCGAGUUCUUAUUUAUAACAAUUUCCUGCAUUUGAGCAAAAAAGAUAUGUGAACAGGCUGCCUAAUAUCUAUUCUUUGAACAUUUUUUUGAAUUUAGAAAAUACGUAAAUAUUUUAUUCUCCUACUCUGUGACUACUAAUCAACAUCGAAUAUGAGACCAGCAAAAUAGUUUUUAAAGUCGAAGCAUUAAAGCUAACUAGUAACAUUCAAAUAGAAUAAAAUGAGAGAGAUCAAGCAUGAACGACAGCCAAUCAAACAUGGGCAAGAAUGAGUUUUUUAGUAGAACAAUAUAUCAAACACGAAAAUCCUAUGUCUUCCAGGCCUCUAUAGUAGUCAUUCCCAGCAAACAGAAGUUGAACCACGAAGAAGAAAAUGAUAACCACAACAAAAUUAAAAAGAAGGGUGUGUUUACCUCUUUCGGGACAGCAAAAUGGGAUAACGAGCUGACGAUAGGAUUUCGACCACAGAAAAACUCACAACUGCUUCGACAGUUCAGGCGCACCUCCUAAGAAUGUAUGUUUCUUAGGCAUAAAGAGAAUAUUUUUUCCCUCUGAGAGCCCCCCUUUCUAACCCCUUUUUUUGUGUAUUUCUGAAUUUUUGAAGAUUUUCGCUAACCCCAAAUUUUCAACCCAAAACUUUUGAACCCCCUUUGCCUCUACAAUUUUGAAUGAAGAGGAGAACCCAUAAAGGAAAGAAGAGGCCGGUGAAAAAAAUUCCAAAAUCCCCAAAAAAAUCCCUUUUUCUUGCUCUAAGUAGAGCUAUUUGUAGAAGGGGAUUGAGGGUUCAUUUUUUAGAUUCAAAAGAUCCGGACCCUAAUGAACUAUACCUUUAUCUUGAUUUUCUUGAACGGAAUUCCGAAAAGUGGCCAAUAGAAAUUGAUAGAAAGGGAAUAAUCUUCACAAGCCAAUGAAAAUACUCCACCUAUGUACGAAUUCGUAAACCUCUAUCCAAGAAUUUUGGGAUUUGAACAUUGGAUGAGACACCUAAGUGUGUUUCUAGAAGAUUCUCAGCAUUUUCUCAUAUGGAUUCGAGUGGAACGCGCGUGAUCAUAAAGAGGAAAAAGUAAACGGGUUGGAUUCAAGUGCUGCAUACUAUUUGAAGUCAUCCGCACCUGUGGUUUUGAUUUGAGAUUUUCAUCCUCUCAGAUGCUCUCGACAAUGCUUCAAGCAAAAAGUGUUAGUGCUAAACAUAAUUCACGAAAGAGGUAUAUAGUCUUUUACCAUAUCUCCACAUGAGCUAUGGCCUGAAAAGCGGAGUCAUCUCUUUAUGUACCUAUUUGGAAUAAAAUAACCGGCAAUACCAAACACAACAACCCUCUUGGUUGUUAUAUAAUUAUGACAUUUGUCGGUUGAAUAUAUCUUCAAAGUGGGUGGCCCUUUUGGACACCGGCGAUACUUUAUGCAGAACGAUCUCUACAAUCGUGUAAUCUUGUGCUGGUGUGGCAACCCUUUGGGUACUUAUAUCAUUUGUUGCAUGUGGAAUGAUAACCUCUCUAGUUAUAGCCGAUGAUCGAUUUAUAAAUUUCCUUUAAAUUAUCAAUCUUUGGGUAAUAUUACGCAUUAUUUGAUGUUGGAUACGAGGCGACUUACAGAUAUCCUUUUGAUUUCUAGCUUUUAGAUAAUCUUGCACAUUAUCUGACUUUGAAUAAGAGAUGGCUUACAGAUAUCUCUCCAAUCACUAGCUUUCAGGUGUUCCUACACAUCAUGCGACCUUGGAUACAAUAUGACUUAUAGAUAAUCCCUCAAAUUGUUAGUCUUUGGGUAAUCCUACACAUAAUCUAUCUUGGAUAUGACACGGCUUGUAGAGAACCCUUAGACGUAUCAAUUUGACAAUCUUGCAUAUGCUCCGAUAAGGAUUUAGUUGCCACUUAUGGAUAACCUUUGAACUAUCAAUUUUUGGGCGAUCUUGCACACUGUCCAGUUAGGAUGUUGUUGUGGCUUACAGAUGACCUACAGGCUAUCAACUCAUAGGUGAUCUUGCACACUAUCCUAUUUCAAAUAAUAUGACUUAUAGAAAACCCUCAAAUUGUCAAUUUCUAUGAAAUCUUAUAUAUCAUUCAUUCUUAGAUAGCGACUUAAAUGCGUCCCUUUAAAUCGUGUGCUCUUGAUGCAUUCAGAUGCUGAUUCAUAAAAUGAUAAGAUAUCCUCGAUGCCAGCAUUUAUGUCUUGCGUGUCAACAGAUAUAAAAUGAUGAUGAUAUCCUCGACGCCAGCGUUAUUGCUUGUCAACAGAUAUAUUAAAUAGUGAUGAUAUCCUCGAUGCCAAUAUUAUGUCUUGCGUGUCAACAGAUAUAUUGAAUGCUGAUGAUAUCCUCGACGCCAGCGUUGUGUAUUGCGCGUCAACAGAUAUUGUAUGAUGAUGAUAUCCUUGGUGCCAGCAUUGUGUCUUGCAUGUCAACAAAUAUUGUAUGAUGAUGAUAUCCUCGACGCCAGUGUUGUGUCUUGCGUGUCAACAGAUAUAUAAUAAUAAUGAUAUCCUCGACGCCAGCGUUGUGUCUAGCACGUCAAUAGAUAUUGAAUGAUGAUGAUAUCCUCGUCGCCAGCGUUGUGUCUAGCACGUCAAUAGAUAUUGAAUGAUGAUGAUAUCCUCGUCGCCAGCGUUGUGUCUAGCACGUCAAUAGAUAUUGAAUGAUGAUGAUAUCCUCGAUGCCAGCGUUGUGUCGAGCGCGUCAAUAGAUAUUGAAUGAUGAUGAUAUCCUUGAUGCCAGCGUCAGGGUCUUGCUUUCUGCAUAUACCUGUACUCAAGGUAGAUGAUUAGUAGACACAAAUUUGCUUUUGCUAGCAACUAUUUUUCUUAGAAAAUUCUAAAUACAAUAUUUGUAAAGAAGACAAGACAUUUUUGUUUGUCCUCCAUGAUCUCAAGAAAUGAGAUGGACAAUUCGAAAGGUCGUCAAUAAAUGGGUGUUGAGCCGGUUUUUCGGCUACCAAAAGUACCGUUAUAAGCCUUAUAUGCUUUGUCAUGGCUCCCGACUUGCUUGGGGAUUUUUCGAAAGAAACACUUAUUUUGUGUAUCGAUCCCUGCAUCCACAAAAAAUGAUUAGUUUGAAAGAAACUACUCCGUGCUGACCUCCUACGAUCCUUGAUUUUCCCUCGCCAUCUUUUAGGUAUUUCAUCAUAUUGGGACUUCUACCCCUGACUCCCCGUCCUAAUUGAUGUCUAGGCAAUCACUAAGUAAAAGAUUUAUAUAGAUUUUUUUCAAAGUACUCUUAAUUUUUUAGAAAAUAGUUUCGAGAACUCCUGGAAAACUUCGAAAAAUCUCUGCCAGUCAUGUAGUACUAUCCAAAUACCUCAUAAUUUGCUACAUACCUUCUCAUAAGUAGUACUAGUUUACAACUACCAACAAAAAAAGUCAAGGGGUACGGUCACAUAAUAGACAUGAUCAACCUUAAUCUGAUAUUAUAACCCCAUACGAUCUUAUCUACUUAUGUGGAUUUCUCACCUCAUACUUACUUACUCAAGCAUACAUUUAGACUUCCUUUAAAUUCCUCAAACAACCAUGAGUCUAUAAUCAUAACUUACUCGCUAAUAUAGCCAUUUUUCACAUUCAAGCAACCAACAAAUCACCCUGACUAACAACUCCUUCUCUACCUUAUACUAAACUAAAUCACAAGGACGAAUCACCUCUUUACCAACUCCAUCUUAUGCGAAUAGAUUCAUCCAUAAAUAUAUUAAACCAACAAAAGAACAACAAGUUGCUAGUGAAUCGAAUAGGCCUCACACGGCUUCACUAGACUUUGGUUUUGUAUUUUGAACAAGAAAAUGAGAUGGAUGACAAGGCAACUAUGCUAGUGAAUCGAAAGAGCCCCACACGGCUUCACUAGUCUUUAAUUUUUUUUUUUUCAAAAACACCAUGAUAACAAGAUUACAUAUUACAAGAGAUAGGAAAUUGACACAUAAUAUUUAAUGGUCUAAGAAUACACACCUUACUCUGUACAAAUAAAAAUCUGAGUAAAAUACUUCCCCCAUGGACUACCAUACCAUUCACACGUGCGACUAGCUACCACAUUAGUUUAUCACUAUAAAGGGGUAAAUCAUCCUCAAAUAUCGGUUAUUCAACUGAAAUAUUCAUUUACACCAAAAAUCACCCUUACUCUGACUUCUAACUUUGUGACUUCACAUCACUAACUUCUUAAUCUAAUUUCAUUACCGAUAGGUCAUGACAACAAUAAUUUAACUUAUGCUACUAUUCAGGCGAAAAUACAGUUCCAACAUUCUGCUAUACACCGUCCACAUCUGUAUCAAGAUUUUUGGGAGGGACUAGAUGCACUUAAUACCUUAAGCUGGAAAGCAUGAUUCCAUCAGGAUCAAUGUUUACAUCAGAAUCAACACAUAUUGAAGCACCAACAGACUCCUCUUGAGUCUUUACAUAAUUUUUUUCUUAUAUGACACAAUCAGAAAAGACUAUAUCAUGUAGAUUCUAAACUUUUUCACUUGAAUCACCCCAAUAAUAGGACAUGUAUGAGAACAUCAGAGUAAGGAAAGAAUUUGGGAUGAAUUUACCUUCAUAUGGGAGAUACCAUAGCAUGAAUGAUAGUAAUUCGUGUUAUUUUUAAUACAUUGAAUCAAAUACUGUAUAAGAAACAACAACACCCAAUGUAUUCCCACUUAGUGGGGUCUGGGGAGGUUAGUGUAUGCAGAUCAUAUCACUACUCAGGUGAAGUAGAGAGGAUGUUUCCGAUAGACUCCCAGCUUAGGAUAAUAAUAAUAUACCAAACAUAAAAGAUAAAUACAUAUAAACUAAUACGAUACGCAAAAUAAAACUAACAAUAUAACAAAUAUCAAAGAAGAUGUAUAUAAACUAGUACCGUAUGAAAAAAUAGCCAAUCUACCAAGAAGUGUCAGCUUUGUGUUGGGUGGUUGGUAGUCAAGAAAGUGUCAGCUUUCCCAAAAAGAAAAACCCCAAUAAAGAAAGAAGUCCCUCCACUUUCACCAUUGAUUCAAUGUUAUUUUUAAUACGCAGAAUCAAAUACUGCGUAAGAAAAUAAAAGCAUAAUUAAUGCAAAUAUUAUUAAUAUAUCAUAUUUUACAUUAUUUUUAUAAAAUAAUAUUUUAUAUUAUUUUUAUAAGAAAAUACUCUAAUUAAUUUAAUUGAAAUUAUAUAUUUAUAUAAUAAAGGAGGAUAGUCUGGCCUAAAACUAAGACAAGUUUCAUAUUGAGAACUACCUAUUUGAAUUUUUACAACAAAAAACCAUUAUUUUAUAACAAAAAGCUAUUUUGUUAAUUAUUAAAAUAUUUAAUAUUAUUUCAUAUUUCCUAUUUAAUAAAUUACAUUUCAUAUGUUUUUAAUAAUAGUAUUAUAAAAAAAAAAAUAUGAAUGAUUUCAUUACAAUUCACUAAAAGAAAUAUUACAAGAAAAAAAUAUUUAAGAGAAAAACCAAUUAAUAAAUAGUAACUGAUCAAUUUAUAUAGAAAAUAUUGUAAUCAUUCUGAAUAAAAAAUAUUAAAAAAAGGUGUCAUCCCUCAAAAUAAUUAAGUUUGACCUAUUUUUGUAACCAAAUAAAUGAAUGAAUAUAAGAAAAUCCGUAAUUAGGAAAAAAAAAUAAUUGUUACCUUAUUUGAGUUUUUAGCAAAUUAUAAAGAUAAUAAUAAUCAAUUGACUAUAAUUAAAUUAUAAAUUUAUAAUAAAUAUUUGAAACAUAAAUUAGUAAUUAGGAAAAUAAAUAAUUGUUACCUUUUUAAAAUUCUUUCCAAAAUUAAAAAGGUAAUUGAUAUCAAUUUAACGUAAUCAAUCUAUAAAAACAUGAGAAAUUCAUGGGAUUGAAUUUCCGAAAUUUAUGGUAAAUAAAUAUAUAAUAUUAAUAAUAAUUUUAUCGCUAUCAAAUUAAUUAGAUUAAAUUGAACUAGAAAUUAGUUAAUAUUGACAAUUACUUUAAUAAAAAAAUAUAUGGAAAUAUUUGUAAUUGAUAUGCAUAUAUUGGUAAAUAAAAACAACGAACCCUGACUACUACUUUAGUAAUAAAUAUAUUUUAAAAUUUACAUACAACAUUAAAUUUAAGAAACUUGAGUCUAUAUAUUAUGAUCAUAAAAUUGAUUCUAAUUAAUGGAAAUUAGUUGAUUGUAUAGUUUUAUUACCACAAUUUUGUACAUCAUUUAUUUAAUAAAAAUAAAUAUAAUUAAUUAAUUGAUUUUGUGCAAUCUACUAUGAUUUUAUUAAUUCAAAUGAAAUGAUUUUUAAAUUAUAGGUUUGGAUUAUAAAAAUAAAGGUGAUUAUUGUAUGACUUUAGCAUUUCUUAUGUAUUAAAAAAGAUUUAUAGACAAAAAAAUGUCAUCCCUCAAAACAACUAAAUAAUCAAAUUGUAAAUUGAUAAGAAAUUUUUGAGAGAUAAAGCAGUAAUUAGGAAAAGAAAUAAUCGUUACCUUUUUGAAAUUCUUCCCAAAAUUAUAAAGGUAAUUAAUAUAAAUUUGAUAUAACCAAACUAUAAGAAUAUGUGAAAUUCAUGGAAUUAAAUGUUUGAAAUUAUAAAAGUAAUUAAUAUCAAUUGUUUCCAUAUUUGAGUCCUUUAUGUAAUUAUAGAUUAAUUAAAUAUAAGCAAGCUAUAAAAUUAGGAUAGAUUUAUGGUAAAUAAAUCUAUAAUAUUAAUAAUAAUUUUAUUGUUAUAAAAUUAAUUAGAUCAAAUUGGGAUAGAAAUCAUUUAAUAUUGACAAUUAUUUUAAUAAAAAAUAUAUGCAAAGUUUCACAAUUGAUAUACAUAUAUUGGUAAAAAAACAACGAACACUGACUACUACUUUAGCCAUAAAUAUAUUUUAAAAUUUGCGACAUUUAAUUUAAGGAACUUGAGUCUAUAUAUCAUGAUCAUAAAAUUGAUUCUAAUUAAUUGAAAUUAAUAAGUUGAUUGUGCAAUUUUAUUACAAUUAUGUUGUACAUCAUUUUUUAUAUAAAAAUACACAUAAUUAAUUAAUUGAUUUUGUGCAAGCUACUAUGAUCUUAAUAAUUCAAAUGAAAUAAUUUGUAAAUGGUAAGUUUGGAUUAUAAAAAGAAAGGAGAUUAUUGUAUGCCUUUAGCAUUUCUUAUGUAUUAAAAAAGAUUUAGAGACAAAAGUUGUCAUCCCUCAAAACAACUAAAUUUGAACUAUUUUAGUAAAACAAUAAAAGAUUGAAUAUAAGAAAAUCCGUAAUUUAGAAAAAAAAUAAUUGUUACCUUAUUUGAGAUUUUAGAGAAUUAUAAAGAUAACUAAAUAAUCAAUUGACUAUAAUCAAAUUAUGAAUUAAUAAGAAUUUUUUGAGAAAUAAAUCAAUAAUUAGGAAAAAUAAUAAUCGUUACCUUUUUUAAAUUCUUCCCAAAAUUAAAAAGGUAAUUGAUAUCAAUUUAAUAUAAUCAAUCUAUAAAAAACAUGAGAAAUUCAUGGGAUAGAAUUGCCGAAAUUAUAAAGGUAAUUAAUAUCAAUUGUUUUCAUAUUUGAGCCCUUUAUGUAAUUGUAGAUUAAUUAACUACAAUCAAGCUAUAAAAUUAGGAAAAAUUUAUGGUAAAUAAAUAUAUGAUAUUAAUAAUAAUUUAUAUUUAUCAAAUUAAUUUUAUUAAAUUGAGUUAGAAAUCAGUUAACAUUGACAAUUAGUUUAAUAAAAAUAUAUGCAAAGUUUCGUAAUUGAUAUACAUAUAUUGGUUACAAAAACAACGAACACUGACUUCUACUUUAGCCAUAAAUAUAUUUUAAAAUUUACAACAUUAAAUUUAAAGAAUUUUUUGAGAAAUAAAUCAGCAAAUAGUAAAAAAAUAAUCGUUACCUUUUAAAAAUUCUUUCCAAAAUUAUAAAAGUAAUUAAUAUCAAUUUGAUAUAAUCAAACUCUAAGAAUAUGAGAAAUUCAUGGGAUUAAAUUUUUGAAAUUAUAAAAGUAAUUAAUAUCAAUUUUUUCCAUAUUUGAGUCCUUUAUGUAAUUGUAUUUUAAUUAAAUAUAAUCAAGCUAUAAAAUUAGGACAAAUUUAUGGUUAACAAAUAUAUAAUAUUAAUAAUAAUUGUAUUGUUAUCAAACUAAUUAGAUUAAAUUGCAGUAAAAAUCAGUUAAUAUUGACAAUUAUUUUAAUGAAGAAUAUAUGAAAAGUUCCAUAAUUGAUAUACAUAUAUUGAUUAAAAAAACACAAACAUUGACUACUACUUUAGCUAUAAAUAUAUUUUAAAAUUUACAACAGUAAAUUUAGGGAAUUUUAGUCUAUAUAUUAUGAUCAUAAAAUUUAAUCUAAUUAAGUGAAAUUAAUUAGUUUAUUGUGUAGUCUUAUUACAAUUAUAGCGUACUUUAUUUAUUUAAUGUAAAUAUAUAUCAUUUAUUAACUGAUUUUGUACAAUCUACUAUGAUCUUAUUAAUUUAAAUGAAACAAUUUUUAAAUGGUAAUUUUAGACUAUAAAAAGAAAGGAGAUUAUUGUAUGACUUUAGUAUUUCUUAUGUAUUAUACAAAGAUCUAGAGAUAAAAGAAAUACAAAAUUACAAUAUUUUUGGGUUAUUUAAUUAAUUUAUCACAUAUCAAAAUAUUGUUUAUAUCAAUUCAGUGAUGUUUAUAUAGAAAAGUUAAAUUUUGAAAAAAUAAAUAUCUUAAAUUUCAUAAUUUAAGUUAAUUUGUGUGCUAAUUUGAAAAAGUUAAUUUAUAGUUUACAUUUUAUAUCUUCUAUAUGGAAAAUUUGACCUCAUAUGGCUAUUUAUACCCAUUGAAUAACAAAAAUUAUUUGUUACACUUUUCUUCUCUCUCUCUCAUGGGUAUUUCUCUUGUUUUUCAUUAUGGGUAUGUAAAUAUUCACUUGCCAUAUUUCUGGAUCCUUGUAAAUAUUCACUUUCCAUAUACAGAUCCUUGUAAAUAUUUACUUGCAAUUUACAGAUCCUUGUUAGUUGAAUAUAUGCAUUGUAUGAUGAUGAAUGAAAGACAUAGAAUUUUUUUUUCUCUAUUCUAGUCUUUUGCUAUUUUUACAUUUCAAGAAAAAAUGACAAGAAUCCUACAGAUUCUGACAACCUUUUGCCGGCUCUUACUCUUUCAACUCUUUGAUUCAGUAUUUUCUCUUCUUUUUUUUAAUUAUUUACCAUGAUUAUUUGUUUUAUCAGAAGGAUUUGAUAAGUUCUUUGAAUUGUUUUUGUGCUAUUUGUUUGUGGGGUAUUUGAUUAAUUUUCAGUAGAAGACUAGUAGUAAAUAGUUUUGCGUCAUGUCUCUUCUGGUAGUAGUAUUAGUAUAUAUUUUUAUUUUCUACUUGUUGUAUCGUAUACCUCUAUUUUCUUACUUGCUACUGUUGUUAAUAUCCUCGUGUUUUUGCUUUCCUUGCCGAGGAUUUAUGGGAAACAAAUUUUCUACUUGCCAAGGUAGGGGUUACGUAUGUUGUUGUUGAAGAAGAAGCAUGUAGAAAGAGAGAUGUUUUGCUUUGUCUCAUAAGUAUUUAGUUAGCUUGCAGUAUUUUCAUGAAUGGAUAAUGAUUUGUGAGUGGCUGUUUAUGAGUGUUUUGCUUUGUCCUUUGAAAUCUCAUGGACACUAGUUUGAUUCAUGUACAGUCUCCAUACAUAGAAAUGAUGAAGAACAACUUCUUAAUUUUUCGAUCAUCAACUAAUGAUGCAAACAAGACUCCUUCACCACCAUUAAAUUCCAAGGAAGUUUCUUCUUGGAAGAGUGCUUCAUUGUCAUCUGGAUCCUUCUAUGACAGUGGGUUAGGAAAAAAGAAUUUUAUGGAUCUGAGGAAAUCUCCUCAUUGUCACAGUAAGAAAGUUCAUCCUAAGAAAUUUGGUCAUGAUUCAAGCCGGUAUGCAUAUCAUUUUGCUGUAGCUUUCUUUUUCACGCUUAAACUAAUGUUUUAAUUUGCAUUUGCUUGUCCAAAGUAAUGAAAAAUGUUUAUUCACGGUAGAGACCUUAGCGUUCCAGUGUUGAUUCAGACUAUUAGAAGAUUGACAAAGGAGAAGGUACAAAUGUCUUCUGAAGUUUCAAGCAUGCUACGGAAUCAAGUUGCUGAAAAGGCUUCUGCUAAGGAAGAAGCCAGCAUAUUACAGGCAGAACUAGAUUCACGGACACGAAGAUUGGAGACAGAAAAGAAUGAGUUACAAUCAGUACUAGAAAAAGAGUUGGAUAGAAGAUCCAGCGAUUGGUCUCUAAAGCUUGAGAAAUACCAAAUUGAACGACACAGACUUUGUGAAAGGGCGAGGGAGCUUGUAGAGCAGAAUAUCUCUCUACAAAGAGAUGUCUCUCAUUUAAUGAGAAGAAAGUAGAUAAUAGAAUCAAGAUGUCAUUUUCGGAGAAACNNNNNNNNNNNNNNNNNNNNNNNNNNNNNNNNNNNNNNNNNNNNNNNNNNNNNNNNNNNNNNNNNNNNNNNNNNNNNNNNNNNNNNNNNNNNNNNNNNNNNNNNNNNNNNNNNNNNNNNNNNNNNNNNNNNNNNNNNNNNNNNNNNNNNNNNNNNNNNNNNNNNNNNNNNNGACAACUGUGCUAAGGGAGAAGCUCUAUUCUGAGGAGAUGGACAUAAAGCAACUUCAGGCUGAUCUAGCCACAACAGUUAGAGGUAACGACAUUCUCAAAUGUGAAGUGGAAAAUGCGUUGGAUGCUCUUUCUUAUGCCACACCUAAGUUAAAAUACCUCGAGCUUCAGGUAAGCAGGCAAUGUUAAGAUCUCGUUGUAACAAAAUAGUUUUUAUUUUUCAGCUUUGGAUACCUCAUCUUCAUAUAUGAUAGCCUAUUCGCAUGUUACUCUCUCUGCAUUAGCUUUCUAUUUCUGUUUGAUUUUAGGUUCAUCUUUGUUCCAUCUAAAGUUCACGGUUUUCUUUAUGAACUUGUAUACAUGAGUUGCUGGCAUGUGGUAGUCUUCUGUGAAAUGUCUGAUCGCCUUAAUGUGUAAUCAGUUGAACCUACCAAGAAUAUGAUAAACUUUGUGAUAUCCUCAAACCUAUUGAUCUGAUUGUGCUCUGAUGUGGUAAAGUUACCCGAAGGGGUUUUGGUAAGUUUGCUCAUUCAUCUGACUUAAUUAUUGGACAAGCUCAUGAGUUAUCAACUGUGAAUUUUAAUAGUUAAAAAGGAUUCAUGAUUUGGUUGAACUUCUAGGCUAUGAGUUUGUUUUGAAUUUUUGAUGAAAUGUUAUUGGUGAUCUUUUUGUCUUUCUUGUUUUUCAUGGUUUACGAUUGAUUCUGGCAGGUGCAAAAAAAGGACAAAAAUAUCAACCAUAUCACUAAUGAUUUUCAAGAAUGCAUGAAGGAACUUGGCGUUGUGAAGGCAAUACUACCAAAAGUGUUUCAGGAGAGGGAUUUCAUGUGGGAGGAAUUUAAGAGCUACAGUGAAAAGAACAUGCUGUUGAAUUAUGAGAUCAACAUAUUGAAAAUGAAUAUAGAUACCCUCGAUGAAGACUUUUCUAUGAAAGAGGUUCAAAUGAUAAUCUUAUAAGACUCGAUAGGCAAACCUUUCGACCUUUUCACAAGUCCUGAUUCUCUGUUAGAGUGAUGGAUUCUAAAUGGCCAAACUACAAUUCAUAUUUUGUUCAUUGACUGUAGUGUUCAUACUUCUCGUAUACUUACUGGUUUUACUCUUAUUCUUUUCCCCCUUUUAUACUUGUUAAAUAGAAAGUUUGCUUCUUUCAUUUGCAACCUUUUUGAAUCUCCAAUUAUAAACAUUUCUUUUACUUGCUGGUGAUCAAGACAAUGAACUUCUUUUGCUUCAUUUGGUUUUGUAAGCAUUGGCUGUUUUUUCUCUUAUGAAGUAUUUAAUGAGGAUUGGUGCUACCAUUUUCUUCUCGUCUCUGAGGUAGAGGUAUGGUUUGCAUAUAUUCUGCCCGAAUAUACAUCGAGUAUGUUGUUGCUGUUGUAUGGAGAUUGUGUGUAUAAUAACAAUCAUAUAUUUGAUGUCAGGUCAUCCAUACUUUCAUUCCUUGCAGGGGAAAGCUCAUUAAGCUUACUGAGUUAACUUCUCAUUGAUGUAUUCUUUCACUAAGGUUGUCAGUAGGUAGCUACAAAAAGCACUUGUCUAACUGGGCAGUUCAUGUUCAGUUUGUGCAUAUAUUAAGUAACAUCCAAAUUUUUAACCAUAUAACUUUACCUCAAAAUGAUGCAUGGACCAGAGCUGCUCUUAAAUCUGGUUGGUUGGCAGAAUCUUCCAUUUGAUCUGCAAUCAUAUGCCUGCUUUGUCUCAGUAUAUUUGAUUCUGUUGUACUCAUUCACAUAUGGUUUAUGCCAAGUAUGUGAGACACAUACAGAAGCCUCUAGUUUCAUCUUCUUUAUAUAGUUUUAAACUUCAUUUGACUUGCUAUGAGGGAGUUCCACCCUACCUUCUGAUCAUUCUUUCAGAUACCCUCUUUCAUUUUCCUUCACCUCCUUCCAGUACCAGAUGCUUCACCUUCCACAUUAAAUGUUGUUUGCACAUUUUUAAACUAUGCACUACGUUCAAUUUCAAAAAAAUGAAAAAAACUAUGCACUACAUUGUAGAACAUUUUGAUAAUUUUUUGGUAUGUCAGUAUGUUCUUUAUGUUUAUGCUUACAUCAAGCAGACACAAUUAUUAUGAAGGUGGAAUUGGUUUUUGUACCAUUUUCUUUUGCGUGUAACUUCUGAAGUUAUUUGGGAUCCAUUAUUUAUAUUUCAAUGAGAGUCUUUGAUGUCUUUCCUUAUAAUGUUUAUGCUUACAUCAAGCAGACAUAGUUAUUAUGAAGGUGGAAUUGGUUUUUGUACCAUUUUCUUUUGCGUGUAACUUCUGAAGUUAUUUGGGAUCCAUUAUUUAUAUGUCAAUGAGAGUUUUUGAUGUCUUUCCUGAUAUUAAACCUGUCAUUUUUUCUUUAACAUUUCUAAUCUCCUAUAUAUCUGGCUUUCUGACCUUCAAUGAUGCAAACAAUUUCCCUUCAAGAACUUGCACUUACCUAAUUCCUAGUAAGACAGUCUUAGAAUCUUCUAUGUUUAAAGAUGCCUAUUGGUGGUUAGUUUUUUUGCUAGGAGGUUGCAUUGGAAGGUACAAGCAUACAAGAUAUUGAUAAAACCAGAAAGCAUUUUAUUUUUUUGAAAAUGAUUGCAUAUAUACUAUGUGGGCAGUAUUUUCUUUACAAAAAUGAGCUUCUAUGUGCUUUACAAGGCCUCCAAAGUUGCAAAAUGGAUUCAACACCCUUUAUAAGAAACUCUUAAUGUCAAAAUAAUAAGUUGUCUGAUCUAAUCUGCAACAAGAAUGAUGAGCACUGUGUUCAAUUUCGAGUCUGUCCCUAAGCUCGUCUAGACUUAUCCUUAUCUUUAUUGCCUUCUGUUUGCUUGUUAUCUUUUUUCUUACUAGAACCUGCAUUUGAGAAGCUUGUGUUGUUGUCUCAAGUUAAUGUUUAAGUUUUCUUUCCUUACUGCAGUGUAUCAAAUUCAACUUUUGGUGCUGCUGAAAAUGUUGGAACUGCUGCAAAACCUAAUGGCAUAAUGCAUGAACCUGUACAUGCUGAUAGACCCAAUGUAUUUAGUAACAAAAGCUCAUUUGUUCUCUCUUACAUACAAAUAGCAAUUGAUAUUCCUUCUCAAACAGUAGGUCCAUCCACGUUUGAUCUCCUGGACCACGCUCUUGUUGGGCCUGGGCGUGAAGGUGGUGUUAGAGUGGGUGAAAGUCCCACAUUGUUGGGGAGUGAACUGUCGAUUUUCUUAUAUGGAAUUGAGCAAUCCUCCCCUCAUGUGCUAGCUUUUGAGGUUGAUUUAGGCCCAAUAUCCUUUCUUUACAAAAUCAACAAACUUUUCUUACAUUGGAAACAGACAGAGCAGCUGUAGAGAAUGUUUUCAACCUGAAGGGGAUCAGAUGGGUAGAACCUGGGAGCAUUAAAAGAGUACUAAGUAGCUGGAAUAGGGAUGUAAAUGUAAUAAAUAAGGAGAGAUGGAAAAUUGUUCAACAUGUACAUGGUGGACAGUUUGGACAGAAAUAAACAAGGGUUGUUUUGAGGAUGUCCAGAAGAUCAACAUGAAUAGUUUAGCACUUCUUUAUUUUUGGUGUAAACACGAUGAUUAGCUCUAACAGAAGACAUCAUUGAUGUGCUAGACUGUUUAUAGGCAAUAGAAAGAUAGAGUAAGAUGUAAUACUUUUUGAAGGUGGACAUCAUUCUUGUUGGUUAGGGAUUUGAAUGAUAACAAGAUUACAUAUUACAAGAGAUAGGAAAUUGACACAUAAUAUUUAAUGGUCUAAGAAUAUACAUCUUGCUCUGUAUAAAUAAAAAUCUGAAUAAAAUACUUCCCCCAUGUACUACCAUACCAUCCUCAUGUGAUACUAGCUACCACAUUAGUUUAUCGUUAUAACGGGGUAAAUCAUCCUCAAACAUCGGUUAUUCAAUUGAAAUAUUCGUUUACACCAAAAAUCACCCUCACUCUGACUUCUAACUUUGUGACUUCACAUCACUAACUUAUUUGUCUAAUUUCAUUAAUGAUAGGUCAUGAAAACAACACUUUAACUUAUGCUACUAUUCGGGUGGAAAUACAGUUCCAACAUUCUUUUAUACACCGUCCACAUCUGUAUCUAGAUUUUUGGGAGGGACUAGAUACACUUAAUACCUUAAGAUGGAACACACGAUUCUAUCAGGAUCAAUGUUUACAUCAGAAUCAACACAUAUUGAAGCACCAACAGACCCCUCUCAAGUCUUUGCACAAUUUUUUUUCUUAUAUGACACAACCGGAAAAGACUAUAUCAUGUAGAUUCUAAAUUUUUUGCACUUGAAUCACCCCAAUAAUGGGACGUGCCUGAGAACAUCAGAGUAAGGAAAUAAUUUGGGAUGACUUUACCUUUAUAUGGGCGAAACCAUAGCACAAAUGACAGUAUGAAAGAGGAACAUUUUGACUCUAUUGCACGAACUGGAACAUGAAGAAAGAGAAACAUUCCUAAACGCCUAGUAGCCUCCUGCUUAUAAGUAUGGCGCACUAAAUACCCAUAAAUAAGACUCUACCCAACGUGAUUUUGCAGAUACCCUAGGACCAUGAACCAUGCUUUGAUACCAAGUUUUUCACGACCCAAACUGGGGCCCUGGCCGUGGCGAGCAUUCCGAACCAUGAAGGCCUAAAACACCCCUAUUUGUUUGAUAAUCAUGCACAUAAAUCAUAUGAUAAAAGAAAUGCGGAAGAUAACAAUAUUACGGAAACAUGGUCAAGAAUCAUAUGAAAUUAGUAACGGGGAAUAAUGUUCCACAAUCUUAACACAAUAUCUCUAUAAUGUCUGCGAAAUCUCUACUACAUGACUGAAAUAAAUAUCUAUCUGAAAACUGGGACAAGGCCCCCAGUAGAUCCAAAACUAAUAAAUGAUAAAUAAAACUGCCAGAUAUCAGACCUUCCAAAAUAUAGAAGGCUCACCAAGUGACUCUGCAAAUCUGUCUGAGGAAUCUACUGAUUUUCUGGACCCCUAGACUGUGCCUCCAAACCUGGGAAGGAAGGGGGUCAAUACAAAAGUACUGGUACGCAGAGAUAUCAAAACAAAACAUAAUAUUUUUACAAAAUAUAGUUGAGAGCCAUUAUAAAGCAGUUUCAUAUCAAAUCAUUUGAAAACACAUAGGCGUAAUGUAAUUGUUUUCAACAACAAUGUAAUGCAGCUAAGCUAGGUAGAAUACCCUACAUAUCAUAUUUACACCAACUGUCAUACCUUGGUUUUCACGAGAUUAGAGUAUAAGUGAGGGAAAGACACAUAAGAUCACACAGCAGGGUGUCUCGACCCAAUGGUAGUGCACAAUAUCACAAAGUAGGGCUCCUAACCAUAUUCCCAACUUGGGAAUAACAUAAAGUCAGGUACGCAAGAACACAAAGCAGGGUACCGAAUUCCGAUGUCGGCAAACACGGUUUCCAACGAUAAGCCCUUACACUCAAACACCUUUUUCGAGCAUCCACCAAUCUCAUGUAAAAUCAAUGCAUUUAAAUUUUAUUUGAUUCAAUCACAUAUUAUAUUCUGUAGGGUAUCGUCAUACCUGACUUACAAUCCAUCAAUAUCACAUCAUUCAUUUUAUUCAACCAUUGUAUUCAACAUGUUUCAACACAAACAGCCCUCUCGUUUUCAAGUCAAAUUCAUAUCAAUUCUCAAAACAUUUCAUGUCAUGCUUUUCAAGAUGUUUUCAAACAAUUUACAUCAUAUGAACAUUUAAAACAAAUUCACAUCAAGAGAGGGAUUCUAUAUAAUUCAUGCUCUCAAAUUAACACCUUUUCAAAAUAGAUGCAUAUACAUAUAGGGGUAUUUGAGGACUAAAUUUCGUGUUUAUGGCUAAAUAAGGGUGGGAAAAGGACCAUUUUACCCCAAAAAUGGAGUGUUUAAGUCACUUGUGUAGUAAUGUAUGCGGCGCACAGCUUAUCGCAUAAUAUAGGUUGUGCACUGUUUAUCACACACAUUAGGUUAUGCGUCACACACCUUAUGGAAUAAGUUAGGGUGUGCGUCGAACACCUUAUGGCAUAAGUUAGGGUUUGCAUUGUAUAAGUCAUAGUGGAAUAAGUCAUCCUUAUCCUUUAUAUAGAGCUCUUGUAAAUGUGUGCAUUAUGCAACGCACACCCUAACUUACAUGACUUAUGCGACGCACACCCGAACUUAUGCCAUAAGGUGUGCGACGUACACCCUAAAUUAUGCCAUAAGGUGUGCGACACACAACCUAAUGUGUGCGAUAAAGAGUGCACCGCACAACCUAUAUUAUGUGAUAAGGUUUGCGCCGCAUAUAUUAUUACUCAAGUGACUUAAACACUUCAUUUUUGGACAAAAUGGUCCUUUUCCCACACUUAUUUAACCAUAAACACAAAAUUCAAUUCCCAAAAUACACCUUCAUUUAUCAAAAUUGCUCAAGAACUCUCCUUAGGGUUUCAAAAUAAAAACCCAAGCAACUCAAGAUUCAACUGUGAGUUUUUGAAACUAAUUGAAUAUUUGGAAUCCCCAGAACGUAGGCUUCAAGAAGCACCUAUUAUCUUCGCAUAUAGAGGUACGUAGGGUUAUCUCGAAAAUCUCAUGAGCUUAAAAAUUCAUGUUUUAAAAAUGGGGGUUUUGAAAUUAUAAAUGUAAUUCUGUUUUAAACAUUUUAUGAUAAUGAUUUGGUCUUUAGGCCUAUUCCCAAAGUGGUUUGAAAUAUGAUAUAUGUAUAUGCAUGUAUUCUGAUAAGAUUUUAACUUGAGAGCAAGAAUUAUGUGAAAUUCCUCUUUUUAUAUGAUCUCAUUUUAAAUUCUCAUAUGAUGUGAAAUAGUUGAAAUCAUCUUGACAAGCGUAACAUGAAAUAUUUUGAAAAUGGUCUUGGUUUUGAUUUGCAAUGAGAGGGUUGUUAUGUUAAAAUAUGAUGAAUAUAAUGGUUGCAUGAAAGAAUGAUGUGAUAUUGAUGACUUGCAAGUCGGGUAUGACGAUACCCUAUAGAAUAAGAUAUGCGAUUAAAUUAAAUAGAGUUUGAUGCAUUGAUUUUACAUGAGAUAGGUGGAUGCCCUAAGAAGUUAUUUGAGUGUAAGGGCUCAUCAUUGGAAACCAUGUUUGCCGACAUGGGGAUUUGAUACCAGGCUAAGUGAUCUUGUGUACUUGACUUUAUGUCAUUCCCAAAUUGGGACUAUGGUUAGGAGCCCAGGCUAAGUGAUCUUGGUCACUACUAUACUUUAUUGGGUUAAGACACCCUGCUGUGUGAUCUUAUGUGUCUUCCCCUUACUUAUACUCUAAUCUCGGCGACAACCGAGAUUUGAUAGUUGGUGUAAAUGGUAUAUGUAGGGUAUUCCACCUAGCUCAGCUGCAUUACAUUGUUGUUGAAAACUAUUACAUUAUGCCCAUGUGUUUUCAAAUGAUUUGAUAUGAAAUUGCUUUAUAAUGGCUCUCACCUAUAUUUGUAAAAAAAUAUUAUAUUUUGUUUUUGGUUUCUCUGCAUACUAGUACUUUUGUAUUGGCCCCCUUCCCUCCCAGGUUUGGAGGCAUAGUUUAGGGUUCUAGAUAACCAGUAUAUCUCUUUUGGCAGAUUUGCAGAAUCAAGUGGUGAGCCUUCUAUAUUUUGGAAAGACUGAUGUCUGUCAGUUCAUUUAUCAUUUAGUAGUUUUAGGUCUACUGGUGGCCUUGUCCCAGUUUUCAGAUAGUAAUUUGUUUCAGUCAUGUAUUAGAGAGUUCGCAGAUGGUUGUUCAGAUAUCGAUAUAUGUUGUGGGACAUUAUUUCCCCUCUGUUGAUUUCAUUUGAUUUAUGACGGUGUUUUUCGUAAUAUUGUGUAUCUUCCGCAUAUCUUAUUAUCAUAUAAAUUAUGUGCAUGAUUACCAGAUAUAUAGGGGUGUUUCGGGCCUUCAUGGCUCAGAAUACUCAUCACGAUCAGGGCCACGGUUUGGGUUGUGACAAACUUGGUAUCAAAGCACGGUUCAUGGUCCCAGAGUAUCUGUGAAAUUGCAUCAGGUAGAGUCCUGUUUAUGGGUGUGUAGUACGCCAUACUUAUAAGCAAGAGGCUACUAGGCGUUUAGGAAUGUCUCUCUUUCUUCAUGUUCUAGUUUGUGCAAUAGAGUCAGAAUGUUUCUCUUCCAUAAUCUAAUUCGUGCUAUGGUGUCGCCCAUAUGAAUGUAAAAAAAAAAGUCAUCCCAAAUUCUUUCCUUACUCUAAUGUCCUCAGAUAUGUCUCAUUAUUAAGGUGAUUCAAGUGCAAAAGUUUAGAAUCUAAAUGGUAUGGUCUUUUUUGAUUGAACCAUAUAAGAGUUAAAAUUUGUGCAAGGACUUGAGAAGAGUCCGUUAGUGCUUCAAUGUGUAUUGAUUCCGAUGUAAACAUUGAUCCUGAUAGAAUCGUGCUUUUCAACUUGAGGUAUUAAUUGUAUUUAGUCCCUUUCAAAUUUAUGUUAGAAAUGUCUUGCUUAAGGGGGAGGAUGAUGUGUAGUAGAAUGUUGGAACUAUAUUUCCACCUGAAUAGUAGUAUGCAUUAAAGUGUUGUUGUCAUGACCUACUGGUAGUAAAAUUAGACCAAGUUGGUGAUGUGAAGUCACAAAGUUAGAAGUCAGAGCGAGGGUGACUUUUGUGUAAAUGAAUAUUUUAAUUGAAUAACCGAUGUUCGAGAAUGAUUUACCCCCUUAUGGUGAUAGACUAAUGUGGUAACUAGUAGCAUGUGUGGAGGAUAUGGUAGUCCGUGGAGGAGGUGUUUAACUCUGAUUUUUUUAUACAGAGUAAGAUGUGUAUUCUUAGUUCAUUGGAUAUUGCGUAUUAAAUUUCUAUCUCAUGUAAUCUUGUCAUCAAGGUGUUGUUGAAAAAAAUAAAGUCUAGUGAAGCCNNNNNNNNNNNNNNNNNNNNNNNNNNNNNNNNNNNNNNGUUUAAUAUAUAUAUAGCUGAAUCUGUUUGCAUGAGAUUGAGUUGGUAACGAGGUGAUUUAUCCUUGUGUGGUUAGUUUAGAGAAGGUAGAGAAGGAGUUGUUAGUUAGGGUGAUUUCUCGAUUGCUUGAAUUGUGAAAAUGGCUAUAUUAGCCAGUAAGUUAUAAGUAUAGACUCAUGGUUGUUUGUGGAAUUUGAAGGUAGUCUAAAUGUAUGUUUACGUAAGUAAGUAUGAGGUGAGAAUUCCGUAUAAGUAGAAAAGAUUGUAUGGGGUUAUAAUAUAAGAUUAAGGUUGAUCAUGUCUAUUAUUUAACUUUACCCCUUGACCUUCUUUUCAUUGGUAAUCGUAAAAUAGUACUACUUGUGAGAAGGUAUGUAGUGAUUUUUGAGGCGCUUGUAUAGUAUGUCCCAAAUUUUAUGGACAAACAUAUUAUGUUGCAUUUUUCAGUAGUGAUAGAUGAUUGGUACAGGACUAUAUGCUUGAAUUUAAUGUAGAAUGUGGUGGUAAAAAUAGUGGCAUGAGAUUAAUGAUGUAUGUUUUGUGGGAAAAAAUUAGUAGGCUUGAUGUGUUAAAAUAGUACGUGCUAAUGAGUUAUCAUAAGGAAGACCGUAAGGUCAAGAUCAAUUAUUUGUUGUUUGGAAGUUCUAGUCUACUAGUGUUUCUUGAUGUCUAUUUCAUGGUAUCCAAGUGAGAAUCAUGCGUAAGGUUGGGUUGUAAAAUCAUGGUUAGCACUAGACCUUAAGUUUUGAACAAUUGAUGUCCAUGAAGGUGGAUGUGAUGAUUUCUUGGUUAAUGAUACUAGUUUUAUGGAAGUAAUCUAAUUGGCUUGAACGAUAUAUGCAAGAGCUUAAGUUUAUUUGAUUCGUAGUUAGGUAUGAUGUUGCAUAUAUAAUGUAGAAGUAUGCCCAAGGUGAUUUGAGGUUACGGUAUUUUCUAAGACUAUUACACGUUUUGUGUGACGAGUGGUACCGUUGAGUUGCUAGGUGGAAAAAGACUAGUUAGAUGGUAUAUGGUGCUCUAAAUAGCCAAGUUAAGGAGUUUUGAUUGAUAGUGUUGAGCCUUUUUAUAUGAUCUUGAUUCUCAUAGUAGAGAGAUGUAAGUUUGGAGUCGCGAUAUUGGUAGGCUAUGUCGGAAGUAGUAUGAUUCAUUGAAGGCUUGGUAAUAUCCAUGUUGAGUGCUAGAUUCUAAGUUUGAGUUUUAAAGGUUGAACUAAUAGAAAAAAAGUUAAAGCACUAGAGAGUGUGCACUCCGACUAUAGGGAUACCCAUGAAGACCCAAAGUUAGUAAGUAUGCAAGUAUUAUAUGAUCACUACUGGGUCUAUAGAAUGAUAAAGUGUAUCUCAGAAGGUAGUAUUAACAGUGGGUUUUCCACUUUCAGGUGUAGUCAUUCGNNNNNNNNNNNNNNNNNNNNNNNNNNNNNNNNNNNNNNNNNNNNNNNNNNNCUUCGGUUUAGAGGCGAGUAAGGGAUCUCCCAAACUUAAUAUGAUUGCUUGAAGCUAAGGGGGGGAUGAUAGAGUGAAUAACGAAGUCAGGCUUUCAGAUUCUAGUAGUGAUGUCAGUAUGACAUAGAACAUCAGAAGGGAAGAGUGAGGCUCAACCUAUUCCGAUCUCAGUAUAUUUCGGUUAUCCUAAUACCUACUCAUACCUCACAUUUUAGUUCUAUGAUCAUAGUUUUGCAUUAACAGAUGUGCUUCUUUACACCUGAAGAAAAGAUACUUAGGCCAUCAGUAGCUGUUGAACCCAAGCCAUAAGGUAAAGAUGCUUAUUAUUUUGUCCAUUCUCGUCUAAUGCUGUGAUAAGUCAUCUAUUUCCUAUCUCUCUUUAUUCUCAUUUCAAGCUUUCUAUUUAUUAGAUGAAGAAAAGGGUUUCAUGUUACUAUGUCGUUUGGCUUCAAAAUUCUUUCCUUGUCCUUCAAAUUAAUUUUGGGAGUUGCGCAUGGAUACAAGCUUUCAACAUUGAUUGGAAAAUUAACUAAAUAUGAUUGAAAAGUAGCUAUAUUGUGAUUUCAUCUGUUCUCCCUUGCAUGGAUAUUGGUUGAGAAUCCUCCUAUACCUUCUCUGGCUGGUCCUGUUCCUGGUGCUAUUCCAUCUAUGUCACUGCAAGUAAAUUUGUGGAGGCUUGGGGGAGGGAUAAAUGACUUUUGAAUGUAGAGACAUUAUGAUAACUAUUUUCCCCACAUCUUUAGCAGUUCCAGCCUAUGCUUCCAGGCCAGCAGGCACAACCUUAUGGUUCUGGGUCACCUCAACAAUUUCUGCCACUUGGACAUGCAAAUGUUGCGAUGUCUCAACCUUCUCAAAUCCAAUUUCCUCAACCUAUGCAACAUGUUACUGGUAGACCUGUAGUAGGAAUGCAUAGUAUGCCUUAGGGCCCACCUAUUCCCCAUGAUUUUCAGCAAAAUCUUCCGAUGUCAAAUAACCUUCCAUUCAUAUAUUGAUGAAAUACAUUUUGUUAUCAUAUUUAACAGCAGGUAAAUGCAGAUUCUUUUAGCUCCCAGUAUCAGACACAGAUAAAUGAUCACAGGUUUCCAUCAGAGGUACAACCCUGGAUGCCAAUAAGUAAUCAUAAUGUGAAUUCUGUGACAACUAUGCAGAAGACUGGAGGAUUAGCAGCUCCCUUGGUUGUUCCAGGGAGAAUUCAAUCCGUUUUAUUAUACCCGUUUUGCAUAAAUAUUGUCAACCAGUAACAUGCUUAAGUUAAUCGGUUAAUGGGUGUGUGUUGACUGAAAGAGUCAACAUUUGAAUUCUAUGAUAGUUUUUUGAAAGCAAAUUAAGAUUCCAGUGAACAGAAAAGGUGUAAAACCGUGGUAUACAAGAAACGGAGCUCUACAAUAAUAUCAUUUUCAUUCAGAUCCAAUCUUUUUACCACUUUGUGUUCUCCAGACAGAAAAAAGAGCAUGCCGAUUUGGCUUUCCGAAAUUCUUGCUUUUGGAUUAUAAUCACAUAGGUUACUCAUAUGAAUAGGUUAAUGUAUGCAUCACAAACACUUAAUGUCUUGUCUAUGAACAAGUGGUGGUUAUGUUGGCCCCCAUCAUUGCCAAGAAAUCCCUCAAGUAUCCACAUCUAGUGCUUUGUACAUCAUUCUGCUUCUAUUAGCACUGGAGAUAAUAGGCCCCUUUGUUUCAGUCCUCUUUGUCAAAGUUAUCAUAUGGGUUGCCGUUCACCACUACCAAAUUCUACCUGACUGUUCAUCAGCAGAACCUGAUACACCUCUGCCGAUAACUUCAUUUUGACCCCAUUUCUCUAUUAUCAUACAUAUUUUACAUGUGGCUAAAUGCUAGUAUGUAUUGCUAUUUUCAGCAUCUUUUGAUGAUCAUUAGGCAAAUUAUGGUUGCUAAUGUUGUCAUAUUUCCUAUGGCUUUAUUACUCCAACCAAUUAAUAACAUUCUUACAAUUCUUGAAUUGAUUUUUAGAUACUAUUAUAAUAGAGGACAAAAAUCUCUCCUUGGGAGAAACCUCGACAGCUGAUGACAGAAAUGGAGGUGAGGUCUCGUGUCAUCAAUAUUUUUAUGGGUAGUUUUAUCCAGUUCCCUGUGCUUAUCAAUGAAAAAAGAAGUACACAAUUCUUUUUCUAUGAAGCUUCGGAGAACCACUUUUUCUUUCCUAAGUAUAUGUGAUUUCUGUUGAAAGUUUGUUUAGCGAGCAGAUUUUCUCGAUCUUACUAUACUAUGUAGGCUUCAUUUGGGAUUUGAAUUGACUUUUUAUUUCUAAUAUAGUUCUAAAAUAUUUUAUAUUUAACACUAUUGUUCUAAAAAAUGUGUUUAAGCAUACAAGGCCGGAUUAUAUUUGGUCUAUUUUAAACAAUUUUAUUUACUUUCUGAUUAAUGUAAUGUUAUUGUAACUCUAUGGCGAUAUGGAGAGAGGAAACUUGAUAUAAUAUUGCGGUUCACACUUCUCAUUCUGGUUUACAGAAUAAUAGUUUGGCUUGUUGCACACUUGCACCCAAGAGUGUGACCUAGUGGUCAAUGAAGUAGAUUGAGAACCAUGAGGUCUCAGGUUUAAUUUCCAAUAGAGAUAAAAACACUAGGUGAUUUCUUACCGUCCGUCCAAUCCUUGAUGGACAGAGUUACCCAGUAUCUGUGCUGGUACGUUGUAGCAGUACCUGGUGUAACUAGUCAAGGUGUAAGCUGGCCCAAACACGACGGUUAUCAAAGAAAGUUUAGCUGGUCGUGAGGGACAAGUAUUAAGGGACCAACAACUAGAGCUGUAAGGAAGUUUGAACUUUUUUAUUCUUUUUCUUUUGAGAUAAACAAUUUUUUUUUUGGAGAUAUUACUUUGUAUUCGUCAACGUUAAGGUUAUGCUAGCAGUCCAAAAUAAAUGAAAAAUAAUGAAAAUAAUGCGAGGAUUCGAAGAGAUCUACUACCUGUUAUGCAUCCUGUACUCAUUGGCCCUUAAACGAAAAACAAAAAUCUACAAUGCUAUUCCAUUUAAUUUUCUGAAUGGAAUUAUAUUUAUCUUCAAAAUACCUUCAACUUUUCUUGCUCCAUACAGUCCACCAAAUACAAGGAAGGAUUGUUCUCCCCUAUUUCUUCUAACUCAUGCUAAUCCCCUUUAAUCCAACAGCUCAACAGAUUGUUGUGUGUUCUUUGAUAGUCCACUUUACUUCAACUCCAUAGAUCUGGUAUGUGUUCUGGCAUGGUCCACUUUACUUCUAUUAAACUAAAGGUGUCAAAUGGGCGGGGUUGGAUGGAUUUGGGUGGAUCAAAGAGGUCUGAGUUAAUAAAUGGGUAGGUUAUUAACCUUCCCUAAAGCUACUUAGGCUGAAAUGGGUUGGGUUGAAAUGCUCUAAAAUGCGGGUCAUAACCCAUCCCACCCAAUUUGAACUCAGAUUUAAUUGCUUUAUUUGUUAUUUUAUAAACCUUUAGUACUUGAAAAAUUAUUAUCUUUUUGUUUAACUUGGUAACUUUGUAUUAUAUCACACAGUACAUGGGUUGUACUGAAACCUUUAUAUACAAGAGUACUCCUAUAUCGACUGUUCUAUAUCUAAACUUAGUCUACAACAUCAAUUAUCGAGGCAGUAUCAUUAGAGUAUAGUUGAUUACACCAAAAACAUAGAAGCAAAAUGCAGUUGAGUUUAUCCUUUUGCACACUAUUCUCUAUGCUCUCAAAACAUUUAGAAUUCCUUUCUUUCCAUAUAACCCACCAUAUAACACCAGGGAUAAUUCUCCAUCUAUCUCUAUCCUACGCAUGUACACCUGCUUCUCCCAGCACAUUAAAGUCUCGGUUACUUUCCUAGGCAUUGUCCUGGAAAUGCCUUUUAGUCUUAAGAUGAUUCUCCAAAGUUGUUGGGUGUACUUACAAUGUAGAAAUACAUGGUUAACCAUCUCUAAAGUUUCUCCACAGAGGAAACAUCUGGAGCACAAGGUUUUCCAUUUCUUCAUGACAUUAUUUUGUGUAAGAACUACUUCCUUGGUCAGUAACCAGACAAAGACAAAGCACGACACUGUGUGAGGUAUCCUACUUUUCCAUAUUUGCUUCCAUGGCCAUCUUGGAUCUGGGUGAUUUAUUUGGUUCAUCAUCUUGUAGGCUUUGUUGACACUGAACAUUCCUUUUUCAUUUCCCAUCCAUCAUAGUACGUCCUGCACUGUCUACAGUCUAUUGAAUAAGUCCACGGUAUUAAAAAAAUCAACUACUCUUAUUACCUUCCGGUCAUUAAAUUGCCUUCUAAAAUUGAAGUUCCACCCAUGUGGUGUCCAUAAUUCUUCUAUAGUCCUCUAUUGAAACAAUACCAAGUUGUAGAUAUCUGGAAAAAAUCACUUCCAUAUUCCCAUCCUCAUGUCAAUUAUCACUCCACAACCUAGUCUUGUUUCCAUCCAUCACUUUAACCUUUGAGUUGCUUUUAACUUCAUUCCACUAAUGUCUAAUAGAUCUAAUAGAUCUCUGGAGGCUAACCCUGUAUGGUGUGGUCACUUCUUUAGUCAUCCAUCUAUCUUCUUCAGGAUAUUUAGCCCCAAUCACUUUCCUCCAUACCAGCUAGUUAUUGUUUGCAUAUUUCCAUAACCAUUUCAUCACGAGAGCCUUACUUUGAAUUUUUAGGUUCUUUAUCCGCAACCCUCUAGUCUUCUUGUCAAUUGUCCACCACAGAGAGCACUACCGCUUUUUCUCACAUAUCUUUGUUCCUUAUUCUAUCUCUCGUAGUAUGCCCACACACCAAUCUCAACAUCCUUAUUUCUGCUACGUUUAUGUUUCAAACAAGCGAGCUCUUGACCAGCCAAACACUCUGCCCCAUGUAAGAUAGCUAGUAUAACAACCACUUUAUAAAUUUACCUUUAAGUUUAUUUUAACAAAAUUCUUAUACAUGGCAUGCUAGUUACUAUCUCUUUUGCAAGAGCUAAUUAGGACAAAAAACACAUGUUCAAAAAUUGAUUCAUCGAAAAAAAGCAUAACUAUAGUUUAUGAGUUUCAAACGUGUCCAAAUGGAGACAAAAUUAUGGGUGGGCUGUGUUGAGUAUGGAACUUAGAACCUCAGUGCAGGAUUUGAACACCCUUACUGUCACACUCAGUCUUGUUUUUUGUGGCAAGGGUGUUCAUUAAAAAAUACUUAGAAAUGACAGAAUUUGACCUAUAUAUAUAUACAAAAUGCGAUUAUCAGGCGAAUGUUGUUCAGUUGAUCACCCUUGGAUAGCUGUAGCUCGGCCGCAGCUUUGCAAUGUUUCCACCCUGCUUGUAGUUAUAUUCUACACAGUACAUUCUAGUCCUUUUCCAUGUGGGACAUUAUAUCAUUCAUAUUCUAACACUUCCAUCAAGUAUUGUACUGGUGGAAGUUACUGACUUCUACUCUCAGGGUACUAUUUAUGUUCUAUUUUUUGACUUGACCUGCUUUCAUGCUGUUUUCAUUGGGACAGAGGGCAGACACAUCAACUGACUGGAGAGAAUUUACAAGUCCUGAGGGAAGAAAAUGUGUAACUUAUAUAUUUUCUUGGCCUCUUUCCAAUUGUUCUUCUACAGUGGGUACUUUUGUGUGUUACUUGUGCAUAAUGCUGAUUGCUUUGUUUGUUUUCUAUAGGUAUUACUACAACAAGGUUACUAGAACGUCCAAAUGGAGAAUGCCUGAUGAAGUCAAGGGGAUGUUAGAUUUAAAUCCGAUAUGGGUUUGUUCCGUGCUUUAAAUAGCAUGAUAAGAAGGGAUUGUUCUGUGCUUUAAAUAGCAUGAUAAGAAGGGACAAUAUUCUAUUUUCUUGGAUGCUCUAGUUCUCAUAAAAUCUUUAUGCAUUCACAGUUGCUAGUAUGAUAAGAAGGGGCAAUAUUCUAUUUUCUUGGAUACUCUAUUCUCAUAAAGUUCAAUUAUUUGUAAAUUCACAGUUGGCUUGUGAAAAGGACACCAUAUCGCACGGUUCUGCUUUUGGAUCCAUUUCUGUUGUUAAAACAUCAUCCUCGGGUGCAGAUGAUUCAUUAGUAUUGGCACACGGUGCUAAAUCAAGCUUAAUUGCUGUGUCACCAGCUACUAACUUACCAACUAUUGUGGCUUCAGAAUCAUCAAGUUUAUCUGGUAAGGUUUCUUCUCCGAUGAUUGAAACAGUCAAAAUAAAGAAUUCUUCAGAACCUGCUUCGCCAGCUGUUGCUAAUUCAGAGAAAAUUGGAAUAGCAGUAACCUUGGGAAAUUCUGUCGUGCCAUCGAUAUAUGUUUUCAGAUUUAUAUGUUAUAAAUUUCCCUCUAGUUUGUUUUGCUUCUUAUUUGGAAUUCAAUUUUUCAAUAGUUCUGAGACUACUACAACUCAAGAUGCAGUAGUGUAUGGUGAUGGAUUUUCUUCGGAGAAUAAAGAGGUACUUUGUCCUUCUAAAAUACUUAUGCGAUUAGUUAAUUACUACUGGUUACUGGUUAAAACACCAAGAAAGCUUUUCCGUAGCUGUUAUGCUGGAUGUUGAUCCAACAAUUUUGUAGUGCAGUUGUUAGUCAACUGCUAACAGGUGAAGAAUAUGCUCCGAAUUCCAAUGAGGUUUUCUUUUGUCCUUUGUUCUUGAUAUUGUCCCUAAAAUGCAAAAUUUCAAGAAAGAUGCUGCAAUAACUAAAAUAGGACGUGUUACUCCAUCAGCUGAGAAAACAGUCGAGCUAGGACCAUUAGUUUAUGAGAGCAAAGCGGUAUAGUUGAUUAUUGCUUUUUGUCCCGUUUAAGGUAUGUUCUCAAAAUUUCUCUUAUUUCUAUUUUAAGUAUUUGAUUUUAUUUAGGAGGCAAAGAGUGCAUUCAAAACUCUUUUGGAAUCAGCAAAUAUUGGGUCUGAUUGCACGUGGGAUCAGGUUUAUUACUUUACUAUUUUGUGCAUACCAAAUAAUUGAGGGAGAUCAUUUGACAUGAGUUGUAUUUAUCAGGCCAUGAGAGCAGUAAUUAAUGACCGGAGAUAUGGUGCUCUAAAAUCCCUUUGUGAGCGGAAGCAAGCUUUUAAUGAGGUAUCUCUCCAAGUCGGCAUUGGAAUGGGUUAAUUGCUGCUUCAAUGUUUCAGCAUACCAUAUUGCAAAAAGAUAGAUUGUGUUUGAUAUUCAAUUGUUUCAUGUUUGGUCGACUUAAAUAUUUUGGAAAAUAUUUUCCAAAUCAACUUAUUUUCCUUAAAUUUAAGGAAAAUGAAUUCCCUUCAAAAAGUAGGAAAAACAUUUUCCAAAACUCUCUUUCAAUCUCACUCUUAAGUUGAAAUGUUUAUACAACUCUCAAAUGUAUUUUCUGAAAAAUAUUUUUUUAUUCACCAACCAAACACUAGAGAACAUUUUCUGAAAAAUGUUUUCAUUUCAUCAACCAAACAUAAGAAAACAAAUAAAAACCAACUUGUUUUCUAAGAAAACAUUUUCCUUAAUACCAAACACACCAAAGGUCUAUAGUGAUCAUUUUGAAGUUGUGUGUCUGUUCCAGUAUCUAAGCCAAAAGAAAAAACUGGAAGCUGAAGAGAGGCGUGUUAAACAGAAAAAAGCUCGGGAAGAUUUUAGGAUAAUGUAGAAGUAAGUGAAAUUUUCUUUUGUGGGUGUCUUGCAUUUGAUAUAUCAUGAUAUUCGCAUUACCAGUUUCAAAAAUAUAAAGAUAUUAUCAUAAUAUUCAUGGUGUGUUAGAUACUGGUAUUUGACUUGUUCAAAAGAAUAAGUGGUAUUUUUCACAACAAUGUCCGUUGUUCUCAAUCUUAUAGGAUUGCAAGGAGCUGUCACCAUCGUCAAGAUGGAGGUUUGUCUAUCACUUUUAAUGUUAAGUUGUCUGCUGCUUGUUUUCUAAUCUUGGUCAUUGUUUGAAUGUGUUUUGGUACCUUGAAGUUGAUCCAUUACUUGUGUAAGUUCCAUUUGAUCCACUAACUAUUUGAUAUUGAUUAUUCAGUAAGGCAAUCUCCAUAUUUGAACAUGAUGAACGUUUUAAAGCUGUUGAGCGAGCUAAAGACCGUGAGGACCUUUUUGAAGAUUAUGUGGAGGAACUUGAGAAAAACUAUUUGCUAUUGAUUAUUUAGCAAGGCAAUCUCCAUAUUCAAACAUGAUGAACAUUUUAAAGCUAUUGAGCGAGCUAAGGACCUUUUUGAAGAUUAUGUGGAGGAACUUGAGAAAAAGGUGAAGCUCCUUUUGCAGAACUUUUUUGUAAGCUUCUAUAUGUUAAAAACUAAGUGUGCGGACUAUAGUUUCUUUAUAUGGUCUUUGGCUCCUCAAAAAUUGAGUUAGCCUUUCAUUUGAGAUAGAAACAAGGUCCAAUUUCUUAAAUAUGGUAUUAGAGGCAGAUCUAUCUUGAUGUUAUACAAUUAAAUGUUACCCAACCUAGGUUAACUAAUGCUACAAAUGUCUAGUCUUGGUGUGUGAUUAAUGUAUGAGAAUCCCACACUAGUAAGGUGUAUGUGCUGUAGUUUCCUUAUAUGAUCUUGGACAAUCUUCACCACCUGACCUAGUUUUUGAAGUUGAGUUAGGCGCUGGUCCACUUGAUCCCAAUUGAUCCUUAUGGAAUCGUGCUUUCCAGGUUAUGGUAUUAAGUGCAUCUAGUCCCUCCCAAAAAUCUUGAUAUAGAUGUAGACGGUGUAUAGCAGAAUGUUGGAAAUGUAUUUCCACCUGAAUAGUAGCAUAAGUUAAAGUGUUGUUGUCAUAACCUAUCGGUAAUAAAAUUAGACCAAGAAGUUAGUGAUGUGAAGUCACAAAGUUAGAAGUCAAAGUGAGGGUGAUUUUUGGUGUAAAUGAAUAUUUUAGUUGAAUAACCAAUAUUUGAGGAUGGUUGACCCCUUUAUAGUGAUAUACUAAUGUGGUAGUUAGUAGCACGUGUGGAUGGUAUGGUAGUCUAUGGGGAAGUAUUUUACUCAGAUUUUUAUUUAUACAGAGUAAGAUGUGUAUUCUUAGACCAUUAAAUAUUGUUUCAAUUAUAAAGCAGUUUUAUAUCAAAUCAUUUAAAAACACAUGGGCGUGAUGUAAUUGUUUUCAACAAUCAUGUAAUGUAGCUGAGGUAGGUGGAAUACCCUAUAUAUCACAUUUACACCAACUGUCAAACCUCAUUUGCCGUCGAGAUUAGAGUAUAAGUGAGGGGAAGACACACAAGAUCACACAGCAGGGUGUCUCAACCCAACGGUAGUGCACAAGAUCACAAAGCAGGGCUCCUAACCAUAGUCCCAACUUGGGAAUGACAUAAAGUCAGGUACACAAGAUCACAAAGCAGGGUACCGAAUUCCCAUGUCGGAAAACACGGUUUCCAGAGAUAAGCCCUUACACUCAAAUGCCUUCUUCGGGCAUCUACCUAUCUCAUGUAAAAUCAAUGCAUUUAAAUUUUAUUUGAUUCAAUCACAUAUCAUAUUUUGUAGGGUAUCAUCAUAAUCGACUUGCAAGCCAUCAAUAUCACAUCAUUCUUCUCAUUCAACCAUUGUAUUCAACAUGUUUCAACACAAAUAGCCCUCUAGUUUUCAAGUCAAAAUCAUAUCAAUUCUCAAAAUAUUUCAUGUCAUGCUUUUCAAGAUGUUUUCAAACAAUUUACAUUAUAUAAACAUUUAAAACAAAUUCACAUCAAGAGAGGGAUUCUAUAUAAUCCAUGCUCUCAAAUUAACACCUUUUCGAAACACAUCCAUAUACAUAUAUAAUAUGUUAAAUCACUUUGAAAAUAGGCCUAAAGACCAAAUCAAUAUUAUAGUAAUGUUCAAAACAUGAUUAUAUUCAUAGUUUCAAAGCCCUCAUUGUAAAACAUGAAUUUAAAGGCCCAUGAGAUUUUAGGAUAACCCCACGUACCUCCAUAUGCGAAGAUGAUAGGUGUUUCUUAAAUCCUACGUUCUGGGGAUUUCAAAUAUACAAUUAGUUUCAAAAAUCCACGAUUGAAUCUUGAGUUGCUUGGGUUUUUAUUUUGAAACCCUAAGGAGAGUUCUUGAGCAAUUUUGAUGAAUGAAGGUGUAUUUUGGGGUAUUUGGGGACUGAAUUUUGCGUUUAUGGCUAAAUAAGGGUGGGAAAAGGACCAUUUUGCCCCAAAAAUGGAGUAUUUAAGUCACUUGAGUAGUAAUGUAUGCGACACACACCUUAUCUCAUAAUAUAGGUUGUGCGGCACACUCUUUAUCGCACACAUUAGGUUGUGUGUUGCACACGUUAUGCUGUACGACACACUCCAAUUUGUAAAGCCAUAACUUCUUCCUCGGGUGUCGAAUUUUUGUGAAAUUGGUAUCGUUGGAAAGAUAAUUCAAAGGCCUUUCAUUUGAUAUAUAUUAGACACUCUAAUUAAAUAUAUACAAAGAUUAAUGACCAAUUGAAGUUGACCCAAGUUUUGAUGCUUACUAAAACUCAAUCGAUGGAAAAGCUUUCAACUCGUCCUUGAGUUAGGGGACCUCUAUGAUCUCAAUUUAUGCUCAAAUAGAUUUGUACACCACAUAUUUGAUUAAAAAACUAUAUUCCUAAUAGAUUUAUUGUUUUUGGAAUGUGUACAAGUAGAAAUGACAAUUUACGUUCAAGUCUGAAAGUAUGGGGUGUUACAAAAAAUUAUUGGGUUAUUGGUUCGGUUCGAUUUUUUCUUAUUGGGUUUUUAGGUAAACCGAUAACCCAAUAAGAAUAUAUAUAUGACUUAUUAUAUAUUUAUCUUUUAUUUCUACAAAUUAACAAACCUAUUAUUUCAAUUAUAUAAACUCUUAAUUUCUCCUAACAACAUUUAGUUUAAACUUGAAGAUUGUUGUAAAUUUAAACACUUCAUGUAGGAUUUUUAUUGCAACUAAGAUUCAUUUUUACAUGUUUGUUACUACUAUUUCUAUUUUAUGAGUAUUUUCUUAUCGGUUAAAUCGAAAACCAAAUCAUUAAGGACUAAAAACCAAAAAAAAAUAUUUUAUUGGUUUGGUUAUUGGUUUAGUAUAUUAAAAAACCAAAAAUCAAUAAAUCUAACGAUAACAUGUAAAACCCAACCGAACUGACCGAUGCACUCCGCUAGACACAAAUGCUUUAAUUACUUGACAAAUUGUAUGAGAUGAACACAUUUUGCAUUACAAAUUGCGAUACAAGACUCGCAUAUAUAUAUUUAUUUUAACUUUAUAUGAUAGUCUAAGUAUUUAUUUGUGCAACACUCAAAAUUAAAUAUAUAAAUAUUUGUUGAUGAUGUCAAGUUGAAAACACAUUUAUGUAUUAUGUCAAACGUUUAAUUCCUUUUUUGAACUAUAGCUAUAACAUGUAGCAUGAGUGAAUGUACUCUAAUUUUAAGUUGAUGAAUUCACCUAACAUUACUACAAUUAGUAGAGUAAUGAGCAAAAUUAAAUUCAUUGCUAUUUAUUUAUAUUUUAAAAAAUCAAGGUGGAGUCAGAGAGCAAUUAUCAUAAUUAAGGAGGAGCUAAAGGUAUAAUUAAAUGAGAAGCAUGGAGUCUUUUGAUAGAGUGUAUUAAAAAAUUAAUAACAACAACAACAAUAAAUUCAGUGUAUUUCCACGUAGUGGAGUCUGGAGAGGGUAAGAUUACGUAGUCCAUAUCACUAUCUCCGGAGAAGUAGAAAGACUAUUUUCGAUAGACUCCCGACUCAAGACAAGGAAUAAUAAUCAAAUCUGUGAUAAAGCAUGGAAUGUAUUACGUAAAAAUUAAUCCAUCCAUUAAUUUAAUGUGUAUUGGUAGUCCCUUGUUUGAUAUAUAUCUUUUUAUCUUAUGUAUAACUAAUGCAAAACUUAGUUAUAUACUCUAUUGUGUAUUGAGGUGUGUAUUACUAAUACCUCAAAAUUUAUGACAUUAGUAAUGCAAUGGAUCUAAUGCAUGUAUUAACAUGCCUAAAGUGGGGGUAUUAUGUAAAAAAAAAUUAUGUAAUUCAUGUUAUUUUUAAUACUUUGAAUAAAAUACUGUAUAAGAAACAACAACAGCAACAACAACACUCAGUAUAUUCCCACAUAGUAGGGUCUAGGGAGGUUAGUGUAUGCAGAUCAUAUCACUACUCAGGUGAAGUAGAGAGGAUGUUUCUGAUAGACUCCCAGCUUAGGAUCAUAAUAAUAUACCAAACAUAAAAGAUAAAUGCAUAUAAACUAAUACGAUACGCAAAAAAAACUAAAAAUAUAACAAAUAUCAAAGAAUAUGUAUAUAAAUUAGUAUCGUAUGAAAAAAUAGUCAAUCUACCAAGCAGUGUCAGCUUUGUGUUGGGUGGUUGGUAGUCAAGAAAGUGUUAGCUUUUCCAAAAAGAAACCCCCCAAUAAAGAAAGAAGUCCCUCCACAUUCACCAUUGAUUUAAUGUUAUUUUUAAUACGUAGAAUCAACUACUGUGUAAAAAAAUAGAAGCAUAAUUAAUACAAAUAUUAUUAAUAUAUCAUAUUUUAUAUUAUUUUUAUGAAAUAAUAUUUUAUAUUAUUUUUAUUAGAAAAUACUCUAAUUAAUUUUGUUGAAAUUAUCUAUCUAUAUAAUAAAGGAGGAUAGUUUAGCCUAAAACUAAGACAAGUGUCAUAUUGAGAACUACCUAUUUGAAUUUUUACAACAAAAAANNNNNNNNNNNNNNNNNNNNNNNNNNNNNNNNNNNNNNNNNNNNNNNNNNNNAACAAAUAAAUGAAUGAAUAUAAGAAAAUCCGUAAUUAGGAAAAAAAUAAUUGUUACCUAAUUUGAGUUUUUAGCAAAUUAUAAAGAUAAUAAUAAUAAAUUGACCAUAAUUAAAUUAUAAAUUUAUAAGAAAUAUUUGAAAAAUAAAUUAGUAAUUAGGAAAAUAAAUAAUUGAUACCUUUUUAAAAUUCUUUCAAAAAUUAAAAAGGUAAUUGAUAUCAAUUUAAUGUAAUCAAUUUAUAAAAACAUGAGAAAUUCAUGGGAUUGAAUUUCCGAAAUUAUAAAGGUUAUUAAGAUCAAUUAUUUUCGUAUUUGAGCCCUUUAUACAAUUGUAGAUUAACUAAUUAUUUAUCAAGCUACAAAAUUAGGACAGAUUUAUGGUAAAUAACUAUCUAAUAAUAAUAAUAAUUUUAUUGCUAUCAAAUUAAUUAGAUUAAAUUGAACUAGAAAUUAGUUAAUAUUGACAAUUACUUUGAUAAAAAAAAUAUAUGGAAAGAUUCGUAAUUGAUAUACAUAUAUUGGUAAAAAAUCAAUGAAGGUUGACUAUUAUUUUAGCUAUAAAUAUAUUUUAAAAUUUACAUACAACAUUAAAUUUAAGGAACUUGAGUCUAUAUAUUAUGAUCAUAAAAUUGAUUCUAAUUAAUUGAAAUUAAUUAGUUGAUUGUAUAGUUUUAUUACAACAAUUUCGUACAUCAUUUAUUUAAUAAAAAUACAUAUAAUUAAUUGAUUGAUUUUGUGCAAUCUACAAUAAUUUUAUUAAUUCAAAUGAAAUGAUUUUUAAAUGAUAAGUUUGGAUUAUAAAAAUAAAGGUGAUUAUUGUAUGACUUUAGCAUUUCUUAUUUAUUAAAAAAUAUUUAUAGACAAAAAAAUGUCAUCACUCAAAAUAAUUAAAUUUGAACUAUUUUAGUGAAACAAUGAAAGAUUGAAUAUAAGAAAAUCCAUAAUUAAGAAAAGAAAUAAUUGUCACCUUAUUUGAGUUUUUAGCAAAUUAUAAGAUAAUUAAAUAAUCAAAUUGUAAAUUGAUAAGAAAUUUUUGAGAAAUAAAUUAGUAAUUAGGAAAAGAAAUAAUCGUUACCUUUUAAAAAUUCUUCACAAAAUUAUAAAGUUAAUUAAUAAAAAUUUGAUAUAACCAAACUAUAAGAAUAUGUGAAAUUCGUGGGAUUAAAUUUGUGAAAUUAUAAAAGUAAUUAAUAUUAAUUUUUUCCAUAUUUGAGUCCUUUAUGUAAUUGUAGAUUAAUUAAAUAUAAUCAAGCUAUAAAAUUAGGAUAUAUUUAUGGUAAAUAAAUANNNNNNNNNNNNNNNNNNNNNNNNNNNNNNNNNNNNNNNNNNNNNNNNNNNNNNNNNNNNNNNNNNNNNNNNNNNNNNNNNNNNNNNNNNNNNNNNNNNNNNNNNNNNNNNNNNNNNNNNNNNNNNNNUAUAUUUUAAAAUUUACAACAUUAAAUUUAAGGAACUUGAUUCUAUAUAUUAUGAUCAUAAAAUUGAUUCUAAUUAAUUGAAAUUAAUUAGCUGAUUGUGUAAUUUUAUUACAAUUAUGUUGUACAUCAUUUUUUAUAUAAAAAUACAUAUAAUUAAUUGAUUGAUUUUGUGCAAGCUACUACGAUCAUAUUAAUUCAAAAACAACGAACACUAACUUCUACUUAUGCAAAGUUUCGUAAUUGAUAUACAUAUAUUGGUUACAAAAACAAUGAACAAUAACUUCUACUUUAGCCAUAAAUAUAUUUUAAAAUUUACAACAUUAAAUUUAAAGAACUUGAGUCUAUAUAUUAUGAUCAUAAAAUUAAUUUUAAUUAAUUGAAAUUAAUUAGUUGAUUGUAUAGUUUUAUUAGAACAAUUUCGUGCAUCAUUUAUUUAAUAAAAAUACAUAUAAUUAAUUGAUUGAUUUUGUGCAAUCUGCUAUGAUCUUAUUAAUUCAAAUGAAAUUAUUUUUAAAUGGUAAGUUUGGAUUAUAAAAAUAAAGGAGAUUAUUGUAUGACUUUAACAUUUCUUAUGUACUAAAAAAGAUUUAUAGAUAAAGAGAUGUCAUGCCUCAAAACAAUUAAAUUUGAACUAUUUUAGUAAAACAAUAAAUGAUUGAAUUUAAAAAAAUCUGUAAUUUAGAAAAUUAUAAAGAUAAUUAAAUAAUCAAUUAACUAUAAUAAAAUCAUAAAUUUAUAAGAAAUUUUUGAGAAAUAAAUCAGCAAUUAAAAAAAAUAAUCGACACCUUUUAAAAAUUCUUCCCAAAAUUAUAAAGGUAAUUAAUAUCAAUUUGAUAUAAUCAAACUAUAAGAAUAUGAGAAAUUAAUGGGAUUAAAUUUUUUAAAUUAUAAAGGUAAUUAAUAUCAAUUGUUUCCAUAUUUGAUUCCUUCAUUUAGUUGUAGAUUAAUUAAAUAUAUUCAAGCUAUAAAAUUAGGACAAAUUUAUGGUUAAAAAAUAUGUAAUAUUAAUAAUAAUUGUAUUGUUAUCAAACUAAUUAGAUUAAAUUGCGGUAAAAAUCAGUUAAUAUUGACAAUAAUUUUAACAAAGAAUAUGUGCAGAGUUCCGUAGUUGAUAUACGUGUAUUGAUUAAAAAAAACAAUGAACAUUGACUAUUACUUUAGCCAUAAAUAUAUUUUGAAAUUUACAACAUUAAAUUUAAAGAACUUUAGUCUAUAUAUUAUGAUCUUAAAAUUUAAUCUAAUUAAGUGAAAUUAAUUAGUUGAUUGUGUAGUCUUAUUACAAUUAUAUCGUACUUUAUUUAUUUAAUGGAAAUAUAUAUCAUUUAUUAACUGAUUUUGUACAAUCUACUAUGAUCUUAUUAAUUCAAAUGAAACAAUUUUUAAAUGGUAAGUUUAGACUAUAAAAAGAAAGGAGAUUAUUCUAUGACUUUAGUAUUUCUUAUGUAUUAAAAAAAGAUCUAGAGAUAAAAGAAAUAUAAUAUUAUAAUAUUUUUGGGUUAUUUAAUUAAUUUAUCGCGUUUCAAAAUAUUAUUUAUAUCAAUUCAGUGAUGUUUAUAUGGAAAAGUUAAAUUUUAAAAAAAUAAAUAUCUUAAAUUUCAUAAUUUAAGUUAAUUUGUGUGCUAAUUUGAAAAAGUUAAUUUAUAGUUUGCAUUUUAUUUCUAUUAUAUGAAAAAUUUGACCUCAUAUGGCUAUUUAUAGCCAUUGAAUAAUACAAAUAUUUGUUACACUUUUCUUUUCUCUCUCUCUCUCAUGGGUAUUUCUCAAGUUUUUCAUUAUGAGUAUGUAAAUAUUCACUUGCCAUAUACAUAUCCUUGUAAAUAUUUACUUACAAUUUACAGAUCCUUGUUAGUUGUAUAUAUCCAUUGUAUGAUGAUGAAUAAAAGACACAGAAAAAAAAGUUUUCUCCAUUCUAGUCUUUUGCUAUUUUUAUAUUUCAAGAAAAAAUAACAAGAAUCCUACAGAUUCUAACAACCUUUUGCUGGCUCUUACUCUUUCAACUCUUUGAUUCAGUAAUUUCUCUUUCUUUUUAUUAUUUACCAUGAUUAUUUGUUUUAUCAGAAGGAUUUGAUAAGUUCUUUGAAUUGUUCUUGUGAUAUUUGUUUGUGAGGUAUUUUAUUAAUUUUCAAUAGAAGACUAGUAGUAAAUAAUUUUGCGUCAUGUCUCUUCUGGUAGUAGUAUUAGUAUAUAUUUUUCUUUUCUACUUGUUGUAUUGUAUACCUCUGUUUUCUUACUUGCUACUAUUGUUAAUAUCCUCGUGUUUUUGCUUUCCUUACCGAGGAUUUAGGGGAAACAGAUUUUCUACUUGUCAAGGUACGGGUUAUGUAUGUUGUUGUUGAAGAAGAAGCAUGUAGAAAGAGAGAUUAUAAAAAGAAAGGAGAUUAUUGUCUGCCUUUAGCAUUUCUUAUGUAUUAAAAAAGAUUUAGAGACAAAAGUUGUCAUCCAUCAAAACAACUAAAUUUGAACUAUUUUAGUAAAAUAAUAAAAGAUUGAAUAUAAGAAAAUCUAUAAUUUAGAAAAAAAUAAUUGUUACCUUAUUUGAGCUUUUAGAGAAUCAUAAAGAUAACUAAAUAAUCAAUUGACUAUAAUCAAAUUAUGAAUUUAUACGUAUUUUUUGAGAAAUAAAUCAAUAAUUAGGGAAAAAAAUAAUCGUUACCUUUUUAAAAUUCUUCCCAAAAUUAAAAAGGUAAUUGAUAUCAAUUUAAUAUAAUCAAUCUAUAAAUAACAUGAGAAAUUCAUGGGAUAGAAUUGCCGAAAUUAUAAAGGUAAUUAAUAUCAAUUGUUUUCAUAUUUGAGCCCUUUAUGUAAUUGUAGAUUAAUUAACUAGAAUCAAGCUAUAAAAUUAGAAAAGAUUUAUGGUAAAUAAAUAUACAAUAUUAAUAAUAAUUUUAUAGUUAUCAAAUUAAUUAGAUUAAAUUGAGUUAGAAAUCAGUUAAUAUUGACAAUUAUUUUAAUAAAAAUAUAUGCAAAGUUUUGUAAUUGAUAUACAUAUAUUGGUUACAAUAACAACGAACACUGACUUCUACUUUAGCCAUAAAUAUAUUUUAAAAUUUACAACAUUAAAUUUAAAGAACUUGAGUCUAUAUAUUAUGAUCUUAAAAUUGAUUCUAAUUAAUUGAAAUUAAUUAGUUGAUUGUAUAGUUUUAUUACAACAAUUUCGUACAUCAUUUAUUUAAUAAAAAUACAUAUAAUUAAUUGAUUGAUUUUGUGCAAUCUACUAUGAUCUUAUUAAUUCAAAUGAAAUGAUUUUUAAAUGAUAAGUUUGGAUUAUAAAAAUAAAGGUGAUUAUUGUAUNNNNNNNNNNNNNNNNNNNNNNNNNNNNNNNNNNNNNNNNNNNNNNNNNNNNNNNNNNNNNNNNNNNNNNNNNNNNNNNNNNNNNNNNNNNNNNNNNNNNNNNNNNNNNNNNNNNNNNNNNNNNNNNNNNNNNNNNNNNNNNNNNNNNNNNNNNNNNNNNNNNNNNNNNNNNNNNNNNNNNNNNNNNNNNNNNNNNNNNNNNNNNNNNNNNNNNNNNNNNNNNNNNNNNNNNNNNNNNNNNNNNNNNNNNNNNNNNNNNNNNNNNNNNNNNNNNNNNNNNNNNNNNNNNNNNNNNNNNNNNNNNNNNNNNNNNNNNNNNNNNNNNNNNNNNNNNNNNNNNNNNNNNNNNNNNNNNNNNNNNNNNNNNNNNNNNNNNNNNNNNNNNNNNNNNNNNNNNNNNNNNNNNNNNNNNNNNNNNNNNNNNNNNNNNNNNNNNNNNNNNNNNNNNNNNNNNNNNNNNNNNNNNNNNNNNNNNNNNNNNNNNNNNNNNNNNNNNNNNNNNNNNNNNNNNNNNNNNNNNNNNNNNNNNNNNNNNNNNNNNNNNNNNNNNNNNNNNNNNNNNNNNNNNNNNNNNNNNNNNNNNNNNNNNNNNNNNNNNNNNNNNNNNNNNNNNNNNNNNNNNNNNNNNNNNNNNNNNNNNNNNNNNNNNNNNNNNNNNNNNNNNNNNNNNNNNNNNNNNNNNNNNNNNNNNNNNNNNNNNNNNNNNNNNNNNNNNNNNNNNNNNNNNNNNNNNNNNNNNNNNNNNNNNNNNNNNNNNNNNNNNNNNNNNNNNNNNNNNNNNNNNNNNNNNNNNNNNNNNNNNNNNNNNNNNNNNNNNNNNNNNNNNNNUAUCAUGUUUCAAAAUAUUGUUUAUAUCAAUUCAGUGAUGUUUAUAUGGAAAAGUUAAAUUUUGAAAUAAUAAAUAUCUUAAAUUUCAUAAUUUAAGUUAAUUUGUGUGCUAAUUUGAAAAAGUUAAUUUAUAGCUUACAUUUUAUAUCUAUUAUAUGAAAAAUUUGACCUCAUAUGGCUAUUUAUAGCCAUUGAAUAACAAAAAUUAUUUGUUACACUUUUCUUCUCUCUCUCUCAUGGGCAUUUCUCAUAUUUUUCAUUAUGAGUAUGUAAAUAUUCACUUGCCAUAUUUCUAGAUCCUUGUAAAUAUUCACUUUCCAUAUACAGAUCCUUGUAAAUAUUUACUUGCAAUUUACAGAUCCUUGUUAGUUGUAUAUAUGCAUUGUACAAUGAUGAAUGAAAGACACAGAAUUUUUUUUUCUCCAUUCUAGUCUUUUGCUAUUUUUUACAUUUCAAGAAAAAAUAAUAAGAAUCCUACAGAUUCUAACAACCUUUUGUGGGCUCUUACUCUUUCAACUCUUUGAUUCAGUAAUUUCUUUUUUUAUUGUUAUUUGCCAUGAUUAUUUGUUUUAUCACUGGAUCCUUCUAUGACAGUGGGUCAGGAAAAAAGAAUUUCGUGGAUCUGAGCAAACCCCAUGGUCACUGUAAGAAAGUUCAUCCUAAGAAAUCUGGUCGUGUUUCAAGCCGAUAUGUAUAUCAUUUUGCUGUAGCUUCCCUUUUCACACUUAAACUGAUGUUUUAAUCUGUAUUUGCUUGUCCAAAGUAAUGACAAAUGUUUCUUCACGGUAGAGACCUUAGCGUUCCAGUGUUGAUUCGGACUGUUAGAAGAUUCACAAAGGAGAAAGUACAAAUGGCUUUUGAAGUUUCAAGCAUGCUACGGAAUCAAGUUGUUGAAAGGGCUUCUGCUAAGGAAGAAGCCAGCAUAUUACAGGCAGAACUAGAUUUACGAACAUGAAGAUUGGAGAUAGAAAAGAAUGAGUUACAAUCUAUACUAGAAAAAGAGUUAGAUAGAAGAUCCAGCGAUUGGUCUCUAAAACUUGAGAAAUACCAAAUUGAACAACAUAGACUCCAUGAAAGGGCGAGGGAGCUUGCAGAGCAGAAUGUCUCUCUACAAAGGAAAGUCUCUUCAUUUAAUGAGAAGGAAGUAGAUAAUAGAAUCAAGAUGUCAUUUUCAGAGAAACACCUUAAAGAUUUGUCAAAGAGAAUAGAGCAAGUGUCAGAGGAGAAUCAAAAUCUAAGACAGCAACUCACUCAGUUACAAGCGGAAUAUUGAGUAGCUCAAGACAAUUGAGAUUAUGUUCGGGAAAACUACCAGGAAAAGGUUAAAGAGCUUAAAUUGGAGAUUUUGCUACAACUGUGCUAAGGGAGAAGCUCUAUUCCGAGGAGAUGGACAUAAAGCAACUUCAGGAUGAUCUAGCCGUAACAAUUAGAGGUAACGACAUUCUCCAAUGUGACGUUUAAAAUGCGCUGGACGCUCUUUCUUAUGCCACACCCAAGUUGAAAUAUCUUGAUCUUCAGGUAAUCAGGCAAUGUUAAGAUCUUGUUGCAACGAAAUAGUUUUUAUUAUUCAACUUUGGUUACCUCGUCUUCAUAUAUGAUAUCCUGUUCGUAUGUUACUCUCUCUGCAUUAGCUUUCUACUUCUGUUUGAUUUUAAGAUCAUCUUUGUUCCAUCUGAAGUUCACGAUUUUCUUUAUGAACUUGUAUACAUGAGUUGCUAGCAUGUGGUAGUCUUCUGUGAAAUGUCUGAUCGCCUUAAUGUGUAAUUAGUUGAACCAACCAAGAACAUGAUAAACUUUGUGAUAUCCUCAAACCCAUUGAUUUGAUUGUGCUCUGAUGUGGUAAAGUUACCCGAAGGGGUUUCGGUAAGUUUGCUCGUUCAUCUGACUUAAUUCUUGGACAAGCUCACGAGUUAUCUACUGUGAAUUUUAACAGUUAAAAAGGAUUCAUGAUUUGGUUGAACUUCUAAGUUAUGAGUUUCUUUUGAAUUUUUGAUAAAAUAUUAUUGGUGAUCUUUGUGUCUUUCUUGUUUUUCAUGGUUUAAGGUUGAUUCUGGCAGGUGCUAAAAAAGGACGAAAAUAUCAACCAACUUACUAAUGAUUUGCAAGAAUGCAUGAAGGAACUUGGAGUUGUGAAGGCGAUACUACCAAAAGUGUUUCAGGAGAGGGAUUUUAUGUGGGAGGAAGUUAAGAGCUACAGUGAGAUGAACAUGCUGUUGAAUUAUGAGAUCAACAUGUUGAAAAGAAAGGUAGAUACCCUCGACGAAGACUUUCUUAUGAAAGAGGGUCAAAUCACAAUCUUAAAAGACUAGAUAGGCAAACCUUUCGACCUUCUUGCAAGUCCUGAUUCUCUGUUGGAGUGUUGGAUGCUAAAUGGCCAAACUACAAUUCAUAUUUUGUUCAUUGACUAUAAUGUUCAUACUUCUCGUAUACUUACUGGUUUUACUCUUAUUCUUUCUCCCCUUUGAUACUUGUUAAAUAGAAAGUUUGCUUCUUUCUUUUGCAACCUUUUUGAAUCUCCAAUUGUAAACAUUUCUUUUACUUGCUGGUGAUCAAGACAAUGAACUUCUUUUGCUUCAUUUGGUUUUGUAAGUAAUGGCUGUUUUUGGUCUUUUGAAAUAUUUAGUGAGGAUUGGUGGUACCAUUUUCUUCUCGUCUCUGAGGUAGAGGUAUGGUUUGCAUAUAUUCUGCUUGAAUAUACAUCGGGUAUGUUGUUGCUGUUGUAUGGAGAUUGUGUGUAUAAUAACAAUCGUAUAUUUGAUGUCGGGUCAUCCACACUUUCAUUCCUUGUAGGGGAAAGCUCAUUAAGCUUACUGAGUUAACUUCUCAUUAAUAUAUUCUUUUACUAAAGUUGUCACUGGGUAGCUACAAAAAACAAUUGUCUAACUGGGCAGUUCAUGUUCAGUUUGUGCAUAUAUUAAGUAACGUCCAAAUUUUUAACCAUAUAACUUUACUUCAAAAUGGUGCAUGGACCAGAGCUGCUCUUAAGUCUGGUCGGUUGGCAGACUCUUCCAUUUGAUCUACAAUCAAAUGCCUGCUUUGUCUCAGUACAUUUAAUUCUGUUGUGCUCAUUCACACCUGGUUUAUGCCAAGUAUGUGAGACACAUAUAGAAGCCUCUAGUUUCAUCUUCUUUAUAUAGUUUUAAACUUUAUUUGACUUGCCAUGAGGGAGUUCCACCCUGCCCUCUGAUCAUUCUUUUAGAUACCCUCUUUCAUUUGCCUCCACCAUGUUUUAAAUUUUCCUUCCAGUACCUGAUGUUUCACCUGCCACAUUAAAUGUUGUUUGCACACUUUUAAACUAUGCACUGCGUUUAAUUUCAAAAAACAAAAAAAACUAUGCACUACAUUGUAGAACAUUUUGAUAAUUUUUUGGUAUGUCAGUAUGUUCUUUAUGUUUAUGCUUACAUCAAGCAGACACAGUUACUAUAAAGGUGGAAUUAGUUUAUGUACCAUUUUUCUUUUGCGUGUAACUUCUGAAGUUAUUUGGGAUCCAUUAUUUAUAUGUCAAUAAGAGUCUUUGAUGUCUUUCCUGAUAAUGUUUAUGCUUACAUCAAGUAGACAUAUUUAUUAUGAAGGUGGAAUUGGUUUCUGUACUAUUUUACUUUUGUGUGUAACUUCUGAAGUUAUUUGGGAUCCAUCAUUUAUAUGUCAAUGAGAGUUUUUGAUAUCUUUCCUGAUAUUAAACCUAUCAUUUUUUCUUUAACAUGUCUAAUCUCCUGUAUACCUGGCUUUUUGAUCUUUAAUGAUGCAAACAAUUUCCCUUCAAGAACUUGCACUUACCUAAUUCCUAGUAAGACAGUCUUAGAAUCUUCUAUGCUGAAAGAUGCCUAUUGGUGGUUAGUUUUUUCGCCAGGAGGUUGCAUUGGAAGGUACAAGCAUACAUGAUAUCGGUAAAACCAGCAAGAACCAUAUUUUUUUGAAAAUGAUAGCAUAUAUACUAUGUGGGCAGUAUUUUCUUUACAAAAAUGAGCCUCUCUGUGCUUUACAAGGCCUCCAAAGUUGCAAAAUGGAUUCAGCACCCUCUACAAGAAACUCUUAACGUCAAAAUAAUAAGUUGUUUGAUCUUAUCUGCAACAAGAAUGAUGAGCACUGUGUUCAGUUUGGAGCCUGUCCCUAUGCUCGUCUAGACUUAUCCUUAUCUUUAUUGCCUUCUAUUUGCUUGUUGUCUUUGUUCUUGCUAGAACCUGCAUUUGAGAAGCUUGUGUUGUUGUCUUAAGUUAAUGUUUAAGUUUUCUUUCCUUACUGCAGUGCAUCAAAAUUCAACUUAUGGUGCUGCUGAAAAUGUUGGUACUGCUGCUAAACCUAAUGGCAUAAUGCAUGAACCUGUACGUGCUGAUAGACCCAAUGCAUUCAGUAACAAAAACUCAUCUGUUCUCUCUUGCAUAUAAACAGUAAUUGAUAUUCCUUCUCAAACAGCAGGUCCAUCAACGUUUGAGCUCCCGAACCACGUUCUUGUUGGGCCUGGGCGUGAAGGUGGUGUUAGAGUGGGUGAAAGUCCCACAUUGUUGGGGAGUGAACGUCGGUCUUCUUAUAUGGACUUGAGAAAUCCUUCCCUCAUGUGCUAGCUUUUGGGGUUGAGUUAGGUCCAAGAUCCUUUCUUUACACAAUCAACCAUCUUUUCUUACAUUUGAAACGGAAAGAGCAGCUGUAGAGAAUGUUUUCAACCUGAAGGGGUUCAGGUGGGUAGAACCUGGGAGCAUUAAAAAAGUACUAAGCAGCUAGAACGGGGAUGUAAAUGUAAUAAAGGAGGAGAGAUGGAAAAUUGUUCAACAUGUAUAUGGUGGACAGUUUAGACAGAAAAAAACAAAGGUUGUUUUGAGGAUGUCCAGAAGAUCAGCAUGAAUAGUUUAGCACUUCUUUAUUUUUGGUGUAAACACGAUGAUUAGCUCUAACAGAAGACAUCAUUGAUGUGCUAGACUGUCUAUAGGCAAUAGAAAGACAGAGUAAAUGUAAUACUUUGAAGGGGGACAUCAUUUUUGUUGGCUAGGGAUUUGAACAAAGAUGGGAAAAGCUCUAUACUAUAUAAAGGACGGGGAUGACUAAUAUGACAACUCUUUUCUUGGAUGGAACAUAAUUUUUGUUAUAAGAUAUGGAAGAUAUGAAGAUAGGCCAAAGUGUUGUCAACUAACAGACUUUUAAAAUUAAGAGCCAAAGAACGCUAAACAAUGGGUGUAACUCAAAUCUAUUUGAAUAAAAGGAAUACUAACUCUGAGAGAACAAAGCACACUCUCCAGUAGUCUAGUAAAAAUAGUAGAUCUUAAAAUCCCACUGCUAAGCAAAUUAAUUUAAAUGCUGCUUUAGAUUAGAAAGUCACUUUGUUAUAUUAUGUGUUCAGUGGGUUCUCAUUUAUACUGCUCAUCAUAUUUUCUGCACUAUUUUUUCAACAUUUUCUCUAAAGUCUAUAAUUUACUCUUCUUCACUUUGAACUUGGGCUCUGCAUCUUGGACUUCUAUAUGUUGGUUCACUUGUAGUACUUCUUGUGUAUUCUAUCCUGUAUGGUCUGACAGCAAAGGAAUCAAACUGGCUUGGGGCUACAACAUCAGCUGCCGUGAUAAUCCUUGGUAGUUCAUUUCCUACAUAUAUCUGUCUCCUUUUCUGACUCAUAUUGUGAAAUAAUUUCUUAUUUCUUUGUCGUAAGUAAUGAAUUCACUAGCUUUUCAUUCAAUCAGAUUGGAACUUGGGAGCUUACUUGUAUGGUUUUAAGCUUUUGAAAAGUCGAGUCGUCGUACUUUUUGUUGCUGGUACAUCCUAGGUGUUCCUGAUCUAUUUUGGAGUUCAUUACUGGUUUGUUGUUAACCCAUGCUAAUUCAUUUUCAUCCAUAAUCAAGUCUUUUUAUACUUGUGGCAUAUGCAUCCCUUUUAAUAUUAUUUGUUGAAUAGAAACUUCUAAUCUUUUGUUAUAAAAAAAAAAUCUUCUAAUCUUUUACUGUAACAAUUUUUUUUCAGGUACUUUGGGCAUUGUAUCAGUUAUGCAAUUGUAGCAUCUAUGCUGUUGGGUGCUGCUAUUUCAUGGUAUUUAUUAGUUACAGACCCAUUAGUAGCUAGACAAGAUGCCUUAAAGAGCACAGUUAUCCGCCUUAGAGAAGGUUUCCACAGAAAAGACCAAAAUAGCUCUGCAAGCUCUUGUAAGGGGUGUGGCUCAAGUGUCAAACGCAGUAGUAUGCUGAUGCUGGUCAUCUUGGUAAUGCAACUGUGCCUUGCACUGGUGAUGGCAGUACCUGGAAUAACAUUGAGGGGAUUAACAGUGAUAAGAGCAUAGACAGUGGAAGGCCAAGUCUAGCUCUACGUAGUAGUUCCUGUUGUUGAGUUGUUCAAGAGCCUGAAGUAGGAUCAUCAUAUGUUGACAGAAAUUUAGAGCAUAAUAGUUCAUUGGUUGUUUGUUCUAGCAGUGACCUUGAAAGCCAAGGCGGUGAUUCUAGUACAUCCACUUCUGCAAACCAACAUAUACUGGACUUGAAUUUGGCACUUGCAUUUCAAGAAAAGUUGAGUGAUCCCAGGAUUACAUCUAUGUUAAAGUGGAAAGAAAGACACACUGAUCGUGAAUUAGCUAAUUUAUUGCAAGAUAAAGGGCUUGAUCCUAAUUUUGCAGUGAUGCUGAAGGAGAAUGGAUUGGACCCAAUGAUUCUAGCCUUGUUGCAGAGAAGUAGUUUGUACGCUGAUCAAGAACAUCGCGAUAGUAACCCUCCUGUCACUGAUACAAAUGAUGUUGAGGAUGUGUUACCUAAUCAUAUUUCAUUCUCAGAAGAACUUAGACUCCAAGGAUUAGGAAAGUGGCUUCAACGUUGUAGAGUAAUGUUGCAUCAUGUAGCAGGAACUCCAGAGCGAGCAUGGCUUCUUUUCAGUUUAAUCUUCAUUCUUGAAACCGUCGUUGUGGCUAUCUUUCGACCACAGACAAUAAAACUUUUGAAUGCUACACACCAAUAGGUAAGAAAUGCAUUAGUACUUUUAAAGUACAGUUUAGUGUAUUUGGAGUACGGUGCAGCUAAAAUGUACUCCAUAUGGUUGUACUUUCCAUUUUCUAACAAAAUUUUGUAACACUCCGCAUUUCGGACGAGAACAAAAAUCGUCAUUUUCUUCACGUAAAGGUUCCAAAAGCCAUAAAUCCAAUGCAAGUUUAGUGUGUUAAUAAAUUAUGUAGUGUGGAAACCUAUUUGAGCAUGAAUUGAGAUCAUAGAGGUCCCCAAGCUCAAGGAUAAGCUGAAUGUUUUCCUAUCGUUCGAAUUUUAGUGAACGUUGAAACUUAAUUCAUUUUCAAUUGACCAUUACUCUUUGUAUAUAUUGAAUUAGAGUGCCUACUAUAUAUUAAAUGAAAGGUAUUCGAAUUAUCUUUCUAACAAUACCAAUUUUGCAAAAUUCUGACACCCGAAGAAGAAGUUAUGUCAUUGAAAAAUGGAGUGCAUCGUGCAGCAUAGGUGUGCAACGCACACCCUAACUUAUGCCAUAAGGUGUGCGACGCACACCCUAACUUAUGACAUAAGGUGUGUGACGCACAACCUAAUGUGUGCAAUAAAGAGUGCGCCGCACAACCUAUAUAAUGCGAUAAGGUAUGUCCCGCAUAUAUUAUUACUCAAGUGACUUAAACACUCCAUUUUGGGGGCAAAAUGGUCCUUUUCCCUCCCUUAUUUAGCCAUAAACACAAAAUUCAGUUCCCAAAAUACCCCAAAAUACACCUUCAUUUAUCAAAAUUGCUCAAGAACUCUCCUUAGGGUUUAAAAAUAAAAACCCAAGCAACUCAAGAUUCAACUGUGGGUUUUUGAAACUAAUUGCAUAUUUGGAAUCCCCAGAACGUAGGCUUUAAGAAGCACCUAUCAUCUUUGCAUAUAGAGGUACGUGGGGUUAUCUCAAAAAUCUCAUGGGCUUAAAAAUUCAUGUUUUAAAAAUGAGGGUUUUGAAAUUAGGAAUAUAAUCCCGUUUUAAACAUUUUAUGAUAUUGAUUUGGUGUUUAGGCCUAUUCCCGAAGUGGUUUGAUAUAUGAUAUAUGUAUAUGCAUGUAUUCCAAAAAAAUGUUAACUUGAGAGCACGAAUUAUAUGAAAUCCCUCUUUUUAUAUGAUCUCGUUUUAAAUUCUCAUAUGAUAUGAAAUCCCGAAGUUAGUAAAUAUGCAAGUAUUAUAUGAUGACUACUGGGUCUAUAGAAUGAUAAAGUGUAUCUCAGAAGGUAGUAUUAAUAGUGGGUUUUCCACUUUCAGGUACAUUCAUUUGGGUUAAGUGCCAUGAUAUGCGUGUAUAGUAGUUUUCCAGACCCCAGAGUGCAGUGAGUGUACUUCAGUUUAGAGUCUAGUAAGGGAUCUCCCAAACUUAAUAUGAUGGCUUGAAGCUAAAGGGGAGUUGAUAGAGCGAAUAACCAAGUCAGGCUUUCAGAUUCUAGUAGUAAUGUCAGUAUGACAUAGAACAUCUGAAGGGAAGAGUGAGGCUUAACCCAUUCCAGUCUCAGUAUUUUUCAGUUAUCCUAAUACCUACUCAUACCUCACGUUUCAGUUCCAUGAUCAUAGUUUUCCAUUAACAGACGUGCUUCUUUACACUCGAAGAAAAGAUACUUAGGCCAUCAGUAGCUGUUGAACCCAAGCCAUAAGGUAAAGAUGCUUAUCAUUUUGUCCAUUCUCGUCUAACACUAUGAUAGGUUAUCUAUUUCCUAUCUCUCUUUAUUCUCGUUUCAAGCUUUCUAUUUAUUAGAUAAAGAAAAGGGUUUCAUGUUACUAUGUGGUUUGGCUUCAAAAUUCUUGCCUUGUCCUUCAAAUUAAUUUAGGGAGUUGCGCAUGGAUACAAGCUUUCAACAUUGAUUGGAAAAUUAACUAAAUAUGAUUGAAAAGUAGCUAUAUUCUUAUUUCAUCUAUUCUUCCUUGCAUGGAUAUUGGUUGAGAAGCCUCCUAUACCUCCUCUAGCUGGUCCUGCUCCUGGUGCUAUUCCAUCCAUGUCACUGCAAGUAAAGUUGUGGAGGUUUGGGUGAGGGAUAAAUGACUUUAGAAUGUAAAGACAUUAUGAUAACUAUUUUCCCCACAUCUUUAGCAGCUCCAACCUAUGCUUCCAGCCCAGCAGACACAGCCUUAUGGUUCCGGGUCAUCUCAACAAUUUCUGCCACUUGGACAUGCAAAUGUAGCGAUGUCUCAACCUUCUCAAAUCCAAUUUCCUCAACCUAUGCAACAUGUUACUGGUAGACCUGUAGUAGGAAUGCAUAGUAUGCCUCAGGGACCACCUAUUCCCCAUGAUUUUCAGCGAAAUCUUCCGAUGUCAAAUAACCACAUGCCUGGUUCUGGUGGCCCAAAUUUACCUCUUUCUUCUUCAUAUAAUGUAAGGCCUUGGGAAGAUCUUUUGUGGUUAUUGUCCAUCAGUUUUCGAUGUUCCAUUCAUAUAUUGAUGAAAUAUAUUUUGUUAUCGUCUUUAACAGCCGGUAAAUGCAGAUUCUUUUAGCUCCCAGUAUCAGACACAGAUAAAUGAUCAUAGGUUUCCAUCCGGGGUACAACCCUGGAUGCCAAUAAGUAAUCAUAAUGUAAAUUUUGCGACAACUAUGCAGAAGACUGGAGAAUUAGCAGCUCCCUUGGUUGUUCCGGUGAGAAUUCAAUGUGUUUUAUUAUACCCGUUUGGCAUAAAUAUUGUCAACAAGUAUGCUUAAGUUAAUCGGUUAAUGGGUGUGUGUUGACUGAAAGAGUCAACAUUUGAAUUCUAUGAUAGUUUUUUGUAAGCAAAUUAAGAUUCCAGUGAACAAAAAAGAUGUAAAACUACGGUAUACUAGAAAAGGAGCUCUACAAUAAUAUAAUUUUCAUUCAGAUCCAAUCUUUUUACCACUUUGUGUUCUCCAGACAGAAAAAAGAGCAUGCCGAUUUGCCUUUUCGAAAUUCUUGCUUUUGGAUUAUGUUCACAUAGGUUACUCAUAUGAAUAGGUUAAUGUCUGCAUCACAAACACUUAAUGUCUUGUCUAUGAACAAGUGGUGGAUAUGUUGGCCCCCAUCAAUGCCAAUAAAUCCCUCGAGUAUCCACAUCUACUGCUUUGUACAUCAUUCUGCUUCCAUUAGCACUGGAGAUAAUAGUCCCCUUUGUUUCAUUCCUCUUUGUCAAAGUUAUCAUAUGGGCUGCCGUUCACCGCUACCAAAUUCUACCUAACUGUGGAUCAGCAGAACUUGAUACACUUCUACCGAUAACUUCAUUUUGACCCCAUUUCUCUAUUAUCAUACAUAUUUUACAUAUGGCUAAAUAUUAGUUGGUAUUGCUAUUUUCAGCAUCUUUUGAUGAUCAGUAGGCCAAUUAUGGUUGCUAAUGUUGUCAUAUUUCCUGUGGCUUUAUUACUCCAACCAAUUAAUAACAUUCUUACAAUUCUUGAAUUGAUUUUUAGAUACUAUUAUAAUAGAAGGACAAUAAUCUCUACCUGGGAGAAACCUCGAGAGCUGAUGACAGAAAUGGAGGUGAGGUCUCUGUCAUUGAGAUUUUUAUGGGUAGUUUUAUCCAGUUUCCUGUGCUUAUCAAUGAAAAAAGAAGUACACAAUUCUUUUUCUAUGAAGCUUUGUAGAAUAACUUUUUCUUUCCUAAGUAUAUGUGAUUUCUGUUGAAAGUUUGUUUUGCGAGCAGAUUUCCUCGAUCUUACUAUACUAUGUAGGCUUCAUUCAGGAUUUGCAUUGACCUUUUAUUUCCAAUAUAGUUCUAAAAGAUUUUAUAUUUAACACUAUUGUUCUAAAAAAUGUAUUUAAGCAUACACGAUAGGAUUAUAUUUGGUCUAUUUUAAACAAUUAUUUUUACUUUCUGAUUAAUGUAAUGUUAUUGUAACUCUAUGGUGUUAUGGAGAGAGGAAACUUGAUAUAAUAUUGCGGUUCACACUUCUCAUUCUAGUUUACAGAAUAAUAGUUUGGCUGGUUGCACACUUGCACCCAAGAGUGUGACCUAGUGGUCAAUGAAGUAGAUUGAGAACCAUGAGGUCUCAGGUUUAAUUUCCAACAGAGAUAAAAACACUAGGUGAUUUCUUACCGUCUGUCCAAGCCUUGAUGGACAAAGUUACCCAGUAUCUAUGCUGGUGGGAGGUAGCAAUACCUGGUGUAACUAUUCAAGAUGCAAGCUGACCCAAACACAACUGUUAUCAAAGAAAGUUUGUCUGGUUGUGAGGGACAAGUAUUAAGGGACCAACAAUUGGAGCUGUAAGGAAUUUUGAACAUUUUUAUUCUUUUCUUUUUGAGAUAAACAGUUUUUUUCUGGAGAUAUUACUUUGUAUUCGUCAGCAUUAAAGUUAUGCUAGCAGUCCAAACGAAAUGAAAAAUAAUGAAAAUAAUGCGAGGAUUCGAAGAGAUCUACUACCUGUUAUGCAUUCUGUACACAUUGACCCUUAAACAAAAAACAAAAAUCUACAAUGCUAUUCCAUUUAACAUUCUGAAUGGAAUUAUAUUUAUCUUCAAAAUACCUUCAACUUUUCUCGGUCCAUAUAGUCCACCAAAUACAAGGAAGGAUUGUUCUCCCCCAUUUCUUCUAACUCUUGCUAAUCCCCUCUAAUCCAGCAGCUCAACAGAUUGUUGUGUGUUCUUUGAUAGUCCACUUUACUUCAACUCAAUAGAUCUGGUAUGUGUUCUGGCAUGGUCCACUUUACUUCUAUUAAACUAAAGGUGUCAAAUGGGUGGGGUUGGCUGGAUUUGGGCGGAUCAAAGAGGUCUGAGUUAAUAAAUGGGCGGGUUAUUAACCCGCCUUAAAGCUACUUGGGCUAAAAUGGGUUGAGUUGAAAUGCUCUAAAAUGUGGGUCAUAACCCAAUCCACCCAAUUUGAACUCAAAUUUUAUUGCUUUAUUUGUUAUUUUAUAAACUUUUAGUACUUGAAAAAUUAUUACUCCCUCCGUCCCAAAUUAUGUGUCAUCAUUUCCUUUUUAAUCCAUCCCAAAAUAAGUGUCGUCUUUCCUUAUUUGGCAACUUUUUAAAGGUACAAUUACCCUUUUACCCUUAUUGGUCCCACUUAAUUAAAAAAAAAGAUAUUGACACAUUUUUUGAUGAAGGAUAAUUUGGUAAAAUUUACCAAGUCUUCCCUUAUUUCUUAAACUUCAUGCCCGGUCAAAUGGUGACACAUAAAAUGGGACGGAGGGAGUAUUUUUUUUUUAACUUGGUAACUUUGUAUUAUAUCACACAGUACAUGGGUUGUACUGAAACCUUUAUACACAAGAGUACUCCUAAAUCGACUGUUGUAUAUCUAAAUUUAGUCUAGAACAUCAAUUAUCGAUGCAGUAUCAUUAGAGUAUAGCUGAUUACACCAAAAACAUAAAAGCAAAAUGCAGUUGAGUUUAACCUUCUGCACACUAUUCUCUAUGCUCUCAAAAAAUCUAGAAUUCCUUUCUUUCCAUAUAGCCCACCAUAUAGCACCAGGGAUAAUUCUCCAUCUACCUCUGUCCUUCGCAUGUACACCUGCUUUUUCCAGCACAUUAAAGUCUUGGAUACUUUCCUAAGCAUUGUCCUGGAAAUGCCUUUUAGUCUUAAGAAGAUUUUCCAAAGUUGUUGGGUGUACUUACAAUGUAGAAAUACAUGGUUUUCCCUUUCUUCAUGACAUUAUCUUGUGUAUGAACUACUUCCUUAGUCAGUAACCAGACAAAGACAAAGCACGACACUGUGUGAGAUAUCCUACUUUUCCAUAUUUGCUUCCAUGGCCAUCUUGGAUCCGAGUGAUUUAUUUGGUGACACUGAACAUUCCUUUUUCAUUUCCCAUCCACCAUAGUACGUCCUUCACUGUCUGCAGUCCAUUGAAUAAGUCCACGGUAUUAAUAAAUUCAACUACUCUCAUUACCUCCCGGUCAUUAAGUUGCCUUCUGAAAUUGAAGUUCCACCCAUGUGGUGUCCAUAAUUAUGCUAUAGUCCUCCAUUGAAACAAUACCAAGUUGUAGAUAUCUGGAAAAAUCACUUCCAUAUUCCCAUCCUCUAGUCAAUUAUCCUUCCAAAACCUAGUCUUGUUUCCAUCCAUCACUUUAACCUUUGAGUUGCUUUUAACUUCAUUCCACUAGUGUCUAAUGGAUCUAAUAGAUCUCUAGAGGCUAAACCCGUAUGGUGUGGUCACUUCUUUAGUCAUCCAUCUAUCUUCUUCAGGAUAUUUAGCCCCAAUCCCUUUCCUCCAUAGCAGCUGGUUAUUGUUUGCAUAUUUCCACAACCAUUUCAUCACGAGAGCCUUACUUUGAAUUUUUAGGUUCUUUAUCCCCAACCCUCUAGUCUUCUUGUCAAUUGUCCACCACAGAGAGCACUACCACUUUUUCUCGCAUAUCUUUGUUCCUUAUUCUAUCUCUCCUAGUAUGCCCACGCACCAAUCUCAACAUCCUCAUUUCUGCUACGUUUAUCUUUCGAACAUGCGAGGUCUUGACCAGCCAAACACUCUGCCCCAUGCAAGAUAGCUAGUAUAACAACCACUUUAUAAAUUUACCUUUAAGUUUAUUUUAACAAAAUUCUUAUACAUGGCAUGCUAGUUACUAGCUCUUUUGCAAGAGCUAAUUGGGAUAAAAAAUACAUGUUCAGAAAUUGAUUCAUCAAAAAAAUGCAUAUCUGUAGUUUAUGAGUUUCAAACGUGUCCAAAUGGAAAAAAAAUUAUGGGGGGAUGUGUUGAGUAUGGAAAUUAGAACCUCAGUGCAGGAUUUGAACACUCUUACUGUCACACUCAGUCUUGCUUUUUGUGGCAAGGGUGUUUAUUAAAAAAUACUCAAAAAUGACAUAAUUUGACAUAUAUAUAUACAAAAUGCGAUUAUCAGGUGAAUGUUGUUCAGUUGAUCACCCUUGGAUAGCUGUAGCUCAGCCGCAGCUUGGCAAUGUUUACACUCUGCUUGUAGUUAUAUUCUACAUAGUACAUUCUAGUCCUUUCUAUGUGGGACAUUAUAUUAUUCAUAUUCUAACACUUCCAUCCAGUAUUGUACUGUUGGAAGUUACUGAUUUCUACUCUCAGGGUACUGUUUAUGUUCUAUUUUUUGACUUGACCUGCUUUCAUGCUAUUUUUAUUAGGACAGAGGGCAGACGCAUCAGCUGACUGGAGAGAAUUUACAAGUCCCGAGGGAAGAAAGUGUGUAACUUAUAUAUUUUCUUGGCCUAUUUCCAAUUGUUCUUCUACAGUGGGUAUUUUUGUGUGUUACUUAUGCAUAAUGUUGAUUGCUUUGUUUGUUUUCUAUAGGUAUUACUACAACAAGGCUACUAGAACGUCCCAAUGGAGAAUGCCUGAUGAAGUCAAGGUGGUGUUAGAUUUAAAUCCAUUAUGGGUUUGUUCCGUGCUUUAAAUAGCAUGAUAAGAAGGGAUUGUUCAGCUCUUUAAAUAGCAUGAUAAGAAGGGACAAUAUUCUGUUUUCUUGGAUGCUCUAGUUCUCAUAAAAUCUUUAUGCAUUCACAGUUGCUAGCAUGAUAAGAAGGGGCAAUAUUCUGUUUUCUUGGAUACUCUAUUCUCAUAAAGUUCAAUUAUUUAUAAAUUCACAGUUGGCUCGUGAAAAGGACACCAUUUCGCAUGCUUCUAAUUUUGGAUCCAUUUCUGUUGUUAAAAUAUCAUUCCAGAUGUAGAUAGUUCAUUAGUCUCGGCACACGGUGCUAAAUUGUCAUGACCCGAGUAUUCUGAACCAUCAAGGCCCGAAACACCCCUUAUCUAUCUGGUAAUGAUGCACAUGACUUAUAUGAAAAAGAAAUGCGGAAGAUACACUAUAUAACAGAAACAUAGUCAAGAAUCAUAUGAAAACAAUUAUGGGGAAUAAUGUCCCACAAUCUCAAUCAACAUCUCUAUAACGUCUGCAAAAUCUCUACUAUAUGACUAAAAUAAAUGUCUAUCUGAAAACUGGGACAAGGCCCCCAGUAGAUCCAAAACUAAUAAAUGAUAAAUUAAACUGCAGACAUCAGGCCUUACGAAAUAUAGAAGGCUCACCACUUGAUUCUGCGAUCUAUUGGAAGGAAUCUACUGCUUGUCUGGACCCCUAGAUUGUGCCUCCGAACCUGGGAGGAGAGGGAGUCAAUACAAAAGUACUGGUACACAGAGAAAUCAAAGAAGAAAUAUAAUAUUUUUACACAAUAUAGGUGAGAGCCAUUAUAAAGCAGUUUCAUAUAAAGUUAUUUGAAAACACAUCGGCAUAAUGUAAUAGUUUUCAAUACCAAUGUAAUGCGAUUGAGCUAGGUAGAAUACCCUACAAUUGUAAUUCCACGGCUAUGUAGAUCCGCCUCUGGUGCUUGGUGGCCAAUCCUCCAAUCCAAGUAGCCGCCAGGAUUUGGAGCCAGUAUACCCCCCAUGUGAGUACACCGUAGGGAAUCCCCCCAUGUGAGAUGUCCCAAUUAUUUUAUUAUCCUCCCAUGUAGGAUACAAUAUCAUAUGACCUGCAUCGGCAACUACGGUUUCCAGUGAUAAGCCCUUUCACUCAAACGCGUUCUUCGGGCAUCCACCUUUCUCAUGAAAGUCAAUGCAUUCAAGCUUUGUUCAAAUCAAUCACAAGUCAUACUCUGUAGGGUAUCUUCAUACCCGACUUGCAAGCCAUCAAUAUCACAUCAUUCUUCUCAUUCAACCAUUGUAUUCAACAUGAAUAACCUUCUCGUUUUCAAGUCAAAAUCAUAUCAAUUCUCAAAAUAUUUCAUGUCAUGCUGUUCAAGAUGUUUUCAAACAAUUAACAUCAUAUGAACAUUUAAAACAAAUUCACAUCAAGAGAGGAAAUUUCAUAUCAUUCAUGCUCUCAAGUUAACAUCUUUUCAGAAUACAUGCAUAUACAUAUAUCCUAUAGCAAAUCACUUUGGGAGUAGGCCUAAGGGCCAAAUCAACAUCAUAAAAAGUUUAAAACAUAAUCAUAUUCGUUAUUUCAAAACCCCCACGAUUACUACGAGUAUUAGGUGUUUCUUGAAGCCUACGUUGAGAGGAUUCCAAAUAUGCAAUUAGUUUCUAAAACCCACAGUUGAAUCUUGAGUUUCUUGGGUUUUUAUUUUGAAACCCUAGAGAGAGUUCUUGAACAAUUUUGAUGAAUAAAGGUGUAUUUUGGGGUCUUUAGGAACUGAAUUUCGUGUUUAGGGCUAAGUAAGGAUAGAAAAGGACCAUUUUGCCCCAAAAAUAGAGUGUUUCAGUCACUUGAAACCUUUACAUAGGCUCUGUCUAUGCUAUCGCCUAUGUUUACAUAGGCGCCACCUAUGCUAUCGCCUAUGUUUACAUAGGCGCCACCUACUACUUUGAAAGGCCAUAACUUCUUGCUCGGGUGUCGGAUUUUAGAAAAAUUGGUAUCAUUGGAAAGCUAACUCGAAGAACUAUCAUUUGACACAUAGUAGGCUCUAUAAUUCGACACAUACAGAGAGUUAUGGUAUAUGGAAACUGACACAAAUUACAAUAUCCACUAAAACUUAAUCGAUCGAAAUAGUUUCAACUCGUCCUUGAGUUGAAGGACCUCUAUGGUGUAAAUUCAAGCUUGAAUGGAUUUACAUACUACACAAAUAAUUAACAUGCCAUAUUGGCAUAGGAUAUAUGGCUUUGGGAUUAUCAAAGCAUCGAAAUCAUGGUCUAUAUUGUAGCUCGAAAUGCGGGGCGUUACAAGAAUAAUUCAGUUUGGGUCUAUAUACCUAGGAACGACGGUCUAACCUCUAGCCCAAAAAUAUGGGGUGUUACAUUAUCUCCCCCUUGGGAUCAUUCGUCCUCGAAUGAUGGGUAGGAACAUAUUGAAGCUUAGAGGUCUGGAAUAACGCGGACAUGAUAUAUUCUCUAAGAAAGAAUACACUGAUCUAAAACAUGACUAUAAGACUGGAACUACUGAUAUUCUAAAUUCUUAUACCGGACGUGCAUAUCUGAUGCAGGGAAUACACAACUGAAGAAACUCAUAGGCUGAAUUCUCAUAAUGAAUCAUGCAUAUAUGAUGCGUGGAUUUGUUACUGAGUUGUUCUCAUGAACGCAAAACUGAAUACACUGAUAAGUUGAACUUUUCUAUUGAAAAUGCAUUUCUAAUGCAUGCAUAUCUGACUGAACUGACGUAUGACGUAUGACUGAAUACGCAAUGAUAACUGGUGCGAAGCUUAUAAUGAGAAUCUAUGCAUGCAGAUAAAUAGGGUAUCUCCCCCUUGGGACCCUAUGUCCCUUUAUGAAUGAUUAAUUCACUAAGAUACUCGAAAAACUGAGGCGAUGCACAGGGCACCUACGGAUUGAAUCAUGACUGAACCUCUGGAAUCUGAAUCUAAUACAUGACGCAUGAACUGAUCAAUACUUGCAAUUACUAGUAUACUCUAUCUUGGAAUAGUAGCAUGUCUGAGAUUUCGGGUAGCAUGAAUAAGUGCAAAGACAAUAAAACAAGUCAUGCGAAUCUGACUGCUAAACUGACUUAUUGUCCAUACAGACUUAAUUAUACUACACCCUCAUACUUAAUUGGAGUAUUCUCUUCAACACUCUCUCUAAGAAAGUUCUAGCAGUAAUAGAGAGCCACGAAUCAUGGGUAUGGAUUACACAAGACACCCACUAAGGAAUCAUCACAAUGACACCACUCUGUAGUCUGGAAUAUAGACAUAUAACUCCUAAAUUAGGAUAGAAUUUCCAGACCUUUGGCAAUACAACUUCUUACUUUCAAGCUUAGCACAUUUCUUGAAUAUCCCUUAACUAUACUAUUCCUAUAAAUAUCAUAUUCAUUCAAUUCAGCUUAAAAUUCUCAUAUGAGCACUGACAAUACAUGCAUACAUGCAUAUCGUAGACUUAACAUGAAUGACUACCUUCUGGGAUACACUUACCAAUAGUCAUAGUAUAAUGCUUGCACACUUAUUUCUAUCGGUUCAACCUUCAAAACUCAAACUUAAAUUCUAACACUUAACAUGACUAUUUAGAUCACCAUAUACCAUCUAACUAGUCUUUCUCCACUUAACAAUUCAAUGGUACCACUUAAUCUGAUACUAUAACCCCAUACAAUCUUCUCUAUUUAUGUGGAUUUCUCAGCUUAUACUUACUUACUUAAGCAUACAUUUAGACUGCCUUCAAAUUCCUCAAAAAAGCAUGAGUCUAUAAUCAUAACUUACUCGCUAAUAUAGCUAUUUUCACAUUCAAGCAACCAAUAAAUCACCCUGACUAACAACUCCUUCUCUACCUUCUACUAAUAGCACAAAAGGACGAAUCAUCUCUUUACCGGCUCAAUCUGAUGCAACCAGAUUCAGCUAUACAUACAUUAAACCUACACAAGAACCACAAGUUGGACAACAAGUUGCUAGUGAAUCGAAAUAGGCCUCACACGGCUUCACUAGACUUUGAUUUUGUAUUUUGAACAAGAAAAUGGGAUGAAUGACAAGUCAACUAUUCUAGUGAAUCAAAAGAGCCCCACACGACUUCACUAGACUUUAUGUUUCAACAACACUUUGAUGACAAUAUUUCAUGAGAUAGAGAUUUAAUACGCAAUAUUCAAUGAACUAAAAAUACACAUCUUACUCUGUAGAAAUAAAAUCGGAGUCAAACUCUUCCUCUAUGGACUACCAUACUGUCCACACAUACUGCUAGCUACCAAAUUAGUUUAUCACUAUAAAGGGUUAAUCAUCCUCACUCUGACUUCUAACUUUGUGACUUCACAUCACCAACUUUUUGGUCUAAUUUUAUUACCAAUAGAUCAUGACAACAACACUUUAACGUAUACUAUUAUUUGGGUGGAAAUACAGUUCUAACAUUCUGCUACACCUUAUUACCUCUGAAGCAUGACACUAGCAACAUAAGUUCGAAAAAGAACUAAAUAUACUUAAUCCUGCAGGCUGAAAAGUACGAUUUUAUCAAAAUCAAGGUUCAUACUAGAACCAACACAUUCUGAAGUACUAACAAACUCUUCUCAAGUCCUUGUAAAAAUCUUAUAUGAUUCGAUCAGAAUGAACCAUACCAUUUAGACUCUAAACUUCUGUACUUAAAUCGGCCCAAUGAUGAGACAUGUCUGAGAAUGUCUGAGUAAGAAAAGAAUUAGGAUGACUGUUGCUUUCGUAUGGGCGACACCAUAGCAUAAAUUUGAGUAUGAAAGAGGAACAUUCUAACUCUAUUGCAUGAACUAGAACAUGAAGAAAGAGAGACAUUCCUAAAUGCCUAGUAUCCUCCUACUUAUAAGUGUGUCGCGCUAACACCCAUAAAUAAGACUCUACCCGACACAAUUUCACAGACACCCUGGGACCAUGAACACUACUCUGAUACCAAGUUUGUCACAACCCGAACUGGGGCCCUAGCCGUGUCGAGUAUUCCGAACCAUCAAGGCCUGAAAUACCCUUUAUCUAUCUGGUAAUCAUGCACAUGACUUAUAAAAAAAAGAAAAGCGGAAGAUACACUAUAUAACGGAAACAUGGUCAAGAAUCAUAUGAAAACAAUAAUGGGGAAUAAUGUCCCACAAUCUCAAUCAACAUCUCUAUAACGUCUACAAAAUCUCUACUACAUGACUAAAACAAAUGUCUAUCUAGAAACUGGGACAAGUCCCCCAGUAGACCCAAAACUAAUAAAUGAUAAAUUAAACUGCAGACAUCAGGCCUUCCAAAAUAUUAAAGGCUCACCACUUAAUUCUGCGAUCUUUUGGAAGGAAUCUACUGGUUGUAUGGACCCCUAGACUGUACCUCUAAACCUGGGAGGAGAGGGGGUUAAUACAAAAGUACUGGUAUGCAGAGAAAUCAAAACAGAAAUAUAAUAUUUUUACACAAUACAGGUGAGAGCCAUUAUAAAGCAGUUUCAUAUCAAGUUAUUUGAAAACACAUCGGCAUAAUGUAAUAGUUUUCAAUACCAAUGUAAUGCGAUUGAGCUAGGUCGAAUACCCUAUAAUUGUAAUUCCACGGCUAUGUGGAAUCCACCUCUGGUGCUCGGCGGCCAAGCCUCCAAUCCAAGUAGCCGUCAGGAUUUGGAGCCGGUAUACCCCCGUGUGAGUACACCAUAGGGAAUCCCCUCAUGUGAGAUGUCCCAAUUAUUUUAUUAUCCUCCCAUGUAGGAUACAAUAUCAUAUGACCUGCAUUGGCAACUAUGGUUUCCAGCAAUAAGCCCUUUCACUCAAACCCCUUCUUCGGACAUCCACUUUUCUCAUGAAAAUCAAUGCAUUCAAUCUUUGUUCAAAUCAAUCACAUGUCAUACUCUGUAGGGUAUCAUCAUACCCGACUUGCAAGCCAUUAAUAUCACAUUAUUCUUCUCAUUCAACCAUUGUAUUCAACAUGAAAAACCUUCUCGUUUUCAAGUCAAAAUCAUAUUAAUUCUCAAAAAAUUUCAUGUCAUGCUCUUCAAGAUGUUUUCAAACAAUUUACAUCAUAUGAACAUUUAAAAAAAUUCACAAGAGAGGAAAUUUUAUAUCGUUCAUGCUUUAAAGUUAACACCUUUUCGGAAUACAUGCAUAUACAUAUAUCCUAUAGCAAAUCACUUUGGGAGUAGGCCUAAGAGCCAAAUCAAUAUCAUAAAACGUUUAAAAUAUAAUCAUAUUCAUAAUUUCAAAACCCCCAUCUGAAAACAUGAAUUUUUAAAGCCCGUGAGAUUUUUGAGAUAACCCCACAUACCUCAAUUACUACGAAUAUUAGGUGCUUCUUGAAGCCUACGUUGAGAGGAUUCCAAAUAUGCAAUUAGUUUAUAAAACCCACAGUUUGGAUUUUUAUUUUGAAACCCUAGAGAGAGUUCUUGAACAAUUUUGAUGAAUAAAGGUGUAUUUUGGGAUCUUUGGGAACUGAAUUUCAUGUUUAGGGCUAAGUAAGGGUGGAAAAGGACCAUUUUGCCCCCAAAACGGAGUUUUUAAGUCACUUGAAACCUUUACAUAGGCUCUGCCUAUGCUAUCGCCUAUGUUACAUAGACGCCGCCUAUGCUAUCACCUAUGUUUACAUAAGCACUGCCUACUACUUUGAAAGGCCAUAACUUCUUGCUCUGGUGUUGGAUUUUAGCAAAAUUGGUAUCGUUGGAAAGAUAACUCAAAGACCUAUCAUUUGACACAUAGUAGGCUCUCUAUUUUGACAUAUACAAAGAGUUAUGGUCGAUGGAAGCUGACACAAACUACAACAUCCACUAAAACUUGUCCUUGAGUUGAAGGACCUCUAUGGUCUAAAUUCGAUCUUGAAUGGAUUCACAUACUAUGUAAAUAAUUAACAUGCCAUAUUGACAUAGGAUUUAUGGCUUUGGUAUUAUCAAUGCAUCGAAAUCAUGGUCUAUAUUAUAGCCCAAAAUGUGGGGCAUUACAAGAAUAAUUCAGUUCGGGUCUAAUACGUAGGAACGAAGGUAUAAACUCUAGCUCAAAAAUAUGGGGUGUUACAUAAAUCAAGCCCAAUUGCUGUGUCAACAGCUGCUAACUUACCAACUAUUGUGGCUUCUGAAUCAUCAAGUUUAUCUGGUAAGGUUUCUUCUCCAAUGAUUGAAAUAGUCGAAAUAAAGAAUUCUUCAGAACCAACUUUGCCAGCUGUUGCUAAUUCAGAGAAAAUUGCAAUAGCAGUAACCUUGGGAAAUUCUGUCGUGCCACCAGAGUAUGUUUUUAGAUUUAUAUGUUAUAAAUUUGCCUCUGGUUUGUGUUGCUUCUUAUUUGGAAUUCAAUUUUUCUGUAGUUUUGAGACUACUACAACUCAAGAUGCAGUAGUGUAUGGUGAUGGAUUGUAUUUAGAGAAUAGAGAGGUACUUUGUCCUUCUGAAAUACUUAUAUGAUUAGUUAAUUACUACUGGUUACUGGUUAAAACACCAAGAAAGCUUUUCGUAGUUGUUAUGCUGGAUGUUGAUCCAAUAAUUUUGUAGUGCAGUAGUUAGUCAACUGCUAACAGGUGAAGAAUAUGCUCCAAAUUCCAAUGAGGUUUGCUCUUGUCCUUUGUGCUUGAUGUUGUGCCUAAAAUGUAGAAUGUCAAAAAAGAUGCUGCAGUAACUGAAAUCAGAGGUGCUACUCCAUCAAAUGAGAAAACAGUUGAGCUGGGACCAUUAGUUUAUGAGAGCAAAGCGGUAUAGUUGAUUAUUGCUUUUUGUCCUAUUCAAUGUAUGUUCUCGAAAUUUCUCUUAUUUCUAUUUUAAGUAUCUGAUUUUAUUUAGGAGGCAAAGAGUGCAUUCAAAACUCUUUUGGAAUCUGCAAAUAUUGGGUCUGAUUGCACGUGGGAUCAGUUUAUUACUUGACUAUUUUGUGCGUACCAAACAAUUGAGGGAGAUUAUUUGACAUGAAUUGUAUUUGACAGGCCAUGAGAGCAGUAAUCAAUGACCAGAGAUAUGGUGCUCUAAAAUCCCUUUGUGAGCGGAAGCAAGCUUUUAAUGAGGUAUCUCUACAAUUCAGCAUUGGAAUGGGUUAAUUCUUGCUUAAUGUUUCAGUAUACCGUAUUGCAAAAAGAUACAUUGUGUUUGAUAUCCUAUUGUUUCAUUUUGGUUGACUUAAAUAUUUUGGAAAAUGUUUUCCAAAUCAACUUAUUUUUCUUAAAUUUAAGGAAAAUGAAUUCCCUUCAAAAAGUAGGAAAAACAUUUUCCAAAACUCUUUUUCAAUCUCAGUGUUAAGUUGAAAUGUUUAUACAACUCUCAAAUGUAUUUUCUAAAAAAUAUUUUUUUAUUCACCAACCAAACACUAGAAAAUAUUUUUUGAAAAAUGUUUUCCUUUCAUCAACCAAACAUAAGAAAACAAGUAAGAAACCAACUUGUUUUCUAGGAAAACAUUUUCCUUCAUACCAAACACACCCAAGGUCUAUAGUGAUCAUUCUGAAGUUGUGUCUGUUCCAGUAUCUGAGCCAAAAGAAAAAACUGGAAGCUGAAGAGAGGCGUGUUAAACAGAAAAAACCUUGGGAAGAUUUCAGGAUAAUGUUAGAAGUAAGUGAAAUUUUCUUUUGUGGGUAUCUUCCAUAUCAUAUAUCAUGAUAUUCACAUUACCAGUUUCAAAAAUAAAACGAUAUUAUCAUAAUAUUCAUGAUGUGUUAGAGACUGGCAUUUGAUUUGUUCAAAAGAAUAAGUGGUAUUUUUCAAAACAAUGUCCGUUGUUCUCAAUCUUACAGGAUUGGAAGGAGCUGUCACCAUCGUCAAGAUAAAGGUUUGUCUUUCACAUGUAAUGUUAAGUUGUCUGCUGCUUGUUUUCUAAUCUUGGUCAUUGUUUGUAUGUGUUUUGGUACCUUGAAGUUUAUCCAUUACUUGUGUAAGUUCCAUUUGAUCCACUAACUAUUUGCUAUUGAUUAUUCAGUAAGGAAAUCUCCAUAUUCGAACAUGAUGAAAGUUUUAAAGCUGUUGAGCGAGCUAAAGAACGUGAGGACCUUUUUGAAGAUUAUGUGGAGGAACUUGAGAAAAAGGUGAAGCUCCUUUUGCAGAACUUUUUUGUAAGCUUCUAUAUGUUAAAAACUAAGUGUGCGGACUGUAGUUUCCUUAUAUGGUCUUUGGCUCCUCAUAAAUUGAGUUAGCCUUUCAUUUGAGAUAGAAACAAUGUCCAAUUUCUUAAACAUGGUAUUAGAGACAGAUCUAUCUUGAUGUUAUACUAUUAGAUGUUAGCCAACCUAGGUUAACUGAUGCUACAAAUGUCUAGUCUUGGUGUGCGAUUAAUGUAUGAGAAUCCCACACUAGUAAGGUGUAUGUGCUGUAGUUUCCUUAUAUGAUCUUGGACAAUCUUCACCACCUGACCUAGUUUUCGAAGUUGAGUUAGGCGCUGGUCCACUUGAUUAACAACAGUCAUUCCAUUCCUUUCCUAUGCAGUAUGCCUUUUAGUUUGUUCCCUUUUUUUUUUUUUGCUUGAAGAGUAGAAAGAAGGAAUGUUGUAGAUAUUCAACUUAAAAUCUUGUGUUCUUUGAAAACAUUUUUAAUGUCUUCUCAAGGUACAAUAUUUAAAUUUGUUCACCAUUAAAUUACAAUUUAAAUAGACUUCCAUGUAUUGUAUGUAAUUUUUCUUGAAACUUGAAACUAUGAUAUGCUUCUUCCUCUGCCCCCUCCGUCAUAAAAUAGAAAAAGUUUUUCAAUAAUUUCAUGCAAGUGUAGUUAAAGUCUCUUUGUAAAUAUUGUUUUCUUUAUAGAGAAAUUUUAUUUUUUUUACUUUGUACUGGAUUUUACUAGGAGCAUGCGAUGGCAUUGGAGGUGCAGAAACACAAUAGAGUGGAGUACUUAGAAUUUUUAAAAUCCUGUGACUUUAUUCAGGUAUUUGUUCUAGUGGAAUUAGCAUCAGUUCCUAGAUUAUGUUUUUCUAUUUCCAGGAGAUAGAACUUCCAUAGUUCCAUUGUUGCUGACUUCUUUUGUUCAGGCCAGUAGUCAAUGGCAGAAAGUUCAGGACCGCUUGGAAACUGAUGAAAGAUGCUCCUGCCUUGAGAAAAUUGAUCGCUUAGAGAUUUUCCAGGUACGACUCAUUUUUCUAAUACAUAAAUAACUUUUUCCAAACAUCUCAUUUGUACGCCUCAGUUUUAAAGUUAUGUUGCGACCUUUUCUGUUUUAGGAAUAUAUACGUGAUUUAGAGAGCGGCGAGGAGGACCAAAGGAAACUGAGGAUGGUGUAUUGCUUAUUAGACUCGGGGGUUAAAAUUAAAUUUAUGUUUGGAGACUUUGAUUUAUCUCUUUCUCAUUGGGCAUACACCGUUGAUUCAAAUAGGAAGAAUUGAGGAAAGCUGAACGUAAAAAUCAUGAUGAGUUCUAAAAACUGAUGGAAGAGCAUGUUUCUAGGGGAAUACUUAAUGCAAAAACUAACUGGCAUGAUUAUUGCAUCAAAGUUAGUUUUUCUUUCUUGUGUUUAGGGAGUGAUUACCUUCAUGAGUUCCCUUUUCAUCUUUUUGAAUUUUUCAUCUAAUAAUUUCUUUCUUUAUUUUGUGCUUGAAGAUUAAAGAUUUUGCUGCAUAUCUAGCUAUCUCAUCAAAUACUUCAGGAUUUAUAGUAAAAGUCUUAUUUACAGAUGUUAUGGAUGAGCUGGAGAAAUAGGUGUAAUAGGUUGAUAAUAGGAGUAUUGAAUUGUGUCAACUACAUUUGUUACACUAAGCCAUAUUUAUAGACUUUACACUACAAUCCCUUUUCAUUUUCUUUCACUUAAGGUCUGAAUCUGAAUGGUUAAGAUAUGAGCCCAUUAAGUGUUUUUUUAUUUAAAAGAUUCAACCAGUUAAUACAUCUUAAUGAAUCAGAUGCUAAACAAAGUCUGAAAAUCAUUUAGUUCCUUACUAAAAAGUUCAAUUCAUUAGGUAAAUAAGGAAGUUAGUGCAUUACUAUGUGGGAAUAUACUAGGUUUGUUGUUGUUGUUGUUAUUGUGCAUUAAAGAAUAGAACAUACUUGGUAGGAUAAAAGCAUGAGAUUGAGAUUUGAGAGUUACCCCUCUGCUUGGUUUUUUUUAAAUCACACAUAUUUUGUUGAGAUAAGAACAAUGACCGGUUGUUCCUAUUAAAAUUCUGUGUUGUUUCUCUUUAUGCCAAUUAGUUUCCUCUUUUUUUUUUACUAGAUAGUAGGUAUUUAGGCUGAUAGGAAUGGUAUUGUCGUAAACUUUUAAGUUAGGGGUUCCAUGCUUUUAAUGUAGUAUAGAUAUAGAUGAUUCUUUCAAUCUAGCCAAGCUAUAUUAAAUGCUACUUCACGGACAAUUGUAAUUGACUUCUCCUCCGUUGAAUGCUGUUAAUGGUUAUUUUACCUUAAUAUUUAUAGUUUCUCGAGCAGAACAACUUUGACAAGUGAUCAUCAAACUUCCAUAUUUUCACGUAGUUUCUUUGACUUUCGAGGACUCCUUUAAAGUAUCAUACAACCACACCAUUGUGUUUCAGCUAAGACUGCAUUUGUUUUUAUUAAUAUUCAGACAUUUGAAUCAUUUUGAAUGCACAUUUGAAUAGUUAAGAUAUUGUCUCUAGAUCUGAAAACUAAAUGAUUAAGGUUGGGUGUUUCUCAAUAUCUGAAUGUGCAAAAUUUGUUUAUUUCUAAAUAUAAUAUAAUUAUAUAUUAGAAAUUUUUUUAAUUUAAUGCAAUUAAAUUAUUAUUUGAUUAAAAAAAAUAUUUAUGUUUGUUAGUGAUAGUGGAGAUGGUGUGUAAUAGUGGUGGUGCUUGUAAUAGGUUAGUUGAUGUUAGUGAUUAGCAAUGUUGGUGAUGAUAGUUGUGAUAGUAGAGAUAGUUGGCAUUGUAAUAACUGUCAUGAUAUUGGCGAUUGGUGGUGGUGGUGGUUGUGAUAUGAAGUUGAUUAAUGUUAGUAGUUGGAGGUGUUGAUCGAGGUGACGGAAAACUGUAUGCAUGAUAGUUGACGAUGUGUUGGUGGUUGUUGGAGAUGCUGUUACCUAUGAUGGUGGAAUGGUUGUUAGUAUAGAUACUGUAGCGAGUGUAGCGGAUGGUGGUGGUAGAGGUGGUGACGCCGGUGAAAGUGGUGGUGAUGGUGUUCGAAGGAUGUGUGGAAGUUGAUGAUGUGUUAGUGGUUGUUAGCGAUAUAUAGAAGUUGAUGAUGUGAUGGUGGUUAUUAGUGGUAGUGCUAGUUCUGAUAGAUGAGUUGGUUGGUAGUAGGGAUCGACCGGUAGCAGUUGAUGGUGGCGGCGUUGGCGGUAGGGGUGUUCAUGGGUCAAUAUGGGUUGGUUAUUGAUCAAAACCAUAACCAAACCAACUUAAUUGGUUUUAAAAUUUCAAAAACCAAACCAAACCAAACAAAAAAUAACCAUCAGUUUGGUUUUUGUCGGUUUAGUUCAGUUUGAUUCGUUUUUUUUUGUUUUAUAUCUUUAGUUAAUGAUAAAAGUUGAAAAUUUUAAAAAACAAAUCCAAUCUAACAUAUGAGAUAUCAACCGAAUGUUGUAUCUCAAUCUCGAAACUAUGAUGUCAACUGAGUGUUAUACUUCGGUAAAGCCAUGAUAACACCAUAUGAACGCUUUUCAAAAAAUAUUUAAAAACUAUAUUUAAUAGAAUGAUAUGAUAAACCACCAAAAGGUGAACACAUAAACUUCUUGCUCAACAAGGUUCAAAAGAAAGUUAAAAUUAGUGAUUAUGUAUAGUCUAAUGAAUUUCAGCUGUAAAUUUCAAUAUAUAACAAGAUAUUAUUUUCACAAUUAGUAUCAUUUUUCAUUCAAAAUAUGAAAUUCAUUUAGAAUCUCAUAAUGUAUUGUCAACUAGAUGAAGACAUAUGACUGAAUGUGUUACAAACCAAACCAAAUUAGUAUCGGUUUUUUAAAAUUCAAAUCCAAACCAAACCUAACCAAAUAUAGGUUUUUUUUAAUCGGUUUGGUUUGGAUCGCGGUUCAGUUUGGUUAAAAACCAAACCGUGAACACCCCUAGUUGGCGGUGGAUAUAAUUAGAAUAAUGGAAGUGGUAGGUGUGGUAGCGGCUGGCAGUGUAGUUGGUAGUGAUGUUGGUUGUGAUGGUGGAAGUGGUUGAUGGUGGUAACAGGUGAUUGUGGAUAGAGUGGUGGUGAAUUUUAUCCUACACAAGAAUAUCUGAAAAUGAUAUUUAGACUUGGUUCCACAUCUGAACGAUUAAGACCUACUCAGACCUAUUAAGAGCUAAAAUCCUAACAAAAACAAAUGCACUUAAUGGUUUGAGGUCUAAACAGGUUCAUAAAUCCAAUAAGUACAAACAAAUGAGACCUGAAAGUAGUUUGUCUGGUCAAGUUUCGACUAUGUUUUGUCCAUUUGUACCACACCCCAGUUUUGAUUUCACUUUGGAUGAUAUCGUGCAACUUAAAACCAAAUUCAAAAUAUAUUGUGUUGUCAACCAUAUAAAUUGGACUAAAUAAACUUAGUGUCAGAAUUCGCCUCUGAAGAGGUAGUUGAGAUGUAAUGAAAGUAAAGUCUUGGAAAAGAUUAGCCUCGGAAAAAGUGCCUGAGAGCAUCUCUGUUUCUCUAAAUAAAGUUGCAUCUCCCUCACUAUGAUUUUUUGGCCAUAAUACACACUUACAACUGACUAAACGAUAUAUUGUUUCAUCCUCUGCCCUUUCUAAAAAGAGUUGAAGCUGAAUGAUCAAAUGUUAUUGGCAUUUGAGUUUACCUGGUAUCCUAGCAUGGUAAUGAUCCUGUUCGUACUCUUAUUCAAUGAUUGAAUUUGGUAAUGUUUUCUUGAGUUAGGCUCUUGCUAUGGGAUGGUGAGAGUUAUACAUAAACUCAGAUGCUGAAAAUAUUUUCUUUUUCCCUUGUAAGAUAAAGAUAUCAACUUCUAUCUUUAAAGUUUAUAUUAUUGUUUGUGUGCAUAAAUGAUUCUUCUUAAUCUAUAGACUUUAUGGUAACUCAAAUGCAUAGACAAGGCUCCAUUUGGUAUCCUAUUUUUGUUACUGAUAAGCAUUCUGAAUUUUUGUUACUUGUAUGUUGAUUCAGUAUCUUGAUGGCAAGUCACAAAUAAAGAUACAGUUAGGAUGGCCAAGGUAAUCACCACUCUUCAUUUUAACCUUUGUUGUGUUUCGGUUAGUACCUAAUAUAUUGGCCGAGCCAUCUCUACUUUCAGAUUGGAGGAUGCUUGAUGAUUUUAAGGUUGCAAUCGCGAAGUAUAUUACACAUCCACCAAUGUCAGAUACCAACUUAAAGGUCUAAUUAUGGCUAAGCACUGUGUACUAUUUCACAUCGACCCAUGUUAAAUUUAAUAUUGUGGAAAUUGAAGUACCCCAUUCACUAAAUGGAUUUCUAUGUAGUUGUCCCCUUUUUGUCUUUGGGACAGGUCCUGCAUAAGAUGAGUGGAUUGAGUGCAAAAGAAUUAGUAGUACUUCCAUGUUAUGUUUCACUGGAAGUCGGUCAGUUUGUGAUUGCUACAUUGGCAACUCGUAGGUCGUCAACUGUGGUUAAUGGAAUUUUCCUUUAGUAUCAACCAUAACCUAUCCCACAUUAAAUUUGGAUCUUCUUGUAAUGGAGUUAAUAGAAGAGUAGUGUGUUAGGUAGCAAGUAAGCCUGAAACCUUCAAGAAUAAAGACGAGGACCACAUUGAUCAAAUAUUUGGUGUUAGCUUUUGCUUCCAAUUCUUCAGUUUUGGUACCAUUUUCCUUAGUUUUUAUUUCCUUGAUGGCGGUGUUUAAUAUUACACCUACCGCACAUAUCUUAAGUUGCUUAAUUUAAAGCAAUUUGCCUUGUAGUUUUCUAUUUUUACGGUUAGUGGAUAAGAGUUUUACUCUACGAAACUGGUUAAACAGCAUAACUGGAUGAUAUCAAUGAUCAUUUACUAUUUUUGUAAUAAGGAUAUUCUUCAUAUAUUAUUUGGAUUUUAGAGGUUAUUUAUGGUCAUGGCAUAUAAUCUAUAUAUGUGGGAAGAGGGAAUUGCAAGGGGUACCUUGUCGAAGAAUUAUGCUUCGACAGUUGGGUCUCUUAAGGCUUUUAGUUUACUUUCAAUAGCUCAAAACUUUUGCAAAGCAUUUUAUCAAAGAUUAUAAUGUGAGGAGUUACUCCAAAAGAUGGUAAUAAUACUUUUACAUUAUAUCCCCUUUGCCUUCCAAAUGAAGGAAUAAGAGGACAUACAUGGAUUAUACUGAAUCUUAUUCCAUACUUCCUUUCUAAACUUUAUGUUCUACGCGUUUGGCCUUGCCGGGUCAUUGAGUAUUGAAUGUGUAUAUUUCAUCUGCAUAGUUUGUCUUUGAGGAGUUACUGGAAAGGGCCAGGGAGAAAGAAGAAAAAGAAGCUAAAAAGAGUAAACGUCUAGCAAAUGAGUUCUAUGAAAUUCUUCAUGCAUCAAAGGUAUAGUAAAUAGUUUACAAUCUCUCAUAUUGCAAUGGAUGGGAUCCCAUGAUAUUUACUUUAAACCAUAAUCUAUUUGUUUGUUGUGGUUGCAGGAAAUUACUGCAUCAUCGAAAUGGGAGGACUGCAAAUCCCUCUUCGGAGAUAGGCAAGUAGCUUCAUUUUCUUUUAUUGAUCUAGAAUUAGUAACACGAUUGCAAGAACCAUUGGAGAAUGAUAAUUGAUAUUAUUUUCAAGGACCAACUGCUUUAAUAUUCUUAACUCAGUAAUUCACAUGGUUCUAGAAUGUACCUUAGAAUAAUAGCUGUGUUAAAUGAUUUGUUGUUUUAUAUUCCUCAACAUUAGGUAGGCUAUUUCUUUAUAGUAUUAGCAUGAAUUACCAUUUUUCUAAGUGAUUUUUAAUGUUGAACUUAUCCCUCUAGAAAUUGGUUGAUGUCAAUUAUUAGUUGUUCUAACACUAGGUGUUUAAUAGCUCUAGCAGUUAGUUUUUAAAUUUUUGACAUUUGUGAUUGUUUUAGUUUUUUAAUUUCUAGCAUUUGUGAUUGUUUCACGGUUCUGAUGAAGUAUGCUGCUAAAUCUCUAGUUUCAAUUUGUCUAGCCUCUUUGGCUAUAAAAUGAAAUGCUCUGGAUUUUUACUUUUUUAUUCAUAAUCUCAUGAUUCUCAUUAUGUCGUAACAUUGAAUGUGAAUUUCUUUGCUGUUAUUAUUUUACAGAAUAAUGGGUGAUGAGGGCUUGCUGCUUGAAAUAUUUAACAAAUUUGUUAAUGAACUAAAAGAGAAGAAGUGCAAGCGUCAAGAGGAUAAGGUACUUGAAUUACUACAAACCCUUAUUCUUCUACUACUUUCGGGUGGGGCCUAAUAUCUAUUCUUUGAACAUUUUUUCGAAUUUCAAAAAUACGUAAAGAUUUUAUUCUCAUACUCUAUGAACUACAAAGCAACAUCGAAUAUGAGACCAGCAAAAUAGUUUAUAGAGUCGAAGCAUUAAAGCUAACUAGUAACAUUCAGACAGAAUAAAAUGAGAGAGAUCAAGCAUGAACGACAGACAAUCAAACACGGGCAGGAAUGAGUUUUUUAGUAGAACAAUAUAUCAAACACGAAAAUCCUAUGCCUUCCAGGCCUCUAUAGCAGUCAUUCCCAGCAAACAGAAGUGGAACCACGAAGAAGAAAAUAAUAACCACAACAAAAUUCAAAAGAAAGGUGUAUUUACCUCUUUCGGGGCAGCAAAAUGAGAUAACAAGCUGACGAUAGGAUUCCGACCACCGAAAAACUCACAACUGCUUCGACAGUUCAGACGUGCCUCCUAAGAAUGUAUGUUUCUUAGGCGUAAAGAGAAUAUUUUUUCCCUCUAAGAGCCCCCCUUUCUAAUCCCUUUUUUUUUUGUGCAUUUCUGAAUUUUUGAAGAUUUUCUCUAACCCCAAAUUUUCAAUCCAAAACUUUUGAACCCCCUUUGCCUCUAAUAUUUCGAACUCCAAAGAGAAAGAAGAGGAGAACCCAUAAAGGAAAGGAGAGGCCAGUGAAAUAAAAUUCCAAAAUCCCCCAAAAAAAUCCCUUUUUCUUGCUCUAAAGAGAGCUACUUAUAAAAGGGGAUUGAGGGUUCAUUUUUGAAAUUCAAAAGAUCCGGACCCUAACGAACUGUAUCUCUAUUUUGAUUUUCUUGAACGGAAUUCCAAAAAGUGGCCAAUAGAAAUUGGUGGAAAGGGAAUAAUCUUCACAAGCCAAUGAAAAUACUCCACCUAUGUACGAAUUCGUAAACCUCUAUUCGAGAAUUUUGGGAUUUGAACGUUGGAUUAGACACCUAAGUGUGUUUCUAGAAGAUUCUCAGCAUCUUCUCAUAUGGAUUCACGUGGAACGCACGUGAUCAUAAACAGGAAAAAGAAAACGGGUUGGAUUUGGGUGCUGCGUCCUAUUUGAAGUCAUUCGCACCUGUGGUUUUGAUUUGACAUUUUCAUCCUUUCGGAUUCUCUCGACAAUGCUUCAAGCAAAAAGUGUUAGUGCUAAACAUAAUUCACGAAAGAGGUAUGCAGUCUUGUACCAUAUCCCCAUGUGAGUUGUGGCCUGAAAACCAGAGUCAUCUCUUCAUGUACCUUUUUGGAAUGAAAUAACCGGCAAUACCAAACACAAUAACCCUCUUGGUUGUUGUAUAAUUAUGACAUUUUUCGGUUAAAUAUGUCUUCAAAGUGGGUGGCCCUUUUGGACACCAGCGAUACUUUAUGCAAAAUGGUCUCUACAAUCGUGUAAUCUUGUGCUGGUGUGGCAAUCCUUUGGGUACCUAUAUCAUUUGUUGCAUGUGGAAUGAUAACCUCUCCGGUUAUAGCCGAUGAUCGAUUUAUAAAUUUUCUUUAAAUUAUAAAUCUAUGGAUAACCUUACGCAUUAUUUGAUCUUGGAUACGAGACCUAUUAGAUCUAUUUAACCUAAUUAAUCCGCACAACCCCCCUACAAAUGGUAUCAGAGCACAGCAAUUUAAAAAGUACGGAAGAGAUACACAUUAGAAUUAGAGCUAGAGUUAGAAAAUAUAUGUUAGAGUCAAAAAUAGAUUUAGAGUUAAAACAAUUUACUUAUAAUUAAUUAAUUAUGCGAAGACCAUUUAAAAAUAGAGAAGCUUUUAGAAAAAUUAAAGAAUCUUUAAUUAGUAAUUAUUCAGAAUAUAUAAGUCUAAAUAAAACAAAAGAAAAUCCACAAAAACUAGCCUACUUAAUUACAUUAAUAUCUAGUAUUGAAUCAAAAUUAAUAACACAUUUAAAAUCUAGAAGAAUGAAACAUAUACCACCUAAUUAUGAUAAAAUUAGAUUUAGAUAUCCACCGAGAUAUUAUAAAUAUAAUUUAAAAUGAAUAAAAUACAACAAUAUAAAGAAUUAAAACAAAUUAUCUCUGAAAAACGUAAAGAAUUAAAAAUAAGAAUAGAAAGACUACAUUAUAAUAUAUUUGCCGGAGUUAGUAAAAAUUCAAUAGAUACACAAAAAGAUGAAAUAUCAAAAUUAGAAUCACAAAUAGAUAGUUUAGAAUAUGUAUAUCAACAUGACCUAUUCACAAUAAAAUGAAUAAAGAAGAAUUUAUAAUAGAUGAAAAAAUAUAUGAAAACUACGAAGGAUCAAAAAUAAAAAUAGUAUUUUCUAAUCUAGGACGAAGAUAUAAGAAAAUAGGUGAACAUUUAUAUCUAAUGUUAGAAAAAGAAGAAUUAAAAUUAGAAGAUAAAUUAACAGCAAUGGUAAGAAUAGAAAAAGAAAAUGAAGAGAUAGAUAGGAAAAAAGAAAUAGAAAAAAUAAAACAACAAACUACGGAAGAAAUACGAAAAAUAGAAGAAACCAAAAAUAGUAGAAUUGCUGAAUUAGAAAAAGAAUUACAAAUGUUAAAAGAACUGUAUGAACAAAGACAAAAAGAAAAAGAAGAAAAAGAUAGAGAACAGAAAUUACUAAAUGAGAUAAAUCAAUUUAAGGAAAAAUUAGAAAUAAAAAAUGAAGAAUUAGAAAUAAAUAAUAUAGAUAUUGAAGAGACAGAUAAUUAUGAGUCCGAAGAUAGUGAAACAUACACAGAAAUAUUAACAAAUACAAAAAAUUUAGAAAUCAAUGAAGAACAAAAAAUUAAUGAGGAAAACUUAGAAAAUACCCACACAGAAAUAAAUACUCUUGAUAAAAAAGAAAAUGAAAAUAUAAUACCUAAAACAACAGAAAUAAGAAAACCUAUAUACCAUAAGAAUAAGUUUAAAAAAUAUAAUGAAUAUGAUAAAUGGAAACCAAAACAAAUAGUGAAUAAAAAUUAUAACUUUUUAGAUCUAGACUGUGUAAUAGAUACAGAAAAAACAAUACAAUUAUGGAUAGGAUAUAUGACAAAACAAUUAUUAGAUAAUAAUAUAAAUAUAACAGAUGCACCGGAAUAUAUAGAAAAAACACUAAUAGGAUCAGUAAAACUAUGGUUUGCAAAUCUAACCGAAAAUAGCAAAAAAGUAUUAAGAACUAAUAAACCUAUAGAAGGAACAUCAUCGACAACAACUAAACUAACACCUAUAGAAUUAUUAAAAAAAUAUGAAACAGCUAUAAAAGAUGAAUUUGGUAGUACGACAACAAUCGAAGAAGAACAAAAUGAAGAAAAAGAUACAAAUAGAAAUUUAAUGUUAAAAUUAGCAAUAUGUAAUAUGUGUUAUAUAGAUGAAUAUACUUGCGCAUUUAAAGAAUAUUAUUACAAAGGAGCAUAUAGUAUAGAAGAAAGUAAAGAAAUAAGAAAAUUAUAUUUUAAUAAAUUACCCGAGCCAUUUAGUUCGAAAAUAAUAAAAAGUUGGGAAGAAGCAAAAAUAGUAGAUACGUUAGGAGCAAGAAUAAAAUAUUUACAACAAUGGUAUAGAAACUUAUGUGAAAAAUAUAGAGAAGAAUUAAAAAUGGAAAAAACAUUAAUAAGAAAUUUAGCUUGUUGCAAAAAUAAAAUAGCACCCCAAUUUGGAUGCGAAGAAAGAUAUUAUAAGAAAAGAAAAAGACAUAAGAAAUAUAAGAAAUAUAAAAAAUCAAAAUAUAAAUAUAAAAAACCAAGAAAAAGAUACUAUGUAAAAAAUUAUAAACAUAAAAGACCAUAUAGAAAAAAGAAAUCUAUAAAAGAAUGUACUUGUUAUAAUUGUGGAAAGUUAGGACAUUUAGCUAGAGAUUGUAAAUUACCUAAAAAUCCAAAAAAUAAACAAAUAUCAGAAAUAAAAAUAGAAAAUACCGAAUACAUGCAGAUAGAUUAUAUAGAUUAUGAAUUAGAAAGUGAAGAUAGUAUAUAUGAAAUUUCAGAAAACGAAACAGAUAAUGAAAUAGAUAGCGAAAUAGAUGAAUCAAAUGACUGAAGAAGAUAUAAAAAUAAUAACAAAGGAAGAAUAUUUAAAUGAUGAAGGAACGGAACAAAAAAUAAUAUUUGACAGUAAUAUAUUUGAUGAAAUAAAAGGAAAAGAAUUAGAUUUAAGUGUAGACAAAAUAUUUAAAAUACCAACAAUAAAAAAUAUUUUUACUAGGAAAAAAGAUGAAUAUUAUGUAGUAUGCCAAAAAGAACAUGUAAUAGAUUGCAGAUAUGCAAAAGGAAAAGCUAGUAUACCACUAGUAACAAAAAGAAUAAUUAAUAAAGAAAUAAAUGAUAUAAAAAGUAAAGGAGAUCCAAUAAAAUAUGUACACCUUGGAGGUACAGAGAUAUUAAUAAAAGCAUGUUUUAGAGAAGGAAUAGAUACACCAAUAGAAUUAUAUUUAGCAGACGAUAGAAUUAUAAAACCUAUAGAAAAAAGCAUAAUAACUGCCGUAAAAGGAAAUCUAAUAUACCAAAAAUUUAAAUUUAUAAUAAGUGCAAAUUAUUCAGUAGCAGUAACAGAUAGGAAUAUAGAUAAAUCAUUAGUAUUAUAUUGGAAAAUAUCAGGAAUAGAGUUAACCCCAGGAAGUAAAAUAUUUACAGCAAGAUGUAAAAACCUAUAUGUAUUAACAACAAAACAUAAAAUAACAGGAAAAAAUAAGAUUAACAAAAUACAAAUAGAAAGCCCAUUCGAACAAAUAGUAAAAACAAUAGAUUAUAAUGAUUAUACCUAUAGAGACAUAGAUACAGAAGAAAAUUUAGAAAUAGUAAAUGAUAGAAUAAGUACAACGAAAAGAAUAGCUAAUGAAAAGCCAGAAUCAUCAAGCUCAUCAAAAAGAACAAGUUAUGAAACAAACUCAAUAAGUAAUUUAAACCAAUAUUACAUAACGGGAAAAAUAAAUGAAAAAGAAUAUUUAAUACUUUUGAACACAGGACAAGAAGAAAAUUAUAUAGCAAAAUAUCUAGUAAAAAAUGAAGAAAUAAAAACCGACAAUAAUAUAUGCCCAGACUUACCAAGAAGUUUAAUAAAUAAUAAAAAUCUAGCAGAAAAAGAAAUAAUAUUAGGAGUUAGAAAAAUAAAAAUAGAAUUCGAAGUAAAAGAAGAAAUGCAAAAAGCAGAUAUAAUAUUAGGAAUAAAAUGGUUAGAACAAGUAAAACCAUAUAAUAUAGAACAUACACAAUUAACCUUAACAUAUAACCAAGAAAAGUUAUUCUUAAAAAGAGCCUUAACAUGAAAUGAAGAUACAUGUAUUAAUGAAGAUAGUAGUAGAAGGAUAUUACAGUAGAUAUUAUACGCCUAUGAUAGAUACAGGAGCAGAAGCUAAUUUAUGUAGAUAUAAUUGCUUACCAGAAAGCAAAUGGGAUAAACUAAAAACACCAAUAAUAGUUAAAGGAUUUAAUAAUGAAGGAAGCUUAAUUACUUAUAAAGCUAGGAAUGUAAAAAUACAAGUAUGGGAUAAGAUAUUAACAAUAGAAGAAAUUUAUAACUAUGAAUUAACAUCAAAAGAUAUACUUUUAGGAAUGCCAUUUUUAGAUAAAUUAUACCCACAUAUAAUAACUAAAACAGACUGGUGGUUUACAACACCAUGCAAACAAAAAGUAAGAGCAAAAAGAGUUAAUAAUAAAAUAAGAAAGAAAACUGAUUGGAUAAAAGGAAGUGAAAAAAUUACACAAAAGUUAGAAAAUAUAAACAAUACUGAAGAUACAGUAGAACUAGUAGUAUUUUCGAUAAAUAAAACAGAAAUAACUAUAUUUUCAAUAAAUAAAAUAGAAAUAAUUCAGAAAAAAUUAGAACAAUUAUAUAGUGAAGAUCCAUUAAAAGGAUGGGAAAAACACAAAACUACUAUAAAAAUUGAAUUAAUAGAUAAGAAUAGCAUAAUAACACAAAAACCAUUAACAUAUAAUUUUGAUGAUUUAAAAGAAUUUAAAAUGCACAUAGAUGAAUUAUUAGAAAAACAAUAUAUACAAAAAAGUAAUAGUAAACAUAAUAGUCCAGCAUUUAUAGUAAAUAAACAUAGUGAACAAAAAAGAGGAAAAAGUAGGAUGGUUAUUGACUAUAGAAAUUUAAAUGCAAAAACUAUAACAUAUAAUUAUCCGAUACCAAAUAAGAUAUUAAAAAUAAGACAAAUCCAAGGAUAUAAUUAUUUUAGCAAAUUUGAUUGUAAAUCAGGAUUUUACCACCUAAAGCUAGAAGAAGAAUCUAAAGAAUUAACCGCAUUUACGGUACCACAAGGAUUUUAUGAAUGGAACGUGUUACCAUUUGGAUAUAAAAAUGCACCAGGUAGAUAUCAACAUUUUAUGGAUAAUUAUUUUAAACAAUUAUCUAAUUGUAUAGUAUACAUAGAUGAUAUAUUAUUAUACACCAAAACCAAAGAAGAACAUUUAAAAUUAUUAGAACAAUUCACAGAUAUAAUAGAAAAAUCAGGAAUAAGUCUAAGCAAAAAGAAAGCUGAAAUUAUGAAAAACCAGAUAGAAUUUUUAGGAAUACAAAUAGAUAAAAGUGGAGUAAAAAUGCAACAACAUAUAGUACAAAAAAUAAUAAAUUCGAAAGAAGAAUUAGAUACAAAAAAGAAAUUACAAUCAUUUUUAGGAUUAGUAAACCAAGUAAGAGAAUAUAUUCCAAAAUUAGCAGAAACCUUAAAACCACUGCAGAAAAAAUUAAAAAAGGAUAUAGAAUAUAAUUAUGAUGAAAAAGAUAAAAAACAAGUUCAAAAAAUAAAAUUACUUUGUAGAGAAUUACCAAAAUUGCAAUUUCCAGAUGAAAAUAGAAAAUUUAUAUAUAUAGUAGAAGCAGAUGCAAGUGAAUAUAGUUACGGAGGAGUACUUAAAUAUCGAUAUGAAGCAGAAAAAAUAGAACACCAUUGUAGAUACUACUCAUAUUGUUGUAUUUUAUUCAUUUUAAAUUAUAUCUAUAAUAUCUCGGUGGAUAUCUAAAUCUAAUUUUAUCAUAAUUAGGUGGUAUAUGUUUCAUUCUUCUAGAUUUUAAAUGUGUUAUUAAUUUUGAUUCAAUACUAGAUAUUAAUGUAAUUAAAUAGGCUAGUUUUUGUGGAUUUUCUUGUGUUUUAUUUAGACUUAUAUAUUCUGAAUAAUUACUAGUUAAAGAUUUUUUAAUUUUUCUAAAAGCUUCUCUAUUUUUAAAUGGUCUUCGCAUAAUUAAUUUAAUAUUUUUGUAGGUAAAUUUUUUAACUCUAAAUCUAAUUUUGACUCUAACAUAUAUAUUCUAAUUUUGACUCUAACAUAUAUAUUCUAACUCUAGCUCUAACUCUAAUGUAUAUCUCUUCCGUACUUUUUAAACUGCUGUGCUCUGAUAAAAUUCCACUAACCACAGUUGACUACCUAUGAGUUGCCAAUUUAGCAAUCACAAACUAACCGACUUCUAGUGAAACAUAACAUGGAAGUACUACCAAUGCUUUUGCACUCAAUCCACUCAUCUUAUGCAGGACCUGUCCCAAAGACAAAAAGGGGACAAAUACAUAGAAAUCCAUUUAGUGAAUGGGGUACUUCAAUUUUCACAACAUUCAAUUCAACAUGGGUCGAUGUGAAACAGUAUACAGUGCUUAGCCAUAAUUAGACCUUUAAGUUGGUAUCUGACAUUGGUGGAGAGCUAAUAUACUUGGAGAUUAUAACCUUAAAAUCAUCAAGUGUCCAGGCUGAUGUAAAUCCAAUCUGAAAGUAGAGAUGGCUCAGCCAAAAUAUUAGGUACUAACUGAAGCACGACAGAGGUUAAAAUGAAAAGUGGUGAUUACCUCGGCCGUCCUAACUACAUCUUUAAUUUGUGACUUGUCAUCAAUAUACUGAAGCAACAUACAAGUAACACAAAUUCAGAAUGCUUAUCAGUAACAAAAGUAGGAUACCAAAUGGAGCCUUGUCCAUGCAUUUGAGUUACUAUAAAGUCUAUAAAUUACAAGCAGGGUGAUGGGGAUGAAAUUUCUUUCAUGAAUACCAACAUUUCUCCACUUGUUCAAAGUCAUCUACAAUAUCACAAGACACUUGACACAUAAACUUAAUUGCAUUGAUUAGGUUAAAUUGAAGGAAAAAUCAAGCACCCCUAUUUGGAUAAUAGAAAAAAAGUGAAUAAAUAAAAAUGUUAUAUUUACUUAAUAAGAAUCAUUUAUGCACACAAACAGUAAUACAAACUUUAAAGAUAGAAGUUGACAUCUUUAUCUUACAAGGGAAAAAGAAAAGAUUUUCAGUAUCUGAGUUUAUGUAUAACUCUCACUAUCCCAUAACAAGAGCCUAACUCAAGAAAACAUUACCAAAUUCAAUCAUUGAAUAAGAGUACGAACAGGAUCAUUACUAUGCUAGGAUACCAGGUAAACUCCCCCUUUCAUCAAGCAAGGACAUAAAUGCUAAUAACAUUUGAUCAUUCAACUUCAAUUCUUUUCAGAAAGGGCAGAGAAUGAAACAAUAUAUUAUUUAGUUAGUCGCAAGUGUGUAUUACAGCUAAAAAAAUCAUAGUGAGGGAGAUGCAACUUUAUUUAGAGAAACAGAGAUGUUCUCAGGCACUUUUUUCGAGGACAAUCAAUUCUAAGCCUUUACUUUCAUUACAUCUCAACUACCUCUUCAGAGGCAAAUUCUGGCACUAAGUUUAUUUAGAAUGGUUGACAAAACAAUAUAUUUCGAAUUGGGUUUUAAGUUGCACGAUAUCAUCCGAAGUGAAAUCAAAAUUGGGGUGUGGUACAAAUGGACAAAACAUGGUCGAAACUUGACCAGACAAACUGCUUUCAGGUCUCAUUUGUUUGUACUUAUUGGAUUUAUGAACCUGUUCAGACCUUAAACCAUUAAGUGCAUUUGUUUUUAUUAGGAUUUUAGCUCUUAAUAGGUCUGAGUAGGUCUUAAUCAUUCACAUGUAGAACCAAGUCUAAAUAUCAUUUAAAAAUAUUCUUGUGUAGGAUAAAAUUCACCACCACUCUAUCCAUAAUCACCUGUCACCACCACCAACCACUUCCACCAUCACAACCAACAUCACUACCAACUACACUGCCAGCCGCUACCGCACCUACCACUUCCAUUAUUCUAAUUAUAUCCACCGCCAACUAGGGGUGUUCAUGGUUUGGUUUUUAACCAAACUGAACCACGAUCCAAAUCAAACCGAUUAAAAAAACCUAUAUUUGGUUAGGUUUAGUUUGGAUUUGAAUUAAAAAAAAUCGAUACUAAUUUGGUUUGGUUUGAUUUGGUUUUACUCUAAAAUAACCGACAAAAUAACCAAACCAAACCGAUAUACAUAUAUAUUAUAAUUAUUUAUAUGUUUUUCAUAAAUGUAAUCUAAAUAUUUGUUACAUUUUAUAAUUUAAUCAUGAUUUAACUUUAGUCGUAACACAUUCAGUCAUAUGUCCUCAACUAGUUGACAAUACAUUAUGAGAUUCUAAAUGAAUUUCAUAUUUUGAAUGACAAAUGAUACUAAUUGUGAAAAUAAUAUCCUGUUAUAUAUUGAAAUUUACAGCUGAAAUUCAUUAGACUAUACACAAUCACUAAUUUUAACUUUCUUUUGAACCUUGUUGAGCAAGAAGUUUAUGUGUUCACCUUUUGGGGGUUUAUCAUAUCAUUCUAUUAAAUAUAGUUUUUAAAUAUUUUUUUAAAAGCGUUCAUAUGGUGAUGUCAUGGCUUUACCGAAGUAUAACACUCAGUUGACAUCAUAGUGUUAAGAUUGAGAUACAACACUCGGUUGCCAUCUCAUAUGUUAGAUUGAAUUUGUUUUUUAAAAUUUUCAACUUUUAUCAUUAACUAAAGUUAUAAACCAAAAAACCCAAAUCAAGCUAAACUAAACCGACAAGAACCAAACUAAUGGUUAUUUUUUUGUUUGGUUUGGUUUUAGAAAUUUAAAAACCGAUUAAGGUGGUUUGGUUAUGGUUUUGACCAAUAACCGACCCAUAUCGAUCCAUGAACACCCCUACUGCCAACGCCGCCACCAUCAACUGCUACCGGUCGAUCCUUACUAUCAACCAACUCAUCUAUUAGAACUAGCACUACCACUAAUAACCACCAACACAUCAUCAACUUCCACACAUAGCUAGCAACCACUAACACAUCAUCAACUUCCACGCAUUCUUCGGACACCAUCACCACCACUGUCACUGGUGUCACCACCUCUACCACCAGAAUCCACUACACUCGCUACAGUAUCUGUACUAACAACUAUUUCACCAUCACAGCUAACAGCGUCUCCAACGAGCACCAACACAUCGUCAACCAUCAUGCAUACAGUUUUCCAUCACCACAAUCAACAUCUCCAACUACUAACAUUAACCAACUUCACAUCACAACCACCACCACUACUACCAAUCGCCAAUAUCAUGAUAGUUACUAUAAUGUCAACUAUCUCUACUAUCACAACUAUCAUCACCAACAUUGCUAAUCACUAAUAUCAAUUAAUUUAUUACAACCACCACCACCAUUACAAACCAUCUCCACUAUCACUAACAAACAUAAAUGUUUAUUUUUUUAAUCAAAUAAUAAUUUAAUUACAUUAAAUUAAAAUAAUUUCUAAUAUAUAAUUAUAUUAUAUUUAGAAAUAAAUAAAUUUUGCACAUUCAGAUAUUGAGAAACACCCAACCUUAAUCAUUUAGUUUUCAGAUCUAGAGACAAUAUCUUAACCAUUCAAAAGUGCAUUCAAAAUGAUUCAAAUGCCUGAAUAUUAAUAAAAACAAAUGCAGUCUUAGCUGAAACACAAUGGUGUGGUUGUGUGCUACUUUAAGGGAGUCCUCAAACGUCAAAGAAACUACGUGAAAACAUGGAAGUUUGAUGAUCACUUCUCAGAGUUGUUCUACUCGAGAAACUAUAACAAUUAAGGUAAUAUAACCAUUAACAGCAUUCAACGGAGGAAAAGUCAAUUACAAUUAUCCAUGAAGUAGCAUUUAAUAAAGCUUGGCUAGAUUGAAAGAAUCAUCUAUAUCUAUACUACUUUAAAAGCAUGGAACCCCUAACUUAAAAGUUUACGACAAUACUAUUCCUAUCAACCUAAAUACUUACUAUCUAGUAAAACAAAAGAGGAAACUAAUUGGCAGAAAGAGAAACAACACAGAUGUUUAAUAGGAACAACCGGUCAUUGUUCUUAUCUCAACAAAAUAUGUGUUAUUUAAAAAAAAAGCAAGUAGAGGGAUAACUCUCAAAUCUCAAUCUCAUGCUUUUAUCCUACCAAGCAUGUUCUAUUCUUUAAUGCACUACUACUACAACAACAACAAACCCAGUAUAUUCCCACAUAGUAAUGCACUAACUUCCUUUUUUACCUAAUGAAUUGAACUUUUUAGUGAGGAUCUAAAUGAUUUUCAGACUUUGUUUAACAUCUGAUUCAUUAAGAUGUAUUAACAGGUUGAAUCUUUGUUUUCAAAAAAAAAAGCACUUAAUGGGCUGAUAUCUUAACCAUUCAGAUUCAGACCUUCAUUAAGUGAAAGCAAAUAAAAAGGGAUUGUAGUGUAAAGUCUAUAAAUAUGGCUUAGUGUAACAAAUGUAGUUGACACAAUCCAAUACUCCUAUUAGCAACCUAUUUCACCUAUUUCUCCAGCUCAUCCAUAACAUCUAUAAAUAAGUCUUUUGCUGUUAAUCCUGAAGUAUUUGAUGAGACAGCUAGAUAUGCAGCAAAAUCUUUAAUCUGCAAGCACAAAAUAAAGAAGGAACUAUUGGAUAAAAAAUUCAAAAAGACAAAAAGGGAACUCAUGAAGGUAAUCACUCACUGAACACAAGAAAGAAAAACUAACUUUGAUGCAAUAAUCACGCUAGUUAGUUUUUGCAUUAAGUAUUCCCGCAACAACAUGCUCUUCCAUUAGUUUUCGAAACUCAUCAUGAUUUUUACGUUUACUUUUCCUCAAUUCUUCCUAUUUGAAUCAACGGUGUAUGCCCAGUGAGAAAGAGAUAAAUCAAAGUCUCCAAACAUAAAUUUAAUUUUAACCCUCGAGUCUAAUAAGCAAUAUACCAUCCACAGUUUCCUUUGCUCCUCCUCUUCGCUCUCUAAAUCAUGUAUGUAUUCCUAAAACAGAAAAGGUUGCAACAUAACUUUAAGACUAAGGCGUACAAAUGAGAUGUUUGGAAAAAUUUAUUUAUGAUGUAUUAGAAAAAUGAGUAGUACCUGGAAAAUAUCCAAGCGAUCGAUUUUCUCAAGGCGGGAGCAUCUUUCAUCAGUUUUCGAGCGGUCCUGAACUUUUCGUCACUAACUACUGGCCUGAAUAAAAGAAGUCAGCAACAAUGGAACUAUAGAAGUUCUAUCUCCUGGAAAUAGAAAAACAUAAUCUAGGAACUGAUGCUAAUUCCACUAGAACAAAUACCUUAAUAAAGUCACAGGAUUUUAAAAAUUCUAAGUACUCCACUCUAUUGUGCUUCUGCUCCUCCAGUGCCUUCGCAUGCUCUUAAUAAAAUCCAGUACAAAGUAAAAAGAAUAAAAUUUCUCUAUAAACAUGACAAUAUUUACAAAGAGACUUUAACUAAACUUGCAUGAAAGUAUUGAAAAACUUUUUCUAUUUUACGAAGGAGGGGGGAGAGGAAGAAGCAUAUAAUAGUUUCAAGUUUCAAGAAAAAUUGCAUACAAUACAUGGAAGUCUGUUUAAAUUGGAAUUUAAUGGUGAACAAAUUGAAAAGUUGUACCCUUGAGAAGCCAGUAAAAAUGUAUUCAUAGAACACAAGAUUCUAAGUUGAAUAUCUACAACAUUUCUUCUUUCUACUCCUUAAGUAAGACAAAAAAGGGAAUAAACUAAAAGACAUCCUGCAAAGGAAAAGAAUGGAAUGACUGUUGUUAAUCAAGUGGACCAGCGCCUUACUCAACUUUGAAAACUAGGUCAGGUGUUGAAGAUUGUCCAAGAUCAUAUAAGGAAACUACAGCACAUACACCUUACUAGUGUGGGAUUCUCAUACAUUAAUCGCACACCAAGACUAUACAUUUGUAGCAUCAGUUAACCUAGGUUGGCUAAAAUCUAAUAGUCUAACAUCAAGAUAGAUCUGCCUCUAAUACCAUGUUUAAGAAUUUGGAACUUGUUUCUAUCUUAAAUGAAAGGCUAACUUAAUUUGUGAGGAGCCAAAGACCAUAUAAGGAAACUAUUGUCCUCACACUUAGUUUUUAACAUAUAGAAGCUUACAAGAAAGUUCUGCAAAAGGAGCUUCACUUUUUUCCGAAGUUCCUCCUCAUAAUUUUCAAAAAGGUCCUCAUGGUCUUUAGCUCACUCAACAGCUUUAAAACGUUCAUCAUGUUUGAAUAUGGACAUUGCCUUACUGAAUAAUUAAUAGCAAAUAAUUAGUGGAUCAAAUGGAACUUACACAAGUAAUGGAUCAACUUCAAGGUACCAAAACACAUAAAAACAAUGACUAAGAUUAGAAAACAAGCAGCAAACAACUUAAAAUUACAAGUGAAAGACAAACCUCCAUCUUGACGAUGGUGACAGCUCCUUGCAAUCCUGUAAGAUUGAGAACAACGGACAUUGUUGUGAAAAAUACCACUUAUUCUUUUGAACAAUUCAAAUACCAGUAUCUAACACAUCAUGAAUAUUAUGAUAAUAUCUUUUUAUUUUUGAAACUGGUAAUGUGAAUAUCAUGAUAUAUCAAAUGGAAGACACCCACAAAAGAAAAUUUCACUUACUUCUAACAUUAUCCUGAAAUCUUCCCGAGUUUUUUUCUGUUUAACACGCCUCUCUUCAGCUUCUAGUUUUUUCUUUUAGCCCAGAUACUGGAACAGACACACAACCAAAAUGAUCACUAUAGACCUUGGGUGUGUUUGGUAGUGAAGGAAAAUGUUUUCCUAGCAAACAAGUUGGUUUCUUACUUGUUUUCUUAUGUUUGGUUGAUGAAUGGAAAACAUUUUUCAGAAAAUGUUCUCGAGUGUUUGGUUGGUGAAUAAAAAACUAUUUUUCAGAAAAUACAUUUGAGAGUUGUAUAAACAUUUUAAUUGAGUGAGAUUGAAAGAGAGUUUUGGAAAAUGUUUUUCCUACUUUUUGAAGGGAAUUCAUUUUCCUUAAAUUUAAGGAAAAUAAGUUGAUUUGGAAAACAUUUUCCAAAAUAUUUAAGUCAACCAAACAUGAAACAAUUGGACAUCAAACACAAUCUAUCUUUUUGCAAUAUGGUAUGCUGAAACAUUAAAGUAGCAAUUAACCCAUUCCAAUGCCGACUUGGAGAGAUACCUCAUUAAAAGCUUGCUUCUGCUCACAAAGGGAUUUUAGAGCACCAUAUCUCUGGUCAUUAAUUACUCCUCUCAAUGCCUGAAAAAUACUAUUCAUGUCAAAUGAUCUCCCUCAAUUGUUUGGUACGCACAAAACAGUCAAGUAAUAAACCUGAUCCCACAUGCAAUCAGACCCAAUAUUUGUAGAUUCCAAAAGAGUUUUGAAUGCACUCUUUGCCUCCUAAAUAAAAUCAGAUACUUAAAAUAGAAAUAAGAGAAAUUUGAGAACAUACAUUAAACUGGACAAAAAGCAAUAAUCAACUAUACCUCUUUGCUCUCAUAAACAAAUGGUCCCAGCUUGACUGUUUUCUCAUCUGAUAGAGUAGCACCUCCGAUUUCAGUUAUUGCAGCAUCUUUCUUGACAUUCUGCAUUUUAGGCACAAUAUCAUGCACAAUGGACAAAAGCAAACCUCAUUGGAAUUUGGACCAUAUUCUUCAGCAGUUAGCAGUUGACUAACAACUGCACUACAAAAUUAUUGGAUCAACAUCCAGUAUAACAGCUACAAAAAGCUUUCUUGGUGUUUUAACUAGUAACCAGUAGUAAUUAACUAAUCGCAUAAGUAUUUCAGAAGGACAAAGUACCUCUCUAUUCUUCGAAGAAAUUCCAUCACCAUACACUACUGCAUCUUGAGUUGUAGUAGUCUCAAAACUACAGAAAAAUUGAAUUCCAAAUAACAAGCAACACAAACCAGAGGCAAAUUUAUAACAUAUAAAUCUAAGAAUAUACACCGAUGGCACGAUAGAAUUUCCCAAGGUUACUGCUAUUCCAAUUUUCUCCGAAUUAGCAACAGCUGGCGAAGCAGGUUCUGAAGAAUUCUUCAUUUCGACUGUUUCAAUCAUCGGAGAAGAAACCUUACCAGAUAAACUUGAUGAUUCUGAAGCCAUAAUAGUUGGUUAGUUAGCAGCUGGUGACACAACAGUUGGGCUUGAUUUAGCACUGCCUACCUGGGGAUGAUGUUUUAAGGAACAAAGAUAUGAGAGAAAAAGUGGUAGUGCUCUCUGUGGUGGACAAUUGACAAGAAGACUAGAGGGUUGGGGAUAAAGAACCUAAAAAUUCAAAGUAAGGCUCUCGUGAUGAAAUGGCUGUGGAAAUAUGCAAACAAUAACCAGUUGCUAUGGAGGAAAGUGAUUGGGGCUAAAUAUCCUGAAGAAGAUAGAUGGAUGACUAAAGAAGUGACCACACCAUACAGGGUUAGCCUCAAGAGAUCUAUUAGACACUAGUGGAAUGAAGUUAAAAGCAACUCAAAGGUUAAAGUGAUGGAUGGAAACAAGACUGGGUUCUAGAAGGAGAAUUGACAUGAGAAUGGGAAUAUGGAAGUGAUUUUUCCAGAUAUCUACAACUUGGUAUUGUUUUAAUAAAGGACUAUAGAAGAAUUAUGGACACCACAUGGGUGGAACUUCAAUUUCGUAAGGCAACUUAAUGACCGGGAGUUAAUGAGAGUAGUUGAAUUUUUUAAUACCGUCGACUUAUUCAAUGGACUACAGACAGUGAAGGACAUACUAUGGUGGAUGGGAAAUGAAAAAGGAAUGUUCAGUGUCAACAAAGCCUAGAAGAUGAUGAACCAAAUAAAUCACCUGGAUCCAAGAUGGCCGUAGAAGCAAAUAUGGAAAAGUAGGAUACCUCACACAGUGUCGUGCUUUGUCUUUGUCUGGUUACUGACCAAGGAAGUAGUUCUUACACAAGAUAAUGUCAUGAAGAAAGGGAAAACCUUGUGCUCCAGAUGUUUCCUCUGUGGAGAAACUAUAGAGACGGUUAACCAUGUAUUUCUACAUUAUAAGUACACCCAAAAACUUUGGAGAAUCGUCUUAAGAUUAAAAGGCAUUUCUAGGGCAAUGCCUAGGUAAGUAUCCGAGACUUUAAUGUGAUGGGAGAAGUAGGUGUACAUGCGAAGGACAGAGGUAGAUAGAGAAUUAUCCCUGGUGCUAUAUGGUGGGAUAUAUGGAAAGAAAGGAAUUCUAGAUGUUUUGAGAGCAUAAAGAAUAGUGUGCAGAAGUUUAAACUCAACUGCAUUUUGCUUUUAUGUUUUUGGUGUAAUCAACUAUACUCUAAUGAUACUGCCUCGAUAAUUGAUGUUCUAGACUAAAUUUAGAUAUAGAACAGUCGAUUUAGGAGUACUCUUGUAUAUAAAGGUUUCAGUACAACCCAUGCACUGUGUGAUAUAAUACAAAGUUACCAAGUUAAAAAAAAAGUAAUUUUUCAAGUACUAAAAGUUUAUAAAAUAACAAAUAAAGCAAUUAAAUCUGAGUUCAAAUUGGGUGGGUUGGGUUAUGACCCGAAUUUUAGAGCAUUUCAACCCAACCCAUUUCAGCCCAAGUAGCUUUAGGGCGGGAUAAUAACCCGGCCAUUUCUUAACUCAGAUCUCUUUGAUCCACCCAAAUCUAGCCAACCCCGCCCAUUUGACACCUUUAGUUUAAUAGAAGUAAUGUGGACCAUGCCAGAACACAUACCAGAUCUAUUGAGUUGAAGUAAAGUGGACUAUCAAAGGAUAAAACAACAAUCUGUUGAGCUGUUGGAUUAGAGGGGAUUAGCAAGAGUUAGAAGAAAUGGGGGAUAAAAAUCCUUCCUUGUAUUUGGUGGACUGUAUGGAGCGAGAAAGUUGAAGGCAUUUUGAAGAUAAAUAUAAUUCCAUUCAGAAAGUUAAAUGGAAUAGCAUUGUAGAUUUUUGUUUUUUGUUUAAGGGCCAAUGUGUACGGGAUGCAUAACAGGUAGUAGAUCUCUUCGAAUCCUCACAUUAUUUUCAUUAUUCUUCAUUUCUUUUGGACUGCUAGCAUAACCAUAACGUUGAUGAAUACAAAGUAAUAUCUCCAAAAAAAAAAACUGUUUAUCUGAAAAAAGAAAAGAAUAAAAAUGUUCAAACUUCCUAACAACUCCAGUUGUUGGUCCCUUAAUACUUGUCCCUCACAACCAGCCAAACUUUCUUUGAUAACCGUCAUGUUUGGGGCAGCUUGCACCUUGACUAUUUACACCAGGUACUGCUACCUCCCACCAGCACAGAUAAUGGGUAACUCUGUCCAUCAAGGCUUGGAAAGACGGUAAGAAAUCACCUAGUGUUUUUAUCUCUGUUGGAAAUUAAACCUGAGACCUCAUGGUUCUCAAUCUACUUCAUUGACCACUAGGUCACACUCUUGGGUGCAAGUGUGCAACUAGACAAACUAUUAUUUUGUAAACCAGAAUGAGAAGUGUGAACCAUAAUAUUAUAUCAAGUUUUCUCUCUCCAUAUCGCCAUAGAGUUACAAUAACAUUACAUUAAUCAGAAAGUAAAUAAAAUUGUUUAAAAUAGACCAAAUAUAAUCCUGCCGUGUAUGAUUAAACACAUUUUUAGAACAAUAGUGUUAAAAUAAAAUCUUUUAGAACUAUAUUGGAAAUAAAAGGUCAAUGCAAAUCCCAAAUGAAGCCUACAUAGUAUAGUAAGAUCGAGGAAAUCUGCUCGCUAAACAAACUUUCAACAGAAAUCACAUAUACUUAGGAAAGAAAAAGUGGUUCUACGAAGCUUCAUAGAAAAAGAAUUGUGUACUUCUUUUUUCAUUGAUAAGCACAAGAAACUGGAUAAAACUACCCAUAAAAAUCUCGAUGACACGAGACCUCACCUCCAUUUCUGUCAUCAACUCUCGAGGUUUCUCCCAGGUGGAGAUUCUUGUCCUUCUAUUAUAAUAGUAUCUAAAAAUCAAUUCAACAAUUGUAAGAAUGUUAUUAAUUAGUUGGAGUAAUAAAUCCAUUGGAAAUAUGAAAACAUUAGCAACCAUAAUUGGCCUACUGAUCAUCAAAAGAUACUAAAAAUAGCAAUACCUACUAGCAUUUAGCCACAUGUAAAAUAUGUAUGAUAAUAGAGAAAUGGGGUCAAAAUGAAGUUAUCGGUAGCGGCGUAUCAAGUUCUGCUGAUCAACAGUUAGGUAGAAUUUGGUAGCGGUGAAUGGCAGCCCAUAUGAUAACUUUGACAAAGAGGACUGAAGCAAAGGGGCCUAUUAUCUCCAGUGCUAAUGGAAGCAGAAUGAUGCACAAAGCACUAGAUGUGGAUAAUUGAGGGAUUUCUUGGCAGUGAUGGGGGCCAACAUAUCCACCACUUGUUCAUAGACAAGACAUUAAGUGUUUGUGAUGCAGACAUUAACCUAUUCAUAUGAGUAACCUAUGUGAAUAUAAUCCAAAAGCAAGAAUUCCGGAAAGCCAAAUCGGCAUGCUCUUUUUUCUGUCUAGAGAACACAAAGUAAAAAGAUUGGAUCUAAAUGAAAAUGAUAUUUUUGCAGAGCUCCUUUUCUUAUAUACCGCAGUUUUACACCUUUUUUGUUCACUGGAAUCUUAAUUUGCUUACAAAAAACUAUCAUAGAAUUUAAAUGUUGACUCUCUCAGUCAACACACACCCAUUAACCCAUUUACUUAAGCAUGUUACUUGUUGACAAUAUUUAUGCAAAAUGGGUACAAUAAAACACAUUGAAUUCUCACCGGAACAACCAAGGGAGCUGCUAAAUCUCCUGUCUUCUGCAUAGUUGUCGCAGAAUUCACAUUAUGAAUACUUAUUGGCAUCCAGGGUUGUACCCCUGAUGGAAACCUAUGAUCAUUUAUCUGUGUUUGAUACUGGGAGCCAGAAGAAUCUACAUUUACCUGCCGUUAGAGACGAUAACAAAAUGUAUUUCAUCAAUAUAUGAAUGGAAAAUCGGAAACUGAUUUACAAUAACCACAAAAGAUCUUACCAAGGCCUUACAUUAUAUGAAGAAGAAAGAGGUUAAUUUGGGCCACCAAAACCAGGCAUGUGGUUAUUUGACAUCGAAAGAUUUCGCUGAAAAUCAUGGAGAAUAGGUGGUCCCUGAGGCAUACUAUGCAUUCCUACUAUAGGUCUACCAGUAACCUAUUGCAUAGGUUGAGGAAAUUGGAUUUGAGAAGGUUGAGACAUCGCAACAUUUUCAUGUCCAAGUGGCAGAAAUAGUUGAGAUGAACCGGAACCAUAAGGUUGUGCCUGCUGGGCUGGAAGCAUAGGCUGGAAUUGCUAAAUAUGUGGGGAAAAUAGUUAUCAUAAUAUCUCUACAUUCAAAAGUCAUUUAUUCCUCCCCCAAACCUCCACAACUUUACCUGCAGUGACAUGGAUAGAAUAGCACCAGGAGCAGGACCAGCCAACGGAGGUAUAGGAGGCUUCUCAACCAAUAUCCAUGCAAGAAAGAACAGAUGAAAUCAGAAUAUAGGUACUUUUCAAUCAUAUUUAGUUAAUUUUCCAAUCAAUGUUGAAAUCUUGUAUCCAUGCGCAACUCCCUAAAUUAAUUUGAAGGACAAGGCAAGAAUUUUGAAGCCAAACCACAUAGUAACAUAAAACCCUUUUCUUCAUCUAAUAAAUAGAAAUCUUGAAACGAGAAUAUAGAGAGAUAGGAAAUAGAUGACCUAUCACAGCGUUAGACAAGAAUAGACAAAAUGAUAAACAUCUUUACCGUAUGGCUUGGGUUCAACAGCUAGUGAUGGCCUAAGUAUCUUUUCUUUGGGUGUAAAGAAGCACGUCUGUUAAUACUGAGACCGGAAUAGGUUGAGCAUCACUCUUCCCUUCUGAUGUUCUAUGUCAUACUGACAUCACUACUAGAAUCUGAAAGCCUGACUUAGUUAUUCACUCUAUCAUCUCCCCCUUAGCUUCAAGCCAUCAUAUUAAGUUUGGGAGAUCCCUUACUAGACUCUAAACUGAAGUACACUCACUGCACUCUGGGGUCUGGAAAACUACUAUACACGCAUUUCAUGGCACUUAACCUAAAUGACUACACCUGAAAGUGGAAAAUCCACUGUUAAUACUACCUUCUGGGAUACACUUUAUCAUUCUAUAGACCCAGUAGUCAUCAUAUAAUACUUACUAACUUCGGGUCUUCAUGGGUAUCCCCAUAGUCGGAGUGCACACCCUCUAGUGCUUUAACUCUUAUUCUAUUAGUUCAACCUUCGAAAACUCAAACUUAGAAUCUAGCACUCAAGAUGGAUAUCGCCAAGACUUCAAUGAAUCAUACUACUUCCGACAUAGCAUACCAAUAUCGCGAGUCCAAACUUAUAUCGCUCUACUAUGAGAAUCAAGAUCAUAUAAAAAGGCUCAACACUAUCAAUCAAAACUCCUUAACUUGGCUAUUUAGAAAACCAUGUACCAUCUAACUAGUCUUUCUCCACCUAGCAACUCAACGGUACCACUCGUCACACAAAACGUGUAAUAGUCUUAUAAAAUACCGAAAACUCAGAUCACCUUGGACAUACUUCUACAUUAUAUAUGCAACAUCAUACUUCACUACGAAUCAAAUAAACUUAAGCUCNNNNNNNNNNNNNNNNNNNNNNNNNNNNNNNNNNNNNNNNNNNNNNNNNNNNNNNNNNNNNNNNNNNNNNNNNNNNNNNNNNNNNNNNNNNNNNNNNNNNNNNNNNNNNNNNNNNNNNNNNNNNNNNNNNNNNNNNNNNNNNNNNNNNNNNNNNNNNNNNNNNUUUUUUCCCACAAAACAUACAUCAUUAAUCUCAUGCCACUAUUUUUACCACCACAUUCUACAUUAAAUUCAAACAUAUAGUCCUGUACCAAUCAUCUAUCACUACUGAAAAAUGCAACAUAAUAUGCUAGUCCAUAAAAUUUGGGACAUACUAUACAAGCGCCUCAAAAAUCACUACAUACCUUCUCACAAGUAGUACUAGUUUACAAUUACGAACAAAAAGCAGGUCAAGGGGUAAAGUUACAUAAUAGACAUGAUCAACCUUAACCUUAUAUUAUAACCCCAUACAAUCUUUUUGACAUACGGAUUUCUCACCUCAUACUUACUUACCCAAACAUACAUUUAGACUACCUUCAAAUUCCACAAAAAAUCAUGAGUCUAUACUUAUAACUUACUGGCUAAUAUAGCCAUUUUCAUACUUCAAGCAAUCGAGAAAUCACCCUAACUAACAACUCCUUCUCUACGUUCUACUAAACUAACACACAAGGACAAAUCACCUCUUUACCAACCCAAUCUCAUGCAAACAUAUUCAGCUAUAUAUAUAUAUUAAACCAACACAAGAACAACAAGUUGCUAGUUAAUCGAAAUAGGCCUCACAUGGCUUUACUAGACUUUGAUUUUGUAUUUUGAACAAAAAAAUGAGAUGAAUGACAAGUCAACUAUGCUAGUGAAUCAAAAGAGCCCCACAGGGCUUCACUAGACUUUAUUUUUUUCAACAACACCUUGAUGACAAGAUUACAUGAGAUAGAAAUUUAAUACGCAAUAAGUAAUGAACUAAGAAUACACAUCUUACUCUGUAUAUAUAAAAUCAGAGUCAAACACUUCCUUCACGGACUACCAUACCUUCCACACAUGCUACUAGUUACCACAUUAGUCUAUCAUCAUUAGGGGUAAAUCAUUCUCGAAUAUCGAUUAUUCAAUUAAAAUAUUCAUUUACACAAAAGUCACCCUCGCUCUGACUUCUAACUUUGUGACUUCACAUCACCAACUUCUUGGUCUAAUUUCCCUAACAAUAGGUCAUGACAACAAUACUUUAAUGCAUACUACUAUCCGGGUGGAAAUACAGUUCCUACAUUCUACUACACAUCAUCCCCCCCUUAAGCAAGACAUUUGUAACAUAAAUUUAAAGAGGACUAAGUGCAAUUAAUACCUUAAGAUGAAAAGCACGAUUCCAUCAAAAUCAAUGUUUACAUUGGAAUUAAUACACACUGAAGCACUAAUGGACUCUUCUCAAGUUCUUACACAAAUUUUAACUCUUAUAUGGUUCAAUCAAAAAGGACCAUACCAUUUAGAUUCUAAACUUCUGCUCUUGAAUCACCUCAAUAAUGAGACAUAUCUGAGGACAUUAGAGUAAGGACAGAAUUUAGGAUGACUUUCUUUUUACUUUCGUAUGGGUGAUACCAUAGCACAAAUUAGAGUGUGAAAGAGAAACAUUCUGACUCUAUUGCACGAAAUAGAACACGAAGAAAGAGAGACAUUCCUAAAUGCCUAGUAGCCUCCUGCUUAUAAGUGUGGCACGCUAUAUACCCAUAAAUAAGACUCUCCCCGACGUGAUUUCACAGACACCCUGGGACCAUGAACCAUGCUUUGAUACCAAGUUUGUCACGACCUGAACUGGGGCCCUGGCCGUGACAAGUAUUCUAAACCAUGAACGCCCGAAACACCCCUAUCUAUCUGGUAAUCAUGCACAUAAUUCAUAUGAUAAUAAGAUAUGCAGAAGAUACACAAUGUUAUGAAAAAAAAUAGUCAUAAAUCAAAUAAAAUCAACAAAGGAGAAAUAAUGUUCCAUAACAUAUAUUGACAUCUGAACAACCAUCUGCGAAAUCUCUAAUACAUGACAGAAAUAAAUUAUUGUCUGAAAACUAGGACAAGGCCCCCAAUAGACCCAAAACUACUAAAUGAUAAAUGAACUGACAGACAUCAGGCCUUUCGAAAUAUAAAAGGCUCACUACUUGAUUCUGCAAACCUAUCGAAGAGAUCUAUUGGUUAUCUAGACCCCUAAACUAUGCCUCCAAACUUGGGAGGGAAGGGGGUCAAUACAAAAGUACUAGUACGCAGAGAAACCAAAAGCAAAAUAUAAUAUUUUUUUCCAAACAUAGGUGAGAGCCAUUAUAAAGCAGUUCCAUAUCAAAUCAUUUGAAAACACAUGGGCAUAAUGUAAUAGUUUUCAACAAUAAUGUAAAGCAGCUGAGCUAGGUGGAAUACCCUACAUAUAACAUUUACACCAACUGUCAAAUCUCGGUUGCCGCCAAGAUUAGAGUAUAAGUGAGGGGAAGACACAAAAGAUCAUACAGCAGGGUGACAAAAGAUCACACAGCAGGGUGUCUCGACCCAAUAAAGUAUAGUAGUGCCCAAGAUCACUUAGCCUGGGCUCCUAACCACAGUCCCAAUUUGGGAAUGACAUAAAGUCAAGUACACAAGAUCAUUUAGCCUGGUACCAAAUCCGCAUGUCGGCAAACACGAUUUCCAGCGAUGAGCCCUUACACUCAAAUGCUUUCUUUGGGUAUCCACCUAUCUCAUGUAAAAUCAAUGCAUCAAACUCCAUUUAAUUCAAUCACAUAUCUUAUUCUAUAGGGUAUCAUCAUACCCAACUUGCAAGCCAUCAAUAUCACAUCAUUCUUUCAUGCAACCAUCAUAUUCAUCAUAUUUCAUCAUAACAACCCUCCCAUUACAAGUCAAAACCAUGACCAUUUUCAAAAAAUUUCAUGUGAUGCUUGUCAAGAUGAUUUCAAACAUUUCACAUCAUAUGAGAAUUUAAAAUGAGAUCAUAUAAAAGAGGGAUUUCAUAUAAUUCAUGCUCUCAAGUUAACAUCUUUUUGGAAUACAUGCAUAUACAUAUAUCAUAUAUCAAACCACUUCGGGAAUAGGCCUAAAUACCAAAUCAAUAUCAUAAAACAUUUAAAACGGGAUUAUAUUCAUAAUUUCAAAACUCUCAUUUUUAAAACAUGAAUUUUUAAGCUCAUGAGAUUUUUGAGAUAACCCCACAUACCUCUAUAUGCGAAGAUGAUAGGUACCUCUUCAAGCCUAUGUUCUAGGGAUUCCAAAUAUGCAAUUAGUUUCAAAAACCCACGAUUGAAUCUUGAGUUGCUUGGGUUUUUAUUUUGAAACCCUAAGGAGAGUUCUUGAGCAAUUUUGAUGAAUGAAGGUGUAUUUUGGGAACUGAAUUUCGUCUUUAUGGCUAAAUAAGGGUGGGAAAAGGACCAUUUUGCCCCAAAAACGGAGUGUUUAAGUCUCUUGAGUAAUAAUAUAUGUGGCGCAAACCUUACCGCAUAAUAUAGGUUGUGCAGCGCACUCUUUAUCGUACACAUUAGGUUGUACGUCGCACACCUUAUGGCAUAAGUUAGGGUGUGCGUCGCACACCUUAUAGCAUAAGUUAGGGUGUGCGUCGCACAUCUUAUGCUGUAUGACACACUCCACUUUGCAAAGCCAUAACUUCUUUCUCGAGUGUCGAAAUUUUGUGAAAUUGGUAUCGUAGGAAAGAUAAUUCGAAUACCCUUCAUUUGAUCUAUAGUAUGCACUCUAAUUCAAUAUAUACAAAGAGUACUAGUCGAUUGAAGUUGACCUAAGUUUCAACGCUCACUAAAAUUCAAACGAUAGGAAAACUUUCAACUUGUCCUUGAGCUUGGGGACCUCUAUGAUCUCAAUUCAUGCUUAAAUAGGUUUCCACACUACAUAAUUUAUUAACGCACUAAACUUGCUUUGGAUUUAUGGAUUUUGGAACCUUUAUGUGAAGAAAAUGAUGAUUUUUGUUCUCGUCCGAAAUGCGAGGUGUUACAAAAUUUUGUUAGAAAAUGGAAAAUACAACCAUAUAGAGUACAUUUUAGCUGCACCAUACUGUAAAUACACUAAACUAAACUUUAAAAGUACUAAUGCAUUUCUUACCUGUUGGUGUGUAGCAUUCAAAAGUUUUAUUGUCUUUGGUCGGAAGAUAGCCACAACAACGGUUUCAAGAAUGAAGAUUAAACUGAAAAGAAGUCAUGCUCGCUCUGGAGUUCCUGUUACAUGAUGCAACAUUACUCUACAAUGUUAAAGCCACUUUCCUAAUCCUUGGAGUCUAAGUUCUUUCGAGAAUGAAAUUUGAUUAGGUAACACAUCCUCAACGUCAUUUGAAUCAGUGAUAGGAGGGUUACUGUCGUGAUAUUCUCGAUCAGCGUCCAAACUACUUCUCUGCAAGGCAUCUCAUCUAGCUGCUAAUGGGUCUGUAACUGAUAAAUGCCAUGAAACAAUAGCACCCAACAGCACAGAUGCUACAACUACAUAACUGAUACAAUGUCUAAAGUACCUGAAACAAAAUUGUUACAGUAAAAAAUUAGAAGAUUUUUUAGAGAACAAAAGAUUAAAAGUUUCUAUUCAACAAAUAAUAUAAAAAGGGAUGCAUAUGCCACAAGUAUAAGAAGACUUGAUUAUGGAAGAAAAUGAAUUAGCAUGGGUUAACAACAAACCAGUAAUAAACUCCAAAAUAGAUCAAGAACACCCGAGAGGUACCAACAAUAAAAAGUAUGAUGACUCGACUUUUCAGAAGCUUAAAACUAUACAAGCAAGCUCCUAAGUUCCAAUCUGAUUGAAUGAAAAGCUAGUGAAUUCAUUACUUACCAAAAAGAAAUAAGAAAUUAUUUCACAAUACAAGUCAGAAAAAGAGACAGAUAUAUGUAAGAAAUGAACUACCAAGGAUUAUUACGGCAGCUGAUAUUGUAGCCCCAAGCCAGUUUGAUUCCUUUACUGUCAGACCAUACAGGAUAGAAUACACAAUAAGUACUAAAAGUGAACCGACAUAUAGAAGUCUAAGAUGUAGAGCCCUGCAGAGCCCAAGUUCAAAGUAAAGAAGAGUAAAUUAUAGACUUCAGAGAAAAUAUUGAAAAGAUAGUGCAGAAAAUAUGAUGAGCAGUAUAAAUGAGAACCCACUGAACAAAUAAUAUAACAAGGUGACUUUCAAAUCUAAAGUAGCAUUUAAAUUAAUUUGCUUAGUAGUGGGAUUUUAAGAUCUACUGUUUUUACUAGACUACUGGAGAGUGUGUUUUGUUCUCUCAGAGUUAGUAUUCCUUUUAUUCAAAUGGAUUUGAGUUACACCCAUUGUUUAUCAUUCUUUGGCUCUUAAUUUUAAAAGUCUAUUAGUUGAGAACAUUUUGGCAUAUCUUCAUAUCUUCCAUAUCUUAUAACAAAAAUUAUGUUCCAUCCAAAAAAAGAGUUGUCAUAUUAGUCAUCCCUGCCCUUUAUAUAGAGCUCUUCCCAUCUUUGUUCAAAUCCCUAGCCAUAAAAAAUGAUGUCCCCCUUCAAAAAGUAUUACAUCUUACUCUGUCUUUCUUUUGCCUAUAAACAGUCUAGCACAUCAUUGAUGUCUUCUGUUAGAACUAAUCAUCGUGUUUACACCAAAAAUAAAGAAGUGCUAAACUAUUCAUGUUGAUCUUCUAGACAUCCUCAAAACAACCCUUGUUUCUUUCUGUCCAAACUGUCCACCAUAUACAUGUUGAACAAUUUUCCAUCUCUCCUCCUUUAUUACAUUUACAUCCCCAUUCCAGCUGCUUAGUACUUUUUUAAUGCUCCCAAGUUCUACCCACCUGAUCCCCUUCAGGUUGAAAAAAUUCUCUACAGCUGCUCUGUCCGUUUCCAAUGUAAGUAAAGAUGGUUAAUUGUGUAAAGAAAGGAUCUUGGACAUUACUCAACCCCAAAAUCUAGCACAUGAGGGGAGGAUUUCUCAAGUCUAUAUAAGAAGACCGACAGUUCACUCCCCAAUAAUGUGGGACUUUCACUCACUCUAACACCACCUUCACGCCCAGGCCCAACAAGAGCGUGGUCCAGGAGCUCAAACAUGGAUGAACCUGCUGUUUGAGAAAGAAUGCCAACUUCUAUUUGUAUGCAAGAGAGAAUAGAUGAGCUGUUGUUACUAAAUGCAUUGGGUCGAUCAUCACGUACAGGUCCAUGGAUUAUGCCAUUAGGUUUUGCAGCAGUUCCAAUAUUUUCAGCAGCACCACAAGUUGAAUUUUGAUGCACUAUAGUAAAGAAAGAAAACUUACACAUUAACUUGAGAAAACAACACAAGCUUCUCAAAUGCAGGUUCUAGCAAGAACAAAGAUAACAAGCAAAUAGAAGGCAAUGAAGAUAAGGAUAAGUCUAGACGAGCUUAGGGAUAGGCUCCAAACUGAACAUAGUGUUCGUCAUUCUUGUUGCAGAUAAGAUCAGACAACUUAUUAUUUUGACGUUAAGAGUUUCUUGUAGAUGGUGCUGAAUCCAUUUUGCAACUUUGGAGGCCUUGUAAAGCACAGAGAGGCUCAUUUUUGUAAAGAAAAUACUGCCCACAUAGUAUAUAUGUUAUCAUUUUCAAAAAAAAUAUGGUGCUUGCUGGUUUUACCAAUAUAAUGUAUGCUUGUACCUUCCAAUGCAACCUCCUGGCGAAAAAACUAACCACCAAUAGGCAUCUUUCAGCACAGAAGAUUCUAAGACUGUCUUACUAGGAAUUAGGUAAGUGCAAGUUCUUAAAGGGAAAUUAUUUGCAUCAUUGAAGAUCAAAAAGCCAGGUAUACAGGAGAUUAGACAUGUUAAAGAAAAAAUGAUAGGUUUAAUCUCAGGAAAUAGAUCAAAAACUCUCAUUAACAUAUAAAUGAUGGAUCCCAAAUAACGUCAGAAGUUACACACAAAAGGAAAAUGGUACAGAAACCAAUUCCACCUUCAUAAUAACUAUGUCUGCUUGAUGUAAGCAUAAACAUAAGGAACAUACUAACAUACCAAAAAAUUAUCAAAAUGUUCUACAAUGUAGUGCAUAGUUUUUUUUGUUUUUUGAAAUUGAACACAGUGCAUAGUUUAAAAAUAUGCAAACAACAUUUAAUGUGGUAGGUCAAGCAUCAGGUACUGGAAGGAAAAUUUAAAACAUAGUGGAGGCAAAUGAAAGAGGGUAUCUAAAAGAAUGAUCAGAGGGCAGGGUGGAACUCCCCCAUAGCAAGUCAAAUGAAGUUUAAAACUAUAUAAAGAAGAUGACACUAGAGGCUUCUGUAGGUGUCUCACAUACUUGGCAUAAACCAUGUGUGAAUGAGCACAACAGAAUCAAAUAUACUGAGAUAAAGCAGGCAUUUGAUUGCAGAUCAAAUGGAAGAGUCUACCAACCGACCAGAUUUAAGAGCAUCUCUGGUCUAUGCACUAUUUUGAGGUAAAGUUAUAUGGUUAAAAAUUUGGACGUUACUUAAUAUAUGCACAAACUGAAUAUGAACUGCCCAGUUAGACAAGUGCUUUUUGUAGCUACCCAGUAACAACCUUAGUUAAAGAAUACAUCAAACUCAGUAAGCUUAAUGAGCUUUCCCCUGCAAGGAAUAAAAGUGUGGAUGACCCGACAUCAAAUAUACCAUUGUUAUUAUACACACAAUCUCCAUACAAUAGCAACAACAUACCCGAUGUAUAUUUGAGCAGAAUAUAUGCAAACCAUACCUCUACCUCAGAGACGAGAACAAAAUGGUAGAACCAUUCCUCACUAAAAACUUCAAAAGACAAAAAACAGCCAAUAUUUACAAAACCAAAUGAAGCAAAAGAAGUUCAUUAUCUUGAUCACCAGUAAGUAAAAGAAAUGUUUACAAUUGGAGAUUCAAAAAGGUUGCAAAAGAAAGAAGCAAACUUUCUAUUUAACAAGAAUCAAAGGGGGGAAAGAAUAAGAGUAAAACUAGUAAGAAUACGAGAAGUAUGAACACUAUAGUCAAUGACCAAAAUAUGAAUUGUAGUUUGGCCAUUUAGCAUCCAUCACUCCAACAGAGAAUCAAGACUUGCAAGCAGGUCGAAAGGUUUGCCUAUCGAGUCUUUCAAGAUUGUGAUUUGACCUUCUUUCAUAAGAAAGUCUUUAUCAAGGGUAUCUACCUUUCUUUUCAACAUGUUUAUCUCAUAAUUCAAUAGCAUGUUCAUCUCACUGUAGCUCUUAACUUCCUCCCACAUGAAAUCUCUCUCUUGAAACACUUUUGGUAGUAUCUCCUUCACAACGCCAAGUUCCUUCAUGCAUUCUUGCAAAUCAUUCGUGAGAUGGUUGAUAUUUUUGUCCUUUUUUUAGCACCUUCCAGAAUCAACUGUAAACCAUGAAAAAUAGGAAAGACACAAAGAUCACCAAUAAUAUUUCAUCAGAAAUUCAAAACAAACUCAUAGCCUAGAAGUUCAACCAAAUCAUGAAUCCUUUUUAACUGUUAAAAUUCACAGUAGAUAACUCGUGAGCUUGUGCAAGAAUUAAGUCAGAUGAACAAGAAAACUUACUAAAACCCCUUUGGGUAACUUUACCAUAUCAGAGCACAAUCAGAUCAAUGGGUUUGAGGAUAUCACAAAGUUUAUCAUGUUCUUGGUUGGUUCCAGUGAUUACACAUUAAGGUGAUCAUACAUUUCACAGAAGACUACCACAUGCCAGCAACUCAUGUAUACAAGUUCAUAAAGAAAACCGUGAACUUCAGAUAGAACAAAGAUGAACGUAAAAUCAAACAGAAGUAGAAAGCUAAUGCAGAGAGAGUAACAUGCGAACAUGCUAUCAUAUAUGAAGACGAGGUAUCCAAAGUUGAAAAAUAAAAACUAUUUCGUUGCAACGAGAUCUUAACAUUGCUUGCUUACCUGAAGCUCGAGAUAUUACAACUUGGGUGUCUCAUAAGAAAGAGCGUCCAGCACAUUUUGCACUUCAUAUUUGAGAAUGUCGUUACCUGUAACUGUUGUGGAUAGAUCAGCCUGAAGUUGUUUUAUGUCCAUCUCCUCGGAAUAGAGCUUCUCUCUUAGCACAGUUGUCAGCAAGGUCUCCGAUUUAACCACUUUAACCUUUUCCUGGUAGUUUUCCCGGACAUAAUCUCUAUUCUCUUGAGCUACUCGAUAUUCCGCUUGUAACUGAGUGAGCUGCUGCCUUAGAUUUUGAUUCUCCUCUGACACUUGCUCUAUUCUCUUAGACAAAUCUUCAAGGUGUUUCUCCGAAAAUGACAUCUUGAUUCUAUUAUCUACUUCUUUCUCAUUAAACAAAGAGACUUCCCUUUGUAGAGAGACAUUCUGCUCUACAAGCUUUCUCGCCCUUUCAUGGAGUCUAUGUUGUUCAAUUGGGUAUUUCUCAAGUUUUAGAGACCAAUCACUGGAUCUUCUAUCCAAAUCCUUUUUAAGUACUGAUUGUAACUCAUUCUUUUCUGUCUCCAAUCUUCGUGUCCAUGAAUCUAGUUCUGCCUAUAAUAUGCUGGUUUCUUCCUUAGCAGAAGCCUUUUCAACAACUUGAUUCCGUAGCAUGCUUGAAACUUUAGAAGCCAUUUGUACCUUUUCCUCUGUCAAUCUUCUAAUAGUCCAAAUCAACAUUGGAACUCUAAGGUCUCUUCCGUGAAGAAACAUUUUAUUACUUUGGACAAGCAAAUGCAAAUUAAAACAUCAGUUUAAGUGUGAGAAAGGAAGCUACAGCAAAAUGAUAUGCAUACUGGCUUGAAUCACGACCAGAUUUCUUAGGAUGAACUUUCUUACUUUGACCAUGGGAGAUUUGCUUAGAUCCGUGAAAUUCUUUUUCCCUGACCCACUGUCAUAGAAGGAUCCAAAUGACAAUGAAACACUCCUCCAUGAAGAAACUUCCUUAGACUUUAAUGGUGGUGAAGGGGUCUUGUUUGCAUCAUUAGUUGAUGAUCGAAAAAAUAAGAAGUUGUUCUUCAUCAUCUCUAUGUAAGGAGACUGUACAUAAAUCAAACUAGUGUCCAUGAGAUUUCAAAGGACAAAGCAAAACACUCAUAAACAGCCACUCACAAAUCAUUAUCCAUUCGUGUAAAUACUGCAAGCUAACUAAAUACUUAUGAGAUAAAGCAAAACAUCUCUCUUUCUACAUGCUUCUUCUUUAACAACAACAUACGUAACCCCUACCUUGGCAAGUAGAAAAUUUAUUUCCUAUAAAUCUUCAGCAAGGAAAGCAAAAACACGAGGAUAUUAACAACAGUAGCAAGUAAGAAAACAGAGGUAUACGAUACAACAAGUAGAAAAGAAAAAUAUGUACUAAUACUACUACCAGAAGAGAUAUGACGCGAAACGAUUUACUACUAGUCUUCUACUAAAAAUUAAUAAAAUACCCCACAAACAAAUAGCACAAGAACAAUUCAAAGAACUUAUCAAAUCCUUCUGAUAAAAAAAAUAAUCAUGGUAAAUAAUACAAAAAAGAGAAAUUACUCAAUCAAAGAGUUGAAAGAGUAAGAGCCGGCAAAAGGUUAUCGGAAUCUGUAGGAUUCUUGUCAUUUUUUCUUGAAAUGUAAAAAUAGCAAAAGACUAAAAUGGAGAAAAAAAAAUUUCUGUGUCUUUUAUUCAUCAUCGUACAAUGCAUAUAUACAACUAACAAGGAUCUGUAAAUUGCAAGUAAAUAUUUACAAGGAUCUGUAAAUGGCAAGUGAAUAUUUACAAGGAUUCAGAAAUAUGGUAGUGAAUAUUUACAUACUCAUAAUUAAAAAUUUGAGAAAUACCCAUUAGAGAGAGAAGAAAAGUGUAACAAAUAAUUUGUGUUAUUCAAUGGCUAUAAAUAACCAUAUGAGGUCAAAUUUUCCAUAUAAUAGAAAUAAAAUUUAAACUAUAAAUUAGCUUUUUCAAAUUAACACACAAAUUAACUUAAAUUAUGAAAUUUAAGAUAUUUAUUUUGUCAAAAUUUAAAUUUUCCAUAUAAACAUCACUGAAUUGAUAUAAACAAUAUUUUGAAAUGUGAUAGAUUAAUUAAAUAACCCAAAAAUAUUGUAAUAUUGUAUUUCUUUUAUCUCUAGAUCUUUUUUUAAUACAAAAGAAAUACUAAAGUCAUACAAUAAUCUCCUUUCUUUUUAUAGUCUAAACUUACCAUUUAAAAAUUAUUUCAUUUGAAUUAAUAAGAUCAUAGUAGAUUGUACAAAAUCAGUUAAUAAAUGAUAUAUAUUUCCAUUAAAUAAAUAAAGUAUGAUAUAAUUGUAAUAAGACUAUACAAUCAACUAAUUAGUUUCACUUAAUUAGAUUAAAUUUUAUGAUCAUAAUAUAUAGACUAAAGUUCCUUAAAUUGAAUGUUGUAAAUUUAAAAAUAUAUUUAUGGCUAAAGUAGUAGUCCAUGUUCAUUGUUUUAUUUAAUCAAUAUAUGUAUAUCAAUUACAGAACUUUGCAUAUAUUUUUUAUUAAAAUAAUUAUCAAUAUUAACUGAUUUUUACCGUAAUUUAAUCUAAUUAGUUUGAUAACAAUACAAUUAUUAUUAAUAUUAUAUAUUUGUUAACGAUAAAUUUUGUCCUAAUUUUAUAGCUUGAUUAUAUUUAAUUAAUCUAAAAUUACAUAAAGGACUCAAAUAUGGAAACAAUUGAUAUUAAUUACCNNNNNNNNNNNNNNNNNNNNNNNNNNNNNNNNNNNNNNNNNNNNNNNNNNNNNNNNNNNNNNNNNNNNNNNNNNNNNNNNNNNNNNNNAAUUUUUAAAAGGUAACAAUUAUUUUUUUCCUAAUUGCUGAUUUAUUUCUCAAAAAUUUCUUAUAAAUUUAUAAUUUGAUUAUAGUUAAUUGAUUAUUUAAUUAUCUUUCUAAUUUGCUAAAACUCAAAUAAGUUAACCAUUAUUUUUUUCUCAAUUACAGAUUUUCUUAAAUUUAAUCCUUUAUUGUUUUACUAAAAUAAUUCAAAUUUAAUUGUUUUGAGGCAUUACAUCUUUUUGUCUUUAAAUCUUUUUUAAUACAUAAGAAAUGCUAAAGUCAUACAAUAAUUUCCUUUAUUUUUAUAAUCCAAACUUACCAUUUAAAAAUCAUUUCAUUUUAAUUAAUAAGAUCAUAGUAGAUUGCACAAAAUCAAUCAAUUAAUUAUAUGUAUUUUUAUUAAAUAAAUGAUGUGCGAAAUUAUUGUAAUAAAACUAUAUAAUCAACUAAUUAAUUUCAAUUAAUUAGAAUCAAUUUUAUGAUCAUAAUAUAUAGACUCAAGUUCUUUAAAUUUAAUAUUUUAAAUUUUAAAAUAUAUUUAUGGCUAAUGUAGAAGUCACUGUUCGUUGUUUUUGUAACCAAUAUAUGUAUAUCAAUUAUGAAACUUUUCAUAUAUUUUUUAUUAAAAUAAUUGUCAAUAUUAACUGAUUUCUAACUCAAUUUAAUCUAAUUAAUUUGAUAACAAUAAAAUUAUUAUUAAUAUUAUAUAUUUAUUUACCAUAAAUCCAUCCUAAUUUUAUAGCUUGAUUGUAGUUAAUUAAUCUACAAUUACAUAAAGGGCUCAAAUAUGAAAACAAUUGAUAUUAAUUACAUUUAUAAUUUCGGCAAUUCAAUCCCAUAAAUUUCUAAUGUUUUUUUAUAGAUUGAUAUAUUAAAAUGAUAUCAAUUACCUUUUUAAUUUUGUGAAGAAUUUUAAAAAGGUAACUAUUAUUUUUUUUCCUAAUUACUGAUUUAUUUCUCAAAAAAUUCUUAUAAAUUCAUAAUUUGAUUAUAGUCAAUUUAUUAUUUAAUUAUCUUUAUAAUUUGCUAAAAGCUCAAAUAGGGUAACAAUUCUUUUUUCCUAAAUUAUGGAUUUUCUUAUAUUCAAUCUUUUAUUGUUUUACUAAAAUAGUUCAAAUUUAAUUGUUUUGAGGGAUGACAACUUUUUGGCUCUAAAUCUUUUUUAAUAAAUAAGAAAUGCUAAAGGCAUACAAUAAUCUCCUUUCUUUUUAUAAUCCAAACUUACCAUUUAUAAAUUAUUUCAUUUGAAUUAAUAAGAUCAUAGUAGCUUGCACAAAAUCAAUUAAGUAGUUGUAUAUAUUUUUAUAUAAAAAAUGAUGUAUGACAUAAUUGUAAUAAAAUUACAUAAUCAACUAAUUAAUUUCAAUUAAUUAGAAUCAAUUUUAUGAUCAUAAUAUAUAGACUCAAAUUCCAUAAAUUUAAUGUUCUAAAUCUUAAAAUAUAUUUAUGGCUAAAGUAGUAAUCAAUGCUCAUUGUUAUUUUACCAAUAUAUGUAUAUCAAUUACGAAACUUUGCAUAUAUUUUUUAUUAAAAUAAUUGUCAAUAUUAACUGAUUUCUAUCUCAAUUUGAUCUAAUUAAUUUUGUAACAAUAAAAUUAUUAUUAAUAUUAUAUAUUUAUUUACCAUAAAUCUAUCCUAAUUUUAUAGCUUGAUUAUAUUUAAUUAAUCUACAAUUACAUAAAGGACUCAAAUAUGGAAACAAUUGAUAUUAAUUACUUUUAUAAUUUCAAAAAUUUAAUCCCAUGAAUUUCACAUAUUCUUAUAGUUUGGUUAUAUCAAAUUUAUAUUAAUUACCUUUAUAAUUUUGGGAAGAAUUUUAAAAAGGUAACGAUUAUUUCUUUUCCUAAUUACUGAUUUAUUUCUCAAAAAUUNNNNNNNNNNNNNNNNNNNNNNNNNNNNNNNNNNNNNNNNNNNNNNNNNNNNNNNNNNNNNNNNNNNNNNNNNNNNNNNNNNNNNNNNNNNNNNNNNNNNNNNNNNNNNNNNNNNNNNNNNNNNNNNNNNNNNNNNNNNNNNNNNNNNNNNNNNNNNNNNNNNNNNNNNNNNNNNNNNNNNNNNNNNNNNNNNNNNNNNNNNNNNNNNNNNNNNNNNNNNNNNNNNNNNNNNNNNNNNNNNNNNNNNNNNNNNNNNNNNNNNNNNNNNNNNNNNNNNNNNNNNNNNNNNNNNNNNNNNNNNNNNNNNNNNNNNNNNNNNNNNNNNNNNNNNNNNNNNNNNNNNNNNNNNNNNNNNNNNNNNNNNNNNNNNNNNNNNNNNNNNNNNNNNNNNNNNNNNNNNNNNNNNNNNNNNNNNNNNNNNNNNNNNNNNNNNNNNNNNNNNNNNNNNNNNNNNNNNNNNNNNNNNNNNNNNNNNNNNNNNNNNNNNNNNNNNNNNNNNNNNNNNNNNNNNNNNNNNNNNNNNNNNNNNNNNNNNNNNNNNNNNNNNNNNNNNNNNNNNNNNNNNNNNNNNNNNNNNNNNNNNNNNNNNNNNNNNNNNNNNNNNNNNNNNNNNNNNNNNNNNNNNNNNNNNNNNNNNNNNNNNNNNNNNNNNNNNNNNNNNNNNNNNUAGUUCAAUUUAAUCUAAUUAAUUUGAUAGCAAUAAAAUUAUUAUUAAUAUUAUAUAUUUAUUUACCAUAAAUCUGUCCUAAUUUUGUAGCUUGAUUAUAUUUAAUUAAUCUACAAUUGUAUAAAGGGCUCAAAUACGUAAAUAAUUGAUAUUAAUUACCUUUAUAAUUUUGGAAAUUCAAUCCCAAAAAUUUCUUAUGGUUUUAUAGAUUGAUUACUCUAAUUGAUAACAAUUACCUUUUUAAUUUUGGAAAGAAUUUAAAAAAGGAAACAAUUAUUUAUUUUCUUAAUUACUAAUUUAUUUUUAAAAUAUUUCUUCUAAAUUUAUAAUUUAAUUAUAGUGAAUUGAUUGUUAUUAUCUUUAUAAUUUGUUAAAAACUCAAAUAAGGUAACAAUUAUUUUUUCCUAAUUAUGGAUUUUUUUAUAUUCUUUCAUUUAUUUGUUUACAAAAAUAGGUCAAACUUAAUUAUUUUGAGGGAUGACACCUUUUUUUAAUAUUUUUUAUUCAGAAUGAUUACAAUUCAAAUAGGCAGUUCUCAAUAUGACACUUGUCUUAGUUUUAGUCUAGACUAUCCUCCUUUAUUAUAUAGAUAGAUAAUUUCAACAAAAUUAAUUAGAGUAUUUUCUUAUAAAAAUAAUAUAAAAUAUGGUAUAGUAAUAAUAUUUGCAUUAAUUAUGCUUCUAUUUUCUUACGCAGUAUUUGAUUCUACAUAUUAAAAAUAACAUUGAAUCAAUGGUGAAAGUAGAGGGACUUGUUUCUUUAUUGGGUUUUUUCUUUUUGGGAAAGCUGAGAUUUUCUUGACUACUAACCACCCUACAAAAAGCUGACACUUCUUGGUAGAUUGGCUUUUUCUUCAUACGGUACUAAUUUAUAUACAUUUUCUUUGAUAUUUGUUAUAUUGUUAGUUUUAUUUUGUGUAUCGUAUUAGUUUAUAUGCAUUUAUCUUUUAUGUUUGUUAUAUUAUUAUGAUCCUAAGCGGAGAGUCUAUCGGAAAAAUCCUCUAUACUUCACCUGAGUAGUGAUAUGAUCUGCAUACACUAACCUCCCCAGACCCCACUAUGUGGGAAUACACUGGGUGUUGUUGUUGUUGUUGUUGUUUCUUAUACAGUAUUUGAUUCAAUAUAUUAAAAAUAACACGAAUUAUAUAAUUUUUCUUACAUAAUACCCCCACUUUAAGCAUGUUAAUGCAUGCAUUAGAUUCAUUGCAUUACUAAUGUUAUAAAUUUUGAGGUAUUAGUAAUACAUACCUCAAUACACAAUAGAGUAUAUAACUAAUUUUUGCAUUAGUUAUACAUAAGAUAAAAAGAUAUAUAUCAAAUAAGGGACUAUUAAUACACAUUAAAUUAAAGGAUGCAUUAAUAUUUACGUAAUACAUUCCAUGCUUUAUCACAGAUUUGAUUAUUAUUCUUUGUCUUGAGCCGGGAGUCUAUCGGAAAUAGCCUUUCUACUUCUCCGGAGGUAGUGAUAUGGACUAUGUACAUCUUACCCUCUCCAGACCCCACUAUGUGCAAAUACACUGAAUUUAUUGUUGUUGUUGUUAUUAAUUUUUUAAUACACUCUAUCAAAAGGCUUCAUGCUUCUCAUUUAAUUAUACCUUUAGCUCCUCUUUAAUUAUGAUAAUUGCUCUCUGACUCCACCUUGAUUUUUUAAAAUAUAAAUAAAUAGCAAUGAAUUUAAUUUUGUUCAUUACUCUACUAAUUGUACUAAUGUUAGGUGAAUUCAUCAACUUAAAAUUAGAGUACAUUCACUCAUGCUACAUAUUAUAGCUAUAGUUCCAAAAACGAAUUAUACGUUUGACAUAAUACAUAAAUGUGUUUUCAACUUGACAUCAUCAGCAAAUAUUUAUAUAUUUUAAUUCUGAGUGUUGCACAAAUAAAUACUUAGACUAUCAUAUAAAGUUAAAAUAAAUAUAUAUAUGCGAGUCUUGUAUCGCAAUUUGUCAUGCAAAAUAUGUGCAUCUCAUACAAUUUGUCAAGUAAUUAAAGCGUUUGUGUCUAGGGGAGUGCAUCGGUCGGUUCGAUUGGGUUUUAUAUAUUAUCAUUAGAUUUAUCGGUUUUCGAUUUUUAAAUAUGCUAAACCAAUAACCAAACCAAUAAAAUACUUUUUUCGGUUUUUAGUCCUUAACGAUUCGGUUUUCGGUUUAACCGAUAAGAAAAUACUCAUAAAAUAAAAAUAGUAGUAACUAACAUAUAAAAAUGAAUCUUAGUUGCAACAAAAAUCCUACAUGAAGUAUUUAAAUUUACAAAAAUCUUCAAGUUUGAACUAAAUGUUGUUUGGAGAAAUUAAGAGUUUAUAUAAUUGAAAUAAUAAGUUUUUUAAUUUGUAGAAAUAAAAGAUAAAUAUAUAAUAAGUCAUACAGAGGCUUCAAGAAACACCUAUCAUAUUUGCAUAUAGAGGUACGUGGGGUUAUCCUAGAAUCUCAUGGGCCUUUAAAUUCAUGUUUUACAAUGGGGGGUUUUGAAACUAUGAAUAUAAUCAUGUUUUGAACGUUUCUAUAAUAUUAAUUUGGUCUUUAGGUUAUUUUGAAUAUAGUGUUUUAAUCAACUAUGUGGUGUAUAAAUCUAGUUGAGCAUGAAUUGAGAUAUAGAGGUCCCUUAACUCAAGGACGAGUUGAAAGCUUUUCCAUCGAUUGAGUUUUAGUAAGCGUUAAAACUUGGGUCAACUUCAAUCGGUCAUUACACUUUUUAUAUAUUGAAUUAGAGUACCUACUUAUAUCAAAUGAAAGGACAUCGAAUUAUCUUUCCAACGAUACCAAUUUUGCAAAAAUCCAACACCCGAGGAAGAAGUUAUGGCCUUGCAAAGUGGAGUGUGUCGUGCAGCAUAAGGUGUGCGACGCACACCCUAACUUAUUCCAUAAUGUGUGCGACGCACAACCUAAUGUGUGUGAUAAAGAGUGCACCACACACCCUAUAUUAUGCAAUAAGGUGUGCGCCGCAUGCAUUACUACUCAAGUGACUUAAACACUCCAUUUUUGGGGCAAAAUGGUCCUUUUCCCACCCUUAUUUAGCCAUAAACACGAAAUUCAGUCCCCAAAUACCCCAAAAUAAACCUUCAUUCAUCAAAAUUUCUUAAGAACUCUCCUUAGGGUUUCAAAAUAAAAUCCAAGCAACUCAAGAUUCAACCGUGGGUUUUUGAAACUAAUUGCAUAUUUGGAAUCCCUAGAAUGUAGGCUUCAAGAAACGCCUAUCAUCUUCGCAUACAGAGGUACGUGGGGUUAUCCUAAAAUCUCAUGGGCCUUUAAAUUCAUGUUUUACAAUGAGGGUUUUGAAACUACGAAUAUAAUCAUGUUUUGAACGUUUCUAUAAUAGUGAUUUGGUCUUUAGGCCUAUUUCCGAAGUGAUUUGACAUAUUAUAUAUGUAUAUGCAUUUGUUUCGAAAAGGUGUUAAUUUGAGAGCAUGAAUUUUUUGGAAUCCCUCUCUAGAUGUGAAUUUGUUUUAAAUGUUCAUAUGAUGUAAAUUGUUUGAAGAUAUAUUGAAAAGCAUGACAUGAAAUGUUUUAAGAAUUGAUAUGAUUUUGACUUGAAAAUGAGAGGGCUAUUUGUGUUGAAACAUGUUGAAUACAAUGGUUGAAUGAGAAGAAUGGUGUGAUAUUGAUGGCUUGAAAGUCGGGUAUGACAAUACCCUACAGAAUAUGAUAUGUGAUUGAAUCAGAUAAAAUUUGAAUGCAUUGAUUUUACAUGAGAUAGGUGGAUGCCCGAAGAAGGUGUUUGAGUGUAAGGGCUCAUUGCUAACAACUGCUAACACAUCAUCAACUUCCACACAGUCUUCAGACACCAUCGCCACCACUGUCACCGGCGUCACCACCUCUACCACUACCAUCCGCUACACUCGCUACAGUAUCUAUACUAAUAACCAUUCCACCAUCAUAGCUAACAACGUCUCCAACGACCACCAACACAUCGUCAACCGUUAUGCAUAUAGUUUUCCAUCACCACGAUCAACACCUCCAACUACUAACAUUAACCAACUUCACAUCACAACCACCACCACCACUACCAAUCGCCAAUAUCAUGACAGUUACUACAAUGCCAACUAUCUCUACUAUCACAACUAUCAUCACCAACAUGGCUAAUCACUAACAUCAAUUAAUUUAUUUCAACCACCACCACCAUUACAAACCAUCUCUACUAUCACUAACAAACAUUAAUGUUUCUUUUUUUAAUCAAAUAAUAAUUUAAUUGGAUUAAAUUAAAAAAAUUUCUAAUAUAUAAUUAUAUUAUAUUUAGAAAUAAAUAAAUUUUGCACAUUCAGAUAUUGAGAAACACCCAACCUUAAUCAUUUAGUUUUCAGAUCUAGAGACAAUAUCUUAACCAUUCAGAUGUGCAUUCAAAGUGAUUCAAAUGUCUGAAUAUUAAUAAAAAAAUGCAGUCUUAGCUGAAACAAAUGGUGUGGUUAUGCGAUACUUUAAAGGAGUCCUCCAAAGUCAAAGAAACUACGUAAAAACAUGGAAGUUUGAUGAUCACUUCUCAGAGUUGUUCUGCUCAAGAAACUAUAACAAUUAAGGUAAUAUAACCAUUAAUAGCAUUCAACAGAGGAGAAGUCAAUUACAAUUAUCCGUGAAGUAGCAUUUAAUGCAGCUUGGCUAGAUUAAAAGAAUCAUCUAUAUCUAUACUACAUUAAGAGCAUGGAACCCCUAACUUAAAAGUUUACGACAAUACCAUUCCUAUCAGCCUAAAUACCUACUAUCUAGUAAAAAAAAGAGAUGAAACUAAUUGGCAUAAAGAGAAACAACACAGAUGUUUAAUAGGAACAACCGGUCAUUGUUCUUAUCUCAACAAAAUAUGUGUUAUUUAAAAAAAAAAAGCAAGCAGAGGGGUAACUCUCAAAUCUCAAUCUCAUACUUUUAGCCUACCAAAUAUGUUUUAUUCUUUAAUGCACUACAACAACAACAAAAACAAACCCAUUAUAUUCCCACUUAGUAAUGCACUAACUUCCUUUUUUACCUAAUGAAUUGAACUUUUUAGUGAGGAUCUAAAUGAUUUUCAGACUUUGUUUAACAUCUGAUUCAUUAAGAUGUAUUAACAGGUUGAAUCUUUUUUUAAAAAAAAAGAACUUAAUGGGCUGAUAUCUUAACCAUUCAGAUUCAGACCUUCAUUAAGUUAAAGCAAAUGAAAAGGGAUUGUAGUGUAAAGUCUAUAAAUAUGGCUUAGUGUAACAAAUGUAGUUGACACAAUUCAAUACUCCUAUUAGCAACCUAUUUCACCUGUUUCUCUAGCUCAUCCAUUACAUCUGUAAAUAAGUAUUUUGCUAUUGAUCCUGAAGUAUUUGAUGAGACAGCUAGAUAUGCAGCAAAAUCUUUAAUCUGCAAGCACAAAAUAAAGAUGGAAAUUAUUGGAUGAAAAAUUCAAAAAGAUGAAAAGGGAACUCAUGAAGGUAAUCACUCACUGAACACAAGAAAUAAAAACUAACUUUGAUGCAAUAAUCACGCCAGUUAGUUUUUUUAUUAAGUAAUCCUGCAGCAACAUACUCUUCCAUCAGUUUUCGGAACUCAUCACAAUUUUUACGUUCAGCUUUUCUCAAUUCUUCCUAUUUGAAUUAAUGGUGUAUGCCCAGUGAGAAAGAGAUAAAUCAAAGUCUCCAAACAUAAAUUUAAUUUUAACCCCCAAGUCUAACAAGAAAUAUACCAUCCGCAGUUUCCUUUGCUCCCCCUCUUCGCUCUCUAAAUCACGUAUGUAUUCCUAAAACAGAAAAGGUUGCAACAUAACUUUAAAACUAAGGUGUACAAAUGAGAUUCUUGGAAAAAGUUAUUUAUGAUGUAUUAGAAAAGUGAAUAGUACCUGGAAAAUCUCCAACCGAUUGAUUUUCUAAAGGCGGGAGCAUCUUUCAUCAAUUUCCAAGCAGUCCUGAACUUUCCGCCACUACCUACUGGCCUGAACAAAAGAAGUCAGCAACAAUGAAACUAUGGAAGUUCUAUCUCCUGGAAAUAGAAAAACAUAAUCUAGGAACUGAUGCUAAUUCCACUAGAAUAAAUACCUUAAUAAAGUCACAGGAUUUUAAAAAUUCUAACUACUCCACUCUAUUGCGCUUCUGCUCCUCCAAUGCCUUCGCAUGUUCCUAAUAAAAUCUAGUACAAAGUAAAAAAAAUAAAAUAUCUCUAUAAAGAAGACAAUAUUUACAAAGAGACUUUAACUACACUUGCAUGAAAGUAUUGAAAAACUUUUUCUAUUUUAUGAUGGAGGGGGGAGAGGAAGAAGCAUAUCAUAGUUUCAAGUUUCAAGAAAAAUUACAUGCAAUACAUGGAAGUCUGUUUAAAUUGGAAUUCAAUGGUGAACAAAUUUAAAUGUUGUACCCAUGAGAAGCCAUUAAAAAUGUAAUCAAAGAACACAAGAUUUUAAGUUGAAUAUCUACAACAUUCCUUCUUUCUACUCUUUAAGCAAAACAAAAAAAUGGAACAAACUAAAAGACAUCCUACAAAGGAAAAGAAUGGAAUAACUGUUGUUAAUCAAGUGGACCAACGCCUAACUCAACUUCGAAAACUAGGUCAGGUGGUGAAGAUUGUCCAAGAUCAUAUAAGGAAACUAUAGCACAUACACCUUACUAGUGUAGGAUUUUUAUACAUUAAUUGCACACCAAGACUAGACAUUUGUAGCAUUAGUUAACCUAGGUUGGAUAACAUCUAAUAGUCUAAUAUCAAGAUAGAUCUGCCUCUAAUACCAUAUUUAAGAAAUUGGACCUUGUUUCUAUCUCAAAUGAAAGGCUAACUUAAUUUAUGAGGAGCCAAAGACCAUAUAAGGAAACUAUAGUCCGCACACUUAGUUUUUAACAUAUAGAAGCUUACAAGAAAGUUCUGCAAAAGGAGCUUCACCUUUUUCUCAAGUUCCUCCACAUAAUCUUCAAAAAGGUCCUCACGGUCUUUAGCUCGCUCAACAGCUUUAAAACGUUCAUCAUGUUUGAAUAUGGAGAUUGCCUUACUAAAUAAUCAAUAGCAAAUAGUUAGUGGAUCAAAUGGAACUUACACAAGUAAUGGAUCAACUUCAAGGUACCAAAACACAUACAAACAAUGACCAAGAUUAGAAAACAAGCAGCAGACAACUUUACAUUACAAGUGAAAGACAAACCUCCAUCUUGACGUAAGAUUGAGAACAACGGACAUUGUUUUGAAAAAUACCACUUAUUCUUUUGAACAAGUCAAAUACCAAUCUCUAACACAUCAUGAAUAUUAUGGUAAUAUCUUUUUAUUUUUGAAACUGGUAAUUUGAAUAUCAUGAUAUAUCAAAUAGAAGACACCCACAAAAGAAAAUUUCACUUACUUCUAACAUUAUCCUGAAAUCUUCCCGAGCUUUUUUCUAUUUAACACGCCUCUCUUCAGCUUCCAGUUUUUUCUUUUGGCUCAGAUACUGGACAGACACACAACUUCUAAAUGAUCACUAUAGACCUUGGGUGUGUUUGGUAUGAAGGAAAAUUUUUCCUGGAAAACAAGUUGGUUUCUUACUUGUUUUCUUAUGUUUGGUUGAUGAAAGGAAAACAUUUUUCAGAAAAUGUUUUCUAGUGUUUGGUUGGUGAAUAAAAAAAUAUUUUUCAGAAAAUACAUUUGAGAGUUGUAUAAACAUUUCAACUUAAGAGUGAGAUUGAAAGAGAGUUUUGGAAAAUGUUUUUCCUACUUUUUGAAGGGAAUUCAUUUUCCUUAAAUGUUUUUCCUACUUUUUGAAGGGAAUUCAUUUUCCUUAAAUAUUUAAGUCAACCAAACAUGAAAUAAUUGGGUAUCAAACACAAUCUAUCUUUUUGCAAUACGGUAUGCUGAAACAUUGAAGCAGCAAUUAACCCAUUCCAAUGCCGACUUGGAGAGAUACCUCAUUAAAAGCUUGCUUCCGCUCACCAAGGGAUUUUAGAGCACCAUAUCUCCGGUCAUUAAUUACUGCUCUCAUGGCCUGACAAAUACAAUUCAUGUCAAAUGCUCUCCCUCAGUUGUUUGGUACGCACAAAAUAGUCAAGUAAUAAACCUGAUCCCACAUGCAAUCAGACCCAAUAGUUGCAGAUUCCAAAAGAGUUUUGAAUGCACUCUUUGCCUCUUAAAUAAAAUCAGAUACUUAAAAUAGAAAUAAGAGAUAUUUUGAGAACGUACAUUAAGCGAGACAAAAAGCAAUAAUCAACUUUACCGCUUUGCUCUCAUAAACUAAUGGUCCCAGCUUGACUGUUUUCUCAUCUGAUGGAGUAGCACCUCCGAUUUCAGUUAUUGCAGCAUCUUUCUUGACAUUCUGCAUUUUAGGCACAACAUCAAGCACAAAAGACAAAAGCAAACCUCAUUGGAAUUUGGAGCAUAUUCUUCACCUGUUAGCAGUUGACUAACAACUGCACUACAAAAUUGUUGGAUCAACAUCCAGCAUAACAGCUACGAAAAGCUUUCUUGGUGUUUUAACCAGUAACCAGUAGUAAUUAACUAAUUGCAUAAGUAUUUCAGAAGGAGAAGGUACCUCUCUAUUCUUUGAAGAAAAUCCAUCACCAUACACUACUGCAUCUUGAGUUGUAGUAGUCUCAGAACUACAGAAAAAUUGAAUUCCAAAUAAGAAGCAACACAAACCUGAGGCAAAAUUAUAACGUAUAUAUCUAAAAAUAUACACCGGUGGUGCGACAGAAUUUCCCAAGGUUACUGCUAUUCCAAUUUUCUCUGAAUUAGCAACAGAUGGCGAAGUAGGUCCUGAAGAAUUCUUCAUUUUGACUAUUUCAAUCAUCGGAGAAGAAACCUUACUAGAUAAACUUGAUGAUUCUGAAGACACAAUAGUUGGUAAGUUAGUAGCUGGUGACACAGUAAUUGGGCUUGAUUUAGCACCGUGUGCCGAGACUAAUGAACCAUCUGCACCCGGGGAUGAUAUUUUAACAACAGAAAUAGAUCCAAAAUUAGAAGCGUGUGAAAUAGUGUCCUUUUCACGAGCCAACUGUGAAUUUAUAAAUAAUUAAACUUUAUGAGAAUAGAGUAUCCAAGAAAAUAGAAUAUUGCCCCUUCUUAUCAUGCUAGCAACUGUGAAUGCAUAAAGAUUUUAUCAGAACUAGAGCAUCCAAGAAAACAGAAUACUGUCCCUUCUUAUCAUGCUAUUUAAAGCACAGAACAAUCCCUUCUUAUCAUGCUAUUUAAAGGACGGAACAAACCCAUAUUGGAUUUAAAUCUAACAUCACCUUGACUUCAUCAGGUCUUCUCCAUUUGGACGUUCUAGUAACCUUGUUGUAGUAAUACCUACAGAAAACAAACAAAGCAAUUAGCAUUAUGCACAAGUAACACACAAAAGUACCCACUGUAGAAGAACAAUUGGAAAGAGGCCAAGAAAAUAUAUAAGUUACAUACUUUCUUCCCUCAGGACUUGUAAAUUCUCUCCAGUCAGUUGUUGUGUCUGCCCUCUGUCCCAAUGAAAACAGCAUGAAAGCAGGUCAAGUCAAAAAACAAAACAUAAAUAGUGCCCUGAGAGUAGAAAUCAGUAACUUCCAGAAGUACAAUAUUGGAUGGAAGUGUUAGAAUAUGAAUGAUAUAAUAUCCUAAAUGGAAAAGGACAAGAAUGUACUGUGUAGAAUAUAAAUACAAGCAGGGUGGAAACAUUUCCAAGAUGCGGCCGAGCUACAACUAUAUUUAUACAUAGGUCAAAUUUUGUCAUUUCUGAGUAUUUUUUAAUGAACACCCUUUCCACAAAAAAGAAGACUGAGUGUGACAGUAAGGGUGUUCAAAUCCUGCACUGAGGUUCUAAGUUCCAUACUCAACAUAGCCCACCAUAAUUUUUUUUCCAUUUUGACACGUUUGAAACUCAUAAACUACAGUUAUGCUUUUUUCGAUGAAUCAAUUUCUGAACAUGUGGUUUUUGUCCCAAUUAGCUCUUACAAAAGAGCUAGUAACUAGAAUGCCAUGUAUAAGAAUUUUGUUAAAAUAAACUUAAAGGUAAAUUUAUAAAGUGGUUGUUAUACUAGCUAUAUUGCAUGGGGCAGAGUGUUUGGUUGGUCAAGAGCUCGUAUGUUCGAAAGAUAGACGUAGCAGAAAUAAGGAUGUUAAGAUUGGUGUGGGGGCAUACUAGGAGAGAUAGAAUAAGGAACAAAGAUAUACGAGAAAAAUGGUAGUUCUCUCUGUGGUGGACAAUUGACAAGAAGAUAGAGAGUUGGGGAUAAAGAACCUAAAGAUUCAAAGUAAGGCUCUCGUGAUGAAAUGGUUGUGGAAAUAUGCAAACAAUAACCAACUGCUAUGGAGGAAAGUGAUUGGGGAUAAAUAUCUGAAGAAGAUAGAUAGAUAACUAAAGAAGUGACCACACUAUAUGAGGUUAGCCUCUAGAGAUCUAUCAGACACUAGUGGAAUGAAGUUAAAAGAAACUCAGAGGUUAAAGUGAUGGAUGGAAACAAGACUAGGUUCUGGAAGGAUAACUGACAUGAGAAUGGGAAUAUAGAAGUGAUUUUUCUAGAUAUCUACAACUUGGUAUUGUUUCAAUAGAGGACUAUAGCAGAAUUAUGGACAACACAUGGAUGGAACUUCAAUUUCAGAAGGCAACUUAAUGACCGGGAGGUAAUGAGAGUAGUUGAAUUUUUUAAUACCGUGGACUUAUUCAAUAGACUGCAACAGUGAAGGACGUGUUAUGGUGGAUGGGAAAUGAAAAAGGAAUGUUUGGUUUUAAAAAAGCCUACAAGAUGCUGAACCAAAUAAAUCACCUGGAUCCAAGAUGGCCAUGGAAGCAAAUAUGGAAAAGUAGGAUACCUCUCACAGUGUUGUGCUUUGUAUUUGUCUGGUUACUGACCAAGAAAGUAGUUCUUACAUAAGAUAAUGUCAUGAAGAAAGGGAAAACCUUGUGCUCCAGAUGUUUCCUCUAUUGAGAAACUUUAGAGAUGGUUAACCAUGUAUUUUUACAUUGUAAGUACACCCAACAACUUUGGAGAAUCGUCUUAAGACUAAAAGGCAUUUCCAGGACAAUGCCUAGGAAAGUAUCUGAGACUUUAAUGUGCUGGGAGAAGCAGGUGUAAAUGCGAAGGACAGGGGUAGAUGGUGAAUUAUCCCUGGUGCUAUAUGGUGGGCUAUAUGGAAAGAAAGGAAUUCUAGAUAUUUUGAGAGCAUAGAGAAUAGUGUGCAGAAGGUUAAACUCAACUGCAUUUUCCUUUUGUGUUUUUGGUGUAAUCAACUAUACUCUAAUGAUACUGCCUCGAUAAUUGAUGUUCUAGACUAAAUUUAGAUAUAGAACAGUCGAUUUAGGAGUACUCUUGUACAUAAAGGUUUCAGUACAACCCAUGUACUGUGUGAUAUAAUACAAAGUUACCAAGUUUGAAAAAAAAAAUAAUUUUUCAAGUACUAAAAGUUUAUAAAUUAAAAAAUAAAGCAAAUAAAUUUGAGUUCAAAUUAGGUGGGUUGGGUUAUGACCCGCAUAUUAGAGAAUUUCAACCCAACCUAUUUCAGCCCAAGUAGCUUUAGGACGGGUUAAUAACUCGCCCAUUUAUUAACUUAGACCUCUUUGAUCCGUCCAAAUCCAGCCAACCCUGCCCAUUUGACACCUUUAGUUUAAUAGAAGAAAAGUGGACCAUUCCAGAACACGUACCAGAUCUAUUGAGUUGAAGUAAAGUGGACUAUCAAAGGAUACACAACAAUCUGUUGAGCUGUUGGAUUAGAGAGGAUUAGCAAGAGUUAGAAGAAAUGGGGGAGAACAAUCCUUCCUUGUAUUUGGUGGACUGUAUGGAGCGAGAAAAGUUGAAGGUAUUUUGAAGAUAAAUAUAAUUCCAUUCAGAAAGUUAAAUGGAAUAGCAUUGUAGAUUUAUGUUUUUUGUUUAAGGGACAAUGUGUACAGGAUGCAUAACAGGUAGUAGAUCUCUUCGAAUCCUCGCAUUAUUUUCAUUAUUUUUUAUUUCAUUUGGACUGAUAGCAUAACCUUAACGUUGAUGAAUACAAAGUAAUAUCUCCGGAAAAAAACUAUUUAUCUCAAAAAGAAAAGAAUAAAAAUGUUCAAACUUCCUUACAGCUCUAGUUCUUGGUCCCUUAAUACUUGUCCCUCACAACCAGCCAAACUUUCUUUGAUAACCGCCAUGUUUGGGCCAGGUUGCACCUUCACUAGUUACACCAGGUACUGCUACCUCCCACCAGCACAGAUACAGGGUAAGUCUAUCCAUCAAGGCUUGGACAGGCGGUAAGAAAUCACCUAGUGUUUUUAUCUUUGUUGGAAAUUAAACCUGAGACCUCAUGGUUCUCAAUCUACUUCAUUGACCACUAGGUCACACUCUUAGGUGCAAGUGUGCGACCAGCCAAACUAUUAUUCUAAUAAACCAUAAUGAGAAGUGUGAACCACAAUAUUAUAUCAAGUUUCCUCUCUCCAUAUCGCCAUAGAGUUACAAUAACAUUACAUUAAUCAGAAAGUAAAUAAAAUUGUUUAAAAUAGACCAAAUAUAAUCCUGUCGUGUAUGCUUAAACACAUUUUUUAGAACAAUAGUGUUAAAUAUAAAAUCUUUUAGAACUAUAUUGGAAAUAAAAGGUCAAUGCAAAUCCCAAAUGAAGCCUACAUAGUAUAGUAAGAUCGAGGAAGUCUGCUCGCUAAACAAACUUUCAACAGAAAUCACAUAUACUUAGGAAAGAAAAAGUGGUUCUACGAAGCUUCAUAGAAAAAGAAUUGUCUACUUCUUUUUUCAUUGAUAAGCACAGGAAACUAGAUAAAACUACCCAUAAAAAUCUCGAUGACACGAGACCUCACCUCAAUUUCUAUCAUUAGCUCUCGAGGUUUCUCCCAGGUAGAGAUUCUUGUCCUUCUAUUAUAAUAGUAUCUAAAAAUCAAUUCAAGAAUUGUAAGAAUGUUAUUAAUUGGUUGGAGUAAUAAAUCCAUAGGAAAUAUGACAACAUUAACAACCAUAAUUGGCCUACUGAUCAUCAAAAGAUGCUAAAAAUAGCAAUACCUACUAGCAUUUAGCCACAUGUAAAAUAUGUAUGAUAAUAGAGAAAUAUGGUCAAAAUGAAGUUAUCGGUAGAGGUGUAUCAAGUUCUGCUGAUCAACAGUCAGGUAGAAUUUGGUAGCAGUGAACAGAAGCCCAUAUGAUAACUUUGACAAAGAGGACUGAAACAAAGUGGCCUAUUAUCUCCAGUGCUAAUGGAAGCAGAAUGAUGUACAAAGCACUAGAUGUGGAUACUUGAGGGAUUUCUUGGCAGUAAUGGGGGCCAACAUAUCCACCACUUGUUCAUAGACAAGACAUUAAGUGUUUGUGAUGCAGACAUUAACCUAUUCAUAUGAGUGACCUAUGUGAAUAUAAUCCAAAAGCAAGAAUUCCGGAAAGACAAAUCGACAUGCUUUUUUUUUCUGUCUGGAGAACACAAAGUGGUAAAAAGAUUGGAUCUGAAUAAAAAUGAUAUUUUUGCAGAGCUCCUUUUCUUGAAUACUGCGGUUUUACACCUUUUUUGUUCACUGAAUCUUAAUUUGCUUACAAAAAACUAUCAUAGAAUUUAAAUGUUGACUGUCUCAGUCAACACACACCCAUUAAUCCAUUAACUUAAGCAUGCUAUUUGUUGAUAAUAUUUAUGCAAAAUGGGUAUAAUAAAACACAUUGAAUUCUCAUCGAAACAACCAAGGGAGCUGUUAAUUCUCCAGUCUUGGGCAUAGUUAUCGUAGAAUUCACAUUAUGAUUACUUAUUGGCAUCCAGGGUUGUACCUCUGAUGGAAACCUAUAAUCAGUUAUCUGUGUUUGAUACUGGGAGUCAGAAGAAUCUGCAUAUACCUGUUGUUAAAAGACGAUAACAAAAUGUAUUUCAUCAAUAUAGGAAUGGAAUAUCAGAAACUGAUUGACAAUAACCACAAAAGAUCUUCCCAAGGCCUUACAUUAUAUGAAGAAAAAAGGGGUAAAUUUGGGCCACCAUAACCAGGCAUAUGGUUAUUUGACAUCGGAAGAAUUUGCUAAAAAUCAUGGGGAAUAGGUGGUCCCUGAGGCAUACUAUGCAUUCCUACUACAGGUCUACCAGUAAUCUGUUGCAUAGGUUGAGGAAAUUGGAUUUGAGAAGGUUGAGACAUCACAACAUUUGCAUGUCCAAGUGGCAAAAAUUGUUGAGAUGACCCGAAACCAUAAGGUUGUGCCUGCUGGGCUGGAAGCAUAGGCUGGAACUGCUUAAAAUGUGGGGAAAAUAGUUAUCAUUAUAUCUCUACAUUCAAUAGUCAUUUAUCCCUCCCACAAGCCUUCACAACUUUACUUGUAGUGACAUGGAUGGAAUAGCACCAGGAGCAGGACCAGCCAGAGGAGGUAUAGGAGGCUUCUCAACCAAUAUCCUUGCAAGGAAGAACAGAUGAAAUCAGAAUAUAGCUACUUUUGAAUCAUAUUUUGUAAAUUUUCCAAUCAAUGUUGAAAGCUUGUAUCCCUGCGCAACUCCCUAAAUUAAUUUAAAGGACAAGGCAAGAAUUUUGAAGCCAAACAACAUAGUAACAUAAAUCCCUUUUCUUCAUCUAAUAAACAGAAAGCUUGAAACGAGAACAAAGAGAGAUAGGAAAUAGAUGACCUAUCAUAGUAUUAGACGAGAAUAGACAAAAUGAUAUGUAUGUUUACCUUAUGGCUUGGGUUCAACAACUACUGAUGGCCUAAGUAUCUUUUCUUCGGGUGUAAAGAGGCAUGUCUGUUAAUGCAAAACUAUGAUCAUGGAACUGAAACGUGAGGUAUGAGUAGGUAUUAGGAUAACCGAAAAAUACUUAGACCGGAAUGGGUUGAGCCUCACUCUUCCCUUCUGAUGUUAUAUGUCAUGUGACAUCACUAUUAAUCUGAAAGCCUGACUUGGUUAUUCGCUCUAUCAUCUCCCUCUUAGCUUCAAGCCAUCAAAUUAAGUUUAGGAGAUCCCUUACUAGACUCUAAACUGAAGUACACUCACUGCACUGUGGGGUCUGGAAAACUACUAUACACGCAUAUCAUGGCACUUAACCCGAAUGACUACACCUGAAAGUGGAAAACCCACUGUUAAUACUACCUUCUCAGAUACAUUUUAUCAUUCUAUAGACCCAGUAGUCAUCGUAUAAUACUUUCAUACUUUCAUCGUAUAAUACUUUCAUACUUACUAACUUUGGGUCUUCAUGGGUAUCCCCACAAUCGGAGUGCACACCCUCUAGUGCUUUAACUCUUAAUUCUAUUAGUUCAACCUUCAAAAACUCAAACUUAGAAUCUAGCACUCAACAUGGAUAUCACCAAGCCUUCAAUGAAUCAUACUACUUCCGACAUAGCCUACCAAUAUCGCGACUCCAAACUUACAUCUCUUUACUAUGAGAAUCAAGAUCAUAUAAAAAGGCUCAACACUAUCAAUCAAAACUCCUUAACUUAGCUAUUUAGAACACCAUAUACCAUCUAACUAGUCUUUCUCCACCUNNNNNNNNNNNNNNNNNNNNNNNNNNNNNNNNNNNNNNNNNNNNNNNNNNNNNNNNNNNNNNNNNNNNNNNNNNNNNNNNNNNNNNNNNNNNNNNNNNNNNNNNNNNNNNNNNNNNNNNNNNNNNNNNNNNNNNNNNNNNNNNNNNNNNNNNNNNNNNNNNNNNNNNNNNNNNNNNNNNNNNNNNNNNNNNNNNNNNNNNNNNNNNNCAUCCACCUUCAUGGACAUCAAUUGUUCAAAACUUAAUGUCUAGUGCUAGACAUGAUUUUACAACCCAACCUUAUGCAUGAUUCUCACUUGGAUACCAUGAAAUAGACAUCAAGAAACACUAGUACACUAGAACUUCCAAACAACAAAUAAUUGAUCUUGACCUUACGAUCUUCCUUAUCAUAACUCAUUAGCCUUAAUAUUUUAACACAUCAAGCCUACUAAUUUUUUCCCACAAAUCAUACAUCAUUAAUCUCAUGCCAUUUAUUUUACCACCACAUUCUACAUUAAAUUCAAGCAUAUAGUCAUGUACCAAUCAUCUAUCACUACUGAAAAAUGCAACAUAAUAUGCUAGUCCAUAAAAUUUGGGACAUACUAUACAAGCACCUCAAAAAUUACUACAUACCUUCUCACAAAUAGUACUAGUUUACAAUUACCAGCGAAAAGAAGGUCAAGGGGUAAAGUUACAUAAUAGACAUGAUCAACCUUAAUCUUAUAUUAUAACCUCACACGGCUUCACUAGACUUUGAUUUUGUAUUUUGAACAAGAAAAUGAGAUGAAUGACAAGUCAACUAUGCUAGUGAAUUGAAAGAGCCCCACACGGGCUUCACUAGACUUUAUUAUUUUAAACAACACCUUGAUGACAAGAUUACAUGAGAUAGAAAUUUAAUACUCAAUAUCCAAUGAACUAAGAAUACACAUCUUACUCUGUAUAAAUAAAAUCAGAAUCAAACACUUCCUUCAAGGACUAUUAUACCAUCCACACAUGCUACUAGUUACCAUAUUAGUCUAUCACCAUAAGGGGGUAAAUCAUUCUCAAACAUCAGUUAUUCAACUAAAAUAUUCAUUUACACAAAAGUCACCCUUGCUCUGACUUCUAAUUUUGUGACUUCACAUCACUAACUUCUUGGUCUAAUUUCACUACCAAUAGGUCAUAAAAACAACACUUUAACGCAUACUACUAUUCGGGUGGAAAUACAGUUCCAAAAUUCUACUACACAUCAUCCCCCCCUUAUGCAAGACAUUUGUAACAUAAAUUUGAAGGGGACUAAAUGCAAUUAAUACCUCAAGCUGAAAAGCACGAUUCCAUUAGGAUCAGUGUUUACAUCGUAAUCAAUACACAUUAAAGCACUAACAGACUCUUCUCAAGUGCUUGCAUAAAUUCUAACUCUUAUAUGGUUCAAUCAGAAAGGACCAUACCAUUUAGAUUCUAAACUUCUGCACUUGAAUCACCUCAAUAAUGAGACAUAUUUGAGGACGUUAGAGUAAGGAAAGAAUUCGGGAUGACUUUUUUUUUACUUUCGUAUGGGCGACACCAUAGCACGAAUUAGAGUAUGAAAAAGGAACAUUCUUACUCUAUCGCAUGAACUAGAACAUGAAGAAAGAGAGACAUUCCUAAAUGCCUGGUAGCCUCCUGCUUAUAAGUGUGGCGCGCUACACACCCAUAAACAAGACUCUACCCGAUGCAAUUUCAUAGACACCCUGGGACCGUGAACGAUGCUUUGAUACCAAGUUUGUCAUAACUUGAACCGGGGCCCUAGCCAUGACGAGCAUUCCAAACCAUGAAAACCUGAAACACCUCUAUCUAUCUGGUAAUCAUGGACAUAAUUCAUAUGAUAAUAAGAUAUGCGGAAGAUACACAAUAUUAUGAAAAACAUGGUCAUAAAUCAAAUAAAAUCAACAAAGGGGAAAUAAUGUCCCACAACAUAUAUCGACAUCUGAACAACCGUCUAUGAAAUCUCUAAUACAUGACUGAAACAAAUUAUUGUUUGAAAAAUAGGACAAGGCCCCCAGUAGUCCCAAAACUAUUAAAUGAUAAAUGAACUGACAGACAUCAGGCCUUCCGAAAUAUAGAAGGCUCACCACUUGAUUCUGCAAAUCUGUCGGAAGAGAUCUACUGGUUAUCUGAACCCCUAAACUAUGCCUCCAAACCUGGGAGAGAAGGGGGCCAAUAUAAAAGUAAUAGUACGCAGAGAAACCAAAAAUAAAAUAUAAUAUUUUUUUUCCAAAUAUAGGUGAGAACCAUUAUAAAGCAGUUCCAUAUCAAAUCAUUUGAAAACACAUGGACAUAAUGUAAUAGUUUUCAACAACAAUGUAAUGCAGCUGAGCUAGGUGGAAUACUCUACAUAUAAUAUUUUCACCAAUUGUUAAAUCUCAAUUGCCGCCAAAAUUAGAGUAUAAGUGAGGAGAAGACAGACAAGAUCACAUAGCAGGGUGUCUCAACCCAAUAAAGUAUAGUAGUGCCCAAGAUUACUUAUCCUGGGCUCCUAACCAUAGUCCCAAUUUGGGAAUGACAUAAAGUCGAGUACACAAGAUCACUUAGCCUGGUACCAAAUCCCUAUGUCAGCAAACACGGUUUCCAGCGAUGAGCCCUUACACUCAAACACCUUCUUCGGGCAUCCACCUAUCUCAUGUAAAAUCAAUGCAUCAAACUCCAUUUAAUUCAAUCACAUAUCUUAUUCUAUAGGGUAUCGUCACACCCUACUUGCAAGGCAUCAAUAUCACAUCAUUCUUUCAUGCAACCAUUAUAUUCAUCAUAUUUCAACAUAACAACCCUCUCAUUGCAAUUCAAAACCAUGACCAUUUUCAAAAUAUUUCAUGUCACUCUUGUCAAGAUGAUUUCAAACAUUUCACAUAAUAUGAGAAUUUAAAACGAGAUCAUAUAAAAAGAGGGAUUUCAUAUAAUUCAUGCUCUCAAAUUAAAAUCUUUUCAGAAUACAUGCAUAUACAUAUAUCUUAAAUCAAACCACUUUGAGAAUAAGCCUAAAGACCAAAUCAAUAUCAUAAAAAGUUUAAAACGGGAUUAUAUUCAUAAUUUCAAAACCCCCAUUUUUAAAACAUGAAUUUUUAAGCCCAUGAGAUUUUUGAGAUAAACCCACGUACCUCUAUAUGCGAAGAUGAUAGGUUCUUCUUGAAGCCUACGUUCUAGGAGUUCCAAAUACGCAAUUAGUUUCAGAAACCCACAAUUGAAUCUUGAGUUGCUUGGGUCUUUAUUUUGAAACCCUAAGGAGAGUUUUUGAGCAAUUUUAAUGAAUGAAGGUGUAUUUUAAGGUAUUUUGGGAACUGAAUUUCGUGUUUAUGGCUAAAUAAGGGUGGGAAAUAGACCAUUUUUCCCCAAAAAUGGAGUGUUUAAGUCACUUGAAUAAUAAUAUAUGCGGCGCAAACCUUAUCAAAUAAUAUAGGUUAUGCGGCGCACUCUUUAUCGCACACAUUAGGUUGUACGUCUCACACCUUAUGGCAUAAUUUAGGGUGUGCGUCGCACACCUUAUGCUGCACAACACACUCUACUUUGCAAAUCCAUAACUUCUUCCUCUGGUGUUUGAAUUUUUUGAAAUUGGUAUCGUUGGAAAGAUAAUUCGAAUACCUUUCAUUUGAUAUAUAGUAGGCACUGUAAUUCAAUACAUACAAAGAGUAAGAGUCAAUUGAAGUUGACCUAAGUUUCAACUCUUACUAAAAUUCGAAUGAUAGGAAAACUUUCAACUUGUCCUUGAGCUUGGGGACCUAUAUGAUCUCAAUUCAUGCUCAACUAGGUUUCCACACUACAUAAUUUAUUAACACAUUAAACUUGCAUUGGAUUUAUGGCUUUUAGAACCUUUACGUGAAGAAAAUGAUGAUUUUCUUUCUCGUCCAAAAUGCGGGGUGUUACAAAAUUUUGUUAGAAAAUGGAAAAUACAACCAUAUGGAGUACAUUUUAGCUGCACCGUACUCCAAAUACACUAAACUGAACUUUAAAAGUACUAAUACAUUUCUUACCUGUUGGUGUUUAGCAUUCAAAAGUUUUAUUGUCUUUGGUCGGAAGAUAGCCACAACGACAGUUUCAAGAAUGAAGAUUAAACUGAAAAGAAGCCAUGCUCGCUCUGGAGUUCCUGCUACAUAAUACAACAUUACUCUACAACGUUGAAGCCACUUUCCUAAUCCUUGGAGUCUAAGUUCUUCCGAGAAUGAAAUAUGAUUAGGUAACACAUCCUCAACAUCAUUUGAAUUAGUGACAGGAGGGUUACUAUCGCGAUGUUCUCGAUCAGCGUACAAACUACUUCUCUGCAACAAGGCUAGAAUCAUUGGGUCCAAUACAUUCUCCUAUAGCAUCACUGCAAAAUUAGGAUCAAGCCCUUUAUCUUGCAAUAAAUUAGCUAAUUCACGAUCAGUGUGUCUUUCUUUCCUCUUUAACAUAGAUGUAAUCCUGGGAUCAAACAACUUUUCUUGAAAUGCAAGUGCCAAAUUCAAGUCCAGUAUCUGUUGGUUUGUAGAGGUGGAUGUACUAGAAUCACUGCCUUGGCUUUUAAGGCCACUGCUAGAACAAACAACCAAUGAACUAUUAUGCUCUAAAUUUUUGUCAACAUAUGAUGAUCCUACUUCAGGCUCUUGAACAACUGAACGACAGGAACUACUACGUAGAGCUAGACUUGGUCUUCCACUGUCUAUGCUCUUAUCACUAUUAAUCCCCUCAAUGUUAUUCCAGGUACUGCCAUCACCAGUGCAAGGCACAGUUUCAUUACCAAAAUGACCAGCAUCAGCACUACUACUGCAUUUGACACUUGAGCCACACCCCUCAGAAGAGCUUGCGGAGCUAUUUUGGUCUUUUUUGCAGAAACCUUCUCUAAGGCGGAUAACUGUGGUCUGCAUGGCAUCUCGUCUAGCUGCUAAUGGGUCUGUAACUGAUAAAUGCCGUGAAACAGCAGCACCCAACAGCACAGAUGCUACAACUGCAUAACUGAUACAAUGUCCAAAGUACCUGAAAUAAAAUUGUUGCAGUUAAACAUUAGAAGAUUUUUUUUUAUAACAAAAGAUUAGAAGUUUAUAUUCAACAAAUAAUAUUAAAAGGGAUGCAUAUGCCACAAGUAUUAGAAGACUUGAUUAUGGAAGAAAAUGAAUUAGCAUGGGUUAACAACAAACUAAUAAUGAACUCCAAAACAGAUCAAGAACACCCGAGAUGUACCGACAACAAAAAGUAUGAUGAAUCAACUUUUUAGAGGCUUAAAACCAUACGAGCAAGCUCCCAAGUUCCAAUCUGAUUGAAUGAAAUGUUAGUGAAUUCAUUACUUACCACAAAGAAAUAAGAAAUUAUUUCACAAUAUGAGUCAGAAAAGGAGACAAAUAUAUGUAGGAAAUGAACUACCAAGGAUUAUCAGGGCAGCUGAUGUUGUAGCCCCAAGCCAGUUUGAUUCCUUUGCUGUCAGAUCAUACAGGAUAGAAUACACAAGAAGUACUACAAGUGAACCAACAUAUAGAAGUCCAAGAUGCAGAGCCCUGCAGAGCCCAAGUUCAAAGUGAAGAAGAGUAAAUUAUAGACUUCAGAUAAAAUGUUGAAAAGAUAGUGCAGAAAAUAUGAUGAGCAGUAUAAAUGAGAACCCACUGAACACAUAAUAUAACAAGGUGACUUUCUAAUCUAAAGCAGCAUUUAAAUUAAUUUGCUUAGCAGUAGGAUUUUAAGAUCUACUAUUUUUACUAGACUACUGGAGAGUGUGUUUUGUUUUCUUAGAGUUAGUAUUCCAUUUAUUCAAAUAGAUUUGAGUUACACCCAUUGUUUAGCAUUCUUUGGCUCUUAAUUUUAAAAGUCUGUUAGUUGAGAACAUUUUGGCCUAUCUUCCUAUCUUUGUUCAAAUCCCUAGCCAACAAGAAUGAUGUCCCCCUUCAUAAAGUAUACAUCUUACUCUGUCUUUCUAUUGCCUAUAAACAUUCUAGCACAUCAAUGAUGUCUUCUGUUAGAGCUAAUCAUCGUGUUUACACCAAAAAUAAAGAAGUGCUAAACUAUUUAUGUUGAUCUUCUGGACAUCCUCAAAACGACCCUUGUUUCUUUCUGUCCAAACUAUCCACCAUAUAUAUGUUGAACAAUUUUCUAUCUCUCCUUCUUUAUUACAUUUACAUCCCCAUUCUAGCUGCUUAGUACUUUUUUAAUGCUCCCAAGUUCUACCCACCUGAUCCCCUUCAGGUUGAAAACAUUCUCUACAGCUGCUCUAUCUGUUUCCAAUGUAAUGAAAGAUGGUUGACUGUGUAAAGAAAGGAUCUUGGGCCUAACUCAACCCUAAAAGCUAGCACAUGAGGGGAGGAUUUAUCAAGUCCAUAUAAGAAGACUGACAGUUCACUCCCCAACAAUAUAGGACUUUCACCCACUCUAAUACCACCUUCACGCCCAGGCCUAACAAGAGCGUGGUCCGGGAGCUUAAACGUGGAUGGACCUGCUAUUUGAGAAGGAAUAUCAACUUCUAUUUUUAUACAAGAGAGACUAGAUGAGCUGUUGUUACUAAAUUCAUUGGGUCUAUCAGCACGUACAGGUUCAUGUAUUGUGCCGUUAGGUUUUGCAGCAGUUCCAACAUUUUCAGUAGCACCACAAGUUGAAUUUUGAUGCACUGCAGUAAGGAAAGAAAACUUAAACAUAACUUGAUAUAACAACACAAGCUUCUCAAAUACAGGUUCUAGAAAGAACAAAGAUAACAAACAAAUAGAAGGCAAUAAAGAUAAUGAUAAGUCUAGACGAGCUUAGGGACAGGCUCCAAACUGAACACAGUGCUCGUCAUUCUUGUUCUAGAUAAGAUCAGACAACUUAUUAUUUUGAUGUUAAGAGUUUCUUGUAGAGGGAGCUGAAUCUGUUUUGCAACUUUGGAGGCCUUGUAAAGUACAAAGAGGCUCAUUUUUGUAAAGAAAAUACCGUCCACAUAGUAUAUAUGCUAUCAUUUUAAAAAAAAUAUGGUGCUUGCUGGUUUUACCAAUAUCAUGUAUGCUUGUACUUUCUAAUGCAACCUCCUGGCGAAAAAACUAACCACCAAUAGGCUUCUUUCAGCAUAGAAGAUUCUAAGACUGUCUUACUAGGAAUUAGGUAAGUGCAAGUUCUUGAAGGGAAAUUAUUUGCAUCAUUGAAGAUCAGAAAGCCAGGUAUACAAGAGAUUAGACAUGUUAAAGAAAAAAUAACAGGUUUAAUAUCAGGAAAGACAUCAAAAACUCUCAUUGACAUAUAAAUGAUGGAUCCCAAAUAACUUCAGAAGUUACACACAAAAGAAAAAUGGUAUAGAAACCAAUUCCACCUUCAUAAUAACAAUGUUUGCUUGAUGUAAGCAUAAACAUUAUCAGGAAAGACAUCAAAGACUCUUAUUGACAUAUAAAUAAUGGAUCCCAAAUAACUUCAGAAGUUACACACAAAAGAAAAAUGGUAUAGAAACCAAUUCCACCUUCAUAAUAACAAUGUUUGCUUGAUGUAAGCAUAAACAUAAAGAACAUACUGACAUACCAAAAAAUUAUCAAAAUGUUCUACAAUGUAGUGCAUAUUUUUUUUUCAUUUUUUGAAAUUGAACGCAGUGCAUACUUUAAAAAUGUGCAAACAAUAUUUAAUAUGGCAGGUGAAGCAUCAAGUACUGGAAGGAAAAUUUAAAACAUGGUGGAGAAAAAUGAAAGAGGGUAUCUGAAAGAAUGAUGAGAGAGUAGGGUGGAACUCCCUCAUAGCAAGUCAAAUGAAGUUUAAAACUAUAUAAAGAAGAUGAAACUAGAGGCUUCUGUAUGUGUCUCACAUACUUGGCAUAAACCAUAUGUGAAUGAGCAUAACAGAAUCAGAUGUACUGAGAUAAAGCAGGCAUUUGAUUGCAGAUCAAAUGGAAGAGUCAGCCAACCGACCAGAUUUAAGAGCAGCUCUGGUCCAUGCACCAUUUUGAGGUAAAGUUAUAUGGUUAAAAAUUUAGACGUUACUUAAUAUAUGAACAAAUUGAACAUGAACUGCCCAGUUAGAAAAGUGCUUUUUGUAGCUACCCAGUGACAACCUUAGUGAAAGAAUACAUCAAUGAGAAGUUAACUCAGUAAGCUUAAUGAGCUUUCCCCUGCAAGGAAUGAAAGUGUAGAUGACCUGACAUCAAAUAUACGAUUGUUAUUAUACACACAAUCUCCAUACAACAGCAACAACAUACCCGAUGUAUAUUCGGGCAGAAUAUAUGCAAACCAUACCUCUACCUCAGAGACGAAAAGAAAAUGGUAGCACCAAUCCUCAUUAAAUACUUCAUAAGAUAAAAAACAGCCAAUACUUACAAAAUCAAAUGAAGCAAAAGAAGUUCAUUGUCUUGAUCACCAGCAAGUAAAAGAAAUGUUUACAAUUGGAGAUUCAAAAAGGUUGCAAAAGAAAGAAGCAAACUUUCUAUUUAACAAGUAUCAAAGGGGGGAAAAAUAAGAGUAAAACCAAUAAGUAUACGAGAAGUCUGAAUACUAUAGUCAAUGAACAAAAUAUGAAUUGUAGUUUGGCCAUUUAGCAUCCAUCACUCCAACAGAGAAUCAGGACUUGCAAAAAGGUCGAAAGGUUUGCUUAUCGAGUAUUUCAAGAUUGUGAUUUGAACCUCUUUCAUAAUAAAGUCUUCGUCGAGGGUAUCUACCUUUCUUUUCAACAUGUUGAUCUCAUAAUUCAACAGCAUGUUCAUCUCACUGUAGCUCUUAACUUCCUCCCACAUAAAAUCCCUCUCCUGAAACACUUUUGGUAGUAUCAUCUUUACAAUGCCAAGUUCCUUUAUGCAUUCUUGCAAAUCAUUAGUGAGCUGGUUGAUAUUUUCAUCCUUUUUUAGCACCUUCGAGAAUCAAUCGUAAACCAUGAAAAACAAGAAAGACACAAAGAUUACCAAUAACAUUUCAUAAGAAAUUCAAAACAAACUCAUAGCCUAGAAGUUAAACCAAAUCAUGAAUCCUUUUUAACUAUUAAAAUUCAUAGUAGACAACUCAUGAGCUUGUCCAAGAAUUAAGUCAGAUGAACGAGCAAACUUCGGGUAACUUUACCACAUCAGAGCACAAUUAGAUCAAUGGGUUUGAGGACAUAACAAAGUUUUUCAUGUUCUUAGUUGGUUCAAGUGAUUACACAUUAAGGUGAUCAGACAUUUCACAAAAGACUACCACAUGCCAGCAACUUAUGUAUACAAGUUCAUAAAGAAAACUGUGAACUUUAGAUGGAACAAAGAUGAACCUAAAAUAAAAAAGAAGUAGAAAGAUAAUGCAGAGAGAGUAACAUGCGAACAGGCUAUCAUAUAUGAAGACAAGGUAUCCAAAGUUGAAAAAUAAAAACUAUUCAAUUACAACGAGAUCUUAACAUUGCCUGCUUACCUGAAGCUCGAGAUAUUUCAACUUGGGUGUGGCAUAAGAAAGAGCGUCCAGCGCAUUUUGCACUUCAUAUUUGAGAAUGUCGUUACCUCUAACUGUUAUGGCUAGAUUAGCCUGAAGUUGUUUUAUGUUCAUCUCCUCGGAAUAGAGCUUCUCCCUUAGCACAGUUGUCAGCAAAGUCUCUGAUUUAAGCUCUUUAACCUUUUCCUAGUAGUUUUCCCGAACAUAAUCUCUAUUGUUUGGAGCUACUUGAUAUUCCACUUGUAACUAAGUGAGAUACUGCCUUAGAUUUUGAUUCUCCUCUGACACUUGCUCUAUUCUCUUAGACAAAUCUUCAAGGUGUUUCUCCGAAAAUGACAUCUUGAUUCUAUUAUCUACUUCCUUCUCAUUAAAUGAAGAGACUUUCCUUUGUAGAGAGACAUUCUGCUCUACAAGCUCCCUCGUCCUUUCACGAGUCUAUGUUGUUUAAUUUGGAAUUUCUCAAGUUUUAGAGACCAAUUGCUGGAUCUUCUAUCCAACUCCUUUUCUAAUACUGAUUGUAACUCAUUCUUUUCUGCCUCCAAUCUUCGUGUCCAUGAAUCUAGUUCUGCCUGUAAUAUGCUGGCUUGUUGCUUAGCAGAAGCCCUUUCAGUAACUUAAUUCUGUAGCAUGCUUGAAACUUCCGAAGACAUUUUUACCUUCUUUUUUUUCAAUCUUGUAAUAGUACGAAUCAACAAUGGAACGCUAAGGUCUCUGCCAUGAAGAAACAUUUAUUAUUACUUUGGACAAGCAAAUACAAAUUAAAACAUCAGUUUAAGUAUGAAAAAGAAAGCUAUAGCAAAAUGAUAUGCAUACCGUCUUGAAUUACGACUAGAUUUCUUAGGAUGAACUUUCUUACUGUGACCAUGGGGAGAUUUACUCAGAUCCGUGAAAUUCUUUUUUUCCUGACCCACUGUCAUAGAAGGAUCUAGAUGACAAUGAAACACUCCUCCAAGAAGAAACUUCUUUGGACUUUAAUGGUGGUUAAGGGGUCUUGUUUGCAUCAUUAGUUAAUGAUCGAAAAAAGAAGAAGUUGUUCUUCAUCAUCUCUAUGUAUGUAGACUGUACAUGAAUCAAACUAGUGUCCAUGAGAUUUCAAAGGACAAAGCAAAACACUCAUAAAUAGCCACUCAAAAAUCAUUAUCCAUUCAUGAAAAUAUUGUAAGCUAACUAAAUACUUUGAGACAAAGCAAAACAUCUCUCUUUCUACAUGCUUCUUCUUCAAAAACAACAUACGUAAAUUGCACAAGAACAAUUCAAAGAACUUAUCAAAUCAUUUUGAUAAAACAAAUAAUCAUGGUAAAUAAUUAAAAAAAAAAAUUACUAAAUCAAAGAGUUGAAAGAGUAAGAGCUGGCAAAAGGUUGUUAGAAUCUGUAGGAUUCUUGUUAGUUUUUCUUGAAAUGUAAAAAUAGCAAAAGACUAGAAUGGAGAAAACUUUUUUUUCUGUGUCUUUCAUUCAUCAUCGUACAAUGCAUAUAUACAACUAACAGGGAUCUGUAAAUUGCAAGUAAAUAUUUACAAGGAUCCAGAAAUAUGGCAAGUGAAUAUUUACAUACUCAUAAUGAAAAACUUGAGAAAUACCCAUGAGAGAGAGAGAAGAAAAGUGUAACAAAUAUUUUGUGUUAUUCAAUGCCUAUUAAUAGCCAUAUAAGGUCAAAUUUUCCAUAUAAUAAAAAUAAAAUGUAAACUAUAAAUUAACUUUUUCAAAUUACAACACAAAUUAACUUAAAUUAUGAAAUUUAAGAUAUUUAUUUUUUCAAAAUUUAACUUUUCCAUAUAAACAUCACUGAAUUGAUAUAAACACUAUUUUGAAACAUGAUAAAUUAAUUAAAUAACCCAAAAAUAUUGUAAUAUUGUAUUUCUUUUAUCUCUAGAUCUUUUUUUAAUACAUAAGAAAUACUGAAGUCAUACAGUAAUCUCUUUUCUUUUUAUAGUCUAAACUUACCAUUUAAAAAUUAUUUCAUUUGAAUUAAUAAGAUCAUAGUAGAUUAUACAAAAUCAGUUAAUAAAUGAUAUAUAUCUCCAUUAAAUAAAUAAAGUACGAUAUAAUUGUAAUAAGACUACACAACAAUAAAUUAAUCUCACUUAAUUAGAUUAAAUUUUAUGAUCAUAAUAUAUAGACUAAAGUUCCAUAAAUUUAAUGUUGUAAAUUUCAAAAUAUAUUUAUGGCGAAAGUAGUAGUCAAUGUUUGUUGUUUUUUUUAAUCAAUAUAUGCAUAUCAAUUACGGAACAUUGCAUAUAUUCUUUAUUAAAAUAAUUGUCAAUAUUAACUUAUUUUUACCGCAAUUUAAUCUAAUUAGUUUGAUAACAAUACAAUUAUUAUUAAUAUUAUAUAUUUGUUAACCAUAAAUUUGUCCUAAUUUUAUUGCUUGAUUAUAUUUAAUUAAUCUACAAUUACAUAAAGGGCUCAAAUGUGGAAGCAAUUGAUAUUAAUUACCUUUAUAAUUUAAAAAAUUUAAUCCCAUGAAUUUCUCAUAUUCUUAUAGUUUGAUUAUAUCAAAUUGAUAUUAAUUACCUUUAUAAUUUUGGGAAGAAUUUUUAAAUGGUAACGAUUAUUUUUUUCCAAAUUGCUGAUUUAUUUCUUAAAAAUUUCUUAUAAAUUUAUAAUUUGAUUAUAGUUAAUUGAUUAUUUAAUUAUCUUUAUAAUUUGCUAUAAACUCAAAUAAGGUAACCAUUAUUUUUUUCUCAAUUACAGAUUUUCUUAAAUUCAAUCUUUUAUUAUUUUACUAAAAUCGUUCAAAUUUAAUUAUUUUGAGGCAUGACAUCUUUUUGUAUAUAAAUCUUUUUUAAUACAUAAGAAAUGCUAAAGUCAUUCAAUAAUCUCCUUUAUUUUUAUAAUACAAACUUACCAUUCUAAAAUCAUUUCAUUUGAAUUAAUAAGACAUAGUAGAUUGCACAAAAUCAAUCAAUUAAUUAUAUGCAUUUUUAUUAAAUAAAUAAUGUACGAAAUUGUUGUGAUAAAACUAUAUAAUCAACUAAUUAAUUUCAAUUAAUUAGAAUCAAUUAUAUGAUCAUAAUAUAUAGACUCGAUUUCUUUAAAUUUAAUGUUGUAAAUUUUAAAACAUAUUUAUGGCUAAAGUAGAAGUCAGUGUUCGAUGUUUUUGUAACCAAUAUAUGCAUAUCAAUUACGAAACUUUGCAUGUAUUUUUUAUUAAAAUAAUUGUCAAUAUUAACUGAUUUCUAACUCAAUUUAAUCUAAUUAAUUUGAUAACAACAAAAUUAUUAUUAAUAUUAUAUAUUUACUUACCAUAAAUUUGUCCUAAUUUUAUAGCUUGAUUGUAGUUAAUUAAUCUACAAUUACAUAAAGGGCUCAAAUAUGAAAACAAUUGAUAUUAAUUACCUUUAUAAUUUUGGCAAUUCAAUCCCAUGAAUUUCUCAUGUUUUUUAUUGAUUGAUUAUAUUAAAUUGAUAUCAAUUACCUUUUUAAUUUUGGGAAGAAUUUUAAAAAGGUAACGAUUAUUUUUUUUCCUAAUUACUAAUUUAUUUCUCAAAAAAAUCUUAUAAAUUCAUAAUUUGAUUAUGAUUAUUUAAUUAUCUUUAUAAUUUUCUAAAAUCUCAAAUAAGGUAAAAAUUAUUUUUUUUCUAAAUUAUGGAUUUUUUUAUAUUUAAUCUUUUAUUGUUUUACUAAAAUAGUUCAAAUUUAAUUAUUUUCAGAGAUGACAACUUUUUAUCUCUAAAUCUUUUUUAAUACAUAAGAAAUGCUAAAGGCAUACAAUAAUCUUUGUUCUUUUUAUAAUCCAAACUUACCAUUUAUAAAUUAUUUCAUUUGAAUUAAUAAGAUCAUAGUAGCUUCCACAAAAUCAAUUAAUUAAUUAUAUCUAUUUUUAUAUAAAAAAAAUGAUGUACGACAUAAUUGUAAUAAAAUUACACAAUCAACUAAUUAAUUUCAAUUAAUUAGAAUCAAUUUUAUGAUCAUAAUAUAUAGACUCAAGUUCCUUAAAUUUAAUAUUGUAAAUUUUAAAAUAUAUUUAUGGCUAAAGUAGUAGUCAGUGUUCGUUGUUUUUGUACCAAUAUAUGUAUAUCAAUUACGAAACUUUGCAUAUAUUUUUUUAUUAAAAUAAUUGUCAAUAUUAACUGAUUUUUACAUCAAUUUGAUAUAAUUAAAUUUAUAACAAUAAAAUUAUUAUUAAUAUUAUAUAUUUAUUUACUAUAAAUCUAUCCUAAUUUUAUAGCUUGAUUAUAUUUAAUUAAUCUACAAUUACAUAAAGGACUCAAAUAUGGAAACAAUUGAUAUUAAUUACUUUUAUAAUUUCAAAAAUUUAAUCCCAUGAAUUUCACAUAUUCUUAUAGUUUGGUUAUAUCAAAUUUAUAUUAAUUAUCUUUAUAAUUUUGGGAAGAAUUUUAAAAAGGUAACGGUUAUUUCUUUUCCUAAUUACUGAUUUAUUUCUCAAAAAUUUCUUAUCAAUAUACAAUUUGAUUAUUUAAUUAUAUUUACAAUUUACUAAAGACUCAAAUAAGAUGACAAUUAUUUCUUUUCUUAAUUAUGGAUUUUCUUAUAUUCAAUCUUUAAUUGUUUCACUAAAAUAGUUCAAAUUUAAUUGUUUUGAGGAAUGAUACUUUUUUGUCUAUAAAUCUUAUUUAAUAUAUAAGAAAUGCUAAAGUCAUACAAUAAUCACCUUUAUUUUUAUAAUCCAAACUUAUCAUUUAAAAAUAAUUUCAUUUGAAUUAAUAAAAUCAUAGUAGAUUGCACAAAAUCAAUCAGUUAAUUAUAUGUAUUUUUAUUAAAUAAAUGAUGUACAAAAUUGUUGUAAUAAAACUAUACAAUCAACAAAUUAAUUUCAAUUAAUUAGAAUCAAUUUUAUGAUCAUAAUAUAUAGACUCAAGUUCCUUAAAUUUAAUGUUGUAUGUAAAUUUUAAAAUAUAUUUAUAGCUAAAGUAGUAGUCAACGUUCGUUGUUUUUCUUACCAAUAUAUGCAUAUCAAUUACGAAUCUUUCCAUAUAUUAUUUUACUAAAGUAAUUUUCAAUAUUAACUAAUUUCUAGUUAAAUUUAAUCUAAUUAAUUUGAUAGCAAUAAAAUUACUAUUAAUAUUAUAUAUAUAUUUACCAUAAAUCUGUCCUUAUUUUGUAGCUUUAUUUUAUUUAAUUAAUCUACAAUUGUAUAAAGGGCUCAAAUAUGAAAAUAAUUGAUAUUAAUUACCUUUAUAAUUUCAGAAAAUCAAUCCCAUGAAUUUCUCAUGUUUUUAUAGAUUGAUUACAUUAAAUUGAUAUCAAUUACCUUUUUAAUUUUUGAAAGAAUUUUAAAAAGGUAUCAAUUAUUUAUUUUCCUAAUUACUAAUUUAUUUUUCAAAUAUUUCUUAUAAAUUUAUAAUUUAAUUAUGGUCAAUUUAUUAUUAUUAUCUUUAUAAUUUGCUAAAAACUCAAAUUAGGUAACAAUUAUUUUUUUCCUAAUUACGGAUUUUCUUAUAUUCAUUCAUUUAUUUGUUUACAAAAAUAGGUCAAACUUAAUUAUUUUGACGGAUGACAACUUUUAUUAAUAUAUUUUUAUUCAGAAUGAUUACAAUAUUUUCUAUAUAAAUUGAUCAAUUACUAUUUAUUAAUUGGUUAUUCUCUUAAAUAAUUUUUCUUGUAAUAUUUCUUUCAGUCAUUUGAAAUGAAAUCAUUCAUAUUUAUUUUCUCAUAAUACUAUUAUUAAAAACAUAUGAAAUGUAAUUUAUUAAAUAUGAAAUAUGAAAUAAUAUUAAAUAUUUAAAUAAUCAGCAAAAUAGCCUUUUGUUAUGAAAUGAUGGUUUUUUGUUGUAAAAAUUCAAAUAGGUAGUUCUCAAUAUGAAACUUGUCUUAGUUUUAGGCUAGACUAUCCUCCUUUAUUAUAUAGAUAGAUAAUUUCAACAAAAUUAAUUAGAGUAUUUUCUUAUAAAAAUAAUAUAAACUAUUAUUUUUAAUUAUGCUUCUAUUUUAUUACGCAGUAUUUGAUUCUACGUAUUAAAAAUAACAUUGAAUCAAUGGUCAAAGUGGAGGGACUUCUUUCUUUAUUGGGUUUUUUUUUUGGGAAAGAAGACACUUUCUUGACUACCAACCACCCAACACAAAGCUUACACUUCUUGGUAGAUUGGCUAUUUUUUCAUACGGUACUUAUUUAUAUAUAUUUUCUUUGAUAUUUGUUAUAUUGUUAGUUUUAUUCUGAGUAUCGUAUUAGAUUAUAUGCAUUUAUCUUUUAUGUUUGGUAUAUUAUUAUGAUCCUAAGCUGGGAGUCUAUCGAAAACAUCCUCUCUACUUCACCUGAGUACUGAUAUGAUCUGCAUAUACUAACCUCCCCAGACCCCACUAUGUGGGAAUACACUGGGUGUUGUUGUUUCUUAUACAGUAUUUGAUUCAAUGUAUUAAAACUAACACGAAUUACAUGAUUUUUUUUUACAUAAUACCCCCACUGUAAGCGUGUUAAUGCAUGCAUUAGAUCCAUUACAUUACUAAUGUCAUAAAUUUUAAGGUAUUAGUAAUACACACCUCAAUACACAAUAAAGUAUAUAACUAAUUUUUGCAUUAGUUAUACAUAAGAUAAAAAGAUAUAUAUCAAACAAGGGACUACUAAUACAUAUUAAAUUAAUGGAUGCAUUAAUUUUUAUGUAAUACAUUACAUGCUUUAUCACAGAUUUGAUUAUUAUUCCUUGUCUUGAGCCGGGAGUCUAUCGGAAACAACCUUUCUACUUCUCCGGAGGUAGUGAUAUGGACUAUGUAUAUUUUAAUUUUGAGUGUUGCACAAAUAAAUACUUAGACUAUCAUAUAAAGUUAAAAUAAAUAUAUAUAUGCGAGUCUUGUAUCACAAUUUGUCAUGCAAAAUUUGUGCAACUCAUACAAUUUGUCAAGUAAUUAAAGCAUUUGUGUCUAGGGGAGUGCAUCGGUCGGUUCGGUUGGAUUUUACAUAUUAUCGUUAGAUUUAUCGAUUUUUGGUUUUUAAAUAUGCUAAACCAAUAACCAAAUCCAUAAAAUAUUUUUCUCAGUUUUUAGUAUUUAACGAUUUGGUUUUCGGUUUAACUGAUUAAAAAAUACUCAUAAAAUAGAAAUAGUAGUAACUAACAUGUAAAAAAUGAAUCUUAGUUGCAACAAAAAUCCUACAUGAAGUGUUUAAAUUUACAAAAAUCUUCAAGUUUGAACUAAAUGUUGUUAGGAGAAAUUAAGAGUUUAUAUAAUUGAAAUAAUAGGUUUGUUAAUUUGUAUAAAUAAAAGAUAAAUAUAUAAUAAGUAAUAUAUAUUUUCUUAUUGGGUUAUCGGUUUACCCAAUAACUCAAUAAAAAAAAAAUCGAAUCGAACCAAUAAUCCAAUAAUUUUUUGUAACACCCCAUACUUUCAGACUUGAACGUAAAUUGUCAUUUCUACUUGUACACAUUCCAAAAACCAUAAAUCUAUUGUGAAUAUAGUAUUUUAAUCAACUAUGUAGUGUAUAAAUCUAGUUGAGCAUGAAUUGAGAUCAUAGAGGUCCCCUAACUCAAGGACGAGUUGAAAGCUUUUCCAUCGAUUGAGUUAUAGUAAGCAUCAAAAUUUGGAUCAAGUUCAAUCGGUCAUUACUUUUUGUAUAUAUUGAAUUAUAGUGCCUACAAUAUAUCAAAUGAAAGGCCUUCAAAUUAUCUUUCCAACGAUACCAAUUUCGCAAAUAUCCGACACCUGAGGAAGAAGUUAUGGCUUUGCAAAGUGGAGUGUAUCGUGCAGCAUAAGGUGUACGACGCACACCCUAACUUAUGCCAUAAGGUGUGCGACGCACAACUUAAGGUGUGAGAUAAAGAGUACGCCGUACAACCUAUAUUAUGUGAUAAGGUGUGCGCCGCAUACAUUACUACUCAAGUGACUUAAACACUCCAUUUUUGGGGCAAAAUGGUCCUUUUCCCACCCUUACUUAGCCAUAAACACGAAAUUCAGUCCUUAAAUACCCUAAAAUACACCUUCAUUCAUCAAAAUUGCUCAAGAACUCUCCUUAGUGUUUCAAAAUGAAAACCCAAGAAACUCAAGAUUCAACCGUGGUUUUUGAAACUAAUUGCAUAUUUGUAAUCCCCAGAAUGUAGGCUUAAAAAAACACCUCUCAUCUUCACAUAUAUAGGUACGUGGGGUUAUCCUAAAAUCUCAUGGGCAUUUAAAUUCAUGUUUUAUAAUGGGGUUUUUGAAACUACAAAUAUAAUCAUGUUUUGAACAUUUCUAUAAUAUUGAUUUGGCCUUUAGGCCUAUUUCCAAAGUGAUUUGACAUAUUAUAUAUGUGUAUGCAUUUGUUUCAAAAAGGUGUUAAUUUGAGAGCAUGAAUUAUAUGGAAUCCCUCUCUUGAUGUGAAUUUGUUUUAAAUGUUCAUAUGAUUUAAAUUAUUUAAAAACAUCUUGAAAAGCAUGACAUGAAAUAUUUUGAGAAUUGAUAUGAUUUUGACUUGAAAACGAGAGGGCUAUUUGUGUUGAAACAUGUUGAAUACAAUGGUUUAAUAAGAAGAAUAAUGUGAUAAUGACACAAUUGGGAAAGACUAUAUCAUGUAGAUUCUAAACUUUUUGCACUUGAAUCACACCAAUAAUGGGAUAUGUCGGAGAACAUCAGAGUAAGGAAAGAAUUUGAGAUGACUUUACCUUCAUAUGGGCGACACCAUAGCUCGAAUGACAGUAUGAAAGAGGAAUAUUUUGACUCUAUUGCAUGAACUGGAACAUGAAGAAAGAGAGACAUUCCUAAAUGCCUAGUAGCCUCCUGCUUAUAAGUGUAGUGCACUACACACCCAUAAAGAAGACUCUACCUGACAUGAUUUUGUAGAAACCCUGAGACUAUGAAUCGUGCUCUAAUACCAAGUUUGUCACAACCCGAACUGGGGCCCUGGCCGUGAUGAGCAUUCCGAACCAUGAAGGCCUGAAACACCCCUAUUUGUCUGAUAAUCAUGCACAUAACUCAUAUGAUAAAAGAAAUAUGGAAGAUAAACAAUAUCACGAAAACAUGGUCAAAAAUCAUAUGAAAUCAGUAACGGGGAAAAAUGACCCACAAUCUCAACACAACAUCUCUAUAAAGUCUGCGAAAUCUCUACUACAUGACUGAAAUAAAUAUCUAUCUGAAAACUGGGACAAGGCCCCCAGUAGAUCCAAACUAAUAAAUGAUAAAUAAAACUACCAAAUAUUAGGCCUUUCAAAAUAUAGAAGGCUCACUAAGUGACUCUGCAAAUUUGUAUGAGGAAUCUAUUGAUUUUCUGGACCCCUAGACUGUGCCUCCAAACCUGAGAGGGAAGAUGGUCAGUAAAAAAGUACUGGUACGCAGAGAUAUCAAAACAAAACAUAAUAUUUUUACAAAAUAUAGUUGAGAGCCAUUAUAAAGAAGUUUCAUAUCAAAUCAUUUGAAAACACAUGGGCAUAAUGUAAUUGUUUUCAACAAUAAUGUAAUACAACUGAGCUAGGUGGAAUACCCUACAUAUCAUAUUUACACCAACUAUCAAACCUCGAUUGCCACCGAGAUUAGAGUAUAAGUGAGCGGAAAACACACAAUAUCACACAACAGGGUGUCUCGACCCAAUGGUAGUGUGCAAGAUCACAAAUCAGGGAUCCUAACCAUAGUCCCAACUUGGGAAUGACAUAAAGUCAGGUACGCAAGAUCACAAAGCAGGGUACGAAAUUCUCAUGUCGGCAAACACAGUUUCCAGCGAUGAUCCCUUACACUCAAACACCUUCUUCGGGCAUCCACCUAUCUCAUGUAAAAUUAAUGCAUUUAAAUUUUAUCUGAUUCAAUCACAUAUCAUAUUUUGUAGGGUAUCGUCAUACCCGACUUGUAAGCCAUCAAUAUCACAUCAUUCUUCUCAUUCAACCAUUGUAUUCAACAUGUUUCAACACAAAUAGCCCUAUCAUUUUUAAGUCAAAACCAUAUCAAUUGUCAAAAUAUUUUAUGUCAUGCUUUUCAAGAUGUCUUCAAACAUUUACAUCAUAUGAACAUUUAAAACAAAUUCACAUCAAGAGAGGGAUUCUAUAUAAUUCAUGCUCUCAAAUUAACACCUUUUUGAAACCCAUGCAUAUACAUAUAUAAUAUGUGAAAUCACUUCAGAAAUAGGCCUAAAGACCAAAUCAAUAUUAUAGAAACGUUCAAAACAUGAUUAUAUUCAUAGUUUCAAAACCCCCAUUGUAAAACAUGAAAUUAAAGGACCAUGAGAUUUUAGGAUAACCCCACGUACCUCUAUAUGCGAAGAUGAUAGGUUUUUCUUGAAGCUUACGUUCUGGGAAUUCCAAAUAUGCAAUUAGUUAGUUUCAAAAACCCACGGUUGAAUCUUGAGUUGCUUGGGUUUUUAUUUUGAAACCCGAAGGAUAUUUCUUGAGCAAUUUUGAUGAAUAAAGGUGUAUUUUGGGGUAUUUGGGGACUGAAUUUCGUGUUUAUGGCUAAAUAAGGGUGGGAAAAGGACCAUUUUGCCCUAAAAAGUGGAGUGUUUAAGUCAUUUCAGUAGUAAUGUAUGCAGCACACACCUUAUCGAAUAAUAUAGGUUGUGCGGCGCACUCUUUAUCGCACACAUUAGGUUGUGCGUCGCACACCUUAUGGCAUAAGUUAGGGUGUGCGUCACACACCUUAUGCUGCACGACACACUCCACUUUGNNNNNNNNNNNNNNNNNNNNNNNNNNNNNNNNNNNNNNNNNNNNNNNNNNNNNNNNNNNNNNNNNNNNNNNNNNNNNNNNNNNNNNNNNNNNNNNNNNNNNNNNNNNNNNNNNNNNNNNNNNNNNNNNNNNNNNNNNNNNNNNNNNNNNNNNNNNNNNNNNNNNNNNNNNNNNNNNNNNNNNNNNNNNNNNNNNNNNNNNNNNNNNNNNNNNNNNNNNNNNNNNNNNNNNNNNNNNNNNNNNNNNNNNNNNNNNNNNNNNNNNNNNNNNNNNNNNNNNNNNNNNNNNNNNNNNUCAACUAGAUUUAUACACCACAUAGUUGAUUAAAAUACUAUAUUCACAAUAGAUUUAUGGUUUUUGGAAUGUGUACAACUAGAAAUGACAAUUUACGUUCAAGUCUGAAAGUAUGGAUGUUACAAAAAAUUAUUGGGUUAUUGGUCCGGUUCGAUUUUUUCUUAUUGGGUUAUUGGGUAAACCAAUAACCCAAUAAGAAAAUAUAUAUGACUUAUUAUAUAUUUAUCUUUUAUUUUAACAAAUUAACAAACCUAUUAUUUCAAUUAUAUAAACUCUUAAUUUCUCCUAACAACAUUUAGUUCAAACUGGAAGAUUUUUGUAAAUUAAACACUUCAUGUAGGAUUUUGUUGCAACUAAGAUUCAUUUUUUACAUGUUAGUUACUACUAUUUCUAUUUUAUGAGUAUUUUCUUAUCGGUUAAAUGGAAAACCAAAUCGUUAAGGACUAAAAACCAAAAAAAAAAAUAAUUUAUUGGUUUGGUUAUUGGUUUAGCAUAUUUAAAAACCUGAUAAAUCUAACGAUAAUAUGUAAAAACCAACCAAACCGACCGAUGCACUCCUCUAGACACAAACGCUUUAAUUACUUGACAAAUUGUAUGAGAUGCACACAUUUUGCAUGACAAAUUGCGAUACAAGAUUCGCAUAUAUAUAUUUAUUUUAACUUUAUAUGAUAGUCUAAGUAUUUAUUUGUGCAACACUCAAAAUUAAAAUAUAUAAAUAUUUGCUGAUGAUGUCAAGUUGAAAACACAUUUAUGUAUUAUGUCAAACGUAUAAUUCCUUUUUUGAACUAUAGCUAAUGAGAAGCAUGGAGUCUUUUGAUAGAGUGUAUUAAAAAAUUAAUAACAACAACAACAACAAUAAAUUCAGUGUAUUUCCACAUAUUGGAGUCUGGAGAGGGUAAGAUGUAUGUAGUCCAUAUCACUACCUCCGGAGAAGUAGAAAAGUUGUUUCCGAUAGACUCCCGGCUAAAGACAAGGAAUAAUAAUCAAAUAUGUGAUAAAGAAUGGAAUGUAUUACGUAUAAAUCAAUGCAUCCAUUGAUUUAAUGUGUAUUAGUAGUCCCUUGUUUGAUAUAUAUCUUUUUAUUUUAUGUAUAACUAAUGCAAAAAUUAGUUAUAUACUCUAUUGUGUAUUGAGGUGUGUAUUACUAAUACCUCAAAAUUUAUGACAUUAGUAAUGCAAUGGAUCUAAUGCAUGCAUUAACAUGCUUAAAGUGGGGGUAUUAUAUGAAGAAAAAUUAUGUAAUUCGUGUUAUUUUUAAUACAUUGAAUCAAAUACUGUAUAAGAAACAACAACAGCAACAACAACACCCAGUGUAUUUCCACAUAGUGUGGUCUGGGGAGGUUAGUGUAUGCAGAUCAUAUCACUACUCAGGUGAAGUAGAGAGGAUGUUUCCGAUAGAUCCCUAACUUAGGAUCAUAAUAAUAUACGAAACAUAAAAGAUAAAUGCAUAUAAACUAAUACGAUGCGCAAAAUAAAACUAACAAUAUAACAAAUAUCAAAGAAAAUAUAUAUAAAUUAGUACCGUAUAAAAAAAUAGUCAAUCUACCAAGAAGUGUCAGCUUUGUGUUAGGUGGUUGGUAGUCAAGAAAGUGUCAGCUUUCCCAAAACGAAAAACCCCAAUAAAGAAAGAAGUCCCUCCACUUUCACCAUUGAUUCAAUGUUAAGUCUAAAAUGUAGAAUCAAAUACUGCGUAAGAAAAUAGAAGCAUAAUUAAUGCAAAUAUUAUUAAUAUACCAUAUUUUAUAUUAUUUUUAUAAAAUAAUAUUUUAUAUUAUUUUUAUAAGAAAUUANNNNNNNNNNNNNNNNNNNNNNNNNNNNNNNNNNNNNNNNNNNNNNNNNNNNNNNNNNNNNNNNNNNNNNNNNNNNNNNNNNNNNNNNNNNNNNNNNNNNNNNNNNNNNNNNNNNNNNNNNNNNNNNNNNNNNNNNNNNNNNNNNNNNNNNNNNNNNNNNNNNNNNNNNNNNNNNNNNNNNNNNNNNNNNNNNNNNNNNNNNNNNNNNNNNNNNNNNNNNNNNNNNNNNNNNNNNNNNNNNNNNNNNNNNNNNNNNNNNNNNNNNNNNNNNNNNNNNNNNNNNNNNNNNNNNNNNNNNNNNNNNNNNNNNNNNNNNNNNNNNNNNNNNNNNNNNNNNNNNNNNNNNNNNNNNNNNNNNNNNNNNNNNNNNNNNNNNNNNNNNNNNNNNNNNNNNNNNNNNNNNNNNNNNNNNNNNNNNNNNNNNNNNNNNNNNNNNNNNNNNNNNNNNNNNNNNNNNNNNNNNNNNNNNNNNNNNNNNNNNNNNNNNNNNNNNNNNNNNNNNNNNNNNNNNNNNNNNNNNNNNNNNNNNNNNNNNNNNNNNNNNNNNNNNNNNNNNNNNNNNNNNNNNNNNNNNNNNNNNNNNNNNNNNNNNNNNNNNNNNNNNNNNNNNNNNNNNNNNNNNNNNNNNNNNNNNNNNNNNNNNNNNNNNNNNNNNNNNNNNNNNNNNNNNNNNNNNNNNNNNNNNNNNNNNNNNNNNNNNNNNNNNNNNNNNNNNNNNNNNNNNNNNNNNNNNNNNNNNNNNNNNNNNNNNNNNNNNNNNNNNNNNNNNNNNNNNNNNNNNNNNNNNNNNNNNNNNNNNNNNNNNNNNNNNNNNNNNNNNNNNNNNNNNNNNNNNNNNNNNNNNNNNNNNNNNNNNNNNNNNNNNNNNNNNNNNNNNNNNNNNNNNNNNNNNNNNNNNNNNNNNNNNNNNNNNNNNNNNNNNNNNNNNNNNNNNNNNNNNNNNNNNNNNNNNNNNNNNNNNNNNNNNNNNNNNNNNNNNNNNNNNNNNNNNNNNNNNNNNNNNNNNNNNNNNNNNNNNNNNNNNNNNNNNNNNNNNNNNNNNNNNNNNNNNNNNNNNNNNNNNNNNNNNNNNNNNNNNNNNNNNNNNNNNNNNNNNNNNNNNNNNNNAUAUAAUUAAUUGAUUGAUUUUGUACAAUCUUCUAUAAUUUUAUUAAUUCAAAUGAAAUGAUUUUUAAAUGAUAGGUUUGGAUUAUAAAAAUAAAGGUGAUUAUUCUAUGACUUUAGCAUUUCUUAUGUAUUAAAAAAGAUUUAUAGACAAAAAAUAUCAUCCCUUAAAACAAUUAAAUUUGAACUAUUUUAGUGAAACAAUGAAAGAUUGAAUAAAAGAAAAUCUGUGAUUAAGAAAAGAAAUAAUUGUCACCUUAUUUAAGGUUUUAGCAAAUUGUAUAGAUAAUUAAAUAAUCAAAUUGUAAAUUGAUAAGAAAUUUUUGAGAAAUAAAUCAGUAAUUAGGAAAAGAAAUAAUCGUUACCUUUUUAAAAUUCUUUCCAAAAUUAUAAAGGUAAUUAAUAUAAAUUUGAUAUAACCAAACUAUAAGAAUAUGUGAAAAUAUAUUUUAAAAUUUACAUACAACAUUAAAUUUAAGGAACUUGAGUCUACAUAUUAUGAUCAUAAAAUUUAUUCUAAUUAAUUGAGAUUAAUUAGUUGAUUGUGUAAUUUUAUUACAAUUAUGUGGUACAUCAUUUUUUAUAUAAAAAUAAAUAUAAUUAAUUAAUUGAUUUUGUGGAAGCUACUAUGAUAUUGUUAAUUCAAAUAAAAUAAUUUGUAAAUGAUAAGUUUGGAUUAUAAAAAGAAAGGAGAUUAUUGUAUGCCUUUAGCAUUUCUUUUGUAUUAAAAAAGAUUUAGAUACAAAAAAUUGUCAUCCCUCAAUACAAUUAAAUUUGAACUAUUUUCGUAAAACAAUAAAAGAUUGAAUGAAAGAAAAUUCAAAAUUUAAAAAAAAUAAUUGUUACCUUAUUUGAGUUUUUAGUAAAUUAUAAAGAUAAUUCAAUAAUCAAUUGAUAAUAAUUAAAUUAUGAAUUUAUAAGAAUUUUUUGAGAAAUAAAUCAGUAAUUAGGAAAAAAAAUAAUCGUUACCUUUUUAAAAUUCUUCCCAAAAUUAAAAAGGUAAUUGAUAUCAAUUUAAUAUAAUCAAUCAAUAAAAAAACAUGAGAAAUUCAUGGGAUUGAAUUGCCGAACUUAUAAAGGUAAUUAAUAUCAAUUAUUUUCAUAUUUGAGCCCUUUAUGUAAUUGUAGAUUAAUUAACUACAAUCAAGCUAUAAAAUUAGGACAGAUUUAUGGUAAUAAAUAUAUAAUAUUAAUAUUAAUUUUAUUGUUAUAAAAUUAGUUAGAUCAAAUUGAAUUAGAAAUCAACUAAUAUUGAAAAUUAUUUUAAUAAAAAAUAUAUGCAAAGUUUCGUAAUUGAUAUAAAUAUAUUGGUUACAAAAACAACGAACACUGACUUCUACUUUAGCCAUAAAUAUAUUUUAAAAUUUACAACAUUAAAUUUAAAGAAUUUGAGUCCAUAUGUUAUGAUCAUAAAAUUGAUUCUAAUUAAUUGAAAUUAAUUAGUUGAUUGUAUAGUUUUAUUACAACAAUUUAGUACAUCAUUUAUUUAAUAAAAAUACAUAUAAUUAAUUUAUUGAUUUUGUGCAAUCUACUAUGAUCUUAUUAAUUCAAAUGAACUGAUUUUUAAAUGGUAAGUUUGGAUUAUAAAAAUAAAGGAGAUUAUUAUAUGACUUUAGAAUUUCUUAUGUGUUAAAAAAGAUUUAUAGACAAAAAGAUGUCAUGCCUCAAAACAAUUAAAUUUGAACUAUUUUAGUAAAACAAUAAAAGAUUGAAUUUAAGAAAAUCUGUAAUUGAGAAAAAAAUAAUUGUUACCUUAUUUGAGUUUUUAGCAAAUUGUAAAGAUAAUUAAAUAANNNNNNNNNNNNNNNNNNNNNNNNNNNNNNNNNNNNNNNNNCUUUUAAAAAUUCUUUCCAAAAUUAUAAAGGUAAUUAAUAUCAAUUUGAUAUAAUCAAACUAUAAGAAUAUGAGAAAUUCAUGGGAUUAAAUUUUUGAAAUUAUAAAGGUAAGUAAUAUCAAUUGUUUCCAUAUUUGAGUCCUUUAUGUAAUUGUAGAUUAAUUAAAUAUAAUCAAGCUAUAAAAUUGGGACAAAUUUAUGGUUAACAAAUAUAUAUUAUUAAUAAUAAUUGUAUUGUUAUCAAACUAAUUAGAUUAAAUUGCAGUAAAAACCAGUUAAUAUUGACAAUUAUUUUAAUAAAGAAUAUANNNNNNNNNNNNNNNNNNNNNNNNNNNNNNNNNNNNNNNNNNNNNNNNNNNNNNNNNNNNNNNNNNNNNNNNNNNNNNNNNNNNNNNNNNNACAUUAAAUUUAAGGAACUUUAGUCUAUAUAUUAUGAUCAUAAAAUUUAAUCUAAUUAAGUGAAAUUAAUUAGUUGAUUGUGUAGUCUUAUUACAAUUAUAUCGUACUUUAUUUAUUUAAUGAAAAUAUAUAUCAUUUAUUAACUGAUUUUGUACAAUCUACUAUGAUCUUACGAAUUCAAAUGAAAUAAUUUUUAAAUGGUAAGUUUAGAUCCUACAGAUUCUGACAACCUUUUGCCGACUCUUACUCUUUCAACUCUUUGAUUCAGUAAUUUCUCUUUUUUUGAUUAUUUACCAUGAUUAUUUGUUUUGUCAGAAGGAUUUGAUAAGUUCUUUGAAUUGUUCUUGUGCUAUUUGUUUGUGGGGUAUUUUAUUAAUUUUCAGUAGAAGACUAGUAGUAAAUAGUUUCGCAUCAUGUCUCUUCUGGUAGUAGUAUUAGUAUAUAUUUUUCUUUUCUACUUGUUGUACCAUAUACCUCUAUUUUCUUACUUGCUACUGUUGUUAAUAUCCUCAUGUUUUUGCUUUCCUUGCUGAAGAUUUAUGGGAAACAAAUUUUCUACUUGCGAAGGUAGGGGUUACGUAUGUUGUUAUUAAAGAAGAAGCAUGUAGAAAGAGAGAUGUUUUGCUUUGUCUCAUAAGUAUUUAGUUAGCUUGCGGUAUUUUCAUGAAUGGAUAAUGAUUUGUGAGUAGCUAUUUAUGAGUGUUUUGUUUUGUCCUUUGAAAUCUCAUGGACACUAGUUUGAUUUAUGUACAGUCUCCAUACAUAGAGAUGAUGAAGAACAACUUCUUCUUUUUCCGAUCAUCAACUAAUGAUGCAAACAAGACCCCUCCACCACCAUUAAAGUCCAAGGAAGUUUUUUCUUGGAGGAGUGUUUCAUUGUCAUUUGGAUCCUUCUAUGACAGUGGGUCAGGAAAAAAGAAUUUCACGGAUCUAAGCAAAUCUCCCCAUGGUCACAGUAAGAAAGUUCAUCCUAAGAAAUCUGGUCGUGAUUCAAGUCGGUAUGCAUAUCAUUUUGCUGUUGCUUCCUUUUUCACACUUAAACUGAUGUUUUAAUUUGCAUUUGCUUGUCCAAAGUAAUGACAAAUGUUUCUUCACGACAGAGACCUUAGAAUUCCAGUGUUGAUUUGGACUAUUAGAAGAUUGACAAUGGAGAAGGUACAAAUGUUUUCUAAAGUUUCAAGCAUGCUAAGGAAUCAAGUUGCUGAAAGGGCUUCUGCUAAGGAAGAAGCCAUCAUAUUACAGGCUGAACUAGAUUCACGGACACGAAGAUUGGAGACAAAAAAAUAAUAAGUUACAAUCAGUACUGGAAAAGGAGUUGGAUAAAAGAUCCAGCGAUUGGUUUCUAAAACUUAAGAAAUACCAAAUUGAACAACAUAGACUCCAUAAAAGGGCGAGGGAGCUUGCAGAGCAGAAUGUCUCUCUACAAAGGAAAGUCUCUUCAUUUAAUGAGAAGGAAGUAGAUAAUAGAAAGAUGUCAUUUUCGGAGAAACACCUCAAAGAUUUGUCUAAGAGAAUAAAGCAAGUGUCAAAGGAGAAUCAAAAUCUAAGGCAGCAGCUCACUCAAUUACAAGCGGAAUAUCGAGUAGCUCAAGACAAUAGAGAUUAUGUCCGGGAAAACUACCAGGAAAGGGUUAAAGAGGUUAAAUCGGAGACUUUGCUGACAACUGUGCUAAGGGAGAAGCUCUAUUCCGAGGAGAUGGACAUAAAGCAACUUCAGGCUGAUCUAGCCGCAACAGUUAGAGGUAAUGACAUUCUCAAAUGUGAAGUGCAAAAUGCGCUGGAUGCUCUUUCUUAUGCCACACCCAAGUUGAAAUAUCUCGAGCUUCAUGUAGGCAGUCAAUGUUAAGAUCUCAUUGCAACGGAAUAGUUUUUAUUUUUUAACUUUGGAUACCUCGUCUUCAUAUCUGAUAGCCUGUUCGCAUGUUACUCUCUCUGUAUUAGCUUUCUACUUCAGUUUGAUUUUACGUUCAUCUUUGUUCCAUCUGAAGUUCACAGUUUUCUUUAUGAACUUGUAUACAUGAGUUUCUGGCAUGUGGUAGUCUUCUGUGAAAUGUCUGAUUGCCUUAAUGUGUAAUCAGUUGAACCAACCAAGAACAUGAUAAACUUUGUGAUAUCCUUAAACCUAUUGAUCUGAUUGUGCUCUGAUGUGGUAAAGUUACCCGAAGGGGUUUCGGUAAGUUUGCUCAUUCAUCUUACUUAAUUCUUUGACAAGCUCACGAGUAUCUACUAUGAAUUUUAACAGUUAUAAAGGAAUCAUGAUUUGGUUGAACUUCUAGGCUAUGAGUUUGUUUUGAAUUUCUAAUGAAAUGUUAUUGGUGAUCUUUGUGUAUUUCUUGUUUUUCAUGGUUUACGGUUGAUUCUAGCAGGUGCUAAAAAGGACAAAAAUAUCAACCAGCUCACUAAUGAUUUGCAAGCAUGCAUGAAGGAACUUGGCAUUGUGAAGGCGAUACUACUAAAAGUGUUUUAGGAGAGGGAUUUCAUGUGGGAGAAAGUUAAGAGCUACAGUGAGAUUAACAUGCUGUUGAAUUAUGAGAUCAACAUGUUGAAAGGAAGGUAGAUACCCUCGACAAAGACUUUCUUAUAAAAGAGGGUCAAAUCACAAUCUUGAUAGACUCGAUAGGCAAACCUUUUGACCUUCUUGCUAGUCCUAAUUCUCUGUUGGAGUGAUGGAUGCUAAAUGGCCAAACUACAAUUCAUAUUUUGUUCAUUGACUAUAGUGUUCAUACUUCUUGUAUAAUUACUGGUUUUACUCUUAUUCUUUCCCCCCUUUGAUACUUGUUAAAUAGAAAGUUUGCUUCUUUCUUUUGCAAUCUUUUUGAAUCUCCAAUUGUAAAUAUUUCUUUUACUUGCUAGUGAUCAAGACAAUGAACUUCUUUUGCUUCAUUUGGUUUUGUAAGUAUUGGCUGUUUUUUGUCUUAUGAAGUAUUUAGUGAGGAUUGGUGCUACCAUUUUCUUCCUAUCUCUGAGGUAGAGGUAGGUUUGCAUAUAUUCUACCCGAAUAUACAUCGGCUAUGUUGUUUCUAUUGUAUGGAGAUUGUGUGUAUAGUAACAAUCAUAUAUUUGAUGUCGGGUCAUCCACACUUUCAUUCCUUACAGGGGAAAGCUCAUUAAGAUUACUGAGUUAACUUCUCAUUGAUGUAUUCUUUCACUAAGGUUGUCACUGGGUAGCUACAAAAAGCACUUUUCUAACUGGGCAGUUCAUGUUCAGCGUGUGCAUAUAGUAAGCAACGUCCAAAUUUUAACCAUAUAACUUUACCUCAAAAUGGUGCAUGGACCAAAGCUGCUCUUAAAUCUGGUCGGUUGGCAGACUCUUUCAUUUGAUCUACAAUCAAAUGCCUGCUUUGUCUCAGUAUAUUUGAUUCUGUUGUGCUCAUUCACAAUGGUUUAUGCCAAGCAUGUGAGACACAUAUAGAAGCCUCUAUUUUCAUCUUCUUUAUAUAGUUUUAAACUUUAUUUGACUUGAUAUGAGGGAGUUCCACCCUGCCCUCUGAUCAUUCUUUCAGAUACCCUCUUUCAUUUGCCUCCACCAUGUUUUAAAUUUUCCUUCCAGUACCUGAUGUUUUACCUACCACAUUAAAUAUUGUUUGCACAUUUUUAAACUAUGCACUGCGUUGAAUUUCAAAAGACGAAAAAAACUAUGCACUAUAUUGUAGAACAUUUUGAUAAUUUUUUGGUAUGUCAGUAUGUUCUUUAUGUUUAUGCUUACAUCAAGUAGACACGGUUAUUAUGAAGAUGGAAUUGGUUUCUAUACCAUUUUUCUUUUGCAUGUAACUUCUGAAGUUAUUUGGGAUCCAUUAUUUAUAAGCAAAUGAGAGUCUUUGAUGUCUUUCCUGAUAAUGUUUAUGCUUACAUCAAGCAACAUAGCUAUUAUGAAGGUGGAAUUGGUUUCUGUACCAUUUUCCUUUUGUGUGUAACUUCUGAAGUUAUUUGGGAUCCAUCAUUUAUAUGUCAAUGAGAGUAUUUAAUGUCUUUCCUGAUAUUAAACCUGUCAUUUUUUUCUUUAACAUGUCUAAUCUCCUGUAUACCUUGCUUUCUGAUCUUCAAUGAUGCAAACAAUUUCCCUUCAAGAACUUGUACUUACCUAAUUCCUAGUAAGACAGUCUUAGAAUCUUCUAUACUGAAAGAUGCCUAUUGGUGGUUAGUUUUUUUGCUAGGAGGUUGCAUUGGAAGGUACAAGCAUACAUGAUAUUGGUAAAACCAGCAAGCACCAUAUUUUUUUGAAAAUGAUAGCAUAUAUACUAUGUUGGCAGUAUUUUCUUUACAAAAAUGAGCCUCUCUAUGCUUUACAAGGCCUCCAAAGUUGCAAAAUGGAUUCAUUACCCUCUACAAGAAACUCUUAUCAUCAAAAUAAUAAGUUGUCUGAUCUUAUCUGCAACAAGAAUGAUGAGCAUUGUGUUUAGUUUAGAGCCUGUCCCUAAGCUCGUCUAGACUUAUCCUUAUCUUCAUUGCCUUCUAUUUACUUGUUAUCUUUGUUCUUGCUAGAACCUGCAUUUGAGAAGCUUGUGUUGUUGUCUCAAGUUAAUGUUUAAGUUUUAUUUCCUUACUGCAGUACAUCAAAAUUCAACUUAUGGUGCUGCUAAAAAUGUUGGAACUGUUGCAAAACCUAAUGGCAUAAUGCAUGAACCUGUGCGUGCUGAUAGACCCAAUGCAUUCAGUAACAACAGCUCAUCUGUUCUCUUUUACAUACAAAUAGCAGUUGAUAUUCCUUCUCAAACAGCAGGUCCAUCCACUUUUGAGCUCCAAGACCACGCUCUUGUUGGACCUGGGCGUGAAGGUGGUGUUAGAGUGGGUGAAAGUCCCACAUUAUUGGGGAGUGAACUGUUAGUCUUCUUAUAUGGACUUGAGCAAUCCUUCCCUCAUGUGCUAGCUUUUGGGGUUGAGUUAGGCCCAAGAUCAUUUCUUUACACAAUCAACCAUCUUUUCUUACAUUGGAAACAGACAGAACAGUUAUAGAGAAUGUUUUCAACCUAAAGGUGAUCAGAUGGGUAGAACCUAAGAGCAUUAAAAAAGUACUAAGCAGCUGGAAUGGGGAUGUAAAUGUAAUAAAGAAGGAGAGAUGGAAAAUUUUUCAACAUGUAUAUGGUGGACAGUUUGGAUAGAAAAAAACAAGGGUUGUUUUGAGGAUGUCCAGAAGAUUAACAGGAAUAGUUUAGAACUUCUUUAUUUUUAGUGUAAACACGAUGAUUAGCUCUAACAGAAGACAUCAUUGAUGUGCUAGACUGUUUAUAGUCAAUAGAAAUAUAGAGUAAGAUGUAAUACUUUUUGAAGGGGGACAUUAUUCUUGUUGGCUAGGGAUUUGAACAAAGAUGGGAAGAGCUCUAUAUAAAGGACAGGGAUGACUAAUAUGACAACUCUUUUUUUUAUGGAACAUAAUUUUUGUUAUAAGCUAUGGAAGAUAUAAAGAUAGGCCAAAAUGUUCUCAACUAACAAACUAUUAAAAUUAAGAGCCAAAGAACGCUAAACAAUUGGUGUAACUCAAAUCUAUUUGAUUAAAAGGAAUACUAACUCUGAGAGAACAAAACACACUCUCCAGUAGUCCAGUAAAAAAAGUAGAUCUUAAAAUCCCACUGCUAAGAAAAUUAAUUUAAAUGCUGCUUUAGAUUAGAAAGUCACCUUGUUAUAUUAUGUGUUCAGUGGGUUCUCAUUUAUACUGCUCAUCAUAUUUUCUGUACUAUUUUUUCAACAUUUUCUCUGAAGUCUAUAAUUUACUCUUCUUCACUUUGAACUUAGGCUCUGCAGGGCUUUGCAUCUUGGACUUCUAUAUGUUGGUUCAGUUGUAGUACUUCUUGUGUAUUCUAUCUUGUAUAGUCUGAUAGCAAAGGAAUAAAACUGGCUUGGGGCUACAACAACAGCUUCCGUGAAAAUCCUUGGUAGUUCAUUUCCUACAUAUAUCUGUCUCCUUUUCUGACUCGUAUUGUGAAAUAAUUUCUUAUUUCUUUUUGGUAAGUAAUGAAUUCACUAGAUUUUCAUUGAAUUAGAUUAGAACUUGGGAGCUUGCGUGCAUGGUUUUAAGCUUCUGAAAAGUUGAGUCGUCGUACUUUUUAUUGCCGGUACAUAUCGGGUGUUCCUAAUGUAUUUUGGAGUUCAUUACUGGUUUGUUGUUAACCCACGCUAAUUCAUUUUCUUCCAUAAUCAAGUCUUCUUAUACUUGUGGAAUAUGCAUCCCUUUUAAUAUUAUUUGUUGAAUAGAAACUACUAAUCUUUUGUUAUAAAAAACAAAUCUUCUAGUCUUUUACUGCAACAAUUUUGUUUCAGGUACGUUGGGCAUUGUAUCAGUUAUGCAGUUGUAGCAUCUAUGCUGUUGGGUGCUGCUGUUUCACGACAUUAUCAGUUACGGACCCAUUAGUAGCUAGACGAGAUGCCUUGCAGAGCACAGUUAUCCGCCUUAGAGAAGGUUUCCGCAGAAAAGACCAAAAUAGCUCCGCAAGCUCUCAAGUGUCAAAUGCAGUAGUAGUGCUGAUGCUAGUCAUCUUGGUAAUGCAACUGUGCCUUGCACUGGUGAUGGCAGUACCUGGAAUAAUAUUGAGGGGAUUAAUAGUGAUAAGAGCAUAGACAUUGGAAGACCAAGUCUAGCUCUACAUAGUAGUUCCUAUCGUUCAGUUGUUCAAGAGCCUAAAAUAGGAUCAUCAUAUGUUGAUAGAAAUUUAGAGCAUAAUAGUUCAUUGGUUGUUUGUUCUAUCAGUAGCCUUGAAAUCCAAGGCGGUGAUUCUAGUACAUCCACUUCUGCAAACCAAUAGAUACUGGACUUGAAUUUGGCUCUUGCAUUUUAAGAAAAGUUGAGUGAUCCCAGGAUUACAUCUAUGUUAAAGCGGAAAGGAAGACACACUGAUCGUGACUUAGCUAAUUUAUUGCAAGAUAAAGGGCUUAAUCCUAAUUUUGUAGUGAUGCUGAAGGAGAAUGGAUUGGACCUAAUGAUUCUAGCCUUGUUGCAAGAAGUAGUUUGGAUGCUGAUUGAGAAUAUCGCGACAGUAACCCUCCUAUCACUGAUUCAAAUAAUGUUGAGGAUGUGUUACCUAAUCGUAUUUCAUUCUUGGAAGAACUUAGACUCCAAUGAUUAGGAAAGUGUCUUCAACAUUGUAGAGUAGUGUUACAUCAUGUAGCAGGAACUCCAGAGCGAGCAUGGCUUCUUUUCAGUUUAAUCUCCAUUCUUGAAACCAUCAUUGUGGCUAUCUUCCGACCACAGACAAUAAAACUUUUAAAUGCUACACACUAACAAGUAAGAAAUGCAUUAGUACUUUUAAAGUUCAGUUUAGUGUAUUUGGAGUACGGUGCAGCUAAAAUGUAGUCCAUAUGGUUGUAUUUUCCAUUUUCUAACAAAAUUUUGUAACACCCCUUAUUUCGGACGAGAAUGAAAAUCGUCAUUUUCUUCACGUAAAGGUUCCAAAAGCCAUAAAUCCAAUGCAAGUUUAGUAUGUUAAUAAAUUAUGUAGUGUGGAAACCUAUUUGAGCAUGAAUUGAAAUCAUAGAGGUCCCCAAGCUCAAGAACAAGUUGAAAGUUUCCUAUCGUUCAAAUUUUAGUGAGUGUUGAAACUUAGAUAAACUUCAAUGGACCAUUACUCUUUGUAUUUAUUGAAUUAGAGUGCCUACUACAUAUCAAAUGAAAGGUAUUCAAAUUAUUUUUCCAACGAUACCAAUUUCCAAAAAUUUUGACAUUCGAGGAAGAAGUUAUGGCUUUGCAAAAUGGAGUGUUUCGUGCAGCAUAAGGUGUGCGACGCACACCCUAACUUAUCCCAUAAGGUGUGCGACGCACACCCUAACUUAUGCCAUAAGGUGUGCGACGCACAACCUAAUGUGUGCGAUAAAGAGUACGCUGCACAACCUAUAUUAUACGAUAAGGUUUGCGCCGCAUAUAUUAUUACUCAAGUGACCUAAACACUCCAUUUUUGGAAAAAAAAAUGGUCCUUUUCCCACCCUUAUUUAGCCAUAAACACAAAAUUCAGUUCCCAAAAUACCCCAAAAUACACCUUCAUUCAUCAAAAUUGCUCAAGAACACUCCUUAGGGUUUCAAAAUAAAAACUCAAGCAACUCAAGAUUCAACCAUGGUUUUUGAAACUAAUUGCAUAUUUGGAAUCCCCAGAACGUAGGCUUCAAGAAGAACCUAUCAUCUUCGCAUAUAGAGGUACGUGGGGUUAUCUCAAAAAUCUCAUGGGCUUAAAAAUUCAGUUUCAAAAAUAAGGGAAGUGGUUUUAUAUAUGAUAUAUGUAUAUGUAUGUAUUCCGAAAAGAUAUUAACUUGAGAGCAUGAAUUAUAUGAAAUCCCUCUUUUUAUAUGAUCUCGUUUUAAAUUCUCAAAUGAUGUGAAAUGUUUGAAAUUAUCUUGACAAGCGUGACAUGAAAUAUUUUGAAAAUAGUUAUGGUUUUGACUUGCAACGAGAGGGUUUUUAUGUUGAAAUAUGAUGAAUAUAAUGUUUUCAUGAAAGAAUGAUGUGAUAUUGAUGGCUUGCAAGUUGGAUAUGACGAUACCCUAUAGAAUAAGAUACGUGAUUGAAUUAAAUGGAGUUUGAUGCAAUUUUACAUGAGAUAGGUGGAUGCCCAAAGAAGGCGUUUGAGUGUAAGGGCUCAUCGCUGGAAACUGUGUUGGCCGACAUGGGGAUUUGGUACCAGGCUAAGUGAUCUUGUGUACUUGACUUUAUGUCAUUCCCAAAUUAGGACUAUGGUUAGGAGCCCAGGCUAAGUGAUCUUGGGCACUACUAUACUUUAUUGGGUCGAGGUGAUCUUGUGUGUCUUCCCCUCACUUAUACUUUAAUCUUGGCGGCAACCGAGAUUUGACAGUUGGUGUAAAUGUUAUAUGUAGGGAAUUCCACCUAGCUCAGCUGCAUUAAAUUAUUGUUGAAAACUAUUACAUUAUGCCCAUGUGUUUUCAAAUGAUUUGAUAUGGAACUGCUUUAUAGUGGCUCUCACCUAUAUUUGGUAAAAAAAUUAUAUUUUGUUUUUGGUUUCUCUGCGUUCUAGUACUUUUGUAUUGACCUCCUUCCCUCCCAGGUUUGGAGGCAUAGUUUAGGGGUCCAGAUAACCAGUAGAUCUCUUCCGACAGAUUUACAGAAUCAAGUGGUGAGCCUUCUAUAUUUUGGAAGUCCUGAUGUCUAUCAAUUCAAUUAUCAUUUAGUAGUUUUGAGUCUACUGGGGGCCUUGUGCGAGUUUUCAGACAAUAAUUUAUUUCAGUCAUGUAUUAGAGAUUUCACAGACGGUUGUUCAGAUAUCGAUAUAUGUUGUGGGACAUAAUUUCCCCUUUAUUGAUUUCAUUUGAUUUAUGACCAUGUUUUCCGUAAUAUUAUGUAUCUUUCGCAUAUCUUAUUAUCAUAUGAAUUACGUGCAUGAUUACCAGAUAGAUAGGGGUGUUUUGGGCCUUCACUGUUUGGAAUGGUCGUCAUGGCUAGGGCCCCCAUUUGGGUCGUGAAAAACUUGGUAUCAAAGUACGUUUCAUGGUCCCAGGGUGUCUAUGAAAUCUCAUCGGGUAGAGUCUUAUUUAUGGGUGUGUAGCGCACCACACUUAUAAGCAGGAGGCUACUAGUCGUUUUGGGUGAUUUCUUGAUUGCUUGAAGUGUGAAAAUGGCUAUAUUAGCUAAUAAGUUGUAAUAUAAGAUUAAGGUUGAUCAUAUCUAUUAUGUUAGUUUACCCCUUUACCUUCUUUUCAUUGGUAAUUGUAAACUAGUACUACUUGUGAGAAGGUAUGUAGUGAUUUUUGAGGUGCUUGUAUAGUAUGUCCCAGAUUUUAUGGACUAGCAUAUUAUGUUGCAUUUUUUAGUAGUGAUAGAUGAUUGGUAUAGGACUAUAUGCUUGAAUUUAAUGUAGAAUGUGGCGGUAAAAAUAGUGGCAUGAGAUUAAUGGUGGUGGUACCGUUGAAUUGCUAGGUGGAGAAAGACUAGUUAGAUGGUAUAUGGUUUUCUAGAUAAUCAAGUUAAGGAGUUUUGAUGAUAGUGUUGAGCCUUUUUAUAUGAUCUUGAUUCUCAUAGUAGAAAGAUAUAAGUUUGGAGUCGCGAUAUUGGUAGGCUAUGUCGGAAGUAGUAUGAUUCAUUGAAGGCUUGGUGAUAUCCAUGUUGAGUACUAGAUUCUAAGUUUGAGUUUUUGAAGGUUGAACUAAUAGAAAUAAGAGUUAAAGCACUAGAGGGCGUGCACUCCAACUAUGGGGAUACCCAUGAAGACCCGAAGUUAGUAAGUAUGAAAGUAUUAUAUGAUGACUACUGGGUCUAUAGAAUGAUAAAGUUUAUCUGAGAAGGUAGUAUUAACAGUGGGUUUUCCACUUUCAGGUGUAGUCAUUUGGGUUAAGUUCCAUAAUAUGCGUGUAUAGUAGUUUUCCAGACCACAGAAUCCAGUGAGUGUACUUCAGUAUAGAGUCUAGUAAAGGAUCUCCUAAACUUAAUUUGAUGGCUUGAAGAUAAGGGGGAGAUAAUAGAGCAAAUAACUAAGUCAGGCUUUCAAAUUAUAGUAGUAAUGUCAGUAUGACAUUGAACAUCAGAAGGGAAGGUGAGGCUCAACCCAUUCCAGUCUCAGUGUUUUUUGGUUAUCCUAAUACCUACUCAUACCUCACGUUUCAGUUCCAUGAUCAUAGUUUUGCAUUAACAGACGUGCUUCUUUACACCCGAAGAAAAGAUACUUAGGCCAUUAGUAGCCUUUGAACCCAAUCCAUAUGGAAAAGAUGCUUAUCAUUUUGUCCAUUCUCGUCUAACACUGUGAUAGGUCAUCUAUUUCCUAUCUCUCUUCAUUCUCAUUUCAAGCUUUCUAUUAAUUAGAUGAAGAAAAGGGUUUCAUGUUACUAUGUGGUUUGGCUUCAAAAUUCUUGCCUUGUCCUUCAAAUUAAUUUAGGGAGUUGCGCAUGGAUACAAGAUUUCAACAUUGAUUGGAAAUUAACUAGAUAUUAUUGAAAAGUAGCUAUAUUUUAAUUUCAUAUGUUCUUCCUUACAUGGAUAUUGGUUGAGAAGCCUCCUAUACCUCCUAUGGCUGGUACUGCUCCUGGUGCUAUUCCAUCCAUGUCACUGCAGGUAAAGUUGUGGAGGCUUGGGGGAGGGAUAAAUAACUUUUGAAUGUAGAGACAUUAUGAUAACUAUUUCCCCCCACAUCUUUAGCAGCUCCAGCCUAUGUUUCCAGCCUACCAGGCACAACCUUAUGGUUCCGGGUCGUCUCAACAAUUUCUGCCACUUGGACAUGCAGAUGUUGCAAUGUCUCAACCUUAUCAAAUCCAAUUUCCUCAACCUAUGCAAUAGGUUACUGGUAGAACUGUAGUAGGAAUGCAUAGUAUGCCUUAGGGACCACCUAUUCCCCAUGAUUUUCAUCGAAAUCUUCCUAUGUCAAAUAACAACAUGCCUGGUUCUGGUGGCCCAAAUUUACCUUUUUCUUCUUCAUAUAAUGUAAGGCCAUGGGAAGAUCUUUUGUGGUUAUUGUGAAUCAGUUUCCGAUGUUCCAUUCCUAUAUUGAUGAAAUACAUUUUGGUAUCGUCUUUAACAGAAGGUAAAUGCAGAUUCUUCUGACUCCCAGUAUCAGACACAGAUAAAUGAUCAUAGGUUUCCAUCAGGGGUACGACCCUGGAUGCCAAUAAGUAAUCAUAAUGUGAAUUCUGCGACAACUAUGCAUAAGAGUGGAGAAUUAGCAGCUCCCUUGGUUGUUCCGGUGAGAAUUCAAAGUGUUUUACUAUACCCAUUUUGAAUAAAUAUUGUCAACAAGUAACAUGCUUAAGUUAGCUAUAAAUAUAUUUUAAAAUUUACAUACAACAUUAAAUUUAAGGAACUUGAGUCUAUAUAUUAUGAUCAUAAAAUUGAUUCUAAUUAAUUGAAAUUAAUUAUUUGAUUGUAUAGUUUUAUUACAACAAUUUCAUACAUCAUUUAUUUAAUAAUAAUACAUAUAAUUAAUUGAUUGAUUUUGUGCAAUCUACUAUGAUUUUAUUAAUUCAAAUAAAAUAAUUUUUGAAUGAUAAGUUUGGAUUAUAAAAAUAAAGGUGAUUAUUGUAUGACUUUAGCAUUUCUUAUGUAUUAAAAAAGAUUUAUAGAUAAAAAUGGUCAUCUCUCAAAACAAUUAAAUUUGAACUAUUUUAGUGAAACAAUGAAAGAUUGAAUAUAAGAAAAUCCGUAACUAAGAAAAGAAAUAAUUGUCACCUUAUUUAAGUUUUUAGCAAAUUGUAAAGAUAGUUAAAUAAUCAAAUUGUAAAUUUAUAAGAAAUUUUUGAAGAAUAAAUCAGUAAUUAGGAAAAGAAAUAAUCGUUACCUUUUUAAAAUUCUUCCCAAAAUUAUAAAGGUAAUUUAAUAUAAAUUUGAUAUAUCAAAACUAUAAGAAUAUAUGAAAUUCAUGGGAUUAAAUUUUUGAAAUUAUAAAAGUAAUUAAUAUCAAUUGUUUUCAUAUUUGAGUCCUUUAUUUAACUGUAGAUUAAUUAAAUAUAAUUAAGUUAUAAAAUUAGGAUAGAUUUAUGGUAAAUAAACAUAUAAUAUUAAUAAUAAUUUUAUUGUUAUAAAAUUAAUUAGAUCAAAUUGAGAUAGAAAUCAGUUAAUAUUGACAAUUAUUUUAAUAAAAAAUAUAUGCAAAGUUUCGUAAUUGAUAUACAUAUAUUGGUAAAAAAACAACGAACACUGUCUACCAUGAAUAUAUUUUAAAAUUUACAACAUUAAACUUAAGGAACUUGAGUCUAUAUAUUAUGAUCAUAAAAUUGAUUCUAAUUAAUUGAAAUUAAUUAGUUGAUUGUGUAAUUUUAUUACAAUUAUGUCGUACAUCAUUUUUUAUAUAAAAAUACAUAUAAUUAAUUAAUUAAUUGAUUUUGUGCAAGCUACUAUGAUAUUAUUAAUUCAAAUGAAAUAAUUUGUAAAUGGUAAGUUUGGAUUAUAAAAAGAAAGGAGAUUAUUGUAUGCCUUUAGCAUUUCUUAUGUAUUAAAAAAGAUUUAGAGCUAAAAAGUUGUCAUCCCUCAAAACAAUUAAAUUUGAACUAUUUUAGUAAAACAAUUUUAAUUAAUUUAUCACAUUUCAAAAUAUUGUUUAUAUCAAUUCAGUGAUGUUUAUAUGGAAAAGUUAAAUUUUGAAAAAAUAAAUAUCUUAAAUUUCAUAAUUUAAGUUAAUUUGUGUGCUAAUUUGAAAAAGUUACUUUAUAGUUUACAUUUUAUUUCUAUUAUAUGGAAAAUUUGACCUCAUAUGGCUAUUUAUAGCCAUUGAAUAACACAAUAUUUGUUACACUUUUCUUCUCUCUCUCUCAUGGGUAUUUAUCAAGUUUUUCAAUAUGAGUAAGUAAAUAUUCACUUGCUAUAUUUCCGGAUCCUUGUAAAUAUUCACUUGUCAUAUACAGAUCCUUGUAAAUAUUUACUUGCAAUUUAUAGAUCCUUGUUAGUUGUAUAUAAGCAUUGUACGAUGAUGAAUGAAAGACACAGAAUUUUUUUUUUCUCCAUUCUAGUCUUUUGCUAUUUUUACAUUUCAAGAAAAAAUGACAAAAUCCUACAGAUUCUGACAACCUUUUGCCAGCUCUUACUCUUCCAACUCUUUGAUUUAGUAAUUUCUCUUUUUUUGUUGUUAUUUAACAUGAUUAUUUGUUUUAUCAGAAGGAUUUGAUAAGUUCUUUGAAUUGUUCUUGUGCUAUUUGUUUGUGGGGUAUUUUAUUAAUUUUCAUUAGAAGACUAGUAGUAACUAGUUUCGCAUUAUGCCUCUUCUGGUAGUAGUAUCGGUAUAUAUAUUUUUUUCUACUUGUUGUAUCGUAUACCUCUGUUUUCUUACUUGCUACUGUUGUUAAUAUCCUCGUGAUUUUGCUUUUCUUACUGAGGAUUUAUGGGAAACAAAUUUUCUACUUGCCAAGGUAGUAGUUACGUAUGUUGUUGUUGAAGAAGAAACAUGUAGAAAGAGAGAUGUUUUGCUUUGUCUCAUAAGUAUUUAGUUAGCUUGCAGUAUUUUCAUGAAUGGAUAAUGAUUUGUGAGUGGUUGUUUAUGACUGUUUUGCUUUGUCCUUUUAAAUCUCAUGGACACUAGUUUGAUUCAUGUACAGUCUCCAUACAUAGAGAUGAUGAAGAAUAACUUCUUCUUUUUUUGAUCAUCAACUAAUGAUGCAAACAAGACCCCUUCACCACCAUUAAAGUCCAAGGAAGUUUCUUUUUGGAGGAGUGUUUCAUUGUCAUCUGGAUCCUUCUAUGACAGUGUGUCAGGAAAAAAGAAUUUUACGAAUCUGAGCAAAUCUCCCCAUGGUCACAGUAAGAAAGUUCAUCCUAUGAAAUCUGGUCAUGAUUCAAGUCGGUAUGCAUAUCAUUUUGCUGUAGCUUUCUUUUUCACACUUAAACUAAUGUUUUAAUUUGCAUUUGCUUGUCCAAAGUAAUGACAAAUGUUUCUUUACGGCAGAGACCUUAGCGUUCCAGUGUUGAUUCGAACUAUUAGAAAAUUGACAAAAGAGAAGGUACAAAUAGCUUCUGAACAUUCAAGCAUGAUAUGGAAUUAAGUCGCUGAAAGGGCUUCUGCUAAGGAAGAAGCCAGCAUAUUAUAGGCAGAAUUAGAUUCACGGACACGAAGAUUGGAGACAAAAAAGAAUGAGUUACAAUCAGUACUAGAAAAGGAGUUGGAUAGAAGAUCCAGUGAUUGGUCUCUAAAACUUGAGAAAUACCAAAUUGAACAACAUAGACUCCGUGAAAGGGCGAGGGAGCUUGCAGAGUAGAAUGUCUCUCUACAAAGGAAAGUCUCUUCAUUUAAUGAGAAGGAAGUAGAUAAUAGAAUCAAGAUGUCAUUUUCGGAGAAACACCUUGAAGAUUUGUCUAAGACAAUAGAGCAAGUGUCAGAGGAGAAUCAAAAUCUAAGGCAGCAUCUCACUCAGUUACAAGCAGAAUAUCGAGUAGCUCAAGACAAUAGAGAUUAUGUCCAGGAAAACUACCAGGAAAAGGUUAAAGAGCUUAAAUCUGAGACUUUGCUGACAACUGUGCUAAGGGAGAAGCUCUAUUCCGAGGAGAUGAACAUAAAGCAACUUCAAGAUGAUCUAGCCACAACUGUUAGAGGUAACGACAUUCUCAAAUGGGAAGUACAAAAUGCGCUGGACGCUCUUUCUUAUGCCACACCCAAGUUGAAAUAUCUCGAGCUUCAGGUAAGCAGACAAUGUUAAGAUUUUGUUGCAAUGGAAUAUUUUUUAUUUUUUAACUUUGAAUACCUCGUCUUCAUAUAUGAUAGCCUGUUCGCAUAUUACUCUCUCUGCAUUAGCUGUCUACUUCUGUUUGAUUUUAGGUUCAUCUUUGUUCCAUCUGAAGUUCACAGUUUUCUUUAUGAACUUGUAUACAUGAGUUGCUGGCAUGUGGUAGUCUUCUAUGAAAUGUCUGAUCGCCUUAAUGUGUAAUCACUUGAACCAACCAAAAACAUGAUAAACUUUGUGAUAUCCUCAAACCCAUUGAUCUGAUUGUGCUCUGAUAGGGUAAAGUUACCCAAAGGGUUUUCGGUAAGUUUGCUCAUUCAUCUGACUUAAUUCUUGGACAAGCUCACAAGUUAUCUACUGUGAAUUUUAACAGUUAAAAAGGAUUCAUGAUUUGGUUGAACUUCUAGGCUAUGAGUUUGUUUUGAAUUUCUGAUGAAAUAUUAUUGGUGAUCUUUGUAUCUUUCUUAUUUUUUCAUGGUUUACAAUUGAUUCUGGCAUGUGCUAAAAAUGACAAAAAUAUCAACAAGAUCACUAAUGAUUUGCACGAAUGCAUGAAGGAACUUGGCGUUGUGAAGGCGAUACUACCAAAAGUGUUUCAGAAGAGGGAUUUCAUGUGGGAGGAGGUUAAGAGCUAUAGUGAGAUGAACAUGUUGUUCAAUUAUGAGAUCAACAUGUUGAAAAGGAAGGUAGAUACCCUCGACGAAGACUUUCUUAUGAAAGAGGGUCAAAUCACAUCUUGAAAGACUCAAUAGGCAAGCCUUUCGACCAUCUUGCAAGUCCUGAUUCUCUGUUGGAGUGAUGGAUGCUAAAUGGCCAAACUACAAUUCAUAUUUUUUUCAUUAACUAUAGUGUUCAUACUUCUCGUAUACUUACUGGUUUUACUCUUAUUCUUUCCCCCCUUUGAUACUUGUUAAAUAGAAAGUUUUCUUCUUUCUUUUGCAACCUUUUUGAAUCUCCAAUUAUAAACAUUUCUUUUACUUGCUGGUGAUCAAGACCAUGAACUUCUUUUGCUUCAUUUGGUUUUGUAAGUAUUGGCCGUUUUUUGUCUUAUGAAGUAUUUAGUGAGGAUUGAUGCUACCAUUUUCUUCUCGUCUCUGAGGUAGAGGUAUGGUUUGCAUAUAUUCUGCCAGAAUAUACAUCAGGUAUGUUGUUGUUGUUGUAUGGAGAUUUUGUGUAUAAUAAAAAUCGUAUAUUUCAUGUCGGGUCAUCCACACUUUCAUUCCUUGCAGGGGAAAGCUCAUUAAGCUUACUGAGUUAACUUCUCAUUGAUGUAUUCUUUCACUAAGGUUGUCAUUGGGUAGCUACAAAAAGCACUUGUCUAACUGGGCAGUUCAUGUUCAGUUUGUGCAUAUAUUAAGUAACGUCCAAAUUUUUAACCAUAUAACUUUACCUCAAAAUGGUGCAUGGACCAGAGCUGCUCUUAAAUCUGGUCGGUUAACAGACUCUUCCAUUUGAUCUGUAAUCAAAUGCCUGCUUUGUCUCAGUACAUUUGAUUCUAUUAUGCUCAUUCACACAUAGUUUAUGCCAAGUAUGUGAGACACAUACAGAAGCCUCUAGUUUCAUCUUCUUUAUAUAGUUUUAAAAUUCAUUUGAAUUGCUAUGAGGGAGUUCUAUCCUUCCCUCUGAUCAUUCUUUUAGAUACCUUCUUUCAUUUGCCUCUACUAUGUUUUAAAUUUUCCUUCCAGGUUUCACUUGCCACAUUAAAUGUUGUUUGCACAUUUGUAAACUAUGCACUACAUUCAAUUUCAAAAAAUAAACAAAACUAUGCACUACAUUGUAGAACAUUUUGAUAAUUUUUUGGUAUGUCAGUAUGUUGUUUAUGUUUAUGCUUACAUCAAGAAGACCCAGUUAUUAUGAAGGUGGAAUUGGUUUCUGUACCAUUUUCCUUUUGCGUGUAACUUCUGAAGUUAUUUGGGAUCCAUCAUUUAUAUGUCAAUGAGAGUUUUUGAUGUCUUUCCUGAUAAUGUUUAUGCUUACAUCAAGAAGACCCAGUUAUUAUGAAGGUGGAAUUGGUUUCUGUACCAUUUUCCUUUUGCGUGUAACUUCUGAAGUUAUUUGGGAUCCAUCAUUUAUAUGUCAAUGAGAGUUUUUGAUGUCUUUCCUGAUAUUAAUCCGGUCAUUUUUUCUUUAACAUGUCUAAUCUUCUGUAUACCUAGCUUUCUAAUCUUCAAUGAUGCAAACAAUUUCCCUUCAAGAACUUGCACUUACCUAAUUCCUAGUAAGACAGUCUUAGAAUCUUCUAUGCUGAAAGAUGCCUAUUGGUGGUUAGUUUUUUCGCUAGGAGGUUGCAUUGGAAGGUACAAGCAUACAUGAUAUUGGUAAAACCAGUAAGCACCAUAUUUUUUUGAAAAUGAUAGCAUAUAUACUAUGUGGGCAGUAUUUUCUUUACAAAAAUUAGCCUCUCUGUGCUUUACAAGGCCUCCAAAGUUGCAAAAUGGAUUCAGCACGCUCUACAAGAAACUCUUAAUGUUAAAAUAAUAAGUUGUCUGAUCCUAUCUGCAACAAGAAUGACGAGCACUGUGUUUAGUUUGGAACCUGUCCCUAAGCUCAUCUAGACUUAUCCUUAUCUUCAUUGCCUUCUAUUUGCUUGUUAUCUUUGUUCUUGCUAGAACUUGCAUUUGAGAAGCUUGUGUUGUUGUCUCAAGUUAAUGUGUAAGUUUUCUUUCCUUACUGCAGUGCAUCAAAAUUCAACUUGUGGUGCUGCUGAAAAUGUUGGAACUGCUGCAAAACCUAAUGGACCUGUACGUGCUAAUAGACCCAAUGCAUUCAGUAACAAUAGCUCAUCUGUUCUCUCUUGUAUACAAACAGCAGUUGAUAUUCCUUCUCAAACAGCAGGUCCAUCCAUGUUUGAGCUCCUGGACCAUGCUCUUUUUGGGCCUAGGCGUGAAGGUGGUGUUAGAGUGGGUGAAAGUCCCACAUUGUUAGGGAGUGAACUGUCGGUCUUAUUAUAUGGACUUGAGAAAUUCUCCCCUCAUGUGCUAGCUUUUGGGGUUGAGUUAGGUCCAAGAUCCUUUCUUUACACAAUCAACCAUCUUUUCUUACAUUGGAAACGAACAGAGCAACUAUAGAGAAUGUUUUCAACCUAAAGGGGAUCAGGUGGGUAGAACCUGGGAGCAUUAAAAACGUACUAAGCAGCUGGAGUGGGGAUGCAAAUAUAAUAAAAGAGGAGAGAUGGAAAAUUGUUCAACAUGUAUAUGGUGGACAGUUUCGACAGAAAGAAACAAGGGUUGUUUUGAGGAUGUCCAGAAGAUCAACAUGAAUAGUUUAGCACUUCUUUAUUUUUGGUGUAAACACAAGACAUCAUUGAUGUGCUAGACUGUUUAUAGGCAAUAGAAAGACAGAGUAAGAUGUAAUACUUUUUGAAGGGGGACAUCAUUCUUGUUGGCUAGGGAUUUAAACAAAGAUGGGAAGAGCUCUAUAUAAAGGACAGGGAUGACUAAUAUGACAACUCUUUUUUUGGAUGGAACAUAAUUUUAUUAUAAGAUAUGGAAGACAUGAAGAUAGGCCAAAAUGUUCUCAACUAACAGACUUUUAAAAUUAAGAGCCAAAGAACACUAAACAAUGGGUGUAACUCAAAUCUAUUUGAAGAAAAGGAAUACUUACUCUGAGAGAACAAAACACACUCUCCAGUAGUACAGUAAAAAUAGUAGAUCUUAAAAUCCCACAGCUAAGCAAAUUAAUUUAAAUGUUGCUUUAGAUUAGAAAGUCACCUUGUUAUAUUAUGUGUUCAGUAGGUUCUUAUUUAUACUGCUCAUCAUAUUUUCUGCACUAUCUUUUCAACAUUUUCGUUGAAGUCUAUAAUUUACUCUUCUUCACUUUGAACUUGGGCUCUGCAUCUUGGACUUCUAUAUGUUGGUUCACUUGUAGUACUUCUUGUGUAUUCUAUCCUAUAUGGUCUGACUGCAAAGGAAUCAAACUGGCUUGGGGCUACAACAUCAGCUGCCAUGAUAAUCCUUGGUAGUUCAUUUCCUACAUAUAUAUAUCUCCUUUUCUGACUCGUAUUGUGAUAUAAUUUCUUAUUUCUUUUUGGUAAGUACUGAAUUCACUAGCUUUUCAUUCAAUCAGAUUAGAACUUGGGAGUUUGCUUGUAUGGUUUUAAGCUUCUGAAAAGUCGAGUCAUCAUACUUUUUACUGCCGGUACAUCUCGGGUGUUCCUGAUCUGUUUUGGAGUUCAUUACUGGUUUGUUGUUAACCUAUGCUAAUUCAUUUUCUUCACGUAAAGGUUCCAAAAGCCAUAAAUCCAAUGCAAGUUUAGUGUGUUAAUAAAUUAUGUAGUGUGGAAACCUAUUUGAGCAUGAAUUGAGAUCAUAGAGGUCCCCAAGCUCAAGGAGAAGUUGAAAGUUUUCCUAUCGUUCGAAUUUUAGUGAGCGUUGAAACUUAGGUCAAAUUAAAUUGAUCAUUACUCUUUGUAUAUAUUGAAUUAGAGUGCCUACUACAUAUCAAAUGAAAGGUAUUUGAAUUAUCUUUCCAACGAUACCAAUUUCGCAAUAUUCUGACACCCGAGGAAGAAGUUAUGGCUUUGCAAAGUGGAGUGUGUCGUGCAGUAUCAGGUGUACGACACACACCCUAACUUAUGCCAUAAGGUGUGCGACGCACACCCUAACUUAUGCCAUAAGGUGUGCGACGCGCAACCUAAUAUGUGCGAUAAAGAGUGCGCCGCACAACCUAUAUUAUGCAUUAAGGUUUGCGCCACAUAUAUUAUUACUCAAUUGACUUAAACACUCCGUUUUUGGGUUAAAAUGGUCCUUUUCCCACCCUAAUUUAGCCAUAAAUACAAAAUCCAGUUCCCAAAAUACCCCAAAAUACACUUUCUUUCAUCAAAAUUGCUCAAGAACUCUCCUUUGGGUUUCAAAAUAGAAAUCCAAGCAACUCAAGAUUCAACCAUGAGUUUUUGAAACUAAUUGCAUAUUUGGAAUCCCCAAAACGUAGUCUUCAAGAAGCAACUAUCAUCUUCACAUAUAGAGGUACGUGGGGUUAUCUCAAAAAUCUCACGGGCUUAAAAAUUCAUGUUUUAAAAAUGGGGGUUUUGAAAUUAUGAAUAUAAUCCCGUUUUAAAUGUUUUACGAUAUUGAUUUAGUCUUUAGGUCUAUUCCCGAAGUGGUUUGAUAUAUGAUAUAUGUAUAUGCAUGUAUUCCGAAAAGAUGUUAACUUGAGAGCAUGAAUUAUAUGAAAUCCCUCUUUUUAUAUGAUCUCGUUUUAAAUUAUCAAAUGAUGUGAAAUGUUUGAAAUCAUCUUGACAAGCGUGACAUGAAAUUUUUUGAAAAUGGUCAUGGUUUUCACUUGCAACGAGAGGGUUGUUAUGUUGAAAUAUGAUUAAUAUAAUGGUUGCAUGAAAGAAUGAUGUGUUAUUGAUGGCUUGCAAGUCGGGUAUGACAAUACCCUACAGAAUAAGAUAUGUGAUUGAAUUAAAUGGAGUUUGAUGCAGUGAUUUUACAUGAGAUAGGUGAAUGCCCAAAGAAGGCAUUUGAGUGUAAAGUCUCAUCACUGAAAACCGUGUUUGCCGACAUGGGGAUUUGGUACCAGGCUAAGUGAUCUUGUGUACUUGACUUUAUGCCAUUCCCAAAUUUGAACUAUGGUUAGGAGCCCAGGCUAAGUGAUCUUAGGCACUACUAUACUUUAUUGGGUCGAGACACCCUGCUGUGUGAUCUUGUGUAUCUUCACCUCACUUACACUCUGAUCUUAGCGUCAACCAAGAUUUGAUAGUUGGUGUAAAUGUUAUAUGUAGGGUAUUCUACCUAGCUCAGCUGCAUUAAAUUAUUGUUGAAAACUAUUACAUUAUGCCCAUGUGUUUUCAAAUGAUUUGAUAUGGAACUUCUUUAUAAUAGCUCUCACCUAUAUUUGGAAAUAAAUAUUAUAGUUUUUUUUGGUUUCUCUAUGUACUAGUACUUUUGUAUUGACCCACUUCCCUCCCAGGUUUGGAGGCAUAGUUUAGGGGUCCAGAUAGCCGAUAGAUCUCUUCCGACAGAUUUAUAGAAUCAAGUGGUAAGCCUUCUAUAUUUUGGAAGGCCUAAUGUCUGUCAGUUCAUUUAUCAUUUAGUAGUUUUGGGUCUACUGGGGGCCUUGUCCCAGUUUUCAGACAGUAAUUUAUUUCAGUCAUGCAUUAGAGAUUUCGUGGACGGUUGUUCAGAUAUCGAUAUAUGUUGUGGGACAUUAUUUCCCCUUUGUUGAUUUCAUUUGAUUUAUGACCAUGUUUUUCAUAAUAUUGUGUAUCUUCCGCAUAUCUUAUUAUCAUAUGAAUUAUGUGAAUGAUUACCAGAUAGAUAGGGGUGUUUUGGGCCUUCAUGGUUCGGAAUGCUUGUCACGGCCAGGGCCCUGGUUCGGGUCGUGACAACAUAGUAUCAAAGCACGGUUCAUGGUCCCAGGGUAUCUGUGAAAUCGCAUCGGGUAGAGUCUUAUUUAUGGGUGUAUAGCGCGCCACACUUAUAAGCAAGAGGCUACCAGGCAUUUAGGAAUGUCUCUCUUUCUAGUUCAUGCAAUAGAGUCAGAAUGUUUCUCUUUCAUACUCUGAUUCGUUCUAUGGUGUCGCCCAUACGAAAGUAAAAAAAAAGUCAUCCCAAAUUCUUUCCUUACUCUAAUGUCCUCAGAUAUGUCUCAUUAUUAAGGUGAUUCAAGUGCAAAAUUUUAGAAUCUAAAUGGUAUGGUCCUUUCUGAUUGAACCAUAUAAGAGUUAAAAUUUGUGCAAGGACUUGAGAAGAGUCCAUUAGUGCUUCAAUGUGUAUUGAUUCCGUUGUAAGCAUUGAUUCUGAUGGAAUCGUGCUUUUCAUCUUGAGGUAUUAAUUGCAUUUAGUCCCCUUUAAAUUUAUGUUACAAAUGUCUUGCUUAAGGGGGGGGAUGAUGUGUAGUAGAAUGUUUGAACUGUAUUUCCACCCGAAUAGUAGUAUGCGUUAAAGUGUUGUUGUCAUGACCUAUUGGUAGUGAAAUUAGACCAAGAAUUUGGUGAUGUGAAGUCACAAAGUUAGAAGUCAUAGCGAGGGUGACUUUUGUGUAAAUGAAUAUUUUAGUUGAAUAACCAAUGUUCGAGAAUAAUUUACCCCCUUAUGGGGAUAGACUAAUGUGGUAACUAGUAGCAUGUGUAGAUGGUAUGGUAGUCCGUGGAGGAAGUGUUUGACUUCGAUUUUAUUUAUACAGAGUAAGAUGUGUAUUCUUAGUACUUGAUGUGUUAAAAUAGUACAUGCUAAUGAGUUAUGAUAAGGAAGACCAUAAGGUCAAGAUCAAUUAUUUUUUGUUUGGAAGUUCUAGUGUACUAGUGUUUCUUGAUGUCUAUUUCAUGGUAUCCAAGUGAGAAUCAUGCGUAAGGUUGGGUUGUAAAAUCAUGUUUAGCACUAGACAUUAAGUUUUGAACAAUUGAUGUCCAUGAAGGUGGAUGUGAUGAUUUCUUGGUUAGUGAUACUAGUUUUAUGGAAAUAAUCUAAUAGUCUUGAACGAUAUAUGCAAGACCUUAAGUUUAUUUGAUUCGUAGUGAAGUAUGAUGUUGCAUAUAUAAUGUAGAAGUAUUCCCAAGGUGAUCUGAGGUUGCGGUGUUUUCUAAGACUAUUACACGUUUUGUGUGACGAGUGGUAUAGUUGAUUUGCUAGGUGGAGAAAGAUUGGUUAGAUAGUAUAUGGUUUUCUAAAUAGCCAAGUUAAGGAGUUUUGAUUGAUAGUGUUGAGCCUUUUUAUAUGAUCUUGAUUCCCAUAGUAGAGAGAUUUAAGUUUGGAGUCGCGAUAUUGGUAGGCUAUGUCGGAAGUGGUAUGAUUCAUUGAAGGCUUGGUGAUAUCCAUGUUGAGUGCUAGAUUCUAAGUUUGAGUUUUUAAAGGUUGAACUAAUAGAAAUAAGAGUUAAAGCACUAGAGGGUGUGCACUUCGACUCUAGGGAUACCCAUGAAGACCCGAAGUUAGUAAGUAUGAAAGUAUUAUAUGAUGACUACUGGGUCUAUAGAAUGAUAAAGUGUAUCUCAGAAGGUAGUAGUAACAGUGAGUUUUCCACUUUCAGGUUUAGUCAUUCGGGUUAAGUGCCAUGAUAUGUGUGUAUAGUAGUUUUCCAAACCCCAGAGUGCAGUGAGUGUACUUCAGUUUAAAGUCUAGUAAGGGAUCUCCCAAACUUAAUAUGAUGGCUUGAAGCUAAAGGGGAGAUGAUAGAGCGAAUAACCAAGUCAGGCUUUCAGAUUCUAGUAGUGAUGUCAGUAUGACAUAGAACAUCAGAAGGGAAGAGUGAGGCUCAACCCAUUUCGGUCUUAGUAUUUUUUAGUUAUCCUAAUACCUACUCAUACCUCACGUUUCAGUUCCAUGAUCAUGGUUUUGCAUUAACAGACAUGCUUCUUUACACCCGAAGAAAAGUUACUUAGGCCAUCAGUAGCUGUUGAACCCAAUCCAUAAGGUAAAGAAGCUUAUCAUUUUGUCCAUUCUCAUCUAACGCUGUGAUAGGUCAUCUAUUUCCUAUCUCUCUUUAUUGUCGUUUCAAGCUUUCUAUUUAUUAGAUGAAGAAAAUGGUUUCAUGUUACUAUGUUGUUUGGCUUCAAAAUUCUUGCCUUGUCCUUCAAAUUAAUUUAGGGAGUUGCGCAUGGAUACAAGAUUUCAACAUUGAUUGGAAAAUUAACUAAAUAUGAUUGAAAAGUAGCUAUAUUCUGAUUUCAUCUGUUCUUCCUUGCAUGGAUAUUAGUUGAGAAGCCUCCUAUACCUCCUCUGGCUGGUCCUGCUCUUGGUACUAUUCCAUCCAUGUCACUGUAGGUAAGGUUGUGGAGGUUUGGGGGAGGGAUAAAUGACUUUUGAAGGUAGAGACAUUAUGAUAACUAUUUUCCCCACAUCUUUAGCAAUUCCAGCCUAUGCUUCCAGCCCACAGGCACAACCUUAUGGUUCCGGGUCAUCUCAACAAUUUCUACCACUUGGACAUGCAAAUGUUGCUAUGUGUCAACUUUCUCAAAUCUAAUUUCCUCAACCUAUGCAACAGGUUACUGGUAGACCUGUAGUAGGAAUGCAUAGUAUGCCUCAGGGACCACCUAUUCCCCAUGAUUUUCAGCAAAAUCUUUCAAUGUCAAAUAACCACAUGCCUGGUUCUAGUGGCCCAAAUUUACCUCUUUCUUCUUCAUAUAAUGUAAGGCCUUGGAAAGAUCUUUUGUGGUUGUUGUCAAUCAGUUUUCGAUGUUCCAUUCAUAUAUUAAUGAAAUACAUUUUGUUAUAGUCUUUAACAGCAGGUAAAUGCAGAUUCUUCUGGCUCCUAGUAUCAUAUAUAGAUAAAUGAUCAUAGGUUUCCAUCAGGGGUACAACCCUAGAUGCCAAUAAGUAAUCAUAAUGUGAAUUCUAUGACAACUAUGCAGAAGACUGGAGAAUUAGCAGCUCCCUUGGUUGUUCCGGUGAGAAUUCAAUGUGUUUUAUUGUACCUGUUUUGCAUAAAUAUUGUCAACAAGUAACAUGCUUAAGUUAAUGGGUUAGUGGGUGUGUGUUGAUUGAGAGAGUCAACAUUUGAAUUGUAUGACAGUUUUUUGUAAGCAAAUUAAGAUUCCAGUGAACAAAAAAGGUGUAAAACUGCGGUAUACAAGAAAAGGAGCUCUGCAAAAAUAUCAUUUUCAUUUAGAUCCAAUCUUUUUACCACUUUGUGUUCUCCAGACAGAAAAAAGAGCAUGCCGAUUUGGCUUUCUGGAAUUCUUGCUUUUGGAUUAUAUUCACAUAGGUUACUCAUAUAAAUAGGUUAAUGUCUGCAUCAUAAACACUUAAUGUCUUGUCUAUGAACAAGUGGUGGAUAUGUUGGCCCCCAUCACUGCCAAGAAAUCCCUCAAGUAUCCACGUCUAGUGCUUUGUACAUCAUUCUGUUUCCAUUGGUACUGGAGAUAAUAGGCCCUAUGUUUCAGUCCUCUUUGUCAAAGUUAUCAUAUGGGCUGCCGUUCACCGCUGCCAAAUUCUACCUGACUGUUGAUCAGCAGAACUUGAUACACCUCUACCAAUAACUUCAUUUUGACCUCAUUUCUCUAUUAUCAUACAUAUUUUAUAUGUGGCUAAAUGCUAGUAGGUAUUGCUAUUUUCAGCAUAUUUUGAUGAUCAAUAGGACAAUUAUGGUUGCUAAUGUUGUCAUAUUUCCUAUGGCUUUAUUACUCCAACUAAUUAAUAACAUUCUUACAAUUCUUGAAUUGAUUUUCAGAUGCUAUUAUAAUAGAAGGACAAGAAUCUCAACCUGGGAGAAACCUCGAGAACUGAUGACAGAAAUGGAGGUGAGGUCUCGUGUCAUCGAGAUUUUUAUGGGUAGUUUUAUCCAGUUUCUUGUGCUUAUCAAUGAAAAAAGAAGUACACAAUUCUUUUUCUAUGAAGCUUUGUAGAACCACUUUUUCUUUCCUAAGUAUAUGUGAUUUCUGUUGAAAGUUUGUUUAGCGAGCAAAUUUCCUCAAUCUUACUAUACUAUGUAGGUUUUAUUUGGGAUUUGCAUUGACCUUUUAUUUCCAAUAUAGUUCUAAAAGAUUUUAUAUUUAACACUACUGUUCUAAAAAUGUGUUUAAGCAUACACGACAGGAUUAUAUUUGGUCUAUUUUAAACAAUUUUAUUUGCUUUCUGAUUAAUGUAAUGUUAUUGUAACUCUAUGGUGAUAUGGAGAGAGGAAACUUGAUAUAAUAUUAUGGUUCACAUUUCUUAUUCUGGUUUACAGAAUAAUAUUUUGGCUGGUUGCACACUUGCACCCAAGAGUGUGACCUAGUGGUCAAUGAAGUAGAUUGAGAACCAUGAGGCCUCAGGUUUAAUUUCCAACUGAGAUAAAAACACUAGGUGAUUUCUUACCGUCUGUCCAAGCCUUGAUGGAUAGAGUUACCCUGUAUCUGUGCUGGUAGGAGGUAGUAGUACCUGGUGUAAAUAGUCAAGGUGCAAGCUAGCCCAAACGCGACGGUUAUCAAAGAAAGUUUUGCUGGUUGUGAGGGACAAGUAUUAAGGGACCAACAACUGGAGCUGUAAGGAAGUUUGAACAUUUUUAUUCUUUUCUUUUUGAGAUAAACAGUUUUUUUUUCGGAGAUAUUACUUUGCAUUCGUCAGCGUUAAGGUUAUGCUAGCAGUCCAAAAGAAAUGAAAAAUAAUGAAAAUAAUGCGAGGAUUCGAAGAGAUCUACUACCUGUUAUGCAUCCUGUACAAAUUGGCCCUUAAACAAAAAACAAAAAUCUACAAUGCUAUUCCAUUUAACUUUCUGAAUGGAAUUAUAUUUAUCUUCAAAAUACCUUUAACUUUUCUCUCUCCAUACAGUCCAUCAAAUACAAGGAAAUAUUUUUCUCCUCCAUUUCUUCUAACUCUUGCUAAUCCCUUCUAAUCCAACAGCUCAAUAGAUUGUUGUUGUUUCCUUUGAUAGUCUACUUUACUUCAACUCAAUAGAUCUGGUAUGUGUUCUGGCAUGGUCCACUUUACUUCUAUUAAACUAAAGGUGUCAAAUGGGCGGGCUUGGCUGGAUUUGGGCGGAUCAAAGAGGUCUGAGUUAAUAAAUGGGCGGGUUAUUAACCCUCCUUAAAGCUACUUGGACUGAAAUGGGUUGGGUUGAAAUGCUCUAAAAUGCGGGUCAUAACCCAACCCACCCAAUUUGAACUCAGAUUUAAUUGCUUUAUUUGUUAUUUUAAAAACUUUUAGUACUUGAAAAAUUAUUAUCUUUUUUUUUUUUAACUUUGUAACUUUGUAUUAUAUCACAUAGUACAUGGGUUUUACUGAAACCUUUAUAUACAAGAGUACUCCUAAAUCGACUGUUCUAUAUCUAAAUUUAGUCUAGAACAUCAAUUAUCGAGGCAGUAUCAUUAGAGUAUAGUUGAUUACACCAAAAACAUACAAGAAAAAUCCAGUUGAGUUUAACCUUUUGCACACUAUUCUCUAUGCUCUCAAAUCAUCUAGAAUUCCUUUCUUUCCAUAUAUCCCACCAUAUAGCACCAGGGAUAAUUCUUGAUCUACCUCUGUCCUUCGCAUGUACACCUGCUUCUCCCAGCACAUUAAAGUCUCGAAUACUUUCCUAGGCAGUAUCCUGGAAAUGCCUUUUAAUCUUAAGAUGAUUCUCCAAAGUUGUUGGGUGUACUUACAAUGUAGAAAUACAUGGUUAACCAUCUCUAAAGUUUCUCCACAGAGGAAACAUCUGGAGCACAAGGUUUUCCCUUUCUUCAUGACAUUAUCUUGUGUAAGAACUACUUCCUUGGUCAGUAACUAGACAAAGACAAAGCACGACACUGUGUGAGGUAUUAUACUUUUCCAUAUUUUCUUCCAUGGCCAUCUUGGAUCUGGGUGAUUUAUUUGGUUCAUCAUCUUGUAGGCUUUGUUGAAACUGAACAUUCCUUUUCAUUUCCUAUCCACCAUUGUACGUCCUUCACUGUCUGCAGUCUAUUGAAUAAGUGGACGGUAUUAAAAAAUUCAACUAUUCUCAUUACCUCCCAGUCAUUAAGUUGCCUUCUGAAAUUGAAGUUCCGCCAAUGUGGUUUCGAUAAUUUUGCUAUAGUCCUCUAUUGAAACAAUACCAAGUUGUAGAUAUCUGGAAACAUCACUUCCAUAUUCCCAUCCUCAUGUCAAUUAUCCAUCCAGAACCUAGUCUUGUUUCCAUCCAUCACUUUAACCUUUGAGUUGCUUGUAACUUCAUUCCACUAGUGUCUAAUAGAUCUCUAGAGGCUAACCCCAUAUAGUGUGGUCACUUCUUUAGACAUCCAUCUAUCUUCUUCAGAAUAUUUAUCCCCAAUCACAUUCCUCCAUAGAAGCUGGUUAUUGUUUGCAUAUUUCCACAACCAUUUCAUCACAAGAGCCUUUCCACAACCAUUUCAUCACGAGAGCCUUACUUUGAAUUUUUAAGUUCUUUAUCCCCAAUCCUCUAGUCUUCUUGUAAAUUGUCCACCACAGAGAGCACUACCAUUUUUUCUCGCAUAUCUUUGUUCCUUAUUCUAUCUAAACUAGUAUGCCCACACACCAAUCUCAGCAUCCUCAUUUCUGCUAUGUUUAUCUUUCGAACAUGCGAGCUCUUGACCAGCCAAACACUUUGCCCCAUGCAAGUUAGCUAGUAUAACAACCACUUUAUAAAUUUACCUUUAAGUUUAUUUUAACAAAAUUCUUAUACAUGGCAUGCUAGUUACUACCUCUUUUGCAAGAGCUAAUUGGGACAAAAAACACAUGUUCAGAAAUUGAUUCAUAAAAAAAAAAGCAUAACUGUAGUUUAUGAGUUUCAAACGUGUCCAAAUGGAAAAAAAAUUAUGGGGGGGCUAUGUUGAGUAUGGAACUUAGAACCUUAGAGCAGGAUUUGAACACCCUUACUGUCACACUCAGUCUUGUUUUUUUAGGCAAGGGUGUUCAUUAAAAAAUACUCAGAAACGACAGAAUUUGACCUAUAUAUAUAUAUACAAAAUGCGAUUAUCAGGUGAAUGUUGUUCAGUUGAUCACCCUUGGAUAGCUGUAGCUUGGCCGCAGCUUGGCAAUGCUUCCACCCUUCUUGUAGUUAUAUUCUACACAGUACAUUCUAGUCCUUUUCCAUGUGGGACAUUAUAUCAUUCAUAUUCUAACACUUCCAUCUAGUAUUGUACUGCUAGAAGUUACUAAUUUCUACUUCCAGGGUACUGUUUAUGUUCUGUUUUUUAAUUGACCUGCUUUCAUGCUAUUUUCAUUGGGACAGAGGGCAAACGUAUCAACUGACUUGAGAGAAUUUAUAAGUCCUAAGGGAAGAAAGUGUGUAACUUAUAUAUUCUCGUGGCCUCUUUCCAAUUGUUCUUCUACAGUGGGUACUUUUAUGUGUUACUUGUGCAUAAUGCUGAUUGCUUUGUUUGUUUUCUGUAGGUAUUACUACAAAAAGGUUACUAGAACGUCCAAAUGGAGAAUGCUGAUGAAGUCAAGGUGAUGUUAGAUUUAAAUCCAAUAUGGGUUUAUUCCGUGUUUUAAAUAGCAUGAUAAGAAGGGAUUGUUUUGUGCUUUAAAUAGCAUGAUAAGAAGGGACAAUGUUCUGUUUUCUUGGAUGCUCUAGUUCUCAUAAAAUCUUUAUGCAUUCACAGUUGCUAGCAUGAUAAGAAACGGAAAUAUUCUAUUUUCUUGGAUACUCUAUUCUCAUAAAGUUCAAUUAUUUAUAAAUUCACAGUUGGCUCUUGAAAAGGACACCAUUUUACACGCUUCUGAUUUUGGAUCCAUUUCUAUUGUUAAAACAUCAUCCCCGGGUGCAGAUGGUUCAUUAGUCUCGGCACACGGUGAUAAAUCAAUCCCAACUGUUGUGUUACCAGCUGCUAACUUACCAACUAUUAUGGCUUCAGAAUCAUCAAGUUUAUCUGGUAAGGUUUCUUGUCCAAUGAUUGAAACAGUCGAAAUGAAGAAUUCUUCAGAACCUGCUUCACCAGCUGUUGCUAAUUCAGAGAAAAUUGGAAUAGUAGUAACCUUGGAAAAUUUUGUCGCGUCACCGAUGUAUGUUUUCAAAUUUAUAUGUUAUAAAUUUGCCUUUGGUUUGUGUUGCUUCUUAUUUGGAAUUUACUUUUUCUGUAGUUCUGAGACUACUACAACUCAAGAUGCAAUAGUGUAUGGUGAUGGAUUUUGUUUGUAGAAUAGAGAGGUACUUUGUCCUUCUGAAAUACUUAUGUGAUUAGUUAAUUACUACUGGUUUCUGGUUAAAACACCAAGAAAGAUUUUUGUAGCUGUUAUGCUGGAUGUUGAUCCAACAAUUUUGUAGUGUAGUGUUAGUCAACUGCUAACAGGUGAAGAAUAUGCUCCAAAUUCCAAUGAGGUUUGCUUUUGUCCUUUGAGCUUGAUGUUUUGCCUAAAAUGCAGAAUGUCAAGAAAGAUGCUACAAUAACUGAAAUCGGAGGUGCUACUCCAUCAGAUGAGAAAACAGUUAAGCUGGGACCAUUUGUAAAUGAGAGCAAAGCGGUAUAGUUGACUAUUGCUUUUGUUCCCGUUUUAUGUAUGUUCUUAAAAUUUCUCUUAUUUUUAUUUUAAGAAUUUGAUUUUAUUUAGGAGGCAAAGAGUGCAUUCAACUCUUUUGGAAUCUGCAAAUAUUGGGUCUGAUUGCACGUGGGAUCAGGUUUAUUACUUGACUGUUUUGUGCAUACCAAACAAUUGAGGGAGAUCAUUUGACAUGAAUUGUAUUUGUCAGGCCAUGAGAGCAGUAGUUAAUGACCAGAGAUAUGGUGCUCUAAAAUCCCUUUGUGAGCGAAAGCAAACUUUUAAUGAGGUAUCUCUCCAAGUCGGCAUUGGAAUGGGUUAAUUACUGCUUCAAUGUUUCAGCAUACCAUAUUGCAAAAAGAUAGAUUGUGUUUGAUAUCUAAUUUUUUCAUGUUUGGUUGACUUAAAUAUUUUGGAAAAUGUUUUCCAAAUCAACUUAUUUUCCUUAAAGUUAAGGAAAAUGAAUUCCCUUCAUAAAGUAGGAAAAACAUUUUCCAAAACUCUCUUUCAAUCUCACUCUUAAGUUAAAAUGUUUAUACAACUCUCAAAUGUAUUUACUAAAAAAUAUUUUUUUAUUCACCAACCAAACACUAGAAAACAUUUUCUGAAAAAUGUUUUCCUUUCAUCAACCAAACAUAAGAAAACAAGUAAGAAACUAACUUGUUUUCUUGGAAAAAAUUUUCCUUCAUACCAAACACACCCAAGGUCUAUAGUGAUAAUUUUGAAGUUGUGUGUCUGUUCCAGUAUCUGAGCCAAAAGAAAAAACUGGAAGCUGAAGAGAGGCUUGUUAAACAAAAAAAAAACUCAGGAAGAUUUCAGGAUAAUGUUAGAUGUAAGUGAAAUUUUCUUUUGUGGGUGUCUUCCAUUUGAUAUAUCAUGAUAUUCACAUUACCAGUUUCAAAAAUAAAAAGAUAUUAUCAUAAUAUUCAUGAUGUGUUAGAGAUUGGUAUUUGACUUGUUCAAAAGAAUAAGUGGUAUUUUUCACAACAAUGUCCGUUGUUCUCAAUAUUACAGGAUUACAAGUAGUUGUCACCAUCGUCAAGAUGGAGGUUUGUCUUUCACUUGUAAUGUUAAGUUGUCUGCUGCUUGUUUUCUAUUCUUGGUCAUUAUUUGUAUGUGUUUUGGUACCUUGAAGUUGAUCCAUUACUUGUGUAAGUUCCAUUUGAUCCACUAACUAUUUGCUAUUGAUUAUUCAGUAAGGCAAUCUCCAUAUUCAAACAUGAUGAACGUUUUAAAGCUGUUGAGUGAGCUAAAGACCAUGAGGACCUUUUUGAAGAUUAUGUGGAGGAACUUGAGAAAAAGGUGAAGAUCCUUUUGCAGAACUUUCUUGUAAGCUUCUAUAUGUUAAAAACUAAGUGCGCGGACUGUAGUUUUCUUAUAUGGUCUUUGGCUUCUCACAAAUUAAGUUAGCCUUUCAUUUGAGAUAGAAACAAGGUCACUAGGUUAACUGAUGCUACAAAUGUCUAGUCUUGGUGUGCGAUUAAUGUAUAAGAAUCCCACACUAGUAAGGUGUAUGUGCUGAAGUUUCCUUAUAUGAUCUUGGACAAUCUUCACCACCUGACCUAGUUUUCAAAGUUGAGUUAGGUGCUGGUCCACUUAAUUAACAACAGUCAUUCUGUUCCUUUCCUUUGCAAGAUGUCUUUUAGUUUGUUCCCUUUUUUUGUUUUGCUUAAAGAGUAGAAAGAAGAAAUGUUGUAGAUAUUCAACAUAAAAUCUUGUGUUCUUUGAAUACAUUUUUAAUGGCUUCUCAAGGGUACAGCAUUUAAAUUUGUUCACCAUUGAAUUCUAAUUUAAACAGACUUCCAUGUAUUGUAUGUAAUUUUUCUUGAAACUUGAAACUAUUAUAUGCUUCUUCCUCUCCCCCCUUCGUUGUAAAAUCGAAAAAGUUUUUCAAUACUUUCAUGCAAGUGUAGUUAAAGUCUCUUUGUAAAUAUUGUGUUCUUUAUAGAGAAAUUUUAUUUUUUUUACUUUGUACUGGAUUUUAUUAAGAGCAUGCGAAGGCAUUGGAAUUAGCAUCAGUUCCUAGAUUAUGUUUUUCUAUUUCCAGGAGAUAGAACUUCCAUAGUUCCAUUUUUGCUGACUACUUUUGUUCAGGCCAGUAGCCAGUGGCAGAAAGUUCAGGACCGCUUAGAAACUGAUAAAAGAUGCUCCCGCUUUGAGAAAAUCGAUCGCUUGGAGAUUUUCCAGGUACUACUCAUUUUUCUAAUACAUCAUAACUAACUUUUUCCAAACAUCUCAUUUGUACGCCUCAGUUUUAAAGUUAUGUUGCAACCUUUUCUAUUUUAGGAAUACAUACGUGAUUUAGAGAGCGAAGAGAAGGAGCAAAGGAAACUGCAGAUGGUAUAUUGCUUAUUAGACUUGAGGGUUAAAAUUAAAUUUGGGUUUGGAGACUUUGAUUUAUCUCUUUCUCACUGGGCAUACAUCGUUGAUUCAAAUAGGAAGAAUUUAGGAAAGCUGAACAUAAAAAUUGUGAUGAGUUCAGAAAACUAAUGGAAGAGCACGUUGCUGCGGGAAUACUUAAUGCAAAAACUAACUGGCGGGAUUAUUGCAUCAAAGUUAGUUUUUCUUUCUUGUGUUCAGUGAGUGAUUACCUUCAUGAUUUCCCUUUUCAUCUUUUUGAAUUUUUCAUCCAAUAAUUUCCUUCUUUAUUUUGUGCUUGCAGAUUAAAGAUUUUGCUGCAUAUCUAGCUGUCUCAUCAAAUACUUCAGGAUCAACAGCAAAAGACUUAUUUACAGAUUUUAUGGAUGAUCUGGAGAAAUAGGUGAAAUAGGUUGCUAAUAGGAGUAUUGAAUUGUGUCAACUACAUUUGUUACACUAAGCCUUAUUUAUAGACUUUAAACUACAAUCCCUUUUCAUUAGCUUUUACUUAAUGAAGGUAUGAAUCUGAAUGGUUAAGAUAUCAGCCCACAAAGUCUAAAAAUCAUUUAGAUCCUCACUAAAAAUUUUAAUUCAUUAAGUAAUAAAGGAAGUUAGUGCAUUACUAUGUGGGAAUAUACUGGGUUUUUUGUUGUUGUUGUUGUUGUGCAUUAAAGAAUAGAACAUACUUGGUAGGAUAAAAUCAUGAGAUUGAGAUUUGAGAGUUACCCCUCUUCUUGCUUUUUUUUUUUUUUAAAUAACACAUAUUUUGUUGAGAUAAGAACAAUGACCUGUUGUUCCUAUUAAACAUCUGUGUUGUUUCUCUUUAUGCCAAUUAGUUUUCUCUUUUUUUUACUAGAUAGUAGGUAUUUAGGCUGAUAGUAUGUCAAUUAUUAGUAUGUUCCAACACUGGGCGUUUAAUAGCUCUAGCAAUUAGUUUUUAAAUUUCUGACAUUUUUGAUUGUUAUAGUUUUUUAAUUUCUGGCAUUUGUGAUUGUUUCACGGUUCUGAUGAAGUAUGCUGCUAAAUCUCUAGUUUCAAUUUGUCUAGCCUCUUUGGCUAUAAAAUUAAAUGCUCUGGAUUUUUACUUUUUUAUUCAUAAUCUCAUGAUUCUCAUUAUGUCGUAACAUUGAAUGUGAAUUUCUUUGUUGUUAUUAUUUUACAGAAUAAUGGGUGGUGAGGGCUUGCUGCUUGAAAUAUUUAACAAAUUUGUUAAUGAACUAAAAGAGAAGAAGUGCAAGCGUCAAGAGGAUAAGGUACUUGAAUUACUACAAACCCUUAUUCUUCUGCUACUUUCAGGUGGGGUAGUAGAUGUGUGGAUGUGAUUGGGUGUUGAUAUUGUUUUGCAGAAAUUUUGACUUACUGAGAUUCGCCACUUAAUUUUGAAAAGGAAUUAAGAAACCUUUAGAGAGCUACUGCAAAUGAUUCAAAAUAGAAAAAUCAUUUUAAGUUAGAGAUUCUAGAUAAGAGGUUCCUAUUAACGUUUUAGGAAGGGAUUAGGCACCUAAAAUGUCCUCUAACUUGCGGUUAUCCAGACUAUUUGAAAAUCGUCUUUUGAUCAACUUUGAAAAAGUUUAUUUUUUGAAAAGAAAAGCGAUUUUAGGAAUAUUUUGGUGUUUAUGCAAAACCAGUUUUUUAGCGACUUGACUAAGGAUUUUACUAGGUUCGCAAAACACACGUAAAACAAGUAAGCAAAUAAGACAAAAGGAAAGGGGAGAAGUAGUGAUUUAGGAUUUUAAGCCCAAACCAUCGACCCUGUCCUAAUCUAGUUAGGUUUUUGACCCAUCUUUCACCUGUCUUAAUUUUAUGUUUUAGAGCCCUUUUUGGCUCGAGUCUCGCUCCACCUAUUUUAAAUUUACAACUUUGGCUUCGAUGCCCAAAUGAAUAAAUAAAUAAGUCACUAAAUAAAUAAAAAUAUAAAUAAGUAAAUAAAUAAAUAAUGGAAACAAUGGAUAAAUAAAUCAAUAAAGAAGAAAUAACUAGAUUUUCAAGUCCCGUUUGCCGCUUCAAAGAUGGAACUUUAACCCAUUCUUCUUUCAAUUCCUCGUAUCCAUACGCCAUGCGAUGGAUUCUUGGAUUUUCUUUUUGGCUUAACUCGGAAGGAUAGGCCUCAUUGGCCCAUUUAUGAAAUGCAAAGAGAGAAGGGGCCCAUUUGAAUUCCAAGGGGGGUGCAUGCAAAGAAAGGAAUGAAGAAAUUAACAUACGUCCAAGAUUUUAACAAUUAAUAAGCUAUAGCAUUCAUGCUUCAUUCAAAUACACUCAUACACAGGUAAAAAUGCCACAGGAGCAAAAGUCUAUAAUGUUUGAAGAAACUAUUCAUAAUUAAUUAAAGAAAUUUCAACUACAGGAGGAAAUACAGCUUCAACAAGAAAUUCUUAUGGUCUUUAGCAAAAUAAAGAAAAUAAUUUAUCACUUUAAUGCCACAAAAGGACCCAAUUAAGCAUGUCACAAAAAAGAGUUACAACUCCUGGAUCAUACUACAUAAACAAUGGAUCACAAGCAACGUUCAAAUUCCAGAAUGCCAAACAUACAAAAUUAAAGACUUAAUCACUUUAGGCAAGGAAUACGAUAGCUAAAACUUCAAGAAAAGCAAGGCUAAAAUCUUAACGCCUUCGUUACCACUGGGUUAACAAACAAAUGAGAUUAAAACACUACAUAAACCCAAUUUUAGGUAAUUUAAUCAUGAGACAAGAUGCCACAACUUAUAUACGAACAAGAAAAGCAAGAAAGGAAAGAAACAUUAGCCCGUCAAACUUUAAUUUGUUCUCAUGAGUCAAUACAACAAAUUGAAUUAGCCAUGAAGAAAACAUAAUUCAUCCCUAUGGUCCACUCUCAUAUUUUAAAAUAAACUUUAGAAUCAAAUAAGACUAUUGUACAUCGAGAGUGGCAAGUCAGAAGAAAAUUACAUUCGAGUUCUUAUUUAUAAAAAUUUCCUGCGUUUGAGCAAAAAAGAUAUGCGAACAGGCUUCCUAAUAUCUAUUCUUUGAACAUUUUUUUGCAUUUCAAAAAUACGUAAAGAUUUUAUUCUCCUACUCUAUGAACUACAAAGCAACAUUGAAUAUGAGACCAACAAAAUAGUUUCUAAUGUCGAAGAAUUAAAGCUAACUAGUAACAUUCAGACAGAAUAAAAUGAGAGAGAUCAAGCAUGAUCGACAACCAAUCGAACACGGGAAAGAAUGAGUUUUUUAGUAGAACAAUAUAUCAAACACAAAAAUCCUAUGCCUUCCAUGCCUCUACAACAGUCAUUCCCAGAAAACAGAAGUGGAACCACGAAGAAGAAAAUGAUAACCACAACAAAAUUAAAAAGAAAGGUGUAUUUACCUCUUUCGAGGUAGCAAAAUGGGAUAACGAGCUGACGAUAGGAUUUCGACCACCGAAAAACUCACAACUGCUUCGACAGUUCAAACGCGCCUCCUAGGAAUGUAUGUUUCUUAGGCGUAAAGAUAAUAUUUUAUCCUUCUGAGAGCCCCCCUUUCUAACCCUUUUUUUUGUGUAUUUCUGAAUUUUUGAAGAUUUUCUCAAACCCUAAAUUCUCAACCCAAAAAUUUUGAACCCCCUUUGCCUCUAAAAUUUUGAACUCCAAAGAGAAAUAAGAGGAGAACCCAUAAAAGAAACGAGAGGCCAGUGAAAAAAAUUCCAAAAUCCCCCCAAAAAAUCCCCUUUUCUUGCUCUAAAGAGAGCUACUUAUAGAAGGGGAUUAAGGGUUCAUUUUUGAAAUUCAAAAGAUCCAGACCCUACCGAAUCGUACCUCUAUUUUGAUUUUCUUGAAUGGAAUUCCAAAAAGUGGCCAAUAGAAAUUGGUGGAAAGGGAUUAAUCUUCACAAGCCAAUGAAAAUACUCCACCUAUGUACGAAUUCAUAAACCUCUAUCCGAGAAUUUUGGGAUUUGAACGUUGGAUGAGACACCAAAGUGUGUUUCUAGAAGAUUCUCGGCAUCUUCUCAUUUAGAUUCGCGUGGAACGUGCGUGAUCAUAAAGAGGAAAAAGAAAAUAGGUUGAAUUUGGGUGCUGCGUCCUAUUUGAAGUCAUCUGCACCUGUGGUUUUGAUUUGAGAUUUUCAUCCUCUCAGAUGCUCUCGACAAUACUUCAAGCAAAAAGUUUUAGUUUUAAACAUAAUUCACGAAAGAGGUAUGCAGUCUUUUACCAUAUCUCCACGUGAGUUGUGGCCUGAAAAGAUGAGUCAUCUCUUCAUGUACCUGUUUGGAAUGAAAUAACCGGCAAUACCAAACACAACAACCCUCUUGGUUGUUGUAUAAUUAUGAAAUUUGUCGGUUGAAUAUGUCUUCAAAGUGGGUGGCCCUUUUGGACACCGGUGAUACUUUAUGCAGAACGGUCUCUAUAACCGUGUAAUCUUGUGCUGGUGUGGAAACCCUUUGGGUACCUAUAUCAGUUCCUAGAUUAUGUUUUUCUAUUUCCAGGAGAUAGAACUUCCAUAGUUCCAUUUUUGCUAACUUGUUUUGUUCAGGCCAGUAGACAGUGGCGGAAAGUUCAGGACCGCUUGGAAACUGAAGAAAGAUGCUCCCGCCUCGAGAAAAUCGACCGCUUGGAGAUUUUCCAGGUACUACUCAUUUUUCUAAUACAUCAUAAAUAACUUUUUCCAAACAUCUCAUUUGUACGCCUCAGUUUUAAAGUUAUGUUGCAACCUUUUCUAUUUUAGGAAUACAUACGUGAUUUAGAGAGCGAAGAGAAGGAGCAAAGGAAACUGCAGAUGGUAUAUUGCUUAUUAGACUCGAGGGUUAAAAUUAAAUUUAUGUUUGGAGCCUUUGAUUUAUCUCUUUCUCACUGGGCAUACACCGUUGAUUCAAAUAGGAAGAAUUUAGGAAAGCUGAACGUAAAAAUCGUGAUGAGUUCAGAAAACUAAUGGAAGAGCACGUUGCUGCGGGAAUACUUAAUGCAAAAACUAACUGGCGUGAUUAUUGUAUCAAAGUUAGUUUUUCUUUCUUGUGUUCAGUGAGUGAUUACCUUCAUGAUUUCCCUUUUCAUCUUUUUGAAUUUUUCAUCCAAUAAUUUCCUUCUUUAUUUUGUGCUUGCAGAUUAAAGAUUUUGCUGCAUAUCUAGCUGUCUCAUCAAAUACUUCAGGAUCAACAGCAAAAGACUUAUUUACAGAUUUUAUGGAUGAUCUGGAGAAAUAGGUGAAAUAGGUUGCUAAUAGGAGUAUUGAAUUGUGUCAACUACAUUUGUUACAAUAAGCCAUAUUUAUAGAAUUUAAACUACAAGCCCUUUUCAUUAGCUUUUACUUAAUGAAGGUAUGAAUCUGAAUGGUUAAGAUAUCAGCCCAUUAAGUGCUUUUUAAAAAAAAAAGAUUCAACCUGUUAAUAUAUCUUAAUGAAUCAGAUGUUAAACAAAGUCUGAAAAUCAUUUAGAUCCUCACUAAAAAUUUUAAUUCAUUAAGUAAUAAAGGAAGUUAGUGCAUUACUAUGUGGGAAUAUACUGGGUUUUUUGUUGUUGUUGUUGUUGUGCAUUAAAGAAUAGAACAUACUUGGUAGGAUAAAAUCAUGAGAUUGAGAUUUGAGAGUUACCCCUCUUCUUGCUUUUUUUUUAAAUAACACAUAUUUUGUUGAGAUAAAGAACAAUGACCGGUUGUUCCUAUUAAACAUCUGUGUUGUUUCUCUUUAUGCCAAUUAGUUUCCUCUUUUUUUUUACUAGAUAGAAGGUAUUUAGGCUGAUAGGAAUGGUAUUUUCGUAAGGUUUUAAGUUAGGGGUUCCAUACUUUUAAUGUAGUAUAGAUUUAGGUGAUUCUUUCAAUCUAGCCAAGUUGUAUUAAAUGCUACUUCACGGAUAAUUGUAAUUGACUUCUCCUCCGUUGAAUGCUGUUAAUGGUUAUAUUACCGUAAUUGUUAUAGUUUAUCGAGCAGAACAACUCUGAGAAGUGAUCAUCAAACAUCCAUGUUUUCACGUAGUUUCUUUGACUUUCGAGGACUCCUUUAAAGUAUCACACAACCACACCAUUGUGUUUCAUCUAAGACUGUAUUUGUUUUUAUUAAUAUUCAGACAUUUGAAUCAUUUUGAAUGCACUUCUGAAUGGUUAAGAUAUUGUCUCUAGAUCUUAAAACUAAAUGAUUAAGGUUGGGUGUUUCUCAAUAUCAGAAUGUGCAAAAUUUAUUUAUUUCUAAAUAUAAUAUAAUUAUAUAUUAUAAAUUUUUUUAAUUUAAUGCAAUUACAUUAUUAUUUGAUUAAAAAAAUAAAUAUUUAUAUUUGCUAGUGAUAGUGGAGAUGGUUUGUAAUGGUGGUGGUGGUUGUAAUAAAUUAAUUGAUGUUGGUGCUUAGCAAUAUUGGUGAUGAUAGUUGUGAUAGUAGAGAUAGUUGGCAAUGUAGUAACUGUCAUGAUAUUGGCGAUUGGUAAUGGUGGUGGUGGUUGUGAUGUGAAGUUGGUUAAUGUUAGUAGUUGGAGGUGUUGAUUGUGGUGAUGGAAAACUGUUUACAUGAUGGUUGAAGAUAUGUUGGUGGUCGUUGGAGACGCUAUUAGAUGUGAUAGUGGAAUGGUUGUUAGUACAGAUACUGUAGCGAGUGUAGUGGAUUUUAGUGGUAGAGGUGGUGACACCGAUGACAGUGGUGGUGGUUGAAGAAUGUUUGGAAGUUGAUGAUGUGUUAGUGGUUGUUAGCGAUGUGUGGAAGUUGAUGAUGUGUUGGUGGUUAUUAGUGGUAGUGCUAGUUCUGAUAGAUGAGUUGGUUGGUAGUAGGGAUCGACCGGUAGCAGUUGAUGGUGGCGGCGUUGGCUGUAGGGGUGUUCAUGGGUCAAUAUGUGUCGGUUAUUGGUCAAAACCAAAACCAAACAAUCUUAAUCGGUUUUUAAAUUUCUAAAACCAAACCAAACCAAACAAAAAAAUAACCAUUGGUUUGGUUCUUGUCGGUUUAGUUCGGUUUGAUUUGGAUUUUUUGGUUUAUAACUUUAGUUAAUGAUCAAAGUUGAAAAUUUUAAAAACAAAUCCAAUCUAACAUAUGAGAUGGCAAUCGAGUGUUGUAUCUCAAUCUUGAAACUAUGAUGUCAACUGAGUGUUAUACUUCGGCUAAGCCACGAUAACACCAUAUGAACGCUUUUAAAAAAAUAUUUAAAAACUAUAUUUAAUAGAAUGAUAUGAUAAACCCCCAAAAGGUGAACACAUAAACUUUUUGCUCAACAAGGUUGAAAAGAAAGUUAAAAUUAGUGAUUGUGUAUAGUCUAAUGAAUUUCAGCUGUAAAUUUCAAUAUAUAACAAGAUAUUAUUUUCACAAUUAGUAUCAUUUGUCAUUCAAAAUAUGAAAUUCAUUUAGAAUCUCAUAAUGUAUUGUCAACUAGAUGAAGAUAUAUGACUGAAUGUGUUGCGACUAAAGUUAAAUCAUGAUUAAAAUAUAAAAUGUAACAAAUAUUUAGAUUACAAUUAUGAAAAACAUAUAAAUAAUUAUAAUAUAUAUGUAUAUAGGUUCAGUUUGGUUAUUUUGUCGAUUAUUUUAGAGUAUAACCAAACCAAACCAAACCAAAUUAGUAUCUGUUUUUUCAAAUUCAAAUCCAAACCAAACCUAACCAAAUAUAGGUUUUUUUAAUCGGUUUGGUUUUGAUCGCGGUUUAGUUUGGUUAAAAACCAAAUCAUGAACACCCCUAGUUGGCGGUGGAUUUAUUUAGAAUAAUGAAAGUGGUAGGUGUGGUAGCGGCUGGCAGUGUAGUUGCUAUGAUGUUGGUUGUGAUGGUGGAAGUGGUUGGUGGUGGUGACAGGUGAUUAUGGAUAGAGUGGUGGUGAAUUUUAUCCUACACAAGAAUAUUUGUAAAUGAUAUUUAGACUUGGUUCCACAACUGAAUGAUUAAGACCUACUCAGACCUAUUAAGAGCUAAAAUCCUAAUAAAAACAAAUGCGCUUAAUGGUUUGAGGUCUGAACAGGUUCAUAAAUCCAGUAAGUGCAAACAAAUAAGACCUGAAAGUAGUUUGUCUGGUCAAGUUUCGACCAUGUUUUGUCCAUUUGUACCACACCCCAGUUUUGAUUUCACUUCGGAUGAUAUUACAACAACAACAACAACAAACCCAGUGUAUUCCCACUUAGUGGGGUCUGGGGGGGGUAAGAUGUACGCAGUCCAUACCUCUACCUCUGAUGAGGUAGAAAGGCUGUUUCCGAAAUCCCCCCGGCUCAAGUCACGAGAUAUCACACAAACACAUAGUACAGCACAGAAGCAGAUGACAUAACAUAGAUGCGGCACCCAUAAGGAAUAUAAAGCAGAGUAAAGCAUGAAUGCAGGAGUAUAAAGCAGAGGAAAGCACACAUAUUCGUAAUAAACAUGGAACACGGAACACGGAACAUUGAAUACGGAAUCAUAACAGGAAUACACCCCCACCAAUUAAUUCCNNNNNNNNNNNNNNNNNNNNNNNNNNNNNNNNNNNNNNNNNNNNNNNNNNNNNNNNNNNNNNNNNNNNNNNNNNNNNNNNNNNNNNNNNNNNNNNNNNNNNNNNNNNNNNNNNNNNNNNNNNNNNNNNNNNNNNNNNNNNNNNNNNNNNNNNNNNNNNNNNNNNNNNNNNNNNNNNNNNNNNNNNNNNNNNNNNNNNNNNNNNNNNNNNNNNNNNNNNNNNNNNNNNNNNNNNNNNNNNNNNNNNNNNNNNNNNNNNNNNNNNNNNNNNNNNNNNNNNNNNNNNNNNNNNNNNNNNNNNNNNNNNNNNNNNNNNNNNNNNNNNNNNNNNNNNNNNNNNNNNNNNNNNNNNNNNNNNNNNNNNNNNNNNNNNNNNNNNNNNNNNNNNNNNNNNNNNNNNNNNNNNNNNNNNNNNNNNNNNNNNNNNNNNNNNNNNNNNNNNNNNNNNNNNNNNNNNNNNNNNNNNNNNNNNNNNNNNNNNNNNNNNNNNNNNNNNNNNNNNNNNNNNNNNNNNNNNNNNNNNNNNNNNNNNNNNNNNNNNNNNNNNNNNNNNNNNNNNNNNNNNNNNNNNNNNNNNNNNNNNNNNNNNNNNNNNNNNNNNNNNNNNNNNNNNNNNNNNNNNNNNNNNNNNNNNNNNNNNNNNNNNNNNNNNNNNNNNNNNNNNNNNNNNNNNNNNNNNNNNNNNNNNNNNNNNNNNNNNNNNNNNNNNNNNNNNNNNNNNNNNNNNNNNNNNNNNNNNNNNNNNNNNNNNNNNNNNNNNNNNNNNNNNNNNNNNNNNNNNNNNNNNNNNNNNNNNNNNNNNNNNNNNNNNNNNNNNNNNNNNNNNNNNNNNNNNNNNNNNNNNNNNNNNNNNNNNNNNNNNNNNNNNNNNNNNNNNNNNNNNNNNNNNNNNNNNNNNNNNNNNNNNNNNNNNNNNNNNNNNNNNNNNNNNNNNNNNNNNNNNNNNNNNNNNNNNNNNNNNNNNNNNNNNNNNNNNNNNNNNNNNNNNNNNNNNNNNNNNNNNNNNNNNNNNNNNNNNNNNNNNNNNNNNNNNNNNNNNNNNNNNNNNNNNNNNNNNNNNNNNNNNNNNNNNNNNNNNNNNNNNNNNNNNNNNNNNNNNNNNNNNNNNNNNNNNNNNNNNNNNNNNNNNNNNNNNNNNNNNNNNNNNNNNNNNNNNNNNNNNNNNNNNNNNNNNNNNNNNNNNNNNNNNNNNNNNNNNNNNNNNNNNNNNNNNNNNNNNNNNNNNNNNNNNNNNNNNNNNNNNNNNNNNNNNNNNNNNNNNNNNNNNNNNNNNNNNNNNNNNNNNNNNNNNNNNNNNNNNNNNNNNNNNNNNNNNNNNNNNNNNNNNNNNNNNNNNNNNNNNNNNNNNNNNNNNNNNNNNNNNNNNNNNNNNNNNNNNNNNNNNNNNNNNNNNNNNNNNNNNNNNNNNNNNNNNNNNNNNNNNNNNNNNNNNNNNNNNNNNNNNNNNNNNNNNNNNNNNNNNNNNNNNNNNNNNNNNNNNNNNNNNNNNNNNNNNNNNNNNNNNNNNNNNNNNNNNNNNNNNNNNNNNNNNNNNNNNNNNNNNNNNNNNNNNNNNNNNNNNNNNNNNNNNNNNNNNNNNNNNNNNNNNNNNNNNNNNNNNNNNNNNNNNNNNNNNNNNNNNNNNNNNNNNNNNNNNNNNNNNNNNNNNNNNNNNNNNNNNNNNNNNNNNNNNNNNNNNNNNNNNNNNNNNNNNNNNNNNNNNNNNNNNNNNNNNNNNNNNNNNNNNNNNNNNNNNNNNNNNNNNNNNNNNNNNNNNNNNNNNNNNNNNNNNNNNNNNNNNNNNNNNNNNNNNNNNNNNNNNNNNNNNNNNNNNNNNNNNNNNNNNNNNNNNNNNNNNNNNNNNNNNNNNNNNNNNNNNNNNNNNNNNNNNNNNNNNNNNNNNNNNNNNNNNNNNNNNNNNNNNNNNNNNNNNNNNNNNNNNNNNNNNNNNNNNNNNNNNNNNNNNNNNNNNNNNNNNNNNNNNNNNNNNNNNNNNNNNNNNNNNNNNNNNNNNNNNNNNNNNNNNNNNNNNNNNNNNNNNNNNNNNNNNNNNNNNNNNNNNNNNNNNNNNNNNNNNNNNNNNNNNNNNNNNNNNNNNNNNNNNNNNNNNNNNNNNNNNNNNNNNNNNNNNNNNNNNNNNNNNNNNNNNNNNNNNNNNNNNNNNNNNNNNNNNNNNNNNNNNNNNNNNNNNNNNNNNNNNNNNNNNNNNNNNNNNNNNNNNNNNNNNNNNNNNNNNNNNNNNNNNNNNNNNNNNNNNNNNNNNNNNNNNNNNNNNNNNNNNNNNNNNNNNNNNNNNNNNNNNNNNNNNNNNNNNNNNNNNNNNNNNNNNNNNNNNNNNNNNNNNNNNNNNNNNNNNNNNNNNNNNNNNNNNNNNNNNNNNNNNNNNNNNNNNNNNNNNNNNNNNNNNNNNNNNNNNNNNNNNNNNNNNNNNNNNNNNNNNNNNNNNNNNNNNNNNNNNNNNNNNNNNNNNNNNNNNNNNNNNNNNNNNNNNNNNNNNNNNNNNNNNNNNNNNNNNNNNNNNNNNNNNNNNNNNNNNNNNNNNNNNNNNNNNNNNNNNNNNNNNNNNNNNNNNNNNNNNNNNNNNNNNNNNNNNNNNNNNNNNNNNNNNNNNNNNNNNNNNNNNNNNNNNNNNNNNNNNNNNNNNNNNNNNNNNNNNNNNNNNNNNNNNNNNNNNNNNNNNNNNNNNNNNNNNNNNNNNNNNNNNNNNNNNNNNNNNNNNNNNNNNNNNNNNNNNNNNNNNNNNNNNNNNNNNNNNNNNNNNNNNNNNNNNNNNNNNNNNNNNNNNNNNNNNNNNNNNNNNNNNNNNNNNNNNNNNNNNNNNNNNNNNNNNNNNNNNNNNNNNNNNNNNNNNNNNNNNNNNNNNNNNNNNNNNNNNNNNNNNNNNNNNNNNNNNNNNNNNNNNNNNNNNNNNNNNNNNNNNNNNNNNNNNNNNNNNNNNNNNNNNNNNNNNNNNNNNNNNNNNNNNNNNNNNNNNNNNNNNNNNNNNNNNNNNNNNNNNNNNNNNNNNNNNNNNNNNNNNNNNNNNNNNNNNNNNNNNNNNNNNNNNNNNNNNNNNNNNNNNNNNNNNNNNNNNNNNNNNNNNNNNNNNNNNNNNNNNNNNNNNNNNNNNNNNNNNNNNNNNNNNNNNNNNNNNNNNNNNNNNNNNNNNNNNNNNNNNNNNNNNNNNNNNNNNNNNNNNNNNNNNNNNNNNNNNNNNNNNNNNNNNNNNNNNNNNNNNNNNNNNNNNNNNNNNNNNNNNNNNNNNNNNNNNNNNNNNNNNNNNNNNNNNNNNNNNNNNNNNNNNNNNNNNNNNNNNNNNNNNNNNNNNNNNNNNNNNNNNNNNNNNNNNNNNNNNNNNNNNNNNNNNNNNNNNNNNNNNNNNNNNNNNNNNNNNNNNNNNNNNNNNNNNNNNNNNNNNNNNNNNNNNNNNNNNNNNNNNNNNNNNNNNNNNNNNNNNNNNNNNNNNNNNNNNNNNNNNNNNNNNNNNNNNNNNNNNNNNNNNNNNNNNNNNNNNNNNNNNNNNNNNNNNNNNNNNNNNNNNNNNNNNNNNNNNNNNNNNNNNNNNNNNNNNNNNNNNNNNNNNNNNNNNNNNNNNNNNNNNNNNNNNNNNNNNNNNNNNNNNNNNNNNNNNNNNNNNNNNNNNNNNNNNNNNNNNNNNNNNNNNNNNNNNNNNNNNNNNNNNNNNNNNNNNNNNNNNNNNNNNNNNNNNNNNNNNNNNNNNNNNNNNNNNNNNNNNNNNNNNNNNNNNNNNNNNNNNNNNNNNNNNNNNNNNNNNNNNNNNNNNNNNNNNNNNNNNNNNNNNNNNNNNNNNNNNNNNNNNNNNNNNNNNNNNNNNNNNNNNNNNNNNNNNNNNNNNNNNNNNNNNNNNNNNNNNNNNNNNNNNNNNNNNNNNNNNNNNNNNNNNNNNNNNNNNNNNNNNNNNNNNNNNNNNNNNNNNNNNNGGUAGGCUGGGGGGUGGAGAGAGGGUCGGGAGAGAGAGAGAGGGGGAGAGAGCCGUUGGGAGAGGGUCGGGAGAGAGAGAGAGCAACUUAAAUCCCAAUUCAAAAUAUAUUGUGUUGUCAACCAUAUAAAUUGGACUAAAUAAAAUUAGUUCCAGAAUUCGCCUCUGAAGAAGUAGUUGAGAUGUAAUGAAAGUAAAGGCUUAGAAAAGAUUAGCCUCGGAAAAAGUGCCUAAGAUCAUCUCUGUUUCUCUAAAUAAAGUUGCAUCUCCCUCACUAUGAUUUUGUUAGCCGUAAUCCACACUUGCGACUAACUAAACGAUAUAUUGUUUCAUCCUCUACCCUUUCUGAAAAGAAUUGAAGUUGAAUGAUCAAAUGUUAUUAGCAUUUAUCUCCUUGCUUGAUGAAAGAGAGAGUUUACCUGGUAUCCUAGCAUGGUAAUGAUCUUGUUCGUACUCUUAUUCAGUGAUUGAAUUUGGUAAUGUUUUCUUGAGUUAGGCUCUUGCUAUGGGAUGGUGAGAGUUAUACAUAACUCAGAUGCUGAAAAUCUUUUCUUUUUCUCUUGUAAGAUAAAGAUGUCAACUUCUAUCUUUAAAGUUUGUAUUACUGUAUGUGUGCAUAAAUGAUUCUUAUUAAGUAAAUAUAACGAAAGCGCUGUUCACAGAGAUGCUAUCCAUUUUUAUUUAUUCACUUUUUUUAUUAUCAAAAUAGGGGUGCUUGAUUUUUUCCUCAAUUUAACCUGAUCAGUGCAAUUAAGUUUAUGUGUCAAGUUUCUUGUGAUAUUGUAGAUGACUUUGAACAAGUGGAGAAAUGUUGGUAUUCAUGAAAGAAAUUUCAUCCCCAUCACCCUGCUUGUAAUUUAUAGACUUUAUGGUAACUCAAAUGCAUGGACAAGGCUCCAUUUGGUAUCCUAUUUUUGUUACUGAUAAGCAUUCUGAAUUUGUGUUACUUGUCUGUUGCUUCAGUAUCUUGAUGACAAGUCACAAAUUAAAGAUGCAGUUAGGAUGGCCGAGGUAAUCACCACUCUUCAUUUUAACCUCUUUUGUGCUUCGGUUAGUACCUAAUAUUUUGGCUGAGCCGUCUCUACUUUCAGAUUGGAUUGACAUCAACCUGGGCAUUUGAUGAUUUUAAGGUUGAAAUCACCAAGUAUAUUAGCUCUCCAACAAUGUUAGAUACCAACUUAAAAGUCUAAUUAUGGCUAGGAACUGUAUACUGUUUCACAUCGACCCAUGUUGAAUUGGAUGUUGUGAAAAUUGAAGUACCCCAUUCACUAAAUGGAUUUCUAUGUAUUUGUCCCCUUUUUGUCUUUGGGACAGGUCCUGGAUAAGAUGAGUGGAUUGAGUGCAAAAGCAUUAGUAGUACUUCCAUGUUAUGUUUCACUGGAAGUCGGUCAGCUUGUGAUUGCUAAAUUGGCAACUCAUAGGUAGUCAACUAUGAUUAGUGGAAUUUUCCUUUAGUAUCAACCAUAACCUAUCCCAUAUUAAAUUUGGAUCUUCUUGUAAUGGAGUUAAUAGAGGAGUAGUGUGUCGGUUAGCAAGUAAGCCUGAAACCUUCAAGAAUAAAGACGAGGACCACAUUGAUCAAAUAUUUGGUGUUAGCUUUUGCUUCCAAUUCUUCAGUUUUGGUUCCAUUUUCCUUAGUUUUUAUUUUUUGGAUGGCGUUGUUUAAUAUUACACCUACCGCAUACAUCUUAAGUUGCUUAAUUCAAAGCAAUUUGCCUUGUAGUUUUCUAUUUUUACGGUUAGUGGAUAAGAGUUUUACUCUACGAAACUGGUUAAAAAUCAUAACUGGAUGAUAUCAACGAUCAUUUGCUAUUUUUGUAAUGAGGAUAUUCUUCAUUUAUCAUUUGGAUUUUGGAGGUUAUUUAUGGUCAUGGCGUAUAAUCUAUGUAUGUGGGAAGAGGGAAUUGCAAGGGNNNNNNNNNNNNNNNNNNNNNNNNNNNAUGGUAAUAAUACUCUUACAUUAUAUCCCCUUGCCUUCCAAACGAAGGAAUAAGAGGACAUACAUGGAUUAUACUUAAUCUUAUUCCAUACUUCCUUUCUAAACUUUAUGUUCUACGCGUUUGGGCUUGCCGGGUCAUUGAGUAUUGAAUGUGCAUAUUUCAUCUGCAUAGUUUUUCUUUGAGGAGUUACUGGAAAGAGCCAGGGAGAAAGAAGAAAAAGAAGCUAAAAAGCAUAAACGUCUAGAAGAUGAGUUCUAUGAACUCCUUCAUGCAUCAAAGGUAUAGUAAACAGUUUACAAUCUCUCACAUUUCAAUGGAUGGGAUCCCAUGAUAUUUCCUUUAAACCAUAAUCUAUUUGUUUGCUGUGGUAGCAGGAAAUUACUGCAUCAUCGAAAUGGGAGGACUGUAAAUCCCUCUUCGGAGAUAGGAAAGUAGCUUCUUUUGCUUUUAUUAUUCUAGAAUUAGUAACAUGAUUGCAAGGACCAUUGGAGAAUGAUAAUUGAUAUUAUUUUCAAGGACCAACUCCUUCAAUAUUCUAAACUCAGUAAUUCACAUAGUUCUAGAAUGUACCUUAGAAUAAUAGCUGUGUUGAAUGAUUUGUUGUUUUAUAUUCCUCAACAUUUAGGUAGGCUAUUUCUUUAUAGUAUUAGCAUGAAUUACCAUUUUGCUAAGUGAUUUUUAAUGUUGAACUUAUCCCUCUAGAAAUUGGUUGAUGUCAAUUAUUAGUUGUUCCAACACUGGGCGUUUAAUAGCUCUAGAAAUUAGUUUUUAAAUUUCUGACAUUUGUGAUUGUUAUAGUUUUUUAAUUUCUGGCAUUUGUGAUUGUUUCACGGUUCUGAUGAAGUAUGCUGCUAAAUCUCUAGUUUCAAUUUGUCUAGCCUCUUUGGCUAUAAAAUUAAAUGCUCUGGAUUUUUACUUUUUUAUUCAUAAUCUCAUGAUUCUCAUUAUGUCGUAACAUUGAAUGUGAAUUUCUUUGUUGUUAUUAGUUUACAGACUAAUGGGUGAUGAGGGCUUGCUGCUUGAAAUAUUUAACAAAUUUGUUAAUGAACUAAAAGAGGAGGAGCACAAGCAUCAAGAGGAUAAGGUACUUGAAUUACUACAAACCCUUAUUCUUCUGCUACUUUCAGGUGGGGUAGUAGAUGUGUGGAUGUGAUUGUGGUUGAUAUUGUUUUGCAGAAAUUUUAACUUUUUGAGAGUCGCCACUUAAUUUUGAAAAGGAAUUAAGAAAACCUUUAGAGAGCUACUGUAAAUAAUUCAAAAUAGAAAAAUUAUUUUAAGUUAGAGAUUCUAGAUAAGAGGUUCCUAUUAACGUUUUAGGAAGGGAUUAGGCACCUAAAAUGUCCUCUAACUUGCGGUUAUCCGGACUAUUUGAAAAUCGUCUUUUGAUCAACUUUGAAAAAGUUUAUUUUUUGAAAAGAAAAGCGAUUUUAGGAAUAUUUUGGUAUUUAUGCAAAACCAGUUUUUUAGCAACUUGACUAAGGAUUUUACUAGGUUCCCAAAACACACGUAAAACAAGUAAGCAAAUAGACAAAAGGGAAAGGGGAGAAGUAGUGAUUUAGGAUUUUAAGCCCAAACCAUCGACCCUGUCCUAAUCUAGUUAGGUUUUUGAUCCAUCUUUCACCUGUCUUAAUUUUAUGUUUUCGAGCCCUUUUUGGCUCGAGUCUCGCUCCACCUGUUUUAAAUUUACAACUUUGGCUUCGAUGACCAAAUGAAUAAAUAAAUAAAUAAGUCACUAAAUAAACAAAAAUAUAAAUAAGUAAAUAAAUAAAUAAUGGAAACAAUGGAUAAAUAAAUCAAUAAAUAAGAAAUAACGAGAUUUUCAAGUCCCCUUUGUCUCUUCAAAGAUGGAACUUUAACCCAUUCUUCUUUCGAUUCCUCGUAUCCAUACGCCAUGUGAUGGAUUCUUGGAUUUACUUUUGGGCUUAACUCGGAAGGAUAGGCCUCAUUGGCCCAUUUAUGAAAUGCAAAGGGAGAAAGGCCCAUUUGAACGCCAACGGGGGUGCAUGCAAAGAAAGGAAUGAAGAAAUUAACAUACGUCCAAGAUUUUAACAAUUAAUAAGCUAUAGCAUUCUUGCUUCAUUCAAAUACACUCAUACACAGGUAAAAAUGCCACAGGAGAAAAAGUCUAUAAUGUUUGAAGAAAAUGUUCAUAAUCAAUUAAAGAAAUUUCAACUACAGGAGGAAAUACAGCUUCAACAAGAAAUUCUUAUGGUCUUUAGCAAAAUAAAGAAAAUAAUUUAUCACUUUGAUGCCACAAAAGGACCCAAUUAAGCAUGUCACAAAAAAGAGUUACAACUCCUGGAUCAUACUACAUAAAUGAUGGAUCACAAGCAACGUUCAAAUUCCAGAAUGCCAAACAUACAAAAUUAAAGACUUAAUCACUUUAGGCAAGGAAUACGAUAGCUAAAACUUCAAGAAAAGCAAGGCUAAAAUCUUAAUGCCUUCGUUACCACUGGGUUAACAAACAAAUUAGAUUAAAACACUACAUAAACCCAAUUUUAGGUAAUUUAAUCAUGAGACAAGAUGCCACAACUUAUAUGCGAACAAGAAAAGCAAGAAAGGAAAGAAACAUUAGCCCAUCAAACUUUAAUUUGUUCUUAUGAGUCAAUUACAGCAAAUUGAAUUAGCCAUGAAGAAAACAUAAUUCAUCCCUAUGGUCCACUCUCAUAUUUUAAAAUAAACUUUAGAAUCAAAUGAGACUAUUGUACAUCGAGAGUGGCAAGUCAAAAGAAAAUUACAUUCGAGUCCUUAUUUAUAACAAUUUCCUGCGUUUGAGUGAAAAAGAUAUGCGAACAGGCUUCCUAAUAACUAUUCUUUGAACAUUUUUUUGCAUUUCAAAAAUACGUAAAGAUUUUAUUCUCCUACUCUAUGAACUACAAAGCAACAUUGAAUAUGAGACCAGCACAAUAGUUUCUAAUGUCGAAGAAUUAAAGCUAACUAGUAACAUUCAGACAGAAUAAAAUGAAAGAGAUCAAGCAUGAUCGACAACCAAUCAAACACGGGCAAGAAUGAGUUUUUUAGUAGAACAAUAUAUCAAACACAAAAAUCCUAUGCCUUCCACGCCUCUACAACAGUCAUUCCCAGCAAACAGAAGUGGAACCACGAAGAAGAAAAUGAUAACCACAACAAAAUUAAAAAGAAAGGUGUAUUUACCUCUUUCGAGGUAGCAAAAUGGGAUAACGAGCUGACGAUAGGAUUUCGACCACCGAAAAACUCACAACUGCUUCGACAGUUCAAACGCACCUCCUAGGAAUGUAUGUUUCUUAGGCGUAAAGAUAAUAUUUUAUCCUUCUGAGAGCCCCCCUUUCUAACCCUUUUUUUGUGUAUUUCUGAAUUUUUGAAGAUUUUCUCAAACCCUAAAUUUUCAACCCAAAACUUUUGAACCCCCUUUGCCUCUAAAAUUUUGAACUCCAAAGAGAAAUAAGAGGAGAACCCAUAAAAGAAACGAGAGGCCAGUGAAAAAAAUUCAAAAAUCCCCCAAAAAAUCCCUUUUUCUUGCUCUAAAGAGAGCUACUUAUAGAAGGGGAUUAAGGGUUCAUUUUUGAAAUUCAAAAGAUUCGGACCCUACCGAACCGUACAUCUAUUUUGAUUUUCUUGAAUGGAAUUCCAAAAAGUGGCCAAUAGAAAUUGGUGGAAAGGGAUUAAUCCCCAAAAGCCAAUGAAAAUACUCCACCUAUGUACGAAUUCAUAAACCUCUAUCCGAGAAUUUUGGGAUUUGAACGUUGGAUGAGACACCUAAGUGUGUUUCUAGAAGAUUCUCGGCAUCUUCUCAUAUAGAUUCACGUGGAACGUGCUUGAUCAUAAAGAGGAAAAACAAAAUAGGUUGAAUUUGGGUGCUGCGUCCUAUUUGAAGUCAUCCGCACCUGUGGUUUUGACUUGAGAUUUUCAUCCUCUCAGAUGCUCUCGAUAAUACUUCAAGCAAAAAGUGUUAGUUUUAAACAUAAUUCACGAAAGAGGUAUGCAGUCUUUUACCAUAUCUCCACGUGAGUUGUGGCCUGAAAAGAUGAGUCGUCUCUUCAUGUACCUGUUUGGAAUGAAAUAUCCGGCAAUACCAAACACAACAACCCUCUUGGUUGUUGUAUAAUUAUGACAUUUUUCGGUUGAAUAUGUCUUCAAAGUGGGUGGCCCUUUUGGACACCGGUGAUACUUUAUGCAGAACGGUCUCUAUAAUCGUGUAAUCUUGUGCUGGUGUGGAAACCCUUUGGGUACCUAUAUCAUUUGUUGCAUGUGGGAUGAUAACCUCUCCGGUUAUAGCCGAUGAUCGAUUUAUAAAUUUCCUUUAAAUUAUCAAUCUUUGGAUAAUCUUACGCAUUAUUUGAUAUUGGAUACGAGGUGACUUACAGAUAUCCUUUUGAUUUCUAGGUUUUAGGUAAUCCUACACAUUAUCCGACUUUGAAUAAUAGAUGGCUUAUAGAUAUCCUUCCAAUUGCUAGCUUUCAGGUGUUCCUGCACAUUAUCCGACCUUGGAUACAAUGUGACUUUUAGAUAAUCCCUCAAAUUGUUAGUCUUGGGGUAAUCCUGCACAUAAUCGAUCUUGGAUAUGACACAACUUAUAGAGAACCCUUGGACGUAUCAAUUUGAUAAUCUUACAUAUUCUUCGGUAAGGAUUUAGUUGUGAAUUAUGUAUAACCUUUGAACUAUUGAUUUUUGGGCGAUCUUGCACACUAUCCGUUAGGAUGUUGUUAUGGCUUACGGAUGACCUACAGGCUAUCAACUCAUAGGUGAUUUUGCACACUAUCCUAUUUCAAAUAAUAUGACUUAUAGAUGACCCUCAAAUUGUAAAUUUCUAGGAAAUCUUAUAUAUCAUUUAUCCUUAGAUAGCGACUUAAAGGCGUCCCUUCAAAUCAUGUGCUCUCGAUGCAUUCAGAUGCUGAUUCAUAAAAUGAUAAGAUAUCAUCGACGCUAGUGUUUAUGUUUUGCAUGUUAAUAGAUAUAAAAUGAUGAUGAUAUCCUCAAUGCCAGCGUUGUGUCUUUCAUGUCAACAGAUAUAUUGAAUGCUGAUGAUAUCCUCGAUGCCAGCGUUGUGUCUUACACAUCAACAGAUAUAUUAAAUGUUGAUGAUAUCCUCGACGCCAGCAUUGUGUCUUGCACGUCAACAGAUAUUGCAUGAUGAUGAUAUCCUCAAUGCCAGCAUUGUGUCUUGCAUGUUAACAGAUAUUGCAUGUUGAUGAUAUCCUCGAUGCAAGCGUUGUAUCUUGCGUGUCAACAGAUAUAUAAUAAUGAUGAUAUCCUCGACGCCAGCGUUAUGUAUAGCCCAUCAAUAGAUGAUAUAUAUAUUAAAUGCUGAUGAUAUAUUCAAUGCCAGCAUUGUGUCUAGAGCAUCAACAGAUAUUGAAUGACGAUGAUAUGCAAUGGCCCUCUUGGCAAUGACAUGCAAUGGUUCUUCCAGUAAAUUAAAAACAGUUUCUCCUGAAAUCAUUUGUAAGGGUCUUGCUUUCUGCAUGUACCUGUACUCAAGGUAGAUGAUUAGUAGACAAAAAGUCGCUUUUGCUAGUGACUAUUUUUUUUUAUAAAAAUUUUAAAUACAAUAUUUGUAACGAAGACAAGACACUUUUGUUUGUCCUCCAUGAUCUCAAGAAAUGAGAUGGACAAUUCGAAAGGUCAUCAAUAAAUGGGUGUUGAACCGGUUUUUGGGCUACCAAAAGUAUCGUUAUUAAGCCUUAUAUGCUCUGUCAUGGCUCCCGACUUGAUUGGGGAUUUUUCAAAAAAAACGCUCAUUUUGUGUAUCGAUCCCUGCAUCCAUAAAAAUGAUUAAUUUGAAAGAAACUACUCCGUGUUGACCUCCUACGAUCCUUGAUUUGCCCUUGCCAUCUUUUAGGUAUUUCAUCAUGUUGGGACUUCCACCCCUAACUCCCCGUCCUAAUUGAUGUCUAGGAAAUCACUAAGUAAAAGAUUUAUAUAGAUUUUUUUCAAAGUAUUCUUAAUUUUUUAGAAAAUUGUUUCGAGAACUCCUGCAAAACUUCAAAAAAUCUCUCCCAGUCAUGUACUACAAUCCAAAUACUUCAUAAUUUGCUACAUACCUUCUCAUAAGUAGUACUAGUUUACAACUACCAACGAAAAAAGUCAAGGGGUAAGGUCACAUAAAAGGCAUGAUCAACCUUAAUCUGAUACUAUAACCCCAUACGAUCUUAUCUACUUAUGCGGAUUUGUCACCUCAUACUUACUUACUCAAGCAUACAUUUAGAUUGCCUUCAAAUUCCUCAAACUACAAUGAGUCUAUAAUCAUAACUUACUCGCUAAUAUAGCCAUUUUUCAUAUUCAAGCAACCAACAAAUCACCCUGACUAACAACUCCUUCUCUACCUUAUACUAAACUAACUCACAAGGAUGAAUCACCUCUUUACCAACUCUAUCUCAUGCAAACAGAUUCAGCCAAACAUAUAUUAAACCAACAAAAGAACAACAAGUUGCUAGUGAAUCGAAAUAGGCCUCACAAGGCUUCACUAGUCUUUGGUUUUGUAUUUUGAACAAGAAAAUGAGAUAGAUGACAAGGCAACUAUGCUAGUGAAUCAAAAGAGCCCCACACGGCUUCACUAGACUUAAAAAAAAAUUUCAAAAACACCAUGAUAACAAGAUUACAUAUUACAAGAGAUGGGAAAUUGACACAUAAUAUUUAAUGGUCUAAUACACAUCUUACUCCGUAUAAAUAAAAAUCUAAGUAAAAUACUUCCCCCAUGGACUACCAUACCAUCCACAAGUGCUACUAGCUACCACAUUAGUUUAUCACUAUAAAGGGGUAAAUCAUCCUCAAAUAUUGGUUAUUCAACUAAAAUAUUCAUUUACACCAAAAAUCACCCUCACUCUGACUUCUAACUUUGUGACUUCACAUCACUAACUUCUUGGUCUAAUUUUAUUACCGAUAGGUAAUGACAACAACACUUUAACUUGUGUUACUAUUCGAGUGAAAAUACAGUUCCAACAUUCUGCUAUACACCGUCCACAUCUGUAUCAAGAUUUUUGGGAGGGACUAGAUGCACUUAAUACCUUAAUAUGGAAAGCACAAUUCCAUCAGGAUCAAUGUUUACAUCAGAAUCAACACAUAUUGAAGCACCAACAGACUCAUCUCGAGUCUUUGUACUAUUUUUUUCUUAUAUGACACAGUCGGAAAAGACUAUAUUAUGUAGAUUCUAAACUUUUUGCACUUGAAUCACUCCAAAAAUGGGACAUGUUUGAGAACAUCAGAGUAAGGAAAGCAUUUGGGAUGACUUUACCUUCAUAUGGGCGACACCAUAGCAUGAAUGACGAUAUGAAAGAGGAACAUUUUGACUCUAUUGCAUGAACUGGAACAUGAAGAAAGACAGACAUUCCUAAACGCCUAGUAGCCUCCUGCUUAUAAGUGUGGCGUGCUACACACCCAAAAAAAGACUCUACCUGACGUGAUUUUGCAGACACCCUGGGACCAUGAACCGUGCUCUGAUACUAAGUCUGUCACGACCCAAACUGGGGCCCUGGCCGUGACAAGCAUUCUGAACCAUGAAGGCCCGAAACACCCCUAUUUGUCUAAUAAUCAUGCACAUAACUCAUAUGAUAAAAGAAAUGUGGAAGAUAAAUAAUAUUACGGAAACAUGGUCAAGAAUCAUAUGAAAUCAAUAACGAGGAGUAAUGUCCCACAAUCUCAAUACAACAUCUCUAUAACGUCUGCGAAAUCUCUACUGCAUGACUGAAAUAAAUAUCUAUCUGAAAACUAGGAUAAGGACCCCAGUAGAUCCAAAACUAAUAAAUGAUAAAUAAAACUACCAGAUAUCAGGCCUUUUGAAAUAUAGAAGGCUCACCAAGUGACUAUGUAAAUCUGUCUGAGGAAUCUACUGAUUUUCUGGACCCCUAGACUGUGCCUCCGAACCUGUGAGGGAAGGGGGUUAAUACAAAAGUACUGGUACGCAGAGAUAUCAAAACAAAACAUAAUAUUUUUACAAAAUAUAGUUGAGAGCCAUUAUAAAGUAGUUUCAUAUCAAAUCAUUUGAAAACACAUGGGCACAAUGUAAUUGUUUUCAACAACAAUAUAAUGCAGUUAAGCUAGGUAGAAUACCCUACAUAUCACAUGUACACCAACUGUCAAAUCUCAGUUGCCGCUGAGAUUAGAGUAUAAGUGAGGGGAAAACACACAAGAUCACACAACAGGGUGUCUCGACCCAAUGGUAAUGCAUAAAAUCAUAAAGUAGGGCUCCUAACUAUAGUCCCAACUUGGGAAUGACAUAAAGUCAGGUACACAAGAUCACAAAGCAGGGUACCAAAUUCCUAUGUCGGAAAAAACACGGUUUCUAGCGAUGAACCCUUACACUCAAACGCCUUCUUUGCGCAUCCACCUAUCUCAUGUAAAACCAAUGCAUUCAAAUUUCAUCUGAUUCAAUCACAUAUCAUAUUCUGUAGGGUAUCGUCAUACCCGACUUGUAAGCCAUCAAUAUCACAUCAUUCUUCUCAUUCAACCAUUGUAUUCAACAUGUUUCAAUACAAAUAGCCCUCUCGUUUUCAAGUCAAAAUCAUAUCAAUUCUCAAAACAUUUCAUGUCAUGCUUUUCAAGAUGUUUUCAAACAAUUUACAUCAUAUGAACAUUUAAAAAAAAUUCACAUCAAGAGAGGGAUUUCAUAUAAUUCAUGCUCUCAAAUUAACACAUUUUCGAAACACAUGCAUAUACAUAUAUAAUAUGUCAAAUCACUUCGGAAAUAGGCCUAAAGACCAAAUUAAUAUUAUAGAAACGUUCAAAACAUGAUUAUAUUCAUAGUUUCAAAACCCCCCAUUGUAAAACAUGAAUUUAAAGGCCCAUGAGAUUCUAGGAUAACCCCACGUACCUCUAUAUGCAAAUAUGAUAGGUGUUUCUUGAAGCCUCUGUAUGACUUAUUAUAUAUUUAUCUUUUAUUUCUACAAAUUAAAAAACUUAUUAUUUCAAUUAUAUAAACUCUUAAUUUCUCCAAACAACAUUUAGUUCAAACUUGAAGAUUUUUGUAAAUUUAAACACUUCAUGUAGGAUUUUUCUUGCAACUAAGAUUCAUUUUUUACAUGUUAGUUACUACUAUUUCUAUUUUAUGAGUAUUUUCUUACCGGUUAAACCGAAAACUGAAUCAUUAAGGACUAAAAACCGAAAAAAAAUAUUUUAUUGGUUUGGCUAUUGGUUUAGCAUAUUUAAAAACCGAAAACAAAUAAAUCUAAUGAUAAUAUGUAAAACCCAACUGAACCGACCGAUGCACUCCCCUAGACACAAAUGCUUAAAUCACUUGACAAAUUGUAUGAGAUGCACAAAUUUUGCAUGACAAAUUGCGAUACAAGACUCGCAUAUAUAUAUUUAUUUUAACUUUAUAUGAUAGUCUAAGUAUUUAUUUGUGCAACACUCAAAAUUAAAUAUAUAAAUAUUUAUUGAUGAUGUCAAGUUGAAAACACAUUUAUGUAUUAUGUCAAACGUAUAAUUCCUUUUUUGAACUAUAGCUAUAACAUGUAGCAUGAGUGAAUGUACUCUAAUUUUAAGUUGAUGAAUUCACCUAACAUUACUACAAUUAGUAGAUUAAUGAGCAAAAUUAAAUUCAUUGCUAUUUAUUUAUAUUUUAAAAAAGCAAGGUGGAGUCAGAGAGCAAUUAUCAUAAUUAAAGAGGAGCUAAAGGUAUAAUUAAAUGAGAAGCAUGGAGUCUUUUGAUAGAGUUUUUUAAAAAAUUAAUAACAACAACAACAAUAAAUUCAUUAUAUUUCCACAUAGUGGGGUCUGGAGAGGGUAAGAUGUACGUAGUCUAUAUCACUACCUUCGGAGAAGUAGAAAGACUGUUUUCGAUAGAUUUUUGGCUUAAGAAAAGGAAUAAUAAUCAAAUCUGUGAUAAAGCAUGGAAUGUAUUACGUAAAAAUUAAUGCAUCCAUUAAUUUAAGGUAUAUUAGUAAUACCUUUUUUGAUAUAUAUAUAUAUAACUAAUGCAAAAAUUAGUUAUAUACUCUAUUGUGUAUUGAGGUGUGUAUUUCUAAUAUCUCAAAAUUUAUGACAUUAGUAAUGCAAUGGAUCUAAUGCAUGCAUUAACAUGCUUAAAGUGGGGGUAUGAUUAUGUAAAAAAAAUAUGUAAUUCGUGUUAUUUUUAAUACUUUGAAUCAAAUACUGUAUAAGAAACAACAACAACAACAACAACACCCAGUGUAUUCCCACAUAGUGGGGUCUGGGGAGGUUAGUGUAUGCAGUUCAUAUCACUACUCAGGUGAAGUAGAGAGAAUGUUUUCGAUAGACUCCCAACUUAGGAUCAUAAUAAUAUACCAAACAUAAAAGAUAAAUGCAUAUAAACUAAUACGAUACGCAAAAUAAAACUAACAAUAUAACAAAUAUCAAAGAAAAUGUAUAUAAAUUAGUACCGUAUGAAAAAAUAGUCAAUCUACCAAGAAGUGUCAGCUUUGUGUUGGGUGGUUGGUAGUCAAGAAAGUGUCAGCUUUCCCAAAAAGAAAAACCCCAAUAAAGAAAGAAGUCCCUCCACUUUCACCAUUGAUUCAAUGUUAUUUUUAAUACGUAGAAUCAAAUACUGCGUAAGAAAAUAGAAGCAUAAUUAAUGCAAAUAUUAUUAAUAUACUAUAUUUUAUAUUAUUUUUAAAAGAAAAUGCUCUAAUUAAUUUUGUUGAAAUUAUCUAUCUAUAAUAAAGGAGGAUAGUCUAGUCUAAAACUAAGACAAGUGUCAUAUUGAAAACUACCUAUUUGAAUUUUUACAACAAAAAACCAUCAUUUCAUAACAAAAAGAUAUUUUAUUGAUUAUUUAAAUAUUUAAUAUUAUUUCAUAUUUCAUAUUUAAUAAAUUACAUUUCAUAUGUUUUUAAUAAUAUUAUUAUAAGAAAAUAAAUAUGAAUGAUUUGAUUACAAUUUACUAAAAGAAAUACUACAAGAAAAAAUAAAUUCUCAUAUGAUGUGAAAUGUUUGAAAUCAUCUUGACAACCUUGAAAUGAAAUAUUUUGAAAAUGGUCGUGGUUUUAACUUGCAAUAAGAAGGUUGUUAUGUUGAAAUAUGAUGAAUAUAAUGGUUGCAUGAAAGAAUGAUGUGAUAUUGAUGACUUGCAAGUCAGGUAUGACGAUACUUUACAGAAUAAGAUAUGUGAUUGAAUUAAAUGGAGUUUGAUGCAUUGAUUUUACAUGAGAUAGGUGGAUGCCCAAAGAAGGUAUUUGAGUGUAAGGGCUCAUUACUGGAAACCAUGUUUGCCAACAUAGGGAUUUGGUACCAGGCUAAGUGAUCUUGUGUACUUGACUUUAUGUCAUUCCCAAAUUUGAACUAUGGUUAGGAGCCCAGGCUAAGUGAUCUUGGGCACUACUAUACUUUAUUGGGUCGAGACACCCUGCUGUGUGAUCUUGUGUGUCUUCCUUUCACUUAUACUCUAAUCUCAGCGGCAACCGAGAUUUGACUAUUGGUGUAAAUGUUAUAUGUAGGGUAUUCCACCUAGCUUAGCUGCAUUACAUUGUUGUUGAAAACUAUUACAUUAUGCCCAUGUGUUUUCAGAUGAUUUGAUAUGGAACUGCUUUAUAAUGGCUCUCACCUAUAUUUGGAAAUAAAUAUUAUAUUUUGUUUUUGGUUUCUGUUAGUACUAGUACUUUUGUAUUGACCCCAUUCCCUUCCAGGUUUGGAGGCAUAGUUUAAGGGUUCAGAUAACCAGUAGAUCUCUUCUGACAGAUUUUUAGAAUCAAGUGGUGAGCCUUUUAUAUUUCGAAAGGUCUGAUGUCUGUCAGUUCAUUUAUCAUUUAGUAGUUUUGGGUCUACUGGGGGCCUUGUCCUAGUUUUCAAACAGUAAUUUGUUUCAGUCAUGUAUUAGAGAUUUCGCAGACAGUUGUUCAAAUGUCGAUAUAUGUUGUGGGACAUUAUUUCCCCUUUGUUUAUUUCAUUUGAUUUAUGACCAUGUUUUCUAUAAUAUUGUGUAUCUUCCGCAUAUCUUAUUAUUAUAUGAAUUAUGUGCAUGAUUACAAGAUAGAUAGGGGCAUUUUUGGGCCUUCAUGGUUCGGAAUGCUUGUCACGGCCAGGGCCCCAGUUUGGAAUGAGGCGCACUCUUUAUCGCACAUAUUAGGUUGUGUGUCGCACACCUUAUGGCAUAAGUUAGGGUGUGCAUCGCACACCUUAUGCUGCACAACACACUCCACUUUGCAUAGCCAUAACUUCUUCCUCGGGUGUUGGAUUUUUGCAAAAUUGGUAUCGUUAGAAAGAUAAUUCGAAGACCUUUUAUUUGACAUAUAGUAGGUACUCUAAUUCAAUAAAUACAAAUAGUAAUGAAUGAUUAAUGUUGACCCAUGUUUUGACGCUUACUAAAACUCAAUCGAUGGAAAAGCUUUCAACUCGUCCUUGAGUUAGGGGAGCUUUAUGAUCUCAAUUCAUGCUCAACUAGAUUUAUACACCAUAUAGUUGAUUAAAACACUAUAUUCACAAUAGAUUUAUGUUUUUUGGAAUGUGUACAAUUAGAAAUGACAAUUUAUGUUCAAGUUUGAAAGUAUGGGGUGUUAAAAAAAAUUAUUGGGUUAUUGGUUUGGUUCAAUUUUUUCUUAUUGGGUUAUUGUGUAAACCGAUAACCUAAUAAGAAAAUAUAUAUGACUUAUUAUAUAUUUAUCUUUUAUUUCUACAAAUUAACAAACCUAUUAUUGGGUUAAAUGAGAAGCUUGGAGUUUUUUGAUAGAGUGUAUUAAAAAAUUAAUAAAAAAAACAACAAUAAAUUUAUUGUAUUUCCACAUAGUGGGGUUUGGAGAGGGUAAGAUGUACGUAGUCCAUAUCACUAGCUCCAGAGAAGUAGAAAGACUGUUUCUGAUAGACUCCCGGCUCAAGACAAGGAAUAAUAAUCAAAUCUGUGAUAAAGCAUGAAAUAUAUUACGUAAAAAUUAAUGCAUCCAUUAAUUUAAUGUGUAUUAGUAGUUCCUUGUUUGAUAUAUAUCUUUUUAUCUUAUGUAUAACUAAUGCAAAAAUUAGUUAUAUACUCUAUUGUAUAUUGAGGUAUGUAUUACUAAUACCUCAAAAUUUAUGACAUUUGUAAUUCAUGUUAUUUUUAAUACAUUGAAUCAAAUACUGUAUAAAAAACAACAACACCCAGUGUAUUCCCACAUAGUGGGGUCCGGGGAGGUCAGUGUAUGCAGAUCAUAUCACUACUCAGGUGAAGUAGAGAGGAUUUUUUCAAUAGACUCCUAGCUUAGGAUCAUAAUAAUACACCAAACAUAAAAGAUAAAUGCAUAUAAACUAAUACGAUACGCAAAGUAAAACUAACAAUAUAACAAAUAUCAAAGAAAAUGUAUAUAAAUUAGUACCGUAUGAAAAAAUAGCCAAUCUACCAAGAAGUGUCAGCUUUGUGUUGGGUGGUUGGUAGUCAAGAAAGUGUCAGCUUUCCCAAAAAGAAAAACCCCAAUAAAGAAAGAAGUCCCUCCACUUUCACCAUUGAUUCAAUGUUAUUUUUAAUACAUAGAAUCAAAUACAGCGUAAGAAAAUAGAAGCAUAAUUAAUUCAAAUAUUAUUAAAGGAGGAUAGUCUAGCCUAAAACUAAGACAAGUGUCAUAUUGAGAACUACCUAUUAGAAUUUUUACAACAAAAAACCAUCAUUUCAUAACAAAAAGCUAUUUUGUUGAUUAUUUAAAUAUUUAAUAUUAUUUCAUAUUUCAUAUUUAAUAGAUUACAUUUCAUAUGUUUUUCAUAAUAGUAUUAUAAGAAAAUAAAUAUGAAUGAUUUCAUUACAAUUGACUAAGAGAAAUGUUACAAGAAAAAAUUAUUUAAGAGAAUAACCAAUUAAUAAAUAGUAACUGAUCAAUUUAUAUAGAAAAUAUUGUAAUCAUUCUGAAUAAAAAAAAUUAAAAAAAAGUGUCAUCCCUCAAAAUAAUUAAGUUUGACCUAUUUUUGUAAACAAAUAAAUGAAUGAAUAUAAGAAAAUCCAUAAUUAGGAAAAAAAAUAAUUGUUACCAUAUUUGAAUUUUUAGAAAAUUAUAAAGAUAAUAAUAAUCAAUUGACGAUAAUUAAAUUAUAAAUUUAUAAUAAAUAUUUGAAAAAUAAAUUAUAGAUUAAUUAAAUAUAAUCAAGCUACAAAAUUAGGACAGAUUUAUGGUAAAUAAAUAUAUAAUAUUAAUAAUAAUUUUAUUGCUAUCAAAUUAAUUAGAUUAAAUUGAACUAGAAAUUAGUUAAUGAUGACAAUUACUUAAAUAAAAAAAUAUAUGAAAAGAUUCGUAAUUGAUAUGCAUAUAUUGGUAAAAAAAACAACGAACCUUGACUACUCCUUUAGCUUUAAAUAUAUUUUAAAAUUUACAUACAACAUUAAAUUAAGGAACUUGAGUCUAUGUAUUAUGAUCACAAAAUUGAUUCUAAUUAAUUGAAAUUAAUUAGUUGAUUGUAUUGUUUUAUUACAAUAAUUUAGUACCUCAUUCAUUUAUUUAAUAAAAAUACAUAUAAUUAAUUGAUUGAUUUUGUGCAAUCUACUACAAUUUUAUUAAUUCAAAUGAAAUGACUUUUAAAUGAUAGGUUUGGAUUAUAAAAAUAAUGGUGAUUAUUGUAUGAAUUUAGCAUUUCUUAAGUAUUAAAAAAGAUCUAUAGACAAAAAAAUGUCAUCCCUCAAAACAAUUAAAUUUGAACUAUUUUAGUGAAACAAUGAAAGAUUGAAUAUAAGAAAAUCCGUAAUUAAGAAAAGAAAUAACUGUCACCUUAUUUGAGUUUUUAGCAAAUUGUAAAGAUAAUUAAAUAAUCAUAUUGUAAAUUGAUAAAAAAAAAUUUGAGAAAUAAAUAAGUAAUUAGGAAAAGAAAUAAUCGUUACCUUUUUAAAAUUCUUCCCAAAAUCAUAAAGGUAAUUAAUAUAAAUUUGAUAUAACCAAACUAUAAGAAUAUGUGAAAUUCAUGGGAUUAAAUUUUUGAAAUUAUAAAAGUAAGUAAUAUCAAUUGUUUCCAUAUUUGAGUCCUUUAUGGAAUUGUAGAUUAAUUAAAUAUAAUCAAGCUAUAAAAUUAGGAUAGAUUUAUUUAGAUUAAAUUGAGCUAGAAAUCAGCUAAUAUUGACAAUUAUUUUGAUAAAAAAUAUAUACAAAGUUUCGUAAUUGAUAUACAUAUAUUAGUAAAAAAAAAAAACAAUGAACACUAACUAAUACUUUAUCCAUAAAUAUAUUUUAAAAUUUACAAUAUUAAAUUUAAGGAAAUUGAGUCUAUAUAUUAUGAUCAUAUAAAUGAUUCUAAUUAAUUGAAAUUAAUUAGUUGAUUGUGUAUUGUGGGAAUACACUGGGUUUUUUGUUGUUGUUGUAGUUGAUUGUGUAGUCUUAUUACAAUUAUGUCGUAUAUUAUUUAUUUAAUAAAAAUAAUAUAAUUAAUUAAUUAGUUUUGUACAAUAUACUAUGAUCUUAUUAAUUCAAAUGAAAUGAUUUUUAUAUGGUAAGUUUGGGUUAUAAAAAAAAGGAGAUUAUUGUAUGGCUUUAUCAUUUCUUAUGUAUUAAGAAAAUUUUUGAGACAAAAAGAUGUCAUCCCUCAAAACAAUUAAAUUUGAACUAUUUUAGUAAAACAAAAAAAGAUUGAAUAUAAAAAAAUCCGUAAUUUAGAAAAAAAUAAUUUCUACCUUAUUUGAGCUUUUAGAAAAUUAUAAAGAUAAUUAAAUAAUUAAUUGACUACAAUCAAAUUAUGAAUUUAUAUGAAUUUUUUGAGAAAUAAAUCAGUAAUUAGGAAAAAAAAUAAUCGUUACCUUUUUUAUAUUCUUCCCAAAAUUAAAAAGUUAAUUGAUAUCAAUUUAAUAUAGUCAAUCUAUAAAAAACAUAAGAAAUUCAUGGGAUUGAAUUGCCGAAAUUAUAAAGGUAAUUAAUAUCAAUUAUUUUCAUAUUUGAGCCCUUUAGGUAAUUGUAGAUUAAUUAAACUACAAUAAAGCUAUAAAAUUAGGACAGAUUUAUGGUAAAUAAAUAUAUAUAAUUAAUAAUAAUUUUAUUUUUAGCAAAUUAAUUAGAUUAAAUUGAGUUAGAAAUAAGUAAAUAUUGACAAUUAUUUUAAUAAAAAAUAUAUGCAAAGUUUCAUAAUAGCUAUACAUAUAUUGGUUACAAAAACAACGAACACUAUCUUCUACUUUAGCCAUAAAUAUAUUUUAAAAUUUACAACAUUAAAUUUAAAGAACUUGAGUCUAUAUGUUAUGAUCAUAAAAUUGAAUCUAAUUAAUUAAAAUUAAUUAGUUAAUUGUAUAGUUUUAUUACAACAAUUUUGAACAUCAUUUAUUUAAUAAAAAUACAAAUAAUUAAUUGAUUGAUUUUGUGAAAUGUACUAUGAUAUUAUUAAUUAAAUGGAAUUAUUUUUAAAUGGUAAGUUUGGAUUAUAAAGAUAAAGGAGAUUAUUGUAUGACUUUAGAAUUUCUUAUGUAUUAAAAAAGAUUUAUAGACAAAAAUAUGUCAUACCUCAAAACAAUUAAAUUUGAACUAUUUUAGUAAAACAAUAAAAGAUUGAAUUUAAGAAAAAUUGUUAUUGAGAAAAAAAUAAUUGUUACCUUAUUUGAGUUUUUAGCAAAUUAUAAAGAUAAUUAAAUAAUCAAUUAACUAUAACCAAAUUAUAAAUUUAUAUGAAAUGUUUGAGAAAUAAAUUAGCAAUUAGGAAAAAAAUAAUCAUUACCUUUUAAAAAUUCUUCCCAAAAUAUAAAGGUAAUUAAUAUCAAUUUGAUAAAAUCAAACUAUAAGAAUAUGAUAAAUUCAUGGGAUUAACUUUUUAAAAUUUUAAAGGUAAUUAAUAUCAAUUGUUUCCAUAUUUGAGUCUUUUAUGUAACUGUAGAUUAAUUAAAUAUAAUCAAGCUAUAAAAUUAGGAAAAUUAUGGUUAACAAAUAUAUAAUAUUAAUAAUAAUUGUAAUGUUAUCAAACUAAUUAGAUUAAAUUACGGGAAAUCAGUUAAUAUUGAUAAUUAUUUUAAUAAAAAAUAUAUGCAAAGUUUCGUAAUUGAUAUACAUAUAUUGAUUAAAAAAAAAAACGAACAUUGAUUACUACUUUAGCCGUAAAUAUAUUUUGAAAUUUUCAACAUUAAAUUUAAGGAACUUUAAUCUAUAUAUUAUGAUCAUAAAAUUUAAUCUAAUUAAGUGAAAUUAAUUAGUUGAUUGUGUAGUCUUAUUACAAUUAUAUCGUACGUUAUUUUUUUAAUGGAAAUAUAUAUCAUUUAUUAACUGAUUUUGUAUAAUCCACUAUGAUCUUAUUAAUUCAAAUGAAACAAUUUUUAAAUGGUAAGUUUUGACUAUAAAAAGAGAGGAGAUUAUUGUAUGACUUUAGUAUUUCUUAUGUAUUAAAAAAAGAUCUAGUGAUAAAAGAAGUACAAUAUUACAAUAUUUUUGGGUUAUUUAAUUAAUUAUCACGUUUCAAAAUAUUGUUUAUAUCAAUUCAGUGAUGUUUAUAUGGAAGAGUUAAAUUUUGAAAAAAUAAAGAUAAUUAUAUUAAAUUACGGUAAAAAUCAGUUAAUAUUGACAAUUAUUUUAAUAAAGAAUAUAUACAAAGUUCCAUAAUUGAUAUACAUAUAUUGAUUAAAAAAGCAACGAACAUUGACUACUACUUUAGCCAUAAAUAUAUUUUGAAAUUUACAACAUUAAAUUUAAGGAACUUUAGUCUAUAUAUUAUGUUCAUAAAAUUUAAUCUAAUUAAGUGAAAUUAAUUAGUUGAUUGUGUAGUCUUAUUACAAUUAUGUCGUACUUUAUUUAUUUAAUGGAAAUAUAUAUCACUUAUUAACUGAUUUUGUACAAUCUACUAUGAUCUUAUUAAUUCAAAUGAAAAAAUUUUUAAAUGGUAAGUUUAGACUGUAAAAAGAAAGGAGAUUAUUGUAUGACUUUAGUAUUUCUUAUGUAUUAAAAAAAGAUCUAGAGAUAAAAGAAAUACAAUAUUACAAUAUUUUUGGGUUAUUUAAUUAAUUUAUCACGUUUCAAAAUAUUGUUUAUAUCUAUUCAGUGAUGUUUAUAUGGAAAAGUUAAAUUUUGAAAAAAUAAAUAUCUUAAAUUUCAUCAUUUAAGUUAAUUUGAAAAAGUUAAUUCAUAGUUUACAUUUUAUUUCUUUUAUAUGGAAAAUUUGACCUCAUAUGGCUAUUUAUAGCCAUUGAAUAACACAAAAUAUUUGUUACACUUUUCUUCUCUCUCUCUUUCUCUCAUGGGUAUUUCUCAAGUUUUUCAUUUUGAGUAUGUAAAUAUUCACUUCCCAUAUUUAUGGAUCCUUAUAAAUAUUCACUUGCCAUAAACAUAUCCUUGUAAAUAUUUACUUGCAAUUUACAGAUCCUUUUUAGUUGUAUAUGUGCAUUGUAUGAUGAUAAAUGAAAGACACAGAAAAAAAUUUUCUUCAUUGUAGUCUUUUGCUAUUUGUACAUUUCAAGAAAAAAUGACAAGAAUCCUACAGAUUCUGACAACCUUUUGCCGGCUCUUACUCUUUCAACUCUUUGAUUCAGUAAUUUCUCUUUUUUUUUAAUUAUUUACCAUGAUUAUUUGUAUUAUCAGAAGGAUUUGGUAAGUUCUUUGGAUUGUUCUUGUACUAUUUGUUUGUGGGGUAUUUUAUUAAUUUUCAGUAGAAGACUAGUAGUAAAUAGUUUCGUGUCAUGUCUCUUCUGAUUGUAGUAUUAGUAUAUAUUUUUCUUUUCUACUUGUUGUAUCCUAUACCUCUGUUUUCUUACUUUCUACUGUUGUUAAUAUCCUCGUGUUUUUGCUUUCCUUGCCGAGGAUUUAUGGGAAAUAAAUUUUCUACUUGCCAAGGUAGGGGUUACGUAUAUUGUUGUUGAAGAAGAAGCACGUAGAAAGAGAGAUGUUUUGCUUUGUCUCAUAACUUGUAGUAUUUUCAUGAAUGGAUAAUGAUUUGUAAGUGGCUGUUUAUGAUGAAGAACAACUUGUUCUUCUUUCGAUCAUCAACUAAUGAUGCAAACAAGACCCCUUCACCACCAUUAGAGUCCAAGGAAGUUUCUUCUUGGAGGAGUGUUUCAUUAUCAUCUGGAUCCUUCUAUGACAGCGGGUCAGGAAAAAAGAAUUUCACAGAUCUGAGCAAAUCUCCCCAUAGUCACAGUAAGAAAGUUCAUCCUAAGAAAUAUGGUCGUGAUUCAAGCUGGUAUGUAUAUCAUUUUUCUGUAGCUUCCUUUUUCACACUUAAACUAAUGUUUUAAUUUACAUUUACUUGUCCAAAGUAAUGACAAAUAUUUCUUCUCGGCAGAGACCUUAGCGUUCCAGUAUUGAUUCGGACUAUUAGAAGAUUGACAAAGGAGAAGGUACAAAUGGCUUCUGAAGUUUCAAGCAUGCUACGAAAUCAAGUUGCUGAAAGGGCUUCUGCUAAGGAAGAAGCCAGCAUAUUACAGGCAGAACUAGAUUCACAGACACAAAGAUUAGAGACAGUACUAAAAAAAGAGUUGGAUAGAAGAUCCAGCGAUUGAUCUCUAAAACUUGAGAAAUACCAAAUUGAACAACAUAGACUCCGUGAAAGGGUGAGGGAGCUUGCAGAGCAGAAUGCCUCUCUACAAAGGAAAGUCUCUUUAUUUAAUGAGAAGGAAGUAUAUAAUAGAAUAAAGAUCUCAUUUUUGGAGAAAUGCGUUGAAGAUUUGUCUAAGAGAAUAGAGCAAGUAUCAGAGGAGAAUUAAAAUCUAAGGCAGCAACUUGCUCAGUUAAAAGUGGAAAAUCGAGUAGCUCAAGACAAUAGAGAUUAUGUCCGGGAAAACUACUAGGAAAAGGUUAAAGAGCUUAAAUCAGAGACUUUGCUAACAACUAUGCUAAGGGAGAAGCUCUAUUCCGAGGAGAUGGAUAUAAAGAAACUUCAGGCUGAUCUAGCCGCAAUAGUUAGAGGUAACGGCAUUCUCAAAUGUGAAGUGUAAAAUGCACUGGACGCUCUUUCUUAUGCCACACCUAAGUUGAAAUAUCUCGAGCUUCAGGUAAACAGGCAAUGUUAAGAUCUCGUUGCAACGAAAUAGUUUUUAUUUUUUAACUUUGGAUACCUCAUCUUCAUAUAUGAUAGCCUAUUCACACGUUACUCUCUCUGCAUUAGCUUUCUACUUCUGUUUGAUUUUAGGUUCAUCUUUGUUCCAUCUGAAGUUCACGAUUUUCUUUAUGAACUUGUAUACAUGAGUUGCUGGCAUGUGGUAGUCUUCUGUGAAAUAUCCGAUCGUCUUAAUGUGUAAUAACUUGAACCAACCAAGAACAUGAUAUACUUUGUGAUAUCCUCAAACCUAUUGAUCUGAUUGUGCUCUAAUGUGGUAAAGUUACCCGAAGGGGUUUCGGUAAGUUUUCUCGUUCAUCUGACUUAAUUCUUGGAAAAGUUCAUGAGUUAUCUAUUGUGAAUUUUAACAGUUAAAAAAGAUUCAUGAUUUGGUUGAACUUCUAGGCUAUGAGUUUGUUUUGAAUUUCUGAUGAAAUGUUAUUGGUGAUCUUUGUGUCUUUCUUGUUUUUCAUGGUUUACGGUUGAUUCUGGAAGGUGCUAAAAAAGGACGAAAAUAUCAACNNNNNNNNNNNNNNNNNNNNNNNNNNNNNNNNNNNNNNNNNNNNNNNNNNNNNNNNNNNNNNNNNNNNNNNNNNNNNNNNNNNNNNNNNNNNNNNNNNNNNNNNNNNNNNNNNNNNNNNNNNNNNNNNNNNNNNNNNNNNNNNNNNNNNNNNNNNNNNNNNNNNNNNNNNNNNNNNNNNNNNNNNNNNNNNNNNNNNNNNNNNNNNUAAUCUUGAAAGACUUGAUAGGCAAACCUUUCGAUCUUCUUGCAAGUCCUGAUUCUCUGUUGGAGUGAUGGAUGCUAAAUUGCCAAAAUACAAUUCAUAUUUUGUUCAUUGACUAUAGUGUUCAUAAUUCUCGUAUACUUACUGGUUUUACUCUUAUUCUUUCCCCCCUUUGAUACUUCUUAAAUAGAAAGUUUGAUUCUUCGUUUAGCAACCUUUUUGAAUCUCCAAUUGUAAGCAUUUCUCUUACUUGCUGGUGAUCAAGACAAUGAACUUCUUUUGCUUCAUUUGGUUUUGUAAGUAUUGGCUUUUUUUUUUAUCUUAUGAAGUAUUUAGGGACGAUUGGUGCUACCAUUUUCUUUUCGUCUCUGAGGUAGAGGUAUGGUUUGCAUAUUUUCUACCCGAAUAUACAUCAGGUAUGUUGUUGCUGUUGUAUGGAGAUUGUGUGUACAAUAACAAUCGUAUAUUUGAUGUCGGGUCAUCCAUACUUUCAUUCCUUGCAGGGGAAAGCUGAUUAAGCUUACUGAGUUAACAUCUCAUUGAUGUAUUCUUUCACUAAGGUUGUCAUUGGGUAGCUAUAAAAAGUACUUGUCUAACUGGGCAUUUCAUGUUUAGUUUGUGCAUAUAUUAAGUAACGUCAAAAAUUUUAACCAUAUAACUUUACCUCAAAAUGGUGCAUGGACCAGAGCUGCUCCUAAAUCUGGUCGGUUGGCAGACUCUUCCACUUGAUCUGCAAUCAAAUGCCUGCUUUGUCUCAGUACAUUUGAUUCUGUUGUGCUCAUUCACACAUGGUUUAUGCCAAGUAUGUGAGACAUAUACAGAAGCCUCUAGUUUCAUCUUCUUUAUAUAGUUUUAAACUUCAUUUGACUUGCUAUGAGGGAGUUCCACCCUACCCUCUGAUCAUUCUUUCAGAUACCCUAUUUCAUUUGCCUCCACCAUGUUUAAAAUUUUCCUUCUGGUACCUGAUGCUUCACCUACCGCAUUAAAUGUUGUUUGAACAUUUUUAAACUAUGCACUGCGUUCAAUUUCAAAAAAUGAAAAAAAACUAUGCACUGUAGAACAUUUUGAUAAUUUUUUGGUAUAUCAGUAUGUUCUUUAUGUUUAUGCUUACAUCAAGCAGAUACAGUUAUUAUGAAGGUGGAAUUGGUUUCUGUACCAUUUUCGUUUUGCGUGUAACUUCUGAAGUUAUUUGGGAUCCAUUAUUUAUAUGUCAAUGAGAGUCUUUGAUGUCUUUCCUGAUAAUGUUUACGCUUACAUCAAACAGACAUAGUUAUUAUGAAGGUGGAAUUAGUUUCUGUACCAUUUUCCUUUUGUGUGUAACUUCUGAAGUUAUUUGGGAUCCAUCAUUUAUAUAUUAAUGAGAGUUUUUGCUGUCUUUCCUAAUAUUAAACCUGUCAUUUUUUCUUUAACAUGUCUAAUCUCCUGUAUACCUGGCUUUCUGAUCUUCAAUGAUGCAAACAAUUUCCUUUUAAGAACUUGCACUUACCUAAUUCCUAGUAGGACAAUCUUAGAAUCUUCUAUGCUGAACGAUGACUAUUGGUGGUUAUUUUUUUUGCCAGGAGGUUGCAUUGGAAGGUACAAGCAUACAUAAUAUUGGUAAAACCAGCAAGCACCAUAUUUUUUGAAAAUGAUAGCAUAUAUACUAUGUAGGUAGUAUUUUCUUUACAAAAAUGAGCCUCUGUGUGCUUACAAGGCCUCCAAAGUUGCAAAAUGGAUUCAGCACCCUCUACAAGAAACUCUUAAUGUCAAAAUAAUAAUUUGUCUGAUCUUAUCUGCAACAAGAAUGACGAGCACUGCGUUCAGUUUGGAGCCUGUCCCUAAGCUCGUCUAGAGUUAUCCUUAUCUUUAUUGCCUUUUAUUUGCUUGUUAUCUUUGUUCUUGAUAGAACCUGCAUUUGAGAAGCUUGUGUUGUUGUCUCAAGUUAAUGUUUAAGUUUUCUUUCCUUACUGCAAUGCAUCAAAAUUCAACUUGUGGUGCUGCUGAAAAUGUUGGAAUGACUGCAAAACCUAAUGGCAUAAUGCAUGUACCUGUACGUUCUGAUAGACCCAAUACAUUCAGUAACAACAACUCAUCUAUUCUCUCUUACAUACAAAAAACAGUUGAUAUUCCUUCUCAAACAGUAGGUCCAUCCAUGUUUGAGCUUCCGGACCAUGCUUUUGUUGGGCCUGGGCAUGAAGGUGGUGUUAGAGUGGAUGAAAGUCCCACAUUAUUGGGGAGUGAAUUGUCGGUCUUCUUAUAUGGACUUGAGCAAUCCUCCCCUCAUGUGCUAGCUUUUGGGGUAGAGUUAGGCCCAAGAUCCUUUCUUUACCUAAUCAACCAUCUUUUCUUACAUUGGAAAUAGAAAGAGCAGCUGUAGAGAAUGUUUUCAACCUUAAGGGGAUCAGGUAGGUAGAACCUGGGAGCAUUAAAAAAGUACUAAGCAACUGGAAUGGGGAUGUAAAUGUAAUAAAAGAGGAGAUAUGGAAAAUUGUUCAACAUGUAUAUGGUGGACAGUUUGGACAAAAAGAAACAAGGGUUGUUUUGAGGAUGUCUAGAAGAUCAACAUGAAUAGUUUAGCACUUCUUUAUUUUUGGUGUAAACACAAUGAUUAGCUCUAACAGAAGACAUCAUUGAUGUGCUAGACUGUUUAUAGGCAAUUGAAAGACAGAGUAAGAUGUAAUACUUUUUGAAGGGGGACAUCAUUCUUGUUGGCUAGGGAUUUAAACAAAGAUGGGAAGAGCUCUAUAUAAAGGACAGGGAUGACUAAUAUGACAACUUUUUUUUUGGAUAGAACAUAAUUUUUGUUAUAAGAUAUGGAAGAUAUGAAGAUAGGACAAAAUGUUCUCAACUAACAAACUUUUAAAAUUAAGAGCCAAAGAAUGCUAAACACUGGGUGUAACUCAAAUCUAUUUGAAUAAAAGGAAUACUAACUCUGAGAGAACAAAACACACUCUCCAGUAGUCCAGUAAAAAUAGUAGAUCUUAAAAUCCCACUGCUAAGCAAAUUAAUUUAAAUGCUGCUUUAGAUUAGAAAGUCACCUUGUUAUAUUAUGUGUUCAGUGGGUUCUCAUAUAUACUGCUCAUCAUAUUUUCUGCACUAUCUUUUUAACAUUUCUCUGAAGUCUAUAAUUUACUCUUCUUCACUUUGAACUUGGGCUCUGCAGGGCUCUGCAUCUUGGACUUCUAUAUGUUGGUUCACUUCUAGUACUUCUUGUGUAUUCUAUGUUGUAUGGCCUGACAGCAAAGGAAUCAAACUGGCUUAGGGCUACAACAUUAGCUACCGUGAUAAUCCUUGGUAGUUCAUUUCCAACAUAUAUCUUUCUCCUUUUCUGACAUGUAUUAUGAAAUAAUUUCUUAUUUCUUUGUGGUAAGUAAUGAAUUCACUAGCUUUUCAUUCAAUCAGAUUGGAACUUGGGAUCUUGCUUGUAUGGUUUUAAGCUUCUAAAAAGUCGAGUCAUCAUACUUUUUGUUGUUGGUACAUCUCGGGUGUUCCUAAUCUGUUUUGGAGUUCAUUACUAGUUUGUUGUUAACCUAUGCUAAUUCAUUUUCUUCCAUAAUCAAUUCUUCUUAUACUUGUGGCAUAUGCAUCCCUUUUAAUAUUAUUUGUUGAAUAGAAACUUCUAAUCUUUUGUUAUAAAAAAAAUCCUCUAAUCUUUUACUGCAAUAGUUUUGUUUCAGGUACUUUGGACAUUGUAUCAGUUAUGCAGUUAUAGCAUCUGUGCUGUUGCGUGCUAUUGUUUCACGGCAUUUAUCAGUUACAGACCCAUUAGCAGCUAGACGAGAUGCCUUACAGAGCACAGUUACCUUAGAGAAGGUUUCCACAAAAAAGACCGAAAUAGCUCCGUAAGCUCUUCUGAGGGGUGUGGCUCAAGUGCCAAACGUAGUAGUAGUGCUGAUGCUAGUUAUCUUGGUAAUGCAACGGUGCCUUGCACUGCUGAUGGCAGUACCUGGAAUAAUAUUGAGGGGAUUAAUAGUAAUAAGAGCAUAGACAGUGGAAGACCAAGUCUAGAUCUAUGUAGUAGUUCCUGUCAUUCAGUUGUUCAAGAGCCUGAAGUAGGAUCAUCAUAUGUUGACAGAAAUUUAGAGCAUAAUUUGGUUGUUUGUUCUAGCAGUGGCCUUGAAAGCCAAGGUGGUGAUUAUAGUACAUCCACUUCCGCAAACCAACAGAUACUGGACUUGAAUUUGGCACUUAAAUUUCAAGAAAAGUUGAGUGAUCCCAGGAUUACAUCAUUUUAAAGUGGAAAAGAAGACACACUGAUCGUGAAUUAGCUAAUUUAUUGCAAGAUAAAAGGCUUGAUCCUAAUUUUGUAGUGAUGCUGAAAGAGAAUGGGUUGGACCCAAUGAUUCUAGCCUUGUUGCAGAGAAGUAGUUUGGACGCUGAUCGAGAACAUCACGACAGUAACCCUCCUGUCACUGAUUCAAGUGAUGUUGAGGAUGUGUUACCUAAUCAUAUUUCAUUCUCGGAAGAACUUAGACUCCAAGGAUUAGGAAAGUGUCUUCAACGUUGUAGAGUAAUGUCGCAUCAUGUAAUAGGAACUCCAGAUCAAGCAUGGCUUCUUUUCAGUUUAAUCUUCAUUCUUGAAACUGUCGUUAUGGCUAUCUUCCGACCAAAAACAAUAACACUUUUGAAUGCUACACACCAAUAGGUAAGAAAUGCAUUAGUACUUUUAAAGUUCAGUUUGGCGUAUUUGGAGUACGGUGCAGCUAAAAUGUACUCCAUAUGGUUGUAUUUUCCAUUUUAUAACAAAAUUUUGUAACACCCCGCAUUUUGGACGAGAAUGAAAAUCGUCAUUUUUUUCACAUAAAGGUUCCAAAAGACAUAAAUCCAAUGCAAUUUUAGUGUGUUAAUAAAUUAUGUAGUGUGGAAACCUAUUUGAGCAUGAAUUGAGAUCAUAGAGGUCCCCAAGCUUAAGGACAAGUUGAAAGUUUUCCUAUCAUUUGAAUUUUAGUGAGUGUUGAAACUUAGGUCAAAUUCAAUCGACCAUUACUCUUUUUAUAUAUUGAAUUAGAGUGCCUACUAUAUAUCAAAUGAAAGGUAUUCGAAUUAUCUUUCCAACGAUACCAAUUUCGCCAAAUUCCAACACCCGAGGAAAAAGUUAUCGCUUUGCAAAGUGGAGUGUGUCGUGCAGCAUAAGGUGUGCGACGCACACCCUAACUUAUGCCAUAAGGUGUGGGACACACAACCUAAUGUGUGCAAUAAAGUGUGAGCCGCAGAACCUAUAUUAUGCGAUAAGGUUUGCGCCGCAUAUAUUAUUACUCAAGUGACUUAAACACUCCAUUUUUGGGGCAAAAUGGUCCUUUUCCCACCCUUAUUUAGCCAUAAACACAAAAUUUAGUUCCCAAAAUACACCUUCAUUCAUCAAAAUUGCUCAAGAACUCUCCUUAGACAAAAUAAAAACCCAAGCAAUUCAAGAUUCAACCGUGGGUUUUUGAAACUAAUUGCAUAUUUAGAAUCCCCAGAAUGUAAGAUUCAAGAAGCACCUAUCAUCUUUCCAUAUAGAGGUACGGGGGGUUAUCUCAAAAAUCUCAUGGGCUUAAAAAUUUAUGUUUUAAAAAUGGGAAUUUUUAAAUUAUGAAUAAAAUCCCGUUUUAAAUGUUUAUGAUAUUGAUUUGGUCUUUAGGCCUAUUCCCGAAGUGGUUUGAUAUAUGUAUAUGCGUGUAUUUCGAAAAGAUGUUAACUUGAGAGGAUGAAUUAUAUGAAAUCCCUCUUUUUAUAUGAUCUCAUUUUAAAUUCUCAUAUGAUGUGAAAUAUUUGAAAUCAUCUUGACAAGUGAGACAUGAAACAUUUUGAAAAUGGUCAUGGUUUUGACUUGCAAUAAGAGGGUUGUUAUGUUGAAAUAUGAUGAAUAUAAUGGUUGCAUGAAAGAAUGAUGUGAUAUUGAUGGCUUGCAAGUCGGGUAUGACGAUACCCUACAAAUAAGAUAUGUGAUUGAAUUAAAUGGAUUUUGAUGCAUUGAUUUUACAUGAUAUAGGUAGAUACCCGAAAAAGGCGUUUGAGUGUAAGGGCUCAUUGCUGGAAACCGUGUUUACCGACAUCGGAAUUUGACACCAGGCUAAGUGAUCUUGUGUACUUGACUUUAUAUCAUUCCCAAAUUAGGACUAUGGUUAGGAGCCCAGGCUAAGUGAUCUUGGAAACUACUAUACUUUAUUAGGUCGAGACACCCUGGCUGUGUGAUCUUGUGUAUCUUCCUCUCACUUAUACUCUAAUCUCGGUGGCAGCUGAGAUUUGACAGUUAGUGUAAAUAUUAUAUGUAGGGUAUUCCACCUAGCUCAGCUGCAUUACAUUGUUGUUGAAAACUAUUAAAUUAUGCCCAUGUGUUUUCAAAUGAUUUGAUGUGGAACUGCUUUAUAAUGGCUCUCACCUAUAUUUGGAAAAAAAAGUUAUAUUUUGUUUUUGGUUUCUCUGUGUACUAGUACUUUUGCAUUGACCUCAUUCCCUCCCAGGUUUGGAGGCAUAGUUUAGGGGUCCAGAUAACCAGUAGAUUUCUUUACGCAGAUUUGCAGAAUCAAGUAGUGAGCCUUCUAUAUUUCAGAAGGCCUGAUAUCUGUCAGUUCAUUUAUCAUUUAGUAGUUUUGGGUCUACUGGGGGCCUUGUCUUAGUUUUCAGACAGUACUUUAUUUUAGUUAUGUAUUAGAGAUUUCACAGACAGUUGUUCAGAUGUCGAUAUAUGUUGUGGGACAUUAUUUCCCCUUUAUUAAUUUCAUUUGAUUUAUGGCCAUGUUUUUCGUAAUAUUGUGUAUCUUUUGCAUAUCUUAUUAUCAUAGGGGUAUUUCGAGCCUUCAUGGUUUGGAAUACUCGUCACGGCUAGGGCCCCGGUUUGGGUCAUGACAAACUUGGCAUCAAAGUACGGUUCAUGGUCCCAGGGUUUCUGUGAAAUCGUGUUGGGUAGAGUCUUGUUUAUGGGUGUGUAUCACGCCACACUUAUAAGCAAGAGGCUACUAGGCGUUUAGGAACAUCUCUCUUUCUUCAUGUUCUAGUUCGUGCAAUUAAGUCAGAAUGUUCCUCUUUCAUACUCUAAUUCGUGCUAUGGUGUCUCCCAUACAAAAGUAAAAAAAAAUCAUCCCAAAUUCUUUCCUUACUUUAAUGUCCUCAGAUAUGUCUCAUUAUUGAGCUGAUUCAAGUGCAGAAGUUUAGAAUCUAAAUGGUAUGGUCCUUUCUGAUUGAAUAAUAUAAGAGUUAAAAUUUGUGCAAAGACUUGAGAAGAGUCUGUUAGUGCUUCAAUGUGUAUUGAUUCUGAUGUAAACAUUGAUCCUGAUGGAAUCGUGCUUUUCAGCUUGAGGUAUUAAUUGCAUUUAGUCCCCUUCAAAUUUAUGUUACAAAUGUCUUGCUUAAGNNNNNNNNNNNNNNNNNNNNNNNNNNNNNNNNNNNNNNNNNNNNNNNNNNNNNNNNNNNNNNNNNNNNNNNNNNNNNNNNNNNNNNNNNNNNNNNNNNNNNNNNNNNNNNNNNNNNNNNNNNNNNNNNNNNNNNNNNNNNNNNNNNNNNNNNNNNNNNNNNNNNNNNNNNNNNNNNNNNNNNNNNNNNNNNNNNNNNNNNNNNNNNNNNNNNNNNNNNNNNNNNNNNNNNNNNNNNNNNNNNNNNNNNNNNNNNNNNNNNNNNNNNNNNNNNNNNNNNNNNNNNNNNNNNNNNNNNNNNNNNNNNNNNNNNNNNNNNNNNNNNNNNNNNNNNNNNNNNNNNNNNNNNNNNNNNNNNNNNNNNNNNNNNNNNNNNNNNNNNNNNNNNNNNNNNNNNNNNNNNNNNNNNNNNNNNNNNNNNNNNNNNNNNNNNNNNNNNNNNNNNNNNNNNNNNNNNNNNNNNNNNNNNNNNNNNNNNNNNNNNNNNNNNNNNNNNNNNNNNNNNNNNNNNNNNNNNNNNNNNNNNNNNNNNNNNNNNNNNNNNNNNNNNNNNNNNNNNNNNNNNNNNNNNNNNNNNNNNNNNNNNNNNNNNNNNNNNNNNNNNNNNNNNNNNNNNNNNNNNNNNNNNNNNNNNNNNNNNNNNNNNNNNNNNNNNNNNNNNNNNNNNNNNNNNNNNNGUUGUUUGUGGAAUUUGAAGGUAGUCUAAAUGUAUGUUUGGGUAAGUAAGAAUGAGGUGAGAAAUCCGUUUAAGUAGAGAAGAUUGUAUGGGGUUAUAAUAUAAGAUUAAGGUUGAUCAUGUCUAUUAUGUAACUUUACCCCUUGACCUUCUUUUCAUUGGUAAUUGUAAACUAACACUACUUGUGAGAAGGUAUGUAGUGAUUUUUGAGGAGCUUGUAUAGUAUGUCCAAAAUUUUAUGGACUAGCAUAUUAUGUUGCAUUUUUCAGUAGUGAUAAAUGAUUAGUACAGGACUAUAUGCUUGAAUUUAAUGUAGAAUGUGGUGGUAAAAAUAGUGGAAUGAGAUUAAUGAUGUAUGUUUUGUGGGAAAAAAUUAGUAGGCUUGAUGUGUUAAAAUAGUUAUGUGUUAAAAUAGUACGUGCUAAUGAGAUAUGAUAAGGAAGACCGUAAGGUCAAGAUCAAUUAUUUGUUGUUUGGAAGUUCUAGUGUACUAGUGUUUCUUGAUGUCUAUUUCAUGGUAUCCAAGUGAGAAUCAUGCGUAAGGUUAGUUUGUAAAAUCAUGUUUAGCACUAGACAUUAAGUUUUGAACAAUUGAUGUCCAUGAAGGGGAUGUGAUGAUUUCUUGGUUAAUGAUACUAGUUUUAAGGAAGUAAUCUAGUAGGAUUGAACAAUAUAUUUUAUUAGAUUCGUAGUGAAGUAUGAUGUUGCAUAUAUAAUGUAGAAGUAUGCCCAAGGUUAUCUGAGGUUGCGGUAUUUUCUAAGACUAUUACACGUUUUGUGUGAUGAGUGGUACCGUUGAGUUGCUAGGNNNNNNNNNNNNNNNNNNNNNNNNNNNNNNNNNNNNNNNNNNNNNNNNNNNNNNNNNNNNNNNNNNNNNNNNNNNNNNNNNNNNNNNNNNNNNNNNNNNNNNNNNNNNNNNNNNNNNNNNNNNNNNNNNNNNNNNNNNNNNNNNNNNNNNNNNNNNNNNNNNNNNNNNNNNNNNNNNNNNNNNNNNNNNNNNNNNNNNNNNNNNNNNNNNNNNNNNNNNNNNNNNNNNNNNNNNNNNNNNNNNNNNNNNNNNNNNNNNNNNNNNNNNNNNNNNNNNNNNNNNNNNNNNNNNNNNNNNNNNNNNNNNNNNNNNNNNNNNNNNNNNNNNNNNNNNNNNNNNNNNNNNNNNNNNNNNNNNNNNNAAUGAUAAAGUGUAUCUCAGAAGGUAGUAUUAACAAUGGAUUUUCCACUUUCAGGUGUAGUCAUUCGGGUUAAGUGCCAUGAUAUGCGUGUAUAGUAGUUUUCCAGAUCCCAAAAUGCAGUGAGUGUACUUCAGUUUAGAGUCUAGUAAGGGAUCUCCUAAACUUAAUAUGAUGGCUUGAAGCUAAGGAGGAGAUGAUAGAGUGAAAAACCAAGUCAGGCUUUCAGAUUCUAGUAGUGAUGUCAGUAUGACAUAGAACAUUAGAAGGGAGGAGUGAGGCUCAACCUAUUCCGGUCUCAGUAUUUUUCGGUUAUCCUAAUACCUACUCAUACCUCACGUUUCAGUUCCAUGAUCAUAGUUUUGCAUUAACAAACGUGCUUCUUUGCACCCGAAGAAAAGAUACUUAGGCCAUGAGUAACUGUUGAAUCCAAGACAUAAGGUAAAAGUGCUUAUCAUUUUGUCCAUAAGGUUAAAAUGCUUAUCAUUUUGUCCAUUCUCGUCUAAUGCUGUGAUAGGUAAUCUAUUUACUAUCUCUUUUAAUUCUAGUUUCAAGCUUUCUAUUUAUUAAAUGAAGAAAAGGGUUUCAUGUUACUAUGUGGUUUGGCUUCAAAAUUCUUGCCUUGUCCUUCAAAUUAAUUUAGGGAGUUUCGCAUGGAUACAAGCUUUCAACAUUGAUUGGAAAAUUAACUAAAUAUGAUUGAAUAGUAGCUAUAUUCUGAUUUCAUCUGUUCUUCCUUGCAUGGAUAUUGGUUGAGAAGACUCCUAUACCUCCUCUGGCUGGUCCUACUCCUGGUGCUAUUCCAUCCAUGUCACUGCAGGUAAAGUUGUGGAGGCUUAGGGGAGGGAUGAAUGACUUUUGAAUGUAGACCUUAUGAUAACUAUUUUCCCCAAGUCUUUAGCAGUUCCAGCCUAUGCUUCCAGCCCAGCAGGCAAAACCUUAUGGUUCCGGGCCAUCUCAACAAUUUCUGCCACUUGGACAUGCAAAUGUUGCGAUGUCUUAACCUUCUCAAAUCCAAUUUUCUCAACCUAUGCAACAGGUUACUGGUAGACCUGUAGUAGGAAUGUAUAGUAUGCCUCAGGAACCACCUAUUCCCCAUGAUUUUCAGCGAAAUCUUUCGAUGUCAAAUAACCACAUGCCUGGUUCUGGUGGCCCAAAUUUACCUCUUUCUUCUUCAUAUAAUGUAAGGCCUUGGGAAGAUAAGCUGUGGUUAUUGUCAAUCAGUUUCCGAUGUUCCAUUCAUAUAUUGAUGAAAUAAAUUUUGUUAUCGUCUUUAACAGCAGGUAAAUGCAGAUUCUUCUGGCUCCCAGUAUCAGACACAGAUAAAUGAUCAUAGGUUUCCAUCAGGGAUACAACCCUGGAUGCCAAUAAGUAAUCAUAAUGUCAAUUCUGCGACAACUAUGCAGAAGACUGGAGAAUUAGCAGCUCCCUUGGUUGUUCCGGUGAGAAUUCAAUUUGUUUUAUUGUACCCGUUUUGCAUUAAUAUUGUUGACAUCUGAAAUAGGAUUUUAGGUUGAAGGUGACAGGUUCUUUAUUUUUUGGGUUUCAGGAAGCAAAUUACGUAGUUGACCCUGUUAAGACUAUUUAGUCAGAUUGGAUUGAGCAUACUUCUCGAAAGGGGAAAAAGUAUGUGAUUCCCCUUUUUGAAUUGUCACCAAGUAACAUGCUUAAGUUAAUGGGUUAAUGGGUGUGUGUUGACUGAGAGAGUCAACAUUUGAAUUCUAUGAUAGUUUUUUGUAAGCAAAUUAAGAUUCCAGUGAAUAAAAAAGAUGUAAAACCGCAGUAUACAAGAAAAGGAACUCUGCAAAAAUAUCAUUGUCAUUCAAAUCCGAUCUUUUUACCACUUUGUGUUCUCCAGACAGAAAAAAGGGAAUGCCGAUUUGGAUUUCUGGAAUUCUUGCUUUUGGAUUAUAUUCACAUAGGUUACUCAUAUGAAUAGGUUAAUGUCAGCAUCACAAACACUUAAUGUCUUAUCUAUGAACAACUGGUGGAUAUGUUGUCCCCCAUCACUGCCAACAAAUCCCUCAAGUAUCCACAUCUAGUGCUUUGUACAUCAUUCUGCUUCCAUUAGCACUGGAGAUAAUAGGCCCCUUUGUUUCAGUCCGCUUUGUCAAAGUUAUCAUAUGGGCUGCCGUUCAGUGCUACCAAAUUCUACCUGACUGUUGAUCAGCAAAACUUGAUACACCUCUACCGAUAACUUCAUUUUGACCCCAUUUCUCUGUUAUCAUAAAUAUUUUACAUGUGGCUAAAUGCUAGUAGGUAUUGCUAUUUUCAGCACCUUUAGAUGACCAGUAGGACAAUUAUGGUUGCUAAUGUUGUCAUAUUUCCUAUGGCUUUAUUACUCCAACCAAUUAAUAACAUUCUUACAAUUCUUGAAUUGAUUUUUAGAUACUAUUAUAAUAGAAGGACAAAAAUCUCUACCUGGGAGAAACCUCAAGAGCUGAUGACAGAAAUGGAGUGAGGUCUCGUGUAAUCGAGAUUUUUAUGGGUAGUUUUAUCCAGUUUCCUGUGCUUAUCAAUGAAAAAAGAAGUACACAAUUCUUUUUCUAUGAAGCUUUGUAGAACCACUUUUUCUUUCCUAAGUAUAUGUGAUUUCUGUUGAAAGUUUGUUUAGCGAGCAGAUUUCCUCGAUCUUACUAUACUAUGUAGGCUUCAUUUGGGAUUUGCAUUAACCUUUUAUUUCAAAUAUAGUUCUAAAAGAUUUUAUAUUUAACACUAUUAUUCUAAAAAAUGUGUUUAAGCAUACACGACAGGAUUAUAUUUGGUCUACUUUAAACAAUUUUAUUUACUUUUUGAUUAAUGUAAUGUUAUUGUAACUCUAUGGUGAUAUGGAGAGAGAAAACUUGAUAUAAUAUUGCGGUUCACACUUCUCAUUCUGGUUUACAGAAUAACAGUUUGGCUGGUUCCACACUUGCACCACAGAGUGUGACCUAGUGGUUAAUGAAGUAGAUUGAGAACCAUGAGGUCUCAGGUUUAAUUUCCAACUGAGAUAAAAACACUAGGUGAUUUCUUACCGUCUGUCCAAGUCUUGAUGGACAGAGUUACCCAGUAUCUGUGCUGGUGGGAGGUAGCAGUACCUGGUGUAACUAGUCAAGGUGCAAGCUGUCCCAAACACGACGGUUAUCAAAGAAAAUAUGGCUGGUUGUGAGGGACAAGUAUUAAGGGACCAACAACUGGAGCUGUAAGCAAGUUUGAACAUUUUUAUUCUUUUCUUUUUGAGAUAAACAGUUUAUUUUUCUGGAGAUAUUACUUUGUAUUCGUCAGCGUUAAGGUUAUGCUAGCAGUCUAAAAGAAAUGAAAAAUAAUGAAAAUAAUGCGAGGAUUCGAAGAGAUCUACUACCUGCUAUGCAUUCUGUACAAAUUGGCCCUUAAACAAAAAACAAAAAUCUACAUUGCUAUUCCAUUUAACUUUCUGAAUGGAAUUAUAUUUAUCUUCAAAAUACCUUAAACUUUUCUUGCUCCAUACAGUCCACCAAAUACAAGGAAGGAUUAUUCUCCCCUAUUUCUUCUAACUCUUGCUAAUCCCCUCUAAUCCAACAGCUCAACAGAUUGUUGUGUGUCCUUUGGUAGUCCACUUUACAUCAACUCAAUAGAUUUGGUAUGUGUUCUGGCAUGGUCCACUUUACUUCUAUUAAACUAAAGGUGUUAAAUGGGCGGGGUUGGCUGUAUUUGGGCAGAUCAAAGAGGUCUGAGUUAAUAAAUGGGCAGGUUAUUAACCCCCCCUAAAGCUACUUGGGCUGAAAUGGGUUGGGUUGAAAUGCUCUAAAAUACGGGUCAUAACCCAACCCACCCAAUUUGAACUAAGAUUUAAUUGCUUUAUUUGCUAUUUUAUAAACUUUUAGUACUUGAAAAAUUACUAUCUUUUUUUUUUGAACUUUGUAACUUUGUAUUAUAUCACACAGUACAUGGGUUGUACUGAAACCUUUAUAUACAAGAGUACUCCUAAAUCGACUGUUCUAUAUCUAAAUUUAGUCUAGAAAAUCAAUUAUCGAGGUAGUAUCAUUAGAGUAUAGUUGAUUACACCAAAAACAUAAAAAGCAAAAUGCUAUUGAGUUUAACCUUCUGCACACUAUUCUCUAUGCUCUCAAAACAUCUAGAAUUCCUUUCUUUCCAUAUAGCCCACCAUAUAGCACCAGGGAUAAUUCUACAUCUACCUCUUUCCUUCGCAUGCACACCUGCUUCUCCUAGCACAUUAAAGUCUCGGAUACUUUCUUAGGCAUUUUCCUAGAAAUGCCUUUUAUUCUUAAGACGAUUCUCCAAAGUUGUUGGGUGUACUUACGAUGUAUAAAUACAUGGUUAACCGUCUCUAAAAUUUCUCCAUAGAGGAAACAUCUGGAGCACAAGGUUUUUCCUUUUGUUCAUGACAUUAUCUUGUGUAAGAACUACUCACUUGAUCAGUAACCAGACAAAGACAAAGCAUGACACAGUGUGAGGUAUCCUACUUUUCCAUAUUUUCUUCCAGGGCUAUCUUGGAUCCAGGUGAUUUAUUUGGUUCAUCAUCUUGUAGGCUUUGUUGAAACUGAACAUUCCUUUUUCAUUUCCCAUCCACCAUAGUAUGUCCUUCACUGUUUGCAGUCCAUUGAAUAAGUCCACGGUAUUAAAAAAUUCAACUACUCUCAUUACCUUCUGGUCAUUAAGUUGCCUUCUAAAAUUGAAGUUCCACCCAUGUAGUGUCCAUAAUUCUGCUAUUGUCCUCUAUUGAAACAAUACCAAGUUGUAGAUAUCUGGAAAAAUCACUUCCAUAUUCCCAUCCUCAUGUCAAUUAUCCUUCCAGAACCUAGUCUUGUUUCCAUCCAUCACUUUAACCCUUGAGUUGCUUUUAACUUCAUACCACUAGUGUCUAAUAGAUCUCUAGAGGCUAACCCCAUAUGGUGUGGUCACUUCUUUAGUCAUCCAUCUAUCUUCUUCAAGAUAUUUAGCCCCAAUCACUUUCCUCCAUAGAAGCUGGUUAUUGUUUGCAUAUUUCCACAACCAUUUCAUCACGAGAGCCUUACUUUUAAUUUUUAGGUUCUUUAUCCCCAACCCUCUAGUCUUCUUGUCAAUUGUCCACCAGAGAGAGCACUACCACUUUUUCUCGCAUAUCUUUGUUCCUUAUUCUAUCUCUCCUAGUAUGCAAACACACCAAUCUCAACAUCCUCAUUUCUGCUACAUUUAUCUUUCGAACAUGCGAGCUCUUGACCAGCCAAACACUCUGCCCCAUGAAAGAUAGCUAGUAUAACAACCACUUUAUAAAUUUACCUUUGAGUUUAUUUUAACAAAAUUCUUAUACAUGUCAUGCUAGUUACUAGCUUUUUUAGAAGAGCUAAUUGGGACAAAAAACACAUGUUCAAAAAUUUAUUCAUCGAAAAAAAGCAUAACUAUAGUUUAUGAGUUUCAAACGUGUCAAAAUGGAAAAAAAAUUAUGGGGGGCCUGUGUUUAGUAUGGAACUUAGAAUCUCAGUGCAGGAUUUGAACACCUUUACUGUCAUAUUCAGUCUUAUUUUUUGUGGCAAGGGUUUUCAUUAAAAAAUACUCAGAAAUAACAGAAUUUGACCUAUAUAUUUAUAUACAAAAUGCGAUUAUCAGUUGAAUAUUGUUUAGUUGAUCACCCUUGGAUACCUGUAGCUCAGCCGCAGCUUGGCAAUGUUUCCACCCUGCUUGUAGUUAUAUUCUACACAGUAUAUUCUAAUUCUUUUCCAUGUGGGACAUUAUAUCAUUCAUAUUCUAACACUUCCAUCCAGUAUUGUACUGCUGGAAGAUACUGAUUUCUAGUCUUAGGGUACUGUUUAUGUUCUAUUUUUUGACUUGACCUACUUUUAUGCAGUUUUCAUUGGGACAGAGGGCAGACGCAUCAACUGACUGGAGAGAAUUUACAAGUCCUGAGGGAAGAAAAUGUGUAACUUACAUAUUUUCUUGGCCUCUUUCCAAUUAUUCUUCUACAGUGGGUACUUUUGUGUGUUACUUGUGCAUAAUGCUGAUUGCUUUGUUUGUUUUCUGUAGGUAUUACUACAACAAGAUUACUAGAACAUCCAAAUAAAGAAUGCCUGAUGAAGUCAAGGUGAUGUUAGAUUUAAAUCCAAUAUGGGUUUGUUCUGCGCUUUAAAUAGCAUGAUAAGAAGGGAUUGUUCUGUGCUUUAAAUAGCAUGAUUAGAAGGGACAAUAUUCUAUUUUCUUGGAUGCUCUAUUCUCAUAAAGUUCAAUUGUUUAUAAAUUCACAGUUGGCACGUGAAAAGGACACUAUUUUGCAUGCUUCAAAUUUUGAAUCCAUUUCUGUUGUUAAAACAUCAUCCCGGGUGCAGAUGGUUCAUUAGGCUUGGCUCACGGUGCUAAAUCAAGCCCAAUUGCUAUGUCACCAUCUGCUAAUUUACCAACUAUUGUGGCUUCAGAAUCAUCAAGUUUAUCUAGUAAGGUUUCUUCUCCGAUGAUUGAAAUAGUCAAAAUAAAGAAUUCUUCAGAACCUGCUUUGCCAGCUGUUGCUAAUUCAGAGAAAAUUGGAACAGCAGUAAACUUGGGAAAUUCUGUCACGCCACCGGUGUAUGUUUUCAGAUUUAUAUGUUAUAAAUUUGCCUCUGGUUUGUGUUGCUUCUUAUUUAGAAUUCAAUUUUUUUGUUGUUCUGAGACUACUACAACUUAAGAUGUAGUAGUGUAUGGUGGUGGAUUUUUUUCGGAGAAUAGAGAGGUACUUUGUCCUUCAAAAAUACUUAUGAGAUUAGUUAAUUACUACUAGUUACUGGUUAAAACACCAAGAAAGCUUUUCAUAGUUGUUAUGCUGGAUGUUGAUCCAUCAAUUUUGUAGUGCAGUUGUUAGUCAACUGCUAACAGGUGAAGAAUAUGCUACAAAUUCCAAUGAGGUUUGCUUUUGUCCUUUGUGCUUGAUGUUGUGCCUAAAAUGCAGAAUGUCAAGAAAGAUGCUGCAAUAACUGAAAUCGGAGGUGCUACUCCAUCAGAUGAGAAAACAGUCGAGCUGGGACCAUUAGUUUAUGAGAGCAAAUCGGUAUAGUUGGUUAUCGAUUUUUUCCCUGUUUAAUGUAUGUUCUCGAAAUUUCUCUUAUUUCUAUUUUAAGUAUCUAAUUUUAUUUAGGAGUCAAAGAAUGCAUUCAAAACUCCUUUAGAAUCUGCAAAUAUUGGGUCUGAUUGCACGUAGGAUCAGGUUUAUUACUUGACUGUUUUGUGCGUACCAAACAAUUAAGGGGGAUCAUUUGACAUGAAUUGUAUUUGUCAGUCCAUGAGAGCAGUAAUUAAUGACGGGAUAUAUGGUGCUCUAAAAUCCCUUUGUGAGUGGAAGCAAGCUUUUAAUGAGGUAUCUCUCCAAGUCGGCAUUGGAAUGGGUUAAUUGCUGCUUCAAUGUUUCAGCAUGCCGUAUUGCAAAAAGAUAGAUUGUGUUUGAUAUCCAACUAUUUCAUGUUUGGUUGACUUAAAAAUUUUGGAAAAUAUUUUCCAAAUCAACUUAUUCUCCUUAAAUUUAAGGAAAAUGAAUUCCCUUCAAAAUAUAGGAAAAAUAUUUUCCAAAACUCUCUUUCAAUCUCACUCUUAAGUUGAAAUGUUUAUACAACUCUCAAAUGUAUUUUCUGAAAAACAUUUUUUUAUUCACCAACCAAACACUAGAAAAAAUUUUCUGAAAAAUGUUUUCCUUUCAUCAACCAAACAUAAGAAAACAAGUAAGAAACCAACAUGUUUUCUAGGAAAACAUUUUCCUUCAUACCAAACACACCCGAGGUCUAUAGUGAUCAUUUUGAAGUUGUGUUUCUGUUCCAAUAUCUGAGCCAAAAGAAAAAACUGGAAGCUGAACAAAGGUGUGUUAAAUAGAAAAAAGCUCGGGAAGAUUUCAGGAUAAUGUUAGAAGUAAGUGAAAUUUUCUUUUGUGGUUGUCUUCCAUUUGAUAUAUCAUGAUAUUCACAUUACCAGUUUCAAAAAAUAAAAAGAUAUUAUCAUAAUAUUCAUGAUGUGUUAGAGACUGGUAUUUGACUUGUUCAGAAGAAUAAGUGGUAUUUUUCACAAUAAUGUCCGUUGUUCUCAAUCUUACAGGAUUGCAAGGAGCUGUCACCAUCGUCAAGAUGGAGGUUUGUCUUUCACUUGUAAUGUUAAGUUGUCUGCUGGUUGUUUUCUAAUCUUGGUCCUUAUUUGUAUGUGUUUUGGGACCUUGAAGUUGAUCCAUUUCUUGUGUAAGUUCCAUUUGAUCCACUGACUAUUUGCUAUUGAUUAUUCAGCAAGGAAAUCUCCAUAUUGGAACAUAUUCGAACAUGAUGAACAUUUUAAUAUGGAGAUUUCCUUACUGAAUAAUCAAUGAGUAAUUACCUUCAUGAGUUCCCUUUUUGUCUUUUUGAUUUUUUCAUCCAAUAAUUUCCUUCUUUAUUUUGUUCUUGCAAAUUAGAGAUUUUGCUGCAUAUCUAGCUUUCUCAUCAAAUACUUUAGAAUCAAUAGCAAAAGACUUAUUUACAGAUGUUAUGGAUGAGCUGGAGAAACAGGUGAAAUAGGUUGCUAAUAGGAGUAUUGAAUUGUGUCAACUACAUUUGUUACACUAAGCCAUAUUUAUAGACUUUACACUACAAUCCCUUUUCAUUUGCUUUCACUUAAUGAAGGUCUGAAUCUUAAUGGUUAAGAUAUCAGCCCAUUAAGUGUUUUUUUUUAAGAUUCAACCUAUUAUUAAUAUAUCUUAAUGAAUCAGAUGUUAAACAAAGUCUGAAAAUCAUUUAGAUCCUCACUAAAACGUUCAAUUAAUUAGGUAAAAAAGAAAGUUCGUGCAUUACUAUGUGCGAAUAUACUGGGCUUGUUGUUGUUGUUGUUGUUGUUGUACAUUAAAGAAUAGAACAUACUUGGUAGGAUAAAAGCAUGAGAUUGACAUUUGAGAGUUGCCCCUCGGCUGGCUUUUUUUUAAAUAACAUAUAUUUUGUUGAGAUAAGAACAAUGAUCGGUUGUUCCUAUUAAACAUCUGUCUUGUUUCUCUUUAUGCCAAUUAGUUUCCUCUUUUUUUUACUGGAUAGUAGGUAUUUAGGCUGAUAGGAAUGGUAUUGUCGUAAACUUUUAAGUUAGGGGUUCCAUGCUUUUAAUGUAGUAUAGAUAUAGAUGAUUCUUUCAAUCUAGCAAAGCUGUAUUAAAUGCUACUUCACGGAUAAUUGUAAUUGACUUCUCCUCCGUUGAAUGUUGUUAAUGUUUAUAUUACCUUAAUUGUUAUAGUUUCUCGAGUAAAACAACUCUGAGAAGUGAUCAUCAAACUUCCAUGUUUUCACGUAGUUUCUUUGACUUUCGAGGACUCCUUUAAAGUAUCACACAACCACACCAUUGUGUUUCAGCUAAGACUGCAUUUGUUUUUAUUAAUAUUCAGACAUUUUAAUCAUUUUGAAUGCACAUCUGAAUGGUUAAGAUAUUAUCUCUAGAUCUGAAAACUAAAUGAUUAAGGUUGGGUGUUUCUCAAUAUCUGAAUGUGCAAAAUUUAUUUAUUUCUAAAUAUAAUAUAAUUAUAUAUUAGANNNNNNNNNNNNNNNNNNNNNNNNNNNNNNNNNNNNNNNNNNNNNNNNNNNNNNNNNNNNNNNNNNNNNNNNNNUCAUGAUAUUGGCGAUUGGUAGUGGUGGUGGCGGUUGUGAUGUGAAGUUGGUUAAUGUUAGUAGUUGGAGGUGUUGAUCGUGGUGAAGGAAAACUGUAUGCAUGAUGGUUGACGAUGUGUUGGUGGUCGUUGGAGACGCUGUUAGCUGUGAUGGUGGAAUGGUUGUUAGUACAGAUACUGUAGCGAGUGUAGCGGAUGGUGGUGGUAGAGGUGAUGACGCCGAUGACAGUAGUAGUGAUAGUGUCCGAAGAAUGUGUGGAAGUUGAUGAUGUGUUAGUGGUUGUUAGUGAUGUGUGGAAGUUGAUGAUGUGCUGGUGGUUAUUAGUGGUAGUGCUAGUCCUGAUAGAUGAGUUGGUUGGUAGUAGGGAUCGACCGGUAGCAGUUGAUGGUGGCGGCGUUGGCAGUAGGGGUGUUCAUGGGUCUAUAUGGGUCGGUUAUUUGUCAAAACCAUAACCAAACCAACUUAAUCGGUUUUUAAAUUUCUAAAACCAAACCUAACCAAACAAAAAAAUAACCAUCAGUUUGGUUCUUGUCGGUUUAGUUCGGUUUGAUUCGGGUUUUUUUGUUUAUAACUUAGUUAAUGAUAAAAUUUGAAAAUUUUAAAAAACAAAUCCAAUCUAACAUAUGAGAUGUCAACUGAGUGUUGUAUCUCAAUCUUGAAAAUAUGAUGUCAACUGAGUGUUAUACUUCGGCAAACCCAUGAUAACACCAUAAGAACGCUUUUAAAAAAAUAUUUAAAAACUAUAUUUAAUAGAAUGAUAUGAUAAACCCCAAAAGGUAAACACAUAAACUUCUUGCUCAAUAAGGUUCAAAAGAAAGUUAAAAUUAGUGAUUGUGUAUAGUCUAAUGAAUUUCAGAUGUAAAUUUCAAUAUAUAACAAGAUAUUAUUUUCACAAUUAGUAUCAUUUGUCAUUCAAAAUAUGAAAUUCAUUUAAAAUCUCAUAAUGUAUUGUCAACUAGAUGAAGACAUAUGACUGAAUGUGUUACGACUAAAGUUAAAUCAUGAUUAAAAUAGAAAAUGUAACAAAUAUUUAAAGUACAUUAAUGAAAAACAUAUAAAUAAUUAUAAUAUAUAUGUAUAUCGGUUCGGUUUGGUUAUUUUGUUGGUUAUUUUAGAGUAAAAUCAAACCAAACCAAACCAAAUUAGUAUCCGUUUUUUAAAAUUCAAAUCCAAACCAAACCUAACCAAAUAUAGGUUUUUUUAAUCGGUAUGGUUUGGUUCGCGAUUUGGUUUGGUUAAAAACUAAACCGUGAACACCCCUAGUUGGCGGUGGAUAUAAUUAGAAUAAUGGAAGUUGUAGGUGUGGUAGCAGCUGGCAGUGUAGGUGGUAGUGGUGUUUGUUUUGAUGGUGAAAGUGGUUGGUGGUGGUGGCAGGUGAUUGUGGAUAGAUUAGUGGUGAAUUUUAUCCUACACAAGAAUAUCUGUAAAUGAUAUUUAGACUUGGUUCCACAUCAGAAUGAUUAAGACCUACUCAGACCUAUUAAGAGCUAAAAUCCUAAAAAAAUAAAUGCACUUAAUGGUUUGAGGUCUGAACAGGUUCAUAAAUCCAAUAAGUGCAAACAAAUGAGACCUGAAAGUAGUUUGUCUGGUUAAGUUUUGACCAUGUUUUGUCCAUUUGUACCACACCGCAGUUUUGAUUUAACUUCGGAUGAUAUCAUGCAGCUUAAAACCUAAUUCAAAAUAUAUUGUGUUGUCAACCAUAUAAAUUGGACUAAAUAAACUUAGUGCCAGAAUUCGCCUCUGAAGAGGUACUUGAAAUGUAAUGAAAGUAAAGGCUUAGAAAAGAUUGGCCUCGGAAAAAGUGCCUAAGAUCAUCUCUGUUUCUCUAAAUAAAGUUGCAUCUCCCUCACUAUAAUUUUUUUCGCCGUAAUACACACUUGCGCCUAACUAAACGAUAUAUUGUUUCAUCCUCUGCCCUUUCUAAAAAGAAUUGAAGUUGAAUGAUCAAAUGUUAUUAGCAUUUAUCUCCUUGCUUGAUAAAAGAGGGAGUUUACCUGGUAUCCUAGCAUGGUAAUGAUCUUGUUCGUACUCUUAUUCAAUGAUUGAAUUUGGUAAUAUUUUCUUGAGUUAGGAUCUUUCUAUGGGAUGGUGAGAGUUAUACAUAAACUCAGAUGCUGAAAAUCUUUUCUUUUUCCCUUGUAAGUUAAAGAUGUCAACUUCUAUCUUUAAAGUUUGUAUUACUGUUUGUGUGCAUAAAUGAUUCUUAUUAAGUAAAUAUAACGAAAGCGCUAUUAAAAGAGAUGCUAUCCAUUUUUAUUUAUUCACUUUUUUCUAUUAUCCAAACAGGGGUGCUUGAUUUUUCCUUCAAUUUAGCCUGAUCAGUGAAAUUAAGUUUAUGUGUCAAGUGUCUUGUGAUAUUGUAGAUGACUUUGAACAAGUGGAGAAAUGUUGGUAUUCAUGAAAGAAAUUUCAUCCCCAUCACCCUGCUUGUAAUUUAUAGACUUUAUGGUAACUCAAAUGCAUGGACAAAGCUCCAUUUGGUAUCCUAUUUUUGUUACUGAUAAGCAUUCUGAAUUUGUGUUACUUGUAUGUUGCUUCAGUAUCUUGAUGACAAGCCACAAAUUAAAGAUGCAGUUAGGAUGGCCGAGGUAAUCACCAUUGUUCAUUUUAACCUCUGUUGUGCUUCAGUUAGUACUUAAUAUUUUGGCUGAGCCGUCUCUACUUUCAGAUUAGAUUGACGUCAUCCUGGACACUUGAUGAUUUUAAGGUUGAAAUCACCAAGUAUAUUAGCUCUCCACUAAUGUCAGAUACCAACUUAAAGGUCUAAUUAUGGCUAAGCACUGUAUACUGCUUCACAUCGACCCAUGUUGAAUUGAAUGUUGUGAAAAUUGAAGUACCCCAUUUACUAAAUGGAUUUCUAUGUAUUUGUACCCUUUUUGUCUUUAGGACAGGUCCUGCAUAAGAUGAGUGGAUUGAGUGCAAACGCAUUAGUAGUACUUCCAUGUUAUGUUUCACUGGAAUUUGGUCAGUUUGUGAUUGUUAAAUUGGCAACUCGUAGGUAGUCAACUGUGGUUAGUGGCAUUUUCCUUUAGUAUCAACCAUAACCUAUCCCACAUUAAAUUUGGAUCUUCUUGUAAUGGAGUUAAUAGAAGAGUAGUGUGUCGGUUAGCAAGUAAGCCUGAAACCUUCAAGAAUAAAGACGAGGACCACAUUGAUCAAAUAUUUGGUGUUAGCUUUUGCUUCCAAUUCUUCAGUUUUGGUACCAUUUUCCUUAUUUUUUAUUUCCUGGAUGGCGGUGUUUAAUAUUACACCUACCGCACAUAUCUUAAGUACAACAUAACUGGAUGAUAUCAACGAUCAUUUUCUAUUUUUGUAAUGAGGAUAUUCUACAUAUAUCAUUUGGAUUUUGGAGGUUAUUUAUGGUCAUGGCGUAUAAUCUAUGUAUGUGGGAAGAGGGAAUUGCAAGGGGUAUCUUGUCGAAGAAUUAUGCUUAGACGGUUGGGUCUCUUAAGGCUUUCAGUUUACUUUCAAUAGCUCAAAACUUUUGUAAAGCAUUUUAUCAAAGAUUAUAAUGUGAGGAGUUACUCCAAAAGAUGGUAAUAAUACCCUUACAUUAUAUCCCCCUUGCCUUCCAAUCGAAGGAAUAAGAGGACAUACAUGGCUUAUACUCAAUCUUAUUCCAUACUUCCUUUCUAAACUUUAUGUUCUACGCGUUUGGGCUUGCCGGGUCAUUGAGUAUUGAAUGUGCAUAUUUCAUCUACAUAGUUUGUCUUUGAGGAGUUACUGGAAAGGUCCAGGGAGAAAGAAUAAAAAGAAGCUAAAAAGCGUAAACGUCUAGCAGAUAAGUUCUAUGAACUUCUUCAUGCAUCAGAGGUAUAGUAAAGAGUUUACGAUCUCUCACAUUCCAAUGGAUGGGAUCCCAUGAUAUUUCCUUUAAACCAUAAUCUAUUUGUUUGCUGUGGUUGCAGGAAAUUACUGCAUCAUCGAAAUAGGAGGACUGCAAAUCCCCCUUCGGAGAUAGGCAAGUAGCUUCUUUUGCUUUUAUUGAUCUAGAAUUAGUAACACAUUGCAAGGACCAUUGGAGAAUGAUAAUUGAUAUUAUUUUGAAGGACCAACUCCUUCAAUAUUCUAAACUCAGUAAUUCACAUAGUUCUAGAAUGUACCUUAGAAUAAUAGUUGUGUUGAAUGAUUUGUUGUUUUAUAUUCCUCAACAUUUAGGUAGGCUAUUUCUUUAUAGUAUUAGCAUGAAUUACCAUUUUGCUUAGUGAUUUUUAAUGUUGAACUUAUCCCUCCAGAAAUUCGUUGAUGUUAAUUAUUAGUUGUUCUAACACUGGGCGUUUAAUAGCUCUAGCAGUUAGUUUUUUAAUUUAUGACAUUUGUGAUUGUUUUAGUUUUUUAAUUUCUGGCAUUUGUGAUUGUUUCACGGUUCUGAGGAAGUAUGCUGCUAAAUCUCUAGUUUUAAUUUGUCUAGCCUCUUUGGCUAUAAAAUGAAAUGCUCUGGAUUUUUACUUUUUUAUUCAUAAUCUCAUGAUUCUCAUUAUAUCGUAACAUUGAAUGUGAAUUUCUUUGCUGUUAUUAUUUUACAGAAUAAUGGGUGAUAAGGGCUUGUUGCUUGAAAUAUUUAACAAAUUUGUUAAUGAACUAAAAUAGAAGGAGCGCAAGAGUCAAGAGGAUAAGGUACUUGAAUUGCUACAAACCCUUAUUCUUCUGCUACUUUUGGGUGGGGGUAGUAGAUGUGUGGAUGUGAUUGUGGUUGAUAUUGUUUUGCGGAAAUUUUGAAUUUUUGAGAGUCGCCACUUAAUUUUGAAAAGGAAUUAAGAAACCGUUAGAGAGUUACUGCAAACGAUUCAAAAUAGAAAAAUCGUUUUAAGUUAGAGAUUCUAGAUAAGCAGUUCCUAUUAACGUUUUAGGAAGGUAUUAGGCACCUAAAAUGUCCGCUAACUUAUGGUUAUCCGGACUGUUUGAAAAUCGUCUUUUGAUUAACUUUAAAAAAGUUUAUUUUUUUUAAAAGAAAAGCGAUUUAAGGAAUAUUCUGUUGUUUAUAAAAAACCAGUUUUUUAGCGACUUGACUAAGGAUUUUACUAGGUUCACAAAACACGCGUAAAACAAGUAAGCAAAUAGCUCGAGUCUCGCUCCACCUGUUUUAAAUUUACAACUUUGGCUUCAAGGCUCAAAUUAAUAAAUAAAUAAUUCACUAAAUAAACAAAAAUAUAAAUAAGUAAAUAAAUAAAUAAUGGAAACAAUGGAUAAAUAAAUUAAUAAAGAAGAAAUAACGAGAUUUUCAAGUCCCCUUUGCCGCUUCAAAGAUGGAACUUUAACCCAUUCUUCUUUCGAUUCCUCGUAUCCAUACGCCAUGAGAUAGAUUCUUGGAUUUUCUUUUGGGAUUAACUAGGAAGGAUAGGCCUCAUUGGCCCAUUUAUGAAAUGCAAAGAGAGAAGGGGCCCAUUUGAACUCCAAGGGGAGUGCAUGCAAAGAAAGGAAUGAAGAAAUUAACAUACGUCCAAGAUUUUAACAAUUAAUAAGCUAUAGCAUUCCUGCUUCAUUCAAAUACAUUCACACAGGUAAAAAUGCCACAGGAGCAAAAGUCUAUAAUGUUUGAAGAAAAUGUUCAUAAUCUAAUGCCACAAAAGGACCCAAUUAAGCAUGUCACAAAAAAGAGUUACAACUCCAGGAUCAUACUACAUAAAUGAUGGAUCACAAGCAACGUUCAAAUUCCAGAAUGCCAAACAUACAAAAUUAAAGACUUAAUCAGUUUAGGCAAGGAAUACGAUAGCUCAAACUUCAAGAAAAGCAAGGUUGAAAUCUUAAUGCCUUCAUUACCAUUGGGUUAACAAACAAAUGAGAUUCAAACACUACAUAAACCCAAUUAUAGGUAAUUUAAUCAUGAGACAAGAUUCCAUAACUUAUAUGCGAACAAGAAAAGCAAGAAAGGAAAGAAACAUUAGCCCAUCAAACUUUAAUUUGUUGUCAUGAGUCAAUUACAGCAAAUUGAAUUAGCCAUGAAGAAAACAUAAUUCAUCCCUAUGGUCCACUCUCAUAUUUUAAAAUAAACUUUAGAAUAAAAUAAGACUAUUGUACAUCGAAAGUGGCAAGUCGAAAGAAAAUAACAUUCUAGUUCUUAUUUAUAACAAUUUCCUGCGUUUGAGUGAAAAAAGAUAUGCAAACAGGCUUCCUAAUAUCUAUUCUUUGAACAUUUAUUUGAAUUUAGAAAAUACGUAAAGAUUUUAUUCUCCUACUCUAUGAACUACAAAGAAACAUCGAAUAUGAGACCAGCAAAAUAGUUUCUAUAGUCGAAGCAUUAAAGCUAACUGUAACAUUCAGACAAAAUAAAAUAAGAGAGAUCAAGCAUGAACAAAAGCCAAGCAAACACGGGCAAAAAUGAGUUUUUUAGUAGAACAAUAUAUCAAACAUGAAAAUCCUAUGCCUUCCAGGCCUCUACAUCAGUCAUUCCCAGCAAACAGAAGUGGAACCACGAAGAAGAAAAUGAUAACCUCAACAAAAUUAAAAAGAAAGGUGUAUUUACCUCUUUCGGGGAAGCAAAAUGAGAUAAUGAGCUGAUGAUAGGAUUCCGACCACUGAAAAACUCAUAACUGCUUCGAUAGUUCAGAUGCACCACCUAAGAAUGUAUGUUUCUUAGGCGUAAAAAGAAUAUUUUUUUCCCUCUGAGAGCCCCCUUUCUAACCCUUUUUUUGUGUAUUUCUGAAUUUUUGAAGAUUUUCUCUAACCCUAAAUUUUCAACCCAAAACUUUUGAACCCUCUUUUCCUCUAAAAUUUCGAACUCCAAAGAGAAAGAAGAGGAGAACCCAUAAAGGAAAGGAGAGGCCAGUGAAAAAAAUUCCAAAAUCCCAAAAAAAAUCCCUUUUUCUUGCUCUAAAGAGAGCUACUUAUAGAAGGGAAUUGAGGGUUCAUUUUUGAAAUUCAAAAGAUCCGGACCCUAAUGAACUGUACCUCUAUUUUGAUUUUCUUGAAUGGAAUUCCAAAAUGUCGCCAAUAGAAAUUGGUGGAAAGGGAAUAAUCUUCACAAGACAAUGAAAAUACUCCACCUAUGUACGAAUUCGUAAACCUCUAUCCAAGAAUUUUGGGAUUUGAACGUUGGAUGAGACACCUAAGUGUGUUUCUAGAAGAUUCUUGGCAUCUUCUCAUAUGGGUUCGCGUGGAACGCGCGUGAUCAUAAAGAGGAAAAAGAAAACGGGUUGGAUUCGGGUGCUACAUCCUAUUUGAAGUCAUAUGCACCUGUGGUUUUGAUUUGAGAUUCUCAUCCUCUCGGAUACUCUCGACAAUGCUUCAAGCAAAAAGUGUUAGUGCUAAACAUAAUUCACUAAAGAGGUAUGCAGUCUUUUACCAUAUCUCCACGUGAGUUGUGGCCUGAAAAGCGGAAUGAAAUAAUCCACAAUACCAAACACAACAACCCUCUUGGUUGUUGUAUAAUUAUGACAUUUGUUGGUUGAAUAUGUCUUCAAAGUGGGUGCCCCUUAUGGACACCGGCGAUACUUUAUGCAGAACGGUCUCUACAACUGUGUAGUCUUGUGCUGGUGUGGCAACCCUUUAGGUACCUAUAUCAUUUGUUGCAUGUAGAAUGAUAACCUCUCCAUUUAUAGUCGUGAUCAAUUUAUAAAUUUCCUUUAAAUUAUCAAUCUUUGGAUAAUCUUACGCAUUAUUUGAUGUUGGAUACGAGGCGAAUUACAAAUAUCCUUUUGAUUUCUAGCUUUUAGGUAAUCCUGCAAAUUACCAGACUUUGAAUAAGAGAUGGCUUACAGAUAUCCCUCCAAUCACUAUCUUUCAGGUGUUCCGGUACAUCAUCCGACCUUGGAUAAAAUAUGACUUAUAGAUAAUCCCUCAAAUUAUUAGUCUUUGGGUAAUCCUGCACAUUAUCGAUCUUGGAUAUGACACGGCUUAUAAAGAACCCUUGGACGUAUCAAUUUGAUAAUCUUCCAUAUUCUCCGGUAAGGAUUUAGUUGUGACUUAUGGAUUUGAACUAUCGAUUUUUGGGCUAUCUUGCACACUAUCCGGUUAGGAUGUUGUUAUGGCUUACGGAUGACCUACCGGUUAUCAACUCAUAGGUGAUCUUGCACACUAUCCUAUUUCAAAUAAUAUGACUUAUAUAUGACCCUCAAAUUGUCAAUUUCUAGGAAAUCUUAUAUAUCAUUCAUCCUUAGAUAGCGACUUAAAGGCGUCCCUUCAAAUCGUAUGCUCUCGAUGCAUUCAGAUGUUGAUUUAUAAAAUGAUAAGAUAUCCUCGAUGCCAUCAUUUAUAUCUUGCGUGUCAACAGAUAUAAAAUGAUGAUGAUAUCCUCGACGCCAGUGUUGUGUCAUACACAUCAACAGAUAUUACAUGAUGAUGAUAUCCUAACCGCCAGCAUUGUGUCUUGCAUGUCAACAGAUAUUGUGUGAUGAUGAUAUCCUCAAUGCCAGUGUUGUGUCUUCCAUAUCAAUAGAUAUUGCAUGAUUAUGAUAUCCUCGAUUCCAAUGUUGUGUCUUGCAUGUCAAUAGAUAUAUAAUAAUGAUAAUAUCUUCGACGCCAGCGUUGUGUCUAGUGCGUCAACAAAUAUUGAAUAAUGAUGAUAUACUCGAUGCCAGCAUUGUGUCUUGUGUAUUAACAAAUAUAUUGAAUGCUGAUGAUAUCCUCGAUGCCAGCAUUGUCUAGCGCAUCAACAAAUAUUGAAUAAUGAUAAUAUCCUCGAUGCCAGUGUUGUGUAUUGCGUGUCAACAAAUAUAUUGAAUGCUGAUGAUAUCCUUGACGCCAGCGUUGUGUCUAGCGUGUCAACAGAUAUUGAAUGAUGCUGAUAUCCUUGACGCUAGCAUUGUGUCUUUCGUGUUAAUGGAUAUAUUGAAUGAUGAUGAUAUCCUCGAUGCCAGUGUUGUGUCUAGCGCGUGAACAGAUAUUGAAUAAUCAUGAUAUGCAAUGGCCCUUUUGGCAAUGACAUGUAAUGGUUCUUUCGAUAAAUUAAAAGCAGUUUCUCCUAAAAUCAUUUGUCAGGGUCUUUCUUUAUGCAUGUACCUAUACUCAAGGUAGAAGAUUAGUAGACACAAAGUUGCUUUUGCUAGUGACUAUUUUUUUUAGAAAAAUUCUAAAUACAAUAUUUGUAAAGAAGACAAGACACUUUUGUUUGUCCUCCAUGAUCUCAAGAAAUGAGAUGGAUAAUUAAAAAGGUCGUCAAUAAAUGGGUGUUGAGCCAGUUUUUGGGCUACCAAAAGUACCGUUAUUAAGCCUUAUAUGCUCUAUCAUGGCUCCUGACUUGCUUGGGGAUUUUUCGAAAGAAACGCUCAUUUUGUGUAUCGAUCCCUGAAUCCACAAAAAAUGAUUAGUCUGAAAGAAACUACUCCGUGUUGACCACCUACGAUCCUUGAUUUGCCCUCGCCAUAUAUUAGGUAUUUCAUCAUGUUGGGACUUCCACCCCUGACUCCCCGUCCUAAUUGAUGUCUAGGCAAUCACUAAGUAAAAGAUUUAUAUAGAUUUUUUUCAAAGUACUCUUAAUUUUUUAGAAAAUAGUUUUGAUAACUCCUGCAAAACUUCGAAAAAUCUCUGCCAGUCAUUUAGUACUAAUCCAAAUACCUCAUAAUUUGCUACAUACCUUCUCAUAAGUAGUACUAGUUUACAACUACCAACGAAAAAAGUCAAGGGGUAAGGUCACAUAAUAGACAUGAUCAACCUUAAUCUGAUAUUAUAACCCUAUACGAUCUUAUCUACUUAUGCAGAUUUCUCACCUCAUACUUACUUACUCAAGCAUACAUUUAAAUCAACAACUCCUUCUCUAUCUUAUACUAAAAUAACUCACAAGGACGAAUCACCCCUUUACCAACUCCAUCUUAUGCAAACAGAUUCAGCCAUACGUAUAUUAAACCAACAAAAGAACAACAAGUUGGACAACAAGUUGCUAGUGAAUCGAAAUAGGCCUCACACGGCUUCACUAGACUUUGGUUUUGUAUUUUGAACAAGAAAAUGAGAUAGAUGACAAGGCAACUAUGCUAGUGAAUCGAAAGAUCCCCACAUAGCUUCACUAGACUUAAAAAUUUUUUUUUUCAAAAACACCAUGAUAACAAGAUUGCAUAUUACAAGAGAUAGGAAAUUGACACAUAAUAUUUAAUGGUCUAAGAAUACAUAUCUUACUCUGUAUAAAUAAAAAUCAGAGUAAAAUACUUCCCCCAUGGACUACCAUACCAUCCAUAUGUGCUACUAGCUACCACAUUAGUUUAUCACUAUAAAGGGGUAAAUCAUCCUCAAAUAUCGGUUAUUCAACUGAAAUAUUCAUUUACACCAAAAAUAACCCUCACUCUGACUUCUAAAUUUGUGACUUCACAUCACUAACUUCUUGGUCUAAUUUCAUUACCAAUAGUUCAUGACAACAACAAUUUAACUUAUGCUAUUAUUCGGGUGGAAAUACAGUUCCAACAUUCUACUAUACACCGUCCAUAUCUGUAUCAAGAUUUUUGGGAGGGACUAGAUGCACUUAAUACCUUAAGCUGGAAAGCACAAUUCCAUCAGGAUCAAUGUUUACAUCAGAAUUAACACAUAUUGAUGCACCAACAGACUCCUCUCGAGUCUUUGCACAAUUUUUUUCUUAUAUGACACAAUCGAAAAAGACUAUAUCAUGUAGAUUCUAAACUUUUUGCACUUGAAUCACCCCAAUAAUGGGACAUGUCUGAGAACAUCAGAGUAAGCAAAGAAUUUGGGAUGACUUUACCUUCAUAUGGGUGACACCAUAUCACAAAUGACAGUAUGAAAGAGGAACAUUUUGACUCUAUUGCACAAACUGGAACAUGAAGAAAUAGAGACAUUCCUAAAUGCCUAGUAUCCUCCUGCUUAUAAGUGUGGCGCGCUACACUCCCAUAAAUAAGACUCUACUCGAUGUGAUUUUGUAAAAAUCUUGGGACCAUGAACCGUGCUCUGAUACUAAGUUUGUCACGACCCGAAUCAGUGCCCUGGCUGUAACGAGCAUUCCGAACCAUGAAGGCCCAAAACACCCUUAUUUGUCUGAUAAUCAUGUACGUAACUCGUAUCAUAAAAGAAAUGCGGAAGAUAAACAAUAUUAUGAAAACAUUGUCAAGAAUUAUAUGAAAUAAAUAAUGGGGAAUAAUGUCCCACAAUCUCAACACAAUAUCUCUAUAACGCCUGCGAAAUCUCUACUAUAUGACUGAAAUAAAUAUAUAUCUGAAAACUGGGACAAGGACCCCAGUAGAUCCAAAACUAAUAAAUGAUAAUUAAAACUGCCAUAUAUCAGGACUUUUGAAAUAUAGAAGGCUCACCAAGUGACUCUGCAAAUCUGUCUGAGGAAUCUACUGAUUUUCUGGACCCCUAGACUGUGCCUUCGAACCUGGAAGGGAAGAGGGUCAGUACAAAAGUACUGGUACGCAGAGAUAUCAAAACAAAACAUAAUAUUUUUACAAAAUAGAGUUGAGAUCCAUUAUAAAGAAGUUUCAUAUCAAAUCAUUUGAAAACACAUGGGCGUAAUGUAAUUGUUUUCAACAACAAUUUAAUGUAGCUGAGCUAGGUGGAAUACCCUACAUAUCACAUUUACACCAACUGUCAAACCUUGGUUGCUGUCGAGAUUAGAGUAUAAGUGAGGGGAAGACACACAAUAUUACACAAUAGGGUGUCUCGGCCUAAUAGUAGUGCGCAAGAUCACAAAGUAGGGCUCCUAACCAUAGUCCCAACUUGGGAAUGACAUAAAGUCAGGUAUGCAAGAUCACAAAGCAGGGUACCAAAUUCCCAUGUCGGCAAACACAGUUUUCAGUGAUGAUCCCUUACACUCAAACGUCUUCUUUGGGAAUCCACCUAUCUCAUGUAAAAUCAAUGCAUUCAAAUUUCAUCUGAUUCAAUCACAUAUCAUACUCUGUAGGGUAUCAUCAUACCCGACUUGUAAGCCAUCAAUAUCACAUCAUUCUUCUCAUUCAACCAUUGUAUUUAACAUGUUUCAACACAAAUAGCCCGCUUAUUUUCAAGUCAAAAUCAUAUCAAUUCUCAAAAUAUUUCAUGUCAUGCUUUUCAAGAUGUUUUCAAACAAUUUACAUCAUAUGAACAUUUAAAACAAAUUCACAUCAAGAGAGGGAUUCCAUAUAAUUCAUGCUCUCAAAUUAACACCUAUUCAAAACACAUGCAUAUACAUAUAUAAUAUGUUAAAUCACUUCGAAAAUAGGCCUAAAGACCAAAUCAAUAUUAUAUAAAUGUUCAAAACAUGAUUAUAUUCGUAGUUUCAAAACCCCCAUUGUAAAACAUGAAUUUAAAGUCCCAUGAGAUUUUAGGAUAACCCCACAUACCUCUAAAUGCGAAGAUGAUAGGUGUUUCUUGAAGCCUACGUUCUGGGGAUUCCAAAUAUGCAAUUAGUUUCAAAAUCCCACGGUUGAAUCUUGAGUUACUUGGGUUUUUAUUUUGAAACCCUAAGGAGAGUUUUUGAGAAAUUUUGAUGAAUGAAGGUGUAUUUUGGGGUAUUUACGAAUUGGAUUUCGUGUUUAUAGCUAAAUAAGGGUGGGAAAAGGACCAUUUUGCCCCAAAAAUAGAGUGUUUAAGUCACUUGAGUAGUAAUGUAUGCGGCGCACACCUUAUCACAUAAUAUAGGUUGUGCGGUGCACUCUUUAUCGCACAUAUUAGGUUGUGCGUCGCAUACCUUAUGGCAUAAGUUAGGGUGUGCGUCGCACACCUUAUGCUGCAUGACACACUCCACUUUGUAAAGCCAUAACUUCUUCCUUGAAUGUCGGAUUUUUACAAAUUUGGUAUCGUUGGAAAGAUAAUUCGAAGACCUUUCAUUUGAUAUAUAGUAGGCACUCCAAUUCAAUAUACACAAAAAGUAAUGAACGAUUGAAGUUGACCCAAGUUUUGCAUGACAAAUUGCGAUACAAGACUCGCAUAUAUAUAUAUAUAUAUAUUUAUUUUAACUUUAUAUGAUAGUCUAAGUAUUUAUAUGUGCAACACUCAAAUUAAAAUAUAUAAAUAUUUGCUGAUGAUGUCAAGUUGAAAACACAUUUAUGUAUUAUGUCAAACGUAUAAUUCCUUUUUUGAACUAUAGCUAUAAUAUGUAGCAUGAGUGAAUGUACUCUAAUUUUAAGUUGAUGUAAUGAGAAAAAUUAAAUUCAUUGCUAUUUAUUUAUAUUUUUAAAAAGCAAGGUGGAGUCAGAGAGCAAUUACCAUAAUUAAAGGGGAGCUAAAGGUAUAAUUAAAUGAGAAGCAUGAAGUCUUUUGAUAGAGUGUAUUAAAAAAUUAAUAACAACAACAACAAUAAAUUCAAUGUAUUUCCACAUAGUGGGAUCUGGAGAGGGUAAGAUGUACGUAGUCCAUAUCACUACCUUCGGAGAAGUAGAAAGGCUAUUUUUGAUAGACUCCCGGCUCAAGACAAGGAAUAAUAAUCAAAUCUGUGAUAAAGCAUGGAAUGUAUUACGUAAAAAUUAAUGCAUCCAUUAAUUUAAUGUGUAUUAGUAGUCCCUUGUUUGAUAUAUAUAUUUUUGUCUUAUGUAUAACUAAUGCAAAGAUUAGUUAUAUACUCUAUUGUGUAUUGAGGUGUGUAUUACUAAUACCUUAAAAUUUAUGACAUUAGUAAUGCAAUAGAUCUAAUGCAUGCAUUAACAUGCUUAAAGUGGGGGUAUUAUGUAAAAAAAAAAAUAUUUAAUUCGUGUUAUUUUUAAUACAUUGAAUCAAAUACUGUAUAAGAAACAACAGCAGCAACAACAACACCCAAUGUAUUCCCAUAUAGUGGGGUCUAAAGAGGUUAAUGUAUGUAGAUCAUAUCACUACUAAGGUGAAGUAGAGAGGAUGUUUCCGAUAGAUUCCCAGCUUAGGAUCAUAAUAAUAUACCAAACAUAAAAGAUAAAUGCAUAUAAACUAAUAAGAUAUGCAAAAUAAAACUAACAAUAUAACAAAUAUCAAAGAAAAUGUAUAUAAAUUAGUAUCGUAUGAAAAAAUAGCCUAUCUACCAAGAAGUGUCAGCUUUGUGUUGGGUGGUUGAUAGUCAAGAAAGUGUCAGCUUUCCUAAAAAGAAAAACUCCAAUAAAGAAAGAAGUCCCUCCACUUUCACCAUUGAUUCAAUGUUAUUUUUAAUACGUAGAAUCAAAUACUGCGUAAGAAAAUAGAAGCAUAAUUAAUGCAAAUAUUAUUAAUAUACCGAUAUGCAUAUAUUGGUAAAAAAACAACGAACGUUGACUACUACUUUAGCUAUAAAUAUAUUUUAAAAUUUACAUACAACAUUAAAUUUAAGGAACUUGAGUCUAUAUAUUAUGAUCAUAAAAUUGAUUCUAAUUAAUUGAAAUUAAUUAGUUGAUUGUAUAGUUUUAUUACAACAAUUUCGUACAUCAUUUAUUUAAUAAAAAUACAUAUAAUUAAUUGAUUGAUUUUGUGCAAUCUACUAUGAUUUUAUUAAUUCAAAUGAAAUGAUUUUUAAAUGAUAAGUUUGGAUUAUAAAAUAAAGGUGAUUAUUGUAUGAAUUUAGCAUUUCUUAUGUAUUAAAAAAGAUUUAUAGACAAAAAAAUGCCAUCCCUCAAAACAAUUAAAUUUGAACUAUUUUAGUGAAACAAUGAAAGAUUGAAUAUAAGAAAAUCCGUAAUUAAGAAAAGAAAUAAUUGUCACCUUAUUUGAGUUUUUAGCAAAUUGUAAAGAUAAUUAAAUAAAUAAAUUGUAAAUUGAUAAGCAAUUUUUGAGAAAUAAAUCAGUAAUUAGGAAAAGAAAUAAUCGUUACCUUUUUAAAAUUCUUCCCAAAAUUAUAAAGGUAAUUAAUAUCAAUUAUUUUUGUAUUUGAGCCCUUUAUACAAUUAUAGAUUAAUUAAAUAUAAUCAAGCUACAAAAUUAGGAUAGAUUUAUGGUAAAUAAAUAUAUAAUAUUAAUAAUAAUUUUAUUGCUGUCAGAUUAAUUAGAUUAAAUUGAACUAGAAAUUAGUUAAUAUUGACAAUUACUUUAAUAAAAAAUAUAUGGAAAGAUUCGUAAUUGAUAUGCAUUUAUUGGUAAAAAAAACAACGAACGUUGACUAUUACUUUAGCUGUAAAUAUAUUUUAAAAUUUACAUACAACAUUAAAUUUAAGGAACUUAAGUCUAUAUGUUAUGAUCAUAAAAUUGAUUCUAAUUAAUUGAAAUUAAUUUGUUGAUUGUAUAGUUUUAUUACAACAAUUUCGUACAUCAUUUAUUUAAUAAAAAUACAUAUAAUUAAUUGAUUAAUUUUGUACAAUCUAUUAUGAUUUUAUUAAUUCAAAUGAAAUGAUUUUUAAAUGAUAAGUUUGGAUUAUAAAAAUAAAGGUGAUUAUUGUAUGACCUUAGCAUUUCUUAUGCAUUAAAAAGAUUUAUAGAAAAAAAUAUGUCAUCCCUCAAAACAAUUAAAUUUGAACUAUUUUAGUGAAACAAUAAAAGAUUGAAUAUAAGAAAAUCCAUAAUUAAGAAAAGAAAUAACUGUCACCUUAUUUGAGUUUUUAGCAAAUUGUAAAGAUAAUUAAUUAAUGAAAUUGUGAAUUGAUAAGAAAUUUUUGAGAAAUAAAUCAGUAAUUAGGAAAUGAAAUAAUCGUUACCUUUUUAAAAUUCUUCCCAAAAUUAUAAAGGUAAUUAAUAUAAAUUUGAUAUAACCAUACUAUAAGAUUAUGUGAAAUUCAUGGGAUUAAAUUUUUAAAAUUAUAAAACUAAUUAAUAUCAAUUGUUUCAAUAUUUGAGUCCUUUAUGUAAUUGUAGAUUAAUUAAAUAUAAUUAAGCUAUAAAAUUAGGAUAGAUUUAUGGUAAAUAAAUAUGUAAUAUUAAUAAUAAUUUUAUUGUUAUAAAAUUUAUUAGAUCAAAUUGAGAUAGAAAUCAGUUAAUAUUGAAAAUUAUUUUAAUAAAAAAUAUAUACAAAGUUUCGUAAUUGAUAUACAUAUAUUGGUAAAAAAACAACGAACACUGACUAUUAAUUUGGCCAUGAAUAUAUUUUAAAAUUUACAACAUUAAAUUUAAGGAAUUCGAGUCUAUUUAUUAUGAUCAUAAAAUUGAUUUUAAUUAAUUGAAAUUAAUUAGUUGAUUGUGUAAUUUUAUUACAAUUAUGUCGUACAUCAUUUUUUUUAUAUAAAAAUACAUAUAAUUAAUUAAUUGAUUUUGUGCAAGCUACUAUGAUCUUAUUAAUUCAAAUGAAAUAAUUUGUAAAUGGUAAGUUUGGAUUAUAAAAAGAAAGGAGAUUAUUAUAUGCCUUAAGCAUUUCUUAUGUAUUAAAAAAGAUUUAGAGACAAAAAGUUGUAAUCCCUCAAAACAAUUAAAUUUGAACUAUUUUAGUAAAACAAUAAAUGAUUGAAUAUAAGAAAAUCCGUAAUUUAGAAAAAAAUAAUUGUUACCUUAUUUGAGAUUUUAGCAAAUUAUAAAAAUAAUUAAAUAAUCAAUUCACUAUAAUCAAAUUAUGAAUAUAUAAGAAUUUUUUGAGAAAUAAAUCAGUAAUUAGGAAAAAAUAUAAUUGUUACCUUUUUUAAAUUCUUCCCAAAAUUAAAAAGGUAAUUGAUAUCAAUUUAAUGUAAUCAAUCUAUAAAAAACAUGAGAAAUUCAUGGGAUUGAAUUUCCGAAAUUAUAAAGGUAAAUCAAUUGUUUUCAUAUUUGAGCCCUUUAUGUAAUUGUAGAUUAAUUAACUACAAUCAAGCUAUAAAAUUAGGACUGAUUUAUGGUAAAUAAAUAUAUAAUAUUAAUAAUUAUUUUAUUGUUAUCAAAUUAAUUAUAUUAAAUUGAGUUAGAAAUUAGUUAAUAUUGACAAUUAUUUUAAUAAAAAAUAUAUGCAAAGUUUCGUAAUUGAUAUACAUAUAUUGGUUACAAAAACAACGAACACUGACUUCUACUUUAGCCAUAAAUAUAUUUUAAAAUUUAAAACAUUAAAUUUAAAGAUCUUGAGUCUAUAUAUUAUGAUCAUAAAAUUGAUUCUAAUUUGAUACUAAUUAAUUGAAAUUAAUUAUUUGAUUGUAUAGUUUUAUUACAACAAUUUAGCACAUCAUUUAUUUAAUAAACAUAUAUAUAAAUAAUUGAUUGAUUUUGUGCAAUCUACUAUGAUCUUAUUAAUUAAAAUGAAAUUAUUUUUAAAUGGUAAGUUUGGAUUAUAAAAAUAAAGGAGAUUAUUUUAUGACUUUACCAUUUCUUAUGUAUUAAAAAAGAUUUAUAGACAAAAAGAUGUCAUACCUCAAAACAAUUAAAUUUGAAUUAUUUUAGUAAAACAAUAAAAGAUUGAAUUUAAGAAAAUCUGUAAUUGAGAAAAAAAAUAAUUUUUACCUUAUUUGAGUUUUUAGAAAAUUAAAAAGAUAAUUAAAUAAUUAAUUUACUAUAAUCAAAUUAUAAAUUUAUAAGAAAUUUUUGCGAAAUAAAUCAACAAUUAGGAAAAAAAUAAUCGUUAACUUUUAAAAAUUCUUCCCAAAAUUAUAAAGGUAAUUAAUAUCAAUUUGAUAUAAUCAAACUAUAAGAAUAUGAGAAAUUCAUGGGAUUAAAUUUUUGAAAUUAUAAUGGUAAUUAAUAUCAAUUUUUUCCAUAUUUGAGUCCUUUAUGUAAUUGUAGAUUAAUUAAAUAUAAUAAUCUAUAAAAUUAGGACAAAUUUAUGGUUAAAAAAUAUAUAAUAUUAAUAAUAAUUGUAUUGUUAUCAAGAUAAUUAUAUUAAAUUACGGUAAAAAUCAGUUAAUAUUGACAAUUAUUUUAAUAAAGAAUAUAUACAAAGUUCCAUAAUUGAUAUACAUAUAUUGAUUAAAAAAGCAACGAACAUUGACUACUACUUUAGCCAUNNNNNNNNNNNNNNNNNNNNNNNNNNNNNNNNNNNNNNNNNNNNNNNNNNNNNNNNNNNNNNNNNNNNNNNNNNNNNNNNNNNNNNNNNNNNNNNNNNNNNNNNNNNNNNNNNNNNNNNNNNNNNNNNNNNNNNNNNNNNNNNNNNNNNNNNNNNNNNNNNNNNNNNNNNNNNNNNNNNNNNNNNNNNNNNNNNNNNNNNNNNNNNNNNNNNNNNNNNNNNNNNNNNNNNNNNNNNNNNNNNNNNNNNNNNNNNNNNNNNNNNNNNNNNNNNNNNNNNNNNNNNNNNNNNNNNNNNNNNNNNNNNNNNNNNNNNNNNNNNNNNNNNNNNNNNNNNNNNNNNNNNNNNNNNNNNNNNNNNNNNNNNNNNNNNNNNNNNNNNNNNNNNNNNNNNNNNNUGAUGUUUAUAUGGAAAAGUUAAAUUUUGAAAAAAUAAAUAUCUUAAAUUUCAUAAUUUAAGUUAAUUUGUGUGCUAAUUUGAAAAAGUUAAUUUAUAGUUUACAUUUUAUUUCUAUUAUAUGGAAAAUUUGACCUCAUAUGGCUAUUUAUAGCCAUUGAAUAACACAAAUUAUUUGUUACACUUUUCUUCUCUCUCUCUUUCUCUCAUGGGUAUUUCUCAAGUUUUUCAUUUUGAGUAUGUAAAUAUUCACUUCCCAUAUUUAUGGAUCCUUAUAAAUAUUCACUUGCCAUAAACAUAUCCUUGUAAAUAUUUACUUGCAAUUUACAGAUCCUUGUUAGUUGUAUACAUGCAUUGUAUGAUGAUGAAUGAAAGACACAGAAAAAAAAGUUUUCUCCAUUCUAGUCUUUUGCUAUUUUUACAUUUCAAGAAAAAAUAACAAGAAUACUAUAGAUUCUGAUAACCUUUUGCCGGCUCUUACUCUUUCAACUCUUUGAUUCAGUAAUUUUUUUUUUGUUAUUAUUUACCAUGAUUAUUUGUUUUAUCAGAAGGAUUUGAUAAGUUCUUUGAAUUGUUCUUGUGUUAUUUGUUUGUGGGGUAUUUUAUUAAUUUUCAGUAGAAGACUAGUAGUAAAUAGUUUUGCGUCAUGUCUCUUCUGGUAGUAGUAUUAGUACAUAUUUUUCUUUUCUACUUAUUGUAUCGUAUACCUCUAUUUUCUUACUUGCUACUAUUGUUAAUAUCCUCGUGUUUUUGCUUUAUCCUUUGAAAUCUCAUGGACACUAGUUUGAUUCAUGUACAGUAUCCAUACAUAGAGAUGAUGAAGAACAACUUCUUUUUUCGAUCAUCAACUAAUGAUGCAAACAAGACCCCUUCACCACCAUUAAAGUCCAAGGAAGUUUCUUCUAGGAGGAGUGUUUCAUUGUCAUCUCGAUUCUUCUAUGACAGUGGGUCAGGAAAAAAGAAUUUCACGGAUCUAAGUAAAUCUCCCUAUGGCCACAGUAAGAAAGUUCAUCCUAAGAAAUCUGGUCGUGAUUCAAGACGGUAUGCAUAUCAUUUUGCUGUAGCUUUCUUUUUCACACUUAAACUGAUGUUUUAAUUUGCAUUUGCUUGUCCAAAGUAAUGACAAAUGUUUCUUUAUGGCAGAGACCUUAGCAUUCCAGUGUUGAUUCGGACUAUUAGAAGAUUGACAACGGAGAAGGUACAAAUGGCUUCUGAAGUUUCAAGCAUGCUAUGGAAUCAAGUUACUGAAAGGGCUUCUGCUAAGGAAGAAGCCAGCAUAUUACAGGCAGAACUAGAUUCAUGGACACGAAGAUUGGAGACCGAAAAGAAUGAGUUACAAUCAAUACUGGAAAAGGAGUUGGAUAGAAGAUCGAGUGAUUAGUCUUUAAACCUUGAGAAAUACCAAAUUGAACAACAUAGACUCCAUGAAAGGGUGAGGGAGCUUGCAGAGCAGAAUGUCUCCCUACAAAGGGAAGUCUCUUCAUUUAAUGAGAAGGAAGUAGAUAAUAGAAUCAAGAUGUCAUUUUCGGAGAAACACCUUGAAGAUUUGUCUAAGAAAAUAGAGCAAGUGUCAGAGGAGAAUCAAAAUCUAAGGUUGCAGCUCACUCAGUUACAAACAGAAUAUUGAGUAGCUCAAGACAAUAGAGAUCAUGUCCGAGAAAACUACCAGGAAAAGGUUAAAGAGCCUAAAUCAGAGACUUUUCUAACAACUGUGCUAAGGGAGAAGCUCUAUUCCGAGGAGAUGGACAUAAAGCAACUUCAGGCUGAUCAAGCUGCAACAGUUAGAGGUAACGACAUUCUUAAAUGUGAAGUGCAAAAUGCGUUGGAUGCUCUUUCUUAUGCCACACCUAAGUUGAAAUAUCUCGAGCUUCAGGUAAGCAGGCAAUCUUAAGAUCUCGUUGCAACGGAAUAGUUUUUAUUUUUCAACUUUGGAUACCUCGUCUUUAUAUAUGAUAGCCUGUUCAUAUGUUACUCUCUCUGCAUUAGCUUUCUACUUCUGUUUGAUUUUAGGUUCAUCUUUGUUCCAUCUGAAGUUCACGCUUUUCUUUAUAAACUUGUAUACAUGAGUUUCUGGCAUGUGGUAGUCUUCUGUAAAAUGUCUGAUCGCCUUAAUGUGUAAUCAGUUGAACCAACCAAGAACAUGAUAAACUUUGUGAUAUCCUCAAACCCAUUGAUCUAAUUGUGCUCUGAUGUGGUAAAGUUACCUGAAGGGGUUUCGGUAAGUUUGCUCGUUCAUCUGACUUAAUUCUUGGACAAGCUCACGAGUUAUCUACUGUGAAUUUUAACAGUUAAAAAGGAUUCAUAAUUUAGUUGAACUUCUAGGCUAUGAGUUUGUUUUGAAUUUCUGAUAAAAUGUUAUUGGUGAUCUUUGUGUCUUUCUUAUUUUUGAUGGUUUACGGUUGAUUCUGGUAGGUGCUAAAAAGGAUGAAAAUAUCAACCAGCUUACUAAUGAUUUGCAAGAAUGCAUGAAGGAACUUGGCGUUGUGAAGGUGAUACUACCAAAAGUGUUUUAGGAGAGGGAUUUCAUGUGAGAGGAAGUUAAGUGCUACAGUGAGAUGAACAUGCUGUUGAAUUAUGAAUCAAUAUGUUGAAAAGGAAGGUAGUUACCCUCGACGAAGACUUUCUUAUGAAAGAGGGUCAAAUCAUAAUCUUGAAAGACUCGAUAGGCAAACCUUUCGACCUUCUUACAAGUCAUGAUUCUCUGUUGGAGUGAUAGAUGCUAAAUGGCUAAACUACAAUUCAUAUUUUUUUCAUUGACUAUAGUGUUCAUACUUCUCGUAUACUUACUGAUUUUACUCCUAUUUUUCCCCCCUUUGAUACUUGUUAAAUAGAAAGUUUGCUUCUUUCUUUUACAACUUUUUUGAAUCUCCAAUUGUAAACAUUUCUUUUACUUGCUGGUGAUCAAGUCAAUGAACUUCUUUUGCUUCAUUUGGUUUUGUAAGUAUUGGCUGUUUUUUUGUCUUAUGAAGUAUUUAGUGAGGAUUGGUGCUACCAUUUUUUUUCUCGUCUCUGAGGUAAAGGUAUGAUUUGCAUAUAUUCUGCCUGAAUAUACAUCGGGUAUGUUGUUGCUGUUGUAUGGAGAUUGUGUGUAUAAUAACAAUUGUAUAUUUGAUGUCGGGUCAUCCACACUUUCAUUCCUUGCAGGGGAAAGCUCAUUAAACUUACUAAGUUAACUUUUCAUUGAUGUAUUCUUUCACUAAGGUUGUCACUGGGUAGCUACAAAAAGCACUUGUCUAACUGGGCAGUUCAUGUUCAGUUUGUGCAUAUAUUAAGUAACGUCCAAAUUUUUAACCAUAUAACUUUACCUCAAAAUGGUGCAUGGAAUAGAGCUGCUCUUAAAUUUGGUCGGUUGGCAGACUCUUCCAUUUGAUCUGCAAUCAAAUGCUUGCUUUGUCUCAGUACAUUUGAUUCUGUUGUGCUCAUUCACACAUGGUUUAUGCCAAGUAUGUGAGACACAUACAGAAGCCUCUAGUUUCAUCUUCUUUAUAUAGCUUUAAACUUUAUUUGACUUGCUAUGAGGGAGUUCCACCCUGCUCUAAUCAUUCUAACAGACUUUUAAAAUUAAGAGCCAAAGAACGCUAAACAAUGGGUGUAACUCAAAUCUAUUUGAAUAAAAGGAAUACAAACUCUGAGAGAACAAAACACACUCUCCAGUAGUCCAGUAAAAAUAGUAGAUCUUAAAAUCCCACUACUAAGAAAAUUAAUUUAAAUGAUGCUUUAGAUUAGAAAGUCACCUUAUUAUAUUAUGUAUUCAGUGGGUUCUCAUUUAUACUGCUCAUCAUAUUUUCUACACUAUCUUUUCAACAUUUUCUCUGAAGUCUAUAAUUUACUCUUCUUCACUUUGAACUUGGGCUCUGCAGAGCUUUGCAUCUUGGACUUCUAUAUGUUGGUUCACUUGUAGUACUUCUUGUGUAUUCUACCUUGUAUGGUCUGACAGUAAAGGAAUCAAACUGGCUUGGGCCUACAACAUCAGCUGCCGUGAUAAUCCUUGGUAGUUCAUUUUCUACAUAUAUUUGUCUCCUUUUCUGACUCGUACUGUGAAAUAAUUUCUUAUUUCCUUGUGGUAAGUAAUGAAUUCACUAUCUUUUCAUUCAAUCAGAUUGGAACUUGGGAGCUUGCUUGUAUGGCUUUAAGCUUCUGAAAGGUUGAGUCAUCAUACUUUUUGUUGUCGGUACAUCUCGGGUGUUCCUGAUCUAUUUUGGAGUUCAUUAUUGGUUUGUUGUUAAACCAUGCUAAUUCAUUUUCUUCCAUAAUCAAGUCUUUUUAUACUUGUGGCAUAUGCAUCCCUUUUAAUAUUAUUUGUUGAAUAGAAACUUCUAAUCUUUUGUUAUCAACAAAAAAUCUUCUAAUCUUUUACUGCAAUAAUUUUGUUUCAGGUACUUAGGACAUUGUAUAAGUUAUGCAGUUGUAGCAUCUGUGCUGUUGGGUGCUACUAUUUCACGGAAUUUAUCAGUUACAGACCCAUUAGCAUCUAGACGAGAUGCCUUGUAGAGCACAAUUAUCCGCCUUAGAGAAGGUUUCUGCAGAAAAGACCAAAAUAGCUCCGCAAGCUCUUCUGAGGGUUGUGGCUCAAGUAUCAAAUGCAGUAGUAGUGUUGAUGCUGGUCAUAUUAAUAAUGGAACUAUUCCUUGCACUAGUGAUGGCAGUACCUAGAAUAAUAUUGAGGGGAUUAAUAGUGAUAAGAGCAUAGAUAGUGAAAGACCAAGUCUAGCUGUACGUAGUAGUUCCUGUUGUUCAGUUGUUUAAGAGCCUAAAGUAGGAUCAUCAUAUGUUGACAGAAAAUUAGAGCACAAUAGUUCAUUGGUUGUUUGUUCUAGCAGUGGCCUUGAAAGCCAAGGCGGUGAUUCUAGUACAUCCACUUCUGCAAACCAACAGAUACUGGACUUGAAUUUCAAGAAAAUUUGAGUGAUCCCAGGAUUACAUCUAUGUUAAAGUGGAAAGAAAGACACACUGAUCAUGAAUUAGCUAACUUAUUGCAAGAUAAAGGGCUUGAUCCUAAUUUUGUAGCGAUGCUGAAGGAGAAUGGAUUGGGCCCAAUAAUUCUAGCCUUAUUGCAGAGAAGUAGUUUGGACGCUGAUAGAGAACAUCGUGGCAGUAACCCUCCUGUCACUGAUUCAAAUGAUGUUGAGGAUGCGUUACCUAAUCAUAUUUCAUUCUCGGAAGAACUUAGACUCCAAGGAUUAGGAAAGUGGCUUCAACUUUGUAGAGUAAUGUUCAUUAUGUAGCAGGAACUCCAGAGCGAGCAUGGCUUCUUUUCAGUUUAAUCUUCAUUCUUAAAACUGUCGUUGUGGCUAUCUUCCGAACAAAGACAAUAAAACUUUUGAAUGCUACACACCAAUAGGUAAGAAAUGCAUUAGUACUUUUAAAGUUCAGUUUAGUAUAUUUGGAGUACGGUUUAGCUAAAAUGUACUCCAUAUGGUUGUAUUUUCCAUUUUCUAACAAUUUUGUAACACCCCGCAUUUCGGACAAGAACGAAAAUCAUCAUUUUCUUCACGUAAAGGUUCCAAAAUCCAUAAAUCCAAUGCAAUUUUAGUGUGUUAAUAAAUUAUGUAGUGUUGAAGCCUAUUUAAGCAUGAGUUGAGAUCAUAGAGGUCCCCAAGCUCAAGGACAAGUUGAAAGUUUUCCUAGCGUUCGAAUUUUAGUGAGUGUUAAAACUUAGUUCAACUUCAAUCGACUAUUACUCUUUGUAUACAUUGAAUUAGAGUACCUACUAUAUAUCAAAUGAAAGUUAUUCGAAUUAUCUUUCCAACGAUACCAAUUUCACAAAAUUCCAACACCCGAGGAAGAAGUUAUGGCUUUGCAAAGUGUAGUGUAUCGUGCAGCAUAAGGUGUGCGACGCACACCCUAACUUAUGCCAUAAGGUGUAUGACGCAGAACCUAAUGUGUGCGAUAAAGAGUGCGCCGCACAACCUAUAUUAUGCGAUAUGGUUUGCGCCGCAUAUAUUAUUACUCAAGUGACUUAAACACUCCGUUUUUGGGUCAAAAUGAUCUUUUUCCCACCAUUAUUUAGCCAUAAACACGAAAUUCAGUUCCUAAAAUACCCCAAAAUACACCUUCAUUCAUCAAAAUUGCUCAAGAACUCUCCUGAGGGUUUCAAAAUAAAAAUCCAAGCAACUCAAGAUUCAACCGUGGGUUUUUGAAAUGAAUUGCAUAUUUGGAAUCCCCAGAAUGUAGGUUUCAAGAAGCACCUAUCAUCUUCACAUAUAGAGGUACGUGGGGUUAUCUCAAAAAUCUUAUAGGCUUAAAAAUUCAUGUUUUAAGAAUGGGGGUUUUGAAAUUAUGAAUAUAAUCCCAUUUUAAACAUUUUAUGAUAUUGAUUUGGUCUUUAGGCCUAUUCCCGAAGUGGUUUGAUGUAUGAUAUAUGUAUAUGCAUGUAUUCCAAAAAGAUGUUAACUUAAGAGCAUGAAUUAUAUGAAAUCCCUCUUUUUAUAUGAUCUCGUUUUAAAUUCUCAUAUGAUGUGAAAUGUUUGAAAUCAUCUUGACAAGCAUGACAUGAAAUAUUUUUAAAAUGGUCAUGAUUUUGACUUGCAAUAAGAGGGUUGUUAUGUUGAAAUAUGAUGAAUAUAAUGGUUGCAUGAAAGAAUAAUGUGAUAUUGACGGCUUGCAAGUCGGGUAUGACAAUACCCUACAGAAUAAGAUAUGAGAUUGAAUUAAAUGGAGUUUGAUGCGUUGAUUUUACAUGAGAUAAGUGGAUGCCCGAAGAAGGCAUUUGAGUGUAAGGGCUCAUUGCUUGAAACCAUGUUUGCCGACAUGGGGAUUUGGUACUAGGCUAAGUGAUCUUGUGCACUUGACUUUAUGUCAUUCCCAAAUUGGGACUAUGGUUAGGAGCCCAGGUUAACUGAUCUUGGGCACUACUAUACUUUAUUAGGUCAAGACACCCUGCUGUGUGAUCUUGUGUGUCUUUCCCUCACUUAUACUCUAAUCUCGGCGGCAAUCGAGAUUUGACAGUUGGUGUAAAUAUUAUAUGUAGGGUAUUUCACCUAGCUCAGCUGUAUUACAUUAUUGUUGAAAACUAUUGCAUUAUGCCCAUGUGUUUUCAAAUGAUUUGAUAUGGAACUGCUUUAUAAUGGCUCUCACCUAUAUUUGGAAUAAAAUAUUAUAUUUUGUUUUUGGUUUCUCUGCAUACUAGUACUUUUGUAUUGACCCCCUUCCCUCCCAGGUUUGGAGGCAUAGUUUAGGGGUUCAGAUAACUAGUAAAUCUCUUUCGACAGAUUUGCAGAAUCAAGUGGUGAGCCUUCUAUAUUUCGGAAGGUUUGAUGUUUGUCAGUUCAUUUAUCAUUUAGUAGUUUUGGGUCUACUGGGGACCAGUUUUCAGAUAGUAAUUUGUUUCAGUCAAAGUCAGAGCAAGGGUGACUUUUGUGUAAAUGAAUAUUUUAGUAUAAUAACCGAUGUUUGAGAAUGAUUUACCCCCUUGUGGUGAUAGACUAAUGUGGUAACUAGUAGCAUGUGUUGAUGGUAUGUAGUCCGUGGAGGAAGUGUUUGACUCCGAUUUUAUUUAUACAAAGUAAGAUGUGUAUUCUUAGUUGAUUGGAUAUUGCGUAUUAAAUUUCUCUCAUGUAAUCUUGUCAUCAAGGUGUUGUUGAAAAAAAUAAAGUCUAGUGAAGCUCUGUGGAGCUCUUUCAAUUCACUAGAAUAGUUGACUUGUCAUUCAUCUCAUUUUCUUGUUCAAAAUACAAAAUAAAAGUCCAGUGAAGCUGUGUGAGGCCUAUUUCGAUUCACUAGCAACUAGUUGUCCAACUUGUUGUUCUUGUGUUGGUUUAAUAUAUAUAUAUAUAUAUCUGAAUCUGUUUGCAUGAGAUUGAGUUGGUAAAGAGGUGAUUUGUCCUUGUGUGUUAGUUUAGUAAAAGGUAGAGAAGGAGUUGUUAGUUAGGGUGAUUUCUCGGUUGCUUGAAGUAUGAAAAUGACUAUAUUAGCCAGUAAGUUGUAAGUACAGACUCAUGGUUGUUUGUGGAAUUUGAAAGUAGUCUAAAUGUACGUUUGGGUAAGUAAGUAUGAGGUGAGAAAUCCGUAUAAGUAGAAAAGAUUGUAUGGGGUUAUAAUAUAAGAUUAAGGUUGAUCAUGUCUAUUAUGUAACUUUACNNNNNNNNNNNNNNNNNNNNNNNNNNNNNNNNNNNNNNNNNNNNNNNNNNNNNNNNNNNNNNNNNNNNNNNNNNNNNNNNNNAAAUUUUAUGGACUAGCAUAUUAUGUUGCAUUUUUCAGUAGUGAUAGAUGAUUGGUAAAGGCCUAUAUGCUUGAAUUUAAUGUAGAAUAUGGUGGUAAAAAUAGUGGCAUAAGAUUAAUGAUGUAUGUUUUGUGGGAAAAAAAUUAGUAGGCUUGAUGUGUUAAAAUAGUAUGUGCUAAUGAGUUAUGAUAAGGAAGACCGUAAGGUCAAGAUCAAUUAUUUGUUGUUUGGAAGUUCUAGUGUACUAGUGUUUCUUGAUGUAUAUUUCAUGGUAUCCAAGUGAGAAUCAUGCGUAAGGUUGGGUUGUAAAAUCAUGUUUAGCACUAGACAUUAAGUUUUGAACAAUUGAUGUCCACGAAGGUGGAUGUGAUUAUUUCUUGGUUAAUGAUACUAAUUUUAUGGAAGUAAUCUAAUAGGAUUGAACGAUAUAUGCAAGAGCUUAAGUUUAUUUGAUUCGUAGUGAAGUAUGAUGUUGCAUAUAUAAUGUAGAAGUAUGCCCAAGGUGAUCUGAGGUUGCGGUAUUUUCUAAGACUAUUACACAUUUUGUGUGACGAUACCAUUGAGUUCCUAGGUGGAGAAAGACUAGUUAGAUGGUAUAUGGUGUUCUAAAUAGCCAAGUUAAGAAGUUUGAUUGAUAGUGUUGAGACUUUUUAUAUGAUCUUAAUUCUCAUAGUAGAGAGAUGUAAGUUUGGAGUCGCGAUAUUGGUAGGCUAUGUCGGAAGUAGCAUGAUUCAUUGAAGUCUUGGUGAUAUCCAUGUUGAGUGUUAGAUUCUAAGUUUGAGUUUUUGAAGGUUGAACUAAUAGAAAUAAUAUUUUAAAGCACUAGAGGGUGUGUGCUCCGACUAUGGCGAUACCCAUUAAGACCCGAAGUUAGUAAGUAUGCAAGUAUUAUAUGAUGACUACUGGGCCUAUAGAAUGAUAAAGUGUAUCUCAUAAGGUAGUAUUAAUAGUGGGUUUUCAACUUUCAGGUGUAGUCAUUCGGGUUUAGUGCCAUGAUAUGAGUGUAUAGUAGUUUUCCAGACUCCAGAGUUCAGUGAGUGUACUUCAGUUUAGAGUCGAGUAAGGGAUCUCCCAAACUUAAUAUGAUGGCUUGAAGCUAAAGGGGAGAUGAUAGAGCAAAUAACCAAGCCAGGCUUUUAGAUUCUAGUAGUGAUGUCAGUAUGACAUAGAACAUCAGAAGGGAAGAGUGAGGCUCAACCCAUUCCGGUCUCAGUAUUUUUCGGUUAUCCUAAUACCUACUCAUACGUCACGUUUCAGUUCCAUGAUCAUAGUUUUGCAUUAACAGACGUUCUUCAUUACACCCGAAGAAAAGAUACUUAGGACAUCAGUAGAUAUUGAACCCAAGCCAUAAGGUAAAGAUGCUUAUCAUUUUGUCCAUUCUCGUCUAACGCUGUGAUAGGUCAUCUAUUUCCUAUCUCUCUUUAUUCUCGUUUCAAGCUUUCAAUUUAUUAGAUGAAGAAAAGGGUUUCAUGUUACUAUAUGGUUUGGCUUCAAAAUUCUUGCCUUGUCCUUCAAAUUAAUUUAAGGAGUUGCGCAUGGAUACAAGCUUUCAACAUUGAUUGGAAAAUUAACUAAAUAUGAUAGAAAAGUAGCUAUAUUCUAAUUUCAUCUGUUCUUCCUUGCAUGGAUAUUGGUUGAGAAGCCUCCUAUACCUCCUCUGGCUGGUCCUGCUCCUGGUGCUAUUCCAUCUAUGUCACUGCAGGUAAAGUUGUGGAGGCUUAGGGGUGGGAUAAAUGACUUUUGAAUGUUGAGACAUUAUGAUAACUAUUUUCCCCAAAUCUUUAGUAGUUCUAGCCUAUGCUUCCAGCCCAGCAGGCACAACCUUAUGGUUCCGGGUCAUCUUAACAAUUUUUUCCACUUGGACAUGCAAAUGUUGCAAUGUCUCAACCUUCUCAAAUCCAAUUUCCUCAACCUAUGCAACAGGUUACUGGUAGACCUGUAGUAGGAAUGCAUAGUAUGCCUCAGGGACCACCUAUUCCCUAUGAUUUUCAGCGAAAUCUUCCGAUGUCAAGUAACCACAUGCCUGGUUCUGGUGGCCCAAAUUUACCUCUUUCUUCUUCAUAUAAUGUAAGGCAUUGGGAAGAUUUUUUUGGUUAUUGUCAAUCAGUUUCUGAUGUUCCAUUCAUAUAUUGAUGGAAUACAUUUUGUUAUCGCCUUUAACAACAGGUAAAUGCAGAUUCUUCUGGAUCCCAGUAUCAGACACAGAUAAAUGAUCAUAGGUUUCCAUCAGGGGUACAGCCCUGGAUGCCAAUAAGUAAUCAUAAUGUGAAUUCUGCGACAACUAUGCAAAAGACUGGAGAAUUAGCCGCUCCCUUGGUUGUUCCGGUGAGAAUUCAACGUGUUUUUUUGUACUCGUUUUGCAUAAAUAUUGUCAACAAGUAUGCUUAAGUUAAUGGGUUAAUGGGUGUGUGUUGACUGAGAGAGUCAACAUUUGAAUUAUAUGAUAGUUUUUUGUAAGCAAAUUAAGAUUCCAGUGAACAAAAAUGGUGUAAAACCGCGGUAUACAAGAAAAGGAGCUCUGCAAAAAUAUCAUUGUCAUUCAGAUCUAAUCUUUUUACCACUUUGUGUUCUCCAGACAGAAAAAAGAGCAUGCCGAUUUGGCUUUCCGGAAUUCUUGCUUUUGGAUUAUAUUCACAUAGGUUACUCAUAUGAAUAGUUUAAUGUCUGCAUCACAAACACUUAAUGUCUUUUCUAUAAACAAGUGGUGGAUAUGUUGGCCCCCAUCACAGCCAAGAAAUCCCUCAAGUAUCCAGAUCUAGUGCUUUGUACAUCAUUCUGCUUCCAUUAGCACUGGAGAUAAUAGGCCUCUUUGUUUCAGUCCUCUUUGUCAAAGUUCACCGCUACCAAAUUCUACCUGACUGUUGAUCAGCAGAACUUGAUACACCUCUACCGAUAACUUCAUUUUGACCCUAUUUAUCUAUUAUCGUACAUAUUUUACAUUUGGGUAAAUGCUAGUAGGUAUUGCUAUUUUCAGCAUCUUUUGAUGAUCAGUAGGCCAAUUAUGAUUGCUAAUGUUGUCAUAUUUCCUAUUGCUUUAUUACUCCAACCAAUUAAUAACAUUCUUACAAUUCUUGAACUGAGUUUUAGAUACUAUUAUAAUAGAAGGAAAAGAAUCUCUACCUGGGAGAAACCUCGAGAGCUGAUGACAGAAAUGGAGGUGAGGUCUCGUGUCAUCGAGAUUUUUAUGGGUAGUUUUAUCCAGUUUCCUGUGCUUAUCAAUGAAUAAAAAAGUGCACAAUUCUUUUUCUAUGAAGCUUCGUAGAACCACUUUUUCUUUCCUAAGUAUAUGUGAUUUCUGUUGAAAGUUUGUUUAGCGAGCAGAUUUCCUCGAUCUUACUAAACUAUGUAGGCUUCAUUUGGGAUUUGCAUUGACCUUUUAUUUCCAAUAUAAUUCUAAAAGAUUUUAUAUUUAACACUAUUGUUCUAAAAAUUGUGUUUAAGCAUACACGGCAGGAUUAUAUUUUGUCUAUUUUAAACAAUUUUAUUUGCUUUCUCAUUAAUAUAAUGUUAUUGUAACUCUAUGGAGAUAUGGAGAGAGAAAACUUGAUAUAAUAUUGCGGUUCGCACUUCUCAUUCUGGUUUACAGAAUAAUAGUUUGGCUGGUUGCACACUUGCACCCAAGAGUGUGACCUAGUGGUCAAUGAAGUAGAUUGAGAACCAUGAGGUCUCAGGUUUAAUUUCCAACAGAGAUAAAAACACUAGCUGAUUUCUUACCGUCUGUCCAAACCUUGAUGGAUAGAGUUACCCAGUAUCUAUGCUGGUGGGAGGUAGCAGUACCUGGUGUAACUAGUCAAGGUGCAAACUAGCCCAAACACGACGGUUAUCAAAGAAAAUUUGGCUGGUUGUGAGGGACAAGUAUUAAGGGACCAGCAACUGUAGCUAUAAGGAAGUUUGAACAUUUUUAUUCUUUUCUUUUUGAGAUAAACAUUUUUUUCCAGAGAUAUUACUUUGUAUUCGUCAGCAUUAAGGUUAUGCUAGCAGUCCAAAAGAAAUGAAAAAUAAUGAAAAUAAUGCGAGGAUUCGAAGAGAUCUACUACCUGUUAUGCAUCCUGUACACAUUGGCCCUUAAACAAAAAACAAAAAUCUACAAUGCUAUUCCAUUUAACUUUAUGAAUGGAAUUAUAUUUAUCUUCAAAAUACCUUCAACUUUUCUCGCUCCAUAUAGUCCACCAAAUACAAGGAAGGAUUGUUCUCCCCCAUUUCUUCUAACUCUUGCUAAUCCCCUCUAAUCCAACAGCUCAACAGAUUGUUGUGUGUCCUUUGAUAGUCCACUUUACUUUAACUCAAGAUCUGGUAUGUGUUCUGGCAUGGUCCACUUUACUUCUAUUAAACUAAAGGUGUCAAAUGGGCGGGGUUGGCUGGAUUUGGGCAGAUCAAAGAGGUCUGAGUUAAUAAAUGGUCGGGUUAUUAACCCGCCCUAAAGCUACUUGGGUUGAAAUGGGUUGGGUUGAAAUGCUCUAAAAUGCGGGUCAUAACCCAACCCACCCAAUUUGAACUCAGAUUUAAUUGCUUUAUUUGUUAUUUUAUAAACUUUAAGUACUUGAAAAAUUAUUAUCUUUUUUUUUAACUUGGUAACUUUGUAUUAUAUCACACAGUACAUGGGUUGUACUGAAACCUUUAUAUACAAGAUUAAUCCUAAAUCGACUGUUCUAUAUCUAAAUUUAGUCUAGAACAUCAAUUAUCGAGGCAGUAUCAUUGGAGAAUACUUGAUUACACCAAAAACAUAAAAGCAAAAUGCAGUUGAGUUUAACCUUCUGCACACUAUUCUCUAUGCUCUCAAAACAUCUAGAAUUCCUUUCUUUCCAUAUAGCCCACCAUAUAGCACUAGGGUUAAUUCUCCAUCUACCUCUAUCCUUCGCAUGUACACCUGCUUCUCCUAGCAAAUUAAAGUCUCGGAUACUUUCCUAGGCAUUGUCCUGGAAAUACCUUUUAGUCUUAAGACGAUUCUCCAAAGUUGUUGGGUGUACUUACAAUGUAGAAAUACAUGGUUAACCGUCUCUAAAGUUUCUCCACAGAGGAAACAUCUGGAGUACAAGGUUUUCCCUUUCUUCAUGACAUUAUCUUGUGUAAGAACUACUACCUUGGUCAGUAACCAGACAAAGACAAAGCACGACACUGUGCUAGGUUUCCUACUUUUCCAUAUUUGCUUCCAAGGCCAUCUUGGAUCCGAGUGAUUUAUUUGGUUCAUCAUCUUGUAGGCUUUAUUGACACUGAACAUUCCUUUUUAAUUUCCCAUCCACCAUAGUACAUCCUUCACUGUCUGCAGUCCAUUGAAGAAGUCCAUGGUAUUAAAAAAUUCAUCUACUCUCAUUACCUCCCGGUCAUUAAGUUGCCUUCUGAAAUUGAAGUUCCAUCCAUGUGGUGUCCAUAAUUCUGCGAUAGUCCUCUAUUGAAACAAUACCAAGUUGUAGAUAUCUGGAAAAAUCACUUCCAUAUUCCCAUCCUCAUGUCAAUUAUCCUUCCAAAACCUAGUCUUGUUUCUAUCCAUCACUUUAACCUUUGAGUUGCUUUUAACUUCAUUCCACUAAUGUCUAAUAGAUCUAAUAGAUCUCUAGAGGCUAACCCCGUAUGGUGUGGUCACUUUUUUGGUCAUCCAUCUAUCUUCUUCAGGAUAUUUAGCCCCAAUCACUUUCCUCCAUAGCAGCUGGUUAUUGUUUGCAUAUUUUCACAACCAUUUCAUCACGAGAGCCUUACUUUGAAUUUUUAGGUUCUUUAUCCCCAAUCCUCUAGUCUCCUUGUCAAUUGUCCACCACAGAGAGCACUACCACUUUUUCUCACAUAUCUUUGUUCCUUAUUCUAUCUCUCCUAGUAUGCCCACACACCAAUGUCGAUAUCCUCAUUUCUGCUACAUUUAUCUUUCGAACAUGCGAGCUCUUGAUCAGCCAAACACUCUGCCCCAUGUAAGAUAGCUAGUAUAACAACCACUUUAUAAAUUUACCUUUAAGUUUAUUUUAACAAAAUUCUUAUACAUGGUAUGAUAGUUACUAGCUCUUUUGCAAGAACUAAUUGGGACAAAAAACAUAUGUUCAGAAAUUGAUUCAUAAAAAAAAACAUAAUUGUAGUUUAUGAGUUUCAAACGUGUCCAAAGGGAAAAAAAUUAUGGGGGGGCUGUGUUGAGUUUAGAACUUAGAACCUCAGUGUAGGAUUUGAACACCCUUACUGUUACACUCAGUCUUGUUUUUUGUGGCAAGGGUGUUCAUUAAAAAGUACUCAGAAAUGACAGAAUUUGACCUAUAUAUAUAUAUACAAAAUACGAUUAUCAGGCGAAUGUUGUUCAGUUGAUCACCCUUGGAUAGCUGUAGCUCGACCACAGCUUGGCAAUGUUUCCACCCUGCUUGUAGUUAUAUUCUACAUAGUACAUUCUAGUCCUUUUCCAUGUGGGACAUUAUAUCAUUCAUAUUCUAACACUUCCAUCCAGUAUUGUACUACUGGAAGUUACUGAUUUCUACUCUCAGGGUACUGUUUAUGUUCUAUUUUUUGACUUGACCUGCUUUCAUGCUGUUUUCAUUGGGACAGGGGACAGACGCAUCAACUGACUUUAGAGAAUUUACAAGUCCUGAGGGAAGAAAGUGAGUAACUUGUAUAUUUUCUUGGCCUCUUUCCAAUUGCUCUGCUACAGUGGGUACUUUUGUGUGUUACUUGUUCAUAAUGCUGAUUACUUUCUUUAUUUUCAAUAGGUAUUACUACAACAAGGUUACUAGAACGUCCAAAUGGAGAAUGUCGGAUGAAGUCAAGGUGAUGUUAGAUUUAAAUCCAAUAUGGGUUUGUUCUGUGCUUUAAAUAGCAUCAUAAGAAGAGAUUGUUCUGUGCUUUAACUAGCUCUAGUUCUCAUAAAAUCUUUAUGCAUUCACAGUUGCUACCAUGAUAAGAAGGGGCAAUAUUCUAUUUUCUUAGAUACUCUAUUCUCAUAAAGUUUAAUUAUUUAUAAAUUAACAGUUGGCUCGUGAAAAGGACACCAUUUCGCACGCUUCUGAUUUUGGAUCCAUUUCUGUUGUUAAAACAUCAUCCUCGGGUGCAGAUGGUUCAUUAGUCUCGACACACGGUGCUAAAUCAAGCCUAACUGUUGUGUCACCAGCCGCUAACUUACCAACUAUUGUGGCUUCAGAAUCAUCAAGUUUAUCUGGUAAGGUUUCUUCUUCGAUGAUUGAAAUAGUUGAAAUGAAGAAUUCUUCAGAACCUGCUUCGCCAGCUGUUGCAAAUUCAGAGAAAAUUGGAAUAGCAGUAACCUUGGGAAAUUCUAUCGUGCCACCGGUGUAUGUUUUUAGAUUUAUAUGUUAUAAAUUUGCCUCUGGUUUGUGUUGCUUCUUAUUUGGAAUUCAAUUUUUCUGUAGUUCUGAGAAUACUACAACUCAAGAUACAGUAGUGUAUGGUGAUGGAUUUUCUUCAGAGAAUAGAGAGGUACUUUGUCCUUCUGAAAUACUUAUGUGAUUAGUUAAUUACUACUGGUUACUGGUUAAAACACUAAGAAAGCUUUUCGCAGUUGUUAUGCUGGAUGUUGAUCCAACAAUUUUGUAGUGCAGUUGUUAGUCAACUACUAACAGAUGAAGAAUAUGCUCCAUAUUCCAAUGAGAUUUGCUUUUGUCCUUUAUGCUUGAUGUUGUGCCUAAAAUGCAGAAUGUCAAGAAAGAUGCUGCAAUAACUGAAAUUGGAGGUGCUACUCCAUCAGAUGAGAAAACAGUCGAGCUGGGACCAUUAGAUUAUGAGAGCAAAGCGGUAUAGUUGAUUAUAGCUUUUUAUCCCGUUUAAUGUAUGUUCUCAAAAUUUCUCUUAUUUCUAUUUUAAGUAUCUGAUUUUAUUUAGAAGGCAAAGAGUGCAUUCAAAACUCUUUUGGAAUCUGCAAAUAUUGGAUCUGAUUGCACGUGGGAUCAGGUUUAUUACUUGAUUGUUUUGUGCGUACCAAACAAUUGAGGAGAUCAUUUGACAUGAAUUGUAUUUGUCAGGCCAUGAGAGCAGUAAUUAAUGACCGGAGAUAUGGUGUUCUAAAAUGCCUUUGUGAGUGGAAGCAAGCUUUUAAUAAGGUAUCUCUCCAAGUCGGCAUUGGAAUGGGUUAAUUGUUGCUUCAAUGUCUCAACAUACCGUAUUGCAAAAAGAUAGCUUGUGUUUGAUAUCCAAUUGUUUCAUGUUUGGUUGACUUAAAUAUUUUGGAAAAUGUUUUCCAAAUCAACUUAUUUUCCUUAAAUUUAAGGAAAAUGAAUUCCCUUCAAAAAGUAGGAAAAACAUUUUCCAAAACUCUCUUUCAAUCUCACUCUUAAGUUGAAAUGUUUAUACAACUCUCAAAUGUAUUUUCUAAAAAAUAUUUUUUUAUUCACCAACCAAACAAUAGAAAACAUUAUCUGAAAAAUGUUUUCCUUUCAUCAACCAAACAUUAGAAAACAAGUAAGAAACCAACUUGCUUUCUAGGAAAACAUUUUCCUUCAUACCAAAAACACCCAAGGUCUAUAGUGAUCAUUUUGAAGUUGUGUGUCUGUUCCAGUAUCUGUGCCAAAAGAAAAAACUGGAAGCUGAAGCGAGGCGUGUUAAACAGAAAAAAGCUCGGAAAGAUUUCAAGAUAAUGUUAGAAGUAAGUGAAAUUUUCUUUUGUGGGUGUCUUCCAUUUGAUAUAUCAUGAUAUUCACAUUACCAGUUUCAAAAAUAAAAAGAUAUUAUCAUAAUAUUCAUGAUGUGUUAGAGACUGGUAUUUGACUUGUUCAAAAGAAUAAGUGGUAUUUUUCACAACAAUGUCCGUCGUUCUCAAUCUUACAGGAUUGCAAGGAGCUGUCACCAUCAUCAAGAUGGAGGUUUGUCUCUCACUUGUAAUCUUAAGUUGUCUGCUGCUUUUUUUUCUAAUCUUGGUCAUUGUUUGUAUGUGUUUUUGUACCUUGAAGUUGAUCCAUUAUUUGUGUAAGUUCCAUUUGAUCCCCUAACUAUUUGCUAUUGAUUAUUCAGUAAGGCAAUCUCCAUAUUCAAACACGAUGAACAUUUUAAAGCUGUUAAGCGAGCUAAAGACCGUGAGGACCUUUUUGAAGAUUAUGUGGAGGAACUUGAGAAAAUGGUGAAGCUCCUUUUGCAGAGCUUUCUUGUAAGCUUCUAUAGGUUAAAAACUAAGUGUGUGGACUGUACUUUCCUUAUAUGGUCUUUGGCUCCUCACAAAUUGAGUUAGCCUUUCAUUUGAGAUAGAAACAAAGGUCCAAUUUCUUCAACAUGGUAUUAGAGGCAGAUCUAUCUUGAUUUUAGACUAUUAGAUGUUAGCCAACCUAGGUUAACUGAUUCUACAAAUGUCUAGUCUUGGUGUGCGAUUAAUGUAUGAGAAUCCCAUACUAGCAAGGUGUAUGUGCUAUAGUUUCCUUAUAUGAUCUUGGGCAAUCUUCACCACCUGACCUAGUUUUCGAAGUUGAGUUAGGUGCUGGUCCACUUGAUUAACAACAAUCAUUCCAUUCCUUUCCUUUACAGGAUGUCUUUUAGUUUGUUCCUUGUUUUGUUUUGCUUAAAGAGUAGAAAGAAGGAAUGUUCUAGAUAUUCAACUUAAAAUCUUGUGUUCUUUGAAUACAUUUUUAAUGGCUUCUCAAGGGUACAACAUUGAAAUUUGUUCACCAUUGAAUUCCAAUUUAAACAGACUUCCAUGUAUUGUAUGUAAUUUUUCUUGAAACUUGAAACUAUGAUAUACUUCUUCCUCUCCCCCCUCUAUCGUAAAAUAGAAAAAGUUUUUCAAUACUUUCAUGCAACUGUAGUUAAAGUCUCUUUGUAAAUAUUGUCUUCUUUAUAGAGAAAUUUUAUUUUUUUACAUUGUACUGGAUUUUAUUAGGAGCAUGCGAAGGCAUUGGAGGAGUAGAAGCGCAAUAGAGUGGAGUACUUAGAAUUUUUAAAAUCCUAUGACUUUUUUAAGGUAUUUGUUCUAGUGGAAUUAGCAUCAGUUCCUAGAUUAUGUUUUUCUAUUUCCAGGAGAUAGAACUUCCAUAGUUCCAUUGUUGCUGACUUCUUUUGUUCAGGCCAGUAGCCAGUGGCGAAAAGUUCAGGACCGCUUGGAAACUGAUGAAAGAUGCUCCCACCUUGAGAAAAUCGAUCGCUUGGAGAUUUUCCAGGUACAACUCAUUUUUCUAAUACAUCAUGAAUAAAUUUUUCGAAACAUCUCAUUUGUACGCCUUAGUUUUAAAGUUAUGUUGCAACCUUUUCUAUUUUAGGAAUAUAUACGUGAUUUAGAGAGCAAAGAGGAGGAACAAAGGAAACUGCGGAUGGUAUAUUUCUUAUUAGACUCGGGGGUUAAAACUAAAUUUAUGUUUGGAGACUUUGAUUUAUCUCUUUCUCACUGGGCAUACAUCGUUGAUUCAAAUAGGAAGAAUUGAGGAAAGCUGAAUGUAAAAAUCGUGAUGAGUUCCAAAAACUGAUGGAAGAGCAUGCUACUGCAGGAAUACUUAAUACAAAAACUAACUGGCGUGAUUAUUGCAUCAAAGUUAGUUUUUAUUUCUUAUGUUCAGUGAGUGAUUACCUUCAUGAGCUCCCUUUUUGUCUUUUUUGAAUUUUUCAUCCAAUAAUUUCCUUCUUUAUUUUGUGCUUGCAGAUUAAAGAUUUUGCUGCAUAUCUAGCUGUCUCAUCAAAUACUAUAGGAUCAACAGCAAAUGGCUUAUUUACAGAUGUUAUGGAUGAGCUGGAGAAACAGGUGAAAUAGGUUGCUAAUAGGAGUAUUGAAUUGUGUCAACUACAUUUGUUACACUAAGCCAUAUUUAUAGACUUUACACUACAAUCCCUUUUCAUUUGCUUUCACUUAAUGAAGGUCUGAAUCUGAAUGGUUAAGAUAUCAGCCCAUUAAGUGCUUUGUUUUUUCUUAAAAAAGAUUCAACCUGUUAAUGCAUCUUAAUGAAUCAAAUGUUAAACAAAGUCUGAAGAUCAUUUAGAUCCUCACUAAAAAGUUCAAUUCAUUAGGUAAAAAUGGAAGUACAUUACUAUGUAGGAAUAUACUGGGUUUGUUGUUGUUGUUGUUUUAGUGCAUUAAAGAAUAGAACAUACUUGGUAGGAUAAAAGCAUAAGAUUGAGAUUUGAGAGUUACCCCUCUACUUGAUUUUUUUAAAAAUAACACAUAUUUUGUAGAGAUAAGAACAGUGACCGGUUGUUCCUAUUAAACAUCUGUGUUGUUUCUCUUUAUGCCAAUUACUUUCCUUUUUUUUACUAGAUAGUAGGUAUUUAGACUGAUAGGAAUGGUAUUGUCGUAAACUUUUAAGUUAGGGGUUCCAUACUUUUAAUGUAGUAUAGAUAUAGAUUAUUCUUUCAAUCUAGCCAAGCUGUAUUAAAUGCUACUUCACAAACAAUUGUAAUUGACUUCUCCUCUGUUGAAUGCUGUUGAUGGUUAUAUUACCUUAAUUGUUAUAAUUUCUUGAGAAGAACAACUCUGAGAAGUGAUAAUCAAACUUCCAUGUUUUCACGUAGUUUCUUUGACUUUCAAGGACUCCUUUAAAGUAUCACACAACCACACCAUUGUGUUUCAGCUAAGACUGCAUUUGCUUUUAUUAAUAUUCAGACAUUUGAAUCAUUUUGAAUGCACAUCUAAAUGGUUAAGAUAUUGUCUCUAGAUCUGAAAACUGAUUGAUUAAGGUUGGGUGUUUCUCAAUAUCUGAAUGUGCAAAAUUUAUUUAUUUCUAAAUAUAAUAUAAUUAUAUAUUAGAAAUUUUUUUAAUUUAAUGCAAUUAAAUUAUUAUUUGAUUAAAAAAAUAAACAUUUAUGUUUGUUAGUGAUAGUGGAGAUGGUUUGUAAUGGUAGUGGUGGUUGUAAUAAAUUAAUUGAUGAUAGUGAUUAGCAAUGUUGGUGAUGAUAGUUGUGAUAGUAGAGACAGUUGGCAUUGUAGUAACUGUCAUGAUAUUGGCGAUUGGUAGUGGUGGUGGUGGUUGUGAUGUGAAGUUGGUUAAUGUUAGUAGUUGGAGGUGUUGAUUGUGGUAAAGAAAAACUGUAUGCAUGAUGGUUGACGAUGUGUUGGUGGUCAUUGGAGACACUUUUAGCUGUGAUGGUGGAUUGGUUGUUAGUACAGAUAUUGUAGCGAGUGUAGCGGAUGAUGGUGGUAGAGGUGGUGACGCCGGUAACAGUGGUGAUGAUGGUGUUCGAAGAAUGUAUGGAAGUUGAUGAUGUGUUAGUGGUUGUUAGUGAUGUGUGGAAGUUGAUGAUGUGUUGGAGGUUAUUAGUGGUAGUGCUAGUUGUAGUUCUGAUAGAUGAGUUGGUUAGUAGUAGGGAUCGACCGCUAGCAGUUAAUGGUGGCGGCGUUGGCGGUAGGGGUGUUCAUGGGUCGAUAUGGGUUGGCUAUUGGUCAAAACCAUAACCAAACCAACUUAAUCGGUUUUUAAAUUUCUAAAACCAAACCAAACCAAACAAAAUAAUAACCAUUGAUUUGGUUCUUGUCGGUUUAGUUCGGUUUGAUUCGGGUUUUUUGGUUUAUAACUUUAGUUAAUGAUAAAAGUUGAAAAUUUUAAAAAACAAAUCCAAUCUUAUACUUCGGCAAAGCCAUGAUAACACCAUAUGAACGCUUUUAAAAAAAUAUUUUAAAACUAUAUUUAGUAGAAUGAUAUGAUAAACCCCCAAAAGGUGAACACAUAAACUUCUUGCUUAACAAGGUUCAAAAAACAGUUAAAAUUAGUGAUUGUGUAUAGUCUAAUGGAUUUCAGCUGUAAAUUUCAAUAUAUAACAAGAUAUUAUUUUCACAAUUAUUAUCAUUUGUCAUUCAAAAUAUGAAAUUCAUUUAGAAUCACAUAAUGUAUUGUCAACUAGAUGAAGACAUAGGACUGAAUGUGUUACGACUAAAGUUAAAUCAUGAUUAAAAUAUAAAAUGUAACAAAUAUUUAGAUUACAUUUAUGAAAAACAUAUAAAUAAUUAUAAUAUAUAUGUAUAUUGGUUCGGUUUGGUUAUUUUGUCAGUUAUUUUAGAGUAAAACCAAACCAAACCAAACCAAAUUAGUAUCGGUUUUUUAAAAUUCAAAUCCAAACCAAACCUAACUAAAUAUAGGUUUUUUUAAUUGGUUUGGUUUGGAUUGCAGUUCAGUUAGGUUAAAAACCAAAUCGUGAACACCCUUUGUUGGCGGUGGGUAUAAUUAGAAUAAUGGAAGUAGUAGGUGUGGUAGCGGCUGGCAGUGUAGUUGGUAGUGAUGUUGGUUAUGAUGGUGGAAGUGGUUGGUGGUGGUGACAGGUGAUUGUGGAUAGAGUGGUGGUGAAUUUUAUCCUACACAAGAAUAUCUAUCUAUAAAUGCUAUUUAAACUUGGUUCCACAUCUGAAUGAUUAAGACCUACUCAGACCUAUUACAAGUUAAAAUCCUAAUAAAAACAAAUGCACUUAAUGGUUUAAGGUUUGAAUAGGUUCAUAAAUCCAAUAGGUGCAAACAAAUGAGACCUGAAAGUAGUUUUUCUGGUCAAGUUUUGAUCAUGUUUUGUCCAUUUGUACCACACCCCAGUUAUGAUUUCACUUCGGAUGAUAUGGUGCAACUUAAAACCCAAUUCAAAAUAUAUUGUGUUGUCAACCAUAUAAAUUGUACUAAGUAAACUUAGUUCAAGAAUUCACCUCUGAAGAGGUAGUUGAGAUGUAAUAAAAGUAAAGGCUUAGAAAAGAUUGGCCUCGAAAAAAGUUCCUGAGCGCAUCUCUAUUUGUAAUACCUUGGGAAAUUUUUUGUUGAAAUUUUGUGUGUAAACGUGUUGGGUUCUAUCUUAAAGAAUGAAUUAUAAAUUUUUCAUGCAAAAUGUCUUAGAUUAUGACCCACCAUUGCAUAGCUUAUCGAAUAAGAUUCCCAAUGAUAUGUGGAUCAUCCAAAACGGACACCCGAGCGAUGAGUUAUGAACAUUUCGAUCGAAUCGUGAAUAGUAGUGAGCAGUAAAACGUGCAGGAAAAAGUACUGAGGCCUGGCAUAUUUUUGCUCCAAUUUUAAAUGAUCAUAACUCCUUGUACAUAAUGAUCUGGGUGAUCUACUAUAUAUCAACGGAAAGUUCUGCGAGUCCUUUUUCCAAUGAAAUUGGUUUCAUCCAAUAUGUCUAUCGGAGCAAAAAGUUAUGGUCGAUCUACUUCAACCUAUCAAAAGUGAAUUUUUGGGUCAACUUCAAACGAUCAUAACUCCUCGAACACAGUGAUCUUUGUGAGAUACUAUAUAUCAAUGGAAAGAAAUGUGAGUCCUCUUUCUAAUGAAAGUGGUUUCAUCCAAUUUGAGUAUCGGAGUAAAACGUUAUGGUUGAUCUGCUUUAGAUUAUCAAAACAGUCCACCAAAGGAUAGAUUCGAGAAUUUUUUUGAUUUUUAGGGGCAUUUUGGUAACUUCCCCUCACCCAAAAUCCGUCCAAACCCUAUAUUAAAGCCUAUUAGAAGCAUUAUAUGUUAUAUUUCAUCAAACUCCCUCAAAAAGAAAACCCUAAUCUCAUACAUCCAACUUUAAGAACCUCUAAAGUUCACCAUUAACUCUGCAAAUUUAUUCAAGAUUCCAAGUUCCUAGUUCAAGAACUCCAAGAACCAUCAUUCAAAGGCACGAUUAGCAUCUCAAAAACGAGUAUCGAUCUAAAGUUCAUCAUUCAAGGUAUGUGGAGUUUUUCAACAAGAACUCUCUUUCGUUCAAUUUGAAGCAUGAACCCAUAUUUUAUGAUGAUUAUUAUGAAAUCUUGAUGUUUAUGAUUUUGAAAGAUGAAUUUACAUGUGUGAUGAUAUAAAGCAUGAAUCUUGAACGAUAUUUAUCAUGAUUUUGAUAUUUGGGUCGUGAAUCCCCAUUUGAAAUUGUGUUUUUUUGGAAAGUGUUUAUAAGCACGUUGAUGUUGAAUAUCUAAGAUAUUUUAAAUGAUUUGACCUUUUGAUAUUAAUGGAGUUGUUUUGAACUCGAGUAUGAAAGAAAUCCACAACGUGGUUGAUUUUGAUAGAUGGGAAGCAUGAUGGCUCCCGAUGUAUAUUUAUAUAUUACUAAAAUUAUUUUGUUGUGGAUUUUCUUUGANNNNNNNNNNNNNNNNNNNNNNNNNNNNNNNNNNNNNNNNNNNNNNNNNNNNNNNNNNNNNNNNNNNNNNNNNNNNNNNNNNNNNNNNNNNNNNNNNNNNNNNNNNNNNNNNNNNNNNNNNNNNNNNNNNNNNNNUCCAUGUAGCUCACAUGGUUUAUGUCGGUUAUAGGAUUUCCCAGUGUGUGUGUGUUUCGUUGUGUCUAUGGUGAAUGGUGAAGUGAUAUAAAAGUGGAAUUGUGAAAGUUAUUCUUUCAAAAGAUUUAAAUGAUAUUUACAUUAUGAGAAUUGCUAUUCUCGAUGAACUGAAAGUGAUUGACAAAUUAUAUGAUGACUCACAUAUGUUAUUGUACUUAUUUCAUCCUCUCAUGAUUAUAAUGAUUUUCUUCGGGCAAUAUGAGUCUUUCAUACAUCCUGCAUAUUUCUUAUAAAUAUUUAUGAUGAUAAUGUUUAUACAACUGCAUACAACCCCAUAUACUCGGUUCCUUUCCAUAGUACUGACCCUCAUCUUCGGAUGUGGGCUGUAUUUUCUCAGAAUGUAGGUUCAGGUGCUCAGUUCCAGGUUUGACAGUGAUUCUUUAGGCACGUUGUUCUACAUCCUCUAUUGUGGUGAGUCCUCAUGUUCCGAGGAUGUGUGUCUGAUGUUGGUUUCAUGGAAUUGUUUACAUAUGAUAACUGAGUAUGAGUCAGUUGGGGCAUGUCUCAAUGGCUCGCUGGUUUUAUUGAUUUUCUUAGAGGUUUGUUAGACUAGUAUAGAUGUUGGGAGUUGAAUAAUAAGUCAUAUUUUGUUAUCUUUCUGAAAUUCUUUUAUUCUUGGAUGACGAUUACUAUGUUGAUAUUUGAGGGUUAUUUAUGGAAACCUCGUUGAUUUGUGUUGAACUGAAUGAAAAUGGCUCAAAGGGUUAGCUUGGGGCUACUCACAGCCUUAAGCACCAUGUGAUGCUUUGGGACCCAUUUUAUGGGGCGUUACAAACUUGGUAUUAGAGCCUAAGGUUUUAAGGUGUCCUAGGGAUUCUGACAAGCCAUGUUAAGUAGAGUCUUGAUCAUUGGUGUGUAGCGUGCCACAUCUAUGAGCAAGAGGCUCCAAGACAUUUUAGGAAAAAGUGUUUUUUUUCUUUCAGAAGUCUAUCGUGCUUAAAGUGUCUCUCUCUACUAUUGAUUCGUGCUCUCCUCUUUCAGAAAUAUGCCUCCACGUCGAGCGAGAAGAAAUAAUGAUUAUCAGUAACCUCAACCCGCUGACCCAUUGAAUAAAAACGUGUCUCAUACUGAAUUUUGAGAAGCCUUUCAGGCGCUGGCCCAAGCUGUUACUGCAAAUGUUCAGGCCAACCCGGCCCCAGCUCCACAGUAGUAGGGAGGUGAUUUAGCUGCUGCCAGGAUCCAUGACUUUAUGUAGAUGAAUCUGUCAGAAUUCUAUAGGUCCAAGUCUGAUGAGGAUCUAUGAUUGUUUUUAGAGGAGGUGCAGAAGAUUACUCAGGUGAUUCAUGUAUCUGAGGAACAUAGUGUGGAGUUGGCUAUGUAUAGGUUAAAAUACCUUGCUUAUGAAUGGGUUGUUGCUUGGAAGAAAGGUAGAGGUGAGGGAGCUAUCCUUACAACUUGGCAAGAGUUCCAGGAUGCAUUCCUGGAUAAGUUUUUCCCUUUAUAGAUAAGGGAGGUGAAGGUGGAAGAGUUUAUAAACCUGCGACAGGGCUCUAUGACUGUUAGGGAGUAUUGUCUAAAGUUUAAUCAGUUGGCCAAGUAUGCUCCUGACUUAGUGGCUGAUAAUUGGGCUAGUAUGAGUAAGUUUGUGACUGGAGUGUCUAGUUAUGUGGUUAAGGAGUGUAGGUCUGCUAUGCUGAAUAGUGAGAUGAAUCUUUCUAGGAUGAUGACUCAUGCCCAAUAGAUUGAGGCAGACAAGAUUAAGGAGAAAGAUAGAAUGAGAGGGAAUAAAAGAGCUAGGUCUAAGCAGCAUGGACAGGGUGAGACUAGAUCGCAGGGAAGGAGUUACCCUCAGUAUCAGGAUCAUUCAUCUAUGCUAGCACCGUCAUCUGCUAGUGCUCCUGUGCCUAGAGGUAGGUAGGAGCAAAGUACCAGGUCAUAUGUAUCUAGGGCCCAGUAUAGUACUGGCAGUAAGCUAAAUCGUCCCCUAUGUCCUUAGUGUGGUAGGGCUCAUUUAGAUGAGUGUUGGGGUGAGAAGAGGGGUUGUUUUCGGUGUGGUGACAUGGGUCACAGAGUUAGAGAUUGUCUGCAGGAUGGACAAGGACGUCGUGGCUAUUGCCUUCAGACCUAGACUCAGACUGUUAGUGCUCCAGUUCCAGUGACUCGUCCAGCCCCAGCUCAGGGUGCCUCUUUUAGCAAUGCUGGCAGGUAGCGCCAGAAUAGAUUCUAUGCUUUACCACCACACCAGGAACAGGAGGACUUUCCCAAUGUUGUUACUGGUAUGCUUCAUAUAUUUCAGUUUGAUGUGUAUGCUUUAUUGGAUCCUGGAUCCAAUUUCUCAUACGUUACACCUUUGAUUGCUGUGAAUUUUGAAAUGAGUCCUGAGAUUAUUCCUAACCCUAUCCUAGUUUCUACCCCAGUGGGUAAUUCAAUUGUUGCCCAGAAAGUGUAUAAAAAGGAUCCUAUUACCGUUCUUCAUAAAGUGUUGUUGGCUGAUCUGAUUGAGUUAGACAUGGUUGAUUUUGAUGUGAUUCUGUUAUGGACUGGCUGUAUUCUUUUUAUGCCUCUAUUGAUUGCCGGACCCGAGUGGUCAAGUUUCAGUUUUCGGGUGCAUCCGUGUAUGAGUGGUCUGGGAAUUCUGUGUCACCCAAGAGUCAUUUUAUCUUUUACCUCAAAGCUAGAAAGCUUAUUUCUAAGGGGUGUAUUUACCAUUUGGUUAGAAUCAAAGACACUAAGUCUGAGACUCCAACUCUCCAGUCUAUUAACGUCGUCAAUGAGAUUUCUAAUGUCUUUCCGGAUGAUCCUGAUAGAGAGAUAAAGUUUGGCUAAGGUCAUUUGCUUUUCUAGGUCAUAUCAUUUCUUCCGAGGGAAUUAGAGUUGAUCCCCAAAAGACCAAAGCUGUUAGAAAUUAGCCUAGGCCUAUUUCUCCGACUGAUAUCUGAAGUUUCUUGGGUUUAGCUGGCUAUUUCUGCCAUUUUGUUGAGGGUUUCUCCUCUAUAGCGUCUCCUAUGACUCGGUUGACCCAAAAGAAAGUAAAGUUCUUAUGGUCUGAAUCUUGUGAGAAGAGUUUUCAAGAGUUGAAGACUCGACUCACUUCAGCCCCUGUUUUGACUUUGCCUGAUGGUGUUGAUGGUUUUGUGGUGUACUGUGAUGCUUCGAGAGUUGGGUUGCGUUGCGUAUUGAUACAGAAGAGUAAGGUGAUAUCUUAUGCUUCUUGACAGUUGAAACCCCAUGAGAAAAAUUACCCCACCCAUGACCUUGAGUUGUCUGCUGUUGUAUUUGCUUUAAAAAUCUGGAGACACUAUUUGUAUGGUGUCCAUGUUGAUGUUUUCACUGAUUAUAAGAGUCUGCAGUAUGUGUUUACCCAUAAAGAAUUGAAUCUUAGGCAGAGAUAAUGGUUAGAAUUAUUAAAGGACUAUGACAUGAGUGUGCCGUACCAUCUAGGAAAGGCCAAUGUUGUGGAGGAUACCUUAAGUAGAGUGUCCAUGGGCAGUGUUUCGCAUGUGGUAGAAGGUAAGAAAGAGUUGACUCAUGAUGUACAUCAUUUGGCUAGAUUGGGGGUUAGGUUGUUUGACUCUGCUGAAGGUAGUAUAGGGGUUCAGAGUAGUUCCGAAUCCUCCUUGGUUUCGGAAGUGAAGGAAAAGCAAUACUUAGAUGCUAGUUUGGUCAGACUGAAGGAGUCAUGGCUGAAGCACAUGGGGCACGAUAUUCUAUUCAUCCUGGUGCCACCAAGAUGUACCGAGACUUGCGGGAAAUCUAUUGGUGGAGUGGCAUGAAGAAAGAUAUAGCAGCAUUUGUAGCUAAGUGUGCAACAUUCCCACCGGUUAAGGUUGAACACCAAAGACCUGGUGUUAUGAUGCAGGAAUUUAGUAUUCCCACCUGGAAGUGGGAAGAGAAAAAUAUGGUCUUCGUGAUUUGUUUACCUCCUUCCUGACGCCAUCAUGAUUCCAUUUGGGUUGUGGUUGAUAGGUUGACUAAGUCUGCUCAUUUCUUGCCUGUUCAUACUUCAUAUACUGCUGAGGAUUACCUAGAUUGUAUAUUCGAGAGCUAGUCAGACUACAUGGAGUUCCCUUAUCUAUUAUUUUGGAUAGCGGUACUCAAUUCACUUCACAAUUUCGGAAAGUUUUUCAGAAGGGUCUUGGUACCCAAGUGCUUUUGAGUUCUUCUUUUCAUCCGCAGACCGAUGGUUAGGCUGCGCGGACCAUCCAUACCUUAGAGGAUAUGUUGACAGAUUAUGCACUUGACUUAAGCGAAGUUGAGAUGAUCACUUACCAUUGAUAGAGUUUCUUACAAUAACAGUUUCUACUCUAGUAUUGGUAUGGCUUCGUUUGAAGCCUUAUAUGGGAGGAAGUAUAGAUCACCCAUAGGUUGGUUCGAGGUGGGUUAAACGACUGUAAGUGGUCCUGAUUCAGUAUUUGAGGCUAUGGAAAAGGUUAAGUUGAAUAGGGAAAGGUUGAAAACUGUGUAGAGUCGUCAGAAGUCAUAUGCGGAUGUUAGAAGGAGAGAGCUUGAGUUUGAAGUUGGUGACCUAGUGUAUCUAAAAAUUUCAUCCAUGAGGGGGGUGAAGAGAUUCUGAAAUAAGGAGAAGCUUAGUCUCCGUUAUGUUGGUCCUUACAAAAUUCUUAGCCGUGUUGGUAAGGUAGCUUAUGAAGUCGAGUUGCCUUCCGAGUUAUCCUCUGUUCAUCCAAUAUUCCAUGUCUCCAUGAUUAGAAAGCAUAUUAGCAAUGUUGUGGUAGUGGAUUCCUCUGUGAGUGCUGACAUUCAAGAAAAUCUUUCUUUUGAUGAGAUUUUUGUUGAGAUUCUUAUUUCAAUUUCCAAAGACUAAGGAACAAAAAAGUUCCAUUAGUCAAAGUGUUGUGGCGAAACCAAUCUGUUGAGGGUGCAACUUGGGAAGCUGAGGCAGAUAUGCGAUCCAAGUACCAUACCUAUUUUCCGCAAACUCCGAUCAAGCCGAAGGUACCGUUCUUUCCUAAAUCAUGCACUUUUGAUAAAAGUUGCAGCAGUUCAGCUGUCAUUUAUUAUAUGUUCAGCUGUAGUUUCUUGAAUUUAUGCAUUCUAUGUUGUAUUCGGAGUGAGAAACGAUGUGGUGAUGAGUCUAACGAAUGGUUUCAACUAUAUACUCUAUUCCCUAUCUAUUCUUGGCAUGUCUAGUGUCAUUCGAGGAUGAAUCUUUCCAAGGGGGGAUGAUGUAAAACCCCGGGAAAUAUUUUGUUGAAAUUUUAUGCGUAAACAUGUUGGGUUCUAUCUUCUAGAAUGAAUUAUAAAUUUUCCAUGAGAAAUGUCUUACAUUAUUACCCACCAUUGCGUAGUGUAUCGAAUAAGCUUUCCAACGAUAUGUGGAUCAUCCAAAACGGACACCCGAGCGACGAGUUAUGAACAUUCCGAUCGAACCAUGAAUAGUAGUGAACAGUAAAAUGUGCAGGAAAAAGUACUGAGGCCUGGCGUAUUUUUUCUCCAAAUUUAAAUGAUCAUAACUCCUUGUACAUAAUGAUCUGAGUGAUCUAAUAUAUAUCAACGGAACGUUCUGCGAGUCCUCUUUCCAAUGAAAUUGGUUUCAUCCAAUUUGAAUAUCGAAGUAAAACGUUAUGGUUGAUCUACUUCAGACUAUCGAAACAGUCCACCAAAGGACAGAUUCUAGAAAUUUUUUGAUUUUUAGGGGUGUUUUGGUCAUUCUCCCUCACCCANNNNNNNNNNNNNNNNNNNNNNNNNNNNNNNNNNNNNNNNNNNNNNNNNNNNNNNNNNNNNNNNNNNNNNNNNNNNNNNNNNNNNNNNNNNNNNNNNNNNNNNNNNNNNNNNNNNNNNNNNNNNNNNNNNNNNNNNNNNNNNNNNNNNNNNNNNNNNNNNNNNNNNNNNNNNNNNNNNNNNNNNNNNNNNNNNNNNNNNNNNNNNNNNNNNNNNNNNNNNNNNNNNNNNNNNNNNNNNNNNNNNNNNNNNNNNNNNNNNNNNNNNNNNNNNNNNNNNNNNNNNNNNNNNNNNNNNNNNNNNNNNNNNNNNNNNNNNNNNNNNNNNNNNNNNNNNNNCAUAUCUUAUGGUGAUUAUUAUGAAAUCUUGAUGUUUAUGAUUUUGAAAGAUGAAUUUACAUGUGUGGUGAUAUAAAGCAUGAAUCUUGAAUGAUAUUUAUCUUGAUUUUGAUAUUUGGGUCGUGAAUCCCUAUUGGAAAUUGUGUUUUUUUAGAAAGUGUUUAUAAGCACAUUGAUGUUGAAUAUCUAAGAUAUUUUAAAUGAUUUGACCUUUUCAUAUUAAUGGAGUUAUUUUGAACUCGAGUGUGAAAGAAAUCCACAAUGUGGUUGAUUUUGAUAGAUGGGAAGUAGUAUGGCUCCCGAUGUAUAUUUAUAUAUUACUAAAAUUUUUUUGUUGUGGAUUGUCUUUGAAAUGAUCUGAGCUAAGUCCAGGAGAAAUCUUUAGCAUCGAGUGGGAGNNNNNNNNNNNNNNNNNNNNNNNNNNNNNNNNNNNNNNNNNNNNNNNNNNNNNNNNNNNNNNNNNNNNNNNNNNNNNNNNNNNNNNNNNNNNNNNNNNNNNNNNNNNNNNNNNNNNNNNNNNNNNNNNNNNNNNNNNNNNNNNNNNNNNNNNNNNNNNNNNNNNNNNNNNNNNNNNNNNNNNNNNNNNNNNNNNNNNNNNNNNNNNNNNNNNNNNNNNNNNNNNNNNNNNNNNNNNNNNNNNNNNNNNNNNNNNNNNNNNNNNNNNNNNNNNNNNNNNNNNNNNNNNNNNNNNNNNNNNNNNNNNNNNNNNNNNNNNNNNNNNNNNNNNNNNNNNNNNNNNNNNNNNNNNNNNNNNNNNNNNNNNNNNNNNNNNNNNNNNNNNNNNNNNNNNNNNNNNNNNNNNAUUUUCUUCAGGCUAUGUGAGUCUUUCAUACAUCCUGCAUAUUUCUUAUAAGUAUUUAUGAUGAUAAUGUUUAUACAACUGUAUACAACCCCAUAUACUCGGUUCCUUUCCAUGGUAUUGACCCACAUCUUUGGAUGUGGGCUGUAUUUUCUCGAAAUGUAGGUUCAGGUUCUCAGUUGCAGGUUUGACAGUGAUUCUUUGGGCAUGCUGUUCUACAUCCUCUAUUGUGGUGAGUCCUCAUGUUUCGAGAAUGUGAUGUCUGAUGUUGGUUUCACGAAAUUAUUUAUAUUUAAUAACUGGGUAAGAGUCAGUUGGGGCAUGUCUCAAUGGCUCGCUGGUUUUAUUGAUUUUCUUAGAGGCUUUUCAGACUAGUAUAGAUGUUGGGAGUUGACUAAUAAGUCGUAUUUUGUUAUCUUUCUAAAAUUCUUUUAUUCUUUAAUGAUGAGUACUCUGUUGAUAUUUGAGGGUUAUUUAAGGAUACCCCAUUGAUUUGUGUUUAACUAAAUGAAAAUGGCUCAAAGGGUUAGCUUGGGGCUACUCAUAGCCUCAAGCACCGUAUGACGCUCCGGGACCCAUUUUCUGGGGCAUUACAAACUUGGUAUCAGAGCCUAAGGUUUUAAGGUGUCCUAGGGAGUCUGACAAGUCGCAUUAAGUAGAGUCUUGAUCAUCGGUGUGUAGCGUGCCAUAUCUAUGAGCAAGAGGCUACAAAAUAUUUUAGGAAAAAGUGUGAUUCUUUAUUUUAGAAGUCUAUCGUUCUUAAAGUGUCUCUAUCUGCUAUUGAUUCGUGCUCUCCUCUUUUAGAAAUAUGCCUCCACGUCGAGCGAUAAUGAUGGUCAGCAACCUCAACCUGCUGACCCAUUGAAUGAAAACGUGUCUCAUGCUGAAUUUUAGGCAGCCUUUCAGGCACUGGUUCAAGUUGUUACUACAAAUGUUAGCUGCUGCCAGGAUCCGUGACUUCAUACGGAUAAAUCCAUCAGAAUUCUAUGGGUCCAAAUCUGAUAAGGAUCCACGGUUGUUUUUAGAGGAGGUGCGAAAGAUUACUUAGGUGAUGCAUGUACCUGAGGAACAAAGUGUGGAGUUGGCUGCGUAUAGGUUGAAAGACCUUGCUUAUGAAUGGGUUGUUGCUUGGAUGAAAGGUAGAGGUAAGGGAGCUCUCCCUACAACUUUGCAAGAGUUCCAAGAUGCAUUCCUGGAUAAGUUUUUCCCUUUGGAGAUGAGGGAGGCAAAGGUGGAAGGGUUUAUGAACCUGCGACUGGGCUCUAUGACUGUUAGGGAGUACUGUCUAAAGUUCAAUCAAUUGGCCAAGUAUGCUCCUGACUUAGUGGCUGAUAAUCGGGCUAGUAUGAGUAAGUUUAUGACUGGAGUAUCUAGUUAUGUGGUUAAGGAGUGUAGGUCUACUAUGCUUCGUAUAUUUCAGUUUGAUGUGUAUGCUUUGUUGGAUCCUGGAUCCAGUUUCUCAUAUGUUACACCUUUGAUUGCUGUGAAUUUUGAAAUGAGUCGUGAGAUUAUUGCUGACCCUAUCCUAGUUUCUACCCCAGUGGGUGAUUUGAUUGUUGCCUAGAAAGUGUAUAAAAAGUGUCCUGUUACCGUUCUUCAUAGAGUCUUGUUGGCUGAUUUGAUUGAGUUAGACAUUGUAGAUUUUGAUGUGAUUCUAUUAUGGAUUGGCUGUAUUCUUCUUAUACCUCUAUUGAUUGUUGGACCCGAGUGGUCAAGUUUCUAUUUUCGGUUGCAUCUGUGUUUGAGUUGUCUGGGAUUUUGUGUCACCCAAGAGUCAUUUUAUCUCUUACCUCAAAGCUAGAAAGCUUAUUUCCAAGGGGUGUAUUUACCAUUUGGUUAGAGUCAAAGACACUAAGUCUAAGACUCCAACUCUCCAGUCUGUUAACAUCGUCAAUGAGUUUUCUAAUGUCUUUUCGGAUGAUCUCCCAAGGAUACCUCCUGAUAGAGAGAUAGAGUUUGGGAUUGAUCUUCUUCGUGAUACUCAACCCAUUUCUAUUCCUAAUUAUCGUAUGGCCCCUGCAGAACAUAAGGAGUUGAAAGAGCAACUCAAAGAUCUACUUAAUAAGGGUUUCAUAAGGCCUAGUGUUUCUCCUUAGGGUGAUCCUGUGUUGUUUGUGAGAAAGAAAGAUAGCUCUUUGCGUAUGUGCAUUGAUCAUCGCCAACUGAAUAAAGUCACCAUAAAAAAUAAGUACCCCAUUUUUAGAAUAGAUGAUUUUUUUAACCAAUUGCAGGGUGCAAGUUGUUUGUCAAAGAUAGACCUUCAUUCCAGCUAUCAUCAACUCAAAGUUAAGGAGUAUGACAUCCCAAAAACCGCUUUCUAAACUCGUUAUGGCCAUUUUGAGUUUCUUGUUAUGUCUUUUGGGUUAACUAAUGCCCCAACAGCUUUCAUGGACCUUAUGAAUCGAGUGUUCAGACCAUAUCUGGAUAUGUUUGUCAUAGUGUUCAUCGAUGAUAUACUGGUGUACUCCCGUAGUGAGGAUGAACAUUCUGAUCAUCUNNNNNNNNNNNNNNNNNNNNNNNNNNNNNNNNNNNNNNNNNNNNNNNNNNNNNNNNNNNNNNNNNNNNNNNNNNNNNNNNNNNNNNNNNNNNNNNNNNNNNNNNNNNNNNNNNNNNNNNNNNNNNNNNNNNNNNNNNNNNNNNNNNNNNNNNNNNNNNNNNNNNNNNNNNNNNNNNNNNNNNNNNNNNNNNNNNNNNNNNNNNNNNNNNNNNNNNNNNNNNNNNNNNNNNNNNNNNNNNNNNNNNNUAAGGUCAGUUGCUUUUCUGGGUCAUAUCAUUUCUUUCGAGGGUAUUAAAGUUGAUCCCCAAAAGAUCGAAGCUGUUAGAAAUUGGCCUAGACCUAUUUCUCCAAUUGAUAUCCAAAGUUUCUCAGGUUUAUCUUGCUAUUACCAUCAUUUUGUUUAGGGUUUAUCCUCUAUAACGUCUCCUAUGACUCGGUUGACCCAAAAGAAAGUGAAGUUCUUGUGGUUCGAAUCUUGUGAGAUGAGUUUUCAGGAGUUGAAGACUCGACUCACUUCAGCCCCUGUUUUGACUUUGUCAGAUGGUAUUGAUGGUAUUGAUGGUUUUGUGGUGUACUAUGAUGCUUCGAGAGUUAGGUUGGGUUGCGUAUUAAUGCAGAAGGGUAAGGUGAUAGCUUAUUCUUCUAGACAGUUGAAACCCGAUGAGAAAAAUUACCCCACCCAUGACCUUGAGUUAGCUGCUAUUGUGUUUGCUUUAAAAAUCUGGAGACACUAUUUGUAUGGUGUCCAUGUUGAUGUUUUCACUGAUCAUAAGAGUCUGCAGUAUGUGUUUACCCAGAGAGAAUUGAAUCUUAGGCAGAGAUGAUGGUUAGAAUUGUUAAAGGACUAUGAUAUGAGUGUGUUGUACCAUCCGGGCAAGGCCAAUGUUGUAAAGGAUGCCCUAAGUAGAGUGUCCAUGGGUAGCGUUUUGCAUGUGGUAGAAGGUAAGAAAGAGUUGGCUCGUGAUGUACAUCGUUUGGCUAGAUUGGGGGUUAGGUUGUUUUACUCUGCUGAAGGUAGUAUAGGGGUUCAGAGUAGUCCCAAAUCCUCCUUGUUUUCGGAAGUGAAGGAAAAGCAAUACUUAGAUACUAGUUUGGUCAGACUGAAGGAGUCAUUCAAGGACCAAAGAGUGGAGGUUUUCUCCUAAGGGGGAGAUGGUUUGUUGAUAUUGCAAGGUAGAUUGUGUGUUCCGAAUGUUGAUCAUCUAAGAUAGAGGAUUAUGGCUGAAGCGCACGGGGUGCGAUAUUCUAUUCAUCCUGGUGCCACCAAGAUGUACCAAGACUUGCAGGAAAUCUAUUGGUGGAGUGGAAUGAAGAAAGAUAUAGUAGCAUUUGUAGCUAAGUAUGCAACAUGCCCACAAGUUAAGGUUGAACACCAAAGACCUAGUGGUAUGAUGCAAGAGUUUAGUAUUCCCACCUGGAAGUGGGAAGAGAUAAUUAUGGACUUCAUGAUUGGUUUACCUCCUUCUUGGCGCCAUCAUGAUUCCAUUUAGGUUGUGGUUGAUAAGUUGACUUAGUCUGCUCAUUUUUUGCCUGUUCAUACUUCAUAUACUGCUGAGGAUUACGCUAGAUUGUAUAUCCGAGAGCUAGUCAGACUACAUGGAGUUCCCUUGUCUAUCAUUUCGGAUAGCGGUACUCAGUUCACUUCGCAAUUUUGGAAAGCUUUUCAGAAGGGUCUUGGUACCCAAGUGCUUUUGAGUUCUGCUUUUCAUCUACAGACUGAUGGUCAGGAUGAGAGGAUCAUCUAGACCUUAGAGGAUAUGUUGAAAGCUUGUGCACUUGACUUUAAGGGAAGUUGGGAUGAUCACNNNNNNNNNNNNNNNNNNNNNNNNNNNNNNNNNNNNNNNNNNNNNNNNNNNNNNNNNNNNNNNNNNNNNNNNNNNNNNNNNNNNNNNNNNNNNNNNNNNNNNNNNNNNNNNNNNNNNNNNNNNNNNNNNNNNNNNNNNNNNNNNNNNNNNNNNNNNNNNNNNNNNNNNNNNNNNNNNNNNNNNNNNNNNNNNNNNNNNNNNNNNNNNNNNNNNNNNNNNNNNNNNNNNNNNNNNNNNNNNNNNNNNNNNNNNNNNNNNNNNNNNNNNNNNNNNNNNNGAAAGAAGGGAAAGCUUAGUCCCCGUUAUGUUGGUUCUUACAAAAUUCUUAGCCUUGUUGGUAAGGUAGCUUAUGAGGUCGAGUUGCCUUUUGAGUUGUCCUCUGUUCAUCCAAUAUUCCAUGUCACCAUGCUUAGAAAGCAUAUUAGCGAUGUUGCGGUAGUGGAUUCCUCUGUGAGUGCUGACAUUCAAGAAAAUCUUUAUUUUGAUUAGAUUCCUGUUGAGAUUCUUGAUUUCAGUUUCCGAAGACUAAUGAAUAAAGAAGUUCCCUUGGUCAAGGUGUUGUGGCGAAACAAAUCUGUUGAGGGUGCAACUUGGGAAGCUAAGGCGGAUAUGCGAUCCAAGUACCCGCACCUAUUUUUUGUGAACUUCGAUCAAUCCUAAGGUACCAUUCUUUCCUAAAUAAUGCACUUUUGAUAAAAGUUGCAGCAGUUCAGCUGUCAUUUAUUAUGUGUUCAGCUAUAGUUUCUUGAAUUUAUGCAUUCUAUGUUGCAUUCGGAGUGACAAGCGAUGUGGUGAUGAGUCUAACAAAUGGUGUCAGUUGUAUGCUCUAUUCCCUAUCUAAUCUUUGCAUGUCUAGCGUCAUUCGAGGAUGAAUAUUUUUAAGGGGGGAUGAUGUAAUACCCCGGGAAAUUUUUCGUUGAAAUUUUAUGCGUAAACGUGUUGGGUUCUAUCUUCUAGAAUGAAUUAUAAAUUUUUCGUGUAAAAUAUCUUAGAUUAUGACCCACCAUUUUGUAGUGUAUCGAAUAAUCUUUCCAACGAUAUGUGGAUCAUCCAAAACGGACACCCGAGCGACAAUUAUCUUAAUUAUCAUAUGGGCUUCCGUUCACCGCUACCAAAUUCUACCUGACUGUUGAUCAGCAGAACUUGAUACACCUCUACCGAUAACUUUAUUUUGACCCCAUUUCUCUAUUAUCAUACAUAUUUUACAUGUGGCUAAAUGCUAGUAGGUAUUGCUAUUUUCAGUAUCUUUUGAUGAUCAGUAGGCUAAUUAUGGUUGCUAAUAUUGUCAUAUUUCCUAUGGCUUUAUUACUCCAACCAAUUAAUAACAUUCUUACAAUUCUUGAAUUGAUUUUGUAGAUACUAUUAUAAUAGAAGGACAAGAAUCUCUACCUGGGAGAAACCUCGAGAGCUGAUGACAGAAAUGGAGGUGACAUCUCAUGUCAUCGAGAUUUUUAUGGGUAGUUUUAUCCAGUUUUCUGUGUUUAUCAAUGAAAAAAGAAGUACACAAUUCUUUUUCUAUGAAGCUUCGUAGAACCAUUUUUUCUUUCCUAAGUAUAUGUGAUUUCUGUUGAAAGUUUGUUUAGCGAGCAGAUUUCCUCGAUCUUACUAUACUAUGUAGGCUUCAUUUGGGAUUUGCAUUGAACUUUUAUUUCCAAUAUAGUUCUAAAAGAUUUUAUAUUUAACACUAUUAUUCUAAAAAAUCCCUGAAUGUGUGUAGUGCUUAUGCGCUGCAAGUGGGCUUGGAUGGGGAGGAGAAGAUGCGGUUUUGGGAGGCUUUGAAUAAGGUGGUGAGAGGUGUGCCUAGCUCAGAGAAGGUUGUUGUAGCAGGAGAUUUCAAUGGGCACAUCAGGGCAUUACCGGGAGGCUUUGGUGAUGUGGAUGGCGGUUUUGGUUUUGGGGAAAGAAAUGAAGAGGGGGAUACUCUAUUGGAUUUUGCGAGGUCCUUUAGGCUGGUGGUGAUGAAAUCGGGCUUCCCGAAGAAGGAGGAUCACCUGAUCACCUUCCGAAGUGCGAUAGCCAAGACCUAGAUUAACUUUUUGUUGCUUAGAAAAGGGGAUAGGGUGUUGUGUAAGGACUGUAAGGUCAUCCUGAGUGAGAAUCUUUUGACCCAGCAUAGGCUUUUGGUUAUGGAUUUAGGUAUAAUGAAGGACAGGAAGAGAAAGGGUGAGGAGUGUAGACCUAGAAUUAAGUGGGGCGGCUUGACGCUAGUGAAUACGUGGGAGAUAGGGGAGAAGUUGGCGGGAAUAAGGGUGUGGGAGUGUAGGGGUGACAUGGAUAGUAUAUGGGAUAGGGUGGCUAGGUGCAUCAGGGAGAAUGCUAGUGAGGUAUUAGGUUUUUCUAGGGGCCAGGCCGGGCAUCGUCGGGGGGAUUGGUGAUGAAAUGAGGAGGUUAAGAAGAAAGUAGAGACCAAGAAAGGGGCGUAUGCUAAGUUGGUUGAGAGUAGGUACGAAGAAGAGAAGCGGGUAAAUAGGAAAAAGUACAAGUUAGCUAGGAAGGAGGCUAAGUUAGCAGUUACGGCGGCUAAGAUGGCAGCUUUUGAGAGCUUGUAUGCGGGGUUACAGGAGAAAGGAGGGGGAAAAAGCUGUUUAGACUCGCUAAGGCUAGGGAGAGGAAGGGUCGUGACCUCGACCAGGUGAAGUGCAUUAAGGGGGAGGAUGGUACAGUAUUGGUGGAGGACGACCUCAUUAAGAAUAGAUGGCAGUUGUAUUUUCAUAUGCUCUUGAAUGACGAAGGGGAUAGAGCUAUUGUCUUAGGGGAGAUGGAGCACUCAAAGGAGUGUCGAGAUUUUAGUUAUUGUAGACGUUUUAAGGUAGAGGAGGUUAGAGAGGUUGUUCGCAGGAUGCGAAGGGUUAGGGCGACGUGGCCUGAUGAGAUACCGGUGGAUUUGGGAUGUAUUCUGGAGAGGCUGGUUUAAGGUAGUUGACUGGAUUGUUUAACAAAAUUUUCAAGACGGCGAAAAUGCCCGAGGCUUGGAGGUGGAGUACUAUGAUCCCUCUUUAUAAGAACAAGGGUAACAUUCAGAGUUGCAAUAACUAUAGGGGUAUUAAGUUAUUAAGUCAAUCUAUGAAGAUUUGGGAGAGAAUGGUUGAGGUGAGGAUGAGAUGGAUAGUGUCUAUUUCAGAGAACCAGUUUGGAUUUAUGCCUGGCCGCUUAACGACGGAGGCAAUUCACCUGGUACGCAGGCUGGUGGAACAGUAUAGGUAAAGGAAGAAGGACCUACACAUGGUGUUUAUCGACUUAGAGAAGGCAUAUGACAAAGUCCCCAGGGAGGUGCUUUAGAGAUGCUUGGAGGUGAGUGGAGUCCCGGUGGCAUAUAUAAAAGCAAUUAAGGACAUGUAUGAUGGAGCUAAAACUAAGGUGAGGACGGCGGGAAAAGACUCAGAGCAUUUCACUGUCUUGAUAGGAUUGCAUCAGGGAUCUACUCUUUGUCCCUUUUUGUUUGCUUUGGUGAUGGAUGUGUUGACGCGGCAUAUUGAAGGAGACGUGCCUUGGUGUAUGCUUUUCGCAGAUAAUGUAGUUUUGAUUAUUGAGACGCGGGGUGUGUGAAUAAUAAAUUAGAGGUGUGGAGACAAACUCUUGAGUCUAAAGGGUUCAGGUUGAGUAGAAGCAAGACAGAGUAUUUGGAAUGCAAGUUUAAUAAUGUGAGGCUGGAGAAUGAGGUGGUAGUGAAGUUGGAAUCACAGGUGGUAUGCAAGAGGGAUAGUUUCAAGUAUCUCAGGGUCGUGAUUCAGGGUAACAAUAAGAUUGACAAGGAUGUCUCGCACCGUAUUAGGGUGGGAUGGAUAAAGUGGAAUCUCGCUUCGAGGGUGUUGUGUGAUAAGAAGGUGCCGCCCAAGCUUAAAGGCAAAUUCUACAAGGUGGCAGUCCGUCCGGCCAUGUUGUAUGGAGCAAAGUGUUGGCCAGUGAAGAACUCCCACAUUCAAAAAAUGAAGGUGGCAGAAAUGUAGAUGUUGCACUGGAUGUGUGGGCUGACUAGGGGGGACAGAGUUCGAAAUGAGACUAUCAGGGAGAAGUUUGGUGUGACUCCAGUGGAGAAUAAGAUGUGGAAAGUCCGAUUGAGAUGGUUCUGAUAUGUGAUGAGGAGGGGCAUGGAUGCCCCGGUUCGUAGGUGUGAGAGGCUAGCUUUGGAUGGUUUUAGGCGGGGUAAGGGUAGGUCGAAGAAGUACUAAGGAGAGGUGAUUAGGCAGGACAUGGAGUAGUUACAGCUCACUGAGGACAUGACCCUAGAUAGGAAGAUCUUGAGGACGCGAAUUAGGGCAGAAGGAUAGGGUCAGUUUGGGUCGCUAGUAUAGGGAAUUACUUGGUGGGGGUAUUAUUCUUGUUAUGAUACCUUGUCUCAUCCUUUAUUACGAAUCUGUUUACUUUUCUCUAUUUUCUAUUACUUGUGGGUGUUGUAUUUAUGUUAUGCCAUCUUGUUCCAUGUUUUACUAUGUAUUUAUGUAGUAUUCCGUGUCUCGAGCCGUGGUCUAUCGAAAACAGCCUUUCUACUUCUUUAGAGGUAGAGGCAUGGACUGUAUAAAUCUUACCCUCCCCACACCUCACUAUGUGGGAAUACACUGGGUUUGUUGUUGUUGUUGUUGUAUUGUUCUAAACAAUGUGUUUAAGCAUACACGGCAGGAUUAUAUUUGGUCUAUUUUAAACAAUUUUAUUUACUUUCUGAUUAAUGUAAUGUUAUUGCAACUCUAUGGCGAUAUGGAGAGAGGAAACUUGAUAUAAUAUUGCGGUUCACACUUCUCAUUCUGGUUUACAGAAUAAUAGUUUGGCUGGUUGCACACUUACACCCAAGAGUGUGACCUAGUGGUCAAUGAAGUAGAUUGAGAACCAUGAGGUCUCAGGUUUAAUUUCCAAUAGAGAUAAAAACACUAAUUCUUGUCUCAUAAGGAGACUUUUUAGGAUUUUUAGAAAACGUGUAAGUAAUGUAAAGACUUUUGUAAAAAAUUCAUUCUUUAAAUGAGAAGAACCGAAGGCAUUGCAAGGCAAGCCUUCAUGUGUUGAAGCACAAAUACUCUCUCCUAUCCGCAACAAAUAUUUUGCUUAGUUAAUUAAAAAACUGAUAUAUUUCAAUGGAAAAAGCUAUGGAGGAACAAACCUCANNNNNNNNNNNNNNNNNNNNNNNNNNNNNNNNNNNNNNNNNNNNNNNNNNNNNNNNNNNNNNNNNNNNNNNNNNNNNNNNNNNNNNNNNNNNNNNNNNNNNNNNNNNNNNNNNNNNNNNNNNNNNNNNNNNNNNNNNNNNNNNNNNNNNNNNNNNNNNNNNNNNNNNNNNNNNNNNNNNNNNNNNNNNNNNNNNNNNNNNNNNNNNNNNNNNNNNNNNNNNNNNNNNNNNNNNNNNNNNNNNNNNNNNNNNNNNNNNNNNNNNNNNNNNNNNNNNNNNNNNNNNNNNNNNNNNNNNNNNNNNNNNNNNNNNNNNNNNNNNNNNNNNNNNNNNNNNNNNNNNNNNNNNNNNNNNNNNNNNNNNNNNNNNNNNNNNNNNNNNNNNNNNNNNNNNNNNNNNNNNNNNNNNNNNNNNNNNNNNNNNNNNNNNNNNNNNNNNNNNNNNNNNNNNNNNNNNNNNNNNNNNNNNNNNNNNNNAUAAAUUUAAAAUACUUAUUUUGUAUGCACUUAAGGAUAUAAAAGUAAUAGAUAUAAGAAAAAUCAUAUUAGAAAAAAUAUUUGAUAAAUAUUAUAUGACUAGAAUAAACUACAUACCAUACCUACCUAACUACUCUUAAAAAUACUUACCAUGAUAAAUUACAUAGAAUUUUUGGAAAAAAAUAUGAGAAACAUACAGUUAAUAGAAAAACAGAUGAAACUAAAUUUAAACAAAUACAUGGAAACUAAAGAUAUAAAAUAUAUAGAAUUUCUUAAUGAAAAUAUGCAAGAACUACUAAGACUAAAACAAACAACUAGAAAACAUUAUAAUAAAAUGUUUAGUCAAUUUUAAAUGAUAAAUAAUCUUAAAGUCUUAAUCUUAUAUAUAUUUAGAGAUAUAGAAAUUAUAGAUAUUAAGAAAAUAAUAUUAGAAAAAGUAUUAGACUAUGAAAUUGAAACCAUAAAUUGGAUAGCACAGUUAUACCUAGAUAAUUAUCCAGAAGGAUAUUAUUCAGAUUAAGAGAUGUUAGAAUAUAUUAGAAAAACUAGAGAAAAUCAAGAUAAUCUAAAUAAGGAAAUUAAUUAUAGAAACCGAAUUAGAAAAAUAAUAGAGAAUCUAAAAGAAAAAUUAAUAUGGAUCGAAGAAACCUUAAAAAAUUUAGAAAAAAGUAAAUGUGAUAGUUUAUAUAAUUUUAAAAACUCACUAUGAGAACAACAACACAAGAUAAUAAAUAACAUUGAAAAUCUAGAAUUAGAUAUACAUUACAGUACAAUUAGGAUAAAUUAUUAUACAGAUAUUUGUAACUCUGCAAUUACUACAGGAUAAAAUAAUAAACCAUACAAAUUAAUAAAUACAUCUUACGAAAAGAAUAAAUCAUUAAAAUAUAUUGAAACAAAAUUUAAGAAAUAUCCACGCACAAGGAAAAAUAGAUUCAUUAUAAAUAUAAUAGAUCUAUUACAUAAGUUAGUUAUCCGCAUAGAUCCACACCCCCUACAAAUGAUAUCAAAGCCCAGUUAUUUAAAAAAUACAGCAGUAGUAUAUAUGUUUGAAUUUAUGUUGAAUCUCACUCUUAAGUUGAAAUGUUUAUACAACUCUCAAAUGUAUUUUCUGAAAAAUAUUUUUUUAUUCACCAACCAAACAAUAGAAAACAUUUUCUGAAAAAUGUUUUCCUUUCAUCAACUAAACAUAAGAAAACAAGUAAGAAACCAACUUAUUUUCUAGGAAAACAUUUUCCUUCAUACAAAACACACCCAAGGUCUAUAGUGAUCAUUUUAAAGUUGUAUGUCUGUUCCAGUAUCUGAGCCAAAAGAAAAAACCGGAAGCUGAAGAAAGGCGUGUUAAACAGAAAAAAGCUCGGGAAGAUUUUAGGAUAACGUUAGAAGUAAGUGAAAUUUUCUUUUGUGGGUGUAUUCCAUUUGACAUAUCAUGAUAUUAACAUUACCAGUUUCAAAAAUAAAAAGAUAUUAUCAUAAUAUUCAUGAUGUGUUAAAGACUGGUAUUUGACUUGUUCAAAAGAAUAAGUGGUAUUUUUUACAACAAUGUCCGUUGUUCUCAAUCUUAUAGGAUUGCAAGGAGCUGUCACCAUCGUCAAGAUGGAGGUUUGUCUUUCACUUGUAAUGUUAAGUUGUCUGCUGUUUGUUUUCUAAUCUUGGUCAUUGUUUGUAUGUGUUUUGGUACCUUGAAGUUGAUCCAUUACUUGUGUAAGUUUUAUUUGAUCCACUAACUAUUUGCUAUUGAUUAUUCAGUAAGGCAAUCUCCAUAUUCGAACAUGAUGAACAUUUUAAAGCUGUAGAGCGAGCUAAAGACCGUGAGGACCUUUUUGAAGAUUAUGUGGAGGAACUUGAGAAAAAGGUGAAGCUCCUUUUGCAGAACUUUCUAGUAAGCUUCUAUAUGUUAAAAACUAAGUGUGCGGACUGUUGUUUUCUUAUAUGGUCUUUGUCUCCUCACAAAUUGAGUUAGCCUUUCAUUUGAGAUAGAAACAAGGUCCAAUUUCUUAAGCAUGGUAUUAGAGGCAGAUCUAUCUUGAUGUUAGACUAUUAGAUGUUAGCCAACCUAGGUUAACUGAUGCUACAAAUGUCUAGUCUUGGUGUGCGAUUAAUGUAUGAGAAUCCCACACUAGUAAGGUGUAUGUGCUGUAGUUUCCUUAUAUGAUCUUGGACAAUUUUCACCACCUGACCUAGUUUUCGAAGUGGAGUUAGGUUGAUUAACAACAAUCAUUCCAUUCCUUUCCUUUGCAGGAUGUCUUUUAGUUUGUUCCCUUUUUUUGUUUUGCUUAAAGAGUAGAAAGAAGGAAUGUUGUAGAUAUUCAACUUAAAAUCUUAUGUUCUUUGAAUACAUUUUUAAUGGCUUCUCAAGGGUACAACAUUUAAAUUUGUUCACCAUUGAAUUCCAAUUUAAACAGACUUCCAUGUAUUGCAUGUAAUUUUUUUUGAAACUUGAAACUAUGAUAUGCUUCUUCCUCUCCCCCCUCCGUCGUAAAAUAGAAAAAGUUUUUCAAUACUUUCAUGCAAGUGUAGUUAAAGUCUCUUUGUAAAUAUUGUCUUCUUUAUAGAGAAAUUUUAUUGUUUUUACUUUGUACUGGAUUUUAUUAGGAGCAUGCUAAGGCAUUGGAGGAGCAGAAGCGCAAUAGAGUGGAGUACUUAGAAUUUUUAAAAUCCUCCGACUUUAUUAAGGUAUUUGUUCUAGUGGAAUUAGUAUCAGUUCCUAGAUUAUGUUUUUCUAUUUCCAGGAGAUAGAACUUCCAUAGUUCCAUUGUUGCUGACUUUUUUUGUUCAGGCCAGUAGCCAGUGGUGGAAAGUUCAAGACCACUUGGAAACUGAUGAAAGAUGCUCCCUCCUUGAGAAAAUCAAUCGCUUGGAGAUUUUCCAGGUACUACUCAUUUUUCUAAUACAUCAUAAAUAACUUUUUCCAAACAUCUCAUUUGUACGCCUCAGUUUUAAAGUUAUGUUGCAACCUUUUCUAUUUUAGGAAUACAUACGUGAUUUAGAGAGCAAAGAGGGGGAGCAAAGGAAACUGCAGAUGGUAGAUUGCUUAUUAGAUUCUGGGGCUAAAAUUAAAUUUAUGUUUGGAGACUUUAAUUUAUCUCUUUCUCAAUGGGCAUACACCAUUGAUUCAAAUAGGAAGAAUUGAGGAAAGCUGAACGUAAAAAUCAUGAUGAGUUCUGAAAACUGAUGGAAGAGCAUAUUACUACGGGAAUACUUAACGUAAAAACUAACUGGCGUGAUUAUUGCAUCAAAGUUAUUUUUUCUUUCUUGUGUUCAGUGAGUGAUUACCUUCAUGAGUUCCCUUUUCGUCUUUUUGAAUUUUUCAUCCAAUAAUUUCCUUCUUUAUUUUGUGCUUGCAGAUUAAAGAUUUUGCUGCAUAUCUAGCUGUCUCAUCAAAUACUUUAGGAUCAAUAGUAAAAGACUUAUUUACAGAUGUUAUGGAUGAGCUGGAGAAACAGGUGAAAUAGGUUGCUAAUAGGAGUAUUGAAUUGUGUCAACUACAUUUGUUACACUAAGCCAUAUUUAUAGACUUUACACUACAAUCCCUUUUCAUUUGCUAUCACUUAAUGAAGGUCUGAAUCUGAAUGGUUAAGAUAUCAUCCCAUUAAGUGCUUUUUAUUAACAGAUUCAACCUAUUAGUACAUCUUAAUGAAUCAGAUGUUAAACAAGUCUGAAAAUCAUUUAGAUCCUCACUAAAAAGUUCAAUUCAUUAGGUAAAAAAGAAAGUUAGUGCAUUACUAUGUGGGAAUAUACUGGGUUUGUUGUUGUUGUUGUUGUUGUUGUGCAUUAAGGAAUAGAACAUACUUGGUAGGAUAAAAGAAUGAGAUUGAGAUUUGAGAGUUACCCCUCUGCUUACUUUUUCUUUUUAAAUAACACAUAUUUUGUUGAGAUAAGAACAAUGACCGGUUCUUCCUAUUAAACAUCUGUGUUAUUUCUCUUUAUGCCAAUUAGUUUCCUUUUUUUUUACUGGAUAGUAGGUAUUUAGGCUGAUAGGAAUGGUAUUGUCGUAAACUUUUAAGUUAAGGGUUCCAUGCUUUUAAUGUAGUAUAGAUAUAGAUGAUUCUUUCAAUCUAGCCAAGCUGUAUUAAAUGCUACUUCACGGACAAUUGUAAUUGACUUCUCCUCUGUUGAAUGUUGUUAACGGUUAUAUUACCUUAAUUGUUAUAGUUUCUCGAGCAGAAUAACUCUGAGAAGUGAUCAUCAAACUUCCAUGUUUUCACGUAGUUUCUUUGACUUUCGAGGACUCCUUUAAAGUAUCACACAACCACUCCAUUGUGUUUCAGCUAAGACUACAUUUGUUUUUUUUAAUAUUCAGACAUUUGAAUCAGUUUGAGCGGACAUCUGAAUGGUUAAGAUAUUGUCUCUAGAUCUGAAAACUAAAUGAUUAAGGUUGGGUGUUUCUCAAUAUCUGAAUGUGCAAAAUUUAUUUAUUUCUAAAUAUAAAAUAAUUAUAUAUUAGAAAUUUUUUAAUUUAAUGCAAUUAAAUUAUUAUUUGAUUAAAAAAGAAACAUUUAUGUUUGUUAGUGAUACUGGAAAUGGUUUGUAAUGGUGGUGGUGGUUAUAAUAAAUUAAUUGAUAUUAGUGAUUAGCAAUGUUGGUGAUGCUAGUUGUGAUAGUAGAUAUAGUUGGCAUUGUAGUAACUUUCAUGAUAUUGGCAAUUGGUAGUGGUGGUGGUGGUUAUGAUGUGAAGUUGGUUAAUGUUAGUAGCUGGAGGUGUUGAUCGUGGUGAUGGAAAACUAUAUGCAUGAUGGUUGAUGAUGUGUUGGUGGUCGUUGGAGAUGCUGUUAGCUGUGAUAGUGAAAUGGUUAUUAGUACAGAUACUGUAGCGACUGUAGUGGAUAGUGGUGGUAGAGGUGGUGACGCCGGUGACAGUGGUGGUGAUGGUGUCUGAAUAAUAUGUGUAAGUUGAUUAUGUGUUAGUGGUUGUUAGCGAUGUGUGGAAGUUGAUGAUGUGUGGUGGUUAUUAGUCGUAGUGCUAGUUCUAAUAGAUGAGUUAGUUGGUAGUAGGGAUCGACCGGUAGCAAUUGAUGGUGGUGGCGUUGGUGGUAGGGGUGUUCAUGGGUCGAUAUGGGUCGGUUAUUGGUCAAAACCAUAACUAAACCAACUUAAUCGAUUUUUAAAUUUCUAAAACCAAACCAAACCAAACAAAAAAAUAACCAUCGGUUUGGUUCUUGCCGGUUUAGUUCAGUUUGAUUCGGAUUUUUUGGUUUAUAACUUUAGUUAAUGAUAAAAUUUGAAAAUUUUAUAAAACAAAUCCAAUCUAACAUAUGAGAUGUCAACCGAGUGUUGUAUCUCAAUCUUGAAACUAUGAUGUCAACUGAGUGUUAUACUUCGGCAAAGCCAUGAUAACGCCAUAUGAACGCUUUUAAAAAAAUAUUUAAAAACUAUAUUUAAUAGAAUUAUAUGAUAAACCCCCAAAAGGUGAGCACAUAAACUUCUUUCUCAACAAGGUUCAAAAGAAAGUUAAAAUUAGUGAUUGUGUAUAGUCUAAUGAAUUUCAGCUGUAAAUUUCAAUAUAUAACAAGAUAUUAUUUUUACAAUUAGUAUCAUUUGUCAUUCAAAAUAUGAAAUUCAUUUAGAAUCUCAUAAUGUAGUGUCAACUAGAUGAAGAAAUAUGACUGAAUGUGUUACGACUAAAGUUAAAUCAAGAUUAAAAUAUAAAAUGUAACAAAUAUUUAGAUUACAUUUAUGAAAAACAUAUAAAUAAUUAUAAUAUAUUUGUAUAUCGGUUUGGUUAUUUUGUCGGUUAUUUUAGAGUAAAACCAAACCAAACCAAACCAAAUUAGUAUCAGUUUAUUAAAAUUCAAAUCUAAACCAAACCUAAUCAAAUAUAGGUUUUUUUAAUCGGUUUGGUUUGGAUCGCGGUUCAGUUUGGUUAAAAACCAAACCGUGAACACCCCUAGUUGGCGGUGGAUAUAAUUAGAAUAAUGGAAGUGGUAGGUGUGGUAGCGGUUGGCAGUGUAGUUGGUACUGAUGUUGGUUGUGAUGGUGGAAGUGGUUGGUGGUGGUGACAGGUGAUUGUGGAUAGAGUGGUGGUGAAUUUUAUCCUACACACGAAUAUCUGUAAAUAAUAUUUAGACUUGGUUCCACAUCUGAAUGAUUAAGACCUACUCAGACCUAUUAAGAGCUAAGAUCCUAAUAAAAUCAAAUGCACUUAAUGGUUUGAGGUCUGAACAGGUUCAUAAAUCCAAUAAGUGCAAACAAAUGAGACCUGAAAGUAGUUUGUCUGUUCAAGUUUCGACCAUGUUUUGUCCAUUUGUACCACACCCCAGUUUUGAUUUCACUUCGGAUGAUAUCGUGCAACUUAAAACCCAAUUCAAAAUAUAUUGUGUUGUCAACCAUAUAAAUUGGAAUAAAUAAACUUAGUGCCAAAAUUCGCCUCUGAAGAAGUAGUUGAGAUGUAAUGAAAGUAAAGGCUUUGAAAAGAUUAACCUCGGAAAAAAUGCCUGAGAGCAUCUCUGUUUCUCUAAAUAAAGUUGUAUCUCCCUCACUAUGAUUUUUUUGGCCGUAGUACACACUUGCGACUUACCAAACGAUAUAUUGUUUCAUCUUCUGCCCUUUCUGAAAAGAAUUGAAGUUGAAUGAUCAAAUGUUAUUAGCAUUUAUCUCCUUGCUUGAUGAAAGAGGGAGUUUACCUAGUAUCCUAGCAUGUAAUGAUCCUGUUCAUAUUCUUAUUCAAUGAUUGAAUUUGGUAAUGUUUUCUUGAGUUAGGCUAUUGCUAUGGGAUGGUGAGAGUUAUACAUAAACUCCGAUGCUAAAAAUCUUUUCUUUUUCCCUUGUAAUUACUGUUUGUGUGCAUAAAUGAUUCUUAUUAAGUAAAUAUAACGAAAGCGCUGUUAAAAGAGAUGCUAUCCAUUUUUAUUUAUUCAUUUUUUUCUAUUAUCCAAACAGGGGUGGUUGAUUUUUCCUUCAAUUUAACCUGAUCAGUGCAAUUAAGUUUAUGUGUCAAGUGUCUUGUGAUAUUGUAGAUGACUUUGAACAAGUGGAGAAAUGUUGGUAUUCAUGAAAGAAAUUUCAUCCCCAUCACCCUGCUUGUAAUUUAUAGACUUUAUGUUAACUUAAAUGUAUGGACAAGGCUCCAUUUGGUAUCCUAUUUUUGGUACUGAUAAGCAUUCUGAAUUUGUGUUACUUGUAUGUUGCUUCAGUAUCUUGAUGACAAGUCACAAAUUAAAGAUGCAGUUAGGAUGGUCGAGGUAAUCACCACUCUUCAUUUUAACCUCUGUUGUGCUUCGGUUAGUACCUAAUAUUUUGGCUGAGCCAUCUCUACUUUUAGAUUGGAUUGACAUCAGCCUGGACGCUUGAUGAUUUUAAGGUUGCAAUCGCCAAGUAUAUUAGCUCUCCACCAAUGUCAGAUACCAACUUAAAGGUCUAAUUAUGGCUAAGCACUGUAUACUGUUUCACAUCGACCCAUGUUGAAUUGAAUGUUGUGAAAAUUGAAGUACCCCAUUCACUAAAUGGAUUUCUAUGUAUUUGUCCCCUUUUUGUCUUUGGGACAGGUCCUGCAUAAGAUGAGUGGAUUGAGUGCAAAAGCAUUAGUAGAACUUCCAUGUUAUGUUUCACUAGAAGUCGGUCAGUUUGUGAUUGCUAAAUUGGCAACUCAUAGGUAGUCAACUGUGAUAAGUGGAAUUUUCCUUUAGUACCAACCAUAACCUAUCCCACAUUAAAUUUGGAUCUUCUUGUAAUGGAGUUAAUAGAAGAGUAGUGUGUUGGUUAGCAAGUAAGCCUGAAACCUUCAAGAAUAAAGACGAGGACCACAUUGAUCAAAUAUUUGGUGUUAGCUUUUGCUUCCAAUUCUUCAGUUUUGGUACCAUUUUCUAGAGUUUUUAUUUCUUGGACGGCGGUGUUUAAUAUUACACCUACCGCACAUAUCUUAAGUUGCUUAAUUCAAAGCAAUUUGCCUUGUAGUUUUCUUUUUUUACGGUAAGUGGAUAAGAGUUCUACUCUACGAAACUAGUUAAACAGCAUAACUAGAUGAUAUCAAUGAUCAUUUGCUAUUUUUGUAAUGAGGAUAUUCUUUAUAUAUCAUUUGGAUUUUGGAGGUUAUUUAUGGUCAUGGCGUAUAAUCUAUGUAUGUGGGAAGAGGGAAUUGCAAGGGGUAUCUUGUCGAAGAAUUAUGCUUAGACGGUUGGGUCUCUUAGGGAUUUUAGUUUACUUUUAAUAGAUCAAAACUUUUGUAAAGCAUUUUAUCAAAGAUUAUAAUGUGAGGAGUUACUCCAAAAGAUGGUAAUAAUACUCUUACAUUAUAUCCCCCUUGCCUUCCAAACAAAGGAAUAAUAGGACAUACAUGGAUUAUACAGAAUCUUAUUCCAUACUUCCUUUCUAAACUUUAUGUUCUACGCGUUUGAGCUUGCCGGGUCAUUGAGUAUUGAAUGUGCAUAUUUCAUCUGCAUAGUUUGUCUUUGAGGAGUUACUGGAAAGGGCCAGGAAGAAAGAAGAAAAAGAAGCUAAAAAGCCUAAACGUCUAGCAGAUGAGUUCUAUGAACUUUUUCAUGCAUCAAAGGUAUAGUAAACAGUUUACAAUCUCUCACAUUGCAAUGGAUGGGAUCCCAUGAUAUUUCCUUUAAACCAUAAUCUAUUUGUUUGCUGUGGUUGCAGGAAAUUACUGCAUCAUCGAAAUGGGAGGACUACAAAUCCCUCUUCGGAGAUAGGCAAGUAGCUUCUCUUUUAUUGAUCUAGAAUUAGUAACAUGAUUGCAAAGACCAUUUGAGAAUGAUAAUUGAUAUUAUUUUCAAGGACCAACUCCUUUAACAUUCUGAACUCAGUAAUUCACAUAGUUCUAGAAUGUACCUUAGAAUAAUUGCUGUGUUGAAUGAUUUGUUGUUUUAUAUUUCUCAAUAUUUAGGUAGGCUAUUUCUUUAUAGUAUUAGCAUGAAUUACCAUUUUGCUAAGUGAUUUUUAAUGUGGAACUUAUCCCUCUAGAAAUUGGUUGAUGUCAAUUAUUAAUUGUUCCAACACUGGGAGUUUAAUAACUCAAGCAGCCAGUUUUUAAAUUUCUGACAUUUGUGAUUACUUUAGUUUUUAAAUUUCUGGCAUUUGUGAUUGUUUCACGAUUCUGAUGAAGUAUGCUGCUAAAUCUCUAGUUUUAAUUUGUCUAGCCUCUUUGGCUAUAAAAUGUAAUGCUCUGGAUUUUUACUUUUUUAUUCAUAAUCUCAUGAUUCUCAUUAUGUCGAAACAUUGAAUGUGAAUUUCUUUGUUGUUAUUAUUUUAUAGAAUAAUGGGUGAUGAGGGCUUGCUGCUGGAAAUAUUUAACAAAUUUGUUAAUGAACUAAAAGAGAAGGAGCGCAAGCGUCAAGAGGAUAAGGUACUUGAAUUACUACAAACCCUUAUUCUUCUGCUACUUUCGGGUAGGGGCAGUAGAUGUGUGGAAGUGAUUGUGGUUGAUAUUGUUUUGCGGAAAUUUUGACUUUUUGAGAGUCGCCACUUAAUUUUGAAAAGAAAUUAAGAAACCUUUAGAGAGUUACUGCAAACGAUUCAAAAUAGAAAAAUCAUUUUAAGUUAGAGAUUCUAGAUAAGCGGUUCCUAUUAACAUUUUAGGAAGGUAUUAGGCACCUAAAAUGUCCGCUAACUUGCGGUUAUCCGGACUGUUUGAAAAUCGUCUUUUGAUUUACUUUGAAAAAGUUUAUUUUUUGAAAAGAAAAGCAAUUUUAGGAAUAUUUUGGUGUUUAUGCAAAACCAAUUUUUUAGAGACUUGACUAAGGAUUUUACUAGGUUUGCAAAACACACGGAAAACAAGUAAGAAAAUAGAAAAAAGGGAAAGGGGAGAAGUAGUGAUUUAGGCUUUUAAGCCCAAACCGCCAACCCUGUCCUAAUCUAGUUAGGUUUUUGACCCAUCUUUCACCUGUCUUAAUUUUAUAUUUUUGAGCCCUUUUCGGCUCGAGUCUCGCUCCACCUGUUUUAAAUUUACAACUUUGGCUUCGAGGUCCAAAUGAAUAAAUAAAUAAGUCACUAAAUAAACAAAAAUAUAAAUAAGUAAAUAAAUAAAUAAUGGAAACAAUGGAUAAAUAAAUCAAUAAAGAAGAAAUAACUAGAUUUUCAAGUCCCGUUUGCCGCUUCAAAGAUGGAACUUUAACCCAUUCUUCUUUCAAUUCCUCGUAUCCAUACGCCAUGCGAUGGAUUCUUGGAUUUUCUUUUUGGCUUAACUCGGAAGGAUAGGCCUCAUUGGCCCAUUUAUGAAAUGCAAAGAGAGAAGGGGCCCAUUUGAAUUCCAAGGGGGGUGCAUGCAAAGAAAGGAAUGAAGAAAUUAACAUACGUCCAAGAUUUUAACAAUUAAUAAGAAUCAAAUACUGCAUAAGAAAAUAGAAGCAUAAUUAAUGCAAAUAUUAUUAAUAUACCAUAUUUUAUAUUAUUUUUAUAAAAUAAUGUUUUAUAUUAUUUUUAUAAGAAAAUACUCUAAUUAAUUUUGUUCAAAUUAUCUAUCUAUAUCAUAAAGGAGGAUAGUCUAACCUAAAACUAAGACAAGUGUCAUAUUGAGAACUACCUAUUUGAAUUUUUAAAACAAAAAACCAUCAUUUCAUAACAAAAAGUUAUUUUGUUGAUUAUUUAAAUAUUUAAUAUUAUUUCAUACUAAAUAUAAAUUACAUUUCAUAUGUUAUUAAUAAUAGUAUUAUAAGAAAAUAAAUAUGAAUGAUUUCAUUACAGUGGACUAAAAGAAAUAUUACAAGAAAAAAAUUAUUUAAGAGAAUAACCAAUUAAUAAAUAGUAACUGAUCAAUUUAUAUAGAAAAUAUUGUAAUCAUUCUGAAUAAAAAUUAUUGAAAAAAGGUGUCAUCCCUCAAAAUAAUUAAGUUUGACCUAUUUUUGUAAACAAAUAAAUGAAUGAAUAUAAGAAAAUCCGUAAUUAGGAAAAAAAUAAUUGUUACUUUAUUUGAGUUUUUAGCAAAUUAUAAAAAUAAUAAUAAUCAAUUGACUAUAAUUAAAUUAUAAAUUUAUAAGAAAUAUUUGAAAAAUAAAUUAGUAAUUAGGAAAAUAAAUAAUUGUUACCUUUUUAAAAUUCUUUCCAAAAUUAAAAAGGUAAUUGAUAUCAAUUUAAUGUAAUCAAUCUAUGAAAACAUGAGAAAUUCAUGGGAUUGAAUUUCCNNNNNNNNNNNNNNNNNNNNNNNNNNNNNNNNNNNNNNNNNNNNNNNNNNNNNNNNNNNNNNNNNNNNNNNNNNNNNNNNNNNNNNNNNNNNNNNNNNNNNNNNNNNNNNNNNNNNNNNNNNNNNNNNNNNNNNNNNNNNNNNNNNNNNNNNNNNNNNNNNNNNNNNNNNNNNNNNNNNNNNNNNNNNNNNNNNNNNNNNNNNNNNNNNNNNNNNNNNNNNNNNNNNNNNNNNNNNNNNNNNNNNNNNNNNNNNNNNNNNNNNNNNNNNNNNNNNNNNNNNNNNNNNNNNNNNNNNNNNNNNNNNNNNNNNNNNNNNNNNNNNNNNNNNNNNNNNNNNNNUGAUUGAUUUUGUGCAAUCUACUAUGAUUUUAUUAAUUCAAAUGAAAUGAUUUUUAAAUGAUAGGUUUAGAUUAUAAAAAUAAAGGUGAUUAUUGUAUGACUUUAGCAUUUCUUAUGUAUUGAAAAAGAUUUAUAGACAAAAAGGUGUCAUCCCUCAAAAGAAUUAAAUUUAAACUAUUUUAGUGAAACAAUGAAAGAUUGAAUAUAAGAAAAUCCGUAACUAAGAAAAGAAAUAAUUUUCACCUUAUUUAAGUUUUUAGAAAAUUGUAAAGAUAAUUAAAUAAUAAAACUGUAAAUUGAUAAGAAAUUUUUUAGAAAUAAAUCAGUAAUUAGGAAAAGAAAUAAUCGUUACCUUUUUAAAAUUCUUCCCAAAAUUAUAAAGGUAAUUAAUAUAAAUUUGAUAUAACCAAANNNNNNNNNNNNNNNNNNNNNNNNNNNNNNNNNNNNNNNNNNNNNNNNNNNNNNNNNNNNNNNGUAACUAAUAUCAAUUGUUUCCAUAUUUGAGUCCUUUAUGUAAUUGUAGAUUAAUUAAAUAUAAUCAAGCUAUAAAAUUAGGAUAGAUUUAUGUUAAAUAAAUAUAUAAGAUUAAUAAUAAUUUUAUUGUUAUAAAAUUAAUUAGAUCAAAUUGAGAUAGAAAUCAGUUAAUAUUGACUUCUACUUUAGCCAUAAAUAUAUUUUAAAAUUUACAAAAAUAAAUUUAAAGAACUUGAGUCUAUAUUUUAUAAAAAUAUAUAUAGUCAUUUAUUUAAUAAAAAUACAUAUAAUUAAUUGAUUGAUUUUGUGCAAUCUACUAUGAUCUUAUGAAUUCAAAUUAAAUAAUUUUUAAAUGAUAAGUCUGAAUUAUAAAAAUAAAGGAGAUUAUUGUAUGACUUUAGCGUUUCUUAUGUAUUAAAAAAAAUUUAUAGACAAAAAAAUGUCAUGCCUCAAAACAAUUAAAUUUGAAUUAUUUUAGUAAAACAAUAAAAGAUUGAAUUUAAGAAAAUUUGUAAUUGAGAAAAAAAUAAUGGUUACCUUAUUUGAGUUUUUAGCAAAUUAUAAAGAUAAUUAAAUAAUCAAUUAACUAUAAUCAAAUUAUAAAUUUAUAAGAAAUUUUUGAGAAAUAAAUCAGCAAUUAGGAAAAAAAUAAUCGUUACCUUUUAAAAAUUCCUCCCAAAAUUAUAAAGGUAAUUAAUAUCAAUUUGAUAUAAUCAAACUAUAAGGAUAUGAGAAAUUCAUGGGAUUAAAUUUUUGAAAUUAUAAAGGUAACUAAUAUCAAUUGUUUCCAUAUUUGAGUCCUUUAUGUAAUUGUAGAUUAAUUAAAUAUUAUCAAGCUAUAAAAUUAGGACAUAUUUAUGGUUAACAAAUAUAUAAUAUUAAUAAUAAUUGUAUUUUUAUCAAACUAAUUAGAUUAAAUUGCGGUAAAAAUCAGUUAAUACUGACAAUUAUUUUAAUAAAGAAUAUAUUGACAAUUAGAUUAAACUAAUAUUGUUGUAAAUAUAUUUUGAAAUUUACAACAAUAAAUUUAAGGAACUUUAGUCUAUAUAUUAUGAUCAUAAAAUUUAAUCUAAUUAAGUGAAAUUAAUUAGUUGAUUGUNNNNNNNNNNNNNNNNNNNNNNNNNNNNNNNNNNNNNNNNNNNNNNNNNNNNNNNNNNNNNNNNNNNNNNNNNNNNNNNNNNNNNNNNNNNNNNNNNNNNNNNNNNNNNNNNNNNNNNNNNNNNNNNNNNNNNNNNNNNNNNNNNNNNNNNNNNNNNNNNNNNNNNNNNNNNNNNNNNNNNNNNNNNNNNNNNNNNNNNNNNNNNNNNNNNNNNNNNNNNNNNNNNNNNNNNNNNNNNNNNNNNNNNNNNNNNNNNNNNNNNNNNNNNNNNNNNNNNNNNNNNNNNNNNNNNNNNNNNNNNNNNNNNNNNNNNNNNNNNNNNNNNNNNNNNNNNNNNNNNNNNNNNNNNNNNNNNNNNNNNNNNNNNNNNNNNNNNNNNNNNNNNNNNNNNNNNNNNNNNNNNNNNNNNNNNNNNNNNNNNNNNNNNNNNNNNNNNNNNNNNNNNNNNNNNNNNNNNNNNNNNNNNNNNNNNNNNNNNNNNNNNNNNNNNNNNNNNNNNNNNNNNNNNNNNNNNNNNNNNNNNNNNNNNNNNNNNNNNNNNNNNNNNNNNNNNNNNNNNNNNNNNNNNNNNNNNNNNNNNNNNNNNNNNNNNNNNNNNNNNNNNNNNNNNNNNNNNNNNNNNNNNNNNNNNNNNNNNNNNNNNNNNNNNNNNNNNNNNNNNNNNNNNNNNNNNNNNNNNNNNNNNNNNNNNNNNNNNNNNNNNNNNNNNNNNNNNNNNNNNNNNNNNNNNNNNNNNNNNNNNNNNNNNNNNNNNNNNNNNNNNNNNNNNNNNNNNNNNNNNNNNNNNNNNNNNNNNNNNNNNNNNNNNNNNNNNNNNNNNNNNNNNNNNNNNNNNNNNNNNNNNNNNNNNNNNNNNNNNNNNNNNNNNNNNNNNNNNNNNNNNNNNNNNNNNNNNNNNNNNNNNNNNNNNNNNNNNNNNNNNNNNNNNNNNNNNNNNNNNNNNNNNNNNNNNNNNNNNNNNNNNNNNNNNNNNNNNNNNNNNNNNNNNNNNNNNNNNNNNNNNNNNNNNNNNNNNNNNNNNNNNNNNNNNNNNNNNNNNNNNNNNNNNNUUGUAUCGUAUACCUCUAUUUUCUUACUUGCUACUGUUGUUAAUAUCCUCGUGUUUUUGCUUUCCUUGCCGAGGAUUUACGGGAAAUAAAUUUCUACUUGCCAAGGUAGGGGUUAUGUAUGUUGUUGUUGAAGACGUAUCAUGUAGAAAGAGAGAUGUUUCGCUUUGUCACAUAAGUAUUUAGUUAGCUUGCAAUAUGUUCAUGAAUGGAUAAUGAUUUGUAAGUGGCUGUUUAUGAGUGUUUUUCUUUGUCCUUUGAAAUCUCAUGGACACUAGUUUGAUUCAUGUACAGUCUCCAUACAUAGAGAUGAUGAAGAACAACUUCUUCUUUUUUCGAUCAUCAACUAAUGAUGCAAACAAGACCCCUUCACCACCAUUAAAGUCCAUGGAAGUUUCUUCUUGGAAGAGUGUUUCAUUGUCAUCUGGAUCCUUCUAUGACAGUGGGUCAGAAAAAAAGAAUUUCACGGAUCUGAGAAAAUCUCCCCAUGGUCACAGUAAGAAAGUUCAUCCUAAUAAAUAUGGUCGUAAUUCAAGUCGGUAUCUAUAUCAUUUUGCUGUAGCGUUCCAGUGUUGAUUCGGACUAUUAGAAGAUUGACAAAGGAUAAGGUACAAAUGGCUUCUGAAGUUUCAAGCAUACUACGGAAUCAAGUUACUGAAAGGGCUUCUGGUAAGGAAGAAGCCAGCAUAUUACAGGCAGAACUAGAUUCACGGACAUGAAAAUUGGAGACAGAAAAGAAUGAGUUACAAUCAGUACUGGAAAAGGAGUUGGAUAGAAGAUCCAAUGAUUGUUCUCUGAAACUUAAGAAAUACCAAAAUUGAAUAACAUAGACUCCGUGAAAGGGCGAGGGAGCUUGCAGAGUAAAAUGUCUCUCUACAAAGGAAAGUCUCUUCAUUUAAUGAGAAGGAAGUAGAUAAUAGAAUCAAGAUGUCAUUUUUGGAGAAACACCUUAAAGAUUUGUCUAAGAGAAUAGAGUAAGUUUCAGAGGAGAAUCAAAAUCUAAGGCAGUAGCUCACUCAGUUACAAGCAAAAAAUCGAGUAGCUCAAGAAAAUAGAGAUUAUGUCCAGGAAAACUACCAGGAAAAGGUUAAAGAGCUUAAAUCAGAGACUUUGCUAACAACUGUGCUACGGGAGAAGCUCUAUUCCGAGAAGAUGGACAUAAAACAAUUUCAGGCUGAUCUAGCCGCAACAGUUAGAGGUAACGACAUUCUCAAAUGUGAAGUGAAAAAUGUGCUGGAUUCUCUUUCUUAUGACACACCCAAUUUGAAAUAUCUCGAGCUUCAGGUAAGCAAGAAAUGUUAAUAUCUUAUUGCAACGAAAUAGUUUUUAUUUUUCAACUUUGGAUACCUCAUCUUCAUAUAUGAUAGCCUGAUCGCAUAUUACUCUCUAUGCAUUAGCUUUCUACUUCUGUUUGAUUUUAGGUUCAUCUUUGUUCCAUCUGAAGUUCACGAUUCAUCGUUGUUCCAUCUGAAGUUCAUGGUUUUCUUUAUGAACUUGUAUACAUGAGUUUCUGGCAUGUGGUAGUCUUUUGUGAAAUGUCUGAUUGCCUUGAUAUGUAAUCACUUGAACCAACCAAGAACUUGAUAAACUUUGUGAUAUCCUUAAACCCAUUGAUCUGAUUGUGCUCUGAUGUGGUAAAGUUAUCUGAAGGGGUUUCGGUAAGUUUGCUCGUUCAUCUAACUUAAUUCUUGGACAAGCUCACGAGUUAUCUACUAUGAAUUUUAAUAGUUAAAAAUGAUUCAUGAUUUGGUUGAACUUCUAGGCUAUGAGUUUAUUUUGAAUUUCUGAUGAAAUGUUAUUGGUGAUCUUUGUAUCUUUCUUGUUUUUCAUGGUUUACCGUUGAUUCUGGUAGGUGCUAAAAAAGACAAAAAUAUCAACCAACUCACUAAUGAUUUACAAGAAUGCAUGAACGAACUUGGCAUUGUGAAGGCAAUACUACCAAAAGUGUUUCAGGAUAGGGAUUUCAUGUGGGAGAAAGUUAAGAGCUGCAGUAAGAUAAACAUUCUGUUGAAUUAUGAGAUCAACAUGUUGGAAAGAAAGGUAGAUACCCUCGACGAAGACUUUCUUAUGAAAGAGGGUCAAAUCAUAAUCUUACUGGUUUUACUCUUAUUCUUUCCCCCCUUGAUACUUGUUAAAUAGAAAGUUUGCUUCUUUCUUUUGCAAUCUUUUUGAAUCUCUAAUUGAAAGAUUUCCUUUACUUGCUAGUGAUCAAGACAAUGAACUUCUUUUGCUUCAUUUGGUUUUGUAAGUAUUGUCUGUUUUUUGUCUUAUGAAGUAUUUAGUGAGGAUUGGUGCUACCAUUUAAGGUAGAGGUAUGGUUUGUAUAUAUUCUUCCCGAAUAUACAUCGGGUAUGUUGUUGCUGUUGUAUGGAGAUUAUGUGUAUAAUAACAAUUGUAUAUUUGAUGUCGGAUCAUCCACUCUUUCAUUCCUUGAAGGGGAAAGCUCAUUAAGCUUACUGAUUUAACUUCUCAUUAAUGUAUUCUUUCACUAAGGUUGUAACUGUGUAGCUACAAAAAGCACUUGUCUAACUAGGUAGUUCAUGUUCAGUUUGUGCAAAUAUUAAGUAACGUCCAAAUUUUUAACCAUAUAACUUUACCUCAAAAUGGUGCAUGGACCAGAGCUGCUCUUAAAUCUAGUCGGUUGGCAGACUCUUCCAUUUGAUCUGCAAUCAAAUGCCUGCUUUGUCUCAGUACAUUUGAUUCUGUUAUGCUCAUUCAUAUAUGGUUUAUUCCAAGUAUGUGAGACACAUACGGAAGCCUCUAGUUUCAUACUCUUUAUAUUGUUUUAAACUUUAUUUGACUUGCUAUGAGAGAGUUCCACCCUGUCUUCUGAUCAUUCUUCAGAUACCCUCUUUCAUUUGCCUCCACCAUGUUUUAAAUUUUCCUUUCAGUACCUGAUGCUUCACUUGCCACAUUAAAUAUUGUUUGCACAUUUUUAAACUAUGCAUUGCGUUUAAUUUCAAAAAACGAAAAAAACUAUGCACUACAUUGUAGAACAUUUUGAUAAUUUUUUGGUAUGUCAGUAUGUUCUUUAUGUUUAUGCUUACAUCAAGCAGACACAAUUAUUAUGAAGGUGGAAUUGGUUUCUGUACCAUUUUUCUUUUAUGUGUAACUUCUGAAGUUAUUUGGGAUCCAUUAUUUCUAUGUCAAUGAAAGUCUUUGAUGUCUUUCCUGAUAAUGUUUAUGCUUACAUCAAGCAGACAUAGUUAUCUGCAAUAAGAAUGACGAGCACUGUGUUCAAUUUGGAGUCUGUCCCUAAGCUCUUCUAGACUUAGUCUUAUCUUCAUUGCCUUCUAUUUGCUUGUUAUCUUUGUUCUUGCUAGAACCUGCAUUUCAGAAGCUUAUGUUGUUGUCUCAAGUUAAUGUUUAAGUUUUCUUUCCUUACUAUAGUGCAUCAAAAUUCAACUUCUGGUGCUGCUGAAAAUGUUGGAACUGCUGCAAAACCUAAUGGCAUAAUACAUGAACCUGUACGUGCUGAUAGACCUAAUGCAUUCAGUAACAACAGCUCAUCCGUUCUCUCUUGUAUACAAACAAAAGUUGAUAUUCCUUCUCAAACAGCAGGUCCAUCCACGUUUGAGCUCCCAGACCAUGUUCUUGUUGGGCCUGGGCGUGAAGGUGGUGUUAGAGUGGGUGAAAGUCCCACAUUAUUGGGGAGUGAACUGUCGGUCUUCUUAUAUGGACUUGAGCAAUCCUCCCCUUAUAUGCUAGCUUUUGGGGUUGAGUUAGGCCCAAGAUCCUUUCUUUACACAAUCAACCAUCUUUUCUUACAUUAGAAAUAGACAGAGCAGCUGUAGAGAAUGUUUUCAACCUGAAGGGGAUCAGGUGGGUAGAACCUGGGAGCAUUUAAAAAGUACGAAGCAGCUGGAAUGGGGAUGUAAAUGUAAUAAAGAAGGAGAGAUGGAAAAUUGUUCAACAUGUAUAUGGUGGACAGUUUGGAUAAAAAAAAAACAAGGGUUGUUUUGAGGAUGUCCAAAAUAUCAACAUGAAUAGUUUAAAACUUCUUUAUUUUUGGUGUUAACACGAUGAUUAGUUCUACCAGAAGACAUCAUUGAUGUGCUAGACUAUUUCUAGGCAAUAGAAAGACAGAGUAAGAUGUAAUACUUUUUGAAGGGGGACAUCAUUCUUGUUGGCUAGGGAUUUGAACAAAGAUGGGAAGAGCUCUAUAUAAAGGACAGGGAUGACUAAUAUGACGACUCUUUUUUUGGAUGGAACAUAAUUUUUGUUAUAAUAUAUGGAAGAUAUGAAGAUAGGCCAAAAUGUUCUCAACUAACAGACUUUUAAAAUUAAGAGCCAAAGAACGCUAAACAAUGGGUGUAACUCAAAUCUAUUUGAAUAAAAGGAAUACCAACUGUGAGAGAACAAAACACACUCUCCAGUAGUCCAGUAAAAACAAUAGAUCUUAAGAUCCCACUGCUAAGCAAAUUAAUUUAAAUGCUGCUUUAGAUUAGAAAGUCACCUUGUUAUAUUAUGUGUUCAGUGGGUUCUCAUUUAUACUGCUCAUUAUAUUUUCUACACUAUCUUUUCAACAUUUCCUCUGAAGUCUAUAAUUUAGUCUUCCUCACUUUGAACUUGGGCUCCGCAGGGCUCUGCAUGUUGGACUUCUAUAUGUUGGUUCACUUGUAGUACUACUAGUGUAUUCUAUCCUGUAUGGUCUGACAACAAAGGAAUCAAACUGGCUUGGGGAUACAAUAUCAGCUGCCGUGAUAAUCCUUGGUAGUUCAUUUCCAACAUAUAUCUGUCUCUUUUUCUGACUCGUAUUAUGAUAUAAUUUCUUAUUUCUUUGUGGUAAGUAAUGAAUUCACUAGCUUUUCAUUCAAUCAGAUUGGAACUUGGGAGCUUUCUUGUAUGGUUUUAAGCUUUUGAAAAGUCGAGUUGUCAUACUUUUUGUUGCCGGUACAUCUCGGGUGUUCCUGAUCUAUUUUAGAGUUCAUUACUGGUUUGUUGUUAACCCAUGCUAAUUCAUUUUCUUCCAUAAUCAAGUCUUCUUAUACUUGUGGAAUAUGCAUCCUUUUUAAUAUUAUUUGUUGAAUAGAAACUUCUAAUCUUUUGUUAUAAAAAAAAUCUUCUAAUCUUUUACUGCAAUAAUUUUGUUUCAGGUACUUUGGACAUUGUAUCAGUUAUGCAGUUAUAGCAUCUAUGCUGUUGGGUGCUGCUGUUUUACGACAUUUAUCAGUUACAGACCCAUUAGCAACUAGAUGAGAUGCCUUGUAGAGCACAGUUAUCCGCCUUAGAGAUGGUUUCCACAGAAAAGACCAAAGUAGCUCCGCAAGCUCUUCUGAGGGGUGUGGCUUAAGUGUCAAACGCAGUAGUAGUGCUGAUGCUGGUCAUCUUGGUAAUGCAACUAUUCCUUGCACUGGUGAUGGCAGUACCUGUAAUAACAUUAAGGGUAUUAAUAAUGAUAAAAGCAUAGACAGUGGAAGACCAAGUCUAGCUCUACGUAGUAGUUCCUAUUGUUCAGUUGUUCAAGAGCCUGAAGUAGGAUCAUCAUAUGUUGACAGAAAUUUAGAGCAUAAUAGUUCAUUGGUUAUUUGUUCUAGCAGUGGCCUUGAAAGCCAAGGCGGUGAUUCUAGUACAUCCACUUCUGCAAACCAACAGAUACUGGACUUGAAUUUGGCACUUGCAUUUCAAGAAAAGUUGAGUGAUCCCAGGAUUACAUCUAUGUUAAAGCGGAAAGGAAGACACACUGAUCGUAAAUUAGCUAAUUUAUUGCAAGAUAAAGGUCUUGAUUCUAAUUUUGCAGUGAUGCUGAAGGAGAAUGGAUUGGACCUAAUGAUUCUAGCCUUGUUGCAGAGAAGUAGUUUGGAUGCUGAAAAAGAACAUCACGACAGUAACCUUCCUGUCACUGAUUCAAAUGAUGUUAAGGAUGUGUUACAUAAUCAAAUUUCAUUCUCGGAAGAACUCAGACUCCAAGGAUUAGGAAAGUGGCUUCAACGUUGUAGAGUAAUGUUGAAUCAUGUAGCAGGAACUCCAGAGCGAGCAUGGCUUUGUUUCAGUUUAAUCUUCAUUCUUGAAACCGUCAUUCUAGCUAUCUUCUGACCAAAGACAAUAAAACUUUUGAAUGCUACACACCAACAGGUAAGAAAUGCAUUAGUACUUUUAAAGUUCAGUUUAGUGUAUUUGGAGUACGGUGCAUCUAAAAUGUACUCCAUAAGGUUGUAUUUUCCAUUUUCUAACAAAAUUUUGUAACACCCCGCAUUUCGGAUGAGAACGAAAAUUGUCAUUUUCUUCACGUAAAGGUUCCAAAAGCUAUAAAUCCAAUGCAAGUUUAGUGUGUUAAUAAAUUAUGUAGUGUGGAAACUUAUUUGAGCAUGAAUUGAGAUCAUAGAGGUCCCCAAGCUCAAGAACAAGUUGAAAGUUCUCCUAUCGUUCAAAUUUUAGUAAGCGUUGAAACUUAGGUCAACUUCAAUCAACCAUUACUCUUUGUAUAUAUUGAAUUACAGUUCCUACUAUAUAUCAAAUGAAAGGUAUUCGACUUAUCUUUCCAACGAUACCAAUUUCGCAAAAUUCCGAUACCCAAUGAAGAAGUUAUGGCUUUGCAAAGUGGAGUGUGUCGUGAAACAUAAGGUGUGGGACGCACACCAUAACUUAUCCCAUAAGGUGUGCAACGCACACCCUAACUUAUGCCAUAAGGUGUACGACGCACAACCUAAUGUGUGCGAUAAAGAGUGCGCUGCACAACCUGUAUUAUGCGAUAAGGUUUGCGCCGCAUAUAUUAUUACUCAAGUUACCUAAAUACUCCAUUUUAGGGGCAAAAUGUUCCUUUUCCCACCCUUAUUUAGCCAUAAACAUGAAAUUCAGUUCCCAAAAUACCCUAAAAUACACCUUCAUUCAUCAAAAUUGCUCAAGAACUCUCCUUAGGGUUUCAAAAUAAAAACCCAAGCAACUCAAGAUUCAACCUAGGUUUUUGAAACUAAUUGUAUAUUUGGAAUCCCCAGAACGUAGGCUUAAAAAUUCAUGUUUUAAAAAUGGGGGUUUUGAAAUUAUGAAUAUAAUCCCGUUUUAAACAUUUUAUGAUAUUGAUUUGGUCUUUAGGCCUAUUCCUGAAGUGGUUUGAUAUAUGAUAUAUGUAUAUGCAUGUAUUCCGAAAAGAUGUUAACUGGAGAGCAAGAAUUAUAUGAGAUCCUCUUUUUAUAUGAUCUCAUUUUAAAUUCUCAUAUGAUGUGAAAUGUUUGAAAUCAUAUUGACAAGCGUGACAUAAAAUAUUUUUAAAAUGGUCAUGGUUUUGACUUCCAAUGACAGGGUUGUUAUGUUGAAAUGUGAUGAAUAUAAUGGUUGCAUAAAAGAAUGAUGUGAUAUUGAUGGCAUGCAAGUCGGGUAUGACUAUACCCUACAGAAUAAGAUAUGUGAUUGAAUUAAAUGGAGUUUGAUGCAAUAAUUUUACAUGAGAUAGGUGGAUGCUUGAAGAAGGAGUUUUAGUGUAAGGGAUCAUCGCUGGAAACCAUGUUUGUCGACAUGAGAAUUUGGUACCCUACUUUGUGAUCUUACGUACCUGACUUUAUGUCAUUCCCAAGUUAGGAUUAUGGUUAGGAGCCCUGCUUUGUGAUCUUGUGCACUACCAUUGGGUCGAGACACCCUGUUGUGUGAUCUUGUGUGUCUUUCCCUCACUUAUACUCUAAUCUCGGCGGCAACUGAGAUUUUACAGUUGGUGUAAAUAUUAUAUGUAGGGUAUUCCACCUAGCUCAGCUGCAUUACAUUGUUGUUGAAAACUAUUACAUGAUGACCAUGUGUUUUCAAAUGAUUUGAUAUGGAAUUGCUUUAUAAUGGCUCUCACCUAUAUUUGGAAAAAAAUAUUAUAUUUUGUUUUUGGUUUCUCUGCGUACUAGUACUUUUGUAUUGACCCCCUUCCCUCCUAGGCUUGGAGGCAUAGUUUAGGGGUCCAAAUAACCAGUAGAUCUCUUCCGACAGAUUUGCAGAAUCAAGUGGUGAGACUUCUAUAUUUUGGAAGGCCUGAUGUCUGUCAGUUCAUUUAUCAUUUAGUAGUUUUGGGUCUAUUGGGGGCCUUGUCCCAGUUUUCAAACAGUAAUUUGUUUCAGUCAUGUAUUAGAGAUUUCGCAGAUGGUUGUUUAGAUGUCGAUAUAUGUUGUGGGACAUUAUUUCCCCUGUGUUGAUUCAUUUGAUUUAUGACCAUGUUUUCCGUAAUAUUUUGUAUCUUUCGCAUAUCUUAUUAUCAGAUGAAUUAUGUGCAUGAUUACCAGAUAGAUAGGGGUGUUUUGGGCCUUCAUGGUUCGGAAUGCUCGUCACGAGCAGGGCCUCGGUUCGGGUCGUGACAAACUUGGUAUGAAAACACGGUUUAUGGUCCUAGGGUGUCUGUGAAAUUGCGUUGGGUAGAGUCUUAUUUAUAGGUGUGUAGCGCGCCACACUUAUAAGCAGGAGGCUACUAGGCAUUUAGGAAUGUCUCUCUUUCUUUAUGUUCUAGUUCGUGCAAUAGAGUCAUAAUGUUCCUCUUUCAUACUCUAAUUCAUGCUGUGGUGUUGUGUAUACAAAAGUAAAAAAAAAGUCAUCCCAAAUUCUUUCCUUACUCUAAUAUCCUCAGAUAUGUCUCAUUAUUGAGGUGAUUCAAGUGCAGAAGUUUAGAAUCUAAAUGGUAUGGUCCUUUCUGAUUGAACCAUAUAAGAGUUAAAAUUUAUGUAAGGACUUGAGAAGAGUCUGUUAGUGCUUCAAUGUGUAUUGAUUCUGAUGUAAACAUUGAUCCUGAUGGAAUCAUGCUAUUCAGCUUGAGGUAUUAAUUGCAUUUAGUCCCCUUUAAAUUUAUGUUACAAAUGUCUUACUUAAGGGGGGGUUGAUGUGUAGUAGAAUGUUGGAACUGUAUUUUCACCCGAAUAGUAGUAUGCGUUAAAGUGUUGUUGUCAUGACCUAUUGGUAGUGAAAUUAGACCAAGAAGUUGGUGAUGUGAAGUCACAAAGUUAGAAGUCAGAGCAAAGGUGACUUUUGUGUAAAUGAAUAUUUUAGUUGAAUAACCGAUGUUCGAGAAUGAUUUACCCCCUUAUGGUGAUAUACUAAUGUAGUAAAUAGUAGGAUGUGUGGAUGGUAUGGUAGUCCAUGGAGGAAGUGUUUGACUCCGAUUUUAUUUAUACAGAGUAAGAUGUGUAUUCUUAGUUCAUUGGAUAUUGCGUAUUAAAUUUCUAUCUCAUGUAAUCUUUUCAUCAAGGUGUUGUUGAAAAAAUAAAGUCUAGUGAAGUCCUGUGGGGCUCUUUCGAUUUACUAGCACAGUUGACUUGUCAUUCAUCUCAUUUUCUUGUUCAAAAUAGAAAAUCAAAGUCCAGUGAAGCCGUGUGAGGCCUAUUUCGAUUCACUAGCAACUUGUUGUCCAACUUGUUGUUCUUGUGUUGGUUUAAUAUAUAUAUAUUAAUCUAUUUGCAUGAGAUUGAGUUGGUAAAGAGGUAAUUUGUCCUUGUGUGUUAGUUUAGUAGAAGGUAUAGAUAUAGCUGAAUAUGUUUGCAUGGGAUUGAGUUGGUAAAGAGGUGAUUUGUCCUUGUGUGUUAGUUUAGUAGAAGGUAGAGAAGGAUUUGUUAGUUAGGGUGAUUUCUCAAUUACUUGAAGUGUGAAAAUGGCAAUAUUAUCCAGUAAGUUGUAAGUAUAGACUCAUGGUUGUUUGUGGAAUUUGAAGGUAGUCUAAAUGUACGUUUGGUUAAGUAAGUAUAAGGUGAGAAAUCCAUAUAAGUAGAAAAGAUUGUAUGGGGUUAUAAUAUAAGAUUAAGGUUGAUCAUGUCUAUUNNNNNNNNNNNNNNNNNNNNNNNNNNNNNNNNNNNNNNNNNNNNNNNNNNNNNNNNNNNNNNNNNNNNNNNNNNNNNNNNNNNNNNNNNNNNNNNNNNNNNNNNNNNNNNNNNNNNNNNNNNNNNAUAUUAUGUUGCAUUUUUCAGCAAUGAUAGAUGAUUGGUACAGGACUAUAUGCUUGAGUUUAAUGUAGAAUGUGGUGGUAAAAAUAGUGGCAUGAGAUUAAUGAUGUAUGUUUUGUGGGAAAAAUUAGUACGCUUGAUGUGUUAAAAUAAUAUGUGCUAAUGAGUUAUGAUAAGGAAGACCGUAAGGUCAAGAUCAAUUAUUUGUUGUUUGGAAGUUCUAGUGUACUAGUGUUUCUUGAUGUCUAUUUCAUGGUAUCCAAGUGACAAUCAUGCGUAAGGUUGGGUUGUAAAAUCAUGUUUAGCAAUAGACAUUAAGUUUUGAACAAUUGAUGUCCAUGAAGGUGGAUGUGAUGAUUUCUUGGUUAAUGAUACUAGUUUUAUGGAAGUAAUGUAAUAGGCUUGAAUGAUAUAUGCAAGAGCUUAAGUUUAUUUGACUCGUAGUGAAGUAUGAUGUUGCAUAUAUAAUGUAGAAGUAUGCCUAAGGUGAUCUGAGGUUGCCGUAUUUUCUAAGACUAUUACACGUUUUGUGUGACGAGUGUUAACGUUGAGUUGCUAGGUGGAGAAAGACUAGUUAGAUGGUAUAUGGUGUUCUAAAUAGCCAAGUUAAGGAGUUUUGAUUGAUAGUGUUGAGCCUUUUUAUAUGAUCUUGAUUCUCAUAGUAGAGAGAUGUAAGUUUGGAGUCGCGAUAUUGGUAGGCUAUGUCGGAAGUAGUAUGAUUCAUUGAAGGCUUGGUGAUAUCCAUGUUGAGUGCUAGAUUCUAAGUUUGAGUUUUUAAAGGUUGAAUUAAUAGAAAUAACAGUUAAAGCACUAGAGGGUAUACACUCCGACUAUGGGGAUACCCAUGAAGACCCGAAGUUAGUAAGUAUGAAAGUAUUAUAUGAUGACUACUGGGUCUAUAGAAUGAUAAAUUGUAUCUCAGAAGGUAGUAUUAACAGUGGGUUUUCCACUUUCAGGUGUAGUCAUUUGGUUUAAGUGCCAUGAUAUACGUGUAUAGUAGUUUUCCAGACCCCAGAGUGUAGUGAGUGUACUUCAGUUUAGAGUCUAGUAAGGGAUCUCCCAAACUUAAUAUGAUUUUCAGAUUCUAGUAGUGAUGUCAAUAUGACAUAGAACAUCAGAAGGGAAGAGUGAGGCUCAACCCAUUCCGGACUCAGUAUUUUUUUAGUUAUCAUAAUACCUACUCAUACCUCACGUUUCAGUUCCAUGAUCAUAGAUUUGCAUUAACAGAUGUGCUUCUUUACACCCGAAGAAAAGACACUUAGGCCAUCAGUAGUUGUUGAACCCAAGCCAUAAGGUAAAGAUGCUUAUCAUUUUGUCCAUUCUUGUCUAACGUUGUGAUAGUUCAUCUAUUUCCUAUCUCUUUUUAUUCUCGUUUCAAGCUUUCUAUUUAUUAGAUGAAGAAAAGGGUUUCAUGUUACUAUGUGGUUUGGCUUCAAAAUUCUUGCCUUGUCCUUCAAAUUAAUUUAGGGAGUAGCUCAUGGAUACAAGCUUUCAACAUUGAUUGGAAAAUUAACUAAAUACGAUUGAAAAGUAGCUAUAUUCUGAUUUCAUCUAUUCUUCAUUGCAUGGAUAUUGGUUGAGAAGCCUCCUAUACCUCCUCUGCCUGGUCCUACUCCUGGUGAUAUUCCAUCCAUGUCAAUGCAGGUAAAGUUGUGGAGGCUUGGGGGAGGGAUAAAUGAAUUUUGAAUGUAGAGACAUUAUGAUAACUAUUUUCCCCACAUCUUUAGCAGUUCCAGCCUAUGUUUCCAGCCCAGCAGGCACAACCUUAUGGUUCCAGGUCGUCUCAACAAUUUCUGCCACUUGGACAUGCAAAUGUUGCGAUGUCAAAUAACCACAUGCCUGGUUCUGGUGGCCCAAAUUUACCUCUUUUUUCUUCAUAUAAUAUAAGGCCUUGGGGAGAUCUUUUGUGGUUAUUAUCAAUCAGUUUCCAAUGUUCCAUUCAUAUAUUGAUGAAAUACAUUUUGUUAUCGUCUUUAACAGCAGGUAAAUGCAGAUUCUUUUGGCGGGUAUCAGGCACAGAUAAAUGAUCAUAGGUUUCCAUCAAGGGUACAACCCUGGAUGCCAAUAAGUAAUCAUAAUGUGAAUUCAUCGACCACUAUGCAGAAGACUGGAGAAUUAGCAGCUCCCUUGGUUGUUCUGGUGAGAAUUCAAUGUGUUUAUUGUACCCGUUUUGCAUAAAUAUUGUCAACAAGUGUGUUGACUGAGAGAGUCAACAUUUGAAUUCUAUGAUAGUUUUUUGUAAGCAAAUUAAGAUUCCAGUGAACAAAAAAGGUGUAAAACCGCGGUAUACAAGAAAAGGAGCUCUGCAAAAAUAUCAUUUUCAUUCAGAUCCAAUAUUUUUACCACUUUGUGUUCUCCAGACAGAAAAAGAGCAUGCUGAUUUGGCUUUCUGGAAUUCUUUCUUUUAGAUUAUAUUCACAUAGGUUACUCAUAUGAAUAGGUUAAUGUCUGCAUCACAAACACUUAAUGUCUUGUCUAUGAACAAGUGGUGGAUAUGUUGGCCCCCAUCACUAUUAAGAAAUCCCUCAAGUAUCCACAUCUAGUGCUUUGUACAUUAUUCUGCUUCCAUUAGCACUAAAGAUAAUAGGCCCCUUUGUUUCAGUCCUCUUUGUCAAAGUUAUCAUAUGGGCUGCUGGUCACCGUUACCAAAUUCUACCUGACUGUUGAUUAGCAGAACUUGAUACACCUCUACCGAAAACUUCAUUUUGACCCCAUUUCUCUAUUACCAUACAUAUUUUACAUGUGGCUAAAUGCUAGUAGGUAUUGUUGUUUUCAGCAUCUUUUGAUGAUCAGUAGGCCAAUUAUGGUUGCUAAUGUUGUCAUAUUUCCUAUGGCUUUAUUACUCCAACCAAUUAAUAACAUUCUUACAAUUCUUGAAUUGAUUUUUAGAUACUAUUAUAAUAGAACGACAAGAAUCUCUAUCUGGGAGAAACCUCGAGAGCUAAUGACAGAAAUGGAGGUGAGGUCUCUUGUCAUUGAGAUUUUUAUGGGUAGUUUUAUCCAGUUUCCUGUGCUUAGUAAUGAAAAAAGAAGUACACAAUUCUUUUUCUAUGAAGCUUCGUAGAACCACUUUUUCUUUCCUAAGUAUAUGUGAUUUCUGUUGAAAGUUUGUUUAGCGAGCAGAUUUCCUUGAUCUUACUAUACUAUGUAGGCUUCAUUUGGGAUUUGCAUUGACCUUUUAUUUCUAAUAUAGUUCUAAAAGAUUUUAUAUUUAACACUAUUGUUCUAAAAAAUGUGUUUAAGCAUACACGACAGAAUUAUACUUGGUCUAUUUUAAACAAUUUUAUUUACUUUCUGAUUAAUGUAAUGUUAUUGUAACUCUAUGGCGAUAUGGAGAGAGGAAACUUGAUAUAAUAUUGCGGUUCACACUUCUCAUUCUGGUUUACAGAAUAAUAGUUUGGCUGGUUGCACACUUGCACCCAAGAAUGUGGCCUAGUGGUCAAUGGAGUAGAUUGAGAACCAUGAGGUCUCAGGUUUAAUUUCUAACAGAUAUAAAAACACUAGGUAAUUUCUUACCGUCUGUCCAAGCCUUGAUGGACAGAUUUACCCAGUAUCUGUGCUGGUGAGAGGUAGCAGUACCUGUUAUAACUAGUCAAGGUGCAAGCUGGCCCAAACACGACGGUUAUCAAAGAAAGUUUGGCUGGUUGUGAGGGGCAAGUAUUAAGGGACCAACAACUGGAGCUGUAAGGAAGUUUGAACAUUUUUAUUCUCUUGUUUUUUAGAUAAACAGUUUUUUUUCCGGAGAUAUUACUUUGUAUUCGUAAGUGUUAAGGUUAUGCUAGCAGUCCAAAAGAAAUGAAAAAUAAUGAAAAUAAUGCAAGGAUUAGAAGAGAUCUACUACCUUUUAUACAUCCUACACAUUGGCCCUUAAACAAAAAGCAAAAAUCUACAAUGCUAUUCCAUUUAAAUUUCUGAAUGGAAUUAUAUUUAUCUUCAAAAUACCUUCAACUUGUCUCGCUCCAUACAGUUCACCAAAUACAAGGAAGGAUUGUUCUCCCCCAUUUCUUCUAACUCUUGCUAAUCCCCUCUAAUCCAACAGCUCAACAGAUUGUUGUGUGUCCUUUGAUAGUCCACUUUACUUCAACUCAAUAGAUCUGGUAUGUGUUUUGCCAUGGUUCACUUUACUUCUAUUAAACUAAAGGUGUCAAAUGGGCAGGGUUGGCUGGAUUUGGGCGGAUCAAAGAGGUCUGAGUUAACAAAUGGGCGGGUUAUUAACCCACCCUAAAGCUACUUGGGCUGAAAUGGGUUGGGUUAAAAUGCUCUAAAAUGUGGGUCAUAACCCAACCCACCCAAUUUGAACUCAGAUUUAAUUGCUUUAUUUGUUAUUUUAUAAACUUUAGUACUUGAAAAAUUAUUAUCUUUUUUUUUAACUUGGUAACUUUGUAUUAUAUUACACAGUACAUAGGUUGUACUGAAACCUUUAUAUACAAGAGUACUCCUAAAUCGACUGUUCUAUAUCUAAAUUUAGUCUAGAACAUCAAUUAUCGAGGCAGUAUCAUUAGAGUAUAGUUGAUUACACCAAAAACAUAAAAGCAAAAUGCAACUGAGUUUAACCUUCUGCACACUAUUCUCUAUGCUCUCAAAACAUCUAGAAUUCCUUUCUUUCCAUAUAGCCCACCAUAUAGCACCAGGGAUAAUUCUCCAUCUACCUCUGUCCUUCGCAUGUACACCUGCUUCUCCCAGCACAUUAAAGUCUCGGAUACUUUCCUAGGCAUUGUCCUGGAAAUGCCUUUUAGUCUUAAGACGAUUCUCCAAAGUUGUUGGGUGUACUUACAAUGUUGAAAUACAUGGUUAACCGUCUCUAAAGUUUCUCCACAGAGGAAACAUCUGGAGCAUAAGGUUUUCCCUUUCUUCAUGACAUUAUCUUGUGAAAGAACUACUUCUUUGGUCAGUAACCAGACAAAGACAAAGCACGACACUGUGUGAGGUAUCCUAGUUUUCCAUAUUUUCUUCCAUGGCCAUCUUGGAUCCGGGUGAUUUAUUUAGUUCAUCAUCUUGUAGGCUUUAUUGACACUGAACAUUCCUUUUUCAUUUCCCAUACACCAUAGUACGUCAUUCACUGUCUGCAGUCCAUUAAAUAAGUCCACGGUAUUAAAAAAUUCAACUACUCUCAUUACCUCCUGGUCAUUAAGUUGCCUUCUGAAAUUGAAGUUUCACCCAUGUGGUGUCCAUAAUUCUUCUAUAGUCCUCUAUUGAAACAAUACCAAGUUGCAGAUAUCUGGAAAAAUCACUUCCAUAUCCCCAUCCUCAUGUUAAUUAUCCUUCCAGAACCUAGUCUUGUUUCCAUCCAUCAAUUUAACCUUUGAGUUGCUUUUAACUUCAUUCCACUAGUGUCUAAUAGAUCUAAUAGAUCUCUAGAUACUAACCCCGUAUGGUGUGGUCACUUCUUUAGUCAUCCAUCUAUCUUCUUCAGGAUAUUUAGCCCCAAUCACUUUUCUCCAUAGCAGCUGGUUAUUGUUUGUAUAUUUCCACAACCAUUUCAUCACGAUAGCCUUACUUUGAAUUUUUAGGUUCUUUAUCCCCAACCCUCUAGUCUUCUUGUCAAUUGUCCACCACAGAGAGCACUACUACUUUUUCUCACAUAUCUUUGUUCCUUAUUCUAUCUCUCCUAGUAUGCCCACAAACCAAUCUCAACAUCAUUAUUUCCUCAUUCUAGUCUUGGUAUGCGAUUAAUGUAUGAGAAUCCCACACUAGUAACGUGUGUGUUCUGUAGUUUUCUUAUAUGAUCUUGGACAAUCUUCACCACCUGACCUAGUUUUUGAAGUUGAUUUAGGAGCUGGUCCACUUGAUUAACAACAGUCAUUCCAUUCCUUUCCUUUGCAGGAUGUCUUUUAGUUUGUUCCCUUUUUUUAUUUUGCUUGAAGAGUAGAAAGAAGGAAUGUUAUAGAUAUUCAACUUAAAAUCUUGUGUUCUUUGAAUACAUUUUUAAUGGCUUCUCAAGGGUACAACAUUUAAAUUUGUUCACCAUUGAAUUCCAAUUUAAACAGACUUCCAUGUAUUGUAUGUAAUUUUUCUUGAAACUUGAAACUAUGAUAUACUUCUUCCUCUCCCCCCUCCGUCGUAAAAUAGAAAAAGUUUUUCAAUACUUUCAUGCAAGUGUAGUUAAAGUCUCUUUGUAAAUAUUGUCUUCUUUAUAGAGAAAUUUUAUUGUUUUUACUUUGUACUGGAUUUUAUUAGGAGCAUGUGAAGGCAUUGGAGGAGCAGAAGCGCAAUAGAGUGGAGUACUUAGAAUUUUUAAAAUCCUAUGACUUUAUUAAGGUAUUUGUUCUAGUGGAAUUAGCAUCAGUUGCUAGAUUAUGUUUUUCUAUUUCCAGGAGAUAGAACUUCCAUAGUUCCAUUGUUGCUGACUUCUUUUGUUCAGGCCAGUAGCCACUGGCGGAAAGUUCAGGACCGCUUGAAAACUAAUAAAAGAUGCUCCCGCCUUGAGAAAAUCGAUCACUUGGAGAUUUUCCAGGUACUACUCAUUUUUCUAAUACAUCAUAAAUAACUUUUUCAAACAUCUCAUUUGUACACCUCAGUUUUAAAGUUAUGUUGCAACCAUUUCUGUUUUAGGAAUAUAUACGUGAUUUAGAGAGCGAAGAGGAGGAGCAAAGGAAACUAUGGAUGGUAUAUUGCUUAUUAGACUCGGGGGUUAAAAUUAAAUUUAUGUUUGGAGACUUUGAUUUAUCUCUUUCUCACUGGGCAUACACUGUUGAUUUAAAUAGGAAGAAUUGAGGAAAGCUGAACGUUAAAAUAGUGAUGAGUUCCGAAAACUGAUGGAAAAGCAAGUUGAUGCGGGAAUACUUAAUGCAAAAACUAACUGGCGUGAUUAUUGCAUCAAAUUUAGUUUUUCUUUCUUAUGUUCAGUGAGUGAUUACCUUCAUGAGUUCCCUUUUCAUCUUUUUGAAUUUUUCAUCCAAUAAUUUCCUUCUUUAUUUUGUGCUUGUAGAUUAAAGAUUUUGUUGCAUAUCAAGCUGUCUCAUCAAAUAUUUUAGGAUCAACAGCAAAAUAAUUAUUUACAGAUGUUAUGGAUGAGCUGGAGAAACAGGUGAAAUAGGUUGCUAAUAGGAGUAUUGAAUUGUGUCAACUACAUUUGUUACACUAAGCCAUAUUUAUAGACUUUACACUACAAUCCCUUUUCAUUUGCUUUCACUUAAUGAAGGUCUGAAUCUGAAUGGUUAAGAUAUCAACCCAUUAAGUGCUUUUUAAAAAAAAAAUAUUCAACCUGUUAAUACAUCUUAAUGAAUCAGAUGUUAAACAAAGUCUGAAAAUCAUUUAGAUCCUCACUAAAAAGUUCAAUUCAUUAGGUAAAAAAAGGAAGUUAGUGCAUUACUAUGUGGAAAUAUACUGGGUUUGUUGUUGUUGUUGUUGUUGUUGUUGUUGUGCAUUAAAGAAUAGAACAUACUUGGUAGGAUAAAAGGAUGAGAUUGAGAUUUGAGAGUUACCCCACUGCUUGCUUUUUUUUUUUUUAAAUAACACAUAUUUUGGUGAGAUAAGAACAAUGACCGGUUGUUCCUAUUAAACAUCUCUGUUGUUUCUCUUUAUGCCAAUUAGUUUCCUCUUUUUUUUACUAGAUAGUAGGUAUUUAGGCUGAUAGGAAUGGUAUUGUCAUAAACUUUUAAGUUAGAGGUUCCAUGAUUUUAAUGUAGUAUAGAUAUAGAUGAUUCUUUCAAUCUAGCCAAGCUGUAUUAAAUGCUACUUCACGGACAAUUGUAAUUGACUUCUCCUCCAUUGAAUGCUGUUAAUGGUUAUAUUACGUUAAUUGUUAUAGUUUCUCGAGCAGAACAACUCUGAGAAGUGAUCAUCAAACUUCUAUGUUUUCACAUAGUUUCUUUGACUUUCGAGGACUCCUUUAAAGUAUCAUACAAUCUCACCAUUGUGUUUCAGCUAAGACUGCAUUUGUCUUUAUUAAUAUUCAGACAUUUGAAUCAUUUUGAAUGCACAUCUGAAUGGUUAAGAUAUUAUCUCUAGAUCUGAAAACCAAAUGAUUAAGGUUGGGUGUUUCUCAAUAUUUGAAUGUGCAAAAUUUAUUUAUUUCUAAAUAUAAUAUAAUUAUAUAUUAGAAAUUUUUUUAAUUUAAUGCAAUUAAAUUAUUAUUUGAUUAAAAAAAGAAACAUUUAUGUUUGUUAGUGAUAGUGGAGAUGGUUUGUAAUGGUGGUGGUUGUAAUAAAUUAAUUGGUGUUAGUGAUUAGCAAUGUUGGUGAUGAUAGUUGUGAUAGUAGAGAUAGUUGGCAUUAUAGUAACUGUCAUGAUAUUGGCAAUUGGUAGUGGUGGUGGUGGUUGUGAUGUGAAGUUGCUUAAUAUUAGUAGUUGGAGGUGUUGAUCAUGGUGACGGAAAACUGUAUGCAUGAUGGUUGACAAGGUGUUGGUGGUCAUUGGAGACGCUGUUAGCUGUGAUGGUGGAAUGGUUGUUAGUACAGAUACUGUAACGAGUGUAGCAGAUGGUGGUGGUAGAAGUGGUAACGCCGGUGACAAUAGUGGUGAUGGUGUCCGAAGAAUGUGUGGAAGUUGAUGAUGUGUUAGUGGUUGUUAGCAAUAUGUGGAAGUUGAUGAUAUGUUGGUGGUUAUUAGUGGUAGUGCUAGUUCUGAUAGAUGAGUUGGUUGGUAGUAGGGAUCUACCGGUAGCAGUUGAUGGUGGCGGCGUUGGUGGUAGGGGUGUUAAUGGGUCAAUAUGGGUCGGUUAUUGGUCAAAACCAUAACCAAACCAACUUAAUCGAUUUUUAAAUUUCUAAAACCAAACAAAAAAACAACCAUCAGUUUGGUUCUUGUCGGUUUAGUUCGGUUUGAUUCGGGGUUUUUGGUUUAUAACUUUAGUUAAUGAUAAAAUUUGAAAAUUUUUAAAAAAAAAUCCAAUCUAACAUAUGAGAUGUCAACCGAGUAUUGUAUCUCAAUCUUGAAACUAUGAUGUCAGCUGAGUGUUAUACUUCGGCAAAGCCAUGAUAACACCAUAUGAACGCUUUUAAAAAAAUAUUUAAAAACUAUAUUUAAUAGAAUGAUAUGAUAAACUCUCAAAAGGUGAGCACAUAAACUUCUUGCUCAACAAGGUCCAAAAGAAAGUUAAAAUUAGUGAUUGUGUAUAGUCUAAUGAAUUUCAGCCGUAAAUUUCAAUAUGUAACAAGAUAUUAUUUUCACAAUUAGUAUCAUUUGUCAUUCAAAAUAUGAAAUUCAUUUAGAAUCUCAUAAUGUAUUGUCAACUAGAUUAAGACAUAUGACUUAAUGUGUUACGACUAAAGUUAAAUCAUGAUUAAAAUAUAAACUGUAACAAAUAUUUAGAUUACAUUUAUGAAAAACAUAUAAAUAAUUGUAAUAUAUCUGUAUAUCGGUUCGGUUUGGUUAUUUUGUCAGUUAUUUUAGAGUAAAAUCAACAAAUUAGUAUCGGUUUUUUAAAAUUCAAAUCCAAACCAAACUUAACCAAAUAUUGGUUUUUUUAACCGAUUUGGUUUGGAUCGCGGUUCAGUUUGGUUAAAAACCAAAUCAUGAACACCCUUAGUUUGCGGUGGAUAUAAUUAGAAUAAUGGAAGUGGUAGGUGUGGUAGCGGCUGGCAGUGUAGUUGGUAGUGAUGUUGGUUGUUAUGGUGGAAGUGGUUGGUGGUGGUGACAGGUGAUUGUGGAUAGAGUGGUGGUGAAUUUUAUCCUACACAAGAAUAUCUGUAAAUGAUAUUUAGACUUGGUUCCACAUCUGAAUGAUUAAGACCUACUCAGACCUAUUAAGAGCUAAAAUCCUAAUAAAAACAAAUGCACUUAGUGGUUUGAGGUCUGAACAGGUUCAUAAAUCCAAUAAGUGCAAACAAAUGAGUCCUGAAAGUAGUUUUUCUGGUCAAGUUUUGACCAUGUUUUGUCCGUUUGUACCACACCCCAGUUUUGAUUUCACUUCGGAUGAUAUCGUGCAACUUAAAACCCAAUUCAAAAUAUAUUGUGUUGUCAACCAUAUAAAUUGGACUAAAUAAACUUAGUGCCAGAAUUCACCUCUGAAGAGGUAGUUGAGAUGUAAUGAAAGUAAAGGCUUAGAAAAGAUUAACCUCGGAAAAAGUGCCUGAGAGCAUCUCUGUUUCUCUAAAUAAAGUUGCAUCUCCCUCACUAUGAUUUAUUUAGCCGUAAUACACACUUGUGACUAACUAAACGAUAUAUUGUUUCAUCCUCUGCCCUUUCUGAAAAGAAUUAAACUUGAAUGAUCAAAUGUUAUUAGCAUUUAUCUACUUGCUUGAUGAAAGAGAGAGUUUACCUGGUAUCCUAGCAUGGUAAUGAUCCUGUUCGUGCUCUUAUUCAAUGAUUGAAUUUGGUAAUGUUUUCUUGAGUUAGGCUCUUGCUAUGGGAUGGUGAGAGUUAUACAUAAACUCAGAUGCUGAAAAUCUUUUCUUUUUCCUUUGUAAGAUAAAGAUUUCAACUUCUAUCUUUAAAGUUUGUAGUACUUUUUGUGUGCAUAAAUGAUUCUUAUUAAGUAAAUAUAACGAAAGCGAUGUUAACAGAGAUGCUAUCCAUUUUUAUUUAUUCACCUUUUUUCUAUUAUCCAAACAGGGGUGCUUGAUUUUUCCUUUAAUUUAACCUGGUCAGUGCAAUUAAGUUUAUGUGUCAAGUGUCUUGUGAUAUUGUAGAUGACUUUGAACAAGUGGAGAAAUGUUGGUAUUCAUGAAAGAAAUUUCAUCCCCAUCACCCUGCUUGUAAUUUAUAGACUUUAUGGUAACUCAAAUGCAUGGACAAGGCUCCAUUUGGUAUCCUAUUUUUGUUACUGAUAAGAAUUCUGAAUUUGUGUUACUUGUAUGUUGCUUCAGUAUCUUGAUGACAAGUCACAAAUUAAAGAUGCAGUUAGGAUGGCCGAGGUAAUCACCACUCUUCAUUUUAACCUCUGUUGUGCUUCGGUUAGUACCUAAUAUUUUGGCUGAGCGGUCUCUACUUUCAGAUUGGAUUGACAUCAGCCUGGACGCUUGAUGAUUUUAAGGUUGCAAUUGCCAAGUAUAUUAGCUCUCCACCAAUGUCAGAUACCAACUUAAAGGUCUAAUUAUGGCUAAGCACUGUAUACUGUUUCACAUCGACCUUUGUUGAAUUGAUGUUGUGAAAAUUGAAGUACCCCAUUCACUAAUUGGAUUUCUAUGUAUUUGUCCCCUUUUUCUCUUUGGGACAGGUCUUGCAUAAGAUAAGUGAAUUGAGUGCAAAAGCAUUAGUAGUACUUCCAUGUUAUGUUUCACUGGAAGUCAGUCAGUUUGUGAUUGCUAAAUUGGCAACUCGUAGGUAGUCAACUGUGGUUAGUGGCAUUUUCCUUUAGUAUCAACCAUAACCUAUCCCACAUUAAAUUUGGUUCUUGUAAUAGAGUUAAUAAAAGAGUAGUGUGUUGGUUAGCAAGUAAGCCUGAAACCUUCAAGAAUAAAGACGAGGACCACAUUGAUCAAAUAUUUGGUGUUAGCUUUUGCUUCUAAUUCUUUCGUUUUGGUACCAUUUUCCUUUGUUUUUAUUUCCUGGAUGGUGGUGUUUAAUAUUACACCUACCACACAUAUGUUAAGUUGCUUAAUUCAAUGCAAUUUGACUUGUUGUUUUCUGCUUUUACGGUUAGUGGAUAAGAGUUUUACUCUAGGAAACUGGUUAAACAGCAUAACUGGAUGAUAUCAACGAUCAUUUGCUAUUUUUGUAAUGAGGAUAUUCUCCAUAUAUCAUUUGUAAAUUGGAGGUUAUUUAUGGUCAUGGAGUAUAAUCUAUGUAUGUGGGAAGAGGGAAUUGCAAGGGGUAUCUUAUCGAAGAAUUAUGCUUAGAUGGUUGGGUCUCUUAAAGCUUUUAGUUUACUUUCAAUAGCACGAAACUUUUGUAAAGCAUUUUAUCAAAGAUUAUAAUGUGAGGAGUUACUCCAAAAGAUGGUAAUAAUACUCUUACAUUAUAUCCCCCUUGCCUUCCAAAUGAAGGAAUAAGAGGACAUACAUGGAUUAUACUUAAUCUUAUUCCAUACUUCCUUUCUAAACUUUAUGUUCUACGCGUUUGGGCUUGCCGGGUCAUUGAGUAUUGAAUGUGCAUAUUUCAUCUGCAUAGUUUUUCUUUGAGGAGUUACUGGAAAGAGCCAGGGAGAAAGAAGAAACAACAACAACAACAACAAACCCAGUGUAUUCCCACUUAGUGGGGUCUGGGGGGGGUAAGAUGUACGCGUUUAAAAUCUUUCACAUUGCAAUGGAUGGGAUCCCAUGAUAUUUCCUUUAAACCAUAAUUUAUUUGUUUGUUGUGGUUACAGGAAAUUACUGCAUCAUCGAAAUGGGAGGGCUGCAAAUCCCUCUUCGGAGAUAGGCAAGUAGCUUCUUUUGGUUUUAUUGAUCUAGAAUUAGUAACACGAUUGCAAGGACCAUUGGAGAAUGAUAAUUGAUAAUAUUUUUAAGGACCAACUCCUUCAAUACUCUAAACUCAGUAAUUCACAUAGUUCUAGAAUGUACCUUAGAAUAAUAGUUGUGUUGAAUGAUUUGUUGUUUUAUAUUCCUCAACACUUAGGUAGGCUAUUUCUUUAUAGUAUUAGCAUGAAUUACCAUUUUGCUAAGUGAUUUUUAAUGUUGAACUUAUCCCUCUAGAAAUUUGUUGAUGUCAAUUAUUAGUUGUUCCGACACUGGGCGUUUAAUAGCUCUAGCAGUUAGUUUUAAAAUUUCUGACAUUUGUGAUUGUUUUAGUUUUUUAAUUUCUGGCAUUUGUGAUUGUUUCACGGUUUUGAUGAAGUAUGCUGCUAAAUCUCUAGUUUCAAUUUGUCUAGCCUCUUUGGCUAUAAAAUGAAAUGCUCUGGAUUUUUACUUUUUUAUUCAUAAUCUCAUGAUUCUCAUUAUGUCGUAACAUUGAAUGUGAAUUUCUUUGUUGUUAUUAUUUUACAGAAUAAUGGGUGAUGAGGGCUUGCUGCUUGAAAUAUUUAACAAAUUUGUUAAUGAACUAAAAUAGAAGGAGCGCAAGCGUCAAGAGGAUAAGGUACUUGAAUUACUACUAACCCUUAUUCUUCUGCUACUUUCGGGUGGGGGUAGUAGAUAUGUGGAUGUGAUUGUGGUUGAUAUUGUUUUGUGGAAAUUUUGACUUUUUGAGAGUCGCCACUUAAUUUUGAAAAGAAAUUAAGAAACCUUUAGAGAGUUACUGCAAACGAUUCAAAAUAGAAAAAUCAUUUUUAAGUUAGAGAUUUAGAUAAGCGGUUCCUAUUAACAUUCUAGAAAGGUAUUAGGCACCUAAAAUGUCCUCUAACUUGCGGUUAGCUGGACUGUUUGAAAAUCGUCUUUUGAUUAACUUUGAAAAAGUUUAUUUUUUGAAAAGAAAAGCGAUUUUAGAAAUAUUUUGGUGUUUAUGCAAAACCAGUUUUUUAGCGACUUGACUAAGGAUUUUAAUAGGUUCGCAAAACACACAUAAAACAAGUAAGCAAAUAGAAAAAAGGGAAAGGGGAGAAGUAGUGAUUUAGGAUUUUAAGCACAAACCGUCGACCAUGUCCUAAUCUAGUUAGGUUUUUGACCCAUCUUUCACCUGUCUUAAUUUUAUGUUUUCGAGCCCUUUUUGGCUCGAGUCUCGCUCCACCUGUUUUAAAUUUACAGCUUUUGCUUCGAGGCCUAAAUGAAUAAAUAAAUAAGUCACUAAAUAAACAAAAAUAUAAAUAAGUAAAUAAAUCAAUAAAGAAGAAAUAACGAGAUUUUCAAGUCCUCUUUGCCGCUUCAAAGAUAGAACUUUAACCCAUUCUUCUUUCGAUUCCUCGUAUCGAUACGCCAUGUGAUGGAUUCUUGGAUUUUCUUUGGGGCUUAACUCGGAAGGAUAGGCCUCAUUGGCCCAUUUAUGAAAUGCAAAGAGAGAAGGGGGUUGCAUGCAAAGAAAGGAAUGAAGAACCGUGUAAUCUUGUGCUGGUGUGGCAACUCUUUAGGUACCUAUAUCAUUUGUUGCAUGUGGAAUGAUAACCUCUCCGGUUAUAGCCGAUGAUCGAUUUAUAAAUUUCUUUUAAAUUACCAAUCUUUGGAUAAUCUUACGCAUUAUUUGAUGUUGGAUACGAGGCGACUUACAGAUAUCCUUUUGAUUUCUAGCUUUUAGGUAAUCCAGCAUAUUAUCCGACUUUGAAUAAGAGAUGGCUUACAGAUAUCCCUCCAAUCGCUAGCUUUCAGGUGUUCCUGCAUAUCAUCCGACCUUGGAUACAAUAUGACUUAUAGAUAAUCCAUCAAAUUGUUAGUCUUUAGGUAACCCUGCACAUAAUCAAUCUUGGAUAUGACACGACUUAUAGAGAACCCUUGGACGUAUCAAUUUGAUAAUCUUGAUUAUUCUCCGGUAAGAAUUUAGUUGCGACUUAUGGAUAAACUUUCAACUAUCAAUUUUUGGGCAAUCUUGCACACUAUCCGAUUAGGAUGUUGUUGUGGCUUACGGAUGACCUACAGGCUAUCAACUCAUAGGUGAUCUUGCACACUAUCCUAUUUCAAAUAAUAUGACUUAUAGAUGACCCUCAAAUUGUCAAUUUCUAGGAAAUCUUAUAUAUCAUUCAUCCUUAGAUAGCGACUUAAAGGCGUCCCUUCAAAUCGUGUGCUCUCGAUGCAUUCAGAUGCUGAUUCAUAAAGUGAUAAGAUAUCCUCGAUGCCAGCAUUUAUGUCUUGCGUGUCAACAGAUAUAAAAUGAUGAUGAUAUCUUCAACGCCAGCAUUGUGUCUUGCGUGUCAAUAGAUUUAUUGAAUGGUGAUGAUAUCCUCGACGCCAGCGUUAUGUCUUGUGCGUCAACAAAUAUAUUGAAUGUUGAUGAUAUACUUAACGCCAGCGUUGUGUCUUGCAUGUCAACAAAUAUUGCAUGAUGAUGAUAUCCUUGAUGCUAGCAUUGUGUCUUGCAUGUCAACAGAUAUAUAAUAAUGAUGAUAUCGUCGAUGCCAGCGUUGUGCCUAGCGCGUCAACAGAUAUUUAAUGAUGAUGAUAUCCUCGAUGCCAGCGUUGUGUCUUGUGUGUCAACAGAUAUAUUGAAUGCUGAUGAUAUCCCCAAUGCCAGCGUUGUGUCUAGCGCAUCAACAGAUAUUGAAUUAUGAUAAUAUCCUUGAUGCCAGCAUCAGGGUCUUGCUUUCUGCAUGUACCUGUACUCAAGGUAGACGAUUAGUAGACACAAAUUUUCUUUUGCUAGAGACUAUUUUUUUUAGAAAAUUCUAAAUACAAUAUUUGUAAAAAAGACAAGACACUUUUGUUUGUCCUCCAUGAUCUCAAGAAAUGAGAUGGACAAUUCUAAAGGUUGUCAAUAAAUAGGUGUUGAGCCCGUUUUUGGGCUACCAAAAGUAUCGUUAUUAAGCCUUAUAUGCUCUGUCAUGGCUCCCGACUUGCUUGGGGAUUUUUUGAAAGAAAUGCUCAUUUUGUGUGUCGAUCCCUGCAUCCACAAAAAAUGAUUAGUUUGAAAGAAACUACUCCAUGUUGACCUCCUACGAUCCUUGAUUUGCCCUCACCAUCUUUUAGGUAUUUCAUCAUGUUAGGACUUCCACCCCUAACUCCCCGUCCUAAUUGAUGUCUAGGCAAUCACUAAGUAAAAGAUUUAUGUAGAUUUUUUUCAAAGUACUCUUAAUUUUUUAGAAAAUAGUUUUGAGAACUCCUGCAAAACUUCGAAAAAUCUCUGCCAGUCAUGUAGUACUAUCCAAAUACCUCAUAAUUUGCCACACACCUUCUCAUAAGUAGUACUAGUUUACAACUACCAACGAAAAAAGUCAAGGGGUAAGGUCACAUAAUAGACAUAAUCAACCUUAAUCUGAUAUUAUAACCCCAUACGAUCUUAUCUACUUAUGUGGAUUUCUUACCUCGUACUUACUUACUCAAGCAUACAUUUAGACUGUCUUCAAAUUUCUCAAACAACCAUGAGUCUAUAAUCAUAACUUACUCACUAAUACAGCCAUUUUUCACAUUCAAGCAACCAAUAAAUCACCCUAACUAACAACUCCUUCUCUACCUUAUAUUAAACUAACUCACAAGGAGGAAUCACCUCUUUACCAACUCCAUCUCAUGCAAACAGAUUCAGCCAUACAGAUAUUAAACCAACAAAAGAACAACAAGUUGGACAACAAGUUGCUAGUGAAUCAAAAUAGGCCUCACACGGCUUCACUAGACUUUGGUUUUGUAUUUUGAACAAGAAAAUGAGAUGGAUGACAAGGCAACUAUGCUAGUGAAUCAAAAGAGCCCCACACGGCUUCACUAGACUUAAAUUUUUUUUUUUCAAAAACACCAUGAUAACAAGAUUACAUAUUAUAAGAGAUAGGAAAUUGACGCAUAAUAUUUAGUGGUCUAAGAAUACAAAUCUUACUCUGUAUAAAUAAAAAUCUGAGUAAAAUACUUCCCCCAUGGACUACCAUACCAUCCACACAUGCGACUAGCUACCACAUUAGUUUAUCACUAUAAAGGGGUAAAUCAUCCUUAAAUAUCGGUUAUUCAACAGAAAUAUUUAUUUACACCAAAAAUCACCAUCACUCUGACUUCUAACUUUGUGACUUCACAUCACUAACUUCUUAUUCUAAUUUUAUUACUGAUAGGUCAUGACAACAACACUUUAACUUAUGCAACUAUUCGGGCGGAAAUACAGUUCCAACAUUCUGCUAUACACCGUUCACAUCUGUAUCAAGAUUUUUAGGAGGGACUAGAUGCACUUAAUACCUGAAGCUGGAAAGCAUGAUUCCAUCAGGAUCAAUGUUUACAUCAGAAUCAACAUAUAUUGAAGCACCAAUAGACUCCUCUCGAGUCUUUGAACAAUUUUUUUCUUAUAUGACAUAAAUAGAAAAGACUAUAUCAUGUAGAUUCUAAACUUUUUCACUUGAAUCACCCAAAUAAUGGGACAUGUAUGAGAACAUCAGAGUAAGGAAAGAAUUUGGGAUGACUUUACCUUCAUAUGGGUGACACCAUAGCACGAAUGACAGUAAUUCAUGUUAUUUUUAAUACAUUGAAUCAAAUACUGUAUAAGAAACAACAACAGCAACAACAACACCCAGUGUAUUCCCACAUAGUGGGGUCUGGGGAGGUUAGUGUUUUUAGAUUAUAUCACUAUCAGGUAAAGUAGAGAGGAUAUUUCCGAUAGACUCUCAGCUUAGGAUCAUAAUAAUAUACCAAACAUAAAAGAUAAAUGAAUAUAAACUAAUAAGAUACGCAAAAUAAAACUAACAAUAUAACAAAUAUCAAAGAAAAUAUAUAUAAAUUAGUACCGUAUGAAAAAAUAGCCAAUCUACCAAGCAGUGUCAGCUUUGUGUUGGGUGGUUGGUAGUCAAGAAAGUGUUAGCUUUCCCAAAAGAAUAACCCCAAUAAAGAAAGAAGUCCCUCCACUUUCACCAUUGAUUGAAUGUUAUUUUUAAUACGAAGAAUCAAAUACAGCGUAAGAAAAUAGAAGCAAUAUUAAUGUAAAUAUUAUUAAUAUACCAUAUUUUAUAUUAUUUUUAUAAAAUAAUAUUUUAUAUUAUUUUUAUAAGAAAAUAAUCUAAUUAAUUUUAUUGAAAUUAUCUAUCUAUAUAAUAUAGGAGGACAGUCUAGCCUAAAACUAAGACAAGUGUCAUAUUGAGAACCACCUAUUUGAAUUUUUACAAUAAAAAACCAUCAUUUUAUAACAAAAAGCUAUUUUGUUGAUUAUUUAAAUAUUUAAUAUUGUUUCAUAUUUCAUAUUUAAUAAAUUACAUUUCAUAUGUUUUUAAUAAUAGUAUUAUAAGAAAAUAAAUAUGAAUGAUNNNNNNNNNNNNNNNNNNNNNNNNNNNNNNNNNNNNNNNNNNNNNNNNNNNNNNNNNNNNNNNNNNNNNNNNNNNNNNNNNNNNNNNNNNNNNNNNNNNNNNNNNNNNNNNNNNNNNNNNNNNNNNNNNNNNNNNNNNNNNNNNNNNNNNNNNGGUUUAGAUGGUUCUCCCAUAGGAAGAUUAGUGUGGGUACCACUCAUGGCCAUUUGGGUCGUGACAUUUCCGAAAUUAUAAAGGUAAUUAAUAUCAAUUAUUUUCGUAUUUGAGCCCUUUAUACAAUUGUAGAUUAAUUAAAUAUAAUCAAACUACAAAAUUAAGACAGAUUUAUGGUAAAUAAAUAUAUAAUAUUAAUAAUAAUUUUAUUGCUAUCAAAUUAAUUAGAUUAAAUUGAACUAGAAAUUAGUUAAUAUUGACAAUUACUUUAAUAAAAAAAAUAUAUGGAAAGAUUCAUAAUUGAUAUGCAUAUAUUGGUUAAAAACACAACGAAUAUUGACUACUACUUUAGCUAUAAAUAUAUUUUAAAAUUUACAUACAAUAUUAAAUUUAAGGAACUUGAGUCUAUAUAUUAUGAUCAUAAAAUUGAUUCUAAUUAAUUAAAAUUAAUUAAUUGAUUGUAUAGUUUUAGUACAACAAUUUCGUACAUCAUUUAUUUAAUAAAAAUACAUAUAAUUAAUUGAUCGAUUUUGUGUAAUCUACUAUGAUUUUAUUAAUUCAAAUGAAAUGAUUUUUAAAUGAUAGGUUUGGAUUAUAAAAAUAAGGGUGAUUAUUGUAUGACUUUAGAUUUCUUAUGCAUUAAAAAAAAUUUAUAGGCAAAAAGAUGUCAUCCCUCAAAACAAUUAAAUUUGAACUAUUUUAGUGAAACAAUGAAAGAUUGAAUAUAAGAAAAUCCGUAAUUAAGAAAAGAAAUAAUUGUCACCUUAUUUGAGUUUUUAGCAAAUUGUAAAGAUAAUUAAAUAAUCAAAUUGUAAAUUGAUAAGCAAUUUUUGAGAAAUAAAUCAGUAAUUAGGAAAAGAAAUAAUCGUUACCUUUUUAAAAUUCUUCCCAAAAUUAUAAAGGUAAUUAAUAUAAAUUUGAUAUAACCAAACUAUAAGAAUAUGUGAAGGGAUUGAAUUUCCGAAAUUAUAAAGGUAAUUAAUAUCAAUUAUUAUUGUAUUUGAUCCCUUUACACAAUUGUAGAUUAAUUAAAUAUAAUCAAGCUACAAAAUUAAGACAGAUUUAUGGUAAAUAAAUAUAUAAUAUUAAUAAUAAUUUUAUUGUUAUAAAAUUCAUUAGAUCAAACUGAGAUAGAAAUUAGUUAAUAUUGAUAAUUAUUUUGAUAAAAAAUAUAUGCAAAGUUUUGUAAUUGAUAUACAUAUAUUGGUUAAAAUAACAACGAACACUGACUACUACUUUAGCCAUAAAUAUAUUUUAAAAUUUACAACAUUAAAUUUAAGGAACUUGAAUCUAUAUAUUAUGAUCAUAAAAUUGAUUCUAAUUAAUUGAAAUUAAUAAGUUGAUUGUGUAAUUUUAUUACAACUAUGUUGUACAUCAUUUUUUAAAUAAAACUACAUAUAAUUAAUUAAUUGAUUUUGUGUAAGCUACUAUGAUCUUAUUAAUUCAAAUGAAAUAAUUUAUAAAUGGUAAGUAUGGAUUAUAAAAAGAAAGGAUAUUAUUGUAUGCCUUUAGCAUUUCAUAUGUAUUAAAAAACAUUUAGAGACAAAAAGUUGUCAUCCCUCAAAAUAAUUAAAUUUGAACUAUUUUAGUAAAACAAUAAAAGAUUGAAUAUAAGAAAAUCCGUAAUUUAGAAAAAAAAAAAUAAUUGUUACCUUAUUUGAGCUUUUAGAAUAUAAAGAUAAUUAAAUAAUCAAUUGACUAUAAUCAAAUUAUAACCUUGUAAGAAUUUUUUGAGAAAUAAAUUAGUAAUUAGGAAAAAAAAUAAUCGUUACCUCUUUUAAAUUCUUCCCAAAAUUAAAAAGGUAAUUAAUAUCAAUUUAAUUUAAUCAAUCUAUAAAAAAACAUGAAAUUCAAGGGAUAGAAUUGCCAAAAUUAUAAAGGUAAUUAAUAUCAAUUUUUUAUAUAUUUGAGCCCUUUAUGUAAUUGUAGAUUAAUUAAUUACAAUCAAGCUAUAAAAUUAGGAUAGAUUUAUGGUAAAUAAAUACAUAAUAUUAAUAAUAAUUUUAUUAUUAUAAAAUUAAUUAGAUUAAAUUGAGUAAGAAAUCAAUUAAUAUUGACAAUUAUUUUAAUAAAAAAUAAAUGCAAAGUUUCGUAAUUAAUAUACAUAUAUUGGUUACAAAAACAACGAACACUGACUUCUACUUUAGCCAUAAAUAUAUUUUAAAAUUUACAACAUUAAAUUUAAAGAACUUGAGUCUAUAUAUUAUGAUCAUAAAAUUGAUUCUAAUUAAUUUAAAUUAAUUAGUUGAUUGUAUAGUUUUAUUACAACAAUUUCGUACAUCAUUUAUUUAAUAAAAAUACAUAUAAUUAAUUGAUUGAUUUUGUGCAAUCUACUUUGAUCUUAUUAAUUCAAAUAAUUUUUAAAUGGUAAGUUUGGAUUAUAAAAAUAAAGGAGAUUAUUGUAUGACUUUAACAUUUCUUAUGUAUUAAAAAAGAUUUAUAAACAAAAAGAUGUCAUGCCUCAUAACAAUUAAAUUUGAACUAUUUUAGUAAAACAAUAAAAGAUUUAAUUUAAGAAAAUCUGUAAUUGAGAAAAAAUAAUGGUUACCUUAUUUGAGUUUUUAGCAAAUUAUAAAUAUAAUUAAAUAAUCAAUUAACUAUAAUCAAAUUAUAAAUUUAUAAGAAAUUUUUGAGAAAUAAAUCAGCAAUUAGGAAAAAAAUAAUCAUUACUUUUUAAAAACCCAAAAUUAUAAAGGUAAUUAAUAUCAAUUUGAUAUAAUCAAACUAUAAGAAUAUGAGAAAUUCAUGGGAUUAAAUUUUUGAAAUUAUAAAGAUAAUUAAUAUCAAUUGUUUCCAUAUUUGAGUCCUUUAUGUAAUUGUAGAUUAAUUAAAUAUAAUCAAGCUAUAAAAUUAGGAAAAAUUUAUGGUUAACAAAUAUAUAAUAUUAAUAAUAAUUGUAUUGUUAUCAAACUAAUUAGCUUAAAUUGCGGUAAAAAUCAGUUAAUAUUGACAAUUAUUUUAAUAAAGAAUAUACGCAAAGUUCCGUAAUUGAUAUACAUAUAUUGAUUAAAAAAACAACGAACAUUGACUACUACUUUAGCCAUAAAUAUAUUUUGAAAUUUACAACAUUAAACUUAAGGAACUUUAGUCUAUAUAUUAUGAUCAUAAAAUUUAAUCUAAUUAAGUGAAAUUAAUUAGUUGAUUGUGUAGUCUUAUUACAAUUAUAUCGUACUUUAUUUAUUUAAUGGAAAUAUAUAUUAUUUAUUAACUGAUUUUGUACAAUCUACUAUGAUCUUAUUAAUUCAAAUGAAACGAUUUUUAAAUGGUAAGUUUGGACUAUAAAAAGAAAGGAGAUUAUUGUAUGACUUUAGUAUUUCUUAUGUAUUAAAAAAGAUCUAGAGAUAAAAGAAAUACAAUAUUACAAUAUUUUUGUGUUAUUUAAUUAAUUUAUCACGUUUCAAAAUAUUGCUUAUAUCAAUUCAGUGAUGUUUAUAUGGAAAAGUUAAAUUUUGAAAAAAUAAAUAUCUUUAAUUUCAUAAUUUAAGUUAAUUUGUGUGCUAAUUUGAAAAAGUUAAUUUAUAGUUUACAUCUUAUUUCUAUUAUAUGGAAAAUUUGACCUCAUAUGGCUAUUUAUAGCCAUUGAAUAACACAAAAUAUUUGUUACACUUUUCUUCUCUCUCUCAUGGGUAUUUCUCAAGUUUUUCAUUAUGAGUAUGUAAAUAUUCACUUGCCAUAUUUCUGGAUCCUUGUAAAUAUUCACUUGCCAUAUAAAGAUCCUUGUAAAUAUUUACUUACAAUUUAUAGAUCCUUGUUAGUUGUAUAUAUGCAUUGUACAAUGAUGAAUGAAAGACACAGAAAAAAAGGUUUUCUCCAUUCUAACCUUUUGCUAUUUUUACAUUUCAAGAAAAAGUGACAAGAAUCCUAUAGAUUCUGACAACCUUUUGCCGGCUCUUACUCUUUCAACUCAUUGAUUCAGUAAUUUCUUUUUUUAUUAUUAUUAUUUACCAUGUUUAUUUGUUUUAUUAGAAGGAUUUGAUAAGUUCUUUGACUUGUUCUUGUGCUAUUUGUUUGUGGGGUAUUUUAAUAAUUUUUAGUAAAAGACUAAUAGUAAAUAGUUUCGCGUCAUGUCUCUUCUGGUAGUAGUAUUAGUAUAUAUUUUUAUUUUCUACUUGUUGUAUCGUAUACCUCUAUUUUCUUACUUGCUACUGUUGUUAAUAUCCUCGUGUUUUUGCUUUUCUUGCUGAGGAUUUAUGGGAAACAAAUUUUCUACUUUCCAAAGUAGGGGUUACGUAUGUUGUUGUUGAAGAAGAAGCAUGCCGAAAGAGAGAUGUUUUGCUUUGUCUCAUAAGUAUUUAGUUAGCUUGCAGUAUUUUCAUGAAUGGAUAAUGAUUUGUGAGUGGCUGUUUAUGAGUGUUUUGCUUUAUCCUUGGAAAUCUCAUGGACACUAGUUUGAUUCAUGUACAGUCUCCAUACAUAGAGAUGAUGAAGAAUAACUUCUUCUUUUUUCGAUCAUUAACCAAUGAUGCAAAAAGGACCCCUUCACCACCAUUUAAGUCCAAGGAUGUUUCUUCUUGGAGGAGUGUUUCAUUGUCAUCUGGAUCCUCUAUGACAGUGGGUCAGGAAAAAAGAAUUUCACGGAUUUGAGCAAAUCUCCCCAUUGUCAUAGUGAGAAAGUUCAUCCUAAGAAAUAUGGUCGUGAUUCAAGCCGGUAUGCAUAUCAUUUUGCUGUAGCUUUCUUUUUCACACUUAAACUGAUCUUUUAAUUUGCAUUUUCUUGUCCAAAGUAAUGACAAAUGUUUUUUCACGGCAGAGACCUUAGUGUUCCAAUGUUGAUUUGGACUAUUAAAAGAUUGACAAAGGAGAAGGUACAAAUGGCUUCUGAAGUUUCAAGCAUGCUACGGAAUCAAGUUGCUGAAAUGGCUUCUGCUAAGGAAGAAGCCAGCAUACUACAAGCAAAACUAGAUUCACGGACACGACGAUUGGAGGCAGAAAAGAAUGAGUUACAAUCAGUACUGGAAAAGUAGUUGGAUAGAAGAUCUAGCGAUUGGUCUCUAAAACUUGAGAAAUACUAAAUUGAACAACAUAGACUCCGUGAAAGGGUGAGGGAGCUUACAGAGCAGAAUAUCUCUCUACAAAGGGAAGUCUCUUAAUUUAAUGAGAAGAAAGUAGAUAAUAGAAUCAAGAUGUCAUUUUCGGAGAAACACGUUGAAGAUUUAUCUAAGAGAAUAGAGCAAGUGUCAGACGAGAAUCAAAAUCUAAGGUAGCAACUCACUUAGUUACAAGCGGAAUAUCGAGUAGCUCAAGACAAUAGAGCUUAUGUCCGGGAAAACUACCAGGAAAAAGUUAAAGAGCUUAAAUCGGAGACUUUGCUGACAACUGUGCUAAGGGAGAAACUCUAUUCUGAGGAGAUGGACAUAAAGCAACUUCAGGCUGAUCUAGCCACUGCAGUUAGAGGUAACAACAUUCUCAAAUGUGAAGUGCAAAAUGUGCUGGAUUCUCUUUCCUGUGCCACACCCAAGUUGAAAUAUCUCGAGCUUCAAGUAUGCAGGCAAUGUUAAGAUCUCAUUGCAACAGAAUAGUUUUUAUUUUUCAACUUUGGAUACCUCGUCUUCAUAUAUGAUAGCCUGUUUGCAUAUUACUCUCUCUACAUUAGCUUUCUACUUUCGUUUGAUUUUAGGUUCAUCUUUGUUCCAUCUGAAGUUCAUGGUUUUCUUUAUGAACUUGUAUACAUGAGUUGCUGGCAUGUGGUAGUCUUCUGUGAAAUGUCUGAUCGCCUUAAUGUGUAAUCAGUUGAACCAACCAAGAACAUGAUAAACUUUGUGAUAUCCUCAAACCCAUUCAUCUGAUUGUGCUUUGAUCUGGUAAAGUUACCUGAAGGGGUUUCGGUAAGUUUGCUCAUUCAUUUGACUUAAUUCUUGGACAAGCUCAUGAGUUAUCUACGGUGAAUUUUAGCAGUUAAAAAGGAUUCAUGAUUUGGUUGAACUUCUAGGCUAUGAGUUUGUUUUGAAUUUCUGAUGAAAUGUUAUUGGUGAUCUUUGUGUCUUUCUUGUUUUUCAUGGUUUAAGGUUGAUUCUGGCAGGUGCUAAAAAAGGAUGAAAAUAUCAACCAGCUCACUAAUGAUUUCAAGAAUGCAUGAAGGAACUUGGCAUUGUGAAGGCAAUACUACCAAAAAUGUUUCAGGAGAGGGAUUUCAUGUGGGAGGAAUUUAAGAGCUACAGUGAGAUGAACAUGCUGUUGAAUUAUGAGAUCAACAUGUUGAAAAGGAAGGUAAGAUUUAUUGUUUUUGGAAUGUGUACAAGUAGAAAUGACAAUUUACGUUCAAGUAUGAAAGUAUGCGUUGUUACACAAAAUUAUUGGGUUAUUGGUUCGGUUCGAUUUUUUCUUAUUGGGUAAUGAUUUUAUAAAAAAAAUUAUUGGGUUAUUGGUUCGAUUCGAUUUUUUCUUAUUGGGUUAUUGGGUAAACCGAUAACCCAAUAAGAAUAUAUAUAUGACUUAUUAUAUAUUUAUCUUUUAUUUUUACAAAUUAACAAACCUAUUAUUUCAAUUAUAUAAACUCUUAAUUUCUCCUAACAACAUUUAGUUCAAACUUGAAGAUUUUUGUAAAUUUAAACACUUCAUGUAGGAUUUUUGUUGCAACUACGAUUCAUUUUUUACAUGUUAGUUACUACUAUUUCUAUUUUAUGAGUAUUUUCUUAUCGGUUAAAUCGAAAAUCGAAUCGUUAAGGACUAAAAAUCGAAAAAAAUAUUUUAUUGAUUUGGUUAUUGGUUUAGCAUAUUUAAAACCCAAAAAUCGAUAAAUCUAACGAUAAUAUGUAAAACCCAACCGAACUGACCGAUGCACUCCGCUAGACACAAACGCUUUAAUUACUUGACAAAUUGUAUGAGAUGCACACAUUUUGCAUGACAAAUUGUGAUACAAGACUCGCAUAUAUAUAUUUAUUUUAACUUUAUAUGAUAGUCUAAGUAUUUAUUUGUGCAACACUCAAAAUUAAAAUAUAUAAAUAUUUGUUGAUGAUGUCAAGUUGAAAACACAUUUAUGUAUUAUGUCAAACGUAUAAUUCCUUUUUUGAACUAUAGAUAUAAUAUGUAGCAUGAGUGAAUGUACUCUAAUUUAAGUUGAUGAAUUCACCUAACAUUAUUACAAUUACUAGAGUAAUGAGCAAAAUUAAAUUCAUUGCUAUUUAUUUAUAUUUUAAAAAAAUCAAGGUGGAGUCAGAGAGCAAUUAUCAUAAUUAAAGAGGAGCUAGAGGUAUAAUUAAAUGAGAAGCAUGGAGUCUUUUGAUAGAGUGUAUUAAAAAAUUAAUAAUAACAACAAUAAAUUCAAUGUAUUUUCACAUAGUGGGGUCUAGAGAGGGUAAGAUGUACGUAGUUCAUAUCACUACCUCCGAAGAAGUAGAAAGGUUGUUUCCGAUAGACUUCCGGCUCAAGAUAAGGAAUAAUAAUCAAAUCUGUGAUAAAGCAUGGAAUGUAUUACGUAAAAAUUAAUGCAUCCAUUAAUUUAAUGUGUAUUAGUAGUUCCUUGUUUGAUAUAUAUCUUUUUAUCUUAUGUAUAACUAAUGCAAAAAUUAGUUAUAUACUCUAUUAUGUAUUGAGGUGUGUAUUACUAAUACCUCAAAAUUUAUGAUAUUAGUAAUGCAAAGGAUCUAAUGCAUGCAUUAACAUGUGGGGCUAUUAUGUAAAAAAAAAUUGUGUAAUUCGUGUUAUUUGUAAUACUUUGAAUCAAAUACUUUAUAAGAAACAACAAUAGCAACAACAACACCCAGUGUAUUCCCACAUAGUAGGGUCUAGGGAGGUUAGUGUAUGCAGAUCAUAUCACUACUCAGGUGAAGUAGAAAUGAUGUUUCCGAUAGACUCCCGCUUAGGAUCAUAAUAAUAUACCAAACAUAAAAGAUAAAUGCAUAUAAACUAAUACGAUACACAAAAUAAAACUAACAAUAUAACAAAUAUCAAAGAAAAUAUAUAUAAAUUAGUAAAGAGCCCCACACGGCUUUACUAGACUUUAAAUUUUUUUUCUCAGAAACAUCAUGAUAACAAGAUUACAUAUUACAAGAGAUAGGAAAUUGACAAAUAAUAUUUAAUGGUCUAAGAAUACACAUCUUACUCUGUAUAAAUAAAAAUCUGAGUAAAAUACUUCCCCCAUGGACUACCAUACCAUCCACACGUGCUACUAGCUACCACAUUAGUUUAUCACUAUAAAGGGGUAAAUCAGCCUUAAAUUCGGUUAUUCAACUGAAAUAUUCAUUUACACCAAAAAUCACCCUCACUCUGACUUCUAACUUUGUGACUUCACAUCACUAACUUCUUGGUCUAAUUUCAUUACCGAUAGGUCAUGACAAUAACACUUUAACUUAUGCUACUAUUCAGGUGGAAAUACAGUUCCAACAUUCUGCUAUACACCAUCCACAUCUUUGGGAGGGACUAGAUGCACAUAAUACCUUAAGCUGGAAAGCACGAUUCCAUCAGGAUCAAUGUUUACAUCAGAAUCAACACAUAUUGAAGCACCAGCAGACUCUUCUUGAGUCUUUGCAUAUUUUUUUUCUUAUAUGACACAAUCGGAAAAGACUAUAUCAUGUAGAUCCUAAACUUUUUACACUUGAAUCACCCCAAUAAUGGGACAUGUCUGAGAACAUCAGAGUAAGGAAAGAAUUUGGGAUGACUUUACCUUCAUAUGGGCGAUACCAUAGCACGAAUGACAGUAUGAAAGAGGAACAUUUUGACUCUAUUGCACGAACUGGAACAUGAAGAAAGAGAGACCUUCCUAAAUGCCUAUUAGCCUCCUGCUUAUAAGUGUGGUGCGCUACACACCCAUAAACAAGACUCUACCCGACGUGAUUUUGUAGACACCCUAGGACCAUCAAUCGUUCUCUGAUACCAAGUUCGUCAUGACCCAAAUUGGGGCUCUGGCCGUGAUGAGCAUUCCAAACCAUGAAGGCCCGAAACACCCCUAUUUGUCUGAUAAUCAUGCACAUAACUCAUAUGAUAAAAAAAAUGUGGAAGAUAAACAAUAUCACGGAAACAUGGUCAAGAAUCAUAUGAAAUCAAUAACACGAAAUAAUGUCCCACAAUCUCAACACAACAUCUCUUUAACGUCUGUAAAAUUUCUACUACAUGAUUGAAAUAAAUAUCUAUCUGAAAACUGGGACAAGGCCACAAGGCCCCCAGUAGAUCCAAAACUAAUAAAUGAUAAAUGAAACUGCCAGAUAUCAGGCCUUCCAAAAUAUAGAAGGCUUACCAAGUGACUCUGCAAAUCUGUCUGAGGAUUCUACUAAUUUUUUAGAUCCCUAGACUGUGCCUCCGAACCUGGGAGGGAAGGGGGUCAAUACAAAAGUACUGAUACGCAGAGAUAUCAAAACAAAACAUAAUAUUUUUACAAAAUAUAGUUGAGAGCCAUUAUAAAGUAGUUUCAUAUCAAAUCAUUUGAAAACAUAUAGGCGUAAUGUAAUUGUUUUCAGCAAUAAUGUAAUAUAGCUGAGCUAGGUGGAAUACCCUACAUAUCACAUUUACACCAACUGUCAAAUCUCGGUUGCCAUCGAGAUUAUAGUAUAAGUGAGGGGAAGACACACAAGAUCACACAGCAAGGUGUCUCGACCCAAUGGUAGUGCGCAAGAUCACAAAGCAGGGCUCCUAACCAUAGUCCCAACUUGGGAAUGACAUAAAGUCUGGUACGCAAGAUCACAAAGAAGGAUACCAAAUUCCUAUGUCGGCAAACACGGUUUCCAACGAUGGGCCCUUACACUCAAACGCCUUCUUCGGGUAUCCACCUAUCUCAUGUAAAAUCAAUGCAUUCAAAUUUCAUCUGAUUCAAUCACAUAUCAUAUUCUGUAGGCAAUCGUCAUACCCGACUUGCAAGCCAUCAAUAUCACAUCAUUCUUCUCAUUCAACCAUUGCAUUCAACAUGUUUCAACACAAAUAGCCCUCUCGUUUUAAAGUUAAAAUCAUAUGAAUUCUUAAAACAUUUCAUGUCAUGCUUUUCAAGAUGUUUUCAAACAAUUUAAAUCAUAUGAAUAUUUAAAACAAAUUCACAUUAAGAGAGGGAUUCCAUAUAAUUCAUGCUCUCAAAUUAACACCUUUUCGAAACACAUGCAUAUACAUAUAUAAUAUGUCAAAUCACUUUGGAAAUAGGCCUAAAGACUAAAUCAAUAUUAUAGAAACGUUCAAAACAUGAUUAUAUUCGUAGUUUCUAAACCCCCAUUGUAAAACAUGAAUUUAAAGGCCCAUGCGAUUUUAGGAUAACCCCAUGUACCUCUGUAUGCGAAGAUGAUAGGUGUUUCUUAAAGCCUACGUUCUGGGAAUUCUAAAUAUGCAAUUAGUUUCAAAAACCUAUGGUUGAAUCUUGAGUUGCUUGGGUUUUUAUUUUGAAACUCUAAGGAUAUUUAUUGAGCAAUUUUGAUGAAUGAAGGUGUAUUUUGGGGUAUUUGGAAACUGAACUUCAUGUUUAUGGCUAAAUAAGGGUGGGAAAAGGACCAUUUUACCCCAAAAAUGGAGUGUUUAAGUCACUUGAGUAGUAAUGUAUGCGGCGCACACCUUAUCGCAUAAUAUAGGUUGUGCGACGCACUCUUUAUUGCACACAUUAGGUUGUGCAUAGCACACCUUAUGGCAUAAGUUAGGGUGUGCGUCGUACACCUUAUGCUGCACUACACACUCCACUUUGCAAAGCCAUAACUUCUUCCUCGGGUGUUGGAUUUUUGCAAAAUUGGUAUCAUUGGAAAGAUAAUUCGAAGGCCUUUAAUUUGAUAUAUAGUAGUAACUCUAAUUCAAUAUAUACAAAGAGUAAUGACAGUUUGAAUUUGACCUAAGUUUUGACGCUUACUAAAACUCAAUUGAUGGAAAAGCUUUCAACUAGUCCUUGAGUUAAGGGACCUCUAUAAUCUCAAUUCAUUAUCAACUAGAUUUAUACACUACAUAAUAGAUUAAAACACUAUAUUCACAAUAUAUUUAUGGUUUUUGGAAUGUGUACAAGUCAAAAUGACAAUUUACGUUCAAGUCUGAAAGUAUGGGGUGUUACAAAAAAUUAUUGGGUUAUUGGUUCAUUCAAUUUUUUCUUAUUGGGUUAUUGGGUAAACCAAUAAUCCAAUAAGAAAAUAUAUAUGACUUAUUAUAGAUUUAUCUUUUAUUUCUACAAAUUAACAAAUCUAUUAUUUUAAUUAUAUAAACUCUUAAUUUCUCCUAACAACACUUCAUGUAGGAUUGUUGCUGCAACUAAGACUCAUUUUUUACAUAUUAGUUACUACUAUUUCUAUUUUAUGAGUAUUUUCUUAUUGGUUAAAUCGAAAAUCGAAUCGUUAAGGACUAAAAACCGAAAAAAAAUAUUUUAUUGGUUUGGUUAUUGGUUUAGCAUAUUUAAAAAUCAAAAAUCGAUAAAUCUAAAAAUAAUAUGUAAAACCCAACCGAACCGACCGAUGCACUCGCCUAGACACAAAAUGCUUUAAUUACUUGACAAAUUGUAUGAGAUGCACACAUUUUGCAUGACAAAUUACGAUACAAGACUCGCAUAUAUAUAUAUUUUAACUUUAUAUGAUAGUCUAAGUAUUUAUUUGUGCAACACUCAAAAUUAAAUAUAUAAAUAUUUGUUGAUGAUGUCAAGUUGAAAACACAUUUAUGUAUUAUGUCAAACGUUUAAUUCCUUUUUUGAACUAUAGCUAUAACAUGUAGCAUGAGUGAAUGUACUCUAAUUUUAAGUUGAUGAAUUCACCUAACAUUCCUACAAUUAGUAGAGUAAUGAGCAAAAUUAAAUUCAUUGCUAUUUAUUUAUAUUUUAAAAAAUCAAGGUGGAGUCAGAGAGCAAUUAUCAUAAUUAAGGAGGAGCUAAAGGUAUAAUUAAAUGAGAAGCAUGAAGUCUUUAGAUAGAUUGUAUUAAAAAAUUAAUAACAACAACAACAAUAAAUUUAGUGUAUUUCCACAUAGUGGGGUUUGGAGAGGGUAAGAUAUACGUAGUCCAUAUCAUUACCUUCGGAGAAGUAGAAAGGUUAUUUCCGAUAGAAUUCCGAUUCAAGACAAGGAAUAAUAAUCAAAUCUGUGAUAAAGCAUGGAAUGUAUUACGUAAAAAUUAAUGCAUCCAUUAAUUUAAUAUGUACUAGUAGUCCCUUAUUUGAUAUAUAUAUCUUUUUAUCUUAUGUAUAACUAAUGCAAAAAUUAGUUAUAUACUCUAUUAUGUAUUAAGGUUUGUAUUACUCAUACCUCAAAAUUUAUGACAUUAGUAAUGCAGUGGAUCUAAUGCAUACAUUAACAUGCUUAAAGUGGGGGUAUUAUGUAAAAAAAAGUUAUGUAAUUCGUGUUUUUUUAAUACUUUGAAUCAAAUACUAUAUAAGAAACAACAACAGCAACAACAACACCCAGUGUAUUUCCACAUAGUGGGGUCUGGGGAGGUUAGCGUAUGCAGAUCAUAUCACUACUCAGGUGAAGUAGAGAGGAUGUUUCCGAUAGACUCCCAGCUUAGGAUCAUAAUAAUAUACCAAACAUAAAAUAUAAAUGCAUAUAAAGUAAUACGAUACGCAAAAUAAAACUAACAAUAUAACAAAUAUCAAAGAAAAUGUAUAUAAAUUAGUACCGUAUGAAAAAAUAGCCAAUCUACCAAGAAGUGUCAGCUUUGUGUUGGGUGGUUGGUAGUCAAGAAAGUGUCAGUUUUCCCAAAAAAAAAACCCAAUAAAGAAAGAAGUCCCUCCACUUUCACCAUUGAUUCAAUGUUAUUUUUAAUACGUAGAAUCAAAUACUGCGUAAGAAAAUAGAAGCACAAUUAAUGCAAAUAUUAUUAAUAUACCAUAUUUUAUAUUAUUUUUAUAAGAAAAUACUCUAAUUAAUUUCGUUGAAAUUAUCUAUAUAUAUAAAAAGGAGGAUAGUCUAGCCUAAAACUAAGACAAGUGUCAUAUUGAGAACUACAUUUGAAUUUUUACAACAAAAACCAUCAUUUCAUAACAAAAAGCUAUUUUGUUGAUUAUUAAAAUAUUUAAUAUUGUUUCAUAUUUCAUAUUUAAUAAAUUACAUUUCAUUUGUUUUUAAUAAUAGCAUUAUAAGAAAAUAAAUAUGAAUGAUUUGAUUACAAUUGACUAAAACAAAUAUUACAAGAAAAAAUUAUGUAAGAGAAUCCUCACUAUGUGGGAAUACAGUAAGUUUGUUGUUGUUGAACCAAUUAAUAAAUAGUAACUGGUCAAUUUAUAUAGAAAAUAUUGUAAUCAUUCUGAAUAAAAAAUAUUAAAAAAAGGUGUCAUCCCUCAAAAUAAUUAAGUUUGACCUAUUUUUGUAAAUAAAUGAAUAAAUAUAAGAAAAUCCGUAAUUAGGAAAAAAAUAAUUUUUACCUUAUUUGAGUUUUUAGCAAAUUAUAAAGAUAAAAAUAAUCAAUAGACUAUAAUUAAAUUAUAAAUUUAUAAGAAAUAUUUGAAAAAUAAAUUUGUAAUUAGGAAAAUAAAUAAUUGUUACCUUUUUUAAAUUCUUUCCAAAACUAAAAAGGUAAUUGAUAUAAAUUUCAUGUAAUCAAUCUAUAAAAACAUGAGAAAUUCAUGGGAUUGAAUUUCCAAAAUUAUAAAGGUAAUUAAUAUAAAUUAUUUUCAUAUUUGAGCCCUUUAUACAAUUGUAGAUAUAUUAAAUAUAAUCAAGCUACAAAAUUAGGAUAGAUUUAUGGUAAUAAAUAUAUAAUAUUAAUAAUAAUUUUAUUGCUAUCAAAUUAAUUAGAUCAAAUUGAACUAGAAAUUAGUUAAUAUUGACAAUUACUUUAAUAAAAAAAUAUAUGGAAAGAUUCAUAAUUGAUAUGCAUAUAUUGGUAAAAAAAUAACGAAUGUUGACUACUACUUUAGCUAUAAAUAUAUUUUAAAAUUUACAUACAAUAUUAAAUUUAAGGAGCUUGAGUCUAUAUAUUAUGAUCAUAAAAUUGAUUCUAUUUAAUUGAAAUUAAUUAAUUGAUUGUAUAGUUUUAUUACAACAAUUUCAUACAUCAUUUAUUUAAUAAAAAUACAUAUAAUUAAUUUAUUGAUUUUGUCGAAUCUACUAUGAUUUUAUAAAUUCAAAUGAAAUAAUUUUUAAAUAAUAAGUUUGGAUACUAAAAAUAAAGGUAAUUAUUGUAUUACUUUAGCAUUUCUUAUGUAUUAAAAAAGAUUUAUAUACAAAAAAAUGUCAUCCCUCAAAACAAUAAAAUUUGAACUAUUUUAGUGAAACAACGAAAGAUUGAAUAUAAGGAAAUCCGUAAUUAAGAAAAGAAAUAAUAGUCACCUUAUUUGAGUUUUUAGCUAAUUGUAAAGAUAGUUAAAUAAUCAAAUUGUAAAUUGAUAAGAAAUUUUUGAGAAAUAAAUCAGUAAUUAGGAAAAAAUAUAAUCGUCACCUUUAUAAAAUUCUUCCCAAAAUUAUAAAGGUAAUUAAUAUAAAUUUGAUAUAACCAAACUAUAAUAAUAUGUGAAAUUCAUGGGAUUAAAUUUUUGAAAUUAUAAAAGUAAUUAAUAUCAAUUGUUUUCAUAUUUGAGUCCUUUAUGUAAUUGUAGAUUAAUUAAAUAUAAUUAAGCUAUAAAAUUAGGAUAUAUUUAUGGUAAAUAAAUAUAUAAUAUUAAUAAUAUUUUAUUGUUAUAAAUUUAAUUAUAACAAAUUGUGAUAGAAAUCAAUUAAUAUUGACAAUUAUUUUAAUAAAAAAUAUAUGCAAAGUUUCGUAAUUGAUAUACAUAUAUUGGAAAAACAACAACGAACACUGUCUACUACUUUAGACAUAAAUAUAUUUUAAAAUUUACAAUAUUAAAUUUAAGGAACUUGAGUCUAUAUAUUAUGAUCAUAAAAUUGAUUAUAAUUAAUUGAAAUCAAUUAGUUGAUUGUGUCUUUUUAUUACAAUUAUGUCCUACAUCAUUUUUUAUAUAAAAAUACAUAAAAUUAAUUAAUUGAUUUUGUGUGAACUACUAUGAUCUUAUUAAUUCAAAUGAAAUAAUUUUCAAAAGGUAAUUUUUGAUCAUAAAAAGAAAGGAUAUUAUUGUAUGCCUUUAGCAUUUCUUAUGUAUUAAAAAAGAUUUAGAGACAAAAAGUUGUCAUCUGUCAAACCAAUUAAAUUUGAACAAUUUUAGUAAAAAAAUAAAAUAUUGAAUAUAAGAAAAUCCAUAAUUUAGAAAAAAAUAAUUGUGACCUUAUUUGAGAUUUUAGAAAAUUAUAAAUAUAAUUAAAUAAUCAAUUAACUAUAAACAAAUUAUGAAUUUAUAAGAAUUUUUUGAAAAAUAAAUCAGUAAUUAGGAAAAUAAAUAAUCGUUACCUUUUUUAAAUUCUUUCCAAAAUUAAAAACAUAAUUGAUAUCAAUUUAAUUUAAUCAAUCCAUAAAAAACAAGAGAAAUUCAUGGGAUUGAAUUGCCAAAAUUAUAAAGGUAAUUAAUAUCAAUUUUUUUUCAUAUUUCAGCCCUUUAUGUAAUUGUAGAUUAAUUAACUACAAUCAAGCUAUAAAAUUAGGACAGAUUUAUGGUAAAUAAAUAUAUAAUAUUAAUAAUAAUUUUAUUAUUAUCAAAUUAAUUAGAUUAAAUACUUUAGCCAUAAAUAUAUUUUAAAAUUUACAACAUUAAAUUUAAAGAACUUGAGUCUAUAUAUUAUGAUCAUAAAAUUGAUUCUAAUUAAUUGAAAUUAAUUAUUUGAUUGUAUAGUUUUAUUACAACAAUUUCGUACAUCAUUUAUUUAAUAAAAAUACAUAUAGUUAAUUAAUUGAUUUUGUGCAAUCUACUAUGAUCUUAUUAAUUCAAAUGAAAUGAUUUUUAAAUGGUAAGUUUGGAUUAUAAAAAUAAAGGAGAAUAUUAUAUGACUUUAGCAUUUCUUAUGUAUUAAAAAAGAUUUAUAGACAAAAAGAUGUCAUGCCUCAAAACAAUUAAAUUUGAACUAGUUUAGUAAAACAAUAAAAGAUUGAAUUAAAGAAAAUCUGUAAUUGACAAAAAAAUAAUUGUUACCUUAUUUGAGUUUUUAGCAAAUUAUAAAGAUAAUUAAAUAAUCAAUUAACUAUGAUCAAAUUAUAAAUUUAUAAGAAAUUUUUGAGAAAUAAAUCAGCAAUUAGGAAAAAAUAAUCAUUACCUUUUAAAAAUUCUUCCCAAAAUUAUAAAGGUAAUUAAUAUCAAUUUGAUAUAAUCAAACUAUAAGAAUAUGAGAAAUUCAUGGGAUUAAAUUUUUGAAAUUAUAAAGAUAAUUAAUAUCAAUUGUUUCCAUAUUUGAGUCCUUUAUGUAAUUGUAGAUUAAUUAAAUAUAAUCAAGCUAUAAAAUUAGGAAAAAUUUAUGGUUAACAAAUAUAUAAUAUUAAUAAUAAUUGUAUUGUUAUCAAACUAAUUAGAUUAAAUUGUGGUAAAAAUCAGUUAAUAUUAACAAUUAUUUUAAUAAAGAAUAUAUGCAAAGUUCCUUAAUUGAUAUACAUAUAUUGAUUAAAAAAAACAAUGAACAUUGACUACUACUUUAGCCAUAAAUAUAUUUUGAAAUUUACAACAUUAAAUUUAAGAAACUUUAGUCUAUAUAUUAUGAUCAUAAAAUUUAAUCUAAUUAAAUGAAAUUAAUUAGUUGAUUGAGUAGUUUGAUUACAAUUAUAUCGUACUUUAUUUAUUUAAUGGAAAUAUAUAUCAUUUAUUAACUGAUUUUGUACAAUCUACUAUGAUCUUAUUAAUUCAAAUGAAACAAUUUUUAAAUGGUAAGUUUAGACUAUAAAAAGAAAGGAGAUUAUUGUACGACUUUAGUAUUUCUUAUGUUUUAAAAGAAGAUCUAGAGAUAAAAGAAAUACAAUAUUACAAUAUUUUGGGUUAUUUAAUUAAUUUAUCACAUUUCAAAAUAUUGUUUAUAUCAAUUCAGUGAUGUUUAUAUGGAAAAUUUAAAUUUUGAAAAAAUAAAUAUCUUAAAUUUCAUAAUUUAAGUUAAUUUGUGUGCUAAUUUGAAAAAGUUAAUUUAUAGUUACAUUUUAUUUCAAUUAUAUGGAAAAUUUGACCUCAUAUGACUAUUUAUAGCCAUUGAAUAACACAAAAUAUUUGUUACACUUUUCCUCUCUCUCUCUCUCUCUCAUGGGUAUUUCUCAAGUUUUUAUUAUGAGUAUGUAAAUAUUCACUUGCCAUGUUUUUGGAUCCUUGUAAAUAUUCACUUGCCAUAUAUAGAUCCUUGUAAAUAUUUACUUGCAAUUUACAGAUCCUUGUUAGUUGUAUACAUGCAUUGUACGAUGAUGAAUGAAAGACACAGAAAAAAAAGUUUUCUCCAUUCUAGUCUUUUGCUGUUUUUACAUUUCAAGAAAAAAUGACAAGAAUACUAUAGAUUCUGACAACCUUUUGCCGGCUCUUACUCUUUCAACUCUUUGAUUCAGUAAUUUCUCUUUUUUUUAUU
rnacentral:lncRNA from 1 species